UCCUCCUGCCUCUGCAUCAAUACGAUGCAUGCAACCACUUUAUUAAUGAAAGCAAUCAAAUAGUAUGCGGUUCCAAACAAUCUCUGAAAGUGCAGCAAAAUAAUCAAAAAUAAAUCAAAAGAUGCCACAAUCGGCUAACAUAGGCCUUGAUGCCUAGCCAUCUAUCCUAUUACUGGACCGUCAUCCAAACCGGUUGUAGAUAUCCCGAGCUACCAUCUCCCAUUGGACACACCCAGUAAUCAAAGGCUCCAUCGCGUUGUAUUACAAAACAACCAACAAGACCAUCCAUCAAUAGAUGCUGGGGCGGAAACAGCACAGACAUGCGCAAAACAAAUGAAAAAGAAAAUACAAAAAAAAACAAAUGCCGACACCGACGAAUCGACAAAAAACGCAAAAAGACUCGCGACCGCUGCGCCCACCACAGUUAUCCCAGAUUAACCAGGCAAUUCUAUUCUUCUUAAUGAAAUGCAGGAACCCCCUGUCCCUCUUAAGGUGUUCUAAAAAAAUAUAUUCAGUGAGCUAGUACGUACUUGAUUAAUUCAUCCAUCUAGAGCACAAUAAUUAUGGCUUCAUCCUACAGCCUUUGAGCAUCGAACAAUUUUCAUAGCAGGACAAUGCAAGCUUGAUGUCUAGAGAAGUACAACGUAAUAGAAAUACAUGGUAAACUCCUACACAAACCAAGAUGAAGCUUCUUCCUUCUUCACUCCCUUUUCCACCAUGGUCAACUCCUUCCUCCUUUUCCUCUACUUCUCCUCUCCCUUUGUCCUUCUUCUCUUUUUUCUUUCUUUUCCUCAUGGAGCAACCGGCUCCCCUGCAAGCUAGCACACGAGGUUCUAUUAGCCUGCAGGGCAGCUAGUUCAAGCCACCCGAUGACCAUGGUUAUACUAUUCACAUAUCAUUUCCAAUUUCUUCUAAUAUCUCACCUCACUAGAAAGCAGAUACACCGUAAGUCACAAACCUCUAUACAUUGCCCCAUAUUUUGAGGACCAACCAAAGGAAUGCAAACACAAAAGGUGUAAAUGGUUUAAAGUAUAUAAAAUAGCAGAGCGAGCAAACUUCGGUUAGAUUAACAUGUCAGAAAGUGUGAUUUUGCUNNNNNNNNNNNNNNNNNNNNNNNNNNNNNNNNNNNNNNNNNNNNNNNNNNNNNNNNNNNNNNNNNNNNNNNNNNNNNNNNNNNNNNNNNNNNNNNNNNNNAAGAGAAGUUGGAUUUUGAUGUAAGCUGAAAUUAUUAGAUAUUACAGAAACAAGACAAGUCCAUCACUGCUAGCACUGCAGCCGAUACAUGGUUUAUCCCCUUGUGUUAUACACACUGGUCCAUAGGUUAUCGGCAGUGUUGCCGGCUGCCCGCCUACUUGUUGGUCAUGUUCCUCAGGAACCUUCUCCAGAACCUGAUAUACGCAUCACAAUGUCUCCGGCCUUAGAGGGGGAUAAAAGUUGUAGUGCACGAUAAAUUUUACUCGGUGGUGGCCGCUACACCUAAAUAAACUUACUACGGACUUCAUAUAUAAAGUGAGACGAAAGCCGUUUUUGAUAAUUAUACUCGACCACACCCAUGGGGAGUAAAUAUCCCCCACACCAACCUCGCAUCCUCUUUCACCUUGCCAUCACCUAAGCCCCAUCGACGCGCUCCCACCACCACCCCCAUCCACUUCGGCACUACCGCCACCCCGCUGCCGAUAAUGUCCGGAUCCAGCCACCGCCCAUCCCCAGCGCGGAUCCACGUCGUCACGAGCGGUCUCGAGACCGUCUCGUGUCGGUGCUUCCUCCUCCCGCACUGGCACAUCCCUCAUCCCCGACAUUCCUCCGCCGUCGUAGCAGAAAUACAUCGGCGUGUGGCAGCGCUAGUGGGGGACAUGGUUCGUGUAGAUCAUUGACUGCGACACCCACAAGCGCAUUUGGAUUAACUCCUUCCACUCCACGGUUCUCCCAGCACAUGAUUAUGAAAUUAUGUCGGUCCGCCAACGCCCAACGCAACUUCCACCAUCACCUGCCGCGAGUGGAGAUCGUCGACCCCAGGGUGGCCACCGCAUGGGAGAUGAGAGAAGAUGGGGAGGACCAUGAGCGCCUCUAGGCGGAGCUCCGCUGCCUCUACCCGUAGCGCAUCGAGGAAGAUCACCGUUUGUAUGAGCAUACAUAGCCGGGGCGAUGGAGGUCAUUGACCUCUACACUGACACGACAACGACGGCAAUGGCAGCUAGGGCUGUGCUGGCGAUGAGGGCCACUUUGAUAUAUGGGCUACUUUGCAAAGAAAAAAAACAUGGAUGGAGCUGUGAAGUUCGUUGAGGUGUUAAAAAGGUGCACAAUAUGUAGGGACGGUGUUGUUCGUUCGUAUGCAGCAUCCGGAAAGCUCCCUGGGAUGCGAUACUCUGUAUGUCGAUAAUGUGGAAGUUAGGAAGGAAACAAACAAGCUCGUUGAUUCCAUCCGUUUUGAUUGUUUAGUUGAUUCACAUCCCAAUGUUUCAUCUCAACCACAGGCAGCAGGGUGCCUUUGAUUCUUAUCACUUUUUUUUUGUAAAAGCUGUAUUGUCAGGAUGUAUACUGAAAUUUAGCCUGUCAUUUAUUUGGCUGCUUUUGAACACCUUGGAGUACUUGGACUGUUUGAAAUGCUCUGAUUUUUAGUUGUAUACUGCGGUUAACAGAAUGAACUCUACAUGUUUCGCAUGUUGGAAUCAAAAUUUGAAUUAAUUUACUUAGUUUGAUGGCAUUCUCCUUAUAUCUAUGAUAUUAGCCGCAAUGAAUGUCAAGAUCUGUUAUACCUUUGACAGCAGAAUCAGCACUUUAGGGAAAUCACAGUUUNNNNNNNNNNNNNNNNNNNNNNNNNNNNNNNNNNNNNNNNNNNNNNNNNNNNNNNNNNNNNNNNNNNNNNNNNNNNNNNNNNNNNNNNNNNNNNNNNNNNGAGACAUUCUUUGUACAAAUAGAAGUUUGUACUGUAAUCACAGUAUGGUUUCACUAGUGGAAAACGGGCCUUUGCUCGGGACCAUUUAGUCCCGGCCUGCCUCUGGGCCGGGACUAAAGGCCCGGCCACGUCGCCCCAAUUCUCAAUGCCUCCCUCGAGGCUUUAGUCCCGGCCCGUAAGGAGCCUUUAGUCCCGGUUCGUGUCCCAAACCGGGACUAAAGGGCUACGCGGCGGGCAGUGGUGGUGGCAACCGUUCGUAUCCCCCUUUAGUCCCGGUUGGUGGCUCAACCCGGGACUAAAGGACUAACAUGUGGCCUGCCGUAGUGGUGGCAACCGUUGGUAUACCUCUUUAGUCCCGGUUGGUGGCUCAACCCGGGACUAAAGACCCAAACAGUCGUCAUUUCUCUGUUUCUUCUUCUCUCUCGCUCUCCCUCUCUGUUCUUCUCCUCUCUUCUUCCCUUCUCUUCUUCCACCAUGCCAACUAGCUUUCAUGAGGUGCUCCCACAUGGCACGACCAAGCUCGAUGUCGUGUACACGAACCUGAGCAGGGAGGUGCCGUUUUUUCUUCAACAGUUGAAGGGAAAAUGGUUUGACAACGCAGUGGAUCAUGAGAAGUUCUUGGGGCUUGAUCUGGAGUACACGGCCGAUCAACACGGUGUUGCCGUCAUCCAACUAUGCUUCGCACGCCAUGUCUUGAUCUUCCAAUGGGCGAGGUAAGUUUUGAGGCUUUCUUUGAUCCAAGAUAAUGACAUUGUAAGUUUAUUUGUUUCAAUCAUAGUUGGUUCCCUUCAAAUAGUUGUAGUGAAACAAUUUUGAUUAGUUGAAGGGGAACACAAUCUAAUUGGAACAGUGUUCCAUAAUCUGAAAAAUCGUAUUAGAAUCAACUAGUGUUUAAUAUGUUCCAUUGGAAUCAUAGUUGGUUCCCUUCAAAUAGUUGUAGUGAAACAAUUUUGAUUAGUUGAACGGGAACACAAUCUGAUUGGAAUAGUGUUCCAUAAUCUGAAAAAUCGUAUUAGAAUCAACUAGUGUUUAAUAUGUUCCAUUGGAAUCAUAGUUGGUUCGCUUCAAAUAGUUGUAGUGAAACAAUUUUGAUUAGUUGAAGGGAACACAAUCUGAUUGGAAUAGUGUUCCACAAUCUGAAAAGUCUGAUUGGUUCAAUAUGUUCCAUUGAAAUCAUAGUUGUAGUGAUACAAUUUUAUGCGGUGUUCUUUGAUCCAAGGUUAUGAAAAUUGAAUAUAGCUAGUGAUCUCUCUAGGUUCCAUUGGAUAGCAAUAGGAUAUGUCAUAGUCAUGAAAAUUGCAUAUAGCUAGUGAUCUCUCUAGGUUCCAUUGGAUAGCUAUAGUGAUCUCUCUAGGUUCCAUUGCAUAUGUUCUAUUUGAAUCCUAAAGAUAAGUUUCUCUUUAGUUGUAGUGAAACAUGUUUCCUUAUUGCAGCAGUAUGUAACAUUUGUUCCAUUUUAAAUUGUUUCUGUUGUAGGAGUGACAAGCAUUGUCCAGAACUCAUGGACUUCCUUCGCAGCGGCAUCACUUUUGCUUCCGUUGACAUAAGGAAUGACAAGCUGAAGAUGAGGCACAACGUCGGUAUUGAGAUACCAGCUGGUUGCCUCAUUGAUCUCCAAACGGUAUUCAGGUUUCGACAUGACAGGACUUCGAUGGCUCAUAUGGCAGUUGCCUUGAUCGACGAGGGAUAUGGUGAUAUGAAGACCAGUUUCCCAAAGUAUCAGCACAAACUUUGGGAGAAGGGCCCACUUGAUGAUAUCAACAUUGAGUAUGCAGCAAAAGAUGCAUACGUUUCAUACGAGUUGUACCGCAAGAUUCGAGUCGUCCACUAUGGCCAGCGUCACCUCGAGGAAGGUGGACAUUCUGAUUUAGAUGAUUCAGACGAGUAGUGUUCUGAACAUCGAACACUUGUAUAUAUAUAUCUAUGGUAGCUAUUAUUAUGUACUGUUUGGACUAGUAUCAUGUACUUCUUGGACCAAUUUAUAUAUGUCUAGUUUCUAUUUGUGCCAUUAUAGUUUCCAAAUUUGAAUGGUUUAGCCAUUUCUAACUUCAUUUGCUACUUUUGAAUGGUUUAGCCCUUUCUAACUUCAUGGUAUCAUGCAUCUCGACCACAUAUAUAUACAAAAAAGUCUUCAGUUCAAAUAAGUUCAAAAAAUGAAAUCCCUUUUGUAACAGAUCUGUUUUUGAUUAAAACAGUCAUUUAAAAAUGAAAGACCAUUAGUCCCACGUGGCGUGCAGCGGAACCACGUGGCGUGCCGCGGAACCACUUUUGUUUUGGGGGUCGCUUCUCCUUCUUCUCCUUGUGCUAGAUAUUGGUUAUGCACUAGGGGAAGUAGGAGUAGCGACCAUCAUCGACGGUUGAAAAAUCAGGUAAAUGCACGAAGAAUACCAAAUGAAGUCAGAAAUUGUUGAAAUUUUGUGAUGUGCCUUUGAANNNNNNNNNNNNNNNNNNNNNNNNNNNNNNNNNNNNNNNNNNNNNNNNNNNNNNNNNNNNNNNNNNNNNNNNNNNNNNNNNNNNNNNNNNNNNNNNNNNNNNNNNNNNNNNNNNNNNNNNNNNNNNNNNNNNNNNNNNNNNNNNNNNNNNNNNNNNNNNNNNNNNNNNNNNNNNNNNNNGUGCAUUUUGAACACAUAAAAAGUAUGGAGUUCAAAUAAGUUCAAAAAAAUGAAAUCCCUUUGUAAGAGAUGAGUUCUCGUUCGAAACCCUGCUACUUCGAGAGAGAUUGUCCGUUUUGUACACGAAGUGCAUCCAGUUUUUGUCGUAGCCCUCUCAACUUUUUAACACAUGCUAUGUGGGUGAAAUGAUGAUAGCAUGCCAACUUUCAACAUUUUCAGAGUUCAUUUGUAGUGCUUUUCAAUUUCAGGGUCAACUAGCUCAAAAAAAAAAGUCAAUGCACGAAGAAUACCAAAUGAAGUCAGAAAUUGUUGAAAUUUCGUGAUGUGCCUUUGAANNNNNNNNNNNNNNNNNNNNNNNNNNNNNNNNNNNNNNNNNNNNNNNNNNNNNNNNNNNNNNNNNNNNNNNNNNNNNNNNNNNNNNNNNNNNNNNNNNNNNNNNNNNNNNNNNNNNNNNNNNNNNNNNNNNNNNNNNNNNNNNNNNNNNNNNNNNNNNNNNNNNNNNNNNNNNNNNNNNNNNNNNNNNNNNNNNNNNNNNNNNNNNNGUGCAUUUUGAACACACAAAAAGUAUGGAGUUCAAAUAAGUUCAAAAAAAUAAAAUCCCUUUGUAAUAGUUUUGCAUUAUUUAUUCAAUUUCAAACACUUUUCAUUAUCAUAGUUUUGUCAAAUUCUCAAAUAUGCAAAAAUAUUUUUUAAUAAACAUAGUUUUUAAUUGAAAAUAACAUAAUAGAUAAUAGUUUGGAUAGACAAAAUAAUUAAUUAUGAAAAUAGAAAAUAGUUUUGCAUUAUUUAUUCAAUUUCAAACACUNNNNNNNNNNNNNNNNNNNNNNNNNNNNNNNNNNNNNNNNNNNNNNNNNNNNNNNNNNNNNNNNNNNNNNNNNNNNNNNNNNNNNNNNNNNNNNNNNNNNUAUUUUAGCUUAUGUACUUGGUGGUAAAAAAAGGAGAAUGUUUCAUGGGAGUUUUCACGUAGACUAUUUACCAAUCGGACCAUCAAGAGGAAACAUGUCAAGUUUGCAUGUGAAUCUAACGAUGUUUUGUCUAUUCACAUUGAAAUUUUGUUCACACUCAGUACACACCAUUAAAUGUGUCAUGUAAAAAAAUUGCAUUUUCCAUGAUUUUUUUGCUAUAUUUAAGCAAUUAAAUGCANNNNNNNNNNNNNNNNNNNNNNNNNNNNNNNNNNNNNNNNNNNNNNNNNNNNNNNNNNNNNNNNNNNNNNNNNNNNNNNNNNNNNNNNNNNNNNNNNNNNNNNNNNNNNNNNNNNNNNNNNNNNNNNNNNNNNNNNNNNNNNNNNNNNNNNNNNNNNNNNNNNNNNNNNNNNNNNNNNNNNNNNNNNNNNNNNNNNNNNNNNNNNNNNNNNNNNNNNNNNNNNNNNNNNNNNNNNNNNNNNNNNNNNNNNNNNNNNNNNNNNNNNNNNNNNNNNNNNNNNNNNNNNNNNNNNNNNNNNNNNNNNNNNNNNNNNNNNNNNNNNNNNNNNNNNUCUGUCUACUGUAUUUAAGUCUUUAACUGGACUUAGCUCCAUUACCUUCCUAAAAACAAAUUUAAUGUCCUAAAAGUAGUUAAUUAACAUUAAAAUGGGUGAAACUCUUACAUGACAGUUUAAAUGAUGUACCUUUAGUGCAAAAAACAGUUAGCCCGUAAGACUAAACAUAAAAUACUAAAAUACGAGCAUUACGGAAAAAUAACAGGAAAAAUACUAGUGGNNNNNNNNNNNNNNNNNNNNNNNNNNNNNNNNNNNNNNNNNNNNNNNNNNNNNNNNNNNNNNNNNNNNNNNNNNNNNNNNNNNNNNNNNNNNNNNNNNNNNNNNNNNNNNNNNNNNNNNNNNNNNNNNNNNNNNNNNNNNNNNNNNNNNNNNNNNNNNNNNNNNNNNNNNNNNNNNNNNNNNNNNNNNNNNNNNNNNNNNNNNNNNNNNNNNNNNNNNNNNNNNNNNNNNNNNNNNNNNNNNNNNNNNNNNNNNNNNNNNNNNNNNNNNNNNNNNNNNNNNNNNNNNNNNNNNNNNNNNNNNNNNNNNNNNNNNNNNNNNNNNNNNNNNNNNNNNNNNNNNNNNNNNNNNNNNNNNNNNNNNNNNNNNNNNNNNNNNNNNNNNNNNNNNNNNNNNNNNNNNNNNNNNNNNNNNNNNNNNNNNNNNNNNNNNNNNNNACACGUAUUGCCUCCCAUCAAUGGUAAGUCACCUAUUAGUGGCGGUCUCCAGUUUGUGCCCGCCACUGGUAAAAAUUUGUCCCAUGACAAAUCUGGAGAGUUGUUACAAGUGACGGGCACAAACUGACGCCAGCCAUUGGUAAGCCAAUAGAAGUGGCGGGCCGAUUUUCUUAGCCGCCACUAAUAAUAACAGUAGCAGGUGCUAGAUUGCACCCGCCAUUAAUACAAGCCCGCAAAAUGGACCGAUUUUGUGCAACGGAGAAGUGCUCAGCUUGUUUAANNNNNNNNNNNNNNNNNNNNNNNNNNNNNNNNNNNNNNNNNNNNNNNNNNNNNNNNNNNNNNNNNNNNNNNNNNNNNNNNNNNNNNNNNNNNNNNNNNNNGCGAACAAUCCCGCGAACCGUCCCGCGAUCCGUCCCACGAUCUAGUGCCGAACGGACGGCACCUCCGCGUUCAGCACACGUACAGCUCGACGAUGAUCUCGGCCUUCUUGAUCCAGCAAGAGAGACGGAGAGGUAGAAGAGUUCUCCGGCAGCGUGACGGCGCUCCGGAGGUUGGUGAUGACCUUGUCUCAGCAGGGCUCCGCCCGAGCUCCGCAGAAACACGAUCUAGAGGAAAAACCGUGGAGGUAUGUGGUCGGGCUGCCGUGGAAAAGUCGUCUCAAAUCAGCCCUAAAACCUCCGUAUAUAUAGGUGGGAGGGAGGGGGCCUUGCCUUGGGGCUCAAGGAGCCCCAAGGGGGUCGGCCGAGUCCAAGGGGGAGGACUCCUCCCCCCAAACCGAGUUGGACUAGGUUUGGUGGGAGGGAGUCCCCCUUCCUUCCCACCUCCUCCUUUUUUUUUUCUUUCUCUCUUGAUUUUCUUCUCCUUGGCGCAUAGGGCACUUCUGGGCUGUCCCACCAGCCCACUAAGGGCUGGUGUGUCUCCCCCAAGGCCUAUGGGCUUCCCCGGGGUGGGUUGCCCCCCCGGUGAACUCCCGAAACCCAUUCGUCAUUCUCGGUACAUUCCCGGUAACUCCGAAAACCUUCCGGUAAUCAAAUGAGGUCAUCCUAUAUAUCAAUCUUCGUUUCCGGACCAUUCUGGAAACCCUCGUGACGUCCGUGAUCUCAUCGGGACUACGAACAACAUUCGGUAACCAACCAUAUAACUCAAAUACGCAUAAAACAACGUCGAACCUUAAGUGUGCAGACCCUGCGGGUUCGAGAACUAUGUAGACAUGAACCGAGAGACUCCUCGGUCAAUAUCCAAUANNNNNNNNNNNNNNNNNNNNNNNNNNNNNNNNNNNNNNNNNNNNNNNNNNNNNNNNNNNNNNNNNNNNNNNNNNNNNNNNNNNNNNNNNNNNNNNNNNNNNNNNNNNNNNNNNNNNNNNNNNNNNNNNNNNNNNNNNNNNNNNNNNNNNNNNNNNNNNNNNNNNNNNNNNNNNNNNNNNNNNNNNNNNNNNNNNNNNNNNNNNNNNNNNNNNNNNNNNNNNNNNNNNNNNNNNNNNNNNNNNNNNNNNNNNNNNNNNNNNNAUUCCCUUUGUCCUUCGGUAUGUUACUUGCCCGAGAUUCGAUCGUCAGUAUUCGCAUACCUAUUUCAAUCUCGUUCACCGGCAAGUAUCUUUACUCGUUCCGUAAUACAAGAUCCCGCAACUUACACUAAGUUACAUUGCUUGCAAGGCUUGUGUGUGAUGUUGUAUUACCGAGUGGGCCCCGAGAUACCUCUCCGUCACACGGAGUGACAAAUCCCAGUCUNNNNNNNNNNNNNNNNNNNNNNNNNNNNNNNNNNNNNNNNNNNNNNNNNNNNNNNNNNNNNNNNNNNNNNNNNNNNNNNNNNNNNNNNNNNNNNNNNNNNUAAAUAUUCAAUUCCGAAGAGCUUUAAUAGGCAUCGAUGGGAGGCUUGGUUACAAUUAGUCAGAAGACUCAUGGAGGUUCGGUUAUCGGAUGAGUCUGAUAGGUUUCAUUGGAGGCUAACAACCAAUGGCAUCUUUACGGUGAAAUCGAUGUAUUUGAACCUUAUUGACACAACACCAGUCUCCAAGUCGAUUUAUAUCUGGAAGGUCAAAGUACCCUUACGAAUCAAAGUCUUCAUGUGGUUUGUUCACAAGAAGGUGAUUCUUACAAGUAUAAUUUGGCAAAACGUAAUUGUAAGGGAAGUAAAUGUUGUAUCUUUUAUGAUCAUGAUGAAACUAUCAAACACCAUUUUNNNNNNNNNNNNNNNNNNNNNNNNNNNNNNNNNNNNNNNNNNNNNNNNNNNNNNNNNNNNNNNNNNNNNNNNNNNNNNNNNNNNNNNNNNNNNNNNNNNNNNNNNNNNNNNNNNNNNNNNNNNNNNNNNNNNNNNNNNNNNNNNNNNNNNNNNNNNNNNNNNNNNNNNNNNNNNNNNNNNNNNNNNNNNNNNNNNNNNNNNNNNNNNNNNNNNNNNNNNNNNGUGGCUAAAUGGAGUGGACAUAGUUCUUGGUACACAUAUUCGUAUAUGAGUAUGUGCAUUACUUUGGGCUAUAUGGAACUGUAGGAAUGACAUGACUUUUAACAGACAAACAAAUAUAAUUUUUUUGCAGGUACUUUACAGGGCAUCGACGUUGAUACAUACAUGGUCGUUACUCACUCGUGCGGAAACCAUGGAGCCUUUGAUUACUGGGUGUGUCCAAUGGGAGAUGGUAGCUCGGGAUAUCUACAACCGGUUUGGAUGACGGUCCAGUAAUAGGAUAGAUGGCUAGGCAUCAAGGCCUAUGUUAGCCGGUUGUGGCAUCUUUUGAUUUAUUUUUGAUUAUUUUGCUGCACUUUCAGAGAUUGUUCGGAACCGCAUACUAUUUGAUUGCUUUCAUUAAUAAAGUGGUUGCAUGCUUCGUAUUGAUGCAGAGGCCGGAGGAAAUCCUCCUUUUCUAACAAAAAUNNNNNNNNNNNNNNNNNNNNNNNNNNNNNNNNNNNNNNNNNNNNNNNNNNNNNNNNNNNNNNNNNNNNNNNNNNNNNNNNNNNNNNNNNNNNNNNNNNNNGAAUUCCUUCAUGCUUUUGUUGCAUUAUGGUCAUUCUGGUUAACUCUUCAUGAGAGCUAGACACCAUUCAGCAGAAUCACACUUUCUGAGCUGCUAAUCUAACCGAAGUUUGCUCGCUCUGCUACUUUAUAUACUUUAGACCAUUUACGCCUUUUGUGUUUGUAUUCCUUUGGUUGGUCCUCAAAUUAUGGGGCAAUGUAGAGGUUUGUGACUUACGGUGUAUCUACUUUCUAGUGAGGUGAGAUAUUAGAAGAAAUUGGAAAGGAUAUGUGAAUAGUAUAAGCAUGGUCGUCGGGUGGCUUGAACUAGCUGCCCUGCAGGUUAAUAGAACCUCGUGUACUAGCUUGGAGGGGAGCUGGCUGCUCCAUGAGGAAAAGCAAGAAAAAAGAGAAGAAGGAGAAAGGGAGAGGAGAAGUAGAGGAAAAGGAGGAAGGAGUUGACCAUGGUGGAAAAGGGAGUGAAGAAGGAAGAAGCUUCAUCUUGGUUUGUGUAGGAGUUUACCAUGUAUUUCUAUUACCUUGUACUUCUCCAGACGUCAAGCUUGCAUUGUCCUGAUAUGAAAAUUGUUGGAUGCUCAAAGGCUGUAGGAUCAAGCCAUAAUUUUUGUCCUCUAGAUGGAUGAAUUAAUCAAGUACCUACUAGCUCACUGAAUAUUUUUUUUAGAACACCUCAAGAGGGACAGGGGGUUCCUGCAUUUGAUUAAGAAGAAGAGAAUUGCCUGGUUAAUCUGGGAUAAUCGGACGAAAACCCGAUACAAUGCACGGUUAAUUGAGUAAAACCGGCAAAAAACCACACACGCCUAGUGGUUGCUCAGUUCUGCUUUUAAAGAUUACGAAUCAACAAUUUUGUUUAAUUACGAUUUCCAAAUGCGCUUAUGAUUAACCGAUACGUAAGCCUACCCAGCGUCCUUGGCAUGUCUUUUCCUACUCCUUUUUUGCAAGUUGUUUGCAAGUUGUGUUGCCAACUUGCCGUAUCAGCACUUGUCAAGAUAGAAAUCUGGUUUCUAAGGUAGUGAGUGNNNNNNNNNNNNNNNNNNNNNNNNNNNNNNNNNNNNNNNNNNNNNNNNNNNNNNNNNNNNNNNNNNNNNNNNNNNNNNNNNNNNNNNNNNNNNNNNNNNNNNNNNNNNNNNNNNNNNNNNNNNNNNNNNNNNNNNNNNNNNNNNNNNNNNNNNNNNNNNNNNNNNNNNNNNNNNNNNNNNNNNNNNNNNNNNNNNNNNNNNNNNNNNNNNNAGAUACAGUAAACAACCAAGACAGACACUCUUGAUACAAUCUUCAAGUUUGUGGUAGUAACAUCUGAUGACGACUAUCAAUGGUUAAAUAGACACAUAGUUUGAUUUAUUUAUUUUCUCUGGUUAUUCUGCUCAAUGGAAAAAAGGUAUGUUCCUUUAAACUUAUAUUUUGUCUUGACAUUGUCCCCUUACUUGUAAUCUUUGUGGCAAUGUAUCUAGCUUUUAUUUAUUUUUUAUGUAGAUAUUAAAUACCAUAUGAUGGUUGCAGUUAUCCCUCAUUUAUUUGGCAAGGAAUCUUUUCGCUUUGGAGAUUCACUUGGCAAGGGUCCGAUAGGCAAAAAACUGUGAUUUCCCUGAAGUGCUGAUUCUGCUGUCAAAGGUAUAACAGAUCUUGACAUUCAUUGCGGCUAAUAUCAUAGAUAUAAGGACAAUGCCAUCAAACUAAGUAAAUUAAUUCAAAUUUUGAUUCCAACAUGCGAAACAUGUAGAGUUCAUUCUGUUAACCGCAGUAUACAACUAAAAAUCAGAGCAUUUCAAACAGUCCAAGUACUCCAAGGUGUUCAAAAGCAGCCAAAUAAAUGACAGGCUAAAUUUCAGUAUACAUCCUGACAAUACAGCUUUUACAAAAAAAAAGUGAUAAGAAUCAAAGGCACCCUGCUGCCUGUGGUUGAGAUGAAACAUUGGGAUGUGAAUCAACUAAACAAUCAACACGGAUGGAAUCAACCAGCUUGUUUGUUUCCUUCCUAACUUCCACAUUAUCGACAUACAGAGUAUCGCAUCCCAGGGAGCUUUCCGGAUGCUGCAUACGAACGGUUCGUACAACACCGUCCCUACAUCUUGUGCACCUUUUUAACACCUCAACGAACUUCACAGCUCCAUCCAUGUUUUUCUUCUUUGCAAAGUAGCCCAUAUAUCAAAGUGGCCCUCAUCGCCAGCACAACCCUAGCUGCCAUUGCCGUCGUUCUCGUGUCAGCGUAGAGGUCAAUGACCUCCAUCGCCCCGGCUAUGUACUGCUCAUACAGACGGUGAUCUUCCUCGAUGCGCUACGGGUAGAGGCAGCGGAGCUCCGCCUAGAGGCGCUCAUGGUCCACCCGAUCUUCCCUCAUCUCCCAUGCGGUGGCCACCCUGGGGUCGACGAUCUCCACUCGCGGCAGGUGAUGGUGGAAGUUGCAUUGGGCGUUGGCGGACCGACAUAAUUUCAUAAUCAUGUGCUGGGAGAACCGUGCAGUGGAAGGAGUUAAUCCAAAUGCGCUUGUGGGUGUCGCAGUCAAUGAUCUACACGAACCAUGUCCCCCACUAGCGCUGCCACACGCCGAUGUAUUUCUGCUACGACGGUGGAGGAAUGUCGGGGAUGAGGGAUGUGCCAGUGCGGGAGGAGGAAGCACCGACACGAGACGGUCUCGAGACCGCUCGUGACGACGUGGAUCCGCGCUGGGGAUGGGCGGUGGCUGGAUCCGGACAUUAUCGGCAGCGGGGUGGCGGUAGUGCCGAAGUGGAUGGGGGUGGUGGUGGGAGCGCGUCGAUGGGGCUUAGGUGAUGGCAAGGUGAAAGAGGAUGCGAGGUUGGUGUGGGGGAUAUUUACUCCCCAUGGGUGUGGUCGAGUAUAAUUAUCAAAAACGGCUUUCGUCUCACUUUAUAUAUGAAGUCCGUAGUAAGUUUAUUUAGGUGUAGCGGCCACCACCGAGUAAAAUUUAUCGUGCACUACAACUUUUAUCCCCCUCUAAGGCCGGAGACAUUGUGAUGCGUAUAUCAGGUUCUGGAGAAGGUUCCUGAGGAACAUGACCAACAAGUAGGCGGGCAGCCGGCAACACUGCCGAUAACCUAUGGACCAGUGUGUAUAACACAAGGGGAUAAACCAUGUAUCGGCUGCAGUGCUAGCAGUGAUGGACUUGUCUUGUUUCUGUAAUAUCUAAUAAUUUCAGCUUACAUCAAAAUCCAACUUCUCUUGUUUUGGUUCUUCAUUUUCAAUUGAGGAGCAUGCUACAAUUUCCAGACAUAGCCAUAGAAACAGAGAGGACGAAUAAAAGGCAUCAUCAGCACAAGCUACAAGUUUAUGUCAUGAUUAUAUUAUGGCAAAUAAAAAAGAAAUGAACAUCUCUCGGUUACAACACCAACCAGCUACGAAGCACCGAUACGGUGACACUCAUACGGCGAUAUAGAUACGAUCAUACGGGAUACGUAAAUUUCUAAAAACAUCAAUAUGGCGAUACGGUUAGCAUAUAUAAAUAAUGGUAAAAUGACAUGUAAUAAAAACUAACAUAAUAAAAUGUGUGACAUUAGAUCAAAAUAUCGCCCAGUGGUUGCCUAAUUGUUUCUAUGCCUUCUUGUUUUUCGUUUUAAAAAUCUUACUAUCAUCAAGGGGUAACACGACCAUAGAUUACCCCAAUCCAAUUUAAACUGUAAUACCUAUUAACAUGACUAUAUAAAAUCAAGAAAUUUUUUAAAGUUAAGAAGUUGAGAUUGUCAAAUGACAAACAUAUAUGAAGAGCAACCUUGAAUUACACGAGUAAGCCAAAUAAUGAAGGGGGUAGUGCUCUUCUUCCAACACUUUAAAAGUUUUUUCUUGAUAAUGAUAUAGAGUGCACAAUCUUCAUUGAGCUUCAUAACGAUAAAUAUAUAGGAACUCUCAUCUAUGAACAUGAUGAUAACUAAAAUCAGCGGGUUGAUUAUAAAGUAAAAAAUAGAGAAAAGAUUGAAGAACAUAGACAACAGAUGUAUACAUUAGAAAGAAAACUGAGUUUUUGUAGUUUGACAUCAAUUUUUCAUCUUUCAAGAUUUACCAAAGAUACUUGUGCAAAAGUGCAUAUUGUGAACAAGACGAGUACUUCAAAGGAAAUAAUUUCCAAAAAUUUCAAAGAAAAGAGUGUGCAUGGUUGAGGAUUUAAGGCCAUUGUAUUUCCGAACGAAGUUCUUCUUGUAAGUUUUAAUUUUUUGGAACAAAUUUAGAUUGGUCAUGCUUUAGGGAGGUGCUAAUUACACAGCGGUGGACUCAUAAAGGUUUUCAGGCUGAUUCCUAUCUUAUCUCACACAUCAAAAUAACGGCUUUCAUCCCGGGCAGAAAUAUACUAUAGCGUGUGGUUGUCCUUCAUGAGACCCUGAAUGAAAUUCAUUUGAAGAAACUAGAUGGGGUUAUCUUCAAGGUGGAUUUUGAGAAAGCUUAUGAUAAGGUUAAAUGGACUUUCCCACAACAAGCCUUACGUAUGAAGGGUUUUGACGAGUUAUGGAGGAAGCACGUUCAAUCCUUUAUACAAAAAGGUAGUGUUGGAAUUAAAGUUAAUGAUGAUAUUGGUCAUUACUUUCAAACGCAUAAAUGUCUCCGGCAGGGAGACCCAAUGUCCCCCAUCCUAUUUAAUGUAGUUGCGGACAUGCUGGCAAUUCUAAUAGGAAGGGCUAAAAAGGAAGGCCAUGUAGGUGGGCUAAUACCACAUCUAGUGGAUGGUGGUGUGUCUAUUCUAUAAUAUGUUGAUGACAAUGUCUUGUUUAUGGAACACGAUAUUGCAAAAGCAAGAAAUAUGAAACUUAUUCUUGGUUUAUUCGAACAGUUGUCAGGAUUGAAAAUUAUUUUUCACAAGAGUGAAUUGUUCUGCUUUGGGAGAGCCAAAGAUGAACAAGAUAUAUAUAAACAAAUGUUUGGAUGUGAAUUGGGAAGCCUACCGUUUAGUUAUCUAGGAAUACCAAUAUUCACCACUGUAAGCUAUCAAACAAACAGUGGAAGUGUAUUGAGGAUCGUUUCGAGAAAAAACUACUCUCCUGGAAGGGUAAGCUUUUGUCUUACGAAAGAUGGCUGAUAUUGAUUAACUCGGUGCUUACGAGUAUGCGUAUGUUCCUUCUGUCUAUUUGAGGUACCGGUAGGGGUACGCAAAAGGUUGGAAUUUUAGCGAUCCCGCUUCUUUUGGCAGAGUGAUGAAGUUAAGAGGAAAUAUAUGCUUACUAGGUGGGAUAUUAUUUGUAGACCCAAGGACCAGGGAGGUCUGGGGAUUGAGAAUUUAGAGGUAAAGAACAGGUGUCUGCUCAGUAAUUGGUUGUUCAGACUAUCCGUGGAGACAGAAGGCAUGUGGGUACAAAUUUUACGUAAUAAGUACUUACAAUCUAAAACCUUGGCCCAGGUCACAGUCAAACCCAAUGAUUCACCAUUCUGGAAAGGCUUGAUGAAAAUGAAAGCGGCCUUUUUCCAUAGAGCUAAAUUUAUCAUUGAAAAUGGAGAGUCCACAAGAUUCUGGGAGGAUACGUGAUUGGGGGGACGCCUGUAGCCAUACAAUAUCUAUCUCUUUAUAAUAUUGUGCAACGUAAGGAGGCGUAUGUCGCCACAAUAUUACAGUCUAAUCCUCUAAAUAUUCAAUUCCGAAGAGCUUUAAUAGGCAUCGAUGGGAGGCUUGGUUACAAUUAGUCAGAAGACUCAUGGAGGUUCGGUUAUCGGAUGAGUCUGAUAGGUUUCAUUGGAGGCUAACAACCAAUGGCAUCUUUACGGUGAAAUCGAUGUAUUUGAACCUUAUUGACACAACACCAGUCUCCAAGUCGAUUUAUAUCUGGAAGGUCAAAGUACCCUUACGAAUCAAAGUCUUCAUGUGGUUUGUUCACAAGAAGGUGAUUCUUACAAGUAUAAUUUGGCAAAACGUAAUUGUAAGGGAAGUAAAUGUUGUAUCUUUUAUGAUCAUGAUGAAACUAUCAAACACCAUUUUCUCCAAUGUACGCUUGCAAUUUUUUAUGGCAAACAGUUCGUAUAGCCUUUAAUAUCAUACCUCCGGAUAGCAUUGAAACGUUGUUUGGGACGUGGCUAAAUGGAGUGGACAUAGUUCUUGGUACACAUAUUCGUAUAUGAGUAUGUGCAUUACUUUGGGCUAUAUGGAACUGUAGGAAUGACAUGACUUUUAACANNNNNNNNNNNNNNNNNNNNNNNNNNNNNNNNNNNNNNNNNNNNNNNNNNNNNNNNNNNNNNNNNNNNNNNNNNNNNNNNNNNNNNNNNNNNNNNNNNNNNNNNNNNNNNNNNNNNNNNNNNNNNNNNNNNNNNNNNNNNNNNNNNNNNNNNNNNNNNNNNNNNNNNNNNNNNNNNNNNNNNNNNNNNNNNNNNNNNNNNNNNNNNNNNNNNNNNNNNNNNNNNNNNNNNNNNNNNNNNNNNNNNNNNNNNNNNNNNNNNNNNNNNNNNNNNNNNNNNNNNNNNNNNNNNNNNNNNNNNNNNNNNNNNNNNGAUAGAUGGCUAGGCAUCAAGGCCUAUGUUAGCCGGUUGUGGCAUCUUUUGAUUUAUUUUUGAUUAUUUUGCUGCACUUUCAGAGAUUGUUCGGAACCGCAUACUAUUUGAUUGCUUUCAUUAAUAAAGUGGUUGCAUGCUUUGUACUGAUGCAGAGGCCGGAGGAAAUCCUCCUUUUCUAACAAAAAUCAAAAUAAAGUAUAAAUAUUAAUAGUACUGCUAAUGAGCCGUGUCAUACUUGUUUCAUUUCUUCUUUCUGGUAAUACUAGCAAAAGGGCCCGUGUGUUGCAGCGGGUGUACAAAAUAAACAAAUAUAUGCUUAGGCAGUUCAAAAAAUACCAUUAAAACAAAAUUGCAAUCAAUCAAACAACCAUUAAAAAAUCAAUCAAGCAGCCAAAUCAGAACAAUUUUUCAAACAAUUUUGGUUUAAAAUAAUUUUCAAACAAUUGAUACUUUUUCAGUUUGUAAAUCCCAUAUCAUUCUCAAAAAACAAACUAAUAAGUAAAAUGGAUACACUCUAACUUGAUUUUUCACAUGGCAAGUUCAAACAAUUUUUUUUAUCGAAAUCGAAUGACAAUAAUGCAUGAUCAAAAGUAUUGGGAUAAGAUUUCCGAUCAAAAUGCUCAACACACUAAGGCCAGCCUAGGGAAGCUUGCUUGCCAGAGUGUACCCUAUACCUGUUCAAGAGCAUGCAAAGGUCACUCAGCAAGAACUUAACAAUGUUAGUUGAAGCCAAUUUCCACAUUUGAUGGCAUACAAAAGCUUAUACACCGAUUUUGAAUGGAAAUAACUCAGAGUUGCCGAAUCAAUAUUCCUAUACCGCUACUUGUUUGCUCANNNNNNNNNNNNNNNNNNNNNNNNNNNNNNNNNNNNNNNNNNNNNNNNNNNNNNNNNNNNNNNNNNNNNNNNNNNNNNNNNNNNNNNNNNNNNNNNNNNNNNNNNNNNNNNNNNNNNNNNNNNNNNNNNNNNNNNNNNNNNNNNNNNNNNNNNNNNNNNNNNNNNNNNNNNNNNNNNNNNNNNNNNNNNNNNNNNNNNNNNNNNNNNNNNNNNNNNNNNNNNNNNNNNNNNNNNNNNNNNNNNNNNNNNNNNNNNNNNNNNNNNNNNNNNNNNNNNNNNNNNNNNNNNNNNNNNNNNNNNNNNNNNNNNNNNNNNNNNNNNNNNNNNNNNNNNNNNNNNNNNNNNNNNNNNNNNNNNNNNNNNNNNNNNNNNNNNNNNNNNNNNNNNNNNNNNNNNNNNNNNNNNNNNNNNNNNNNNNNNNNNNNNNNNNNNNNNNNNNNNNNNNNNNNNNNNNNNNNNNNNNNNNNNNNNNNNNNNNNNNNNNNNNNNNNNNNNNNNNNNNNNNNNNNNNNNNNNNNNNNNNNNNNNNNNNNNNNNNNNNNNNNNNNNNNNNNNNNNNNNNNNNNNNNNNNNNNNNNNNNNNNNNNNNNNNNNNNNNNNNNNNNNNNNNNNNNNNNNNNNNNNNNNNNNNNNNNNNNNNNNNNNNNNNNNNNNNNNNNNNNNNNNNNNNNNNNNNNNNNNNNNNNNNNNNNNNNNNNNNNNNNNNNNNNNNNNNNNNNNNNNNNNNNNNNNNNNNNNNNNNNNNNNNNNNNNNNNNNNNNNNNNNNNNNNNNNNNNNNNNNNNNNNNNNNNNNNNNNNNNNNNNNNNNNNNNNNNNNNNNNNNNNNNNNNNNNNNNNNNNNNNNNNNNNNNNNNNNNNNNNNNNNNNNNNNNNNNNNNNNNNNNNNNNNNNNNNNNNNNNNNNNNNNNNNNNNNNNNNNNNNNNNNNNNNNNNNNNNNNNNNNNNNNNNNNNNNNNNNNNNNNNNNNNNNNNNNNNNNNNNNNNNNNNNNNNNNNNNNNNNNNNNNNNNNNNNNNNNNNNNNNNNNNNNNNNNNNNNNNNNNNNNNNNNNNNNNNNNNNNNNNNNNNNNNNNNNNNNNNNNNNNNNNNNNNNNNNNNNNNNNNNNNNNNNNNNNNNNNNNNNNNNNNNNNNNNNNNNNNNNNNNNNNNNNNNNNNNNNNNNNNNNNNNNNNNNNNNNNNNNNNNNNNNNNNNNNNNNNNNNNNNNNNNNNNNNNNNNNNNNNNNNNNNNNNNNNNNNNNNNNNNNNNNNNNNNNNNNNNNNNNNNNNNNNNNNNNNNNNNNNNNNNNNNNNNNNNNNNNNNNNNNNNNNNNNNNNNNNNNNNNNNNNNNNNNNNNNNNNNNNNNNNNNNNNNNNNNNNNNNNNNNNNNNNNNNNNNNNNNNNNNNNNNNNNNNNNNNNNNNNNNNNNNNNNNNNNNNNNNNNNNNNNNNNNNNNNNNNNNNNNNNNNNNNNNNNNNNNNNNNNNNNNNNNNNNNNNNNNNNNNNNNNNNNNNNNNNNNNNNNNNNNNNNNNNNNNNNNNNNNNNNNNNNNNNNNNNNNNNNNNNNNNNNNNNNNNNNNNNNNNNNNNNNNNNNNNNNNNNNNNNNNNNNNNNNNNNNNNNNNNNNNNNNNNNNNNNNNNNNNNNNNNNNNNNNNNNNNNNNNNNNNNNNNNNNNNNNNNNNNNNNNNNNNNNNNNNNNNNNNNNNNNNNNNNNNNNNNNNNNNNNNNNNNNNNNNNNNNNNNNNNNNNNNNNNNNNNNNNNNNNNNNNNNNNNNNNNNNNNNNNNNNNNNNNNNNNNNNNNNNNNNNNNNNNNNNNNNNNNNNNNNNNNNNNNNNNNNNNNNNNNNNNNNNNNNNNNNNNNNNNNNNNNNNNNNNNNNNNNNNNNNNNNNNNNNNNNNNNNNNNNNNNNNNNNNNNNNNNNNNNNNNNNNNNNNNNNNNNNNNNNNNNNNNNNNNNNNNNNNNNNNNNNNNNNNNNNNNNNNNNNNNNNNNNNNNNNNNNNNNNNNNNNNNNNNNNNNNNNNNNNNNNNNNNNNNNNNNNNNNNNNNNNNNNNNNNNNNNNNNNNNNNNNNNNNNNNNNNNNNNNNNNNNNNNNNNNNNNNNNNNNNNNNNNNNNNNNNNNNNNNNNNNNNNNNNNNNNNNNNNNNNNNNNNNNNNNNNNNNNNNNNNNNNNNNNNNNNNNNNNNNNNNNNNNNNNNNNNNNNNNNNNNNNNNNNNNNNNNNNNNNNNNNNNNNNNNNNNNNNNNNNNNNNNNNNNNNNNNNNNNNNNNNNNNNNNNNNNNNNNNNNNNNNNNNNNNNNNNNNNNNNNNNNNNNNNNNNNNNNNNNNNNNNNNNNNNNNNNNNNNNNNNNNNNNNNNNNNNNNNNNNNNNNNNNNNNNNNNNNNNNNNNNNNNNNNNNNNNNNNNNNNNNNNNNNNNNNNNNNNNNNNNNNNNNNNNNNNNNNNNNNNNNNNNNNNNNNNNNNNNNNNNNNNNNNNNNNNNNNNNNNNNNNNNNNNNNNNNNNNNNNNNNNNNNNNNNNNNNNNNNNNNNNNNNNNNNNNNNNNNNNNNNNNNNNNNNNNNNNNNNNNNNNNNNNNNNNNNNNNNNNNNNNNNNNNNNNNNNNNNNNNNNNNNNNNNNNNNNNNNNNNNNNNNNNNNNNNNNNNNNNNNNNNNNNNNNNNNNNNNNNNNNNNNNNNNNNNNNNNNNNNNNNNNNNNNNNNNNNNNNNNNNNNNNNNNNNNNNNNNNNNNNNNNNNNNNNNNNNNNNNNNNNNNNNNNNNNNNNNNNNNNNNNNNNNNNNNNNNNNNNNNNNNNNNNNNNNNNNNNNNNNNNNNNNNNNNNNNNNNNNNNNNNNNNNAGACUGAGCCUACAAACUCAUGUUCACCAAGUAAGAAGAAAAAUAAAAUAAACUGAAGUCCUAGUGAUUGGGUUGUUCUUUCAUACCAUAGAUACCAUAGAUAAGUAAUGCAUACUUGGGAAAUCAACAACUACCAAACCCGGUGAUGGACCAUGCGCACAAUAUGCUCGGGGUUGCAGACAUUUCUGAAACUAAAGUUGACAUCUAGCACCUUCUCGCGACCACAACCCUCUGGUUGAAAGAAGAUUACAAAGUUCUCUAUCUUUCUCAUUUGACAGGCUUAUCCUGGGGUAACUCCAUUUGAAGGAUUAGCUCAGGAGUUGCUGCACUUUUUUUCGACAUCUUCCUGCAAUGAGCCUUGCUAUUAUUUUUUGUAUCCAUAGCCAAAGAUUAGCUCAGCAGAGAUUUGGGGCAAGUAAGUGAAGGGAGGAGCAUCUCCAAGAUUACAUCGUCAAUCCUCCCAGCAAAAAUGUAAUAAACACUUAUACUAAAGGAGUAUGAAACAUGGACAUGUAGACGACCAUCAGGAAAUUACAGGUUAGCUUCAUACAUACCUCAUGUUUUCCGGCAAAGUGUGGAGCAUGGGCGAACAACUGAUGGUGUUAAAGCCGUGGGUAUUUUUUAUCCGCGUGCAAUUCGUAAUACAUGUUGCUUUCCUGACAUGGUAUUAAAGCCCUAGGUAUUUUUUAUCUGCGUGCAAUUCGUACUGCUCCCGAUCCAAUAUGCUGCACUGCUGCCGUUGCUCUCUUUCCUGCCGGCCGUGAUUCUUGUUCUUGCCUAUGUCCAUCUCCAGAUACAGAUAUAGGCGCGUUAUGUCCAUGUGAGCUAGCUGAUACAUUGCUGUAUUUGAUCCUAACGGAUUGCGCCCGAUCGAUCGAGCCGCUGGCUGCUUGUGUUCCUCCAAGGUCGGCGCCGGCCGUUUGUCUUCCUCCCCAACUGUCGGUCGUUGGACUCAUCCAUGCCGCUGCUCCAUUCCGCAGCGCCAUCAACCGCCGGGCCUCAUCCGUGCCGCUACUGUGUUCUACGUGACCAUCGGCCGCCGGCCCCUUCUGUGCCGCUGCUCCCUUCAGCUGCUGUCCGCGGGCGCUCGAGUGGUCAUGCGUCUGUGCGUAUCUUUUCUGUUUAUGUUACUUUUUUUCCUUUUCUGUUUAUUUCUUUUUUUGGGUCACCUUUUCUUUUCCUUUUCCUUUUCCUUUUGUAUUUGAUGCAAAAAAACAUUUCUCGAAUUUGAAGAACNNNNNNNNNNNNNNNNNNNNNNNNNNNNNNNNNNNNNNNNNNNNNNNNNNNNNNNNNNNNNNNNNNNNNNNNNNNNNNNNNNNNNNNNNNNNNNNNNNNNNNNNNNNNNNNNNNNNNNNNNNNNNNNNNNNNNNNNNNNNNNNNNNNNNNNNNNNNNNNNNNNNNNNNNNNNNNNNNNNNNNNNNNNUAAAAUUUUAAAAAGGAUAAUAAUUGUUGAAAAAACCCAAACAAAUUUUAAAGCACAAAAAAAAAUUAAUGCAUGAAAAUUUUAUGAAUUUUGAGAACAAUUUUGGAAAAUCGUGAACAAAUUUGGAAGAACUAGCAAUUUGUUAAAGCACGAACAUUUUUUUAAUCUUGUGAACAAAAUUUUCAAAUUGAGAACAUUUUUGAAAAACCUCGUAAAAUUUUGGAAGCGCGUACAAAUUUUUAAAGCACGGUGAUUUUUUGAAUUUUGAGAACUAAUUUUGAAACCGAGAACAAUUUUGAAAAUCCUGAAUAAAUUUGGAAGGGCAAAGAAUUUUUUAAAGCACGCACAUUUUUUGAAUCUUGAAAACAAAUUUGUUAAAUGGAGAACAAUUUUAAAAAACAUGGAAGAAAUUUGGAAGCACGAACAAUUUUUUAAAACACAAACAUUUUUUUAACCUUAAGAACAAAUUUUGAAACCGAGAACUACUUUGAAAAUAUCUAAUCAAAUUUGGAAGCGUGAACAAUUUUGCCGGUUCAUCUGCGUGCAUUAUAUAAUAAAGAGUAUUAAAAACCAUUAUAGCAUAUCAUGAAUAGAGAAGUGAUCAAAUUAAUAGAAAUUAAUCAUCACAUUAAAGUCAAAGUACAGUAGUGAUCAAAAUAAAUACAUAACGUUCAUACAUAGUUCUCAUUAUUGAAUAAGAUAUAGCUCUCUAGAGCAUCUAAUUAAAACGUACAUUAAAACUACAAAAUUUAAAUGCAACAACAAAUGCGAUCAUAAACGCAACUAAGGUACCAAUUGAUUCAACGGUAUAAUGAUACCAAGCCUCACUAUGAAUGACAUAUUUUCUAAUCUUUUUAAUCUUCAAGCGCAUUGCAUCCAUCUUGAUCUUGUGAUCGUCGACGACAUCAGCAACAUUCAACUCAAAUUUCCACUUGUCCUCUUCAACUCUUUGUAAUUUUUCUUUCAAGUAAUUGUUUUCUUUUUCAACCAAAUUUAACUUCUCGAUAAGAAUUUCUAUGUCGGUUGGAAUUUUUGGUUCACAUACCUCCUAGAUUAAAAAAUCUAUAUCAUGUUAGUCGGCAUAAUUGUCAUAAACACUAAAUAAAAUAAAUAGUUAUAAAUGAUAAUAUAUACCACAUCCGAAUCAUAGACAGGACGAGGACGAUGGAGGCGGAUACCAAAACCAUCGCACUAUAUAAUAACAAAAAAUAAUAAAAGUAAGAAAAUUACACAAGUAUCUAUCUAAAUCAUACAAGUAAGAACUUUUUUCUUUUAAAAAAAAGAUAAGAAGAAGAGGCUAACCACAGUGGUGCCAGCGCCGAGAUGGGCGCGGGCAAUCGACGACGGUGAGGACGGGGACGGGACAGGACGGACCGUCAAACCUAGACAAAUCUUGAGGAAAAUGAAGCUUCAAGAGGAAAAAGCUUAAGUGUGGCUCGGGCAUUUCAUCGAACACCUCAUGUGCAUAGAAGGUGAGCUAGAGCACCACAAAGCUCUCUCACGGCCGGCAAAACAACAGAGCAGUGCACUGCUCUGCUCGCGGGCGGGGGGUAUAUAUAGGCCAACAAUUGGUCCGGCCUGAUUUGUGGCUGGAACCGGNNNNNNNNNNNNNNNNNNNNNNNNNNNNNNNNNNNNNNNNNNNNNNNNNNNNNNNNNNNNNNNNNNNNNNNNNNNNNNNNNNNNNNNNNNNNNNNNNNNNNNNNNNNNNNNNNNNNNNNNNNNNNNNNNNNNNNNNNNNNNNNNNNNNNNNNNNNNNNNNCCGGUUCCAGCCACAAACCGGGACCAAUUGUUGUGGGCCAGGAGCGAGGCCCAUUGAUCCCGGUUCUUGUUUGCAACCGGAACCAAAGGAGUCAGACGAACCGGGACCAAUAGCCCACGAGGCCCGACCGGCGCCCUGACCUCACGAACUGGGACCAAUGUCCCCAUGGGUCCCGGUUCGUGAGUGAACCGGGAUUAAUGGGACUUCAGAAAUGAACCGAAGUCCUGUUUUCUACUGGUGACCAUGGUACAAGAACGGAUGACAUGAUGGUGUCGUAGAAACAACAUAAUAUAUACGACGUUGAUAUUAAGUACAUAGCUCUCAAAUAACAUAAUGUCCAUGGUCACUCGUAGGAUCAAGAAUGCACAUAACCAAAUUAUUGAAAAAUAAAAGAAAAUCCUCUAAAAGCUUGUUCGUGGGUUGUCACUCUAAACAUUAAGUCGAACCUGCAUCUUUUGACUACUCUAUAUCUUAAGAAACGUUAUGUUCAUUUAAGUAAUUUUUCCCAUUAAUUCGUCUACUUACUAUUAAUCUUCGUGAUAAGGUACCUAAUUUUUAUUUGUGCCUAGAUGCUAAUUAAGAAACAGUCAUUUUCACAAUUUUAUACAAUCUUCGACUUAGUCCAGAGUGCCAGUGACUUAGCCCUCUAUGAACAGUAAAAAAAGAAAAAAAAACUGAAGCAUUGCAACAUCAAAGAUGAACAAACUUUAUAGGUUCUUGUAAGUUUUAAUGCCAAAAACCAUUCGAGGAGCUCUACACACGAAAAAAAUUUAGUGCUUGAAAUUUUGAGCACUUUUAGCACUGAAAUCUGAAACUUAUUUGUACACCUUCCUCUACGUGAUAUUUUGGCAUGAAAACUUACAAGAGCGUAUGAAGUUUUACCCUUUUUAAUGUUGCAAAGUUUCAGCUUUUUUUGCUGUUUUUCUUAUUUUACUGUUCAUAAAGAGUGUCUAGUCACGCGAAAGCUGAUGAUACACAUUUCACCAAAAAAUUGAGAGUGCCCUGUAGUCUAUUAUCGAGACAAUCAAAGAGGGAUGGAUGCGCAUCAAUUAAUCAAUAAACACAAACGAAACCGACCAACUUGGUAGUUGCUUUGCUAACUUCCACGUUUUCUGACUUUAGUCGGAAUCGCUUCCUGGGGAACUUCUUUCCAGCUGCCAAGUACUAUGUACGAGCAGUGAAAAUGAGCUGAAAUUUGAGUAUGAACUUUGAACUAAAAAUAAAUAAUUCCCCAGCAUAUAUGCAUGUGAUCAGCAUGCGAAAAACAAUGCGCAGCUGGCAGUGUAAGAAACAUAAAUUGCCACUCCUCGUGACCUACACACCAUUCGGCUGCAUCACACCUAUCACGCUGCUAGUGUAACAGAUAUAUUGAACAUUGCUCACUCUUUCUCUUUAUAUACUUCUAAACUAUAUGCACUUGUUUUGCUGGUUCCUUCCGUCGAUUGAACUUACACUAUUGUUCAACUUUUGAUGUGCUUAUUUUCUGUUGAUGAGCUGAGAUUUUAGAAGGAACUGAAAGACAAUGUGGACAAUGGUUGGUUUCGUGUUGCAGGUUUGCCCAUCAAGAGACCAGGAAAAUGCAGCAUGAAAAUGUUCUACUGUAAAUAUGGCUCCGUCUACGACGAAGUCCUAGUUUAUGCAAUUGGAAGUGUGUAGAGUGUGUCUUGUUGAGAAGCACUCACUGACCUGGUGCUAUAGGAACAGCGCUUGCACUGUCCCACAGGUUGGAGCGAAGAGGGAGGAAGCAAACUGCAUGGGUGCUGCCUCCGAGUGGUGCUUGAGCAGGAGCAGCAGGCAGCGGUGCCAGCGUACGACUCUUUUAAAAUAGGCUUUCGUCCCGCUUUAUAGACAAAGCAAUCAUCAUGUCCAUACAAAAAGGUAUCAAAUCAUCAAGAAAAAAUAGUUGGCAUCAGCACGAGCACGCCCAAAGGAAGCUUAAGAGAAGGUGCGUCUGUGCCUGGCUGCGUGGGCGGUCGGGUUGGGGGAGAAGCUGGAAAUGUGCGAUGCUGAACAGGUGCCCGGGCCUGCAAGUUUAGUGCCUGUACGGCUGUACCCCAGGCAAGAUUAAAAUUUCACAUAGUUUACUAGUACUGAAUUCUUCUGACGCCUCCGGUUGUGGCCUUCGUUGCCCGGGGCGUACGCGUAGCUUCAUGCAAUCAGUGUAUGCAUCAAGAUAAAAUGGAUCGAAGUGUUUAUAGUAGAGGUAGUUUUUGGUUGUUCCGAGUAAUUAUUUAGAAAAAUAAUGCUCUUAUAUUUCUUUACAGAGGGAGUAUGUCGUUAUAUUUGUAUCCACCCAUUCCUCAUCUACGGCGGCGUGUCGAGAACUCAGAUAAGUUGGACGGACAUUUUAGGACCGGAGGAGAUGACCCAAGCUCUGAGCUGGUGUCCGCCGACGUCAUUUCUGAGAGCCUGUGCUUGAUCAAGGUGUGGCAAUAUCAGCUGCGUGGCAGCUCUGGCUGGUAUGAUUCCGACACUUGCAAGUAUAUCCGAUGAUAUUCACCUAAGAGGCUAAGAGUGCAAUUUUCCUUUUUCUUGGCUUCCAAAGAAAAGAGAUAUUCUUAUUCUGGUUCGAUGAACUCUGGAAAAUAAAGUUUCAGUGAUCAAUCUGAUGCACGAUUGAGAGAAAAAGUAAUAUAGUUUUCAGUUCAACAGAGAUGAUCAAGACAGAGCAUCUGCAGACUGCAAUACAGCUAGAAGUUCAAAAUGUUAUGAUCAAGACAGAGCAUCUGCUCAUCGGAAAAAAAAAAGACAGAGCAUCUGCAGACAAAAUCUUGAAGAAUCACUUCAUGGAACUGUUAGAGGGAAUCCCAGGUUAUGACGUUACUAUGGAUCAUGCUUUCAGAUUAAAGUCUUUUUCUUGCUCAAUAUUUUUCCUUAAUUUCAGAUGUGGUUAAAUUCCAGAUGUUUCCUUCUCAGACUAAUAAGGAAGAGUUCAGUACGAGAAUUCUGUGUGCUUUUGCUAGACAAUGACAAGUGCGCUACAAAUUUCAUUGAUGUUCUGAGAGACACUCGAUGGAUACAUGGCAAAUGUUUAGUAGGCGAGCCGGCAAAGCAUGUGUAGGAAAUAGCGAGAAGCGUAGUACCCUGUUGAGGACGACGGAUGCGUGUUUAUAUAGCCAGGAUAUGCAUACAAGUUGGUUAGGAUUACAAGAGAUAAGAAGAUAACAGGGAGUCGGUUUACAUGAGAUAAACAUAACUACAACCGAAUCAUCUAUUCUAUACUUGACAUGUAAGUAUCCUACAUGUACACGCACUCGUACACGCAUACUAGUGGGGACAGGGCCUUUAAUCCCGGUUCACCAACUGGGACUAAAGGGGCGUUCCAAGCCGGGACCAAAGGUGCUCCACGUGACCGCCUCAGAGGGAGUACCUUUAGUCCCGGUUCUACUUACGAACCGGGACUAAAGAAUCCGUCUGUUUUUUUGUUUGUUUGACCCGAAAAGGUAGAUUUUUUUUAAUUUUUUUCAAAUUUUAAUUUUGAAUAUUUUUUAUGUUUUAUUCCAAUUUUUUAAUCUUUGAAUUAUUUGACAAUUUAAUCUCUAAUCACCCAUCCUCACUGCUCUAGCGUGGAUCACUCAUUUCAAAUCGUCUAACUUCCCGGCCGAUCACCCAUCCUUUCACUGCUUCAGCCCGAGCACGCUUAACAUUCUGGUUCUAUCGCCCCUAGUUGCCAAGUGUGCACUUGUUGUUUUCCUGACAAUAAUAAGUUAUCAAUCCUAGACAACUUCGGUCUUGAUGUCAUGUCACAUGAUUUAAUUUUUUGAAUUACAAACAAUUAUUAAAAUAAACUUAAUAAGUAACAAUAAUAGUGAAUUUCAAUGAAAACAACCUAAUAUUUUUAAAUAAAAUUAUUUUUCUUUUUUUUGGAAAAAACUUCUUUUUGAAAUAACUUUUUUUCCAUUUGGAAUUUUGAGCAUGUGAGAAAACUUCACCGGGCAAGCCCGGGUGAAAUCGAGUACCAAUUUUUUCUAUUUUUUUUAUAUAUUAAUUUUUUUUACGUCGUAUGCAAAAGUUAUGACCAUUUAUUUUUUUCCUUUUUUUUGCAAAAACGGUCAAAAUUCAUAUCUCAAAAUUUAUAUACCGACUAGACACUAAAACCUAACAACAUCUCAAAGGAUUUAUUUUUUGAAGAUUUUUUUCAUUUUUGUUUAUUUUUUGAAGAUUUUNNNNNNNNNNNNNNNNNNNNNNNNNNNNNNNNNNNNNNNNNNNNNNNNNNNNNNNNNNNNNNNNNNNNNNNNNNNNNNNNNNNNNNNNNNNNNNNNNNNNNNNNNNNNNNNNNNNNNNNNNNNNNNNNNNNNNNNNNNNNNNNNNNNNNNNNNNNNNNNNNUUAUUUUCUACAAAACUCAAAGUAUCAAGGUUUCAGACGAAAACCCAUCUGCUACAAAGGCAUUUUUUUUAAAUUAAUUGAAUUGUAGAUUUUUUUUGUGCAUUAAAUAUGCACCAUACUACAACAUGUUAAAAUCUACAGAAAGUACUAACUAAAAAUAAUAAAAAAAACAACAAUUAAAUGACUAAAACAACUAUAUAAGCAAAACAAUAUUUCCUUAAUUAAAAUAAUAAUUUAAAUUAUUCUAAAAAUAACCAAAUAAAUCUUACUGUGAAAACAAUCUAACAGAUGAGUGGGAGCAAAAAGAAUUAAAUUAAAAACUAUUUGUAAACUCAAGUUAUUCAAAAACUGGGUUUGAAGCAAAUUUAAACAAAUUCAAAUUUAAACCAUUCAAAUUUGAAAAAUAAUGGCACAAACAGAAGCUAGACAAAAUUUUGAAUCUAAUGCAAAAAGAAUCAAUCAAAAACAUCAAAUAUCCUAAAAGAUAUAAGCAAUUUAAAACAGAAACUAGAAACAAAAAUUUAAAAACAGAAAAAAAAAUCUGAACACCUUUAGUCCCGGUUCCUGUCACGAACCGGGACUAAAGGUCUACCCUUUAGUCCCCGUUCAAGACACCAACCGGGACUAAAUCCUCCAAACCCUUUAGUCCCGGUUCGAGACACGAACCGGGACUAAAGGUCCAAAACACGAACCGGGACUAAAUCCUCCAAAUCGAACCGGGACUAAAGGACCCAUUUGAACUGGGACUAAUGCCCGAUCGGCGCCUUUGCCGCUCGAACCGGGACUAAUACUAACAUUAGUCCCGGUUCGUAAAGGAACUGGGACUAAUGUGUUUUUCGAGCUGGGACGAAAGCCCUUAUUUCUACUAGUGGCACAUCUGUUUAACAUCCUCCCUUAAUCACAACUUGGUCAAGUUAAGAUUAUGAUACGUCUCAAACGUAUCUAUAAUUUUUAAUGGUUUCAUGUUGUUAUCUUGUCAUCUUUGAAUGUUUUAUGUACCUUUUAUAUCUUUUUUGGGACUAACUUAUUAAUUCAGUGCCAAGUGCGAGUUCCUGUUUUUUCUAUGUUUUUGGCUCUUUUCAGAUCUGAUUUUGGAACGGAGUCCAAACGGAAUAAAAUCCCCGAAAUGAUUUUUUUCCGAACGAAAGAAGAUCAGGGGGCCUGUGGGCCAAACCAGGAGGGCUCCAGGGAUCCCACAAGCCCCCACUCCGCCACCAGGGGGAGGCGGCGGUGGCAGGGCUUGUGGCCUCCCUCAGCGCCCCCUAACCUAGAUCUUUGGCCUAUAUAUUCCUUAAAAUACAGCAAAAAAUCAGGGGAUCCACGAAAAUAUUUUUCCGCCGCCGCAAUCUUCCGUUUCCGCGAGAUCUCAUCUGGAGACCCUUCCCGGCGCCCUGCCGCAGGGGACUUUGGAGUUGGACGGCUUCUUCAUCAUCAUCAUCACCCCUCCAAUGACUCGUGAGUAGUUCACUUCAGACCUACGGGUCCGUAGUUAGUAGCUAGAUGACUUCUUCUCUCUCUUGGAUCUUCAAUACAAAGUUCUCCAUGAUCUUCAUGGACAUCUAUCCGAUGUAAUCUUCUUUGGCGGCGUGUUUAUCGAGAUCCGAUGAAUUNGCAUGCUGGAUAGCGGUAGACGUGUGGAGUAACAGUAGUAGAUGCAGACAGUAUCGAUCUACUUGUUUUGGACGUGAUGCCUAUAGAUAUAAUCAUUGCCAUAGAUACCGUCACGACUUUGCGCGGUUCUAUCAAUUGCUCGACAGUAAUGUGUUCACCCACCGUCUACUUGCUUUCAUGAGAGAAGCCACUAGUAAACACUACGGCCCCCGGGUCUAUUCACAUCUAUCGUUUCCACUUUUGCUUUUACUUUGCUUUGUUACUUUGUUGCUUUUAGUGCUCACUUGGCGAACAAUCUAUAAGGGAUUGACAACCCCUUCAUAGCGUUGGGAGCAAGCUUUUUGUGUUUGUGCAGGAUCUAGUGAUACUCCUCCACUAGAUCGAUACCUUGGUUCUCAAACUGAGGGAAAUACUUACCACCGAUGUGUUACAUCACCCUUUACGCUUUGAGGGAACACCAACGCAAGGCUCCAAUGCCAUGGGGGAAAUCCUUUGCAUAUUUGCCUAGGAAGUCCCUUAAGGCGUAGCCGUAGCAGAAGGAUUCCUGGUGCCGUCGACACGACUAUUCCUGGCAUCGUUGCCAGGGAAGCACAGCCGACAUCAGAAGUAUUUCGGGAGCCGUUGCCGGGGAGGAGAGAUCAAGAUCUAUCCAAGUAGGUCUCACAAACUCAUCUCUUGCAUUUACUUUUGUUGCCAGUUGCCUCUCGUUUUCCUCUCCCCCACUUCACAUUUGCCGUUUUCAUUUGCCUUUCUCCUUUGCCUCUUUCGUUCGCCCUUUUCUCUCGUUUGCUUUCUGUUCGCUCGUGUGCCAUGUGCCUUCAUUAUGCUUGCAUCUUCGCUUGCUGAAAAUCUAUUGAUAUGGAUCCUCAUCCACUAGCUAAUCUCUUUAAGAGACCCACUUAUGUGGAACGAAUUGCUAGUGAGUUGAGGGCACUUGACUAUCUUUAUGGAGUUUUGCUUGAGAUGCGUGAAUCUGAGAAUCGUGAUGAAGAAACUUAUGAAGUGAUUCACGAGAGCUCCUUGGAUGAAAAUCAUGAUUGCAAUGGUUUCACUAUAAAUUCUAUUAGUGACAAUCAUGCUAAGAAUAUGCAAAAUCCUAAGCUUGGCGAUGCUAGUUUUGCUUUGUCCACUACUUGUUGCAAUAAUCAUGAUUGGGGUGAUGAUCUUUUUUAUGAUCUUGAAAAUUUGUUCAAACCUCAUGAUGAAUAUUAUAUUUGCAACAAUAUUGAAAGUGGGAUUGGAGAAGUCAUGACUUUAGUUGAUGAUAAUCCCACUAUUUUUUAAGAGCGUCAACUUUGCAUGCAUGUGGAUCGUGAAAAGAAUAUCCUAUGGGAUAGCUAUAUUGUUGAAUUUGAAUAUGAUCCCACAUGUAAUUGCUAUGAGAGAGGAAAAUGUUGUGGUAGAAACCUUCAUGUUACCAAAUCACCUCUCGUGAUGUUGAUAUUGCUCUUGUCUUUUUCUUCUUCCUUGCAUAUGGCAGCUAUUGGUUGUCUUGACAAUUUGUUUUCCUAUAAAAUGCCUAUGCAUAGGAAGUAUGUUAGACUUAGAUGUGAUUUUCACAUGCUUUAGGAUGGUCUCGUUGUGCUUCAAUUCUUGUAUUUUGUGAGAGCAUCAUUGAAUGCCUAGCUAAGGGCGUUAAACAAAAGCGCUUGUUGGGAGGCAACCCAACGAAUCUAUCCUUUUUCUUUCUGUUUUGUGUUUUUCACACUUUCAUAAUUCUAUUAUGAUUGUGUUUUUUGUGUUUCUUUUUGCGUUUGUGCCAAGCAAAACCGUUAUGAUUAGUCUCGGGGAUGAUCGUUUGGUCAUGCUGGAAAAGACAGAAACUUUCUGCUCACGAAAAGAAUUUUCAUUUUUUUUUCUGUAAUAGUUUGAGUUGAUUCUUUUUGCUGCCGAUUGCUACGCAAAUUCUUCCGACUGUCGUAAUUUUUCAGAAUUUUUGAAGUACCAGAGGUAUACGAAAUAUAAAGAUUGCUACAGACUGGUCUGUUGUUAACAGAUUCUGUUUUUGUUGUGUUGGUUGCUUAUUUUGAUGAAACUAUGGAUAGUAUCGGGGGGUAUUAGCCAUGGAAGAUUGAAAAUACGGUAACCCAACAUCAGCACAAGUAGAAUGUAAGUUUGCUACAGUGCCUAAGGAAGUGGUGGUUUGCUUUCUCAUACUAAUGUUAUCACGAGUUUCUGUUUAAGUUUCGUGUUGUGAAGUUUUCAAGUUUUGCGUGAAGUUCUUAUGGACAAAGAGAUAAAGAGUGGCAAGAGAUCAAGCUCGGGGAUGCCCAAGGCACCCCAAGAGAUUCAAGGAUGUCGUAAAAGCCUAAGCUUAGGGAUGCCCCGGGAAGGCAUCCCCUCUCUCGUCUUCAAUCCAUCGGUAACGUUACUUGGGGCUAUAUUUUUAUUCACCACAUGUUAUGUGUUUUUGCUUGGAGCAUCUUGUAUCGCAUGAGUCUUUUAUUUUUGUUGUGUCACAGUCAUCCUUGUUGCACACCUAGAGAGAGAGACAUGCAUUCACUGUGAUUUUGUCGAGCUUCACUUAUAUCUUUUGGUAGACAAUUCAGCUCACAUGUGCUUCACUUAUAUCUUUUGAGCUAGAUACUUUAGCUCUAUGUGCUUCACUUAUAUCUUUUAGAGCGCAGCUCUGCGUGGCUUGGUAGUUGAUCUAUGCUUUGAAAGUAGUCUCAAAAGUGGUAGUUAUCCAAAGGGAUACGGAAACUUCCACCUUCAUGUGCAUUGAAUAGUUAGAGAAGUUUGAUUCAUCUCAUUUAGUUUUGAGUUGUGGUUAUGGUAAUAUUGAAGUCAUGCUAGUAAGGUGUUGUGGAUCUAGAAAUACUUGUGUUGAAGUUAGUGAUUCCCGUAGCAUGCACGUAUGGUGAACCGCUAUGUGAUGAAAUCUGAGGAUGAUUAGUCUAUUGAUUGUCAUCCUUUGCGUGGCGGUCGGGAUCGCGCGAUGAUUUAUACCUACCAACCCUUCUCCUAGGAGUAUGUGUUGAAUGCUUUGUUUCGAUUAGUAAUAAAACUUUUGCAACAAGUAUAUGAGUUCUUCAUGACUAAUGUUGAGUCCAUGGUUUAGAUGCACUUUCACCUUCCACCAUCACUAUCUUCUUAGUGAUGUGCAACUUUCGCCGGUGCACAAAACCCACCAUUAGCCUCCCUCAAAACAGCGUCCAUACCUACCUACUAUGGCUUUUUCAGAGUCAUUCCGAGAUAUAUUGCCAUGCAACUACCACCAUGACAUGUGCCACCACGUCUACAUUUCCAUUGCAUGAUCGUAAGAUAGCUAGCAUGAUGUUUCCAUUGAUGUCUAUGCCAUGCUAGAUCAUUGCCACGGUACACUACCGAAGGCAUUUCAUAUAGAGUCAUAGUUCCUCUAAGUUUUGAGUUGAAAGUGUAAUGAUCAUCAUUAAUGGAGCAUUGUCCCAUGUGAGGAAAUAAAGGAGGCCAAAGAAGCCCACCAAAAUAAAAAAAAGAGGCCAAAGAGCCCACCAAAAAUAAAAAAUAAAAAUGAGAGAAAAAGAGAGAAGGGACAAUGCUACCACUUUUUCCACACUUGUGCAUAUUAAGCACCAUGAUCUUCAUGAUUGAGAGUCUCUCGUUUUGUCACCAUCAUAUAGCUAGUGGGAAAUUUUCAUUUUAUAACUUGGCUUGUAUAUUCCAAUGAUAGGCUUCCUCAAAAUUGCCUUAGGUCUUCGUGAGCAAGCAAGUUGGAUGCACACCCACUAGUUUUCUAAGAGCUUUCACAUACUCUUAGCUCUAGUGCAUCAUUUGUAUGGCAAUCCUUACUCAUUCACAUUGAUAUCUAUUGAUGAGCAUCUCCACAGCUCAUUGAUAUGCCUAGUUAAUGUGACUAUCUUCUCCUUUUUUGCCUUGCAACCUCCACCACACUCCACACCAUCAAUAGUGCUAAAACCAUGGCUCAUGCUCAUGUAUUGCGUGAGAGUUGAAAAGGUUUGAGAAAGUAAAGGUGUGAAAUAAUUACUUGGCCAAUACCGGGGUUGUGCAUGAUUUAAAUUCGUUGCGCAAUGAUGAUAGAGCAUAGCCAGACUAUAUGCUUUUGUAGGGAUAACUUUCUUUUGGCCUUGUUAUUUUGAAAGUUCAUGAUUACCUUGCUAGUUUGCUUGAAUUAUUAUUGUUUCCACGUCAAUAGCAAACUAUUGUUUUGAAUCUAAUGGAUCUGAACAUUCACGUCACAUAAGAGGAGUUACAAAGGACAUCUAUGCUAGGUAGCAUGAAAGCAUCAAAAAUUCAUUCUUUAUCACUUCCCUACUCGAGGACGAGCAGGAGUUAAGCUUGGGGAUGCUUGAUACAUCUCAAACGUAUCUAUAAUUUUUUAUGGUUUCAUGUUGUUAUCUUGUCAUCUUUGGAUGUUUUAUGUACCUUUUAUAUCUUUUUUGGGACUAACUUAUUAAUUCAGUGCCAAGUGCCAGUUCCUGUUUUUUCUGUGUUUUUGGCUCUUUUCAGAUCUGAUUUUGGAACGGAGUCCAAACGGAAUAAAUUCCCCGAAAUGAUUUUUUUCGAACGGAAUAAGAUCAGGGGGCCUGUGGGCCAAGCCAGGAGGGCUCCAGGGAGCCCACAAGCCCCCACUCCGCCACCAGGGGAGGUGGCGGUGGCAGGGCUUGUGGCCUCCCUGAGCACCCCCUGACCUAGAUCUUUGGCCUAUAUAUAUUCUCUAAAAUACAGCAAAAAAUCAGGGGAUCCACGAAAAUACUUUUCCGCAGACGCAAGCUUCCGUUUCCGUGAGAUCUCAUCUGGAGACCCUUCCCGGCGCCCUGCCGGAGGGGACUUUGGAGUUGGAGGGCUUCUUCAUCAUCAUCAUCACCCCUCCAAUGACUCGUGAGUAGUUCACUUCAGACCUACGGGUCCGUAGUUAGUAGCUAGAUGACUUCUUCUCUCUCUUGGAUCUUCAAUACAAAAUUCUACAUGAUCUUCAUGGAGAUCUAUCCGAUGUAAUCUUCUUUGGCGGUGUGUUUGUCGAGAUCCGAUGAAUUGUGGAUUUGUGAUCAGAUUAUCUAUGAUAUAUAUUUGAGCCUUUGCUGAUUUUUUAUAUGCAUGAUUUGAUAUCCUUGUAAGUCUCUCCGAGUCUUGGGUUUUGUUUGGCCAACUAGAUCUAUGAUUCUUGCAAUGGGAGAAGUGCUUGGNNNNNNNNNNNNNNNNNNNNNNNNNNNNNNNNNNNNNNNNNNNNNNNNNNNNNNNNNNNNNNNNNNNNNNNNNNNNNNNNNNNNNNNNNNNNNNNNNNNNNNNNNNNNNNNNNNNNNNNNNNNNNNNNNNNNNNNNNNNNNNNNNNNNNNNNNNNNNNNNNNNNNNNNNNNNNNNNNNNNNNNNNNNNNNNNNNNNNNNNNNNNNNNNNNNNNNNNNNNNNNNNNNCAUCAAGGGUAACAAGAUGGGCUCUGUCGUUGAUAUGAGAUUGUCCAUCUACAUCAUGUCAUCUUGCUUAAGGCGUUACUCUGUUCUUUUGGACUUAAUACACUAGAUGCAUGCUGGAUAGCGGUCGACGUGUGGAGUAAUAGUAGUAGAUGCAGACAGUAUCGGUCUACUUGUUUUGGACGUGAUGCCUAUAGAUAUAAUCAUUGUCAUAGAUAUCGUGACGACUUUGUGCGGUUCUAUCAAUUGCUCGACAGUAAUUUGUUCACCCACAGUCUACUUGCUUUCAUGAGAGAAGCCACUAGUAAACACUACGACCCCCGGGUCUAUUCACAUCUAUCGUUUCCACUUUCGCUUUUACUUUGCUUUGUUACUUUGUUGCUUUCCAUUCUCACUUGGCGAACAAUCUAUAAGGGAUUGACAACCCCUUCAUAGCAUUGGGAGCAAGCUUUUUGUGUUUGUGCAGGAUCUUGUGAUACUCCUCCACUCGAUCGAUACCUUGGUUCUCAAACUGAGGGAAAUACUUACCACCGCUGUGCUACAUCACCCUUUCCGCUUCGAGGGAACAGCAACGCAAGGCUCCAAGGCCACGGGAGAAAUCCUUUGCAUAUUUGCCUAGGAAGUCCCUUAACGCGUAGCCGUAGCAGAAGGAUUCCUGGUGCCGUCGACAUGACUAUUCCUAGCGCCUUUGCCAGGGAAGCACAGCUGACAUCAGAUUACGCUUGAAUUCUUCAAAGCUUCGAGUGGGCAAUGCUUUUGUAAAGCCAUCUGCAAUCUGAUCGCUGGAAUGUAUCAAGUGAAUGUUCAAUUUCUAAUUGGCAACUCGUUCCAUGAUAAAUGGAAAUCAAUCUCUAUAUGUUUUGUUCUGGCAUGAAAAACUGGAUUAGCAGAUAGAUAAGUGACACCAAAAUUGUCACCCCAUAAACACGGGGCUUGAGUGAGUCUAACACCAAGCUCCCUGAGUAAACACUGAACCUAAAUAAUUUCAGCUGUAGGAUUUGCCAAAGCUUUAUACUCUGCAUCUAUGCUUGACAUAGAUAUUGUUGAUUGUUUCUUUGCACACCAAGAGAUAAGGUUAGGUCCAAAGGAUACAGCAAAACCACUUGUUGAACGUCGGUCAUCCACACAUCCUGCCCAGUCUGAAUCAGAAAAUGCACUUAGUAGAGUAGAUGGAGAUUUACUGAAUGUAAGACCCGUGCUCAAGGUAUUUUUCACAUAUCUAACUAUACGUUUAGCAGCAGUCCAAUGAACAGUGGUAGGUUCAUGAAGAAACUGGCCGACUUUGUUCACGGCAAAUGAAAUAUCUGGACUCGUAAGAGUGAGGUACUGUAGGGCACCUACUAGACUUCUAUAGUUAGUGCUAUCUUCUUGAUUCAAGAGAUUACCUUAAGUGAGAGACAAUUUUUCAGAGCUAGAUAAUGGUGUUGGUGACGGUUUGCAUCCCUCUAAUCCAACUCUCCUUACCAAAUUUGCAGCCUAUUUUUCCUGCAAAAGAUGGAGAUCAUCUCCAUCGUUCUUCACCUCAAUGCCCAAAAAGAAAUGCAAGUCUCCUAUAUCUUUCAAAGAAAACUCAGCUUUCAAGUCUUUCAGAAGUCAUGCAACUCCCUCAUUAAUGAACUAGUGACAAUGAUGUCAUCAACAUAAAUAAGCACAAAUAUUGAUGUAUUUGACUUAUUAUAAAUAAACAGUGAAGUAUCAGACUUAGAGGGAGCGAAUUCAAGUGCUUGCGGUUUGUGACUGAGGCGUGAGUACCAAGCUCUAGGGGCUUGUUUCAAGCCAUAUAUAGCUUUAUCAAGCUUGCACACAUGAUGAGGUGAAUUUUUAUCUUCAAACCCAGGAGGUUGUUUCAUGUACACAUCCUCUUCCAGAACAUCAUGAAGAAACGCAUUCUGCACAUCUAGUUGUUUAAGACUCCAUCCCCUGGAAACAACAAUAGAUAAAACAAGGCGAAUGGUUGUAGCUUUUACAACAGGAGCCUUGUAGCGAUCUAUAGUUCCAUCAAACUUUCUUUUGAUACUGAAAACCCACUUGCAAUCAAUCAAAUCAUUACCUUGCUAUGGGGGAACUAGAUGCCAAGUUUUGUUUUUCUGAAGGGCCAUGUGUUCUUCCUCCAUUGCAUGUUUCCAUCGAGUAUUCUCAAAAGCCUCUUGAAGUGUGCGAGGUUCACCUCUGGGACAUGCCAGGCCAAAUUUUGUAAUAUGUUUGUAAUUAACAGCCUUGAUUACCCCUUUUUCGAGACGUGUUCAUGGCGGCGAGAGCAUAGGUUCACCCCCUGCAGCACCAAGUCCCAGGCCUCGCGAAGCAGGAGUCUCUGUGAUAGGAGUGCUUGGGGUUGGUGAUGAAUCUAGCACAGGCGCAGACGAUCUUGGAGCAGAUCCCAGUGAAUCAUGUCAGACCGGAUCCUCCUCUGGUAGGGCGCCUUCAUCAGACACACGACCGGCGGAUGGAUGCAUGCGGCGCCUGGUGUAGAAGCAGUUCAUCUCGGCUGGCCAGCGAGCCAGAGAAGACCGUGUGGCCGCAGGUUGUUCGCCCGACGCUGAUCCAGACGCUGCAGGAGACGGAGACUCCCAUGCGUCCUCGCCUGAUGGGCUAGCGGUGACUCCGGAGGGGGGAGCGGGAGCGGAUCCCGACGCGCAGUCAGGCUGCUGUCGCUCCGAUCCCAAGGGAGAUUUGCUCCCUGUUAGGGAGCACAUAAAAUGUAGCUCAUUCUCUGCAUUGCUUUGCACUAUUCCUUAUGGAUUUUUUUUCUGCAUCACCAUAAUUCUCAUGUAGACUCGUAAGAGGGUUAGUCAACAUUGAGUCAUCACAAUUAUUUUCCCCGGGUAGAAGAAGAAUUUCUUGACGAAGUAGUGCUCCACGUUUGGGUUUAGAUCAAGGAAGGGAAAUUUGGUUUCAUCAAAGACUACAUCUCGAGAGAUAUAGACCCUACCAGUGGAAACAUCAAGGAAUUUGACACCUCUAUGCUGAGUACUAUACCCAAUGAAGACACAUUGUUUAAAGUGGAACAUGAGCUUGCGAUUGUUAAAUGGUCUAAGAUUCGGCCAACAGGCGCAACCAAAGACAUGAAGUGAGUUUGUAUUCAGGUUUGAUAUGGAGAAGUUUUUCUGUGGGAGUUUCAUAGUUGAUAACUCGACUAGGCAUAAUAUUUAUGAGAUGCACGGUAGCGAGAAUGCUUCAUCCUAGAAUUUUAGUGGCAUGGAUGCUCGUGCAAGUAGGGCAAGCCCUACCUCAACAAUGUGUCUAUGCUUGUGCUCAGCAGACCCAUUUUGUUGAUGGGCAUGUGGGCAAGAGACAUGAUGAGAUAUGCCUAGUUUAUGGAAGAAGGAAUUUAAUUUCUCAUAUUCCCCUCCCAAGUUGGAUUGGACAACAAUAAUCUUUCUAUCAAAUUUGCGUUCAAGGAGUGGUUGAAAGUUUUGAAAUACUUGAAAUACAUCAGAUUGUUUCUUUGAGAAGAUAGAUCCAUGAGUAUUUACUAAAGUCAUCAAUGAAACUGACGUAAUAAGUCUGUCUACUAACAGAAGAGGGUGCAGGGCCCCAAACAUCAGAAAAGAUAAGUUGCAAUGGUUUAGUAGAAACACUUGUAGAAAUAGGAUAUGGUAAUUGAUGGCUCUUGGCCUUUUUACACGAAUCACAAAUUGUUUCAUGAUUAUGCUCUUCAACAAAUGAGAGCUUAUUUUUCCUAAGCACUCACUGAAAUAAAGAAAAAGAUGCAUGCCCUAAACGAUCAUACCACCUUGUGGAAGACAAUUUGGUGACACCACAUGCGCGCUUAUUGAACCUCCUAAGCUCGGGAAUCAAUGGGUAGAGCCCUCGAAUGCAUCUACCUCGAUACAGAAUUUUCUUCGUGACCAGAUCCUUGAUCAAAAAGAAAACGGGUGAAACUCGAGAAAUACAUGAUUUUCAAUUGCAAUGCGAUGAACAGAAAGGAGAUUCAUUGAAGCUUUAGGAACAUGCAAGAUUUUUCUGAGAUUAAUAUUUCGAUGAGGGGUUUUAAUAAUUGAGUGACCAAUGUGACGGAUCCUCAUACCUUCUCCAUUGGAAGUAUGAAUUUGGUCUUGGACGCGGUACUUCUCCCACAUGGUUACUUUCUCUAGCUCACCGGUGAUGUGAUUAGUUGCACCGCUAUCCACAUACCAGUUUGUCUCGACCCCAUAAGAGGCAUCAGCUCUCCCGGCGACCUUGUCGUCCUGAGAUGAAUCACCAUCGUCAUCAAAGCAGUACCAAUAGUCUUUAGCAGAGUGCCCCGGUUUGCCAAAAAUCUGGCACCGGAUGGCAUCUUGGCGAGACUUGUUUUUGUUGGAGUUACGUCGGCACUUAGUGUUGGUGUAUGAGGGUCUGUCGCUGCUGGCGCCACAGGCUUUCUGCCGUCGCGGUUGUUGUUGUCGCUCGCGUUCUUCCCUUUGCGUGGCGGCUCGCGUUAGCGAGAGUUGCCACCACCACCUCUGCCACGGCCACACGAGGCAGCAUUGGCAGAGGAUUUGAAGCCGCUGCCGGAGCUUGUUCCCUGGAAGAGCGCGACACGCUGGUCGAAGUUGCUCAUCUCAGCGUAGAGCUCGUCGAGGGAGACGGGCGUCGUGCGCGCGUUGAGGACGGAGACGAGCGGCUGGUACUCCAUGUCGAGCCCCGCGAGGAUGUACGGGAUCAACUCGUCAUCAGGGAGAGGUUUCUCCGCCACGGCAAGCUCCCUGGCGAGUGAGCGCAUAUGAGCGAAGUUCGCAACCACGUCUGCAUCCCCUUCGACGCGUUGGCCAGAGAGAUGCGGAUGUUGUUUACCUUAGACAAUGACUGGGAGGAUAACAUGUUCGCAGUGCUGUCCAAAGCUCAUGCGCAUGGGAGAUCUAUGUGACCCGCACUAGAACUUCUUUAGAUAAAUUGUUCAACAGGUAACCGAGUACCUGUUGAUCCUCUCGAAUCCAGACGGAGUGGAGAGAGUUGAUGAUGGAAGUGUCCUUCCCAUCCUUGUCCUUGGUGACAACCUCCUUUGCCGGCUCCGGUGUGGUUCCAUCCACAUACGCGAAGUAGGUGGCGCCUUUGAGCUGUGGCACGAUCUGAGCGCGCCAAAGGAUGUAAUUCGCUCAGGUGAGCCGCUCGGUGACUUGGCCAGAGAAGCUGGAGUUUGCGGCAGCAGAGGUGGCCAUGGUAGCUAGCUAGCAUGGGAAGGAUAAACGAACCCUAGAUGUGAUGGAAGGGAUAGGCUCUGAUACCAUGUAGGAAAUAGCAAGAAGCGUCGUACCCUGUUGAGGGCGAUGGGUGCGUGUUUAUACCCUGGGAUAUGCAUACAAGUUGGUUGGGAUUACAAGAGAUAAAAAGAUAAGAGGGAGUCGGUCUACAGAAGAUAAACACAACUACAACCGAACCAUCUAUUUUUUACUUGACCUAGAAUAUCAUACCUGUACACGCACUCAUACACACACAUAUGUUUAAGAGCAUGCACUCGGAGAAAGUUGACUGCAUACAUCGGAUUCAAAACCACCACCAUUGCUAAAUCAUUUCAGCAGCAAGGUCGACCGGUAGAAGUCUGUCGGCAGUGGCCUAGUUAUCUCAGAACGUACCAAGGUUGUCAUAGAGUGUCACUUGAACGAUUUUAGGGGCGGUCAAGUGCUACUGGAUAGCAGGGCAUGCCUGAUGACUUUCUAGAAUACACAUGAACCCCGCAAAUGCAAAUUGGCGGUGGAUUUAUGUCUGGCUUUUCAAAACCUCCUCCCCUAUUCAGUCAAUCCAUGGUUUUCAAUUUCAGUUUAGACAAAAUUUCAGCAACAACCGAAAUUACCGAAAUUCAGUGAAAUCCAGUAAUUUCAGUUUGCAUUUCGGUCAAAGGGCCGAAAUAUUCACUUGAAUUUCAUUAAAUAUUUAAAAUACUUAAAAAAUAUUUGAUUUCCAGUGUACUACUGAAUCUGUUGAAAUAUAUUGGCCGAAACGUAAUACUUCAGUGUGUACUGAAAUUAAUGAAACUCAAUGAGUUUCAAUGAUAUCUCACUGAAAGUGAAAACCAUGGGUCAAUCUAUAUAUUGUUAGUACAACCUACAACCUCCACUGUAUCUACUUUUGAAAUACAAACCGAGUCUAUUGCAUGAGCUGAAAUUUUGAUAGGAGAUGAAGACUGUGUUAACAUCAUUCUGUAUACUGAACAAUUUCCGAGAAUGAACAUUUGGGACCUUCCAUAUACUACAGGUACUAUCUUGGUUGAUUCAGGGAACUCCAUUGCAUUUCCGACUGGCUGAUCUAGACACCACUGCUGCUGUUGGAUUAAUUCUUGGUGCAAUGCUUGCAUUAUGGUCACGCAGUUCCUGAAUAGUCUGUGAUUGACUCCCUCAUGCAACUCUUGCAUAAGGCACAUGCUAUUUACUGUUACUCCUCAUGAGUUGCAACAUUCAGUCACACUUGAUGUGCUGUUGGUUUAACUAAACCUUAGUGGUGCUCCGUCCCGUUAUAUACCCUUAUACCAUUUACUCAUUUUGUCUAUGCAUUUCUUUCAUUGAUCGUUGGCUUAUGUAUCUUACAAGUGAGAUGAGAGUCUAGAAGAAACUGAAAAAAGAUGAGUGUUGGAAGGAGCCAAGGACAUAUGAUCGACGGACACAUAUUAUGUGCAGAAGGAAAGAGAUGCAGAGACAGAGGAGGGCCAUGGCCGAUGCCACACUGUACUCCCCAUAGCAUAGGUACACUACCGAGUACAAAGGCAUCGAUCUCCAUCGCAAAGAGUAUUAGAGUUAUACUGACGAUGGUCUUUGUCCUUUUGUAUUUUGGCAUCCUCAUGUACAUUAUAUAUACUAGCACAAAUGCCCGUGCGUUGCAACGGGAGAAAAUUUUGACGCGCAUUAAAAUUUUGUGGAAAUUAUGAAAUCUCGAUCUUUUCACAAAUGUGUUUUGAGUGCCACUUCUUAUGUCCAACUCUGACAAAUUAUGUAUCAAUAUGGAUAGAAGAAGGAAAUAAUUCUAAAAACAUUUCGUGCACCUCAUAUUUUUUUCCUAUUCUUCCCUUCACGAGUAGCGGCUAUUUAAAAAAGUCACAAAUAGGGUUACUCUUAUUUGUAGUGAUAGUAUAAAAACAAUUUUAUUGCCGUCAUGUUUACCAGAGUUUCGGUAAAAGAACAAAAAGAAAAAUAGCUAGAAUGAAGAAAAGGGAGAAAAAAUGUGGAACUUGCAAAAAAUGUUAAUUCCUUCACUUCAAAACUAUUCUAUCAAUGCAAUUAAUUUUUUGUUAAAAAUCAGAUUAUUAACAUAAAUUUUCAAGCUUGGAAAUAAAAUAAAAUAACUCAACAUUCUCAGUGAUUAAUUUGAGCACCUCUCUCGCAUGCGUCUAUCGUUCUCCCCUCGCUCAUAAGCAUGCCGCUGAAUGAAACAUGGAAGAACUAUAACUGAGCUUCUCUUUAAUAAUAAUCAAGGAUAAAAGAAACAUUAUCAAUAGAGCUUAGUUUGAUGGUAGAAACUUUUAUCCUGUUGAAAACAGCAUGCAACGUGCGUGCAUAGCCAUGAAAAGUCUCUCACAAGUCACAAUCCUGCCAUGCUGCUUUGAAUGAACCCUGAAAUCAGCUGUCCAUAAUUCUGCUUUAUGUAGGUGUUUUUUUUUUUUGCCGCCAACUAAAUCUAGUUUUCCAAGUUCCUGCAUAAAAUUCGGCCAUAAAAACUCCCACAGUCUUGCUUUAAUUAGGAGUCAAUUAGUCAUGUACUAUGUCCUAUUGAGGACGACAUGCAGCGGCUUUCAAUGAACCAUGAAAUUAACCGUCCAUAAUCCCGCUUUAAGUACGAGUCAUUUUUUAUGGCUCCCAAAUUCCAGCUUUGAAUUAGGCUAGAAAUCCCCCCACAAUCCUGCUUCAAUAUUGAGUCAAUUAGCUACACAUCCCCUCAUUUAUUGAAUUAUUGGCAUGUGCAGCACGGACAUAGCUUUGAGAUUUGAUUUCUUUGUUUAUGUACGAAUUUGUUUCCUUGAAUUAAGGGGUUGUUUCCCUAAGAUUAAUGGGACCCACAUGUCUUUCUCUUUUUGUUGAUUUUGAUGGCUUCCUAUUGACAUAAAAAAAACUGGUGAAAUUUCGAAUAAAGGGAACGGGGUGGUGCAAUUUAAUUCCUAGACGGAUCCGAUUUUCAAACAAUAGCACGAGCUAAAUGAGUUGGUUGCAUACUUGGUAUGUAACAUAGAGGUCAUUAAUUUGAACCAUCAUCGGUACAUAUUUUUGGUUGCUCACAAUUUUUAACGGGCUGCACGUGGCCCAUGCAAUAAAAUCAGAAAUUGGUUUUUUUUUUUGCAAAGCUGGCCCAGAUCGGCUGCAGGGGACAGGUGCCGGAUGGAAUUUUACGUACGUGGAUUGCUGCUAGAUUGGAAAAAGUUUAGUGUGUUUCAUAAAAAUUGUGAUUAGUAAAUGUAUUUCUGGGAAUCAUGCCCAUGCGUUGCAACGGGUAAUAAAAUUUCUCCUUGCCAAUCAAAACACUAAAAAAUAUUUCCUGUAAUGAUUAUAAAUAGGUAUUAUACCAGAGAAAGCAGUAUGUUGUCUCGACCCCUUCAUAGUUGUUUCCACCCCAUCCGAUGCAAUGUUCCUAGGCAUCAUUGCAGGCAAAAGCGGCGCCGUUUUCUGAUGCCAUCGGUGCUCGAAGCAAUACUGCAGGAAGACUCGCUAUCACGACAUGUGUUGGUCAAGCCGAAGUAUAUUGAUGUCAAUCAUUCAUGGUGACGAAGAAACAACCUCUCGUAAUAGUCUGAAAUAUCGGUCAUACACAAUUGUUUGUCUGCCUCUAUGUGAAGUGUCUUAUUUAAUAGUAUCAAUCCAAUAAGCUAUUGUCUUAUUUAGUAGGAUCAAUCCAACAUGUUUCUUUAUGUUUGUACAUGUACCAAGGGAUCUGCUAUAACCACCAUCAUAUAGUGCAGAGCAGGGAAGAAGAAAGCACCAAAAGUUGCAUGGUCUUGCUAGGCCUGAGGCGGGAUGUCUACAAAGAAAAGCCCAGACCAAAGGCUAAAGUGUUGGCAUGUGCUUAAUAAACAGUGAAAGAGAGAGCAGCUACAUGUAGUUUCUACACGCCGGAGCAAAUGUUUCUGGCAUGAACAGUAAAACCACUCAAAAAUUUCUGAAAUUCUUUUGUGGCUUACUUACACAAAUGUUUGUUGCGCGUGCAAAAGUUUAUCGCAAAAUCAUAUUGUCGGAAGGCGUGGUAAAAAAACAAACUCGAUGCUUUGAAAAUGUUACUUACAAAAGCAUUUUGGAGCUCCUAUUUUUUUAGUCCUCGGGAUGAACCUGUGAAAUACUCCAAUUGGAACCUUCAAUUUGAUGUAGCUCGUUUGUAUGCUGCAUCCAUAGUGCAGGGAAGAACGUGGAAAGAUCGAUCAGGUUCGCACAUAUGUUUCUCUCCACCUACUAUUUUAUCUCUCUCCCGCUUUCUCCCUUGAAUAGCAACACAAAAGGCAGGAAUAGUAUUCACAACUUCAAAUGUCUGAAAUAGCACACAACAAAAUUCAUGUCAAUCACUGUCACUUUCACUUUUAUUCUCUCACUGAUUUUUUCUUUUCCUCGGACAAAAGUAGUAGAGAAAACAAAUCAAUCACUAGUAGAAAAAGGGGCUUCCGUCCCAGCUCAAUUUACACAUUAGUCCCGGUUCCAUUACGAACCGGGACUAAUGUUAGCAUUACUCCCGGUUCGAACGGCAAGGACGCCGGUCGGUCAUUAGUCCCGGUUCAAAAGGGACCUUUAGUCCCAGUUCGUGUCUCGAACCGGGACUAAAGGGUUUGGAGGCUUUAGUCCUGGUUCGUGUCUUGAACCGGGACUAAAGGGUAGACCUUUAGUCCCGGUUCGAGACACGAACCGGGACUAAAGGGGUUUUGUAUUUUUUUUUCCUGUUUUUAAAUUUUAUCUCUGUUUGUAGUUUCUGUUUUAAAUUGCUUAUAUCUUUUAGGAUAUUUAAAAAAAAUUGAGUGAUUCUUUUUGCAUUAGAUUCAAAAUUUUGUCUAGUUUCUGUUUGUGCAAUUAGUUUUUAAAUUUGAAUGGUUUAAAUUUGAAUAUGUUCAAAUUUGCUUCAAACCCAAAUUGUGAAUAACUUGAGUUUACAAAUAGUUUUUAAUUUAAUUCUUUUUUCUCCUAGUCAUCUGUUAGAUUGUUAUCACAAUAAGAUUUAUUUGGUUAUUUUUAGAAUAAUUUAAAUUUGGAUUUUAAUUAAAACAAUAUUGUUUUGCUUAUAUAGUUGUUUUAGUCAUUUAAUUGUUGUUUUUUAUUAUUUUUAGUUAGUACUUUCUGUAGAUUUUAACAUGUUAUAGUAUGGUGCAUAUUGAAUGCAUAAAAAGUAUGGAAUUAAAAUCAUUUUAAUAAAAUGCCUUUGUAGCAGAUGGGUUUUUGUCUGAAACCUUUAUACUUCGAAGGAUGAUCCAAUUUGUACAAGAAGUGCAUCCAGUUUUUAUCGUAACUCUUUCAACUUUUUAGCACAUGACAUGUGGGUGAAACUAUGAUACCAUGCCAACUUUCAACCUUUUCAGAGUUCAUUUGUAGUGCUUUUCAAUUUCAGGGUCAAUUACCUCAAAAAAUUAAGUAAAUGCAUGAAAAAUACCAAAUGAAGUCAGAAAAUAUUGAAAAUUUAUGAUGUGGCUUUAAAUGGUGUAUUUUAAACACACAAAAAGUAUGGACUUCAAAUAAGUUCAAAAAAAUGAAAUCCCUUUGCAAUAGAUGAGUUUUCAUUCGAAACCCUGAUACUUCGAAAGAGAUUGUUCAUUUUGUACACAAAGUGCAUCCAGUUUUUGACGUAACCCUCUCAACUUUUUAGCACAUGCUAUGUGGGAGAAAUGAUGAUACGAUGCCAAGUUUCAACCUUUUCAGAGUUCAUUUGUCGGGCUUUUCAAUUUCAAGGUCAUUUAGGUCAAAAAAUUAUUAAAUGCAUGAAAAAUAGCAAAUGAAGUUAUAAAGGGUCGAAAUUUAGGAUGUGGUUUUGAAUGGUUUAUAUUGAAUGCACAAAAUGCAUGAAAUGUAUGAAGUUUAAAUAAGUAAAAAAAAUAAAAUAUCUUUCUAGCAGAUGGGUUUUCGUCCGAAACCGUGAUACUUCGAAGGAGAUGGUCCAGUUUGUACACGAAGUGCAUCCAGUUUUUGUUGUAACCCUCUCAACUUUUUAGAACAAGCUAUGUGGAUGAAAUGAUGAUACCAUGCCAAGUUUCAACAUUUUCAGAGUUCAUUAUAGUUCUUUUCAAUUUCAGGGUCAUUUAGCUCAACAUAGCAAAUAAAGUUAGAAAGGGUUAACUCUCGCUUGGUUAACCUUAGUUGUGAUUCUGGCGGGGACGGUGCUAGCAAAUGUAGUCGACGGGUAUGAUUGGACUCUUGGCUAACGGGGGAUUCUGAAAUUUUCAAACUCUACCCUCCCUGGACCGUCUUUUUUAGUUUUGUAGAAAAUAAACAAAAAUGCUAAAAUCUUCAAAAAAUAAAAUCCUUUGAGAUGUAGUUAGGUUUUAGUGCCUAGUUGGUAUACAAAUUUUGAGAUAUGAAUUUUGACCUUUUUUCAAAAAAGGGAAAAAUGUAAAACGGCCAUAACUUUUGCAUACGACGUCAAAAAAAAAAUUAAUAUAUCAAAAAAAACUAGAGAAAAUUGGGAAUCGAUUUCACCGGGGCUUGCCCGGUGAAGUUUUCUCACAUGCUCAAAAUUCCAAAUGUCAAAAAAGUUAUGGCAAAAAGAAGUUUUUCCACAAAAAUAAGAAAAAAUAAUUUUAUUUAAAAUCUUUAGGUUGUUUUCAUUGAAAUUCACUAUUAUUAUUACUUAUUUUGUUUAUUUUAAUAAUUCUUUGAAUUCAAAAAAUUAAAUCAUGUGACAUGACAUCAAACCCUAGGUUGUUUAGGAUUGAUAGCUUACUAUUGUCAGAAGAACAGCAAGUGCAGACUUGGCAACUAGGGGCGAUAGAACCUGGAAGUUAAGCGUGCUCGGGCUGAAGCAGUGAAAGGAUAGGUGACUGGCCGAGAAGUUAGGCGAUUUGAAAUGAGUAAUCUACGCUAGAGCAGUGAGGAUGGGUGAUUAGAGAUUAAAUUGUCAAAUAAGUCAAAGAUUUAAAAAUUGAAAUAAAACAUAAAAAGAAAUCAAAGAAUAUUCAAAAAUAAAAUUUGAAAAAUAAAUAAAAAAGGUACCUUUUUGGGUCAAACAAACAAAAUAAACAGACGGAUCCUUUAGUCCCGGUCCGUGUUAAGACCCGGGACUAAAGGGCCUGCCCCUGAGGAUGCUCCGAGGCGCCCACGUGGAGCACCUUUGGUCCCGGCUUGGAACAGUAGGCCUUUAGUCCCGCCUCUUUGGUCCCGGUUGGUGUACCGGGACUAAAGCCCCUUUACGGACCGGGACUAUAGGCCCUGUCCCCACUAGUGAAUACAACUUCAGCAACAACAAAAAAUUGGAGGAAUCUCACUCUCGGAAUCGAACCUGAUGUAGUCUCUGGAUUCAGCCGGCCAUCGUGAUCUGUAGCGGCAUAACCGUCAUUUCGAGAACUUCACUUUUUCUAUUUUCUAGAAAGGUUUGAACGUGGCACUAAACCGGUAAAGGGGGAUCGGGGGAAGGUGAAAAGUUCAAGUUCAUUCCUCCCUCUAAUUCCAUCUCAGCCUAUCCGUAACGGCGCGUACAACACCAAGACCUUCGUCGUCAAGUGUCGUCUGCGACCUUACCUGGGCCUGGCGGCUGGGAGCCAUGAGGGUCCGAGCUCGCAUGCCGCCCUCUGCGAUGUAUUACGUCGUUGUUCUCGUCCGUCCGAGCUCAUGCAUGGGCGGUGAGUCCAGAUCUAACGUGACCGGCCAACCCGACACAUACUGGUGGGCGCCAUCAUCUUCCUCCAGGGAUGGUUCACCUACUACAUCCUCAUCUUGGUCGUGCUCGAGGAGGCAGAUCUGGCGCUGCACAUCCGCGCCCACCACGUCCUCCUCGCUGCCAUCCUAACCAUCGUCGUCGUAGUACUCCUCGUCCUCGCCCUCGCCCUCGAGGAAACCUUCGUCGUCCCCAUGGCCAUUCCACUCAGCCUCAUCGCUGUCGGGGAGCGGGAUGACGAGGUGGAGGCACGCCUGCUCGUAGGCGUGGAGCCUGUAGCGGACGCGCACGAGGUGGCGCACCGUCGUCGAUGAGGCCACGAAGGUGGUCGAUCUCGGCGGCCUUGAGCGCCAAAGAGGCGAAACUGGCGGAGCUCCAUCUGGACCUCAACCUUCUCCCUCUGUUGGCUGCGGUGAGGCGCUCCUCCUCCAUCCCGCCCUGCAGCAUCGUCGUGGUGGCCUUUACCGCCGCUAGGGCCUCCCACAGUGUCGCGGUCUCCUCCUCCGCCUCCAUCCAUGUCGCCCCCUCUUCCUCUCUGUCCCCGCCCCUCUUCUCCCCCUACCCGCCCCCGCCAAUCUUUUGCCCGUCCAGCCUCCACUUCAUGGAGCGCCGCCAUCAGACUGCCGCGGACGGGCGAGGAACAACACGAGAAGGUGAAUUACGCUAGGAUGGCCGGAGGUGGAGGAUGCCGGGAUAUGGGGGGCGGUGGAGAGAUGGGAUCCGGGGGGAGGGGGCGGCGUGCGGCGNNNNNNNNNNNNNNNNNNNNNNNNNNNNNNNNNNNNNNNNNNNNNNNNNNNNNNNNNNNNNNNNNNNNNNNNNNNNNNNNNNNNNNNNNNNNNNNNNNNNNNNNNNNNNNNNNNNNNNNNNNNNGGCGUGCGGCGGCGGGUUUGGAUCUGGAUUGGAUAGGGGGUGUUCCUGUUAAAAACGAAACGUUAUGUGAGUAAAAACAGGACUGUGGGUUAAUUAUCAUAAAUUAGGAGGGCUUUUUGCAAAAACGGCGGCGGCGGGUUUUCCGAGAGAAGCGAUAGCCUCUUUAUUAUUAGAUAAAUAUAUGAUGGCUUUGACCUCUUAAUUAAUACUUCUAGUAAUAUAUGUUGGAAAAAUCUAUCUAGAAGCGCCUGAACAUUCGGUGCGGCGGGUCAUGCAUGUAUGCAUGCAUGAUGUCAUUGGAUUAAUUCUAAACGAUCGGAAUUCAAAAACUUUUAUCUCUUAAACCGUUCAUUCGAUCGAUGAUCUGUUUUCGCCGUCGACUUUGUUUCGACGAAAUCUUCAAAACUAGAUCCCAUCUUGACAUGUUUCGACAACUUUUUUUUCUCGUAUUUACCAUAUUUGUUGCACUUACUUGUCAUAUUAGUAAGUACUUACUUGUCUGAUAAAAAAUAACUUAAUCGUCAUUUUCUUAAAAAUUGUGUAUAGAUAUAACAUCUCGACAUAAUCAAAAUGACAAGCACAAACAACUUUUUUUAGGAGAUUACGGACAAAAAUAUGACAACUCAACAUAUUUUAAACCGGUGAUCACAAAAAAUCUUUUUAAAUCAUCGUUUCUAAAUAUGACAGCUCGGCAUAGUUCAACUCACAUCACACAAAAUAGUUUUUUGAUAAAAUUGUAUGUAAACAUGAUAAGUUGGCAUAUUUAAAUUGGCAACACACAACCUAUGACAUCUUUUUAUAUUAUGUAUAAUAAAAACUGCUACAAAGCUUUGUACAAAACAGCAUUAAAAAGUGUCAAUCAAGUUAAUUUUCUCAUGCAAGUAAGUGGUUAAUAAUAUGGCAAGUCGGUCAAAAAAUUAUGGCAAGUAUGAAUAGAAAAUAAUAAUUGACAGAGCAUGUCGACAUGGGAUCUAGUUUCGAAGAACUCGUCGCGAGAAAGUCAAUGAUGAAAGCAGAUCAUCGAUUGAAUUAACGGUCUUGUAGAUAAAACUUUUUGAAUUUCAAACAUUAAUGAAAAUCUUUGUUGACUUCAUCCAUGCAUGCAUAGGAGAGAGAGGGGACUAGCCGCAUUAUGGCAAUACUUAGCUUACGUUUUAAGUGAUAACAAUACUUAGCUUAGUAGUAUUAAUAGAUCAUGCCUUUUUUAUUUUUCUUUAACCGCUUUGUACAUGUCAGGGUGGAGUUGCACUGCACGUAUACCGCUUCACUACAUAUGCAUGUGAUGCGAGCUGGCACAUGCAUCGAUACGGUCCACCGGCGCAUGCCAUUUUUGCAUGAGACAACUAGCUAGCGGCCGCCGUACGGGAGUGCUAAUUUACGGCGCCGCUAGGUAGUGCAGUCCAUAUAUGUUUCUUUUCUAAUAUGGUAUUAGAGUCCUAGGUUUUUUUUUCCGCGUGCAACUCCAGAUACAGCCGCGUGCUAUUCCCGAUCCAAUCUGCUAGCCGCCGUUGCUCUCUUUCCUGCCGGCCGUGAUUUUUGUUUUCGCCUAUGUCCAUCUCCAGAUACAGGCGCUUUAUGUCCAUGCUAGCUAGCUGAUACAUUGCUGUGUUGGAUCCUAACGAAUUGCGCCCAGAUCGAUCGAGCCACUGGCUGCUUUCCUCCAAGGUCGCCGCCGACCAUUUGUCUUCCUCCGCGACUGCCGGUCGCCGGGCUCGUCCGUGGCUCCGUGCCGCUGCUGCCUUCUGCAGCACCGUGGUUCCUACCUGCCGCUCAUUGCUGCAGAGACUCUUGCCGCACAUGGCGGGCGCACCACCUGGGCCAGCCCGGUUGGUUUUUUUGUUUCUGUUGCAAUGUUCUUUUUUUAUUUCAUUUUCCUCUUCUUUUUUGCAUUUUAAGCAUUCUUUUAAUUUGAAGAACAAUUUUAAAAAAUUGUGAACAAAUUUGGAAGCGUGAACAAUUUUUUAAAGCAUUAAUAGUUUUUAAAUCUUGAGAAUAAAAUUUUGAAAACCCCUAAAAAAUUUGUAAAAAUAAACAAUUUUUUCACACAAAUAUUUUUUGAAUUUUGAGAACAAAUUUUAUAACCAAAAACAAUUUUGAAAAAUCCGUCGAACAUUUGUUUUCGCCUAUGUCCAUCUCCAGAUACAGGCGCUUUAUGUCCAUGCGUGAAUUGUUUUUUGAAUCUUGAGAAUAUAAUUUUGAAAAGCAAAACAAUUUUUAAAACAGGAAUAUUUUUUGAAUUUUGAGAACACAUUUGGAAGCACGAGAACUUUUUGAAUAUUGAGAACCAAACUUUGAAAAGGAGUAAAAUUUUCAAAAACCCCGAACAGAUUUGAAAGCACGAACAAAUUUUUAAAUCACAAGUAUUUUUUGAACUUUGAGAACAAAUUUCAAAAUCGAGAACAACUUUGAAAAAAUCAUGAAUAAAUUUGCUAGCGCGAACAAUUUUUUAAAGCACAAACAUUUUUUGAAUCAUGAGAACAAAAUUUGGAAAAAGAGAACAAUUUUGAAAACCCUGAACAAAUUUGAAAUCACAAACAAAUUUAUAAAUCAUUAAAAAAUUGAACUUUCAGGAUAAAUAUUGAAAUCGAGAUCGAUUACGAAAAAUCGUGAAGAAAUUUGGAAGCGCGAACAUUUUUUUAAAGCACGGACAUUUUUUGAAUCUUGAGAACAAAAUUUUGAAAAUCGAACAGUUUUGAAAAACCCUGAACAAAUUAGAAAGUGCGAACAAAUUUUUAAAGCACGGAUAUUUUUUCAAUUUUGAGAAUAAAUUUUGAAACCGAGAAAUUUAUUGAAAGCGCGAACAAUUUUUUAAGUCACUAGCAUUUUAUAAAUCUUGAGAACAAAAUUUUGAAACGGAGAACAAAUUUGGAAGCACAAACAAAUUUUUAGAGCAUGAACAUUUUUUGAAUUUUUAGAACAAGUUUUCAAUCGAGAAGAUUUUUGAAUAAUUCUGAACCAAUUUAGAAGCCCCAAACAAUUUUCUAAAGCAUGCAGAUUUUUUAAAUCUUCAGAACAAAAAUUUAAAACGGUAAACAAUUUUAAAAAACAUCGAGCAAAUUUGGAAGCCUGAACAAUUUUUUAAAAUAGGAACAUUUUUUGAAUCUUGAGAACAAAUUUCGAAACCGGGAGCAAUUUUGAAAAUUCCUAAACAAAUUUGGAAGCGCGAACCAUUUUUUAAAGCACGAAUAUUUUUUAGUCUUGAGAACAAAAUUCUGAAAACGAGAACAAAUUUGUAUCUUUAGAACAAAUUUUGAAACUCAGAAUUUUUUUUCUAAAAUAUAGAACAUUUUUUUAAAUUGAUAACAUUUCUAAAAAUCCAUUUUUUUUUGAAAAUCCAGAAUAUUUUUUCAAACGGAAACAAAAAAAAUAAAGAAAAAUGAAAAAGAAAAAAACCUUGUUUAGGGAACCUUCUAGAAGUUUCCCAAAACCAAAAAAACUGGCUGGAAACCUCUACUACGUUCCGAAAACCGGGGCGCUGCAACCCCUCUAAAUGGGCCAGCCCAUUUGGAAUCGAUCCCCCUCCCGCUGUGUGCGAAGCCCCAACACCGCUUGGCACACAGCGGCAAAUAGGGUUUUCUCCUCGGAUGUUCGUCUGCUUGAUUGAUUCGAGUCGUCUCAGUUGUUAUGCUUCGUCUUGGGGCUUGGUUUUGGCUUGACGCCUGAUUCAUUUGGUUGUUAUGUGAUCAUUCUGCUAUUUCUUUCAUAAAAAGAGAGAGAGAGAGAGAGAGAAAGAGAAAAUAUGUUUUCGUCGGGCUUGUGUCUCCGUCGCUCCCCGCACACUUUCCAUAUAUUGAUCUGGUCUCACACAUGCAUCAUCGCUUGGUGCUUGCUGUCCGUCCGUGUACGACGUUGUUCCUUCCGAGUCUUUAACAAGGCUGUGUUGGUUGCUAUUCGACGACUCUUCUCACAACUUCUGCCUGCGAUGGUGGUGCCUGCUCUACGCCAACUCCUCUCGUGGCUUCCGUGCGCGUCGGUGACCGCUCUACGCCGACUCCUCUCAUGGCUUCCACGUGCGACGGUGACCGCUCUACAGCGACUUCCCUGAUGGCUUCCAUGCGUGGCAGUGACCGCCUCUACGCCGACUCAUCUUGCGGCUUCCACGCACGACGGUGUCCAUUCUAUGUCGACUUGCAUGGUGGCUUCCACAUGUGGCUCUACGUCGACCUCUUCCGCCCUGUCCCUCGCUGGGCAUGAGAUUGCACAGCUGCAAUGCCUGCUUGCUGCUUGGGAUUCUUCAUCGACAUGUUCUAUAGUUUCCGUGUCUCGCAUUUUUGGCACUGAGAAACCACCACCUACUCAUUCAGGUAUAUCCCCAUGGAUUCUUGAUACUGGAGUGUCUUUUCAUAUGAAUUAUGAUUCUUCCACUUUGACCUCAGUUCGACCUGCCGAGUCUCCUUUUCGUCUUCUUAGCACUUCCUCAUUUCAUGUUCCCAGUGUUGCUCAUGUUCCUCGACUAACCAUGCAACUCAUAUCUGGUGGUCACAUUGUUGACUCUAGUUGUAGGGUCAUUAUCGACUUUGAUUCUUGUUCUGUUCAUGAUCGUCGCACGGGCGCUCUACUUGGUGAUGGCCCUCAUCAUUCUGAUGGUCUUUGAGAGCUUGACUGGCUUCGACUUCCCUCCGAUGUAACUGCCUGCUAGUAUCGCAACCCGUGUUGCUGCAUCUACUAGCUGUUUUCCGCAACGACGUCAUCGUCUUGGUCAUUUCGGUGGUUCUCGUAUCUCGUCUUUGGUUCAUCUCAGUGUUUUGGGGUCUAUCUCCGGUAACACUUCGUUGGGUUGUGUGGGUUGUAGGCUUGGUAACAAAAUUCAGCUACCCUACCCUCACAGUGAAUCAGUGUGCGAGCGUCCUUUUGAUCUUGUUCACUCUGAUGUUUGUGGUUCGGCUUCCUUCGCUUCGAAAGGGAGUCAUCGCUACUAUAUUAUCUUUAUAGAUGAUUUUUCUUGGUACCCUUGGAUCUAUUUCAUGUCUUCUCGUAGUGAGGUCUCAUAUAUUUACAAGAACUUUCUGCCAUGGUUCAUCCCGGUUUUCCACUCUUAUUCAUGUUUUUUCGCACAUUCAGCUGUGAGUAUAUCUCCCAUGCGCUGCGAGGAUUUCUUGCUGAGCAGGGCGCUCUUAAUCAGUUCUCCUGCCCUGAUGCUCAUGCUCAGAAUGGUGUGGCUGAGCGCAAGCAUCGUCACCUUCUUGAGACGGAACCUUCGAUGAUGAUCGCCGCCUCUCUUCUGCCUCACUUCUGGGCUGAGGCUGUUACUACUUCCAUCUAUCUCAUCAAUAUUCAACAAUCUGCUGCUCCACAUGGUGGUAGACCACUCCUGCGUCUUUCUGCUCGUUCUCCUGAUUAUUCGGCACUCCGUUUGUUUGGUUGUGUUUGGUAUGUUUUUCUUGCCCCUCGUGAACGCACCAAACCAACCAUGCAGUCUAUUGAGUGUGUUUUUCUCGGAUACAGUGAUGAGCACAAGGGCUAUCGUUGUUGGGAUCCCGUCGUGCGCUCGAUGCAUAUUUCCCGGGAUGUGACCUUUGAUGAAUCUCGUCCCUUCUAUCUUCGUCCAUCCUCCUCGGCCUUCUUCACAAAGGACAUCUCUUUUUUACGUUUCCGAAUACACCUCCCUUUGUGCCCACUAUUCCUACUCCUUGUCCCACUGUUGCAGAUCCUACAUCGUCCUCCCCGAUGGUCUCUUCUCCUCCCUCAUUUCAUGAUUCUCCAUCUUCAUCACUGAUACCUUCCCCUUCUACACCUUUAUCACCAAUACCUUCCCCUUAUCCACCUUCAUCAUUGAUAUGUUCCUCGUCUCCAGCUCCAGUGAUUUCACCUCUUCCAUCCUUUCCUUUCCAUUAUACUCGUUGUUCACAUGUUGUGGACAAGUCUACCGAUGCACCCUCUACUCUUGGUGUGUCAUCUUCCUCCUCUCAACCGACUUACGGUCUUCGUUCUCGGCCUUGUCCGCCCCCUGACCAAUAUUCUUCUUCUCUCUAUGGUCUUUCAACCGUUCUUGAGCCGACUUCUUAUCGAGCUGCUAUUGUUCAUCCUGAAUGGCAAGUUGCGAUGACACGGGAGAUUGCUGCCCUUGAGCGCAAUGGCACAUGGGGCCUAGUUUCUCUUCCUCUCGGUGUUCGUCCCAUCACUUGUAAGUGGGUCUAUAAGAUUAAGACUCCUCUGAUGGUUCUCUUGAGUGUUAUGAAGCUCGUCUUGUGGCUCGUGGCUUUCAUAAGGAGCAUGGUCGUGAUUACGAUGAGACUUUUUCUCAUGUGGCCCAUAUGACCAUUGUCUGCACACUUCUCGUUGUGGCCUCUGUUCGCCACUCGUUUGUGUCUCAUCUUCAUGUUAAGAAUGCAUUUCUUAACGGUGAGUUGCGUGAGGAUGUUUAUAUGCAGCCACCACCCGGAUAUUCAGAUCCUGACGGUAUAGUUUGUCGCCUUCGUCGUUCUCUAUAUGGCCUUAAGCAAGCCCCCACGCUUGGUUUGAGCAUUUACAUCUGUGGUCACUGCUUCUGGUUUUUCGCCCACUGCUCACGAUCCAGUGUUGUUUGUCCACAUCUCUACUCGUGGUUGCACUCUUCUUCUUCUAUAUGUUGAUGACAUGAUCAUCACUGGCGAUGAUUCUGAGUGCAUUUCCUUUGUCAAGGCCCGGCUCAGUGUGCAGUUUCUUAUGGCUGAUCUUGGUCCCCUUUGUUAGUAGUCGAUGAAACCGGUCUCUCGUAAGCGUACGAGUAAUGUUGGUCCGGGCCGCUUCAAUCCAACAAUACGGCAGGAGGGCAGCAAAUUUAACAUCAACACCCACAAACUCGUUUGUGUUCUACUCGAGAUAUCAUCUAAGCAUGAACCUAGCUCUGAUACCACUCUUGGGGAACAUUGCAUGGGAAACAAAAAAUUUCCUACGCACACGAAAAACCUAUCAUGAUGAUGAUCAUCUACGAGAGGGGAGAUCGAAUCCACAUACCAUUGUAGAAUGCUAAGCGGGAAGGGUUAACAAAUGUGGUUAAUGUAGUUGAACGUCUUCACGAUCCGAUCACGAUCCAUUCCACGAACUCCGAUCCGAUCUAGUACCGAACGGACGGCACCUCCGCCUACAGCACACGUACAGCUCGGUGAAGAUCUUCGCCUUCUUGAUCCAGCAAGAGGGGCGAAGAGGUAGCUGAAUUAUCUGGCAGCGCGACAACGUGACGGUGAUGGUGGUGGAGCUUACUCCUGCAAGGCUUCGCCGUGCCGGACUAAUCUAGCUAUAGGGUGUCGAAGUUGUGGAGGGGGAGAGGGUUGCACUUGGCUUGAGUGCCAAAAGCCUCUCUCCCCUCCACUAUAUAUAGGAGGGACGGAGGGGCGGAUCCCUAGGGAAAACCCUAGGGUUCCGACCGGCGCAAGAGGUAGGGAGAGGAGUCCUCCUCCAACUCCACUUGGAAGGAGGAGUCCUCCUUCCCCAAAUCGGAUUGGCCUCCUCUCCCUGCCUUUUUCUUCUACUUCGGCCGACCUAUGCCCUCUUGGGCCGGCCACCAGCCCGCCACCCUUGAUCCCCUUUUGGUAUUCUCUCGGGUGAGUGGCCCCUACCGGUAGAACUCCGGAACCCAUUCGUCAUUCCCGGUACUUUACCGGUAAUACCCGAAAACCUUCCGGAAGCCAAAUGGAUACUUCUUAUACAUCAAUCUUCGUCUCCGGACCAUUCCGGAAACCCUCGCGACUUCCGGGAUCUCAUCCGGGACUCCGAACAACCUUCGGUUACCAACAUCAAUUAUUCAGCUAUACCGAAACAUCACCGAACCUAAGUGUGCAGACCCUAUGGGUUUCAGAACUAUGUAGACAUAACCGAGACACUCUUCGGUCAAUAUCCAAAAGCGGGAGCUAGAUGCCCAUAUUGCAUCCUACGUAUUCUACAAAGAUCUUGUCGGUAGAACCUCUAUGUCAAGGAUUCAUUUAAUCCCUUAUAUCAUUCCCUUUGUCCUUUGGUAUGUUACUUGUCUGAGAUACGAUCGUCGGUAUCCUUAUACCUAUUUUAAUCUCGUUACCGGCAAUUCUCUUUACUCGUUCUGUAAUAGAAGAUCAUGUGGCUAACUCUUUAGUCACAUUGCUUGCAAGGCUUGUUUGUGAUGUUGUAUUACCGACUGGGUCCCGAGAUACCUCUUCGUCAUACGGAGCAACAAAUCCCAGCCUUGAUCCAUGCCAACUCAACGGACACCUUCAGAGAUACAUGUAGAGAACAUUUAUAGUCACCUAGUAACGUUGCGACGUUUGAUACACACAAGGCAUUCCUCCGGUGUCAGUGAGUUAUAUGAUCUCAUGAUCAUAGGAAUGUAUACUUGAUAUGUAGAAAACAAUAGCAUCAAAAUAACACGAUCACAUGCUACGUUUAUAGUUUGGUUCUAGUCCAUCACAUCAUUAUCCCAAUGAUGUGAUUCCAUUAUCAAGUGGCAACACUUUGUCUAUGGCUAGAAAAUCUUAACCAUCUUUGAUCAACGAGCUAGUCAACUAGAGGCUUACUGGGGACAAUAUUUUUUCUAUGUAUCCACACAUGUAUCUCUUUUUCCAUUCAAUACAAAUAUAGCAUGGAUAAUAAACUAUUAUCUUGAAACAGGAAAUAUAAUAAUAACUUUUUUAUUAUUGCCUCUAUGGAAUAUUUCCAACAGGGUGAUGCACCGCAGCUCAAGUCGAAGGAGAUCCGACCGACAGCGUGAUACGCAACACAGUCGGCGGAUGCUUUUGAAGACUCGAAGCCCCCACACGCCCGGGAGGGAUCCCCUCAGGGAGUGCGGCGGCUAUGGGCUGCCCUAGGUUGGCCUGACCGCCCCUAGGGCCCCGUGGAUCGUUGUCCUCCAAACGAAGGACGAGAAGGAAGAAGAACAAGGGAGAGAGAUAAAGGUAAAGGUAAAAAGUAGUAGAUUGAUUUGUUCAAUUGUGUGUUGUUUCAAUCGGCCAUCACGUCCAAUAUAUAUAAGAGGCGGUUGGACUUUCCGUAUGAGCAAAGGAUUCAUCUAUGCCUUCUUUACAAGAAAAUUACAGCAAAUCACGUCCUAGAGUCCUAAUUCUAGUCUAAUUCAGAUUCAAUUAGAAUCUGGCCCAAACUUCUGUCUUGCGCAGGACACAAAAUCUGCAUACGACCUCCGAUUGAGACGAUUUAUAUAUCAAAAUCGACAGUCUCAAUGAUACGAACAAUUCUUAUGUUGAUCACUUUUUCAAAUAAGGUCAGCUUGAAUACUCCACGUGGUCAUCUUAAACCCUCAGUCGGAUUCGGCCACACGGGUGAUUGUACUGUCCGAAUCUUGUACGGUUUCUACAGGCUGCGUACCAUCUCAGAUGAUGAUAACUCCAAAAGCAAAGUUAACCGCCUGGAUGAUACGCACAACUUUCGUGUUAAACACGUUUCCAUAUAAAGAAAUAUAGACAACCUUUUGCACCUAUCUUUCAAUUUCCGAUUGGAUUUGUCCAACGAUCACUCAAAUUCAAACCUUUCAAUCGGAUAUUAUGAUUCUUCGCUCGGAUCGCAGUAUCAUAUCUCUUCAACCUAAUAAUAGGAUUUCACCUGGACAACCAGCUUUAUAUUUGCGCGACGUCUUUUCACUCGGCCGGCAAUCUUCAUUCGACGUCUUUUCACUCGGCCGGCAAUCUUCACUCGACAUCUUUUCACUAGGCCGGCAAUCUUCACUCCACGUCUUUUCACUCGGAUUCCUGACAGAAACUUCAGCCUGAUCUUGUUUUGUCCGUCCAGGUCGCACAAUAAUUCGGAAUGAAACAAAAUAUAUAUCAAAAUCGACCAGCUCGGUGAGACGGAGCUUUUUCAUGUUGUAAGUUUUUCCAUUAGAGGUAGUCUUGAGGGCCUAACAGCUCGCGUGACCCAUCAGACAGUUGUUUGAUCCCUCCCGCGACCCAUCAAACAGUUGUCUGAUCCCUCGCGCCAUAUUUCGCCUUGUGGUAGGGCCACACUCCGAUGGCUUUAACUUGCAUACGCUCUCUAAUUGAAAUGAUUUUUAUACCAAAAUCGAUCGUUUCGACGAGACUAAGACAAUCCGUGUUGAACAUUUUUUCAUAUGAGGUUGUCUUAUGGGCUUAAUCGGCCUAACAAUACUGUGAAUAUGAAAUCCCGACACUUUGAACAUAGUUUCGGCCAUCGAAGUGAGAUCGGACAGCGAUGGCCGAAACUUCUAAGAUGUCCAUGUCAACACUAUGGUAUUUUUUCAUGUAGAUCAUUUCUUUAUUUGAAUCCAUUUUAAUAAGAUUUUCUUCCGUGUCAAAAUCUGAUGCCAACACCAAUUACUUGAAUUACCAGAACUUUAACACUAAAAGUGAGUAUUUAACCCUAACAUAUUCAUGUGAUUGGCAUGUGAACAACAGAAAUUAUCUGCAGUUGACCAACACGAGAAACAUUAAUUGCUACCCCUCAUGAGUCAUGACCUACACGCCAUUCAGGAGCACCACACUUUAUCAACGCUGCUAAUCUAACUGAAGUUUUGGUCAUUGCCCACUCGAUCUAUCUCUUUAUAUACCUAUAAACCAUAUGCACCUUUUGUGUUGGGUUCCAUUCGUUGGUCAUCAGGUUAUGAGUGUACGCUUGUUACUGACCUUUUUAUGUGUUCUCACGUGAUAAUGAGUUGAGAUUCUAGAAGAAACUGAAAUAAAAUGUAGACAAUGAAGCGGAUGGUGCUUGGCAUGUGUCCCAUUAGAAAUCAUGAAAAAUUGACAGGAAAGUUUGUUGCUGAAAAUCAUGCACAUCACAUGAAUAGACCAUGGCUGGAAAGGUAGAAACCAUUCAACCAUGUCGGCUGCAAGGUACAUCUGCUUAUCUAGGGAGUUCAACUGCAUGCUUUGGCUUGGAAAUCGGGAUACCAAUCAAUUUGAGCUUAGUGCCUGCAGCAAUAGCGUAUGAUGUAUCCCUUCAUUCUCUUAUUGCAUUAUGGUGAUGCUCGUUAACUCUACAUGAAAUAGACACCAUUCAGCAGCAUCACACCUUCUGAGCUGCUAAGUUAACUAAAGUUUCGACUAUCACUCUGCCUCUAUAUAUAUAAUUGAGACCAUUUUAGUUGUUUGUGUUCCUUCGGUUGUGUGACCUUUGAUGUGUCUGUUUGCUAGUGAGGUGAGACUUUAGAAGAAACUGAAAAGGAGAUGUCAGUUGUUCGAACAUGGCAAAUUUGGUGGCUUCAACCAGCUUCCCCACAGGCCAGCAAGGUUCGGAUGUAAGACCGAAGUUCGGAGGUGUCGCUGGGGAGGACCGGGAUGCUCCCUGAGGAAAAUUAAAAAGAGGAGAGACAGAGAGGAAGCACAGGGGAAAAGGAGGAACCAGAUGACCGUGGUUAAAAAGGGAAGAAAAAAAGGAUGUAGCCUCCUCCAUUCCUGUUUGAUUGUCUAGAUGGGUGGGUUGUGUGUUCUGGUUGCUCAAUUUUGAUUUUACCUAUCAUGAAUAAAUGAUUCUGUUCAGUUACAAAUUCCCAAAUGCGCUUGUGAUAAUUCCAUGUACCGUACCAAAGCCUGCCAACGGUUUUGGCAGGUUUUUCCUACUCGUUGUUUCGCAAGUUCGGUUGCAAAUCAGCACUUGUGCGGACAUAAAUGAAGUUUCUUAGUAGUGAAAAGAAAAAGGCAAUUUGCAGGAGGACAGACAAUCGACAAUAGACAAUAAGACUAGACAUCCUUAAUACAAUAAAAAUUUGCGUGGUAAUCGCAUAAUGAUACAUACAAAAGAAAAGAACUUGAAUAAUUUAACUUCGAGCAGGUAAUGAACAACAAGGGGCACACAGAACAUCUCUCACACGACCCAUCAACUUCCAGAAUAACAUCAGUUGAUUGAUGGUCAUAAAAUAGUAAGACAGAAAAGAACUAAGACGAGGACUGCACAUUACGAAGGCAAAUUCAGUUCUUCUACUAAUUUACAUCCAUGUUCGUGAGUGUUGUCUCUAAUUUACACUGAUGAAAACUCCGCAGCUCUUCCAGAAAGUGGUUUGCAAGAUCAUAUACAGGGUAACCAAACUAUCACCCGAAAACAAAUAUGUUGUUCAGUUCGCAAGGCUCUACAUGCAGAGGAAAUCACAGUUAAUUUGAGACCUGGAAGCUCCUUGUAGGGUUCUUCUUUUGCCUAACUUCUAUAGAAUAUGACCGGAAUUACUUUAGUACUUCAAAAGAAGGACUUCAAGAAGCAAUAAUUCAUCUUCUUUAUCAGUUCAAUCGAAAUAAAUAGUAAGAAAACUAAAAAAUUAGAAAAAAAAUUUGCAUGCAAGAUGCUCGAGUGCAUCAGGUGCGUGCAAAAAAUAGUGGGCAAAAGACAAUGGAGAAGCUCACGUCAAAAAAGAAAAAAUGAGGCAUGAACAGUUGGUUUGUAAAAGAGUGAAUAACAAAGCCAUGUCUAGCUUCGUCCUCUCUAUUAUGAGUUCAGGAAGAAAAAAUAUGAUGCAACUUCCACUCCCACCAAAAGUGAGCGGAGAUAUUAGUUUGAACUGAAAUGAUUAGUUUUUUAUUUGUUUUUAGAAAAGGAAGGUUUCCUCCGGCCUUUGCAUCAAAACGAUGCAUGCAGCCACUUUAUUUAUAAAAUCAAAGUAAAGUCCAAAGGUUUCGAACAAGUUCCAAAGAGGCAACAAAAAAAAUAAAAAGUAGUACAAAAAUAUGCCACAACUCGCAAACAUAGGCCUAGAUGCCUAACCAUCUAUCCUAUUACUGGACCGUCAUCCAAACCGGUUAUAGAUAUCCCGAGCUACCAUCUUCCACCGGAUAGACCUAGUAACCAAAGGCUCCCUGGUUUCCGCAGGAGUGAGUAAUGACCAUGUACGGAUCAACGCCGAUGCCCUGUAGAGUACCUGCAAGAAAUUAAUAUUUGAUAGACAUCAUUCCUGCAGUUCCAUAUAGCCCAAAUUAAUGCACAUAAUCCUAUACGAAUAUGUCUAGCAAUAAUUAAGUCAACCCCAUUUAGCCACGUCCCAAACAACGUAUCAAUGCUAUCCGACGGUGUAAUAUUGAAUGCUAUACGGACUGUUUGCCAUAGGAUUUUUGCUAGUGGGCAUUGGAGAAAAAGAUGUUUGAUAGUCUCAUCAUGGUCACACAAGGAACAUCUUUUACUUCCCUCCCAGUUUCUCUUCUUUGCCAAAUUAUCUUUGGUAAGGAUCACCUUCUUGGGGACAAACCAUAUGAAGACUUUGAUACACAAAGGCACUUUCACCUUCCAGAUAUGAUUGGACUUGGGAAUUGUUGUUGUAUCAAUGAGGCUCAAGUACAUCGACUUGACAGUAAAGAUGCCAGUAGACGUUAGCUUUCACUGAAGCCUAUCGGCCUCCUCUGAUAGCUGUACAUCCAUGAAUCUUGUGACUAAGUGCAACCAUGCCUCCCAUCUAUGUCCAAUUAUAGCUCUCCGGAAUUGAAUAUUUAGAGGGUUGGAUUGUAGUAUUGUGGCAACAUAUGCCUCCUUACUUUGAACAAUAUUAUAGAGCGAUGUAUAUUGUAUGGCUAGAGGCGUCUCCCCCAGCCACGUAUCCUUCCAGAAUCUCGUAGACUUAUCAUCUCCAAUGAUAAAUUUAGCUUUGUGGAAAAUGGUCGCUUUCAUUUUCAUCAAGCCUUUACAGAAAGGAGAACAUUGGGCCUCACUGUUACGUGAGCCAAGGUUUUAGAUUGUACUUACUUAUUACGCAGAAUUCGUACCCACAUGCCCUCCAUCUCCACAGAUAGUCUGAACAGCCAUUUUCUCAACGGACAUCUGUUUUUUACCUCCAAAUUUUCAAUUCCCAAACCUCCUUGGUCCUUAGGUCUACAAAUAAUAUCCCAUCUAGCAAGCCGGUAUUUCUGCUUAACUUCAUCGCUUUGCCAGAAAAAUCGGGAUCUACAAAAGUCCAGUCUUUUCCAUACCCCGACCGGUACCUCAAAGAAGGACAGAAGGACAAUCGGCAUGCUUGUGAGAAUUGAGUUAAUCAGUAUGAGCCUUCCUCCGUAUGACAAUAACUUAUCCUUCUAACAGCUUAGUUUUCUCAAAAAGGUCCUCAACACAUUUCCAUUCUUUGUUUGAUAACUUACGAUGUAGUGUGUCUAACUCCGAAGUGCUCAGUGCAUCCACCGAACCAAAAUAAAUAAAAGUGGAACCAUGUCCGAUAUUCUUUUUUUGUAGCUUAGAGGAAAUUAAAUGUGUGAUUUGUUUGUGUAAUUCAAAAUAUCUUUGCUGCUAGGUUGACUGAAGCCUCAAAUAUUGCGCUAUCUCUCGACAUAUAUAUGCACCAUUUGUGUCUGUGCUCCACUAGAAGAAACCAAAAAAUGAGUAGCGAAAACUGACACCCGUCCUGUGUCGCUCGCUGGGGAGGAGCGACUGGCAGAUCCAAUCGGUGCCGCCAAUUCCCCCUUCCCCACCGGAGCCACUGUUGGAACUCCGUCACAGGAUCGAUCACAUCAAAUCACGACAAACACGCACACACAAAAUCUUGUAGCCAAGGGCCCUUGUCGUGCUCUAUUUUUCCCUCUUUAUUUUCUUCUUUUUAUCUCAACUCAAGGUACUAAGACUGAAGCCCCUCGUGCAUAUAUAUAUAUAUNNNNNNNNNNNNNNNNNNNNNNNNNNNNNNNNNNNNNNNNNNNNNNNNNNNNNNNNNNNNNNNNNNNNNNNNNNNNNNNNNNNNNNNNNNNNNNNNNNNNNNNNNNNNNNNNNNNNNNNNNNAUAUAUAUAUAUAUAUGCAAGAGUAGCCGACCCAAGAAAUACCUAGGCCUACACGUACUUGGUCUUGAGUCCAAACCGGACUCAACCUGCACUUUCCUGAUCAAGCUAAUUACACCGACACGUCAAACUCAAACUCUCAACCGAACACAUACAAUAGCCAAUUAUACUAAUCUUAGCUGGACUAAGAUAACUCACGCCAUGCAACCUAAUUAAGUCUAACACAAAUCAAAUCUAAUUCUAGAUUAUUCCUAACAAUCUCUCCCUAAUCUUGACUUGCCAUCUUCUUAGUGUUCCGUCUUGUCUUGACUCGUUGUUGACUCGUGACUUGUCGACACAUCGACUAAACCGUCGUAUCCGUACAUUGAGUAUGACUCGUCUGGAAACAUGUAGAACCUCCUUGCUCUACAGUGUUGUGCCACAGCCAUUGCUUGGCCGCUGCCUUGCACUCGGUCCGCACCAUACUCCUUGUACUUGCUUGCAGUAGAUCCACUCUCCACUGCUUGCACAUCUCCUCGCUUUACGAUGGCAUCGCCUACCAUCGUCCGCCUUCGGCAUCACACCAAAUCCACACUGGCCGCAACCAGGGCGCUCCACGAGGACAUGGAUAUGACUCACGGAACACCGUGCACACUCCUUCAACUCUAACAAAUCAUCAUCAAGACGAGCACUUGGACAUGACGACGCCCAAACAUGCGACUCGCAUGACUCCUUGACUGGUCCAACUCCCCUGGACGACGAUCUUGAUGAGCUCCAGCGCCGCACCUCGGCACCACCUCUUCCAUCAAUGAUCUCCUUCCACCACCUUGCCGACGACAGCCCGCCUCUCCCUCCAUAUCGCUCCGCCGAACAACGAUCUUCUGAACCUCCUCAUCCAUCGCUCCACGAACGACUAUUGCCCGAUCCUUGCCGUCGCUGCAACACUCAUCGACUAUCACCCGCUCCUCCUCGUCGCUACACCAACGACUAUAUUGCCAACUCUUCUCGCCGUUGCACCACCCAACGACUAUAUUGCCCGCCCCGAGGCACUAGUGGGCUUGUCACCCCGGGGCAAGCGCAGCUUCUCCUCGACCUUGCUCUGAUACCAAUUGUUGGAACUCCGUCACAGGAUCGAUCACAUCAAAUCACGACAAACACGCACACACAAAAUCUUGUAGCCAAGGGCCCUUGUCGUGCCCUAUUUUUCCCUCUUUAUUUUCUUCUUUUUAUCUCAACUCAAGGUACUAAGACUGAAGCCCCUCGUGCAUAUAUAUAUGCAAGAGUAGCCGACCCAAGAAAUACCUAGGCCUACACGUACUUGGUCUUGAGUCCAAACCGAACUCAACCUGCACUUUCCUAAUCAAGCUAAUUACACCGACACGUCAAACUCAAACUCUCAACCGGACACAUACAAUAGCCAAUUAUACUAAUCUUAGCUGGACUAGGAUAACUCACACCAUGCAACAUAAUUAAGUCUAACACAAAUCUCUACCUAAUAAUAAAGCAAAUACUGUUUCUGGUCGUCCGUCCUUAAAUUUGCCCCUAAAGUUCGCUGGAAUUACCCACCUAUGCCGUCGGUAAGUGGAAAAAACGAUUCAUUUUUCCUAUCUUUUAAACUCUAUCGUUACAUUUGAUUCAAUAAGAACAGGCCCCUGAACUAAUCACGUGCGUGCGUUGGUCCAACUGGUUGGGAGCUUGUGUCUUCACCUUGAAGACCAAGGUUUGAUCCCUCACUCUCCCUAUUUUCCAUCCACUUUUGUGUAUUUUUUGCCGGCGGGUGGCUGCCUGCAAAGCACUGUUUUUCUUUGCUUUGUUUUUAUCUUUUGACUUUAUUUAGAUAUAUAGUUUGAAUAUUUUAAUUACAAAAAUCCUGUGUAUGCAAACUAUGAAAAAUUAAUAAUCAUGCAUUAAAGAAAUCCCAAACUUGAAUAGAAAAUAAUAUAUUACAUAAGAAAGUACAGUAUGUAUGAAGAAAUAAUCUAACUUUUAUUUAUUUUUUGAAAAAUAUGGAUCAUGCAAUUAUUUAUUUUAAUGUGCAUAGAAAAUGUUUCUGAUCUAUAAUAAAAAAUGUAUACCAAAAUAUACAAUGUAUAUGGAACAAAGUAGACAUAACAAAUAUAAGUUUUCUAAAAUGUUAAUUAUGUAUUUGGAGAAUGUCAAAUGUGUAUAUAAAAAAUGCUUCUAAUAUAUACAAAAAAUGUAAAAUGUGUAUAAAAAGUAGAUAUCAAAACUAAAAAAGUUUCAAAAAAUGUUAACCAUGAAAUUGGAAAAUAUGAAACGUGUAUAUAGAAAACUUUUUUGAUGUAUAAAAAAAGUACAAUGUUACUAUGCAAGCUUUCCGUAGACCAAUGGCUUAACUUUGAUUUUCAUAUUGUUUGAAAUUGUUUUUUAAUGAUUUUUUUAGAAUUAGGAAAGAUGCCCGUGCAUUGCAACAUAGAACAUUUGGUAUGGAUGUUCUUACAAAUUUAUUGUUUCCGAUGAAGCUGUCUAAUUUGUUUGCAAACAAAUUAAAACUUCACUUGGACUAUAAAUGCAAACAAAUAUAUCAGCAAGACAAAACAAAUACGCUUAUGCAUAUGCUAUCGUGAGUAAAAUAAAACGUACUUUGUUACUUUCAUCCUAAUGCAAAUAUGGGCAUCAGCAAGGAGGACCGACUGCAAAUGUGUAAAGAGAUACAUGCGACUUCAUAGAUAUUUUUAUUAUCAAAUAAACUAGAAAAAUCUUAAGUGCACUUCAAAAAUUAUCACAUUUUUAUAUUUUUAGGCAACACCGGUUAUCAUGUUGUUUCUCAUGUGGCAUUGUGCAAGAUGUCAAGAGACUUACUUAUAUCUCAAGAGCGUGUAUGUGAAAUAAACAAAUUCUUCCGUUGCAACGCACGGGCAUGUUUGCUAUCUAUAUCUAUACCUACUAAUAAAGGAAAUAGGUAUUCUUAGUCCGUCAUGCUAUUUUAUGAAAAAAAACUCUGAUGUUUCUAACAUUAAUCCCGUAAUACAUAUUAAAUAUAUUUUAUCAUACUCACAUCUUCUAAACCGUAACUUCAAAUUUAACAUUUUAUAUAUGGAAUUUGAUUAGAUAAAUAUAUAGAAUUUGAAUAUGAUGUUUUUUUAUCUGUAAACAUUUAAUAAAAACACUAUCUGGGGUGCAAUAUUAAUAAAUAAUUCAUCAUUCGUCUUUCUUUCAUACUGGUACUAAUCUGGAUUGGAGAUGAAACUGAAGGCCACUUGCCCGUUUCUUUGUACAUAUUAAAUCUACAUGCAAGCGUGUUAAAAUAAAAGACCUGUGGAAUCUUGAACUGCACUUGUGUAGAGUAAGAUCAUCUUGGUUUGUGUCGUAACUACAAAUUCUUAGAUUAUAGACCAUUUUUCUAUAAAUUAAAAGCGUGUUGUAUUUUUUCUUUUCCCGUUGCAACGCACGGGCCCUUUUGCUAGUCAAAUCUAAUUCUAGAUUAUUCCUAACAGCCACCCGCUCCGCCGUCGCCGUUGGCGCUUGCUGCGAUGGCGGCGGGCUUGCCUCCUUGGACGCGGCGUUCCCCCCAACGGGUCGUCUCCUCUCUCUCCUAGGUGGCUUGUUCCUCGAGGCGUGAAGAACGGCAUUGUCCGUAUCCUGUUGGUUCUUUGAUGCAGUCCGCUGGUAGCUGCAUCGAGACGUCAAUGGCGCUCAGUGGCAAUAUGCUCAAGGAAGAGUUGGCCUCCUGGUUGUGGCCUACAGCGGUGUUAGCAAUAAACCACGCUUUGUAUGGGUCAUGCAUGUAGUUAGCUGUAGUGGAUGUCCGAGCGUCCGAUGCUGGCCAAGUCUUGCCGUGUAUGGUCAUGGCUGAAGAAGCGGCAGCAAAAGAGAUCAGAUCAUCAUACAUGCAUGGACAGCUGCAGUUCCGUUCGUGCGGAGAGGCAGGUCCAGGUCAUGUGGAUCAUGGGUGAUCAAGUCAGCUAUUAGUGCGUGAGUGCAUGUAGUGGAGCAGGUCGUGUGCAUAAGAGCCGGGCAGGUUGUUGUCUGGCUGUCUGCGUGCGUGUGUGAGGCUAUAUAUAGCCAUGUACGUGUGUGGUGUGUCCACCGAGGUGUGUGUAAUCAGUUGAGUGGAAUAGAAGCCAACAUACAGGCCGUUCGGCGGCCGGGGCGUUCGUCGCCAUAACCAAGUGUUUCUGUUCAUCUUCUUCUACCUCCGUCGGGCGUUUUGUCGCCGGAGGGCUGCCUCGGCGUGUGUCGCGGGAGGGCAGCCCCAACAAGCGGGUCUCGUCAGGGGCUCACGAACGUGGGCUGUCUCCGGAUCGAGCACUAGAUCGAAAACCCCAUCUCCAAGCCAUCUCCCUGGCGCGUAUCUCGGCAAGGGCUGGCCGAGGGAGCCAUGAUCCUCCUCCACGCCAACCUCGAGUCAAGUGGCAUGGGGCAUGUUCGAAAAUCUCGGGCAGUCGUGGUGCAGGCAAGCGUCGGCUGUAUUUCCUCAUCGAUCUGGCCGAUGCCACAAGCUCCGACUCCUCGAUGCAUCCUCCACUCGCCGUUGCAUGCCUGCGUGCCGCUGAGCAAAGCCCUCGCGGUGGCUGCUGGGGCGACGCGUUGGUGUUGGUCUCGACGAUUACCACUAUGCAUGGUUGCACAUCAGCAGGUGGCGGUGGUAAUGCUGGGUCUGUGUGACGCAGAGUAGGCUUUGCCGGAUGCGGCAGUUGGGCCUAUGUGUGGCUUCUCAUCGGGAAGCGUGACAGCCGGCGUGAUUGUGGUGGUCACCCAAAGGUCUUCGUGAGGUUUCUUCCUCUAGAUCCGGUGGUUGACUUUCGACAGGGAGAUGCACACGAUGGACAAUUGUUUGACACGGAGAGAUGGUUGUGCAGCGGGGCGACCGUGCAUCGCAUGUGAGACUGAAGCCAUCGCGGAAAGUGAUGGUGACAACACGUAUGACAUCCAUUAUGGUGCGAAAAAGUGGUGAUGACUACACGUAUGACAUCCAUUGUGGUGCUACUCGAGCACCCGGUCCCGAGCUUCAGGGUGAAAGCCUAGGUCUGGUACGAGUUGGUUAUAUCUGUCAAUGAUGAUAUUUUUAUGUCGUUGCUUUGUUGAAUUCAUUGUUCGGAUAUGCUCAUAUUGAUUCUUCAGGGUGAAAACCUAGUUUCUGGCCUUGGCUUGUUGAAUCCGGUGACGGCGACGCUUGAGCAAUAUACCGUUUCUUAAUGUGUUGCUGCUGAAGAACCAUGGCGUCCAUCUGGUGUCAUGAAAUGGCUGGUGCGGAUAAGACCAUUGUUGUAGUUUGCUGAUUUCUGAUCUGAUCGCUUUGAUUUUUUUCUUUUCCUCGCAUAUGCAUAGCUUUGAUUUUAUAUGAUUUUGCUACUAGGUGACGUGAUUUUUAUGUGUGCAUCUUAGCUAUGUAGAGAUCGGAUAUGUUCUUAAUGUGUUUGUAUACUCUUGAUGCUUCAUUUUGACGCAAUAAAAUCCAACCUUUAUCGAAAAAAGAACAAACCAAAAAUAUAUGUGAAUAGUUGUUCGGAUUACUUGCGCGUCCAGCACGCGCUAGAACAUCUUAACAGGAAAAUGCAGUGCUACAAAUUUGAGCAGGUAUAAAGCAUGAUAUUGGCCCUGAUAUUGUCCAUAUUGUCUCAAGGGAAGACUGCUGGCUGGUCAAAGUGUGCAGAACCAAGCCAUAAUUGUUGUGAUCUGAAUGCAAAAUAAUAAUUCAGUUCCCCCCGCAAAAAAAAAAAGGUCAGUUAGUUAACCCGGAAUUAGUGUUCAAAUUAUGAUUCCUAAAUCCUUUACUUGUGAUGGUCCCUAGCCGCCGCCGAAGCCCGUCGACCAGACGGGUGGCGGUGAAGCCUCUUUUGGUUGGUACCACACGGGCGUGAGGCUAUUUCUAUAUAGACUUGAUUACUUAGGACAGAUCUAAACCUUCGACUAGUUUGAAACAGAGCAUUAGAAAAAACAGUAUGUGAAGCACAAGUAUAACAGCCAAAUGUUAUGCAGUCAUUGUAAUACUAGCAGCGAAGAUGCGCGGUGCACGCCGCGCCCGUCGGAAGGCUUAUUUAUAUUUCGAAUGAGUACUUCAAUUUUUUUAUUGCAUGCAUGUAUUAUUUUUCAUGCUUAGUUGGUUUGAUUUAUUUAUUUUUGUUUGGGUUUUAUAGGAUGGAAAAGAGUUGCAGUUUCGUUUUGGCACGGUUCACUGAUGUAAUAAAGUUGUUUAUAACAUGUUUACAUCCGUCGUGGUUGUCUUUUUGUCUACGGGUGUAGAGAUGCUUGACUUGUUUUUUGUAUAUAGUGAUAAAGACCAUUGCCAGUGGUGUCCAUUUCAUGUUCUUAAUAGAAUGGAAGUGUGUUUUAAGGAUCAUGCGAUUAAAGUUUUGAAAAAAUCAUGAUUUAUUGAUGGCAAAGAGUUAAAUAGUACAGGUGCAAUACAAAACAAAUAAUUCUAAAUACGAUGCAAUAAAUUAAAAAUCAUUUAUAGUCUGUCUAUGGGUAAAUCAUUAGUGGUCCACCUUUUUUUGUCCUUGCGGAAUUUCUUUAACAUGUGAGACCUGGCGAUAUUCAAUAAGAGAAGUGAAUCAGUGUUAUAUUUUUCUGAACUUUAUUGAUUUUUUAUCUCGGUGCCAGGGACUUGUUCAUGCAUGACCUAUGUGUCUUAUAUUUAUAUUUGAUUUUCAUAUCUUCAUAGCACUCAUCUAGGAGUUUUAGUAAGCGGACAAUGUUAGAAUCAGUAGCAUCAGAGGUGUUUUUUGGUACGUGUGAGUAAUGCUGAUAGAGUGAGAUUUCUCUUAUCGUACACAUGGUGAGCGAAGGAUGGUGUGGCUGGCAACGAUCAUAAUAGUUGUAGAGCUUUAAUAGAUAGGUAAUACAAAAAGAAAUAUAAUAAUCGUUAAUGUUAAUAGUAGAAAAACUCAGGUUUUUCCUUUGUAUUUUCCUCGGUUUAUUGCUUACGCGGAUACUAUGUGUUGGUACAAUUUCAGUUUACAGUUUAUGUAUAAAGUUUUUAUUUUUGAUAGAUGUUGGUAUAUUGCAGUUUAUUCAGUGGGCAUUGAAACACUGGUCACAUGAAGCAAUGUUGCAUACGAAGUGACUGUUUUGAAAAUAGUGUUUCGGUUUAUUCGGAUUAUUUGUUCCAGUUUGUUAGUUUUAAUGUUCUCUUAAAAUGAGACCUAACUCAAACCGUUCGAGGAAAAUAAAUCUUGGGACAACAAUCCAUAAGAAUGAAUCUAAGGAAAAAUAAAUUAAGCAGUACCAUUUUAAACAAUAAAAGAAGGUUGGCACCCAAGAUGCAAUCUUUUCUUUGGAUUUUGGCUUCGUGGUAAAAUUGGAGUGGAAAGACGAUCAUUUUAUUAUCAAGGAGCAAUGCCAUUAGGUAAAAUUAAUUAUUACAAAAUAUGUAUAUAGAUCAGGUCAAACUAAGUUAAUAAAUUGGUAUUUAUUCAAUUUUAUUUUUUCUAUGCGUAUUUACCUAAUCCAUUAGAUUUGUGCGUUUUUCACUUUAGGAAUUAUCUGUAAAUAAGUCUAAAAAUAGCAUGAUAUAAUUGUAUUAAAGGAUACCCAUAAACAAUUUACUAAGCAAUAAAAAUAAUAAUGAUAUAGGAGUACCUGUAGUGUAAGAGGGCAAUAAAAUAUACAUAAAGAUCUCCUUUUUAGAAAUGUAAAUACCUAUGAUGAUAUACAAUACGUAAAAAGAAGCCAUUUUUAUGGAUACUGUUCAUAAAUAUAUUAUUUUACAAAAAACAAUAAAUGGCAUUAUUCAUAAAUACUAAUACUUUUCAUAAAAUUCUUUUUAGAAAUGUGAAAACCUAUGUACGUAAAAAAACCAUCUUCUCCUUUUUAAACCCUAUUCACAACCGGGGCUACGGGGUUACUACUCGCUGUUGGCCACGUAAAUAAGCAUUAGAUAAAAAGAUGGGUCACUGUUUAUAUGAGAUUAUUGUUCACAACAAGGGUAACAUCGCGCAUGGUUACUAUUUUUUGCAUUGGAUUACUGUUCGCAACCGGAGGAUACGGGGUUACUAUUCGUUGUUGGACGUAAAUAGAUGUUGGAUAAAAAGACGGGGUCACUGUUCACAACACGGUUAACGUCGUCGUGGUUACUGUUUUCGCUGGAUUACUGUUCACAUCAGGUGACGUGGCCGUGAAAAUAAAUAGUGAAUGUAAAAAAAUCAAAAAACCCAGAAAAACCGGAUCGCUGCAGCUUUAGUAUAUAGUGGGUCAUUGUUUAUAUGGGAUUAUUGUUUACAACCGGCGGUAAUGUUUGCUUUGCACUGGAUUACUGUUUACUGGUGAAAAUGAAUAGUGAAUGUCAAAAAAAGUCAAAAAAAUCAGGAAAACCGAAUCGUUGCGAUAUGGGAUUAUUGUUUACAAAGGGGGUAAUGUUUGCUUUGCACUGGAUUACUGUUUACUGAUGUUGAUGUGGACGUGAAAAUGAACAAUGAAUGUCAAAAAAAAGUCAAAAAAAUCAGGAAAACCGAAUCGUUGCGGCUUUAGUAUAUAUAAGUAUAUUUUAAAUGUCACCCCAAUGCAAUGAGCUGAGAAUUUUGAGGGAAGUCAAAAUGACUAUUUACCUUAGCAUAUGAUCAGCAUGUGAACGAUUGAAAACAUACUAUGCACAGCUUGUUAGUGUCAGGAACAUGAAUUGUUAGUGCCCAUGACCAUGAGCUACACACCAUUCAGCACACAGCAUCACGCUUAUCACGCUGCUAUUUACUUUUACGAUGUUUUGAACAUUGCCACUCCAUCUCUUUAUAUAUGUCCAAACCAUAUAGAUCUUUUCUGCAGGUGUUCCUUCCAUUGAUUAUUAAGUACCAUUGUACACACAGUACUAAAGAUUUGAUGUGUUUCCUUGGCGAUGAGUUGAGAUUUUAGAAGAAACUGAAAGAAAAUAUGGACAAUCCCAACUCGCCUCCAAGCAUUUGUUGAGAUUUUAGAAGAAACUGAAAGAAAAUAUGGACAAUCCCAACUCAGCUCCAAGCAUUUGUGUGUACGUACUGAGAAACCAGGAAAAUUGGACACGAAAAGAUGCUUCUGCAAACCCAACAUCCGUAGAUCAGAUUAUAUCCCAUCGGACAAGUGUUCAGUUUGUUCGAAUCAAACUAUGAAUGUGUCUGACAGAGAAAUGCUGAGUGUGUCCACCAAGCAGAAAUAAAUUAAAGUGGAGCCAUGUACAUAAUUCUUGUUUCUUGGUUUGGUGUAACUAAAAACUGUGAUGUGUUUGGGUUAUUUGAAAUAUACGGAUGUCUCGAAUAUUGCUCUAUCACUCUAUAUAUAAUUAUGGACCAUUUACAUCAUUUGUAUUUGUGCUCCUUCAUCGGUCAUCGGGUGAUGACUUAUGAGAUGUUGAAAAGACUAUUGUUGCAUCUUACUAUUUUUUAGACUUGCAUGGCAGGUGCUCCGCCGAUUUCAUUAAAAGGGAAAAGAAAUACAGAGUGGUCCGAAUUAUGAGGAAAACUAGGCCGAAAACCAUUGAACUAAAAAGAAAACAAAGAAAGAAAAAAACAACCAUCGAUACAACACGAACAAACCACCUCCACGAAUCACAACCUCUGUCCGAAAUGAUAGUGAGCAAGAUCUUCAAAGACGCCUUCAAGAAGGAAAGCAGUAUAACCUGACACCAUCGUCGUCUUCGGCAUCGACCUCCGUCGAUCACAAAGCUUUCACCCAGAUCCGCACAAGACCACUCCACCGAACCUUGAGAAUGGUCCGUCCUAGCCAACAACCCCAGUGCCGCUUCCAAUCCAAACCGGCCAGGACUCAGUGGUGAGAGGUAGCUCUUCGACAAUGCCUCCAAGGAGGAAAAGGACGCCCGCAAGCGCCAACAUUGCCGGCAUCGACCCCCGUCGAACAAACAAGCUUUCGCCCAGAGCCUAAAAUCUCACCACCUCUACAGACUCCGGGGAGGGAUGUUGGGGAACGUCGCAUGGGAAACAAAAAAUUUCCUACGUGCACGAAGACCUAUCAUGGUGAUGUCCAUCUACGAGGGGGAUUUCAGAUCUACGUACCCUUGUAGAUCGCACAGCAGAAGCAUAAAUAAACGCGGUUGAUAUAGUGGAACGUCCUCAAGUCCCUCGAUCCGCCCCGCGAACCGUCCCACCAACCGUCCCGCGAUCCGUCCCACGAUCCGCUCCGAUGUAGUGCUGAACGGACGGCACCUCCGCGUUCAGCACACGUACAGCUCGACGAUGAUCUCGGCCUUCUUGAUCCAGCAAGAGAGACGGAGAGAUAGAUGAGUUCUCCGGCAGCGUGACGGCGCUCCGGAGGUUGGUGUUGAUCUAAUCUCAGCAGGGCUCCGCCCGAGCUCCGCAGAAACGCGAUCUAGAGGAAAAACCUUAGAGGUAUGUGGUCGGGCUGUCGUGGAAAAGUUGUCUCAAAUCAGCCCUAAAACAUCCGUAUAUAUAGGUGGGAGGGGUGGGGCCUUGCCUUGGGGCUCAAGGAGCCCCAAGGGGUUCGGCCGAAGGGGGGGAGGAGGAGUCCUCCUCCAAUCCUAGUCCAACUAGGAUUGGAAGGUGGAGUCCUUCCCUUCCUUCCCACUUCCCUUUUUUUUUCUUUGAUUUUCUUAUCUCCUUGCGCAGGGGCCUCUUUGGGCUUGCCCACCAGCCCACUAAGGGCUGGUGCGGCACCCCUAAGGCCUAUGGGCUUCCCCGGGGUGGGUUGCCCCCCCNCCCAUUCGUCAUUCCCGAUACAUUCCCGGUAAUUCCGAAAACCUUCCGGUAAUCAAAUGAGGUCAUCCUAUAUAUCAAUCUUCGUCUCCGGACCAUACCGGAAACCCUCGUGACGUCUAUGAUCUCAUCCGGGACUCCGAACAACAUUCGGUAACCAACCAUAUAACUCAAAUACGCAUAAAACAACGUCGAACCUUAAGUGUGCAGACCCUACGGGUUCGAGAACUAUGUAGACAUGACCCGAGGGACUCCUCGGUCAAUAUCCAAUAGCGGGACCUGGAUGCCCAUAUUGGAUCCUACAUAUUCUACGAAGAUUUUAUCAUUUGAACCUCAGAGCCAAGGAUUCAUAUAAUCCCGUAUGUCAUUCCCUUUGUCCUUCGGUAUGUUACUUGCCCGAGAUUCGAUCGUCAGUAUCCGCAUACCUAUUUCAAUCUCGUUUACCGGCAAGUUUCUUUACUCGUUCCGUAAUACAAGAUCCCGCAACUUACACUAAGUCACAUUGCUUGCAAGGCUUGUGUGUGAUGUUGUAUUACCGAGUGGGCCCCGAGAUACCUCUCCGUCACACGGAGUGACAAAUCCCAGUCUCGAUCCAUACUAACUCAACGGACACCUUCGGAGAUACCUGUAGAGCAUCUUUAUAGCCACACAGUUACGUUGUGACGUUUGAUACACACAAAGCAUUCCUCCGGUGUCAGUGAGUUAUAUGAUCUCAUGGUCAUAGGAACAAAUACUUGACACGCAGAAAACAGUAGCAACAAAAUGACACGAUCAACAUGCUACGUUUAUUAGUUUGGGUCUAGUCCAUCACAUGAUUCUCCCAAUGAUGUGAUCCAGUUAUCAAGCAACAACAACUUGUACAUAGUCAGAAGACCCUGACUAUCCUUGAUCAACUGGCUAGCCAACUAGAGGCUUGCUAGGGACAGUGUUUUGUCUAUGUAUCCACACAUGUGUCUAAGUCUUCAUUCAAUACAAUUAUAGCAUGGAUAAUAAACGAUUAUCUUGAUACAGGAAUUAUAAUAAUAACUUUAUUUAUCAUUGCAUCUAGGGUAUAAUUCCAACAAGGGAGCCAAGCCAAAGAGAACCUGCAAACCGAGCCUUGACUCCGCUUGUAUUCAACAAUGGCGAGACCAGACCAAUUAGAUCGGAAGGGCUCCACGGCCUACGCAUAACCAUGGUGGAUUGCUCGUGUUGAGACCGGCACCACCGCGUACACGAGCAUCACACUAUUACCACCGGGGCGACCUCUAGAGCCGCCACCUCCACCACUACCACGAUGACCACCACAACCAUGGCCCCAAAAGCCCAGUUGGGACAAGAGAGGAGCCAUAACCACAGUCAAGCCUCAGAUCCACCUCCAAAGCCGAAGCUCUCGCAGGAAGGGCAGAUCGGGCACCAACUCCACUGCGCCUCCGCGCCGAACCACCAGUCGGCGCACCAUCCGCCCCGAAGCAAACCCCGACGGCCAGCCCCGUCGCCGGAGCGGACAGAUCGGGACCGCCCCGAUCUGAGCCUCUGAGCCCGCUCCUGGACAGCCGUCGCAGCAGCCGAGCAGCCCACCCACCUCACCCCGAAACACCGACGCAAGAGCCGCGACGACGCGCCGGCCGUCGCACUCUGCUCGUCGCCCGCCGCCAUGAGAUCCCCAACUCGUGGAGGACGCCGCCGCGGGAGAAAAGAACCGGCCCCGCCGCCGCCAGCUUCAAGCGAGCUUUGCUCGCGGGAGGCACCAGCGACGGCGAGGGGAGGAGGAGGGUGGGGGCGCCGGGGGCCUGUUGGUCGGGGUCGCCGCCCGUGUCGUCCCUGGGGACGGAGCGACGCGGGGGCUGUGUGUGUGUGGGGGGGUAAUUGGUUGUGUUGUUGCAUCUUAUAGGUGAGGUAAUAGAAGAAGCCCAAAACAUAUGUGAAUAGUUGUUCAGAUUACUGAAGUGUACUGCAUGUCUCAACAGGAAAAUGCACUGCUGCAGAUUUGAGCAGACAUUGACCUUAUAUUUAAGAUUGUAUCCAAGGAAAACUGCCCACUGAUCAAAGUGUGCAUAACCAUCUCGAUGAUGAAAACCCAAGAUCUUCGACCGUACAUCGACAACGCUUGUGCAUUGUUUUUUUCUUGAAGGCGUUGCUUUUGGAAAGCCCCAUUUGUAAGAUGGGUGUUCGGUGCAGGUUAAAGUGCUACUGAUGCUAGUGAUUGAUGACUGUGGCAGGGUCUGUUUUUGUUGCUAUUCUUUUUAUUAUAUGUGUGUAUCCUUGAUGCCUUUGAUCAUUUUGUUCGUACAGAGCCCGGGUAUAAUCAGAUUUGCGAUAUCAAUAUAUUUUCUUUGUGAGAAAAAAACUUCAAAAUGUUGGUUAGAAAAAGAGUUCGAGUAACUGAAUAGGGAAGAGCAACAAAGCCAUGUCUUAGUGUCCUCCUCUAUCAUGAGUUUGGGAAGAAAAAAAGGGAUGCAACUUUGACUCCUUCAAAAAAUGAGUUGAAAUAUUAGUUAGAACUAAGUGGUUAUUUACCCCCACCGUAUACUUGUGAUAUGCAUGUGAACAACUAAAGAUUAUGCAUAGCUCAGCUAGCUAACAUGAGAAACUCUAUUACUCAGGAGUUGCACGCCUUUUCAGAGGCAUCACGCUUACUGUGCAGAUGUAACCAACUUUCUGAACAUUGCCGCAUAUCUCCUAAUUAACCAUAUCCACCUUUUCAGUUGGGCUCCUUCCGGUUGUCAUUGGGAUGAGCUUACAUUAUUACUGAACUUCUGAUGUCUUUUUUUCAUGCAGGAAAAUUUAACAGGAAAAUGUUCCGCUGCAAAUCCAGGUUCGCCAUGGAGAAGUGCUCGGUUUGGCUAACUAAGAGCCGUUUAUUUAAUUAAAUCAUAUGGGUGAUCUAAGUUGGAAUUCCAACACAAAACCAAAGGAGUACGACCUUCAAAUACUAUGGAGUACCAUGAGUUGGGUAAAAUCGUCGGCAUGCUGAUUGUUGCUACGCUUCUUUCGAUUAAAAAAACAUAUAUUCAACUGUUCGAUCUCUGUUCUUCCGUCGAGACAUGGUGACCCGGAUGGCUUUACCUGCCGGCGGUCCGUGCGCAAACCCACGGGGUGCUGAGCGGCGCGGCGGGAGCCGAAUGCCCAACGGCGAUAGUGAGUCUAGAACCUGGUAAACCAGAUGCAUCCAUGACGCGGCGGCCAGAAACUUAAUCGGCUUCAUCAAGACUAAACUAUAGCAAACCUUGACGCCAGGGCAUAGUUAGCUUGAAAAACUGUAAAAUAGCAGAUCAUCGCAUACAACAACUCUUUAAUUAGUAACGAGAGAUCCUUGGAGGAUCUCAAACAGACGCGCGGUGGCGCUGUGCGUUAAAUAAAUUUUGCAGCCCCGAAACAGCGUUUUAGAGCAUCUCCAAUGGCAACGUAAAAAAUCCGCACCCAAUAAAUUUUUUAGCGCGCCACUGUAGCAGUUUUGAAGCGUGGGGACCGGAGCAUCUCCAACAGACGCGCGUUAGUGCGGCGCCCAAUCCAGUCCGAUCCAGCGGUCCCAUCUGCAGCAGCUCAGAGUUUGCUGCGCGCGUAAGCCGGCGCACCAAAUAUGCUGCGCGCGAUAGCGUUUUUAAACGCGCGUCCAAAAAUAUUUAGCGCGCGCAGUGUUUUGCAGCUUCUGCUGGAGCAGUCCGGCGCCCAAAAAACGGAUCUUUUAGCGCGCGGAGCAGUUUUUGGACGCUUGUUGGAGAUGCUCAGCACACGCAAAAGGAUGGUUGUUUUUCAAACGCUGUAUAAUUUAACGUGCCACUGUACGCUGCAAAAUCCAGCGGGUGCUCAAUCGUCGUUAAAAAACAUAUACGCAACAGAAACAUUCAAAUUCAAAUGUAAUUUUAUAAGGGAACCACAAGCAAUUUCAUAUGAUGCUAAAUGCAAAUAAAAAUAACAGAACCACAAGCUAGACUAACUCUCGCCCUCCUAGAUGGUGUGGUCCGACAACAUAAACGGUUGACCCGAGGAUCAUCCUUGUCCCAGGUUAAAGCUGUCGGUUGUCUAUCUGGGCAUCGAACGCUUGUCCGCCCGACGCGGGACUCACUCCGCCUUCCAUUGCGCCCAGAAUUCGUUCUAGACGGCGACAUCCUAUGAGAAGAGCACUUGCCACGCCCAGGCCCGGCCCUANNNNNNNNNNNNNNNNNNNNNNNNNNNNNNNNNNNNNNNNNNNNNNNNNNNNNNNNNNNNNNNNNNNNNNNNNNNNNNNNNNNNNNNNNNNNNNNNNNNNNNNNNNNNNNNNNNNNNNNNNNNNNNNNNNNNNNNGGGGGGGGGGGGGGGCGGCCGCCCCGGGCCCCCAAAGUCCAAGGGGCCCUAGCAGGUGGCGCAUGGAAUGGCCCAGGGAUUAGGCAGGGAGUGCACGUAGCCCACGACGAGUGCACGACAUCUGAUCGCUAGGAUCGUUAGGAUAGUAAGUUUUCUAUAGAUGGCGAUGAUCCAUAUACUAUUCCCCUGGCCCUCGAUCGUGAUUUGUUGAUGCUGGACAAACAACAGAAGUACAUCGACGAGCUCUGUCUUCUAAUUAAUCUCCCAAAUUCAGUUACCAAAAACCUAAUUAAAGGCCACAGACGGAAUGCUGCAGGUGCAGAUGUUCAACAAUUCCCUGUUGGACGUCGGCAUGCAAUCUGCCGCUGAUACGUUUCAGGUUUUGCUUCUAUCAAAUGUUCUUUAUUCAAUCAAAUCUUUUCCUGCUGCUGCUACCGGUUUGCUACAAUACCGGUUCAGGCGUUCAUACAAGCAACCCAUUAAGGUGUGUUUUUCAAUCCAUGAAUGGAUAUGUACCACAUCUAGCAAAUGUAUGUCUAAUACUAUAUAAGAUUGUGCUACACAAUAUUAUCAUCUGCAAGAAUUGUGAGAUUUAAUUUAAAGAUGCCUCUCACAAAAGUUCAUGUUUCAUAUGAAAUUGUUAGAUGGGAUUAAUAUUGAUAUCACCAACAAUGACUUUGCAUAUAUGAAUGUCAGAAGAACAUUUUCAAAUAAUGUCAAGAAAUAUACAAGUAACAUUCUCUAUACAGAAAUUGUUAUUUUGAUGAUUAUACUAAGAGGCCUCAGAAUCUAGUCUCGCCCCGGGCCCCCAAAAUUUUAGGACCGGCCCUCGCCACGCCACCAUGGCGGCCUUGUCUGUCUCGGCGACUCUCCUGCUUUCGCUGGAUGUGGCGACCCCGUCGUUGAUUAGAUGUGGGGAGUAGUUCAUCUACGUCUGAGGCUGUCAGAUGCGCCACGCCGCCGUGUCAUACAUGUAGACGGCCUCGUGAGUGGUCUUGAAGGUUUCGAGCCCGAGGUAUGCAUCCUCGGAGCAGAUCUCCGUGUAAUACAAGCCGAAGGGUCGGAGACGGACGCCGCGGUAGCCCGAGCUGCUUCGGGGCGCGGUGGCAUGACGGGGCGCGGGGGCGCGGCAGCGGUAGGGGAGAAGGCGCGGCAGCGGCGGGGCGCUGGAAGAGGCGGGGUGAGAAGGCGCGGAAGGAAAUUCUUGCACUAGGUGAGCGUAGAGAGGCGCGGCUUUUAUAGCGCGUGUUGGGCAUCGCGCGUCAAAGCUGCGGCGCGCUGCCGCUUUCCCCAUACGUGGGAUAAAAAAAAUUGCAUGCCCGAUUUUUUUCGCGCCUGCUGGAGCGCGCCACGUGGCCUCUCGCAAGCCAAAACAAUCGUUUUUCUCACGUGCGGCUUUUUUAGUGCGCCUGUUAAAGAUGCCCUUAUAUCGCUACAACAAAACACUACAGCUAUAGUAUGUGCGGCUAUUGUAGAUUGGAGAUUCUGAUGCAUUUCUUCUGCAUCAACUGAUGUACAAGUCGUCUUUAUUCUGUUAUUUAACAAGGACUUAUAAAAUAAAGCAUAUAGAUCAAUUUAAAGACAUCAUUCUGGGUACAAGAUUUAAUGAUGUGCCCUGUCCUUAUGCCACGCUCAUCAAGAAAUUUGAUGGCCUCACCAAGCUGCCUGGCGUCUAGCUAGGAGCACCAAUUGGUCUAGCGGACCCUUACAAUCCACCGCAUGCGCAUGCUGUAAGAAUCCGUCGCCGCCUUCCUCCGUUGUCCCAUCUUUAGGAGCAAUCAAUGCAAUGGUAUUGUCAAACCCUUUUGUCGUCGAUGCUACCUGACACCGGACAACGUCAUCCUCCUGCGCAUGCCUGCCAAACGCUAUCCAUUGUUGAGACCCCGCUGCACCUUGCCGCCAUGACUCACCGUGUCGAUACUAUAAUACUAUAGAUGGCAUGCCGCUCCAGCUUGAUCACCACACAAGAAGAAUACGUAGACCGAGGCACAGCCACCACGCCAAACAGAAGCCCCUCCAGCCAUUGUACAACCCCAAAAAUGAUGCCCCAUGAGAAUGACGACGUAGAAAUCUCGCCAUCAUCCGAUCCGUAAAGCCCAAAUCUUGGAUUUCCCCGAGGUAUAUAGGGAACGAAAAUUAUUAUGUCAACCUCGCUGCACCCAUGCUAAGUUCAGUUGUGUCAUGUUAUUUCAGCUAUCUCAUAAGCGUAUCUGUACGCAGUUUCUUUAAGACUUUAGCCAGAAACGUGCUUGGUUCACGUUGCGGCAGUGUGAGUCGUAGUGUAGACAGAGUCCUUGUUUACUUAGUCAAGUAAUCGUGCAAGGGUCUGGCCACGAUCUGUCCGUGGGAUGGCACGGAGAAAACGGAUCGUGAUCAGCGCAUUGUGCGAGUUUGUUAUACAGCUGAAUAAAAGGAAUGAGCAGAAAAGACGCAGCGGUUACGCGUCGCAAAAAUCUCCCUGUUCGCUGCGUUCGUGCAGCUCGUCUUUCUCCUUCAGUUCAUCUCAGGUGUGUCCACCUCGCGUGAGUGUGUCGAUCCAAGGCUGGUUCUAACACUUGGUAUUCAGAGCCUGGUUCACGUACGGCGGCGGAGGUAGGAGGAGUUGUGGCGGCGGAGAUCGACGAUGGGCGACACUUCACCGAGCGGCAGCGGCGGCGGAAAGUACACGCCGCCGGCAAGGAGGCCUGGUGAUGAGGGCACGGCCGCGGAGGUGGCGAUCGUACCGCGCAUGCCGACGAGGACCGGCGGCGUCCCGAUCCAGUAUCCCAUGCUCACGGACUCGAACUAUGGUCUGUGGGCGGUGAAGAUGAAGCUGCUCCUUCGCCCCUACGGUGUCUGGCCGGCGAUCGAGGGGACAGGCGAGUUUAAUCAAAACAGGGAUGACGAAGCCUUUGCUGCCUUGUCUCAGUCUGUUCCCGACUCGGUGAUGAUGGCAGUGGCUGAAUGCACUAGCGCUCACGAGGCCUGGGAAGCGAUCCGGCGCAUGCGUGUCGGUGAGGACCGCGUCAAGAAGGCGCGGAUCAAGCAGUUGAAGCGACAGCUCGACCGCAUGGAGAUGGACGAUGGUGAGUCCGUUAGUGUGUUUGCGCAGAAAUUGCUGACUCUCGUCGGAGAAAUCCGAUCGUUGGGCGAGACGGUGUCAGAUGAGUCGAUCAUUGAGGUCCUCUUCAACGCCGUCCCGAGCCGGUUUGGGGACAUCGUGAACACCAUUGAGCAGUGGGGUGACCUCACUACCAUGACCGUGUCGGAGGCGGUUGGUCGCCUCGCCGCGUUUGAAGAGAGCCAACGCGGGCGGCGCCGUCAAUCCGGUGGGAAGGAGGACCAGCUGAUGCUGAUGACACAGGCCCUUGAGCAGCUCAUGAAGGGCAAAAAUGGGCCACCGGGAGCCGGCAGUAGCAACGCUGGUCGUGGCCGCGGAGGUGGUCGAGGUCGAGGCGGUGGCCGCGGUAACCGCGGACAAGCCGGGCGCGGCGAGAACAAGGACGUGGAGAAGCAGAAGAAACACCGUAAGUUCGACAUCACUAAGGUCAGGUGUUUUAACUGUAAUAAGAUGGGACAUUUUCAGUCAGACUGUCCAGAGCCCAAACGAGAGCAGGCAAAUUUUGCCCAGGAGGAGGAGGCAGAUGAGCAACCUCUGCUCAUGAUCGCAGCAUGUCAGCUGGCCCCAGCAAAGAUCGAGUUGAAGGAACAAGUGUUCUUGAAUGAGAAGCAGGUGCUUCCGAAGCUAAGCGGUGAUUGGGACAUCUCCUGGUACUUGGACACCGGAGCAAGCAAUCAUAUGACCGGUUGCCGCGACAAGUUUGCAGAGCUCGAUGAGGCAGUAAACGGCAAGGUCAAAUUUGGCGAUGGUUCUGCUGUGGACAUCCGUGGACGAGGUUCAGUUCUCUUGAAGUGUCUCACAGGUGAGCACCGGGUUCUGACGGAUGUAUACUUCAUUCCUCGACUUAAGAACAACAUUAUCAGUUUGGGCCAGCUAGAUGAAAAUGGAUGCAAGUAUGCAAGUGAGGAUGGAGUAAUGACCGUGUGGGACAGAGAAAGAAAUGUUCUUGCACGAGUGAAUAGGACCAAGAACAGGAUGUAUAUACUGAACAUCCAGCCCACUGAACCUGUGUGUCUGCUUGCUCACGCUAAGGAUCAAGCAUGGUUGUGGCACAUGAGGUAUGGACAUGUAAAUUUCAGGUCACUUCGUACACUUGCAGCAGAAGAGAUGGUACAUGGCAUGUCGUACCUCGACCGGGUGGAGCAAAUCUGUGAUGGGUGCAUGAUAGCAAAACAGAGACGCCUCUCCUUCCCAGUUCAGGCGACUUACCGCGCAACGGAGCAACUUCAGCUCAUCCAUGCAGACUUGUGCGGACCUAUAACACCUGAAACGCCUGGCGGAAAGAGGUAUUUUCUUUUGUUAGUGGAUGACCACUCUCGGUUCAUGUGGAUUACUCUGUUGCGGAGCAAAGAUGAAGCUCUCAAUGGACUGCAGAAAAUCCAAAAGGCAGCUGAAGUUGAAAGUGGGCAUCAGUUAAAGGAAAUUAGAACAGACCGAGGGGGUGAGUUUACGUCAAGAGAAUUUGCAGAGCACUGUGAGCGGCACGGAAUCAAGCAUUUUCGCACGUCACCGUAUAGCCCACAACAAAAUGGUGUGGUUGAAAGGAGAAACCAAACCGUGGUGGGCAUGGCGCGCAGUCUGCUGAAAAGUAUGGGGGUGCCACCUCGGUUUUGGGGUGAAGCAGUGACCACUGCCGUAUAUUUGCUGAACAGAUCGUUGACAAAGAGUGUCAAGGAGAAAACACCAUAUGAGGCUUGGUAUGAGAAAAAGCCGUCAGUUCAACAUCUUCGUACUUUUGGUUGUGUUGCUCAUGUGAAGAAGGUUGGGCCCGGCGUGUCAAAACUCUCUGAUAGAAGCUCACAAAUGAUCUUUAUUGGUUAUGAACCUGGCUCCAAAGCCUACCGCAUGUAUGACCCUGAAAGCAAGAAACUUGUUGUAUCACGAGAUGCAGUGUUCGAGGAAGACAGGUGUUGGGAUUGGAGCAUCUCGGGAUCAGUGGAAAGUAGCGAUGGAAGUUCAUUUGUUAUCAGCUACCCAGAACAACCAAAUUGUGACGAAGCAGGAGAGGUAGCAGAAGACGUUGCCCCGGAGGCGGAUUCAUCAAGUAGAACCCCUGCAAUGGCAGCGCCUCGGCUGGGUGAUAGAACAAGACGUGCUAACGACGGGUCUGCGAUCCCGCUGGACCUAGAAGCCUCUCCGGUGACUCCUGCUUAUGCUCCUGGUUCUCCUGACACACCGUACUCCGAGCCUUCCGAGGGCCCACAAGGCAAGCGCCUUCUGGAUGAUGUCUAUGAGGAAACGACAGAGGUAGAGGCAGCCUACUCAGGCCUCUGUUUAUUUGGUAUGGAAGAACCUGCCAAUCACUUCGAGGCGAUGAAAGAGUCGUGUUGGCAGAGAGCUAUGCAGGAUGAAUUGAGCUCCAUUGAGGCAAAUAGUACAUGGCACCUUUGUGACCUGCCAAAGGGAUGCAGGCCCAUUGGUCUGAAGUGGAUUUAUAAGAGAAAGAAGGAUCCCAAUGGAGUUGUAGUCAAACACAAGGCGAGGCUGGUAGCUAAAGGGUAUGUACAACGCCAAGGGGUCGAUUUUGAGGAAGUUUUUGCUCCUGUUGCACGCUUGGAAUCUGUCAGACUUCUAGUGGCACUUGCUGCACAAUUUGGUUGGAAAAUGCAUCAUAUGGAUGUUAAAUCAGCGUUUCUCAACGGUGAUCUGAAUGAAGAAGUCUAUGUGAGCCAACCGCCGGGGUUUGAGAUUGCCGGAUGUGACAGCAAGGUGUACAGACUUAAGAAGGCUCUCUACGGCCUUCGACAAGCUCCAAGGGCAUGGAACUCAAAAUUGGAUACUACUCUCACUGAAUUUGGCUUUGAAAAAUGCCCUUCCGAGUCGGGUCUGUACAGGAAAAGGGCAGCUAAGUCAGUACUGAUAGUGGGUGUGUAUGUUGAUGAUUUGAUUAUCACUGGCGGCAGUGACCGUGCCAUCAAAGAAUUCAAGGACCAGAUGAAGUCUAAGUUUAGCAUGAGUGACUUGGGUCUACUAAGUUAUUACCUGGGUAUUGAAGUUAAGCAAUCAGAAGAAGGUAUUGUUUUGUGCCAAUCAGGUUAUGCUUCCCGGAUCCUUGAGAAAAUGGGGAUGUCAGACUGUAAGUCAGCCCAAACCCCACUGGAACCCAGGCUGAAACUCAGCAAGAACAGUAAGGCUAAAGAAACUGAUGCAACUCAAUACAGGAGUUUAGUGGGGAGUUUGAGAUACUUACUUCACACACGUCCUGAUCUCAGUUUUGCAGUGGGUUUUGUUGGCAGAUUUAUGGAGAAGCCCACAACAGAGCAUUUGGUCACAGUCAAAAACAUUUUGAAGUACGUAAAAGGAACACUCAACCUUGGAUGUGUCUACAACAAGUCUAGAGAGUAUGCGCCUCAACUGAUAGGAUACAGCGACAGUGAUCAUGCGGGAGACAUUGAUGAUCGCAAAAGUACUUCAGGUGUUCUGUUUUACUAUGGUGGCUGUCCCAUAACCUGGACAUCGCAAAAACAGAAAAUCGUCGCUCAGUCUUCCUGUGAGGCUGAAUAUGUAGUUGCUGCAUCAGCAGCUUGUCAAGGGAUUUGGUUAGCUAGGCUUCUUGGAGAAUUACUGGAUCAGAAGCCAAACAAGGUACUACUGAAAGUGGAUAAUCAAUCAGCCAUUUCCUUGUGCAAAAAUCCUGUGUACCACGAGCGAAGCAAGCACAUUGAGAUAAAAUAUCACUUCGUGAGAAGCUGUGUUGAGGAGGGGAAGAUCAUUGUGGAACAUAUAAGAACUGAAGAACAGCUUGCUGACAUGUUAACAAAGUCACUUCCUAGGGUUCGGUUCCAGGAGAUGAAGGAGAUGAUCGGAUUGCGUGAUGUGAAGUGAGUGCAGCAGAGAUUAAGGAGGUGAAUAUUAUGUUAACCUCGCUGCACCCAUGCUAAGUUCAGUUGUGUCAUGUUAUUUCAGCUAUCUCAUAAGCGUAUUUGUACGCAGUUUGUCUAAGACUUUAGCCAGAAACGUGCUUGGUUCACGUUGCGGCAGUGUGAGUCGUAGUGUAGACAGAGUCCUUGUUUACUUAGUCAAGUAAUCGUGCAAGGGUCUGGCCACGAUCUGUCCGUGGGAUGGCACGGAGAAAACGGAUCGUGAUCAGCGCAUUGUGCGAGUUUGUUAUACAGCUGAAUAAAAGGAAUGAGCAGAAAAGACGCAGCGGUUACGCGUCGCAAAAAUCUCCCUGUUCGCUGCGUUCGUGCAGCUCGUCUUUCUCCUUCAGUUCAUCUCAGGUGUGUCCACCUCGCGUGAGUGUGUCGAUCCAAGGUUGGUUCUAACAAAAAUCACCCCAAUACACCUUUAACGAGGUUGGGACGCCCGCAGGUGCCGCUAUCGACAGUUCUGGCCAAAGCCGAACCAUGCUUUCGCUGGCAAAUUUUCGCCCAUCCCCAGGUCGACCACCAGAUCAACAUCCUCUGUCAUCUAGCACACCCAUGGGUGAUGUCUGUUGCCGGGAAACCGCAUGACCGGAGCCGCACCACCGCCCCGCCUAUAUGAGCCAACAGCGGUGCUGGCCUGCUGGGUCCCUCACCAUUGCCCCGCCGCUGCCGUCGACGCACACAUUCAGGACACCCGUGCAAAUCUCCACCGCAACUGAAUCCCGGAGCGGCGGAGGAAGGCCAGCCACCACCAUCAUCCCAUGCCUAGGCUUUGCCCCGUGGAGCUCCCGCGGCAGAGAGUAGAGGGGCGGAUAUUCGGUUGGCUCUGGUACAAUUCCAUACUGGAGAUAACAAAACUGUAUAGACAAUUUCCUCCGUUCAAUCAUCAGUUGGGAGAAAUGGUAAACAACUUUGCCUUCCGGUAAAAAUGUGAUGAUAUAUUAGUUCGAGUUGAACAUGAAUAUUUACCCGUGAUGCACGUACAUUGCAAGUGAACAACACGAGAAACACGAUUACUGAUCAUGAACUUCACGCCACUCGAUAGCAUCACACUUGUCACGCAUUAAUUUGACCAAAGUUUUGAGCAUUGCCCACUCUUUCUCUUUAUAUAUCUCUAAAUCGUAUGCACCUUUUCUAUGUUGCUUCCGUUGGUCAUUAGUGUAUGACUAUAUAAUUACUACUGAACUUUUCGUGUGUUCUCUUGCCAUGGCCAAAGGCUGGGGUUUACUCCCCUUUGGGAAAAAAAAAAGUGUUCUCUUGCCGAUGAGUUGAGAUUUUAGAAGAAACUGGGACAAAUUGAGGACAAGUAGCGCAUCGGUGAUGGGUCUGUGCCUGAUGUAGAUCCAAACAUCCAUGGGCCUGUAUCUCUGACAGAAUUUAUGUCUCAUCAAGACUUGAGAGACUUUAUAUGCAAGCCCGGCAAAAACGGACCGAUUUUAUCCCGUGGAAAAGUGCCUAGUUUGUUCGAGUCAAUUGUGUAGUGUGUCCUCUCAUUAUGUCCAUUGGGAGAAGGUAAACCCAAUUUUGUAGAGUGGAGGCAAGUAUGUAAAUUCAUCAUUUGCUUCUUCCAAAUAAUUAAAGAGCAAUGCAAUAUGAUAAUUCUUCCUCCAAGAGAGAUUGUAGACACGAAGUUAUCCAUCCACACAAUGUUUAUAUUAUCAAAUUGUCACCAUCCGUGAAUGCGAACACCCGAUCUUUAGAUGUUAGGCCAGUCUGGUUGUUUUUUUAGGCUGUGAGUUCUUAUCUUCGCAUGACAUGCCUGGGAGUGUUCUUUGUCUGUAAUAAGUCCAUCCGUAAUCGUUGACCUGGGUCAAGAUUCAGAAGGAGGCAACGUACUUCAGUUCCUAUCAGCGGCCGGUAUGGUUCUGACUGCAAUAUCUAAAGAGUAUCUCUAGAAACCUAAACCUCAAAAUGCAACUUUUCUUCCAGUUCAAUGGACACUGCAAGUCUGAUGCAUGACCAGCAGAUGAUCAUAGUUUGUAGUUUAGACGCAAACUGCAAUUCUAGGAAGGCAUACGAAGAUAGAUGAUUAAGACAGUGUGGUACAUAGGCGAAGUUUGAAAUGUAAUCACAGUCGGUAGAUAUGAGAAAUGAACCUAGGAAAGUGAUUGUUUAUCACAUUCAGAUAGUCUAACNNNNNNNNNNNNNNNNNNNNNNNNNNNNNNNNNNNNNNNNNNNNNNNNNNNNNNNNNNNNNNNNNNNNNNNNNNNNNNNNNNNNNNNNNNNNNNNNNNNNNNNNNNNNNNNNNNNNNNNNNNNNNNNCAUUCAGAUAGUCUAACCAGUACCUCUACUGAUUUUAGGAGUUCAAUUGCAUGCUUUGACUUGAAAAACGGGAUGCAAACCAAUCGAUUUGAGCUUAAUGUCAGCGUCAAUAGUGUAAGAUGGAUUCCUUCAUGCUCUGGUUGCAUUAUGGUCAUGUUGUUAACUCCUCAUGAGCNNNNNNNNNNNNNNNNNNNNNNNNNNNNNNNNNNNNNNNNNNNNNNNNNNNNNNNNNNNNNNNNNNNNNNNNNNNNNNNNNNNNNNNNNNNNNNNNNNNNNNNNNNNNNNNNNNNNNNNNNNNNNNNNNNGUUAACUCCUCAUGAGCUAGACACACCAUUCAGUAGCAUCACACCUUUUGAGCUGCUAAGUUGGUCAUACUCACCAAAGAUAAUUUGAUUAGAAGAAGAUGGGUGGGUAAUCCUAGAUGUUGCUUUGUGACAACAAUGAAACAAUCAAACACCUCUUUCUCGAAUGCCCUUUGGCUAGACUGUUAUGACGCGCCAUUCAUAUAGCUUUCAAUAUUAAUACUCCAUUAAGUAUGAACAUGUUAUUUGGGACGUGGCUUCAUGGGGUGGAAACCAACACAGUAAAGCAAAUUAGGAUAGGAGCAUGUGCUUUAUUAUGUGCUAUUUGGAAUAGCAGGAAUCNNNNNNNNNNNNNNNNNNNNNNNNNNNNNNNNNNNNNNNNNNNNNNNNNNNNNNNNNNNNNNNNNNNNNNNNNNNNNNNNNNNNNNNNNNNNNNNNNNNNNNNNNNNNNNNNNNNNNNNNNNNNNNNNNNNAGGAAUGAUAUGAUUUUUAACAACAAUAGAUUCAACAAUUUCUUACAGGUCAUAUACAGAGCAACAUCUUGAUCUGUACGUGGUCGUUACUCACGCCUGCGGAGUCCAGGGAUCGUUUGGUUAUUGGGUGCAACCGAUGGAAGACGGCAGAGCGGGCUAUCUUCAACCAAUAUGGAUGGCGGCACACUAACAGGCUAGGUGUAUAGGCAUUUUAGUCUGAGUUUCAUUUUGCCCAUGCUGACAUGUAUUUCUUUUUUUUAUUGAGAGACUUCAUGCUCAUUUUGUACCUUGUACUAUGGUUCAACCUUUGAGAUUAAAUAAAAUGGCUGCAUGCAUCAUCAUGAUGCAGAGGCCGGGGUCCUCCUCCUUUUCAAAAAAAAAGUUGACUGAAGUUUUGACUAUUGAUUGGUGUUCGCUCUGUCCCUAUGUGUACUUUAGACUAUUUACACCUUCAGACUUUUGUGUUCCUUUGAGUAGUCUUCAGGUUAUGGAGUGAUGAAUUAGACAGACGUCUUCAGUGUGUUCAUGCUAAUGAGGUGAUAUUUUAGCAGAAACUGAAAAGGAGANNNNNNNNNNNNNNNNNNNNNNNNNNNNNNNNNNNNNNNNNNNNNNNNNNNNNNNNNNNNNNNNNNNNNNNNNNNNNNNNNNNNNNNNNNNNNNNNNNNNNNNNNNNNNNNNNNNNNNNNNNNNNNNNNNNNNNNNNNNNNNNNNNNNUGUUCGGAUUACUUGCGUGUACGUCUCCGGUCCUUAAGCUUGGCAUUGACAUGAUACGCCAUCUUGCUAGUGCCGUGAGAUUAUAAAAGAAACUGAAAAAGAAAUGUGAAUAGUUAUUGGUACUCGAAGUGUGUAGGAUGAAACCAUAAUCUUUGUGCUCAAUGUAUUUAGGAUGAAGACAUAACUUUUGUGCUCUUGAUGCACGAUUUAAUCGAGUACUAGCUCACUCGUGUUUCACGUGAUGAAGUUAGCGGUUGCUCGAUUUUGCUUUUACAGAUUGUGAAUCAAUAGUCUGUUUAACUACGUAUUCCCGAAUGCGCUUGUGAUUAUCCCGGCGGCCUUUGAUGUGAAGCUUUCAGUUAAAAAGCGAAGUGCAAUUUUCAACAAGACGGACAAACAAUGAUAGAUGAAAGGCAUGGAAUCCUCAAUGAAAUCUACGAGUGAAAUGCGUCAUUAGUCCAUCAACUUAAACUGUAACUGUUUGCACACUCUAGGCCAACAACUCGAGAAGUUACCGGAUUUAGUAUGCAAACUCAUUGAUUUGAUCAAAAAAGGCAAAAAUCGGCUCGGGAAUUAAAAAAACCGGUCACGUGGAUACCAUUUCAUCGCUCUGUUGACCGCUCGUGNNNNNNNNNNNNNNNNNNNNNNNNNNNNNNNNNNNNNNNNNNNNNNNNNNNNNNNNNNNNNNNNNNNNNNNNNNNNNNNNNNNNNNNNNNNNNNNNNNNNNNNNNNNNNNNNNNNNNNNNNNNNNNNNNNNNNNNNNNNNCUGUUGACCGCUCGUGACUUCACCAACUCAAGAAGUGAUUGAGCGUUUGGAGGGAUCUUCUGAUUUUUUUUUUCUCUCUCUCCUGAUUCUACAUGAAGAAACAAGCGGGCUGUGAAUUGUUGUGCAAGCCUGGUGNNNNNNNNNNNNNNNNNNNNNNNNNNNNNNNNNNNNNNNNNNNNNNNNNNNNNNNNNNNNNNNNNNNNNNNNNNNNNNNNNNNNNNNNNNNNNNNNNNNNNUAUUUUUUGACCUGGUGGUAAAUCUAUCACAAACUAGCAGUGGCGGGCACUAGUAGAUGCCCGCCACCAGUAACGAAAAAAGUAGUGGCAGGCGGUAAUAUGUGCCCACCACUAGUAUUUUUGGUCUCAAGGCAAAUCUGUCCAAAAACUACCAGCGGGGGCCAUAGUUAAUGCCCACCACUAGUAGAUAUAAUAGCAGUGAGAAGCUAUAUUUUGUACCCGCCACUAGUAUGUUUCCUGUUAUUUUUCCGUAAUGCUCGUAUUUUAGUAUUUUAUGUUUACUCUUACGGGCUAACUGUUUUUUGCAUUAAAGGUACGUCAUUUAAACUGUCAUGUAAGAGUUUCACCCAUUUUAAUGUUAAUUAACUACUUUUAGGACAUUAAAUUUGUUUUUAGGUAGGUAAUGGAGGUAAGUCCAGUUAAAGACUUAAAUACAUAGACAGAUCCGAAAGGAUGGCAAAUUUUGGCGUGUCAAUGUAAUAGUGUAUGUUAGCUGUGGGACAUAUUUGAACCCUAACUGAGAAAGCAGUGGUCGUUUCGUAUACAAAUUUGUCUCUUGUAAACGGAUAGAAAUGCAUUUAAUUGCUUAAAUAUAGCAAAAAGAUAACGGAAAAUGCAAUUUUUUUACAUGACACAUUUAAUGGUGUGUACUAAGUGUAACAAAAUUUCAAUGUCAAUAGACAAAACAUCGUUAGAUUCACAUACAAACUUGACAUGUUUCCUCUUGAUGGUUCGAUUGGUAAAUAAUCUACGUGAAAACUCCCAUGAAACAUUCUCAUUUUUUUACCACCAAAUACAUAAGCUAAAAUACAGCUAACUUAACCACUUUCCCGUCAUCGCCAUUAACAGCCGAGGGGAAAAACCUAUUCGUCGCUCUGUGCGAAACCUUGUCGGGACUUUGCACAGAGCGGGAGGGAGAUCGAUUUCAAAUGGAAUGGCUCAUUUAUCGGGUUUGCAGCGCCUCAGCUUUGGAAACCUACUAGAGGUUCCGAGUCGGUGUUUUUUCUGGUUUUGGGAAACUUAUUGAAGGUUCCAUGAAUCGGUAUUUUUUCUUUUUCUUUUUCUUCAGUUUUUUCUGUUUCUUUUUUUCUAUUUUGUUUCUGUUUCAAACAAAUGUAUUAGAUUUUCAAAAAAUGUUUUUGGCUUUUCAAAAAAGUUCUUAACAUGAAAAAAAAUGAACUAUGUUUUCCCAAAACUGUUCUUGGUUUCAAAAUUUGUCUUUAAGAUUCAAUUUUUUCUCGGUUUCAAAAUUUGUUCUUAAGAUUCAAAAAAUGUUUGUGCUUUAAAAAAUUGUUCGCGCUUCAAAUUUGUUAGGUUUAUUUCGAAAUUGUUCUCCUUUUCAAAAUUUUGUUCUCAAGACUAAAAAAAGUUCGUGCAUUAAAAAAAUUGUUCACACUUCCAAAUUUGAUUAGAUAUUUUCAAAAUAGUUCUCGGUUUCAAAAUUUCUUCUAAAGGUUCAAAAAAUGUUUCUAUUUUAAAAAAUUGUUCCUGCUUCCAAAUUUCUUCCAUGUUUUUUAAAAUUGUCCUCCAUUUCACAGUUUUGUCUUCCAGAUUCAAAAAAUGUGCAUGCUUUCAAAAAUUCUUUGCGCUUCCAAAUUUAUUCAGGAUUUUUCAAAAUUGUUCUCAAAAUUCAAAUAAUCGUCAUGCUUUAAAAAUUUGUACACGCUUCCAAAAUUUUACGGGGUUUUUCAAAAUUGUUCUCAAUUUGAAAAUUUUGUUCACAAGAUUCAAAAAAUGUUCGUGCUUUAAAAAAUUGCUAGUUCUUCCAAAUUUGUUCACGAUUUUCCAAAAUGGUUUUCAAUUUUAAAAUUUGUUCUCAAAAUUCAGAACAUUUUCUUGCUUUAAAAUUUGUUUGCGCAUUCAAAUUUGAUUGGGGUUUUUCAAAAUUAUUCUCCUUUUUAAAAUUUUAUUCACAAGAUUAAAUAAACGUAUUAGCAUUGUCCUUAUAUCUAUGAUAUUAGCCGCAGUGAAUGUCAAGAUCUGUCAUACCUUUGACAGCAGAAUCGGCACUUCAGGGAAAUCACAGUUUUUUGACUAUCGGACCCUUCCCAAGUGAAUCUGACGAAAAAGGGUUCCCCCCGCGUUGUAUUACAAAACAACCAACAAGACCAUCCAUCGAUUGAUGCUGGGGCGGAAACAGCACAGACAUGCCCAAAACAAAUGAAAAAAAAACAAAAAAAAAAACAAAUGCCGACACCGACGGAUCGACAAAAAACACAAAAAGACUCGCGACCGCUGCGCCCACCAACAGUCUCACACCAAGCUCCAAGACUUGCCAAGUGAAUCUCCAAAGCGAAAAUAUUCCUUGGCAAGUAAAUGAGGAAUAACUGCAACCAUCAUAUGGUAUUUAAUAUCUACAUAAAAAAUAAAUAAAAGCUAGAUACAUUGCCACAAAGAUUACAAGUAAGGGGACAAUGUCAAGACAAAAUAUAAGUUUAAAGGAACAUACCUUUUUUCCAUUGAGCAGAAUAACCAGAGAAAAUAAAUAAAUCAAACUAUGUGUCUAUUUAACCAUUGAUAGUCGUCAUCAGAUGUUACUACCACAAACUUGUAAAUUGUAUCAAGAGUGUCUGUCUUGGUUGUUUACUGUGUCAGUCUUUCUGGAAACUGCCCUUUGCUUUCAGCAAAAAACUUUACAUCCCUGUUGAUGUGUAUCUGAUCACUCACUAGUUACUACCUUAGAAACCAGAUUUCUAUCUUGACAAGUGCUGAUACGGCAAGUUGGCACACAACUUGCAAACAACUUGCAAAAAAGGAGUAGGAAAAGACAUGCCAAGGACGCUGGUAGGCUUACGUAUCGGUUAAUCAUAAGCGCAUUUGGCAAUCGUAAUUAAACAAUAUUGUUGAUUCGUAAUCUUUAAAAGCAAAACUGAGCAACCACUAGGCGUGUAUAGUUUUUUGCCGGUUUUACUCAAUUAACCAUGCAUUGUAUCGGGUUUUCGUCCGGUUAUCCCAGAUUAACCAGGCAAUUCUAUUCUUCUUAAUGAAAUGCAGGAACCCCCUGUCCCUCUUAAGGUGUUCCAAAAAAAAUUCAGUGAGCUAGUACGUACUUGAUUAAUUCAUCCCUCUAGAGCACAAAAAUUAUGGCUUCGUCCUACAGCCUUUGAGCAUCGAACAAUUUUCAUAUCAGGACAAUGCAAGCUUGAUGUCUAGAGAAGUACUACAAUGUAAUAGAAAUACAUGGUAAACUCCUACACAAACCAAGAUGAAGCUUCUUCCUACUUCACUCCCUUUUCCACCAUGGUCAACUCCUUCCUCCUUUUCCACUACUUCUCCUCUCCCUUUGUCCUUCUUCUCUUUUUUCUUUCUUUUCCUCAUGGAGCAGCCGGCUCCCCUGCAAGCCAGCACAAGAGGUUCCCAUAGCCUGCAGGGCAGCUAGUUCAAGCCACCCGAUGACCAUGGUUAUACUAUUCACAUAUCAUUUCCAAUUUCUUCUAAUAUCUCACCUCACUAGAAAGCAGAUAAACCGUAAGUCACAAACCUCUAUACAUAGCCCCAUAUUUUGAGGACCAACCAAAGGAAUGCAAACACAAAAGGUGUAAAUGAUCUAAAGUAUAUAAAGUAGCAGAGCGAGCAAACUUCGGUUAGAUUAGCAGGUCAAAAGUGUGAUUUUGCUGAAUGGUGUCUAGCUCAUGAAGAGUUAGCUAGAAUGACCAUAAUGCAAUAAAAGCAUGAUGGAAUUCAUCAUGCGCUACCAAUGUGGGCAUUAAGCUCGAAUCAGUUGCGAUCCACAUUUCUAAGUCAAAAUUUGCAACUAAACUCUCAAAAUCAGCAGGGGUACCGAUUAGACUAUCUAAAAGUUGCAUUGGCAAGAUAAGCUUGAUAACCUAAAUGUAUACAGGUUGAUGAACAAAGACUUAUCUCUAAGUUAGGUCGAAUAAUUUCCCAUGCGUACCAAACCAUACUGUGAUUACAGUACAAACUUCUAUUUGUACAAAGAAUGUCUCGUCAUGAUGAAUUUCUUUGUGGUUGAUUGGUUUUCUACCAGACCGCCACACCUUGGUCUAGCUUCCUACUAUGGCGCCAUAGGUCAUCAGACGAGCUCAGGUCACCGGCGACCUCCUCUAUAGCCCCUGAAAGGUCUCUUGCAGUUUAACAACGGCAGGACUGAGAGGCCUCCUCCCGUAUCUCGACUCUAGUUUAGAGAUGGACAUAAAUCUUACGGGAUAAGGCCACCAGUCUACACACUUCAAUUCGGAUUCUCUCUAUAAAAAUACAGAGUACUUCUCAAUCAGACGCGCUUUAUACACUUCAACUUAAACAAGCUGAGCACUUCUCCGUUGCACAAAAUCGGUCCAUUUUGCGGGCUUGUAUUAAUGGCGGGUGCAAUCUAGCACCUGCUACUGUUAUUAUUAGUGGCGGCUAAGAAAAUCGGCCCGCCACUUCUAUUGGCUUACCAAUGGCUGGCGUCAGUUUGUGCCCGUCACUUGUAACAACUCUCCAGAUUUGUCAUGGGACAAAUUUUUACCAGUGGCGGGCACAAACUGGAGACCGCCACUAAUAGGUGACUUACCAUUGAUGGGAGGCAAUACGUGUCCGCCACCGGUAUUUUUUGACCUGGUGGUAAAUCUAUCACAAACUAGCAGUGGCGGGCACUAGUAGAUGCCCGCCACCAGUAACGGAAAAGUAGUGGCAGGCGGUAAUAUGUGCCCACCACUAGUAUUUUUGGUCUCAAGGCAAAUUUUUCCAAAAACUACGAGUGGGGCCCAUAGUUAAUGUCCACCACUAGUAGAGAUAAUAGCAGUGAGAAGCUAUAUUUUGUACCCGCCACUAGUAUUUUUCCUGUUAUUUUUCCGUAAUGCUCGUAUUUUAGUAUUUUAUGUUUAGUCUUACGGGCUAACUGUUUUUUGCACUAAAGGUACAUCAUUUAAACUGUCAUGUAAGAGUUUCACCCAUUUUAAUGUUAAUUAACUACUUUUAGGACAUUAAAUUUGUUUUUAGGAAGGUAAUGGAGCUAAGUCCAGUUAAAGACUUAAAUACAGUAGACAGACCCGAAAGGAUGGCAAAUUUUGGCGUGUCGAUGUAAUAGUGUAUGGUAGGUGUGGGACAUAUUUGAACCCUAACAAAGAAAGCAACGGUCGUUUCGUACACAAAUUUGUCUCUUGUAAAUGACUAGAAAUGCAUUUAAUUGCUUAAAUAUAGCAAAAAAAUCAUGGAAAAUGCAAUUUUUUUACAUGACACAUUUAAUGGUGUGUACUGAGUGUGAACAAAAUUUCAAUGUGAAUAGACAAAACAUCGUUAGAUUCACAUGCAAACUUGACAUGUUUCCUCUGGAUGGUCCGAUUGGUAAAUAGUCUACGUGAAAACUCCCAUGAAACAUUCUCCUUUUUUUACCACCAAGUACAUAAGCUAAAAUACGGCUAACUUAACCACUUUCCCGUCAUCGCCAUUAACAGCCGAGGGGAAAACCCUAUUCGUUGCUCUGUGCGAAGCCUUGUCGGGACUUUGCACAGAGCGGGAGGGAGAUGGAUUUCAAAUGGGAUGACUCAUUUAUCGGGUGUGCAGUGCCUCGACUUUGGAAACCUACUAGAGGUUCCUAGUCGGUUUUGUUUUUCUGGUUUUGGGAAACUUAUUGAAGGUUCCAUGAAUCGGUAUUUUUUCUUUUUCAUUUUUUUCAAUUUUUUCUGUUUCUUUUUUUCUAUUUUGUUUCUGUUUCAAACAAAUGUUCUAGAUUUUCCAAAAAUGUUUUUGGCUUUUCAAAAAGUUCUUAAUAUUAAAAAAAUGAACUAUAUUUUCCCAAAACUGUUCUUGGUUUCGAAAUUUGACUUUAAGAUUCAAUUUCUUCUCGGUAUCAAAAUUUGUUCUUAAGAUUCGAAAAAUGUUCGUGCUUUAAAAAAUUGUUCGCGCUUCAAAUUUGUUCGUUUUUUUUCGAAAUUGUUUUCCUUUUCAAAAUUUUGUUCUCAAGACUAAAAAAAGUUCGUGCAUUAAAAAAUUGUUCACGCUUCCAAAUUUUAUUAGAUAUUUUCAAAAUAGUUCUCGGUUUCAAAAUUUCUUCUAAAGGUUCAAAAAAUGUUUCUGUUUUAAAAAAUUGUUCAUGCUUCCAAAUUUCUUCCAUGUUUUUGAAAAUUGUCCUCCGUUUCACAAUUUGGUUUUCAAGAUUCAAAACAAGUGCAUGCUUUAAAAAAUUCUUUGCGCUUCCAAAUUUAUUCAGGAUUUUUCAAAAUUGUUCUUAGUUUCAAAAAUUGUUCUCAAUAUUCAAAUAAUCGUCAUGCUUUUAGAAUUUGUACACGCUUCCAAAAUUUUACGGGGUUUUUCAAAAUUGUUCUCAAUUUGAAAAUUUUGUUCACAAGAUUCAAAAAAUGUCCAUGCUUUAAAAAAUUGCUAGUUCUUCCAAAUUUGUUCACGGUUUUCCAAAAUUGUUCUCAAAAUUCAUAAAAUCUUCAUGCAUUUUUUUUUGUGCUUUCAAAUUUGUUUGGGGUUUUUCAAUAAUUAUUCUCCUUUUUAAAAUUUUAUUCUCUAUAUUCAAAAAAUAUUCAUGCUUUAAAAAAUUAUUUGUGUGCUUUUAAAUUUAUUCACAAUUUUUUAAAAUUGUUCUUCAAAUUCGAGAUUUUUUUUUUCUUCAAAUACAAAAGGAAAAGGAAAAGGAAAAGAAAAAGUGACAAAAAAAAGAAAUAAAUAGAAAAGGAAAAAAAGUAACAUAAACAGAAAAGAUACGCACAGACGCAUGACCACUCGAGCGCCCGCGGACAGCAGCUGAAGGGAGCAGCGGCACAGAAGGGGCCGGCGGCCGAUGGUCACGUAGAACGCCAGUAGCGGCACGGAUGAGGCCCGGCGGUUGAUGGCGCUGCGGAAUGGAGCAGCGGCAUGGACGAGUCCAACGACCGGCAGUUGCGGAGGAAGACAAACGGCCGGCGCCGACCUUGGAGGAGCACAAGCAGCCAGCGGCUCGAUCGAUCGGGCGCAAUCCGUUAGGAUCAAAUACAGCAAUGUAUCAGCUAGCUCGCAUGGACAUAAAGCGCGUGUAUCUGUAUCUGGAGAUGGACAUAGGCAAAAACAAGAAUCACGGCCGGCAGGAAAGAGAGCAGCGGCAGCAGUGCACCAGAUUGGAUGGGGAGCAGCACGAAUUGCACGUGGAUAAAAAAUACCUAUGACUCUAAUACCAUGUCAGCAAAGUAAACAUGUAUUACUAGAAGUACUAGGAGGUCAAAGCCACCAUAUGUAUAUAAUGAACAUAGGAUGCCAAAAUACAAAAGGACAAAGACCAUCGUCAAUAUGACUCUAACACUCUUUGCGAUGGAGCUCGAUGCCUUUGUACUCACUAGUGUACCUAUGCUAUGGGGAGUACAGUGUGGCAUCGGCCAUGGCCCUCCUCUGUCUCUGCAUCUCUUUCCUUCCCCACACAAUAUGUGUCUAUCGAUCAUAGGUCCUUGGCUCCACCCAACACGCAUCUUUUUUCAGUUUCUUCUAGACUCUCAUCUCACUUGUAAGAUACAUAAGCCAACGAUCAAUGAAACAAAUGCAUAGACAAAAUGAGUAAAUGGUAUCAGGGUAUAUAACGAGGCAGAGCACCCGCUAAGGUUUAGCUAAACCAACAGCACAUCAAGUGUGACUGAAUGUUGCAACUCAUGAUCGAGGAGUAACAGUAAAUAGCAUGUGCCUUAUGCAAGAGUUGCAUGACGGAGUCAAUCACACAUUAUGCAGGAACUGCAUGACCAUAAUGCAAGCAUUGCAUGAAGAAUUAAGCCAACAGCAGCAGUGGUGUCUAGAUCAGCCAGUCGGAAAUGACAUUGAGUUCCCUGAAUCAACCAAGGUAGUACCUGUAGUUAGUUGCGUAGCCAGCUCAAUAUCUAGGUUGGUCCAAUAGUAAGACAUUCAUUUGUAUUUAAUUACUCACAUUAAAUUUUUCUCAUUUUUUUGCUAUAAUAUAUAGGCUGCACCACUGCCUGUAAUAUAUGGAAGGUCCCAAAUNNNNNNNNNNNNNNNNNNNNNNNNNNNNNNNNNNNNNNNNNNNNNNNNNNNNNNNNNNNNNNNNNNNNNNNNNNNNNNNNNNNNNNNNNNNNNNNNNNNNNNNNNNNNNNNNNNNNNNNNNNNNUAUGGAAGGUCCCAAAUAUUCAAUACUCAGAAAUUGGUGAGUAUACAGAAUAACGUUAACACAAUCUUGAGCUCCUUUCAAAUUUCAGCAGGUGCACUAGACUAGGUUUGUAUUUCAAGAGUAGAUACAGUUGAGGUUGUACAGACAAUAUAUAGAUUGAACUCAUCUCGUGUUCUAACUGAAUAGGGUUUGGACGUUAUGAAAACCAGAGAUAAAUCCACUGUAAAUUAUUGAGUUUGUAGGUAUGAGCGGUGCCUUAGGAUGGAUUGAUAUAUAUUAUUGUUAUACCUUCAUUGAAUAAUUAAUAAAGAUGGUUCUAUGCAUCGAUUAAUGCUGAAUUAGCCAGGUUUUAACCUUUUUUUCAAAAAAAAUGCACUGCAAAUUUGCAUUCGAGCGGUNNNNNNNNNNNNNNNNNNNNNNNNNNNNNNNNNNNNNNNNNNNNNNNNNNNNNNNNNNNNNNNNNNNNNNNNNNNNNNNNNNNNNNNNNNNNNNNNNNNNNNNNNNNNNNNNNNNNNNNNNNNNNNNNNNNNNNNNNNNNNNNNNNNNNNNNNNNNNNNNNNNNNNNNNNNNNNNNNNNCCUGCUAUCCAGUAGCAAUCACCCCUAGAAUCGAGCAACAUUAUCUGCACUACUGCAAAAUGUUCCACAUGCAGAAGCCAUGUUGACACUCUAAUGAACCUUGGCUACCGCCGACAGAUUUGUUUGGGACUUCCGGUCGGCAUGCUGCUGAAAAGAUCCAACAACGAUGGUGGUUCUGAAUACGAUGUAUGCAGUCAACCUUCUCCGGAUGCAUGCUGUUUGGCCCACUGAACAUUUUCCAUGUAUCCGUCCAGUGUCUCCCAGAACAUCAGCGAAGUCACUUCACCCAACAGCAAUGAUGGAAUUGCUUCUUUGGACUUGUCCAGCAAAAAGACACAACACUCUCCCACUGAACAGUUCCUUAUUAGUCUGANNNNNNNNNNNNNNNNNNNNNNNNNNNNNNNNNNNNNNNNNNNNNNNNNNNNNNNNNNNNNNNNNNNNNNNNNNNNNNNNNNNNNNNNNNNNNNNNNNNNNNNNNNNNNNNNNNNNNNNNNNNNNNNNNNNNNNNNNNNNNNNNNNNNNNNNNNNNNNNNNNNNNNNNNNNNNNNNNNNNNNNNNNNNNNNNNNAAAUUAAGGAAAAAUAUUGUCAGCAAGAAAUGUACUAUGACCCGAAAGUGUGAUCCAUAAUAACGUUAUAACCUGGGCAGCGAUUCUUCAAGAUUUUGCUGACAUUAUGAUACUUCAUGUUUCAUUUUGCAUAGCAUUUUGAACUUGUUUAUGUACUGCAGAUGCCCUGUCUUGAUCUUCUAGGUUCGGCACAGCGGCGUAGGUAGAGAACGGGUGGAUAGGAACAUAACGACAUAAACAAUCUAAAUAAUCACUCAAAAGAGCUAAAACUACAUCUACUGUACACACCUCGAUCCAUUUUACCUUGAUGCACACACUGAUCGCGCGGAGCUGGCCCCCGGGCAACUGAGUCCACGGCCCGAGGCAUGGGAAAAAAUCAGUACGUAGUAAACUCUAUAAUUUGGAUAAAGCCAGGGGUUCAGCGAGCGACCGCGCAGGCCCAACAUGCCUUGGCAAACAAUUGAGUAUUGCUCAUUUCUAGUUUCUCCCCAAACCCCUCCCACACGCAGCCACCAGCCAGCGCAGCCACACAAAGCAUGAGCCACCGCCUCUAGCUUGUUCCCGCCUCAUACGCCGACGUCACGGCCUGCUGCCAAUAAGUCUAUAUGUACACUUUUCAUCGAACGGAGGGAGUAUGUACUUAUUCUCUGGGGUUCCUUUAAUGAUAGCAUACACUCAUAACUUGAUGACCGUUGGAAGGAACCCCGGAGAAUAAGUGCAUAUGGUAUAGAGGUAUAUAUAUAAACAGAAAGAGGGAGCAAUGUUCAAAAUAUCUGUUACAUGAGCAGUGUGAUAGGUGUGAUGUGGUCGAAUGGUGUGUAGUUCAGGGUUUUUUUUACUGUUCUGACCUACAGGGAGUAAAAAAUUCAUAGAACGAACUCAAUUUGAAAGUAUUUUCGGAUCUGACCCAUUUAGAAACGCCAGAGCUCGUGGCGUUUCUACUCAUGUAAAAAUGCCUGUCUACCGUCGCGUUUCUAGUCUACAUUCAAACGUCAAUCUAAGGAUGCGUUGCACUCCACGUAAAAAAAAACGCCAUAGGUGGUGGCGUUUCUGCCCAGGUUAGAAACAUCAUGGGAACUGGCGUUCCCGACCUCUGACUGUGCCAUGCAUGCAUGCACACAGUCCCUUGUCCAUGCAUGCAUGUACUUCUCUUACGUGACAUAAUUUGCCGUUUCUUUGGCCUACGCUCAGGAUCCGGCCUCCCAGCAUCUGGGAACGGGACGCUCCACGUGUGUUGACGCCUACCACACCUAUUUCGUUGACUGCAGUUUUUACCGGAUCACAAGGAACAUCCCACGUGAGCGUGUGGGCCGCCAUACUCAGCGCAUACCCAGUGUCCUUUUAUUACUGCGGGAUCCGAGCGCGCUAGCUGUGAAACUGGAAGGGGACGGGGUCUGAAUUCUGACGUGGGGUUUGGCAAGAUUCGAGAGCUGUGCGCGCUCCGGCACGGCUGGGCGUGAAUAGGAGUGGCCGCGGCGGCGUUUCCCGGUGGUCAGGCAGGGCGACCCGGUCUUUGUCCCGCGUAGAGAGAGAAAAAGAGACAUGCAUGCAUGCGGCCAGGUAGGGCGACCCGGGUCUGCAACGCCAAGCUGCAUGGCGUUGCAGCCUGCAUAGAAACGCCUCUCGCGCGGUCUGCAAACGUGUGGACUGGUGUUAGUAUUUAGAGCAGAAACGUCAGAAUAGACUCGCGUUUCUAUGUACACCAGCAACGUCACGGGUUCUGGCGUUUUUAAAAGGAUCAGAUCGUAAAAUACUUUCAGAUCGAGUUCAUUCUGUGCAUUUUUUUCGUCUCGUAGGUCAUAACAGUGAAAAAACUCUAUAGUUCAUGAGUAGCAAUCAAUGUUUCUCACACUCGCAAGCUGUGCAUCGUUGUUCGCAUGCUGAUCACAUGCAUAUAUACUCGGGUAAAUAUUUAGUCUUAGUUCAAACUAAAUAUCUCAACUCAUUUUCACUACUGGAACAUUGGCAGCUGCAAAGAAGUUCCCCAGGAAGCGACUCCGUCUAAAGACGAAAACGUGGAACUAAGCAAGGAAACUACCAAAUUGGUCGGUUCCCUCUGUGUUGAUGAUUGAUUAGCCUCUCUGGUUCAUCUCAAUGACAGACAACACACAUUUUUUUGGUGUUACUUUUUUUCCGCAAAACUUAUAUUGUAGGACGAAGAGAGUAAUAUCUAGGCACAAAUAAUAAUUUGGUACCUUUUCACAAAUCUCUUCCUAAUUAUAAAGCAAAUAGGGUUUCUGGUCGUCCGUCAUGGCAUUUUUGCAAAAAGACCCUUCUGUUUUCUGUUAAUAAACCCGCAGUCCUUUCUUUAGUGAGGAAAACGUUUCGCUUUUAUGAUUAAGACCCUAUAUGUUUUCUUUGGCUGGUGUCGCCGCUGCUGCAGUUCCUGGGCGACCGGGCCAGGUCCUUCGCCGACGACCUCGCGCGCUACCUCCCGGGAGUAGCGGGGGACGCGCGCGCCGACCUCGCGCGCCUCUCCGACGAGCUCCUCCGCCUCAAGGUGACCGCCGCCGACGUCGAGCACGCCCGGCGCCGCCCUCCGACCCCACCCUCGCCACCUCCACGGCCUACGCUGAGGUCUGAGGCGAGGAGCCAGAUCCAAUCGGCGGCUGCGUGGUCCGGCAGCCUUGUGACUACGUCGGCUAGGAGCAGCGACCAGGUCAUGCCAGCGCCUUUUUCUUCUCCUUCCUCACGUUUUCACUCCCCUGCUCUCUCUCCCUCUCUGACGCAUCUCCCUCUCUUCGUUCUUUUCUCUGCAGGAGCACCCUUCUCCCUCCACCCUCCGUCGCGGCCGCCCCGCCUCCGAGAUCCGGCCACCUCCGUCCUCCGUACCCCCAGCAUGCCUCCUCCGUCCUCCGUACCCCCAGCAUGCCUCCUCCGUCCGCCACCCGGUCGUACGCAGGCCGAUCCGCCGCCGCGUCACGACAGCGGGCCCCGCCGCAAGCGAGCAAUGGGCCGGGUCGGCAGCGGCGAGAAGCACCUAGAGGACUGCACCGUCGCCAAGUUAGUCACUCGACUCUCCCUCCCCUGCCUCCUGCCUUGUGAUUUUUGCUGCCGCUUCAGUCACGAUCGAUGUGGUGCCUGUCUAGGUGUGGGAUUCGCGGGAGCCUGCUAGGUGUUCGUUGAAAUGCUCCAACGGCAGCAAUUCCACGCUCUUCUCUGUUUUUUCUGUUUGAGGGGUAGAGACGUCAGGGUUUCUUGAUCCAAGAUAGGCCAGGCCAGCAUUUCCUUUCGGAUGUAAGAAAGGGAGUAACCUCACUCAGAAUGGCCCAAGGUGUCGUGGCGGAGGCUGAUAAGGCAGCCGGCAUGCUCGCUUGGGGCCCCCGUACGAAGCACGGCAGCACCGGCGGGGCCGUCGUGGGGGCUGGUGCUCAUGCCCACCAAGUCACCACCAGCACCGGCUGGAAGAUGGCCGUGCUGCUCGGGCACCACAGCGGCAGCAGGGCCCUCCACCGGCUGCAAGAUGACCGCGUUGCUCGGGCGGAACAACGAAAGUAGGGCCCGGGCGCCACCAGCGCUACUAAUCGUACUGCCCCGUAUUGGCGGCUGCGCUGCACACGGAGGUGGCUGCGUGAAGACUGAAGAUGCCCGUCAUUUUCGUGUAUCCUGCCACUCCGAUGGUGUGAAGUUAGCUGUUGUGAUUGUUUGGGUGGUGCACAAUAAGUGUUUGUUGGAAUGCAUAUGGACAACGGGUAAGUGAUUGACUUUGCAGCAGUAAUUAGGAAUGAAAAGGAAAAAAUCCUAAUGAAGAUUGCGAGCAUGUUUUUUGCAUUUGCACGUCAUGCACCAGGAUUAUAUUUUCUGCAAUUCUGGUCAAGCCAAGCAAUCUUUAGCAAGAACUGCAUCCACUUAUCUGGUCUAACUUCCACCAAUGAAAUUCUGCAUCCACAUCUUUCUCUCUGUCCGAGAAAGCCCUUGCUGAAUUUGUAUGACAAGAGUGCUACCUCAUGUUACAUACAUUCCAUUGGGUACCAAAUAAAUUGUUUUCUGGCUAAUUACAGUAGAAUUUAAUUAGGAGGGCAAGUAAUUAUGGGUGAUAACUACUUACUUUAUUUUUGUACUCUUAGAGUCCUGUAGGAUUUUGUAAUUGGGUUGAGAUUUGUUGUGUGAAUCUGAUUUUUACUCUUAAGAAUCUUUGUCCAUGAACACCAUCUGUUGUUCGCCCAUGCUCCACACUUUGCCAGAAAACAUGAGGUAUGUACGAAGCUAACCUGGAAUUUCCUGAUGGUCGUCUACAUGUCCAUGUUUCAUACUCCUUUAGUAUAAGUGUUUAUUACAUUUUCGCUGGGAGGAUUGACGAUGUAAUCUUGGAGAUGCUCCUCCCUUCACUUACUUGCCCCAAAUCUCUUCUAAGCUAAUCUUUGGCUAUAGAUACGAAAAAUAAUAGCAAGGCUCAUUGCAGGAAGAUGUCGAAAAAAAGUGGAGCAACUCCUGAGCUAAUCCUUCAAAUGAAGUUACCCCAGGAUAAGCCUGUCAAAUGAGAAAGAUAGAGAACUUUGUAAUCUUCUUUCAACCAGAGGGUUGUGGUCGCGAGAAGGUGCUAGAUGUCAACUUUAGUUUCAGAAAUGUCUGCAACCCCGAGCAUAUUGUGCGCAUGGUCCAUCACCGGGUUUGGUAGUUGUUGAUUUCCCAAGUAUGCAUUACUUAUCUAUGGUAUCUAUGGUAUGAAAGAACAUCCAAAUCACUAGGACUUCAGUUUAUUUUAUUUUUCUUCUUACUUGGUGAACAUGCGUUUGUAGGCUCAGUCUNNNNNNNNNNNNNNNNNNNNNNNNNNNNNNNNNNNNNNNNNNNNNNNNNNNNNNNNNNNNNNNNNNNNNNNNNNNNNNNNNNNNNNNNNNNNNNNNNNNNAUCAUGCGCUAUCAAUGUAGUCAUUAAGCUUGAAUCGACCGCGAUCCAGAUUUCUAAGUCAAAAUUUGCAAUUAAACUCCCUAAAUCAGCAGGGAUACCGAUUAGACUAUCUAAAAGUUGCAUUGGCAAGAUAAGCUUGAUAACCUAAAUGUAUACACUGUUGAUGAACAAUGACUUAUCUCUAAGUUAGGUCGAAUAAUUUCCCAUGCGUGCCAAACCAUACUGUGAUUACAUUACAAACUUCUAUUCGUACAAAGAAUGUCUCGUCGUGAUGAAUUUCUUUGUGGUUGAUUGGUUUUCNNNNNNNNNNNNNNNNNNNNNNNNNNNNNNNNNNNNNNNNNNNNNNNNNNNNNNNNNNNNNNNNNNNNNNNNNNNNNNNNNNNNNNNNNNNNNNNNNNNNNNNNNNNNNNNNNNNNNNNNNNNNNNNNNNNNNNNNNNNNNNNNNNNNNNNNNNNNNNNNNNNNNNNNNNNNNNNNNNNNNNNNNNNNNNNNNNNNNNNNNNNNNNNNNNNNNNNNNNNNNNNNNNNNNNNNNNNNNNNNNNNNNNNNNNNNNNNNNNNNNNNNNNNNNNNNNNNNNNNNNNNNNNNNNNNNNNNNNNNNNNNNNNNNNNNNNNNNNNNNNNNNNNNNNNNNNNNNNNNNNNNNNNNNNNNNNNNNNNNNNNNNNNNNNNNNNNNNNNNNNNNNNNNNNNNNNNNNNNNNNNNNNNNNNGAGCAUUUCUCCGUUGCACAAAAUCGGUCCAUUUUACGGGCUUGUAUUGCUCACAAUGGGACAGAAAGUCUGACAGAGAAUCAAAUCGAUGGAUGGUGGAUCCUGUUAAAGUGUCAUGAUUGCUCAGUGCGCACACACUCACCCAUGCCAGUAGAGGCCGCAUUGUCUACAUUUUAUAUCAGUUUCUUCUAAAAUUUCAACUCAUUAUCAGCUAACAGAUCAAAAGUACAGUAAUGAGUGUACAGUCAUAACCUGAUGAACAAACGAAAGGAACCCAGCAUAAAAGGUGCAUAUGGUUUAGAUAUAUAUAUAUAUAUAUAUAUAUAUAGAGAGAGAGAGAGAGAGAGGGAGACAAAUCGAGUGGGCAGUGCUCAAUAUUUCGCUUAGAUUAGCAGCAAGAUAAGUGUGAUGCUCCUGUCAUGAAUGGUGUGUCGAUUGUGAGGAGUAGCAAAUAGUGUUUCUCGUGUUAGUCACCUGCAGAUAAUUUUCCAUUGUUCACAUGCCAAUCACAUGAAUAUGUUUGGGGUAAACAGUUAUUUUCUUGGGAUAAAUGGUAGGUGUUGUGCUAAAUUCAGUUAAUGGAAGAAAUUUGUAACAAGAAGUUGCCAGAGAAAAUCUAGCAGAACCCACACAGAUACGACACCGGCUAGCCACCGGCCUCUCUGCCGCCCUCCAAUCUCCCGUCUCCCCCCCCCCCCCCCCCCCCGGCUAGCGUCGUCUGUGGAGGGAAGCUUCUCCCCCUCUUCUUAUAUUCAUGGUGGGUGCAAUCUAGCACCUGCUACUAUUAUUAUUAGUGGCGGCUAAAAAACCGGCCCACCAUUUCUAUUGGCUUACCAAUAACGGGCGUCAGUUUGUGCCCGUCACUCGUAACAACUCUCCAGAUUUGUCAUGGGACAAAUUUUUACGAGUGACGGGCACAAACUGGAGACCGCCACUAAUUGGUGACUUACCAUUGACGGGAGGCAAUACGUGUCCGCCACCGANNNNNNNNNNNNNNNNNNNNNNNNNNNNNNNNNNNNNNNNNNNNNNNNNNNNNNNNNNNNNNNNNNNNNNNNNNNNNNNNNNNNNNNNNNNNNNNNNNNNUAGGGCCGGGCCUGGGCGUGGCAAGUGCUCUUCUCAUAGGAUGUCGCCGUCUAGAACGAAUUCUGGGCGCAAUGGAAGGCGGAGUGAGUCCCGCGUCGGGCGGACAAGCGUUCGAUGCCCAGAUAGACAACCGACAGCUUUAACCUGGGACAAGGAUGAUCCUCGGGUCAACCGUUUAUGUUGUCGGACCACACCAUCUAGGAGGGCGAGAGUUAGUCUAGCUUGUGGUUCUGUUAUUUUUAUUUGCAUUUAGCAUCAUAUGAAAUUGCUUGUGGUUCCCUUAUAAAAUUACAUUUGAAUUUGAAUGUUUCUGUUGCGUAUAUGUUUUUUAACGACGAUUGAGCACCCGCUGGAUUUUGCAGCGUACAGUGGCACGUUAAAUUAUACAGCGUUUGAAAAACAACCAUCCUUUUGCGUGUGCUGAGCAUCUCCAACAAGCGUCCAAAAACUGCUCCGCGCGCUAAAAGAUCCGUUUUUUGGGCGCCGGACUGCUCCAGCAGAAGCUGCAAAACACUGCGCGCGCUAAAUAUUUUUGGACGCGCGUUUAAAAACGCUAUCGCGCGCAGCAUAUUUGGUGCGCCGGCUUACGCGCGCAGCAAACUCUGAGCUGCUGCAGAUGGGACCGCUGGAUCGGACUGGAUUGGGCGCCGCACUAACGCGCGUCUGUUGGAGAUGCUCCGGUCCCCACGCUUCAAAACUGCUACAGUGGCGCGCUAAAAAAUUUAUUGGGUGCGGAUUUUUUACGUUGCCAUUGGAGAUGCUCUAAAACGCUGUUUCGGGGCUGCAAAAUUUAUUUAACGCACAGCGCCACCGCGCGUCUGUUUGAGAUCCUCCAAGGAUCUCUCGUUACUAAUUAAAGAGUUGUUGUAUGCGAUGAUCUGCUAUUUUACAGUUUUUCAAGCUAACUAUGCCCUGGCGUCAAGGUUUGCUAUAGUUUAGUCUUGAUGAAGCCGAUUAAGUUUCUGGCCGCCGCGUCAUGGAUGCAUCUGGUUUACCAGGUUCUAGACUCACUAUCGCCGUUGGGCAUUCGGCUCCCGCCGCGCCGCUCAGCACCCCGUGGGUUUGCGCACGGACCGCCGGCAGGUAAAGCCAUCCGGGUCACCAUGUCUCGACGGAAGAACAGAGAUCGAACAGUUGAAUAUAUGUUUUUUUAAUCGAAAGAAGCGUAGCAACAAUCAGCAUGCCGACGAUUUUACCCAACUCAUGGUACUCCAUAGUAUUUGAAGGUCGUACUCCUUUGGUUUUGUGUUGGAAUUCCAACUUAGAUCACCCAUAUGAUUUAAUUAAAUAAACGGCUCUUAGUUAGCCAAACCGAGCACUUCUCCAUGGCGAACCUGGAUUUGCAGCGGAACAUUUUCCUGUUAAAUUUUCCUGCAUGAAAAAAAGACAUCAGAAGUUCAGUAAUAAUGUAAGCUCAUCCCAAUGACAACCGGAAGGAGCCCAACUGAAAAGGUGGAUAUGGUUAAUUAGGAGAUAUGCGGCAAUGUUCAGAAAGUUGGUUACAUCUGCACAGUAAGCGUGAUGCCUCUGAAAAGGCGUGCAACUCCUGAGUAAUAGAGUUUCUCAUGUUAGCUAGCUGAGCUAUGCAUAAUCUUUAGUUGUUCACAUGCAUAUCACAAGUAUACGGUGGGGGUAAAUAACCACUUAGUUCUAACUAAUAUUUCAACUCAUUUUUUGAAGGAGUCAAAGUUGCAUCCCUUUUUUUCUUCCCAAACUCAUGAUAGAGGAGGACACUAAGACAUGGCUUUGUUGCUCUUCCCUAUUCAGUUACUCGAACUCUUUUUCUAACCAACAUUUUGAAGUUUUUUUCUCACAAAGAAAAUAUAUUGAUAUCGCAAAUCUGAUUAUACCCGGGCUCUGUACGAACAAAAUGAUCAAAGGCAUCAAGGAUACACACAUAUAAUAAAAAGAAUAGCAACAAAAACAGACCCUGCCACAGUCAUCAAUCACUAGCAUCAGUAGCACUUUAACCUGCACCGAACACCCAUCUUACAAAUGGGGCUUUCCAAAAGCAACGCCUUCAAGAAAAAAACAAUGCACAAGCGUUGUCGAUGUACGGUCGAAGAUCUUGGGUUUUCAUCAUCGAGAUGGUUAUGCACACUUUGAUCAGUGGGCAGUUUUCCUUGGAUACAAUCUUAAAUAUAAGGUCAAUGUCUGCUCAAAUCUGCAGCAGUGCAUUUUCCUGUUGAGACAUGCAGUACACUUCAGUAAUCUGAACAACUAUUCACAUAUGUUUUGGGCUUCUUCUAUUACCUCACCUAUAAGAUGCAACAACACAACCAAUUACCCCCCACCACACACACAGCCCCCGCGUCGCUCCGUCCCCAGGGACGACACGGGCGGCGACCCCGACCAACAGGCCCCCGGCGCCCCCACCCUCCUCCUCCCCUCGCCGUCGCUGGUGCCUCCCGCGAGCAAAGCUCGCUUGAAGCUGGCGGCGGCGGGGCCGGUUCUUUUCUCCCGCGGCGGCGUCCUCCACGAGUUGGGGAUCUCAUGGCGGCGGGCGACGAGCAGAGUGCGACGGCCGGCGCGUCGUCGCGGCUCUUGCGUCGGUGUUUCGGGGUGAGGUGGGUGGGCUGCUCGGCUGCUGCGACGGCUGUCCAGGAGCGGGCUCAGAGGCUCAGAUCGGGGCGGUCCCGAUCUGUCCGCUCCGGCGACGGGGCUGGCCGUCGGGGUUUGCUUCGGGGCGGAUGGUGCGCCGACUGGUGGUUCGGCGCGGAGGCGCAGUGGAGUUGGUGCCCGAUCUGCCCUUCCUGCGAGAGCUUCGGCUUUGGAGGUGGAUCUGAGGCUUGACUGUGGUUAUGGCUCCUCUCUUGUCCCAACUGGGCUUUUGGGGCCAUGGUUGUGGUGGUCAUCGUGGUAGUGGUGGAGGUGGCGGCUCUAGAGGUCGCCCCGGUGGUAAUAGUGUGAUGCUCGUGUACGCGGUGGUGCCGGUCUCAACACGAGCAAUCCACCAUGGUUAUGCGUAGGCCGUGGAGCCCUUCCGAUCUAAUUGGUCUGGUCUCGCCAUUGUUGAAUACAAGCGGAGUCAAGGCUCGGUUUGCAGGUUCUCUUUGGCUUGGCUCCCUUGUUGGAAUUAUACCCUAGAUGCAAUGAUAAAUAAAGUUAUUAUUAUAAUUCCUGUAUCAAGAUAAUCGUUUAUUAUCCAUGCUAUAAUUGUAUUGAAUGAAGACUUAGACACAUGUGUGGAUACAUAGACAAAACACUGUCCCUAGCAAGCCUCUAGUUGGCUAGCCAGUUGAUCAAGGAUAGUCAGGGUCUUCUGACUAUGUACAAGUUGUUGUUGCUUGAUAACUGGAUCACAUCAUUGGGAGAAUCAUGUGAUGGACUAGACCCAAACUAAUAAACGUAGCAUGUUGAUCGUGUCAUUUUGUUGCUACUGUUUUCUGCGUGUCAAGUAUUUGUUCCUAUGACCAUGAGAUCAUAUAACUCACUGACACCGGAGGAAUGCUUUGUGUGUAUCAAACGUCACAACGUAACUGUGUGGCUAUAAAGAUGCUCUACAGGUAUCUCCGAAGGUGUCCGUUGAGUUAGUAUGGAUCGAGACUGGGAUUUGUCACUCCGUGUGACGGAGAGGUAUCUCGGGGCCCACUCGGUAAUACAACAUCACACACAAGCCUUGCAAGCAAUGUAACUUAGUGUAAGUUGCGGGAUCUUGUAUUACGGAACGAGUAAAGAUACUUGCCGGUGAACGAGAUUGAAAUAGGUAUGCGAAUACUGACGAUCGAAUCUCGGGCAAGUAACAUACCGAAGGACAAAGGGAAUGACAUACGGGAUUAUACGAAUCCUUGGCACUGAGGUUCAAACGAUAAGAUCUUCGUAGAAUAUGUAGGAUCCAAUAUGGGCAUCCAGGUCCCGAUAUUGGAUAUUGACCGAGGAGUCUCUCGGUUCAUGUCUACAUAGUUCUCGAACCCGCAGGGUCUGCACACUUAAGGUUCGACGUUGUUUUAUGCGUAUUUGAGUUAUAUGGUUGGUUACCGAAUGUUGUUCGUAGUCCCGGAUGAGAUCACGGACGUCACGACGGUUUCCGGAAUGGUCCGGAAACGAAGAUUGAUAUAUAGGAUGACCUCAUUUGAUUACCGGAAGGUUUUCGGAGUUACCGGGAAUGUACCGAGAAUGACGAAUGGGUUUCGGGAGUUCACCGGGGGGGGCAACCCACCCCGGGGAAGCCCAUAGGCCUUGGGGGAGACACACCAGCCCUUAGUGGGCUGGUGGGACAGCCCAGAAGUGCCCUAUGCGCCAAGGAGAAGAAAAUCAAGAGAGAAAGAAAAAAAAGGAGGAGGUGGGAAGGAAGGGGGACUCCCUCCCACCAAACCUAGUCCAACUCGGUUUGGGGGGGGGGGGAGAGUCCUCCCCCUUGGACUCGGCCGACCCCCUUGGGGCUCCUUGAGCCCCAAGGCAAGGCCCCCUCCCUCCCACCUAUAUAUACGGAGGUUUUAGGGCUGAUUUGAGACGACUUUUCCACGGCAGCCCGACCACAUACCUCCACGGUUUUUCCUCUAGAUCGUGUUUCUGCGGAGCUCGGGCGGAGCCCUGCUGAGACAAGGUCAUCACCAACCUCCGGAGCGCCGUCACGCUGCCGGAGAACUCUUCUACCUCUCCGUCUCUCUUGCUGGAUCAAGAAGGCCGAGAUCAUCGUCGAGCUGUACGUGUGCUGAACGCGGAGGUGCCGUCCGUUCGGCACUAGAUCGUGGGACGGAUCGCGGGACGGUUCGCGGGAUUGUUCGCGGGGCGGAUCGAGGGACGUGAGGACGUUCCACUACAUCAACCGCGUUCUCUAACGCUUCUGCUGUACGAUCUACAAGGGUACGUAGAUCACUCAUCCCCUCUCGUAGAUGGACAUCACCAUGAUAGGUCUUCGUGCGCGUAGGAAAAUUUUUGUUUCCCAUGGGACGUUCCCCAACAGAUGAAACUAUCAAACACCAUUUUCUCCAAUGUACGCUUGCAAUUUUUUUUAUGGCAAACAUUUCGUAUAGCCUUUAAUAUCAUACCUCCGGAUAGCAUUGAAACGUUGUUUGGGACGUGGCUAAAUGGAGUGGACAUAGUUCUUGGUACACAUAUUCGUAUAGGAGUAUGUGCAUUACUUUGGGCUAUGUAGAACUGUAGGAAUGACAUGACUUUUAACAGACAAACAAAUAUAAUUUUUUUGCAGGUACUUUACAGGGCAUCGACGUUGAUACAUACAUGGUCGUUACUCACUCGUGCGGAAACCAUGGAGCCUUUGAUUACUGGGUGUGUCCAAUGGGAGAUGGUAGCUCGGGAUAUCUACAACCGGUUUGGAUGACGGUCCAGUAAUAUGAUAGAUGGCUAGGCAUCAAGGCCUAUGUUAGCCGGUUGUGGCAUCUUUUGAUUUAUUUUUGAUUAUUUUGCUGCACUUUCAGAGAUUGUUCGGAACCGCAUACUAUUUGAUUGCUUUCAUUAAUAAAGUGGUUGCAUGCAUCAUAUUGAUGCAGAGGCCGGAGGAAAUCCUCCUUUUCUAACAAAAAUCAAAAUAAAGUAUAAAUAUUAAUAGUACUGCUAAUGAGCCGUGUCAUACUUGUUUCAUUUCUUCUUUCUGGUAAUACUAGCAAAAUGGCUCGUGUGUUGCACCGGGUGUACAAAAUAAACAAAUAUAUGCUUAGGCAGUUCAAAAAAUACCAUUAAAACAAAAUUGCAAUCAAUCAAACAACCAUUAAAAAAUCAAUCAAGCAGCCAAAUCAGAACAAUUUUUCAAACAAUUUUGGUUUAAAAUAAUUUUCAAACAAUUGAUACUUUUUCAGUUUGUAAAUCCCAUAUCAUUCUCAAAAAACAAACUAAUAAGUAAAAUGGAUACACUCUGACUUGAUUUUUCACAUGGCAAGUUCAAACAAUUUUUUUUAUCGAAAUCGAAUGACAAUAAUGCAUGAUCAAAAGUAUUGGGAUAAGAUUUCCGAUCAAAAUGCUCAACACACUAAGGCCAGCCUAGGGAAGCUUGCUUGCCAGAGUGUACCCUAUACCUGUUCAAGAGCAUGCAAAGGUCACUCAGCAAGAACUUAACAAUGUUAGUUGAAGCCAAUUUCCACAUUUGAUGGCAUACAAAAGCUUAUACACCGAUUUUGAAUGGAAAUAACUCAGAGUUGCCGAAUCAAUAUUCCUAUACCGCUACUUGUUUGCUCACGCAAGCCGGUCAUGUAUAUAUCCUUCAGAUAUUCAUACGUGGCAAUAGUAGUCACCAUUUACCAUGUCACUACCUUGUAGAAGUACUUUCUGCCAGGAUGCAGCCCCUUCAUUGCGUUGUCGAAGAUGAAACCAGGGGCGGCGCCACCUAACGCCAUCGUUCGCCGCUGCUUGUUUGCCAUCAACAUAGUACCAUCGCUAACUGAACCAAUGUUUUCAAACCUUGAUGCAGACUAAACACUAACGCAUACAGAAAAUAGUGAAGUUCAAUUUCACCGACCAAUUUGAUCCAUUGCUGUAGAGCUGCACGGUCAGAAUCAAAUGGAAUGUAGUUAUUACAUAUAGACUGAGCCUACAAACGCAUGUUCACCAACAUAUAGACUGGUGCAAGCAUCUCGGAGUUGGAAUAUACACUUUGAUGAGAUGAUCAAAGAUUUUGGGUUUGUACAAAGUUUAUGAGAAACUUGUAUUUCCAAAGAAGUGAGUGGGAGCACUAUAGAAUUUCUGAUAAUUAUAUGUGGGUAACAUAUUGUGGAUCAAAAGUAAUGUAGAAUUUCUGUAAAGCUUACAAGGUUGUUUGAAAGGAGUUUUCAAAGGAAUACCUGGAUUGCGCUACUUGAACGUUGAGCAUCAAAGAUCUAUGGAGAUAGAUCGAAAGCGCUUAAUGGAAGUUUCAACAAGAUGCAUGCCUUGACAAGUUUUUGAAGGAGUUCAAAAUAGAUCAACAAAGAAGGAGUUCUUGGUUGCGUUGUGAGGUGUGAAUUUGAGUAAGACUCAAAACCCGACCCCGGCAGAAAAAAGAGAAUAGACGAAGGUCGUCUUCUAUGCCUUAGCCGUAGACUCUAAAGUAUGCCAUGCUGAGUACCGCACCUGAUGUGUGCCUUGCAGCAAGUCUGUUGAGAGGUACAGAGAGUGAUCCAUGAUUGAAUCCCUAGCAGCGGUCAAAAUUUAUCCUUAGUAACUGAUGGACUAAGGAAUUUCUCUCGAUUAUGGAGGUGGUUAAAGAGUUCGUCGUAAAGGGUUACGUCGAUGCAAGCUUUGACACUAAUCCGAAUAACUAUGAGUAGUGAAACGGAUUCGUAUAGUAGAGUAGAUAUUUGGAGCAUUUCCGAAUAGCACGUAGUAGCAGCAUCUAUAAGAUGACAUAAAGAUUUGUAAAGAACGCACGGAUCUGAAAGUUUCAGAACCGUUGACUAAAACCUCUCUCACGAGCAAGACGUGAUCAGACCCCAUAACUAUAUGGGUGUUGGAUUCGUUGGAAUCACAUGGUGAUGUGAACUAGAUUAUUGACUCUAGUGCAAGUGGGAGACUGUUGGAAAUAUGCCCUAGAGGCAAUAAUAAAUUAGUUAUUAUUAUAUUUCUUAGUUCAUGAUAAUCGUUUAUUAUCCAUGCUAUAAUUGUAUUGAUUGGAAACACAAUACUUGUGUGGAUACAUAGACAAAACACUGUCCCUAGUAAGCCUCUAGUUGACUAGCUCGUUGAUCAAAGAUGGUCAAGGUUUCCUGGCCAUAGGCAAGUGUUGUCACUUGAUAACGGGAUCACAUCAUUAGGAGAAUCAUGUGAUGGACUAGACCCAAACUAAUAGACGUAGCAUGUUGAUCGUGUCAUUUUGUUGCUACUGUUUUCUGCGUGUCAAGUAUUUAUUCCUAUGACCAUGAGAUCAUAUAAUUCACUAACACCGGAGGAAUGCUUUGUGUGUAUCAAACAUCGCAACGUAACUGGGUGACUAUAAAGAUGCUCUACAGGUAUCUCCGAAGGUGUUAGUUGAGUUAGUAUGGAUCAAGACUGGGAUUUGUCACUCCGUGUGACGGAGAGGUAUCUCGGGGCCCACUCGGUAAUACAACAUCACACACAAGCCUUGCAAGCAAUGUAACUUAGUGUAAGUUGCGGGAUCUUGUAUUACGGAACGAGUAAAGAUACUUGCCGGUGAACGAGAUUGAAAUAGGUAUGCGAAUACUGACGAUCGAAUCUCGGGCAAGUAACAUACCGAAGGACAAAGGGAAUGACAUACGGGAUUAUAUGAAUCCUUGGCUCUGAGGUUCAAAUGAUAAAAUCUUCGUAGAAUAUGUAGGAUCCAAUAUGGGCAUCCAGGUCCCGCUAUUGGAUAUUGACCGAGGAGUCCCUCGGGUCAUGUCUACAUAGUUCUCGAACCCGUAGGGUCUGCACACUUAAGGUUCGACGUUGUUUUAUGCGUAUUUGAGUUAUAUGGUUGGUUACCGAAUGUUGUUCGGAGUCCCGGAUGAGAUCAUAGACGUCACGAGGGUUUCCGGUAUGGUCCGGAGACGAAGAUUGAUAUAUAGGAUGACCUCAUUUGAUUACCGGAAGGUUUUCGGAAUUACCGGGAAUGUAUCGGGAAUGACGAAUGGGUUCCGAAUGUUCACGGGGGGGGGGGGGGGGGGGGGGGAGGGGANNNNNNNNNNNNNNNNNNNNNNNNNNNNNNNNNNNNNNNNNNNNNNNNNNNNNNNNNNNNNNNNNNNNNNNNNNNNNNNNNNNNNNNNNNNNNNNNNNNNUCGGUGGCGGACACGUAUUGCCUCCCGUCAAUGGUAAGUCACCUAUUAGUGGCGGUCUCUAGUUUGUGCCCGUCACUGGUAAAAAUUUGUCCCAUGACAAAUCUGGAGAGUUGUUACGAGUGACGGGCACAAACUGACGCCCGCUAUUGGUAAGCCAAUAGAAAUGGUGGGCCGGUUUUUUAGCCGCCACUAAUAAUAACAGUAGCAGGUGCUAGAUUGCACCCGCCAUGAAUAUAAGAAGAGGGGGGAGAAGCUUCCCACCACGGACGACGCUAGCCGGGGGGGGGGGGGGGGGAGACGGGAGAUUGGAGGGCGGCAGAGAGGCCGGUGUCGUAUCUGUGUGGGUUCUGCUAGAUUUUCUCUGGCAACUUCUUGUUACAAAUUUCUUCCAUUAGCUGAAUUUAGCACAACACCUACCAUUUAUCCCAAGAAAAUAACUGUUUACCCCAAACAUAUUCAUGUGAUUGGCAUGUGAACAAUGGAAAAUUAUCUGCAGGUGACUAACACGAGAAACACUAUUUGCUACUCCUCACAAUCGACACACCAUUCAUGACAGGAGCAUCACACUUAUCUUGCUGCUAAUCUAAGCGAAAUAUUGAGCACUGCCCACUCGAUUUGUCUCUCCUCUCUCUCUCUCUCUCUAUAUAUAUAUAUAUAUAUAUAUAUAUCUAAACCAUAUGCACCUUUUAUGCUGGGUUCCUUUCGUUUGUUCAUCAGGUUAUGACUGUACACUCAUUACUGUACUUUUGAUCUGUUAGCUGAUAAUGAGUUGAAAUUUUAGAAGAAACUGAUAUAAAAUGUAGACAAUGCGGCCUCUACUGGCAUGGGUGAGUGUGUGCGCACUGAGCAAUCAUGACACUUUAACAGGAUCCACCAUCCAUCGAUUUGAUUCUCUGUCAGACUUUCUGUCCCAUUGUGAGCAAUACAAGCCCGUAAAAUGGACCGAUUUUGUGCAACGGAGAAAUGCUCAGCUUGUUUAAGUUGAAGUGUAUAAAGCGUGUCUGACAUGAGAAGCACUCUGUAUUUUUAUAGAGAGAAUCCGAAUUGAAGUGUGUAGACUGGUGGCCUUAUCCCGUAAGAUUUAUGUCCAUCUCUAAACUAGAGACGAGAUACGGGAGGAGGCCUCUGCGUCCUGCCGCUGUUAAACUGCGAGAGACCUUUCGGGGGCUAUAGAGGAGGUCGCCGGUGACAUAUGGCGCCAUAGUAGGAAGCUAGACCAAGGUGUGGCGGUCUGGUAGAAAACCAAUCAACCACAAAGAAAUUCAUCACGACGAGACAUUCUUUGUACGAAUAGAAGUUUGUAAUGUAAUCACAGUAUGGUUUGGCACGCAUGGGAAAUUAUUCGACCAAAAUUAGAGAUAAGUCAUUGUUCAUCAACAGUGUAUACAUUUAGGUUAUCAAGCUUAUCUUGCCAAUGCAACUUUUAGAUAGUCUAAUCGGUAUCCCUGCUGAUUUAGGGAGUUUAAUUGCAAAUUUUGACUUAGAAAUCUGGAUCGCGGUCGAUUCAAGCUUAAUGACUACAUUGAUAGCGCAUGAUNNNNNNNNNNNNNNNNNNNNNNNNNNNNNNNNNNNNNNNNNNNNNNNNNNNNNNNNNNNNNNNNNNNNNNNNNNNNNNNNNNNNNNNNNNNNNNNNNNNNAUAAGCAUCUGCAAUUGAAAACGGAUGCCUGCCUUAUAUUUUCUUGUCAGACUAAUAAGGAACUGUUCAGUGGGAGAGUGUUGUGUCUUUUUGCUGGACAAGUCCAAAGAAGCAAUUCCAUCAUUGCUGUUGGGUGAAGUGACUUCGCUGAUGUUCUGGGAGACACUGGACGGAUACAUGGAAAAUGUUCAGUGGGCCAAACAGCAUGCAUCCGGAGAAGGUUGACUGCAUACAUCGUAUUCAGAACCACCAUCGUUGUUGGAUCUUUUCAGCAGCAUGCCGACCGGAAGUCCCAAACAAAUCUGUCGGCGGUAGCCAAGGUUCAUUAGAGUGUCAACAUGGCUUCUGCAUGUGGAACAUUUUGCAGUAGUGCAGAUAAUGUUGCUCGAUUCUAGGGGUGAUUGCUACUGGAUAGCAGGGGAUGCCUGAUGAUUCUCCAAUAUAUAUGAACCGCUCGAAUGCAAAUUUGCAGUGCAUUUUUUUUGAAAAAAAGGUUAAAACCUGGCUAAUUCAGCAUUAAUCGAUGCAUAGAACCAUCUUUAUUAAUUAUUCAAUGAAGGUAUAACAAUAAUAUAUAUCAAUCCAUCCUAAGGCACCGCUCAUACCUACAAACUCAAUAAUUUACAGUGGAUUUAUCUCUGGUUUUCAUAACGUCCAAACCCUAUUCAGUUAGAACACGAGAUGAGUUCAAUCUAUAUAUUGUCUGUACAACCUCAACUGUAUCUACUCUUGAAAUACAAACCUAGUCUAGUGCACCUGCUGAAAUUUGAAAGGAGCUCAAGAUUGUGUUAACGUUAUUCUGUAUACUCACCAAUUUCUGAGUAUUGAAUAUUUGGGACCUUCCAUAUAUUACAGGCAGUGGUGCAGCCUAUAUAUUAUAGCAAAAAAAUGAGAAAAAUUUAAUGUGAGUAAUUAAAUACAAAUGAAUGUCUUACUAUUGGACCAACCUAGAUAUUGAGCUGGCUACGCAACUAACUACAGGUACUACCUUGGUUGAUUCAGGGAACUCAAUGUCAUUUCCGACUGGCUGAUCUAGACACCACUGCUGCUGUUGGCUUAAUUCUUCAUGCAAUGCUUGCAUUAUGGUCAUGCAGUUCCUGCAUAAUGUGUGAUUGACUCCGUCAUGCAACUCUUGCAUAAGGCACAUGCUAUUUACUGUUACUCCUCGAUCAUGAGUUGCAACAUUCAGUCACACUUGAUGUGCUGUUGGUUUAGCUAAACCUUAGCGGGUGCUCUGCCUCGUUAUAUACCCUGAUACCAUUUACUCAUUUUGUCUAUGCAUUUGUUUCAUUGAUCGUUGGCUUAUGUAUCUUACAAGUGAGAUGAGAGUCUAGAAGAAACUGAAAAAAGAUGCGUGUUGGGUGGAGCCAAGGACCUAUGAUCGAUAGACACAUAUUGUGUGGGGAAGGAAAGAGAUGCAGAGACAGAGGAGGGCCAUGGCCGAUGCCACACUGUACUCCCCAUAGCAUAGGUACACUAGUGAGUACAAAGGCAUCGAGCUCCAUCGCAAAGAGUGUUAGAGUCAUAUUGACGAUGGUCUUUGUCCUUUUGUAUUUUGGCAUCCUAUGUUCAUUAUAUACAUAUGGUGGCUUUGACCUCCUAGUACUUCUAGUAAUACAUGUUUACUUUGCUGACAUGGUAUUAGAGUCAUAGGUAUUUUUUAUCCACGUGCAAUUCGUGCUGCUCCCCAUCCAAUCUGGUGCACUGCUGCCGCUGCUCUCUUUCCUGCCGGCCGUGAUUCUUGUUUUUGCCUAUGUCCAUCUCCAGAUACAGAUACACGCGCUUUAUGUCCAUGCGAGCUAGCUGAUACAUUGCUGUAUUUGAUCCUAACGGAUUGCGCCCGAUCGAUCGAGCCGCUGGCUGCUUGUGCUCCUCCAAGGUCGGCGCCGGCCGUUUGUCUUCCUCCGCAACUGCCGGUCGUUGGACUCGUCCAUGCCGCUGCUCCAUUCCGCAGCGCCAUCAACCGCCGGGCCUCAUCCGUGCCGCUACUGGCGUUCUACGUGACCAUCGGCCGCCGGCCCCUUCUGUGCCGCUGCUCCCUUCAGCUGCUGUCCGCGGGCGCUCGAGUGGUCAUGCGUCUGUGCGUAUCUUUUCUGUUUAUGUUACUUUUUUUCCUUUUCUAUUUAUUUCUUUUUUUUGUCACUUUUUCUUUUCCUUUUCCUUUUCCUUUUGUAUUUGAAGAAAAAAAAAAUCUCGAAUUUGAAGAACAAUUUUAAAAAAUUGUGAAUAAAUUUAAAAGCACACAAAUAAUUUUUUAAAGCAUGAAUAUUUUUUGAAUAUAGAGAANNNNNNNNNNNNNNNNNNNNNNNNNNNNNNNNNNNNNNNNNNNNNNNNNNNNNNNNNNNNNNNNNNNNNNNNNNNNNNNNNNNNNNNNNNNNNNNNNNNNUUGGUGCGCCGACCGUGCAAUCAAGAAGGGACACAGCAGCGGCAGGAUCUGGCACUAUCUCAAGGUAGGGGAUCUGAAGAAUGCCCAUUGGUGCGCCGACCGUGCAAUCAAGAAGGGACACAGCAGCGGCAGGAUCUGGCACUAUCUCAAGGUAGGGGAUCUGAAGAAUGCCCAUUGGUGCGCCGACCGUGCAAUCAAGAAGGGACACAGCAGCGGCAGGAUCUGGCACUAUCUCAAGGUAGGGGAUCUGAAGAAUGCCCAUUGGUGCGCCGACCGUGCAAUCAAGAAGGGACACAGCAGCGGCAGGAUCUGGCACUAUCUCAAGGUAGGGGAUCUGAAGAAUGCCCAUUGGUGCGCCGACCGUGCAAUCAAGAAGGGACACAGCAGCGGCAGGAUCUGGCACUAUCUCAAGGUAGGGGAUCUGAAGAAUGCCCAUUGGUGCGCCGACCGUGCAAUCAAGAAGGGACACAGCAGCGGCAGGAUCUGGCACUAUCUCAAGGUAGGGGAUCUGAAGAAUGCCCAUUGGUGCGCCGACCGUGCAAUCAAGAAGGGACACANNNNNNNNNNNNNNNNNNNNNNNNNNNNNNNNNNNNNNNNNNNNNNNNNNNNNNNNNNNNNNNNNNNNNNNNNNNNNNNNNNNNNNNNNNNNNNNNNNNNGUUCAAUUCUGUUUCGGAGUGAAGUUCGUCGUAACAAGAGGUUAAACUGUCUACGAUAUGAUCAUAGAAAUGAAUAUCUGAGUUACGAGUUUUGGUACGCAGUUAAGACAAUGUGGAAAUUGUUUCGCAGUUCAUGCCACCUAGAACAUCAUAGUGUGAUGAUGUGUCUGAACGUCAUAGCCACACACUAUUUGGUAUGGUGCAUGCUAUGAUGUCUCUUAUCGAAUUACCAAUAUCGUUUAUGGGUUAAGCAUUAGAGACAACCGCAUUCACUUUAAAUAGGGCACUACGUAUUUCCGUUGAGAUGACACAGUAUAGACUGAGGUUUAGAGAAAUCCAAACUGUCGUUUCUUGAAAGUUUGGGGUUUCGACACUUAUGUGAAGAAGUUUCAGUCUGAUAAGCUCGAACUCAAAGCGGAUAAAUGCAUCUUCAUAGGAUAUCCAAAACAGUUGGGUACAUCUCCUAUCUCAGAUCCGAAAGCAAAGUGUUUGUUUCUAGAAACGGAUUCUUUCUCGAGGAAAGGUUUCUCUCGAAAGAAUUGAGUGGGAGGGUGGUAAAACUUGAUGAGGUUAUUGAACCAUCACUUCGACCAGUGUGGAGCAGGGCGCAGGAAGUUGUUCCUGUGGCGCCUACACCAAUUGAAGUGAAAGCUGAUGAUGGUGAUCAUCGAGCAUCGGAUCAAGUUACUACAAGCCUCGUAGGUUGACAAAGGUCGCGUACUACUACAGAGUGGUACGGUAACCGUGUCUUGGAGGUCAUGUUGUUGAGCAACAGUGAACCUACGAGUUAUGGAGAAAGCAAUGGUGGGCCCAGAUUCCGACAAAUGGCUGGAAGCCAUGAAAUCCGAGAGAGGAUCCAUGUAUGAAAACAAAGUGUAGACUUUGGAAGAACUACUUGAUGGUCAUAGGACUAUCGAGUAAGGAUGGAUCUUUAAAAGGAAGACAGACGAUCAUAGUGAUAAGUCACUAUUAAGAAAAGCUCGACUUGUCGCAAAGAUGUUUCCGACAAGAUCAAACAGUUGACUAUGAUGAGACUUUCUCACUCGUAGCGAUGCUGAAAGUCUGUUAGAAUUAUGUUAGUAGUUGCUGCAUUAUUUAUGAAAUAUUGCAUGUAGGAUGUCAAAACAUUGUUUCCUCGACGGUUUCCUUGAGCAAACAUUGUAUGAGAUACAACCAUGAGGUUUUGUCGAUCCUAAAGAUACUAGCAAGUAUGCAAGCUCCAGUGAUCCUUCAAUGGACUGGUGCAAGCAUCUCGGAGUUGGAAUAUACACUUUGAUGAGAUGAUCAAAGAUUUUGGGUUUGUACAAAGUUUAUGAGAAACUUGUAUUUCCAAAGAAGUGAGUGGGAGCACUAUAGAAUUUCUGAUAAUUAUAUGUGGGUGACAUAUUGUGGAUCAAAAGUAAUGUAGAAUUUCUGUAAAGCUUACAAGGUUGUUUGAAAGGAGUUUUCAAAGGAAUACCUGGAUUGCGCUACUUGAACGUUGAGCAUCAAAGAUCUAUGGAGAUAGAUCGAAAGCGCUUAAUGGAAGUUUCAACAAGAUGCAUGCCUUGACAAGUUUUUGAAGGAGUUCAAAAUAGAUCAGCAAAGAAGGAGUUCUUGGUUGCGUUGUGAGGUGUGAAUUUGAGUAAGACUCAAAACCCGACCCCGGCAGAAUAAAGAGAAUAGACGAAGGUCGUCUUCUAUGCCUUAGCCGUAGACUCUAAAGUAUGCCAUGCUGAGUACCGCACCUGAUGUGUGCCUUGCAGCAAGUCUGUUGAGAGGUACAGAGAGUGAUCCAUGAUUGAAUCCCUAGCAGCGGUCAGAAUUUAUCCUUAGUAACUGAUGGACUAAGGAAUUUCUCUCGAUUAUGGAGGUGGUUAAAGAGUUCGUCGUAAAGGGUUACGUCGAUGCAAGCUUUGACACUAAUCCGAAUAACUAUGAGUAGUGAAACGGAUUCGUAUAGUAGAGUAGAUAUUUGGAGCAUUUCCGAAUAGCACAUAGUAGCAGCAUCUAUAAGAUGACAUAAAGAUUUGUAAAGAACGCACGGAUCUGAAAGUUUCAGAACCGUUGACUAAAACCUCUCUCACGAGCAAGACGUGAUCAGACCCCAUAACUAUAUGGGUGUUGGAUUCGUUGGAAUCACAUGGUGAUGUGAACUAGAUUAUUGACUCUAGUGCAAGUGGGAGACUGUUGGAAAUAUGCCCUAGAGGCAAUAAUAAAUUAGUUAUUAUUAUAUUUCUUAGUUCAUGAUAAUCGUUUAUUAUCCAUGCUAUAAUUGUAUUGAUUGGAAACACAAUACUUGUGUGGAUACAUAGACAAAACACUGGCCCUAGUAAGCCUCUAGUUGACUAGCUCGUUGAUCAAACAUGGUCAAGGUUUCCUGGCCAUAGGCAAGUGUUGUCACUUGAUAACGGGAUCACAUCAUUAGGAGAAUCAUGUGAUGGACUAGACCCAAACUAAUAGACGUAGCAUGUUGAUCGUGUCAUUUUGUUGCUACUGUUUUCUGCGUGUCAAGUAUUUAUUCCUAUGACCAUGAGAUCAUAUAAUUCACUAACACCGGAGGAAUGCUUUGUGUGUAUCAAACGUCGCAACGUAACUGGGUGACUAUAAAGAUGCUCUACAGGUAUCUCCGAAGGUGUUAGUUGAGUUAGUAUGGAUCAAGACUGGGAUUUGUCACUCCGUGUGACGGAGAGGUAUCUCGGGGCCCACUCGGUAAUACAACAUCACACACAAGCCUUGCAAGCAAUGUAACUUAGUGUAAGUUGCGGGAUCUUGUAUUACGGAACGAGUAAAGAUACUUGCCGGUGAACGAGAUUGAAAUAGGUAUGCGAAUACUGACGAUCGAAUCUCGGGCAAGUAACAUACCGAAGGACAAAGGGAAUUACAUACGGGAUUAUACGAAUCCUUGGCACUAAGGUUCAAACGAUAAGAUCUUCGUAGAAUAUGUAGGAUCCAAUAUGGGCAUCCAGGUCCCGCUAUUGGAUAUUGACCGAGGAGUCUCUCGGUUCAUGUCUACAUAGUUCUCGAACCCGCAGGGUCUGCACACUUAAGGUUCGACGUUGUUUUAUGCGUAUUUGAGUUAUAUGGUUGGUUACCGAAUGUUGUUCGUAGUCCCGGAUGAGAUCACGGACGUCACGACGGUUUCCGGAAUGGUCCGGAAACGAAGAUUGAUAUAUAGGAUGACCUCAUUUGAUUACCGGAAGGUUUUCGGAGUUACCGGGAAUGUACCGAGAAUGACGAAUGGGUUUCGGGAGUUCACCGGGGGGGGCAACCCACCCCGGGGAAGCCCAUAGGCCUUGGGGGAGACACACCAGCCCUUAGUGGGCUGGUGGGACAGCCCAGAAGUGCCCUAUGCGCCAAGGAGAAGAAAAUCAAGAGAGAAAGAAAAAAAAGGAGGAGGUGGGAAGGAAGGGGGACUCCCUCCCACCAAACCUAGUCCAACUCGGUUUGGGGGGGGGGGAGAGUCCUCCCCCUUGGACUCGGCCGACCCCCUUGGGGCUCCUUGAGCCCCAAGGCAAGGCCCCCUCCCUCCCACCUAUAUAUACGGAGGUUUUAGGGCUGAUUUGAGACGACUUUUCCACGGCAGCCCGACCACAUACCUCCACGGUUUUUCCUCUAGAUCGUGUUUCUGCGGAGCUCGGGCGGAGCCCUGCUGAGACAAGGUCAUCACCAACCUCCGGAGCGCCGUCACGCUGCCGGAGAACUCUUCUACCUCUCCGUCUCUCUUGCUGGAUCAAGAAGGCCGAGAUCAUCGUCGAGCUGUACGUGUGCUGAACGCGGAGGUGUCGUCCGUUCGGCACUAGAUCGUGGGACGGAUCGCGGGAUUGUUCGCGGGGCGGAUCGAGGGACGUGAGGACGUUCCACUACAUCAACCGCGUUCUCUAACGCUUCUGCUGUACGAUCUACAAGGGUACGUAGAUCACUCAUCCCCUCUCGUAGAUGGACAUCACCAUGAUAGGUCUUCGUGCGCGUAGGAAAAUUUUUGUUUCCCAUGCGACGUUCCCCAAUAGUGGCAUCAUGAGCUAGGUUCAUGCGUAGAUGUCUUCUCGAGUAGAACACAAAAGUUUUUGUGGGCGGUGAUGUGCGUUUUGCUGCCCUCCUUAGUCUUUUCUUGAUUCCGCGGUAUUGUUGGAUUGAAGCGGCUUGGACCGACAUUACUCGUACGCUUACGAGAGACUGGUUUCAUCGUUACGAGUAACCCCCUUUGCUCAAAGAUGACUGGCAAGUGACGGUUUCUCCAACUUUAGUUGAAUCGGAUUUGACCGAGGAGGUCCUUGGAUGAGGUUAAAUAGCAACUCAUAUAUCUUCGUUGUGGUGUUUGCGUAAGUAAGAUGCGAUCCUACUAGAUGCCCUUGGUCACCACGUAAAACAUGCAACAACAAAAUUAGAGGACGUCUAACUUGUUUUUGCAGGGUAUGCUUGUGAUGUGAUAUGGCCAACGAUGUGAUGUGAUAUAUUGGAUGUAUGAGAUGAUCGUGUUGUAAUAGAAAUAUCGACUUGCACGUCGAUGGUACGGCAACCGGCAGGAGUCAUAGGGUUGUCUUUAUACUAAUGUUUGUGCUUGCAGAUGCGUUUACUAUUUUGCUAGGAUGUAGCUUUGGUAGUAAUAGCAUGAGUAGCACGACAACCCCGAUGGCAACACGUUGAUGGAUGAUCAUGGUGUGGCGCCGGUGACAAGAAGAUCGUGUCGGUGCUUUGGUGAUGGAGAUCAAGAAGCACGUGAUGAUGGCCAUAUCAUGUCACUUAUGAAUUGCAUGUGAUGUUAAUCCUUUUAUGCACCUUAUUUUGCUUAGAACGACGGUAGAAUUAUGAGGUGAUCUCUCACUAAAAUUUCAAGACGAAAUUGUGUUCUCCCCGACUGUGCACCGUUGCUACAGUUCGUCGUUUCGAGACACCACGUGAUGAUCGGGUGUGAUAGACUCAACGUUCACAUACAACGGGUGCAAAACAGUUGCGCACGCGGAACACUCGGGUUAAGCUUGACGAGCCUAGCAUGUGCAGACAUGGCCUCAGAACACAUGAGACCGAAAGGUCGAGCAUGAAUCGUAUAGUUGAUAUGAUUAGCAUAGAGAUGCUUACCACUGAAACUAUUCUCGACUCACGUGAUGAUCGGACUUGAGAUAGUGGAUUUGGAUCAUGUACCACUCAAAUGACUAGACAUAUGUACUUUUUGAGUGGGAGUUCUUAAGUAAUAUGAUUAAUUGAACUAAUUGUCAUGAACAUAGUCUAAUGGUCUUUGCGAAUUACGAUGUAGCUUGCGCUAUAGCUCUACUGUUUUUAUAUGUUCCUAGAGAAAAUUUAGUUGAAAGUUGAUAGUAGCAAACUUUGAAGAGGAUUGUCCUCAUUGCUGCGCAGAAGGCUUAUGUCCUUAAUGCACCACUCGGUGUGCUGCACCUCGAGCGUCGUCUGCGGAUGCUGUGAACAUCCGACAUACACGUUUCUGAUGACUACACGAUAGUUCAGUGCAAAAUACUUAAUGGCUUAGAAGCAAGGCACCGAAGACGUUUUGAAACGUCACGGAACAUAAGUGAUGUUCUAAAGAGAUGAAAUUGUGAUUUCAUGCUCGUGCCCUUGUUGAGAGGUACGAGACCUCUGACAAGAUUCUUUGUCCACAAAGUAAAGGAGAAAAGCUCAAUCAUUCAGCGUGUGCUCAGAUUGUCUGAGUACGACAAUCACUUGAAUCAAGUGGGAGUUAAUCUUCCAGAUGAGAUAGUGAUGGUUCUCCAAAGUCACUGCCACCAAGCUGUGAGAGCUUCGUGAUGAACUAUAACAUAUCAAGGAUAGAUACAAUGACCCUUGAGCGAUUCGCGAUGUUUGACACUGCGAAAGUAGAAAUCAAGAAGGAGCAUCAAUAGUUGAUGGUUUGUAAAACCACUAAGUUUCAAGAAAGGCAAGGGCUAGAAGGGAUACUUCGUGAAACGGCAAAACAGUUGCUGCACUAAUGAAGAGACCCAAGAUUAAACCCAAACCCGAGACUAAGUGCUUCUGUAAUGAGGGGAACAGUCACUAAGGCGGAGCAACUCUAGAUACUUGGUAGAUAAGAAGGCUGGCAAAAGUCGAAAGAAGUAUAUUUGAUAUACAUGAUGUUGAUGUGUACUUUACUAGUACUCCUAGUAGCAUGAGGGUAUUGGAUACCGGUUCGGUUGCUAAGUGAUUAGUAACAUGAAAUGAAAGCUAUGGCAUAAACGGAGACUGGCUAAAGACGAGGUGACGAUACGUGUUGGAAGUGUUUCCAAGGUUGAUAUGAUCAAACGUCGCACGCUCCCUCUACCAUCGGGAUUGGUGUUAAACCUAAAUAAUUGUUAUUUGGUGCUUGCGUUAAGCAUGAACAUGAUUGGAUCGUGUUUAUUGCAAUACGAUUAUUCAUUUAAAGAGAAUAAUGGUUACUCUAUUUUCUAGAAUAAUCACCUUCAAUGGUUUAUCGAAUCUCGAGCGUAGUAUUACACAUGUUCAUGAUAUUGGUGCCAAAAGAUACGAGGUAAUGAUGAUAGUACCACUUACUUGUGGCACUGCCGCUUGAGUCAUGUUGGUAUAAAAUGCAUGAAGAGGCUCCAUGCUGAUGGAUCUUUAUACUCACUUGAUUUUGAAUCACUAGUGACAUGCAAAUCAUACCACAUGAGCAAGGCCUUGUUUUCAUUGAGAUGAAAUAAGAUAGUAACUUGUUGGAAGUGAUGCAUUUUUGAUGUAUGCAGUCCAAUCGGUGCUGAGGCACGCAGUGGAUAUCAUUAUGUUCUCACUUCAAUGACGAUUUGAGUAGAUACUAGAGUAUUUGCUUAAUGAAUCACAAGUCUGAAAUAUUGAAAAGUUCAAUUCUGUUUCGGAGUGAAGUUCGUCGUAACAAGAGGUUAAACUGUCUACGAUAUGAUCAUAGAAAUGAAUAUCUGAGUUACGAGUUUUGGUACGCAGUUAAGACAAUGUGGAAAUUGUUUCGCAGUUCAUGCCACCUAGAACAUCAUAGUGUGAUGAUGUGUMKGAACGUCNNNNNNNNNNNNNNNNNNNNNNNNNNNNNNNNNNNNNNNNNNNNNNNNNNNNNNNNNNNNNNNNNNNNNNNNNNNNNNNNNNNNNNNNNNNNNNNNNNNNCGGAGCUCGGGCGGAGCCCUGCUGAGACAAGGUCAUCACCAACCUCCGGAGCGCCGUCACGCUGCCGGAGAACUCUUCUACCUCUCCGUCUCUCUUGCUGGAUCAAGAAGGCCGAGAUCAUCGUCGAGCUGUACGUGUGCUGAACGCGGAGGUGCCGUCCGUUCGGCACUAGAUCGUGGGACGGAUCGCGGGACGGUUCGCGGGAUUGUUCGCGGGGCGGAUCGAGGGACGUGAGGACGUUCCACUACAUCAACCGCGUUCUCUAACGCUUCUGCUGUACGAUCUACAAGGGUACGUAGAUCACUCAUCCCCUCUCGUAGAUGGACAUCACCAUGAUAGGUCUUCGUGCGCGUAGGAAAAUUUUUGUUUCCCAUGGGACGUUCCCCAACAGAUGAAACUAUCAAACACCAUUUUCUCCAAUGUACGCUUGCAAUUUUUUUUAUGGCAAACAUUUCGUAUAGCCUUUAAUAUCAUACCUCCGGAUAGCAUUGAAACGUUGUUUGGGACGUGGCUAAAUGGAGUGGACAUAGUUCUUGGUACACAUAUUCGUAUAGGAGUAUGUGCAUUACUUUGGGCUAUGUAGAACUGUAGGAAUGACAUGACUUUUAACAGACAAACAAAUAUAAUUUUUUUGCAGGUACUUUACAGGGCAUCGACGUUGAUACAUACAUGGUCGUUACUCACUCGUGCGGAAACCAUGGAGCCUUUGAUUACUGGGUGUGUCCAAUGGGAGAUGGUAGCUCGGGAUAUCUACAACCGGUUUGGAUGACGGUCCAGUAAUAUGAUAGAUGGCUAGGCAUCAAGGCCUAUGUUAGCCGGUUGUGGCAUCUUUUGAUUUAUUUUUGAUUAUUUUGCUGCACUUUCAGAGAUUGUUCGGAACCGCAUACUAUUUGAUUGCUUUCAUUAAUAAAGUGGUUGCAUGCAUCAUAUUGAUGCAGAGGCCGGAGGAAAUCCUCCUUUUCUAACAAAAAUCAAAAUAAAGUAUAAAUAUUAAUAGUACUGCUAAUGAGCCGUGUCAUACUUGUUUCAUUUCUUCUUUCUGGUAAUACUAGCAAAAUGGCUCGUGUGUUGCACCGGGUGUACAAAAUAAACAAAUAUAUGCUUAGGCAGUUCAAAAAAUACCAUUAAAACAAAAUUGCAAUCAAUCAAACAACCAUUAAAAAAUCAAUCAAGCAGCCAAAUCAGAACAAUUUUUCAAACAAUUUUGGUUUAAAAUAAUUUUCAAACAAUUGAUACUUUUUCAGUUUGUAAAUCCCAUAUCAUUCUCAAAAAACAAACUAAUAAGUAAAAUGGAUACACUCUGACUUGAUUUUUCACAUGGCAAGUUCAAACAAUUUUUUUUAUCGAAAUCGAAUGACAAUAAUGCAUGAUCAAAAGUAUUGGGAUAAGAUUUCCGAUCAAAAUGCUCAACACACUAAGGCCAGCCUAGGGAAGCUUGCUUGCCAGAGUGUACCCUAUACCUGUUCAAGAGCAUGCAAAGGUCACUCAGCAAGAACUUAACAAUGUUAGUUGAAGCCAAUUUCCACAUUUGAUGGCAUACAAAAGCUUAUACACCGAUUUUGAAUGGAAAUAACUCAGAGUUGCCGAAUCAAUAUUCCUAUACCGCUACUUGUUUGCUCAGGCAAGCCGGUCAUGUAUAUAUCCUUCAGAUAUUCAUACGUGGCAAUAGUAGUCACCAUUCACCAUGUCACUACCUUGUAGGAGUACUUUCUGCCAUGGUGCAGCCCCUUCAUUGCGCUGUCGAAGAUGAAACCCAGGGCGGCGCCACCCAACGCCAUCGUUCGCCGCUGCUUGUUUGCCCUCAACAUAGUACCAUCGCUAACUGAACCAAUGUUUUCAAACCUUGAUGCAGACUAAACACUAACGCAUACUAAAAUAGUGAAGUUCAAUUUCACCGACCAAUUUGAUCCAUUGCUGUAGAGCUGCACGGUCAGAAUCAAAUGGAAUGUAGUUAUUACAUAUAGACUGAGCCUACAAACGCAUGUUCACCAAGUAAGAAGAAAAAUAAAAUAAACUGAAGUCCUAGUGAUUUGGAUGUUCUUUCAUACCAUAGAUACCAUAGAUAAGUAAUGCAUACUUGGGAAAUCAACAACUACCAAACCCGGUGAUGGACCAUGCGCACAAUAUGCUCGGGGUUGCAGACAUUUCUGAAACUAAAGUUGACAUCUAGCACCUUCUCGCGACCACAACCCUCUGGUUGAAAGAAGAUUACAAAGUUCUCUAUCUUUCUCAUUUGACAGGCUUAUCCUGGGGUAACUUCAUUUGANNNNNNNNNNNNNNNNNNNNNNNNNNNNNNNNNNNNNNNNNNNNNNNNNNNNNNNNNNNNNNNNNNNNNNNNNNNNNNNNNNNNNNNNNNNNNNNNNNNNCGUUGGAAUCACAUGGUGAUGUGAACUAGAUUAUUGACUCUAGUGCAAGUGGGAGACUGUUGGAAAUAUGCCCUAGAGGCAAUAAUAAAUUAGUUAUUAUUAUAUUUCUUAGUUCAUGAUAAUCGUUUAUUAUCCAUGCUAUAAUUGUAUUGAUUGGAAACACAAUACUUGUGUGGAUACAUAGACAAAACACUGUCCCUAGUAAGCCUCUAGUUGACUAGCUCGUUGAUCAAAGAUGGUCAAGGUUUCCUGGCCAUAGGCAAGUGUUGUCACUUGAUAACGGGAUCACAUCAUUAGGAGAAUCAUGUGAUGGACUAGACCCAAACUAAUAGACGUAGCAUGUUGAUCGUGUCAUUUUGUUGCUACUGUUUUCUGCGUGUCAAGUAUUUAUUCCUAUGACCAUGAGAUCAUAUAAUUCACUAACACCGGAGGAAUGCUUUGUGUGUAUCAAACAUCGCAACGUAACUGGGUGACUAUAAAGAUGCUCUACAGGUAUCUCCGAAGGUGUUAGUUGAGUUAGUAUGGAUCAAGACUGGGAUUUGUCACUCCGUGUGACGGAGAGGUAUCUCGGGGCCCACUCGGUAAUACAACAUCACACACAAGCCUUGCAAGCAAUGUAACUUAGUGUAAGUUGCGGGAUCUUGUAUUACGGAACGAGUAAAGAUACUUGCCGGUGAACGAGAUUGAAAUAGGUAUGCGAAUACUGACGAUCGAAUCUCGGGCAAGUAACAUACCGAAGGACAAAGGGAAUGACAUACGGGAUUAUACGAAUCCUUGGCACUGAGGUUCAAACGAUAAGAUCUUCGUAGAAUAUGUAGGAUCCAAUAUGGGCAUCCAGGUCCCGAUAUUGGAUAUUGACCGAGGAGUCUCUCGGUUCAUGUCUACAUAGUUCUCGAACCCGCAGGGUCUGCNNNNNNNNNNNNNNNNNNNNNNNNNNNNNNNNNNNNNNNNNNNNNNNNNNNNNNNNNNNNNNNNNNNNNNNNNNNNNNNNNNNNNNNNNNNNNNNNNNNNCAUUCAGAUAGUCUAACCAGUACCUCUACUGAUUUUAGGAGUUCAAUUGCAUGCUUUGACUUGAAAAACGGGAUGCAAACCAAUCGAUUUGAGCUUAAUGUCAGCGUCAAUAGUGUAAGAUGGAUUCCUUCAUGCUCUGGUUGCAUUAUGGUCAUGUUGUUAACUCCUCAUGAGCNNNNNNNNNNNNNNNNNNNNNNNNNNNNNNNNNNNNNNNNNNNNNNNNNNNNNNNNNNNNNNNNNNNNNNNNNNNNNNNNNNNNNNNNNNNNNNNNNNNNNNNNNNNNNNNNNNNNNNNNNNNNNNNNNGUUAACUCCUCAUGAGCUAGACACACCAUUCAGUAGCAUCACACCUUUUGAGCUGCUAAGUUGGUCAUACUCACCAAAGAUAAUUUGAUUAGAAGAAGAUGGGUGGGUAAUCCUAGAUGUUGCUUUGUGACAACAAUGAAACAAUCAAACACCUCUUUCUCGAAUGCCCUUUGGCUAGACUGUUAUGACGCGCCAUUCAUAUAGCUUUCAAUAUUAAUACUCCAUUAAGUAUGAACAUGUUAUUUGGGACGUGGCUUCAUGGGGUGGAAACCAACACAGUAAAGCAAAUUAGGAUAGGAGCAUGUGCUUUAUUAUGUGCUAUUUGGAAUAGCAGGAAUNNNNNNNNNNNNNNNNNNNNNNNNNNNNNNNNNNNNNNNNNNNNNNNNNNNNNNNNNNNNNNNNNNNNNNNNNNNNNNNNNNNNNNNNNNNNNNNNNNNNCUAGGCUGCUGCGGGAGCGGGAGGGUCACCUAGUGGCGCAUCAAGGACAUAACCUUUUUUAGCUGCUUCAAGGAUGAGGUUCAAGUUGCGAACCCAGUCCGCAUAGUUGCUACCAUCAUCUUUCAGCUUGUUUUUCUCUAGGAAUGCGUUGAAAUUGAGCUUGACGUUGGCCAUCUACAAUAUUUAUAAAGACAACUUUUAGACUAAGUUCAUGACAAUUAAGUUCAUUAAUCAAAUUAAGUAUGAACUCCCACUUAAAUCGACAUCCCUCUAGUCAUCUAAGUGAUACAUGAUCCAUGUUGACUAACCCGUGUCCGAUCAUCACGUGAGACGGACUAGUCACCAUGGUGAGCAACUUCAUGCUGAUCGUAUUCAACCACACGACUCAUGUUCGACCUUUCGGUCUCUUGUAUUCGAGGUCAUGUCUGUACAUGCUAAGCUCGUCGAGUCAACCUAGGUGUUUCGCGUGUGUAAUUCUGGCUUACACCCGUUGUAUGCGAACGUUAGAAUCUAUCACACUCGAUCAUCACGUGGUGUUUCGAGACAACGAUCCUUCGCAACGGUGCACACUUAGGGGAAUACAUUCUCGAAAUUUUAAGACGGAUCAUCUUAUUAUGCUACCAUCGUUCUAAGCAAUAAGAUGAAAAACAUGAUAAACAUCACAAUGCAAUCAUAUGGUGACAUGAUAUGGCCAUUAUCAUCUUUGCUCUUUCGAUCUCCAUCUUCAGGCAUCGCAUGAUCAUCAUUGUCACCAGCGUGACACCAUGAUCUCCAUCAUCAUGAUCUCCAUCAUCGUGUCUCCGGGAAGUCGUCACGCCAACUACUACUAUCACUACUACUAUAGCUAAUCGUUAGCAAAGAAGUAAAAGUAGUAAGCACAUGGCGUUGCAUCUCAUACAAUAAAUUAAGACAACUCCUAUGGCUCCUGCUGGUUGUCAUACUCAUUGACAUGGAAGUUGUGAAACCUAUUACAAUAACAUGAUCAUCUCAUACAUCAUACAUGCAACAUCACAACUUUGGCCAUAUCACAUCACAUGUCAAACCCUGCAAAAACAAGUUACACGUCCUCUAAUUGUUGUUGCAAGUUUACGUGGUUCAUUUGGGUGUCUAGCAAGAACUCCUUUUUACCUACGUGACAGCCACAACGAUGAUAUGCCAAAGCUAUUUACCCUUCGUAAGGACCCUUUUCAUCAAAUCCAAUUCGACUAGAGUGGGAGAGACAGACACCCGCUAGCCACCUUUAUGCACGGUGUGCAUGUUUGUCGGUGGAACCAGUCUCACGUAAGCAUACGUGUAAGGUCAGUCCGGGCCGCUUCAUCCCACAAUACCGCCGGAAAAGAAUAAGACUAGUAGCGGCAAGCACUUGACAAAUCAUCGCCCACAACCUUUUGUGUUCUACUCUUGCAUAGAAUCUACGCAUAGAAAACCUGGCUCGGAUGCCACUGUUGGGUAACGUAGCAUAAAUUCAAAAAAAUUCCUACGCAUAUUCAGAUCUUUCUAUGGAGAGACCAGCAACGAGAGAGGGGUGAGUGCAUCUUCAUACCUUUGAAGAUCGCUAAGCGAAAGCGUUGCUAGAAUGCGGUUGAUGGAAUCGUACUCGCGGCGAUUCACAUUGCGGUGUGAUUCCGGUCUAGUGCCGAACCACGGCACCUCCGCGUUCAACACACGUGCAGCCCGGUGACGUCUCCCUUACCUUGAUCCAGCAAGGAGGAGGUAGAGGUUGGGGAAGAUCUCCGGCAGCACGACGGCCUGGUGUCGAUGGAGAGAUGAGGUCUCCCGGCAGGGCUUCGCCAAGCACCGGCACAGAGGAGGAGAAGGAAGAGCAGGACUGCGCCGAGGGAGAGUCAGAUUGGUUUUUUCAACAGCCCAAAGUGCCCACUAUAUAAAGGGGGGGAGGGGCUGUGCCCCUUUGAGGGUUUCCCUCUCCUGGGAGGGGCGACAGCCCUAGAUGUGAGGGAGGUGCGGCGGCCAGGUGGGGAGGAGGGGUGGCGCACCCUUCUCGUGGGCCUUAGGCGCACCUGCGCAAGGGUUUCCCCUUUCUCCCGUCUUCUUGCGCCAUGGGCUGAGUGUGGAGGGCGCACUAGCCCACCUAGGGGCUGGUUCCCUCCCGCAAUUGGCCCAUCUAGCCUCCCGGGGUCGUUGCCCGGCCCCUUCCGGUGGACCCCCGGGGCCACUUCCGGUGGUCCCGGUGGUCCCGGUACGUUACCGGCGACGCCCGAAACACUUCCGGUGUCCAAAACCAUUCGUCCUAUAUAUCAAUAUUUACCUCCGGACCAUUCCGGAGCUCCUCGUGAUGUCCGGGAUCUCAUCCGGGACUCGUAUAACAAUUCCCUAUAACCCUAGCGUCAUCGAACUUUAAGUGUGUAGACCCUACGGGUUCGGGAGACAGGUAGACAUGACCGAGACACCUCUCCGGCCAAUAAUCAUCAGCGGGGUGUGGAUACCCAUGGUGGCUCCCACUUGCUCCACGAGAAUCUCAUCGGAUGAACCACGAUGUCAAGGAUUCAAUCAAUCCCGUAUACAAUUCCCUUUGUCUGUCGGUAUAGAACUUGCCCGAGAUUCGAUCGUCCGUAUACCUAUACCUAGUUCAAUCUCGUUACCGGUAAGUCUCUUUACUCGUUCCACAGCAUGUCAUCGUGUGACUAACUCCUUAGUCACAUUGAGCUCAUGAUGAUGUUCUACCGAGUGGGCCCAGAGAUACCUCUCCGUCAAACGGAGUGACAAAUCUCGAUCUCGAUUCGUACCAACCCAGCAGACACUUUCAGAGAUACCCGUAGUGCACCUUUAUAGUCACCCAGUUACGUUGUGACGUUUGAUACACCCAAAGCACUCCUACGGUAUCCGGGAGUUCCACAAUCUCACGGUCGAGGAAAAAUAUACUUGACAUGAGAAAAGCUUUAGCAUACGAACAAUACAAUCUAGUGCUACGCUCAGGAUUGGGUCUUGUCCAUCACAUCAUUCUCCCAAUGAUGUGAUCCCGUUAUCAAUGACAUCCAAUGCCCAUGAUCAGGAAACCAAGAUCAUCUAUUGAUCAACGAGCUAGACAACUAGAGGCUUGCUAGGGACACAUUGUGAUCUAUUUAUUCACACAUUUAUUACUGUUUCCUGUUAAUACAAUUAUAGCAUGAACAAUAGACAAUUAUCAUGAACAAAGAAAUAUGAUAAUAACCAUUUUAUUAUUGCCUCUAGGGCACAUUUCCAACAACUCUUACUUAUCGAAAGGACUACGAUUCAUCCCCUAUACUUGUGGGUCAUCAAGACUCUUUUCGGGCGCCGUUGUCGGGGAGUGAAGCUCCUUUGGUAAGUGGAAAUUGGUAAGGAAACAUUUUUAUACUGUGCUGAAAUUUAUUGUCACUUGUCACUAUGGAAACUGUUCCUUUGAGGAGUUUGUUCGGGGUAUCUUCACCACGAACGGAAGCACGAGGAGUUAUUCCUCGACCUGAGGUACCUACUAAAAAUAUCUUUUAUGAAAUUCCUUCGGGUAUGCUUGAGAAACUGCUGGCUAAUCCUUUUACAGGAGAUGGAUCUUCACAUCCAUACUUGCAUUUGAUCUAUGUAGAUGAAGUUUGUAGUUUAUUUAAGCUUGCAGGUUUGCCCAAGGAUGAGGUAAAGAAGAAAGUCUUUCCUUUAUCUUUGAAGGAUAAGGCGUUGACAUGGUAUAGGCUAUGUGAUGAUACUGGAUCAUGGGACUACAAUCAGUUGAAAUUGGAAUUUCAUCAAAAGUUCUAUCUUAUGCAUUUAGUACAUCGUGAUCGGAACUUUAUUAAUAACUUUUGGCCUCAUGACAGGGAAAUCAUAGCUCAAGCUUGGGGACGCUUAAAUCAAUGCUAUAUUCAUUCCCCAAUCAUGAGCUCUCGAGAGAAAUCAUCACUCAAAAUUUUUAUGCUCGGCUUUCUCAUGAAGAUCGUACCAUGCUUGACACUUCUUGUACCCGUUCUUUUAGGAAGAAGGAUAUUGACCACAAGUGGAAUUUAUUGGAGAGAAUCAAACGUAACUCAGAAGAUUGGGAGAUGGAGGAAGGUAAGGAGUCAGGUAUGAAUUUCCAGUUUGAUUGCGUUAAAUCUUUUGUUGAGACAAACACUUCUAGAGAUUUUAGCGCUAAGUAUGGACUUGACUUUGAGAUAGUAGCUUCUUUAUGUGAAUCUUUUGUUGCUCAUGUUGAUCUUCCCAAAGAGAAGUGGUUUAAGUAUCAUCCUCCUGUAGAAACCAACAUAGUCAAAACAAAUCUAGUUGAGGAGAAAGUCAUUGCUUUUAGUGAUCCUGUUGUUCCUUGUGCUUACACUAAGAAACCACCUUACCCUGCUAGGAUAAAGGAUUAUUCUAAACCUCCAACUGUGAUACGUAGGGGUUACAUUAGACCACUUGCACCCCCCGAGGAAAUUAGAGUUGAACCUAGUGUUGCUAUUAUCAAAGAUCUCUUAGCCGAAGACGUAGACGGGCAUGUUAUCAAAUUUUGUGAGGACUCCGCUAGAAUUGCUAAACCUCACGCGAAAGACAAAUACGGGCCUGUAGUUGGCCUGCCCGUUGUUUCUGUCAAGAUAGGAGAUCACUGUUACCAUGGUUUAUGUGAUAUGGGAGCUAGUGUUAGUGCAAUACCCCGUUCUCUAUAUGAUGAAAUCAAAGAUGAGAUUGCACCUGCUCAGUUAGAACCCAUUGAUGUCACUAUUAUGCUAGCUAAUAGAGACAUUAUCUGCCCUCUGGGAAUUGUGAGAGACUUAGAAGUCCUGUGUGGUAAGACGAAGUAUCCUACUGAUUUCCUCGUCCUUGGUACUGCACAAGAUAGCUUUUGUCCCAUCUUAUUUGGUAGACCCUUUCUCAACACUGUCAAUUCUCACAUUGAUUGCAUUAAGCAGACCGUCACUGUUAGUUUCGAGGGUGUGUCUCAUGAAUUUAACUUCUCCAAGUUUGGAAGACAACCCCAUGAAAAAGAGUCGCCUAGAAGGGAUGAAAUCAUUGCUCUUGCCUCUAUUGCCGUACCUCCUACGGAUCCUUUAGAGCAAUAUCAGCUUGAGCAUGAAAAUGAUAUGCAUAAGGAGGAGAGAGAUGAGAUAGAUAAAACUGUCUUAGAACAAUAUCCUAUUCUCAAGAAUAAUCUGCCUGUUGAACUCCUUGGGGAUCCUCCCCCACCAGAGGGUGAUCCUGUGUUCGAGCUAAAAGAGUUGCCUCAUACUCUUAAGUAUGCCUAUCUUGAUGAGAAGGAGAUAUAUCCUGUUAUUAUUAGUGCCCUCCUCUCAGAGCACGAAGAGAAGAAGUUACUAAGAACUCUGAGGAAGCACCGUGCUGCUAUUGGAUAUACUCUUGAUGAUCUUAAGGGUAUUAGUCCCACUCUAUGUUAGCACAAGAUUAAAACCGAUCCUCACUUUAAACCAGUUGCUGAUCAUCAAAGGAGAUUAAAUCCUAAGAUGAAAGAGGUCGUUCGAAAAGAAAUAUUAAAGCUUGUGGAAGAAGGAAUCAUUUAUCAUGUUGCCCAUAGUGAUUGGGUAAGUCCAGUACAUUGCGUACCUAAGAAGGGAGGUAUCACCGUCAUUCCUAAUGAUAAGGAUGAACUAAUCCCACAAAGGAUUAUUACCGGCUAUAGGAUGGUGAUAGACUUCCGGAAACUGAACAAGGCAACUAGGAAAGAUCAUUAUCCUUUGUCGUUUAUCGACCAAAUGCUAGAAAGGCUAUCAAAACACACACACUUUUGCUUUCUAGAUGGUUAUUCAGGUUUCUCGCAAAUACCUGUUGCACAAUAUGAUCAGUAGAAAACCACUUUCACCUGCCCCUUCGCUACAUUUGCUUAUAGACCUAUGCCUUUUGGCUUAUGCAAUGCACCUGCCACCUUUCAAAGAUGUAUGAUGGCUAUAUUCUCUCACUUUUGUGAAAAGAUUGAUGAGGUUUUCAUGGAUGACUUCUCCGUUUAUGGGUCUUCAUUUGAUGAUUGCCUCAGCAACCUUGAUCGAGUCUUACAGAGAUGCGAAGAUACCAACCUCGUCUUGAAUUGGGAGAAGUGUCAUUUUAUGGUUAACGAAGGUAUCGUCUUAGGACACAAAAUUUCUGAAAGAGGCAUUGAAGUUGAUAAGGCUAAGGUUGAUGCAAUUGAGAAAAUGUCUUGCCCCAUAGAUAUCGGAGGUAUACGAAGUUUCCUAGGUCAUGCUGGUUUGUAUAGAAGGUUCAUUAAAGACUUCUCUAAGAUUUCUAGGCCUCUUACCAACCUCUUGCAGAAGGAUGUUCCGUUUCUUUUUGAUGAGGAUUGUGAGGAAGCUUUCGAAAUACUUAAGAAGGCUUUGAUAACCGCACCUAUUGUUCAACCACCUGACUGCAAUUGGCCCUUUGAAAUCAUGUGCGAUGCUAGCGAUUAUGCUGAUGGUGUUGUUCUAGGACAAAGAGUUGACAAGAAGUUGAAUUUUAUUCACUACGCUAGUAAAACUCUAGACAGUGCCCAAAGAAACUAUGCCACUACGGAAACGGAAUUUUUAGGAGUCGUGUUUGCAUGUGAAAAGUUCAGAUCUUAUAUAGUUGACUCCAAAGUCACUAUUCACUCUGAUCAUGCUCCUAUUAAGUACCUUAUGGAGAAGAAGGACGCUAAGCCUAGGCUGAUCAGAUGGGUUCUCCUGCUACAGGAAUUUGAUUUGCACGUCGUUGACCGAAAGAGUGCUGAUAACCCUGUAGCAGAUAACUUGUCUAGGCUAGAGAAUGUCCUUGAUGACCUACGACCUAUUGAUGACAGCUUUCCUGAUGAGCAAUUAAAUGUCAUCCGCACUUCACAUAGUGCACCGUGGUAUGCUGACUAGGCAAACUAUAUCGUAGCCAAAUACAUACCACCCAGUUUCACCUAUCAGCAAAAGAAGAAAUUCUUCUUUGAUUUGAGACACUACUUUUGGUAUGAUCCUCACCUUUAUAAGGAAGGAGUAGAUGGUGUUAUUGGACGUUGUGUGCCUGAACAUGAACAGGGACAAAUCUUGCAGAAGUGUCAUUCCGAAGCUUACGGAGGACACCACGUUGGAGAUAGAACUGCCCAUAAGGUAUUGCAAUCAGGUUUCUAUUGGCCCACUCUCUUCAAGGAUGCCCAUAAGUUUGUCUUGUAUUGUGACGAAUGCCAAAGAAUAGGGAAUAUCAGUAAGCGUCAGGAAAUGCCUAUGAACUAUUCACUUGUCAUUGAACCAUUUGAUGUCUGGGGCUUUGAUCAUAUGGGACCUUUCCCAAGUUCCAAUGGGUACACUCAUAUCUUAGUUGUUGUUGAUUACGUUACUAAGUGGGUAGAAGCUAUCUCCACUAAAAAUGCUGAUCACCACACCUGUAUCAAGAUGCUUAAAGAAGUCAUUUUCCCAAGGUUUGGAGUCCCUAGAUAUUUGAUGACCGAUGGCGGUUCACACUUCAUUCAUGGUGUUUUCCGCAAGAUGCUCGCUAAGUAUGAUGUCAACCAUAGAGUUGCAUCUCCUUAUCAUCCUCACUCUAGUGGUCAAGUGGAGUUGAGUAAUAGGGAGAUCAAAUUCAUCCUACAAAAGACCGUCAAUAGAUCUCGAAAGAAUCGGUCUAGCAAACUUGACGAUGCACUAUGGGCUUAUAGGACUGCCUAUAAGAAUCCCAUGGGCAUGUCGCCGUAUAAAAUGGUUUACGGUAAGGCCUGUCAUUUACCUCUUGAGCUGGAACACAAAGCUUAUUGGGCAAUCAAAGAGCUCAACUUCGAUUUCAAACUUGCCGGUGAGAAGCGGUUGUUUGAUAUCAGCUCAUUAGAUGAAUGGAGGGCCUAGGCAUAUGAGAAUGCCAAGUUGUUUAAGGAAAAGGUUAAGAGAUGGCAUGACAAACGAAUACAGAAACAAGAGUUCAAUGUAGGUGAUUAUGUCCUGCUAUACGAUUCUCGUUUAAGAUUCUUCGCAGGCAAGCUUCUCUCUAAAUGGGAAGGUCCUUAUGUUAUCGAGGAAGUAUAUCGUUCCGGUGCCAUCAAAAUCAAUAACACGGAAGGAAAUUUUCCUAAAGUGGUAAAUGGGCAAAGAAUCAAGCAUUGCAUCUCUGGUACUCCCAUAAAUGUUGAGACCAAUAUCAUCAAUGUCAUAACUCCAGAGGAGUACAUAAGGGAUGUUUAUCAGCCUGUUUUAGACCAUGAAAACGAAGAGGUAUCUGUUUCGGUAAGAAAUUGGACUCCGAUGCUUUUCCAAUAGGAAAUUUCCUCCGUUUUGGAAUUUUUGGAAAAUUAGAAAAAUAAAAAGCAGUACGGAGAGCGCACGAGGCGGCCACAAGCUUGGAAGCCGCCACCUACCCCCCUGGUGGCGGAGGGAGGGCUUGUGGGCACCUCGUGUGCCUCCCGGACUCCGUUUUGUUGCGGAGCACUCCUUCUGGUGCAGAAAAAAUCAAUAUAUAUUCGCCCGAUGGUUUUGAUCUCCGUAUCACGCAGUUUUCCCCUGUUUUCGUUUCGAGCUUGUUUCUGUGACACAUCUAGAUCAUCAUGACUUCCCCAAACACUCCUAAGGACAAGGUCUUCGAGAAGGUCAUCAAUCCCUACCUCACGGAAGUGUUGAAACACCCUCAAUCUAUCAAGAUGAGCGAGGGGAUGUUGCACAUCCGUGAUGUUGAGGGGCCUAAGAAGACCGGAAGCGUUGAGACGAGGCUCGAAGCAAUGGAGCAACAAGUCUUCAAGUGCCAAGGGAUGGUGGAGCGUGGACUCAACGCCACCCACAUGAUGAUCACGGAGUUCACCAGCAAGCACAAGAUGGAUGCCAUUGACAUUGGGAAACACCUCUCCAGGCUCUAUGACAGGGUUGAUCAACUUCAGGGCCAGAUCUGUGACCUACAGAACCAAAACUGUGAGUAUGAGUAUAGAAUUAAAUCAAUAAGGUUGGCUGUAGAUUUGAGGAUUCCGGUGACUCGUUCAUCCUGCCAUGAUGGAGCACCUAUGCCUUGGAAGACGGAGGAUCAGACCACUCCAACAACUCCACCACCAUCACCACCAAAGGAAGACAACUAAGCAUUGGUAUGGGCAAUCCCCUUGGCUUCUGCCAAGCUUGGGGGAGUUGCCCUGGUAUCGUAUCACCUUUAUAUCUUUUGCUUUUACCUUUGUUUUAGUUCUUUCCUUGUCAGUUUUUAUUUCUUCUCUUAGAGGAAUAAGUCUUUAGUAUUUAGUUUGAGUCUUUUGCUUUUGUCUCUCCCCCGAUGUAUCCGAGCUUACGAGCUAUUUAAUGAAGAGUAUCUUAGUCAAGGGCUUUGCUUUGUGCCAUGAUCAAAAGUAUGAAAAGAACGAUAGCAUGAAAGAUCAUGAGACGAUCUUAUGGAAAGUGAUAACUUCACAUAUGACACGUAUGAUGAUUGAAACUUGUUGAGAAUAAAUCAACAUAGACCUCAGUCAUUGUUGCAAUUAAUAAGAAGUGAUAAGGAAAGAGAGGUUCACAUAUAAACAUAUCAUCUUAGACACUUUUUACAAUUGUGAGCACUCACCAAACUAUUGUAUGCUUAGGAGUAGAUGUUGGACAAGGAAGACAACAUAAUGAAUUGUGUUUGCUUGGUUCCAAACAAUGUUAUAUGAUUAGAGAUCCCUUAGCAUGUGACGAUUGCUUCCACCUCAUAUUAGCCAAAACUCCCGCACCAAGUAGAGAUACUACUUGUGCAUCCAUAAACAUCCAACCCAGUUUUGCCAUGAGAGUCCACCAUACCUACCUAUGGAUUGAAUAAGAUCCUUCAAGUAAGUUGUCAUCGGUGCAAGCAAUAAAAAUUGCUCUCUAAUAUGUAUGAUCUAUUAGUGUGUCGAAAAUAAGCUUUGUACGAACCUGUGAUGAGGAAGACAUAAAAGCGACAGACUGCAUAAUAAAGUUCUUUAUCACAGGAGGCAAUAUAAAGUGACGUUCCUCCGCACUAAGAGGACACGCAGUCAAACCUCAAAAGUGCAUGACAACCUCUGCUUCCCUCCGCGAAGGGCCUAUCUUGUACCUUUACUUUUUUUCCUUGUAAGAGUCAUGGUGAUCUUCACCAAUUCCCUAUUUUUGUCUUUAUCUUGGCUACCGUCGCAUGCUUGGGAAAGAUCUAUAUUCAUAUAUCAACUUGGAGUUGAGUACUUAUGCUUUAUUAUUGUUGACUUUACCCUUGAGGUAAAUAGUUGGGAGGCAAAACUAUAAGCCCCUAUCUUCCUCUAUUUCCAGCUGAAACUUUGACACCAUGAGUACCACGUGAGUUGUAACAAUUGUGGAAAACAAAAGAGAUGAUUGAGUAUGUGGAUUUGCCUUCCAAGCUCUUACUUGACUCUUUCUGAUGUUGUGAUAAAUUGCAAUUGCCUCAAUGACUUUGGACUGUUGUUGGUUACUUCUCGGUAAAGUUUUUGCUUCAUGCUUUGCUUUGUGAAGGAAUUGUUACUUUCCCAUAAUAAUCUUUAUGACGUAUUGUUGUCCUAUGUGUGAUCAUGAUGACCUCAUGUCCGUAUUAUGUUUUAUCGACACCUUCAUCCCUCAACAUGUGGACAUGUUUAUGGAACUUGGUUUUCGCUUGAGGACAAGCGAGGUCUAAGCUUGGGGGAGUUGAUACGUCCAUUUUGCAUCAUGCUUUCAUGUUGAUAUUUAUUGCUUUAUGGGUUGUUAUAUUACUUUGUGGUACCAUAUUUAUGCCUUUUCUCUCUUAUUUUGCAAGGUUUAUUUGAAGAGGGAGAAUUCAGGCAGCUGGAAUUCUGGACUGGAAAAGGAGCAAACUUAGUCCACUAUUCUGCACAUCUCCAAAUGCCCUGAAAAUUUACGUGGAAUUUAUUGGGAUUAUAUAAAAAAUACUGGGCUAAAGAAGUACCAGAGGGGGGCUACCAGGGCGCCACAAGCCCUGCCACCGCCACCCCCUGGUGGCGGAUGGCAAGCUUGUGGGCUCUCUGACGGCCCACUGGCCCCCCUCUUUUGCUAUAUGAAAGGUUUCGUUCCAGAAAAAAUCAGUCGGGAGAUUUUUCGUGGUUUCUCCACCGCCACGAGGCGGAACUUGAGCAGAUCCAAUCUAGAACUCCGGCAGGACGAUCCUGCCGGGGAAACUUCCCUCCCGGAGGGGGAAAUCGUCGCCAUCGUUAUCACCAACACUCCUCUCGUCGGAGGGGAGGCAUCUUCAUCAACAUCUUCAUCAGCACCAUCUCCUCUCCAAUCCCUAGUUCAUCACUUGUAACCAAUCUCCGUCUCACGACUCCGAUUGGUACUUGUAAGGUUACUAGUAGUGUUGAUUACUCUUUGUAGUUGAUGCUAGUUGGAUUACUUGGUGGAAGAGUUUAUGUUCGGAUCCUUGAUGUUAUUCAUUACACCUCUGAUCAUGAUUAUGAUUAUGCUUUGUGAGUAGUUACUUUUGUUCCUGAGGACAUGGGAUAAGUCAUGUUAAUAAUAGUCAUGUGAAUUUGAUAUCCGUUCGGUAUUUUGAUAUGAUGUAUGUUGUUUUUCCUCUAGUUGUGUUAUGUGAAUGUCGACUACAUAACACUUCACCAUAUUUGGGCCUAGAGGAAGACAUUGGGGAGUAGUAAGUAGAUGAUGAGUUGCUGGAGUGACAGAAGCUUAAACCCCAGUCUAUGCGUUGCUUCGUAAGGGGCUGAUUUGGAUCCAUUAGUUUAAUGCUAUGGUUAGACGUUGUCUUAAUUCUUCUUUCGUAGUUGCGGAUGCUUGCGAGAGGGGUUAAUCAUAAGUGGGAUGCUUGUCCAAGUAAGGGCAGUAACCAAGCGCCAGUCCACCCACAUAUCAAACUAUCAAAGUAACGAACGCGAAUCAUCUGAACAUGAUGAAACUAGCAUGACAGAAAUUCCCGUGUGUCCUCGGGAGCGUUUUUUCCACCUAUAAGACUUUUUUCAGGCUUCUCCCUUUCUAAAAAAGGGAUUGGGCCACUUGCUGCACCAUUGCUACUAGUUGUUACUUGUUACUUUUCGCUUGCUAUGUUUCACCUCACUACACCAUCACUUGUUACCGCUACUUUCAGUGCUUCAGUUAUUACCUUGCUGAAAACCGUUUAUCAGAGCCUUCUGCUUCUCGUUGAGUUCAGCACUCUUACUUAUCGAAAGGACUACGAUUGAUCCCCUAUACUUGUGGGUCAUCAUGCACCGUGGUAUGCUAAUUAUGCAAACUAUAGCGUAGCCAAAUACAUACCACCCAGUUUCACCUACCAGCAAAAGAAGAAAUUCUUCUUCGAUUUGAGACACUACUUUUGGGAUGAUCCUCACCUUUAUAAGGAAGGAGUAGAUGGUGUCAUUAGAUGUUGUGUGCCUGAACAUGAACAGGGACAGAUCCUGCAAAAUUGUCAUUCCGAGGCCUACGGAGGACACCAUGCUGGAGACAGAACUGUUCAUAAGGUAUUGCAAUCAGGUUUCUACUGGCCCACUCUCUUCAAGGAUGCCCGUAAGUUUGUUUUGUCUUGUGACGAAUGUCAAAGAAUAGGGAACAUCAGUAUGCGUCGGGAAAUGCCUAUGAACUAUUCAUUUGUCAUUGAACCAUUUGUUGUCUGGGGCUUUGAUUAUAUGGGACCCUUCCCGAGCUCCAAUGGGUACACUCACAUCUUAGUUGCUGUGGACUAUGUCACUAAGUGGGUAGAAGCUAUCCCCACUAAAAAUGUUGUGUUGGGUAAUGUAGCAUAAAUUCAAAAUUUUCCUACGCAUAUUCAGAUCUUCCUAUGGAGAGACCAGCAAUGAGAGAGGGGUGAGUGCAUCUUCAUACCUUUGAAGAUCGCUAAGCGGAAGCGUUGCUAGAACGCGGUUGAUGGAGUCGUACUCGCGGCGAUUCAGAUCGCGGUGUGAUUCUGAUCUAGUGCCGAACUCCGGCACCUCUGCGUUCAACACACGUGCAGCCCGGUGACGUCUCCCGCACCUUGAUCCAGCAAGGAGGAGGGAGAGGUUGGGGAAGAUCUCCAGCAGGACGACGACGUGGUGUCGAUGGAGAGACGAGGUCUCCCGGCAGGGCUUCGCCAAGCACCGGCAGAGAGGAGGAGAAAGAAGAGCAGGGCUGCGCCGAGGGAGAGGGAAAACUGUAUCUUCAAAAGCCCAAAAGUGCCCACUAUAUAUAUGAGGAGGGGAGGGGGGUGCCACCCCUAGGGUUCCAACCCUAGGUGGUGCGGCAGCCCCCCCAGAUGGGAGGUGCGGCGGCCAGGGCAAGGGGGAGGGGUGGCGCACCCCUAGGUGGGCCUUAGGCCCACCUGCGCCUAGGGUUUCCCCCCUCUCCACCUCCUGCGCCUUGGGCUGAGUGUGGGGGGGGGGCGCACCAGCCCACCUAGGGGCUGGUUCCCUCCCGCACUUGGCCCAUCUAGCCUCCCGGGGUCGUUGCCCCCUUCCGGUGGACCCCUGGGGCCACCUCCGGUGGUCCCGGUACGUUACCGGUGACGCCCGAAACACUUCCGUUGUCCGAAACCAUCUGUCCUAUAUAUCAAUCUUUACCCACGGACCAUUCCGGAGCUCCUCGUGACGUCCGGGAUCUCAUCCGGAACUCCGAAUAACUUUCAAUAACCUCGUAUAACAAUUCCCUAUAACCCUAGCGUCAUCGAACCUUAAGUGUGUAGACCCUACGGGUUCGGGAGACGGGUAGACAUGACUGAGACACCUCUCCGGCCAAUAACCAUCAGCAGGGUUUGGACACCCAUGGUGGCUCCCACUUUCUCCACGAUGAUCUCAUCAGAUGAACCACGAUGUCAAGGAUUCAAUCAAUCCCGUAUACAAUUCCCUUUGUCUGUCGGUAUAGAACUUGCUCAAGAUUCGAUCGUCGGUAUACCUAUACCUUGUUCAAUCUCAUUACUGGUAAGUCUCUUUACUCGUUCUGUAGCACGUCAUCGUGUGACUAACUCCUUAGUCACAUUGAGCUCAUGAUGAUGUUCUACCGAGUGGGCCCAGAGAUACCUCUCCGUCACGCGGAGUGACAAAUCGCGAUCUCGAUUCGUACCAACCCAACAGACACUUUCAGAGGUACCUGAAGUGCACCUUUAUAGUCACCCAGUUACGUUGUGACGUUUGAUACACCCAAAGCACUCCUACGGCAUCCGGGAGUUGCACAAUCUCACGGUCGAAGGAAAAGACACUUGACAUUAGAAAAGCUUUAGCAUACGAACAAUACGAUCUAGUGCUACGCUUAGGAUUGGGUUUUGUCCAUCACAUCAUUCUCCCAAUGAUGUGAUCCCGUUAUCAAUGACAUCUAAUGCCCAUGACCAGGAAACCAUGAUCAUCUAUUGACUAACAAGCUAGCCAACUAGAGGCUUGCUAGGGACACAUUGCGAUCUAUUUAUUCACACAUGUAUUACUGUUUCCUGUUAAUACAAUUAUAGCAUGAACAAUAAACGAUUAUCAUGAACAAGGAAAUAUGAUAAUAACCAUUUUAUUAUUGCCUCUAGGGCAUAUUUCCAACAGUCUCCCACUUGCACUAGAGUCAAUAAUCUAGUUACAUUGUGAUGUAUCGAACACCCAUAGCAUUAUGGUGUUGAUCAUGUUUUGCUCGUGGAAGAGGUUUAGUCAACGGGUCUGCAACAUUCAGAUCCGUGUGUACUUUACAAAUCUCUAUUACUCCACUCUGGACAUGGUCCCGGAUGAAGUUGUAGCGGCGUUUAAUGUGCUUCGUCUUCCGGUGAAACCUGGGCUCCUUGGCUAUGGCAAUGGCCCCGGUGUUAUCACAGAAGAGUGUCAUUGGACCCGACACGCUUGGAACCACUCCAAGGUCGGUGAUGAGCUCCUUCAUCCAAAUUCCUUCAUGAGCUGCUUCUGAAGGAGCUAUGUACUCCACUUCACAUGUAGAUGCUGCCACGACUUCUUGCUUGCUGCUGCACCAGCUCACUACCCCACCAUUGAAAACAUAUAUGUAUCCGGUCUGUGACUUAGAGUCAUCCGGGUCUGUGUCGAAGCUAGCGUCGACGUAACCCUUUACGACGAGCUCUUCGUCACCUCCAUAAACGAGAAACAUUUCCUUAGUUCUUUUCAGGUACUUAAGGAUAUUGUUGACCGUUGUCCAAUGUUCCAUACCGGGAUCACUUUGUUAUCUCCCUACCAAACUUAUGGCAAGGUUUAUAUCAGGUCUGGUACACAGCAUGGCAUACAUAAGAGAGCCUACGGCUGAAGCGUAGGGGACAUAACUCAUCUUCUCUCUAUCUGCUGUCGUGGUCGGCGACUGAGUGUUACUCAAUCUCAUACCUUGCAAAACUGGUAAGAACCCUUUCUUUGAGUUUUCCAUAUUGAACUUAUUCAAUAUCUUGUCAAGGUAUGUACUUUGCGAAAGACCGAUGAGGCGUCUCGAUCUAUCUCUAUAGAUCUUGAUGCCUAAUGUGUAUGCAGCUUCUCCAAGGUCCUUCAUUGAAAAACUCUUGUUCAAAUAGGCCUUUAUGCUCUCCAACAUCUCUAUGUCAUUCCCCAUCAAUAAUAUGUCAUCCACAUACAGUAUGAGGAAAGCUACACAGCUCCCACUCACUUUCUUGUACAGACAGGCUUCUCCAUAAACCUGUAUGAACCCAAACGCUUUAAUCACCUCAUUAAAGCGAAUGUUCCAACUCCGAGAUGCUUGCACCAGCCCAUAGAUGGAGCGCUGGAGCUUGCACACUUUGAUAGCACCCUUAGGGUCGACAAAACCUUCUAGUUGCAUCAUAUACAACUCUUCCUUAAGAUUCCCGUUAAGGAAUGCUGUUUUGACGUCCAUUUGCCAAAUUUCAUAAUCAUAAAAGGCGACAAUUGCUAACAUGAUUCGGACUGAUUUCAGCUUCGCUACGGCAGAGAAAGUCUCCUCGUAGUCAAUUCCUUGAAUUUUUCGAAAACCCUUUGCGACAAGUCGAGCUUUAUAAACGGUUACAUUACCGUUUGCAUCAGUCUUCUUCUUGAAGAUCCAUUUAUUUUCUAUGGCUCGCCGGUCAUCGGGCAAGUCCACCAAAGUCCAUACUUUGUUCUCAUACAUGGAUCAUAUCUCGGAUUUCAUAGUUUCAAGCCAUUUGUUGGAAUCCGGGCCUGCCAUCGCUUCUUCAUAGUUCGAAGGUUCACCAUUGUCUAACAACAUGAUUUCCAUUACAGGGUUGUCGUACCACUCUGGUGCGGAGCGUACCCUUGUGGACCUUCGCAGCUUAGUAGUAACUUGAUCCGAAGCUUCAUGAUCAUUAUCAUUAACUUCCUCUUCAGUUGGUGUAGGCGCCACAGGAACAACUUCCCGCGCUGCGCUGCUAUCUUGUUCGAGAGGGGUGUAAUUACCUCAUCAAGUUCUACCUUCCUACCACUUACUUCUUUGGAGAGAAACUCUUUCUCUAGAAAGGAUCCGUUCUUGGCAACAAAGGUUUUACCUUCAGAUCUAAGAUAGAAGGUAUACCCAAUAGUUUCCUUAGGGUAUCCUAUGAAUACGCAUUUCUCCGCUUUGGGUUCGAGCUUUUCUGGUUGAAGUUUCUUCACAUAAGCAUCGCAGCCCCAAACUUUAAGAAACUACAACUUAGGUUUCUUGCCAAACCAUGGUUCAUACGGUGUCGUCUCAACAGAUUUAGACGGUGCCCUAUUUAAAGUGAAUGCUGCAGUUUCUAAUGCGUAUCCCCAAAAUGAUAGCGGUAAGUCGGUAAGAGACAUCAUAGAUCGUACCAUAUCUAAUAAAGUGCAAUUACGACGUUCAGACACUCCGUUAUCGUUGCGGUGUGCCAGGCGGCAUCAGUUGUGAAACGAUUCCACACUUCCUUAGGUGUGUGCCUAACUCGUGACUCAAAUAUUCUCCUCCACGAUCAGAUCGUAGACACUUAAUUUUUUUUGUCACGUUGAUUCUCGACCUCACUCUGGAAUUCCUUGAACUUUUCAAAUGUUUCACAUUUGUGCUUCAUCAAGUAGAUAUACCCAUACCUACUCAAAUCAUCGGUGAGAGUGAGAACAUAACGAUAGCCACCGCGAGAGCUUCAACGUUCAUUGGACCACACACAUCAGUAUGUAUUAUUUCCAAUAGGUCGGUUGCUCUCUCCAUUAUUCCUGAGAAUGGAGUCUUAGUCAUCUUGCCCAUGAGGCACGGUUCGCAUGUGUCAAAUGAUUCAAAGUCAAGAGACUCUAGUAGUCCAUCAAUAUGGAGCUUCUUCAUGCGCUUAACGCCGAUAUGACCAAGGCGACAGUGCCACAAGUAUGUGGGACUAUCAUUGUCAACUUUACAUAUUUUGGUACUCACACUAUGAAUAUGCAUAACAUCACGAUCGAGAUUCAUCAAGAAUAAACCAUUCACCAGCGGAGCAUGACCAUAAAACAUAUCACUCAUAUAAAUAGAACAACCAUUAUUCUCUGACUUAAAUGAGUAGCCGUCUCGCAUUAAGCAAGACCCUGAUACAAUAUUCAUGCUCAAAGAUGGUACUAAAUAACAAUUAUUAAGGUUUAAAACUAAUCCCGACGGUAGAUGUAGAGGUAGCGUGCCGACGCCGAUCACAUCGACCUUGGAGCCAUUCCCGACGCGCAUCAUCACCUCGUCCUUGGCCAGUCUCUGCUUAUUCCGCAGUUCCUGCUUUGAGUUACAAAUGUGAGCAAGAGCACCGGUAUCAAAUACCGAGGAGCUACUACGAGCGCUGGUAAGGUACACAUCAAUAACAUGUAUAUCACAUAUACCUUUAACGUUGUCGGCCUUCUUGUCCGCUAAGUAUUUGGGGCAGUUCCGCUUCCAGUGACCCUUUCCCUUGCAAUAGAAGCACUCAGUCUCAGGCUUGGGUCCAUUCUUUUUCUUCUUCCGGGCAUCUGGCUUACCGGGCGCGGCAACGGCUUUGUCGUCUUUCUUGAAGUUCNCUAGGCUGCUGCGGGAGUGGGAGGGUCACCUAGCGGCGCAUCAAGGACAUAACCUUUUUUAGCUCCUUCAAGGAUGAGCUUCAAGUUGCGAACCCAGUCCCCAUAGUUGCUACCAUCAUCUUUCAGCUUGUUUUUCUCUAGGAAUGCGUUGAAAGUGAGGUUGACGUUGGCCAUCUACAAUAUUUGUAAAGACAACUUUUAGACUAAGUUCAUGACAAUUAAGUUCAUUUAAUAAAAUUAAGUAUGAACUCCCAGCUAAAUCGACAUCCCUCUAGUCAUCUAAGUGAUACAUGAUCCAUGUUGACUAACUCGUGUCCGAUCAUCACGUGAGACGGACUAGUCACCAUGGUGAGCAACUUCAUGCUGAUCAUAUUCAACCAUACGACUCAUGUUUGACCUUUCAGUCUCUUGUAUUCGAGGUCAUGUCUGUACAUGCUAAGCUCGUCGAGUCAACCUAGGUGUUUCGCGUGUGUAAAUCUGGCUUACACCCGUUGUAUGCGAACGUUAGAAUCUAUCACACCCGAUCAUCACGUGGUGCUUCGAGACAACGAUCCUUCGCAACGGUGCACAUUAGGGAAAUACAUUCUCGAAAUUUUAAGAGGGAUCAUCUUAUUAUGCCACCGUCGUUCUAAGCAAUAAGAUGAAAAACAUGAUAAACAUCACAAUGCAAUCAUAUAGUGACAUGAUAUGACCAUUAUCAUCUUUGCUUUUUCGAUCUCCAUCUUCAGGCAUCGCAUGAUCAUCAUCAUCACCGGCGUGACACCAUGAUCUCCAUCAUCGUGUCUCCGUGAAGUCGUCACGCCAACUACUACUAUCACUACUACUAUAGCUAACCGAUAGCAAUGAAGUAAAUGAUGGGGAACGUCGCAUGGGAAACAAAAAUUUUCCUACGCGCACGAAGACCUAUCAUGGUGAUGCCCAUCUACGAGAGGGGAUGAGUGAUCUACGUACCCUUGUAGAUCGUACAGCAGAAGCGUUAGUGAACGCGGUUGAUGUAGUGGAACGUCCUCACGUCCCUCGAUCCGCCCCGCGAACAAUCCCGCGAUCAGUCCCACGAUCUAGUACCGAACGGACGGCACCUCCGCGUUCAGCACACGUACAGCUCGACGAUGAUCUCGGCCUUCUUGAUCCAGCAAGAGAUACGGAGAGGUAGAAGAGUUCUCCGGCAGCGUGACGGCGCUCCGGAGGUUGGUGGUGACCUUGUCUCAGCAGGGCUCCGCCCGAGCUCCGCAGAAACGCGAUCUAGAGGAAAAACCGUGGAGGUAUGUGGUCGGGCUGCCGUGGAAAAGUCGUCUCAAAUCAGCCCUAAAACCUCCGUAUAUAUAAGUGGGAGGGAGGGGACCUUGCCUUGGGGCUCAAGGAGCCCCAAGGGGGUCGGCCGAGUCCAAGGGGGGAGGACUCCCCCCCAAACCGAGUUGGACUUGGUUUGGUGGGAGGGAGUCCCCCUUCCUUCCCACCUCCUCCUUUUUUUUUCUUUUCUCUUGAUUUUCUCUUCUUGGCGCAUAGAGCCCUUUUGGGCUGUCCCACCAGCCCACUAAGGGCUGGUGUGCCACCCUCAAGGCCUAUGGGCUUCCCCGGGGUGGGUUGCCCCCCCCGGUGAACUCCCGGAACCCAUUCGUCAUUCCCGGUACAUUCCCGGUAACUCCGAAAACCUUCUGGUAAUCAAAUGAGGUCAUCCUAUAUAUCAAUCUUCGUUUCCGGACCAUUCCGGAAACCCUCGUGACGUCCGUGAUCUCAUCCGGGACUCCGAACAACAUUCGGUAACCAACCAUAUAACUCAAAUACGCAUAAAACAACGUCGAACCUUAAGUGUGCAGACCCUGCGGGUUCGAGAACUAUGUGGUCUCUCUUUAAUUAGGUUUCACGACCUAGAGAGUAUCGAUGUCGACUAUUGGAUUAGUGCACAAUGACACCUUUGACUUUGAUGGCACAAAUUAUACCCUAUGGAAAAUUCGUAUGCUUCAUCACUUUCGGGCCAUGGGCCCGAAUACUUUACGAAUUGUUCUUGUAGGGAUUGCCGACAAAAAGGAUGAUGCAUCUUCAUCUACUAAUGAAAUGUAUCUUGAUUGUGAGGCUUUUCUUGCCAUUCAUCGAACCAUAAGUCCUGAAGUGUUUAAGUCUAUCUCGACUUGCAAGUCAGCUCAUGAAGUUUGGACUAAACUUGAAGAUAUAUAUGGUGGGUCCAAUCUUGAUGAAGACGAUAUUAUGAUGAAGGAGUUGGUGCAUGAGCUCUUUACUCUUUUCGAUCAUAAAGAGUCCACCACCACUUCCAUAUCCGAUUGCUUGCACACCUCAGCAUCUUCAAUCUCACAAGGUAAUGACAUGGUGAGUGAAGAAAUAUAUGUUGAUGAAAAUGUCAUAGCCUCUAUGGACACGAGCAUAUCUAGCACCACACAUAGUGUAAAUUAUUGUGUUGAUAGGUCAUGCAUUUCACCUAAAGAUCCCUCGACAAAUGUCUGUGGUGAUAUGCCUGCUUUCCCGUGUCCUCUUGAUCAAAAUAUCUUAUUUCUCCAUAGUUGCUCUAUGACUAAUCAUUUAGGGGAAAUCAAGAAAUAUGAAGUACUUUUGACUAAUGAAGAAUCUGAUUCACCAAAAGAAUCAUCAUCAACUCCUCCAGUUCACAUGUGCCUCAUGGCAAGAGGUAAUAAUGAGGUAUCAUCUUCCCUGUGCAAUAACGAUGAUAUUUGCGAUGAGGAUGAUGAUGAUGACUUGACUAAAAAUAUCUAUGUGAUCAGUAAAAUUCUUCAUAAAGCUAAAAAUAACGCUCUUCAAAGAUUCCAAGAUAUUCUUGAUUACUUUGAAAAUUGUAAUGAUUCACUUAAUCAUGAACAAGCUAAAAGUGAACAACUUGAACAUGAACUUGAGAAGAGUCAUCAAGCAUGUAGAGACUUAAGAUCUUCAAAAGUAGAGAUUGAAGUUGCUCAUGAUAAACUUAAAAAGAAUUUUGAGGACCUUCUCCUUGAAUGCAAUAAUGUCAAGGGAGAGCUCAUCAAAACCUCUAAGAUCUACGAGGAGUUUCAAUCUACUCAUGAGAAGUCUCUAUUUGCUACUUACUCCUCUCAUAUUGUUGAUGAUACUUGUACAUCUAACUCUACCUCAUUUGAAGUAUCAACAUUGAAGGAGAAUAUUGAGCUACAUGCUCAACUUGAUUUACUAACUAGCAAUUACGGGAAGUUGGAAGAAAACCAUGUAAUGCUCACAAGCUCACAUGCCGAUCUUCUAACAUCCUAUGAUGUACAAGAGUUAGCUCAUGAGGCUAUCAUCACCAAGGUAACAUCAAGUGAGCCUCAUGUGGACAAUGGCACUACUUCUAGUCAAAGUACUAUAUUUCCAUGUGCUAGUCCUCGUAAUUCGUCUACUCAUAAUGUUGCUACCUCGUGUGAUGAAUUACUUUCCUUGCCUUGUUGCUCUAACAUUGAAGCUUACACUUCCUCUAGUACUUGCAUUGAUACUAACCGUGCAGAGGAAAUCGAAGAGCUCAAGGCCCAAGUCACUUCUUUGAAGAAAGACUUGGAACAGUGUCAUGAAGGGAUGUCCACACUCAACAACGUCAUGUGUGAGAAAACAUCUCCGAAUAACAAAAAUGAUGUUGGAGUAAACUCAAACAAGAACAAGAGGGGCCUAGAACAAGUCAAGAAUUCGGCUAAAAUCAUUUGCUUCAAGUGCAAAGUCAAAGGGCACCAUGUUAGAUCUUGCCCUCUGAAGAUGAAGUCUCAAAGUCACAAGCAACAAGGGAAGCGGCCACAAACUCAAUCACAUAUUCAGCUACAAGUUGAAGGAAGGCCUCUUCCCAAUAAGACCCAAGCCAACACUCCCCGAGGUGAGAAAUCAACUGGGAAGAAAGCAAAGGGUAGAUGUUGCUACUUAUGUCGUGAGAAGGGUCACGUCGCUUCGUCUUGCACAAGAGGUAACUUAUCCAACCCAAUCACUAUUGAUGAUAUCUAUUCCCUUGGGAAGGAUAAGGUUGUCAAUGUGUUUGCCAAGUUUGUUGGUACUCAAAAUGGUGUCAAGAAAAGAACCAUUUGGGUUGCCAAGCCUAUUGUGAUUAACCUCUUAGGACCCAACGUAGUUGGGGACCAACAAGCUCAAACUUGAUCAAUAGGUGACUAUGGAGGACAUUAGAGACUUGGAUACAUAAUGAAGAAUUAAGGGGUCUUCAUCAUUCAUAUUAUCUCAAGCCAAGUCAUUUGGAUUAUCGAGUUUCUAUCUUAUAUCCAAUGUGCCUCCUUACGGUAACUUAUACUUAAACUAUUUACAUUGUUAGGUGCUUGCCCCUUUGCAUGUUGUGGUUUUGUACCUUGCAUGCGUUUGUAUAUGUUGUGCUUCCAACUUGCUUAUCUUGAGUAAUCGAGUAUGUGUAUGUUGGUUUGCAUAUCAUGUACAUGUGAGUCUUGUAUUGAGCCUUUUUACAUCUUGUUUGUAUUUUUGUUGGCUCUUGUGAGAGAUUAAUGGAUUAUCCCAUUGUGGGGGAGUGAUGUGCUUUGCACACCUCACGAUCCUAUAAAUGUGUAUACAUGGGGAAUACCACUUAGUUUUGAUAUCUUAAGAUUAUCUAGUUUCUAUGUGGUAUGUCUUACUCAUGAGAAAUUCAAAUUCUAUAUGGUCCAUUAAGUAUCUCUUGUUGGUUUUAAUUUGCCACUUGUUAAUAUUGUUGGUUUAUCACCUUAUGGGGGAGUAAUAUGCUAUGUGCAUAUUACAAACCUAGAAAAUGUGUACAUUUGAGGUGUUUCCACUUAGUGUUGAUACUGUAAAUUAUCUUGUUCCUAGGUGGCAUGUUAGCUCUACAAGUGUCAUUUGCUUGCGUUUUAUGGGUAAAGAUGAUCUUGGAUAUAUUUACGAUCUACCAAUGAGUAUCACUUCCAAAAUACUUCUUGUCCUUGACAAUUGGUAUUCCCAUCAUGUGAUAGGAAUUGCUAAUCGUCUUUACAUUGGAUUUUGUGUUUCGUUUGUCUUCCUUGCCUCUUAUGGAUCUAUUUUAACAUGUCUAGUGUUUUUAUAGAUAUAGAGAAACUGAUGAUCCCAUCGUGUGCAUUUUGUAUUUAAAUGCAAAUUCUAUAUAAUGCACGUCCCUUGGGGGAGCUAUCCUAUUUUUUUAGAACACUCUCUUUAUUCACCCAUCAUAAAAUCUUUUGAUCCCCAUCAAGUGUGUGUUGAUGGGAGGCAAGUCUUGCUCUUUAUGAUGCUUUGUGCCAUCAUGAAAAUUUGUCGAGGGCUUGGUUUGUUGGAACCUAGCUCUCUUUUGGAAAUUAGAUACCUCGUGUUUGUUUUCCUUCAAUUGGUUUCUUGUUUCCUUUUAUUUGGCAUGUGUCAAUGGAAAUCUCAUUCCUUGAGGUAUCUUUUAAUUUAUAUCCUUCAAGUGAUAGUUCUUUUUUGUUUAGGAUCUUAUUAUCACUUGAUACCUUGUCUUUUGGUGACUUAUCAACUUUGUGUUGAGUUGAUUCUUGAGAGUCUUGAGCAUGCAUAUCUACUAUAUACAACUUCUUUUGCUUGCUUUCCUUCUUUGACCCAAUAUAUAGGGGAAACUCCACCUUGUCAUAAAUUGGCUAAAGUGUGCAUGAAAUUCAAAUUCAUAUCUAUAUGCACAUAUGUAUGUGGAGUUUGUCCUAUGUAUUGCUGGUUUUCUAACUCUUUGGUCCCAAUGAGUUUGGGCACCAUUUUGUUUGUUUUGCUGUUCCAUGAACAAUUGGAGAUGCAUUGGAUGCUUGGCUCACCUAUAAGGAAGGUGUUGAGACCAUGUGAUUAUUGGAGCCAAGUUAGGAUGAUCAAAGAACAACUAUCUACUACAUCAAUCCAUUGUUGUCUCGAUACCAAGUAUCCACUUCAUGCAUUCUUUUCUUGCAAAGGACCCAACCUGUCUUUUCUUUUCCAGGUUGCAUCAUGGCAUGAAUCUCUUGAUUCGUUCUUGUAGUACUUGUUUGCUUUUUCAAAGCAUCCGAACGAUGAUGUCUUACUACUAGUUGGGAUGUCUUUGAUGUUCGUAUGUUGGAAGUUCAUAUUGUAUAAUAAGAAAAUAUUAGGCCAUGUGCUAUGCUUCCAAGCAAAAGAUCUCAUUGAUAUAUUUAUGACUUCCUUUUGGAUAUCUAGUUUGUUCCUUCUUGUAACCAUUUCGUGUGUACAUCCUUCUUUGUGGAUAUAUAUUAUCAUGAUUGUCUUCUACUUAGAAUCUUUUACACAUGAGAGAAGUUACAUCUCUAAUUGAUAUCCUCUUUUCUUUCACGUCCAUCGUUGCAUUUCCUUUUUUCAGUUUUUGGUGGCUUCGUGAAAGGAUUUGUUUUGAGUGUGUAUCUUAUUUUCCUACAUCUUGAUGCACUCUUUGGCCGUGAAGAUUAUUUUUCCUCAUGCUUGUCUUGAUGAAAGUUUUGCCAUUUCAAUUACUAUCCCUCCUCUUGACAAGGUUCUUACUUCCUAUCUUCACAAUGGGUUGUCACAAGCGUUGGUUCUUAUUUUUUUAUUAGUAAGCUUUUGAGCCCAUUUUAUAGUAUGUGUGUGUGGGAAUGAUAUGUCUUGCACUUUGUAUCUCAUUUCAUCAAGACUAUGUUGAUGAGUAAUGCUCAUCCUUAUCUUAGUCUUCUCAAGUGCUUUGCCAUGACUCACACACAUUACUUUGGUUGAGCCUAUUCUUAAGUUGCUUCUUUUACAUGUUGCUCAACCAUUUGUUUUGUGAAAUUGAUAUGCUUAUUGUCUCGUCUAUCUUCUUGCACUCGUUGUGUGUUUUUAUUAAUUUUUGGGGAGCAACGAUCCUAUUUUGUGCACUUGUAUCAAAUACAAAAAUCUCGUAUUAGUGCACAAAUCGUGGGGAGCUUCUCUAGUUUUUGAUAAAACACUCUGUUGCCUUUAUCAUAAUAUCUUUUAUUCAUGUGGUUCGAAGGACCAUAUGAUUGUUUGUUCCAUCUGGAAUCUUUUGAUUGCUUGCCUCUAUUUUUGUAUGUCUUUGUGGCAUACGAUCCUUUUAUUUGCAAUCUUUGGGUCCUCAAUAUAGUUUGUUUUCCUCCAACUACUUAUCAUUGUAUUUGUGUAUUUCUCUGCACUCAUUUGCUGAGAAGUACACACUUUUUGGAGGACCACCUACUAUAUUGGCUUUCUAUACUUUUCGUCCAUUUUGGCAAUCGAUGCCAAUGGGGGAGAAGUUUAGAGAGUUUACUUUGGAUAUGUUUAGAGGGUUUUGCUUUUAUUGCGUAAGCAUUUACAUCUUGCACGCAUGCAUUAUUACCUUGUAUGUGUGCACUUGGUUAUGCUUAUUUCCUUAUAUAAACUCUCUUGAAGUGGUUGUCUUCAAUUACCAAAAUGGGGGAGAUUGUUAGAGCAUAUAUCUCCAUAUGUGGUUUUGGUAAUUGAUGACAAUUCCUAUGGACUAAUGGUUGCCUUAAGUUAUAUUUAUAGGAUUUGUCCAUAGGCACUUCUUGAAGUCCAUCUGUUGGGUUCAAGGAGUUUAUAUGAUGACCAAGAUGGUAUUCAAGGUAUUAUCGAAAGAAUGGUCAUAGAGACACUAGGUUGAUCAAGAUCUCAGACAAAGAGUAAAUCAAGAUGAUCAACACACAAAGCGUAUAAGAUGUACCGAGAGGGAUCAGGUGAUCCCAUGGUAUGGUAAGCAUUGUUCAUUACGUGUUUGUGUACUAACCCAUGGUCUUUGUGAGAGUCCUAUGUGGGGGUUAGGUGUGCUUCCAUGGGCUUGCAUCAAAAGGAAGAUCUCAUACAACCCAUGAAGGAUGACGUCAAGUGGUGAUCGUCAUCAAGAUUGUGGUGUGGAAGUUCAAGUGGAUCAGCACGAAUAUAUCAUUGAAACUAUUGUUAAUGAUCAUGUGUUGAUAAGGACAAGCUCAUGUGCUAACAAGGACAAGAUCAAGAUAAGCAUUCCUGAGCACUACAUGCUUGAUUCUUGUGGAUGUUCACAUGGUGGACAAAUGAAGAUGAAUACAUAAGCUAGGCUUUCCACAUUGUGUAUGGGAGAGCUGCUUGAAGACUUCAUCAUGUCUUGCUUUCAACUUGAGCCAAGAAGGAACAACAACAUCAAGCUCAAGUGAAAGGGCUAACUCAAAGGUAUCAGUUCCUUUGACGUUAGUGGUGCGGAGUGAUGAUCAGCGAAUAAAAGUAUACACUCAAGUAUGGAUCAUCAGUACCCCUUUUAUGAUUCUUGAGUCUUUAGGGAUCCCGCACUAUUAAGAGGGGAUCACAAGUUUUGCGAUGAACUUGCUCAAACUACAUCUCUACUUUUCUGCUCAUACCACAUCUCCACUGCUCUGCUGUUAUUUGAAAACAGAACCAAUGCCUCGGACAUCCGGCUCUCUCCGGACGUCCGAGGCCCGGACGUCCGAUCCCCUUCGGAAAACCGGAACCUUGCACCAGAAGAAAUUUGAGUCAAAUAACUCGGACUUCCGGCCUCCUCCUGACGUCCGAGGGCCGGACGUCCGGCUCUCUCCGGACGUCCGAGGGCCGGACGUCCGGGCCCUGUUCGACUACACAGUGGUUCCUGAUAUAUAUACAUUCCUCGAACGUCCGACCCCUUGUGGGAGUUCGGACAUCCGAGAACUGCCGUACGUCCGACCACUGUCAGACUUAAGUGACCCCAACGGUCACUUUCCCUUCUUCACUAUAAAUACCGGGCCCAACACAACCAUAUCCUCAUAAGAACAAAUUUCUACCCCACACACAUUUGCUCACACCAAAUCUUAGAUCCCAAGAGCAUUUGUGAGCCCCUUUGAGAGUUGUUCCAAUCAAAAGAUAGAUCAUCUCCCUCUCCUUCUCUCAACCCAAGCUAUUUGAGAUUUGAGCAAGUUUUGAGCAUUCCCCGUGAUCUUGUUACUCUUGGAGGUUGGAGACUCCUAUGCGGUAGGAGUUCUUCGGAGAGGAAUCAAUCCGUGUGAUUACCCCCCGGAAAAGUUUGUGAGGGUUUGGAAGCCACCUCAAAGGCUUACCACUAGUGGUUGAGAAACGCCUUCGUGGUGUUAUCUCAAAGGGAGAAUAGGGUGAGCCUUCGUGGCGUUGGUGUGCCUUCGUGGUAACAUCCACCUCUCUAAUGGUGACCAGCUUCCCUCCAAGGAAGUGAACAUCGGGAUACAUCUUUAUCUCAGUGACCUUGGUUAUCCUUAACCCUAACUCCUUACUUGUGGUUUACUUGUGUUACUUGAGCAUACAUACAUUGCAUAUUGUUUGUGCUCAUUAUAUUGUGUUGGCUAUUUCUUUGUACAAGAUUAAUCGUUCAAGCAUACCCUCUAUAUCCACACGUUCACACUUGCAGCUUUUGAUAUAUCGUGUGCUAUAGUGUGAUCUAGUAUCUUGUGUCGUUCACCUACUUGUCGGGUGAUAUAGCUCAAGUAAGUUUGUAUAACUUGCUUGUGCUUGUUAGUAACUGUAUUGUGUCCGUCUUGGUAGAUCGUGUUGUUGAUACACAUUGCGGUGCCUAUUGCAUUUAGGAUUUGUGCUUGAAAAGUAUCCUCUUAGUUUAUUUCCGCAUUAGGUUUAAGCCAAAUCCGAAGAAGUUUUUAAAUAGCCUAUUCACCCCCCUCUAGGCGUCAUCGAGGUCUUUUCAGACGCCCAGGCAACUCCGACUGUGUCGAUGAGCAUUGCAUGAGAAAAAGUGCUGGACCUGCGCCGAGCCAGCGCCAGAACCGACCACUCGUCUCGCGUCAUCGUCAUCGCAAGGCUCCUCCUCAACAGCUCCGACUUCAAAAGACAAGAUAGGCACGAUGACCCAUCAAACACGCGGGAUGAGACGGACUACCAGAACACAACUGCAAACCCUACUCCGCUUGAAGCGGUCAUAGUUGCAACACGAGAAGUCGCACAAAAGCAUCCACAUCGUCGGACGGGCAUCAUCCGACCGCAAUGUCGCGAGCAUCCAACCCAUGGAGCAUGCAAAUGAGAUCCAAAGCUCUUCAAGACGAUGCCCGAAAGAGGGAAGCGACGAUGCUGACGUCGUCGCCCGACUUAACAGAGUCUUAGGUUUUCACCCGAAGAACUCGAUCCGAGGAUGUGCAGGAAUAUAACUCCUCGGUAGCGCCUCCAAGCUGGUGAGACGACGUCCACAAACAUCGACGCCGUCGUCUGACAAUCUUUCGCCCGGAGCACCGUCCAACACCACAACCCCACGCAUAACACCUCCGCUAACCCGUACACCUCCCACGAAGCCAUCACGCCAUGACCGUGCAGAAGCCACCACAAACCUCGUCGCCGGCCAGAAGAACUAGCAAGCCAAAACCAACCGUUCCCGGCUGGAUCUGGCAGCCACCCGAGUCAAGGCACCAACGAAGAGCCGCAUCCGGCACGACGCACACCACUAGGACCAGAACCACGAGGCAAAGAGCACGAGCUGCCACCCCGAAGCUCCGGAUCCAGCCGCACGAGGAUGCCACCACCAGAUCCACCUGAAGCUGCCACGCGAGUUCCAUCUUUUGAUCCGCCCAACGCAGCCACCAGAACCAGAAGGAGAGGGCCGUCAAGAAGUCGCACGAGCCGCCAUCCCGCUGGAGAAGGUCGCGAGCGAGAAACUCAAGGACGACUGACUUGUCCUGGUCGCCCUCGUAGCGGUCGCACGAGCUAGCCUGUCGAAGUCGCGCCGCAUGAGCACCAGGGGUCGAGCCUCCCCAACCACCUCCACACGCCGAGGCGCCGCCCACCUGGCCACCGCAGCCGUUACCACCGCAGAGCGAAUGCAGGGCCGCUGCCUCGGUGCCCAGCCUCGCCGACUGCGCCGUGCCGUCCAGGACAGCCCCGGAGCGCAUCCGCGCGAGAGAGGCCCGCCGCCGCCGGCUGCUGCGCGGGCUUUGCUCGGGAACGACGCCCGCCGUCGUUUUUUUGGGGGGGGGGGGCGCUAGGUAGUACGAGCCUGGAAAUAAAAAGUGAAUGAUUAAGGGCAUGUUUGGGACUGUUCUACUCCACAAAAAUCAGCUCCGCUGUAGAAAACAUAAGCCAAACGGGGUAGCUCCACGAUAUACAACUUCACAAAAAAACUAGAAUCUGGGGUCCAACUUCUUGUUUUUCAUGAAGCUCUCUAGGAGGUGCUCCAUAAAAUUGUAGAAGCUGUAGUUGGAGCAAAAUUACCCACCACUGCCAUCAGUAAGUGGAUACCCCUUCGUUUCUUCCCUCUCAUCCAAUCAAAUAGAUUAUUUUCAUUAAAAUUUUCAUUCGUGAAGUUGGAGCUGGAUAAAAGCCAAACAUUCUCUUUAAAAGAGCUACAACUCCUAUAUGAAACUGCUCCAAAAUGAAUUUGAUGGAGCGGAGCUAUUUUUGAUGGAGCGGGGCGGUCCCACCUAAGCACUGGUCUGGUUAGCUUGAACCGAAAGCGAUCCGCUGCAUCCAUCACCAACCGCCGUCCGGAGGACCCCUUCCAAUCCAAUCGCAUCGCGGACCAAAAAACCGCACCGGUGCGGACGACACGAGACCGACUGACGGACUCACUCACACAGAGAUCAACAUCAACACAAACAAACAAACAGCCACCCUCCCUCUCGAACCAAACGGAAGGGCCAAAUCCACGCGUGUUUUUUUUCUUUUUCAAAAUCCACCGCCCCCCAGCACACAGCACAGCACAGCUCAGCCUCAGCUAACCCAAAAACCAAACCACCAGACCCGAGCCGGCCGCCAGCCCAUCCCCAUCCCCACCACGCCACGCUGCCAACCCCCUCCCUCUCCCUUUCCCCACUCCCCCUNCCCACCCCCCUCGCGCGCCCAAACCCUAGCCCGUGCCCCCCCCCGCCCCUACUACUCUACUCGACAGAGAUCCGAUCUGACGGGGCCGAGGCGGCGCACCGGAACCCCGGCGGGGCCGAGAUGGGGGACUUCAACGUGGCGCUGGUGAUCGUGGCGGCGGUGGUGAGCGUCCUGGUGCUGCUCGUCAGCGUCUACCUGCUCGUCAACUACCAGCACCCCGACGACGCCAACCAGGCCUACUUCCCCAAGCUCGUCGUCGUGCUCGGCAUCACCGUCGCCGUCCUCUCCAUCCUCAUGCUCCCCGCCGACGUCGCCAACAGGCAGGCCUGCAAGCGGGCCGUCUACAGCGGGGCCUGCUCCCUCACCCUCCCCAUGAAGACGCUCUGGCUCGUCGUCUACAUCAUCGACGCCGUCCUCGUCUUCCUCGUCAUACCGUUCGCCAUGUUCUACUACGAGGGCGACCAGGACAAGUCAGUCAUCCUUGAGUUUCCCCUUUUCUUCCUCUGCCUGCAUCGCCUUGCUUCGCUGACUGCUUAGAUCCGCCCUGCGUCCAGGUCCGUCGGGAAGCGGCUCAAGAGCGCCCUCAUAUGGGUCGUCGCCUCCGCCGUCGUCUGCGGCCUCGUCCUCGGCAUCCUAUACGGUGCGUAUGCGUGCGGAUAGCCAUUCUCCUUUUUUUGCCUGCCUCAACCCAUUUCUCAUGCUCUGCUCUGCUCACUGCUAAAUCUGCUCCGAGAAAGUUUGGACCGAUUCGAGCUUCAAAUGUGAAUCUCGGGGUGUUGCCCUGCAUUUCGAUUGUAGAUUGGAUUGGAGGAGCCUCGAGCUUCAGAGGUUUCACGUUUCUCCUCCAUGGCCAGUCAAUGCUGCAUAGCCAGAUCUGAAAUUGCUACAGUUCUCAUUCGUCGAUUCAUCAUGCCCGUUAGACCUCUGAAUUGCAUACUUCACAGCAAAACAAGCAUUAGACCUCUGAUUUGUAUACUUCACUGCUUGUUUUGCUGUCCUAGGUUGCAGCUUAUGCAUUUGGACUCGUUAGGAAACUUAGGAAACAACAUAUCGUUUUGUCCUGCUCAUUUGGCACAACGUCCAUGUUUCUUGCUCACAUCAGACAGACCCUUCAUGCCUGUACCUGCAUGGGAUGAAUUAUGCCUUCAUUGAUGUCAACUUCUUACAAUGCGUGAUGUUGCACUUUAUACCUCUCGUGAUGUUGACUUGUUGCUAAUCCAUGAUGUCCUGACUUUACCUGACUGCACUUCUGCUUUGUUGCUUCAGCACUUAUUGGCAAAGUGGACUUCACUGUCAGGCACCUCUCUUCAUCUGUCCAGACAUUUCCAGGCCCAAACCAGUUCGGUGCAUUCACAAGUGGCCAACCUUGCAUCGCUCCAUUGACCCGUCAGGUUAACCUGCUGAUGGAAUGGUUCUUCCCAUCCCGUGUUUCACUUCAUGCAGCUCAUCAUUUCAUAUUUUUCAUCUGGCGACUGAGUUGUUUUGUGGUUUUUUUUCUUCAGUGUUCAGCUAAUACUGCACCUGCUAACUCUCAAACAACUUGGACAAUGCGUGCUACAUUCCCUGAAUACGUGGUUGCCCUUGCUACCAUUGUUGGAUCUGUGCUCUUCACAGUGAGUUUUUAAUGUUUACAAUUUAGCUCGAUUGCUGUUGUAUUGUACCUUUGUUUGUUUCUUAGACAAAGCUGUACCAGAAACAAUUUUAGCCAUGUAUUUUCUUUCCAAUUGGUCAAUUUUUGCACGUAAUCAUACUGGCCCCUUUCUGUACAGCUUUGACUUGACAUCUGUUAACAACUUUUUAUUAUUAUAGAUAUUUGGUGGUGUUGGCAUUGCUUGCCUUCCCUUGAGUCUUAUAUUCUCGUUUGUCCGGCGUCCAAAAGCUGUCAUCACACGCUCACAAUAUAUAAAGGUGUGUACAUUCUUAUAUGCUUUGUUUUAGUUAUGAAGGCUGUUUGCCUCAACUCAUUACAGCGAAGGUUUCUGUUGCAUGUAAUUCUUGUUUGAUUUAGAUAUCGAUCUGACCUUGAGGUUGGAAAUGUUCCCUUCAGGAAGCAACUGAAUUAGGAAAGAAGGCCAAGGAAUUGAAGAAGGCAGCUGAAGCCCUUCACCAAGAAGAGAGAAGUGGGAACAAAGGCAGAAAAUGGCGCAAAAAUGUGAAGGCUGUCGAGAAGGUAUGCUCACCCUUCAUACGGAUCAUAUGCUUUGAAACUUCAAUUGUAUUCAUAUGAACCAUUCUCUUUAAUAUAUUGUACAUCUUUCUGUGAUGUUCUAUUAUGCUAUUAACUAUCAUAUUAACGUUCCAUCUCAAUCAUUAGGAGUUGCUACUUUUGGAAAAUGACAUGAAUGCCCUGGAAGAGAUGUACCCUCAAGGAGAGAAGGUAACUGCUCUUGAAUUCUCAUAUGCAAUCUUUUUCAUGUUGUCACUGACCCUUUUCUUGACAUCCAUCAUGGUGCAGGCUGAGGCUACCUGGGCUUUUACAGUGCUUGCUUACAUUGGAAAACUCAUAUUCGGCAUUGUUGGGUAAGUGUAAAUGUGUAUCUGAACUGUACAUCCAUUCAGUCUAACAUAUUUGCAAGUGCAUUCGUCUGACAAUGAUCUAUGAUCUUAGGUUAAUUGUAUCGAUUGCUUGGGUUGCACAUAUUAUCAUAUACUUGUUGGUGGAUCCCCCUCUAUCUUCUUUCCUGAAUGAGAUCUUCAUAAAGCUGGACAGUGUUUGGGGUACAUUUCUGAUCCUUGAUAUUGUUCUCAACCUAUCCAGUUACCCUCUUUGUGAAUAAACCGACUAAUCUUUUGUUUCGUGUACCAGGUCUGCUUGGGACUGCUGCUUUUGCAUUCUUCUGUUUCUAUCUCCUCAUCGCAGUCAUUGCUGGGGAAAUGAUGCUUGGCCUGAAACUAGUUUUCAUCACCAUUCACCCAAUGAAGUAGUUGACUCAUUCCAUGUCUCUUUUUCUUUGCAGUGUCAUUUCUUUACAUUUACUAACAAGUAUCUAACUUAUUUCAGAUGGGGAGGAACUUUGAUGAAUUCUUUCCUGUUUAAUGUCGGAUUGAUCCUACUCUGUUCCAUCAGGUAUGUUGCCAAGGUCUUCUUUGAGAAGUUCAUGUCUUGUUAGUCCAGAUGAAAUGUUUGAAGGCUGUAACUUCUAUUCGUAUACAAGAAUUUUAGAAGUAGUGGAAGAUAUGUGGCCAGAUCUAAAGAAGUAGUUCCCACGAAGCGUUAGGACAGCAGUUUCUGUUACUCCCUCCGUCCCAAAAUAAGUGUCUCAACUUUGUACUAGCUCUAGUACAAAUUUGUAUUAAGCUUGAGACAGUUAUUUUGGGACGGAGGGAGUAUUAGCAAGUAAUAUUGCAAUACCUGGAAGUGGACAUCCCUCUGAGGCAUUGACUUAGCAUUGAUCUUACUUGGGCCUAUGAUCUACUCCCCCCGUUCCUAAAUAUAAGGUGUAUUAUUUUUUCUAAAAGUCAAAACUUCUGUAACUUUGACCAGGUUUAUAGACAAAAAUAUCAAUAUCUAGAAUACCAAAUCAUUAUCAGUAGAUUGACCAUGAAGUAUAUUUUUAUAUUUUAUAUAUUUGAUAUUGCAAAUAUUUAUAUAUUUUCUUGUACGGUUGGUCAAACAUAGAGAACGUUUGACUUUUUUAAAAACUAAUACACCUUAUAUUUAGGAAUGUAGGGAGUAUUACAUUAGAUGAAAAUGGACUCUGCAUGAGAAGCGCAAAAUUGUUGUUCUUUAAGAAGUCCUCUCUCUUGAAUUUCCAUGCUUGUGUCUUGUGCAGUGUGAUUCAGUUCUGCGCGACAGCUUUUGCGUACUACGCACAAGCGACUGCAGCCCAGGAGAUCUUUGGCCACACACUGCAGUCUCUUCGCGGAAUCAAGUAUCUCUACAAGUAAGUUUUGAACUAGCAGAAGUCAGCAGAACUAUCAACCUGCAGUGGUUGCUUUGAAUGAUUAAAUCUAUAUAGCUGUAGACUCCAGAAUCACUAUACAUACUGCAAUUGAACAUCUUAAUAUGCAGGUACAAUGUUUUCCAAUAUGGAUUUGUUGCUCUCGCCAUACUCACACUCUUCUACUAUGCACUUUUUGUAAGUCCUUUUCGAUGCACUCACCUAAUUCUCACCAAAUUCUGUAAAAGCCGAGCUUAUUUUUAUCAUCAUAAUCUUUGUCUAGGGAUGGCGAAAGAGGAAACCGACAGGAAGGUUCCAGCUCUCAAACUAAUUUUCGGUUUGCUCUGUAAGCAACGCCUGACAAAUUCAACAUCAUAUUUGUUCCCGAGUGAUAGUUUGGUUAGCGAUGUAUAUGAUCUUCAAACCGCUUUCUGGAAGAGUUGGGGCGUUUUCAUGGGUGUAAAUUAGGCAACGAAAAUCUUGGAAGAUGGAAAACACCCACGGACACGGAUGUUAAAGUAGAAGAACCUAGUUUCCUUUGUAAUGUACACAUUCCUCAUCUCGGUUCUUUUCUGUAUUAUUGUUUUAUGAUCAUCAAUCGGCUGAUGUUAUUAUUGAAGUUUGAUUGGUCUGUGAGAGAGAUGUUCUGUGUCCCCCUUUGUUGUUCCUUUGCCGUUACGAGUUAAAUUAGUCCAGUUCUUUUUCUUUUGUAUGUACCAUUCCGUGAUUACCAUUCAAACUUGUAGAUUGUAUGAAGGAUGGCUUGUCUAGAUCGUCUAUUGUCAUUUGUCUGUCUUUGUGGAAAUUGCACUUUGCCUUUUCAUUUGAAAUUUACAUCGAAAGGUCUGUUUGCGUGUCUUGAUGACUAAACACUAACCCCUGUGUAAACUUUUGUAAGAUCUCUUAGAUCACUACUACUACUGACUUGAUUUCUGUCUUGACAAGUGCUGAUACGGCAACACAACUUCAGCGGCCUCGGUACAUGGGGUAAUCACGAGCGCAUUUGGGAAUCGCUAUUACACAGAAUUAUCGAUUCAUAAUCUGUAAAAGGAAAAACCCUGCAAGCGCUAACUUUAUCAUGGAGCAAAAUCAAGCAAGCGCUAACUUUAUCAGGGUACACACGAAUGAGUGUUACGUCUUCGAGUGAGCUAGUACUUGAUUAAAUCGUGCAUCCGGAGCACAAAAGUUACGUCUUCAUCCUAACCGCUUUGAGCAAAAAUAAAUAAAUUAUGGCUUCAUUCAUCCAACACACUUCAAGCACCAAUAUUUACACCUUUUGAGUUUUAUGUUCUAUGUCUUCUUGCUAGUGACAAAACUUUUGCCAACUUAGCCCCUCACAAGGUACGGUGCUCAUGAGGAGUUAACUAGCAUAACCAUGGAAUAAAUGCAGAAGGAAUUCAUCUUACGUUGUUGAUGCGGGCAUUAAGCUCAAAAAAUGGAUUGGGAUUCGGUUUUCCCAAGUUAAAAUGUGCAAACAAACUCCCUAAAUCAGCAGAGGUACUAGUUAGACUAUCUGAAUGUGAAGAAUAAUCACUUCCCUCAGCUCAUUUCUAGCAUGUACCAAACUGUGAUUACAAUAUAAACUUCUCAUAUGUUUCAUACUGUCUUAGAUCAUCUAUGUUUGCAUGCCUUCCUAGAAUCGCAGUUUCCUCUAAACUACAAACUAUGAUUAUACGCCGAUCAUGCAUCGGACUUGCAAUUGCAGAGUUCACAGAGAUGCUCUUUAUAUAUUGCAAGUGUCGGAACCAUGCCAGCCGCUUCCAGGAACCGAGGCACGUUGCCUCCUCCUGAACCUUGACUCCAGGUCAACUAGCAGAAAUUUUGAUAAUAUAAACAUUGUGUGGAUGGAUAACUUCGUUUCUAUAUUCUCUCUUGGAGGAGGGAGGAGUAUCAUAUUGCCAUGCUCUUUAAUUACUUGGAAGAUGCAAAUGAUGAAUUACAUACUUGCCUCCACUCUACACAAUUGGAUUCAUCUUCUCGCAAUGGACAUACUGAGCGCUUAUUAACGGGACACACUUUACACACUUGACUCGAACAUACCGAGCACUUCUCCAUGGAUAAAAUCGAUCCAUUUUGCCGGGCUUGCAUUGUUCUUAAUUGUAUAAAGCAUGUCAGACAAUUAGUUCCAUGCAUGUUGGAUCUGCAACAACACACUUUCUUAUCAAUUUUUCAUGGUUUCCUUAGCUGGCACUCACCCGCCACUUUUCCAGAUUUUGUCCAAAAUUUCUUCUAGUUUCUUCUAAAAUCUCAACUCAUCGGCAAGAGAACACAUGAAAAGUUUAGUAGUGAUUCUAUAGUCAUGACGUGACAACCAAUGGAAGCGCGUAGAAAAGGUGCAUACGGUUUAGAGAUAUAUAAAGGCAGACUGGGCAAUGCUUAAAACUUUGGACAAAUUAGCGCAUGAUAAGUGUGAUGCUGUUGAAUGGCGUGUAUUUCAUGAUGAGUAACAAUGUUUCUCGUGUUGUCCAUCUGUAGAUAAUAUUCUGUUGUUCACACGCGGAUCACAUGUACACGUUGGGGUAAAUGUUCAUUUUCAGUUCAAACUAAUAUAUCAUCACAUUUUCACCGUUGUCCAUCUGCAGAUAAUAUUUUGUUGUUCACACGCGGAUCACAUGUACACGUUGGGGUAAAUGUUCAUUUUCAGUUCAAACUAAUAUAUCAUCACAUUUUCACCGNNNNNNNNNNNNNNNNNNNNNNNNNNNNNNNNNNNNNNNNNNNNNNNNNNUGUUGUUCACACGCGGAUCACAUGUACACGUUGGGGUAAAUGUUCAUUUUCAGUUCAAACUAAUAUAUCAUCACAUUUUCACCGGGAAGCAAAGUUGUUUACCAUUUUCUCCAUACUGAUGAUUGAGCGGAUGAAAUUAUCUAUCCACGACUUUGUUGGUCUUGCCGUAUAUCAGCCCAUUUUCACUAGGAAGCAAAGUUCUAUAUAAUUUUCUUUUCUGAUGAACGACCCCAAUAACUCAGGAAUGGUCACCAUGGGUGUGGGUCGAUUGGAUUAUUUUGCCGAUUUGGUAAGCUGCUCCUAGCAUACGAAUCAACCCUCCUUGAUCGUCCGCCAGGGGAAGGGCCAUGGCGAACCCCCAAUGGCCGAGAUGCCCAAUUUACUUUUUAUUUUUUGAAGUACCAUGAACAAAAAAACAUAUUUUUCUUGUAAACAUUGAGAAAAAAACAUUGUAUAAUUGCUAUGAAUAUAAAAAAUGAAAAAUACCAUGCUACUUUAUGAAAAAUGCCAAGUUAAUUAUAAAAAGGACACACUACUUUACAAAAAAUGCUAGUCCAUCCAUUCUUAAAUAUAAGUCUUUUUAGAGAUUUCAUUAGAGACUACACACGGAGCAAAAUAAAUGAGUUUACACUCUAAAAUAUGUCUAUAUACAUCCGUAUGUAGUUCACAGUAGAAUCUCUAAAAAUACUUACAAUUAGGAAUGGAUAGAGUAUGAUAUAAUAUUUUGUCUUUAUUUUGUCCACUCUUCACAAAUUCAUAAAAAAUGUAAUGCCGGUGAAUUCUUUUUUGCCAUGGCAAAAAAUUGCUAUCCUCCUACUAAUAGAAUUUCCAUCCUCUAGAUAUUAAAAAAUGCCAUGAAAACAAUAACAAAAAUGCCAUGUGCUUUUAUCAUAAGCUGCCACCCCUCUUGAUAAAUAAAAAUGUCAUGUAACUAAAAAAAGUUCCAUGUUACUAAUAAUAAAACUGACAUCCUCUUAAUAAUAGAAAUUGACAUGUUAUUAAUUAUUAAAAUGCCAUGCUCUUUACUAAAAAAAGCCAUGUGGGGCGUUAAAAAGGACCUAGAAAAAUUUCGUGCUACAUAUAUAAUAAAAAUGCACAUCACAAGUUUAGAAAAACAGUCUCUAAAAAUGUUUUUUUGUUCUACCAAAAAUGUUAAACAAAUCUGGAUUUUCUUCAAAUGGAACAUUUAUUAAGAAAAAAACAGAAAAGAAAAUUAGCUACCUGACAUCGGACGCGCAUCAAUAUACUUACAAGUGUUAGAAUCGUACUCCUAUGUUCCAAAAUAAGUGUUUCAAGCUUAGUAUAAUUUUGUAUUAGUGCUAAUACGAAGUUGAAACACUUAAUUUAAGACGGAGGGAGUAUUAGCCAGACAGCGUUAGAGACUCGUGCCAUUGCAGAAACCUUGCAAGUCUGGCACUGUUUACCUUGGUAGGCACAUUUUCCUGGUCGGUGGCUGGCAACCCAGAAUUCAGGCCUACGGCCCUAUGCCUAUCCCAGCUUAGCAGCGACCCGGACAGGCGCCGUAGGCAAGGAGCUGGAGCAUGUCAACUUCCUUCAGGAUGCCGACUCACGGAUCCACACAACUUAAGGAAAACUUGCUUUCAUGGACGGUGACAAAUUGAUAGUAUAAACAUUGUGCGGAUGGAUUUACUCUUUUUUUGUAUUUUUGAACGCAGUAUCGAGGAAGCAAAGUGAAAGAGUAUCAUAUCGUCAAACAUCUUAAAGGAACAUAGAAACAAUGAAUCACGCGGAACAUUCCCUACUUGAAAUCAAACAAACUGAACACUUCUCGAUGGGAUAAAAUCACGUCCAAUUUGUCAAGCCUGCAUUCUUUUAUGGAUGUUGGACCUCAGCAGCUCAAUUUCCUGUCAAAAUUUCAUGGUCUCUCAGUUGGCGCAGUCCAGCACAUGGACCGAUGUUUGUUCAUAUUUCCUUUCAGUUCCAUCUAAAAUCUCAACUCAUCAGGAAGAAGAAUAUAUCAAAAGUUCAGUAGUAAUGUACACUCAUAACCCGAUGAAAAGGUGCAUAUGGCCUAGUAAUAUAUAAAUAAAUAGACGGAGCGAACAAUGUUCAAAAUGUCAGUUACAGCUGCGCAAUAGGCAUGAUGCUGCUGAAUGGCGUGUAGCUCAUGAAGAUCAGGUGUGUUCAGUUGCACACAAGUUUCCGUUGUUAACAUGCUCACCACAUGUAUGCGGAAGCCUCUUUUACGGAAGAAACACGUAAAAGAUGUAGAUAGUGCUUCUUCUGUGUCAUUUUAAACGACCUCUCUUCCUUCUGACCUGAUUAUUUCUGUAGAUUAAACCAUGUAGACACUACGGGCCGCCGCCCUCUCCUUGUCCCCUUCCUUCCACGCUGCAGCCAGAGGCGCAGUCGGGCGAAACCCCGGCUAGCACCGGCGGCGGUAGGGAAUGGAAUCUCGUCCCCUCGCACGGCGACCUUGACGCGGGUCCGGGUGACCGGGCUAGGCGGUUCGGCCACCGGCAGUUUCCCUCUGCCCAAAUUCAGCCGGAUGGCCUCUGAUCCGACCAAGGGACACGUUCUGGGGCAAAAGGACCGGCCGUUUGCUCCUUUGCCAGUCGGUGACGCCGGUGGUUCUUGGCGGGGAUGGUGGGAUGGUUGAGGACACCACGUCGGCGGACUUGAGCCACGGUGCUUGCGGGCGGAACCCGUGGCUCGGAUGCUAGUUGACUAGCAUGGUCGUGACUCGCGAGGACGGCGUGGUGGCUGGCAAUCGGCGGUCGUAGGUGGUGGUGGUGCGGCAAUCUGCUCGUACCAUGUGUUUGGGCGUUACUCAUUCAUGCUGGGGUGCAAACCUUGUCUCGCGAACUUGAAGGAUCUGCAUACUGCUGGGGCCUGUUUCAAAGAGUGGGAAGCCCGAUACAUCCGUCCACCUAAGAUUAAAGCAACUGAUGCUGUGGCAACUCAAACUUGUAAGUUGGACGAAGACUCUAGUCUUCAACUAAUGCAUCUAGCAAUGAUAUCGAUUCUGAUGUUAAGGAAACAGAGGAGCUUGACUUGAAACGUCCUAAAUACGACAUCCGGGUUGCAAAUGCUCUGAUGAAAGCAUAUGUUACAGAGGGUAUGCUUGACAAGGCCAUUGCUCUCAAGAAGCGUGCCAAGAUGCGUGGAGGAAGGCUUAACGCGAAGACGUGGGAGAUUUUCAUGGAGCACGAUCUGAAGAAUGCCCANGCAGCGGCAGGAUCUGGGUGCCACCACAUGACGUGACCGAGACCUUGAUGGGUUACUUUGAGAAGAAGAAGGACGUGGACGGCGCUGAGAGUUUCGUCGAGGUGCUAAAGAAGGUGCAGAAAGAUCUGGGGACGGUGGUGUUCGAACCGCUGGUACGGACGUACGCAGCGGCUGGAAAGAAGUUCCCUGGGAUGCGGCACCGCCUAAAGAUCGAAAACGUGGAACUCAGCGAGGAAACUGACAAGCUGGUCGACUCCAUCUGCGUUGAUUGAUUAGUUGAGUAGCAUCCCACUUUGUGUUCAUCUCAAUAACAGACAGCAGGGUGCUAUCCAUAUUUUUGCUGUUUUCUUCCACAAAACCUGUAACGUCAGGAUGUACACUGAAAUGCUAGCCUGCCAUUUAUUUUUUGUUCAUCCGCUGCUUCUUUGUGCCAUCGCAGUCCCUGGGCUGUUGCAAGUGUUAUACUCUGCUUUUCAGUUGUGUUGUGGCCUUGUCUUCAGUACCGAAUGAACUAUACAUGCUUCGCUUGUUUGAAACAAGAAUUGAAUCCGUGUACGGUGAGUCUGUGACUGCAAUGCCCUUAAAUAUGUGACUCGCGCAUGGCCGACCGAUCUGCUCGAGCAUGGCCGGAGCUGGAGAAAAGGUCGUGUCACUCGCGUCCCUGGCCGAAGCCGGAGGACAGCCCGCGUAGGUUACGUCCUGCCCCCGCCCCCGUCGCCCGCUGACGCCCGUGGUCGCAGCCGCCGCGUGCGUGGACCGUACGCGCUGGCCGGAGUCAGGUGCUGCCGCCCAUGAGUGAUGGCCGCUGCGUGCAGCCGCCCCACAUGCGUGGCCGCCGCGUGCUACCGCCGAGCGUGCAUGCGUGCAAGCGCCACUUGCUGGCCGCCGGGAGUUCACGCCGCUGCUGCGUGCAGCCGUAGCAUCCGAGGGCAGCCGACGGGCGUGUGGGCCGUCGCCGUGUACUGGCCGCCACUUAUGUGGUUGGUGCGUGUGUUGGUUGUUUGCUGGCCGUGUGUGCUUGCUGCGUGUACUGGUUGAUUGCUAGCAGUCGUGCGUGUGCUGGCCGUGUACGUGCUUGCCGAGGGCGUGCUGAAGCUGCCAUUGAUUCAAUAUAUGUUACUGAAGCCCUUGGAUUCAGCGUCGCCCACCCUCCUCGACCAUCACGCUGCCGCCCAACUGCCCUUGGCCAAUGAAGGCUCUUUUCAUUUUCAAAGACAGAGUGGAUUUUUUUGCAGCUUGCUGAUCAUUCUUAUCACACAAGUUGGUUCUCAUAAGAUUAGCAUUAAUCUUUUGUCUCUAUAAAUGAAAAGAAUGCAACGUAUUCGGAGUCCAAAAGAGGUAUUGAGCACUUACAGUUGCAACCGCAAGAUCACGCCUAUUGGCUAUUGGAAGUCCUAUUUCAACUUUUGGUUAUCCAGUAGCUUGCUCACUAAGCUUUGACUAUUUGAGCUAGCCUUUCCAUUAUACACAUAAUGAGAAAAAAGUAUUAAUGGUUGUCCUUGUGAUUCCCAUGAGGGGCUAUUCUUAAAAAGACCGAUUUCAACGCAGUCAAGUGCACUUCUCAGUUUGGAUAGAAAAAUCAUGAAUUCUGGUUAUUCUUUACGUAGAAUAAUCCAUUUGCUUCCUAUGAUAUUCCACAUUAACUUAUAUGCAGAGAGAUAAAGAAAGAACGUGUAAGGAGUUGCUGUUAAAUGCUCGGUCCCAUAUACUUAUGUUUUUUUAGAAAAAGGAAACAAUAAUAAUGAUGGGUUUGAGUAGCUUUAGUUAAUACUCUUAAAUUUUGUUAGAUGUACCAUGCAGAAUUUUAAACUACUCCCUUUUUCAGUUGGAUGUGCUUUUUUUCAUGUAAGAAAUUUCAACAGCGCUUGCAAAACAAUACAAAUAUAUGCACAUGCUCAACCACGGGCGCGGCGUGCCGCCGCGCCUUCUGUCUGCUAGUUAUAUAUGGUAUGUGAUGGGUACUUGAAGGUGUACCUGUAUGAGCGCGUCUGAAUUGUAAGAAUUUGUGAACAUCUGUGUCAACUUUGAAAGCAAAAUUGGCAUGUCCUGGAAAUCAUUGUGCACAUCGUGGAAACCAUUGUUUAUGCUCGUCUCAUCAUUUACUACCACUUGAGAGAUUAUCUGCGAGAGCCCAUAUUGAAGAGGUGAAGGAGAUGCUUAAAACUCGCCAGAAAUUUACGGUUAAGUGGGCGCGGCAUUUGGUUAAUGGCACCGCACAUAUUUUAGCUAAGGAAGGUUUUGGGAAUGGUUCCAUAUCCCUUCGUAUCGUAUCUGGAACAUUGCAACUUCGAAGCUGCCUGAACAUUUUGAAUAAAUAGCAAUACUUCCAACAUAAAUUUUAUUUCUUUUGCUAACUAUUAAGUGAUCAUUGAAACCAUCAUUUGGUGUUUAACGCAAAACUGAUUACAGGUGGAUGAAUGUAAAGUGAAAAUAGCUUAAAAAGCAUGUUUUUUCUCAUUGAGCAGGGAAUAGCCAAGGAAAAGAUCAAUUUGCUCGGACUUGAUUUUCAGACUGAAAACCAUGAUCUUACCUGCAGUCACUGGUUCUUGUGACAACAACUUGCGCAAUUUCCUUAUUAGAGAUGUGGCUUUCGGAGAACUACUUCUCACAUCCCAUAUUUUCUUCAUUGACUCUUGACAUUCUGUUGUUGCAGCAGCUGGAUGUACUUACUAGUAACAAGCAUCAUAUUACUAUAUUGGUAUUUAUUACAGAUCUGCAGGUGUCACUACAGAGUCCAAUCCAUUCUGGCUUGAAGCACAGACUGAUUGCUUCUCUACAGGAGACACUGUACGUCUGUAUGCACUCCAAAUAAAACAGGCUGAGGACUUCUGCAUCAACAAGAUCAGAAGCAUUAUCUGCAAUUACAGCAGGGCAUUUUCCUAUUGAAUUUUUCUGGUUCCUCAGUGGGCACACAAGGAAUUUAACGACAGUGAUUGUCCACAUUCUGUUUCAGUUUCUUCUAAAAUCUCAACUCAUGGACAAGAGAACACAUCAAAAUUUCAGUAAUAGUGUACACUCAUAAUUGGACGACCAACAGGAACCCAGCAGUAAAGGUGCAUAUGACUUGGAGAUAUAUAGAGAGACGGAGUAAAAGGUCGGCUACAUCGGCAACACGAUAAGCAUGAUGCUGUUGAAAGGCGUUCUGUAUGCCCCUCAUUAUUCCUUUGCUCAGGUGUUAAGUUAGUUCAUUUCAUUUCUUUCGUAUGUACGUACCAUAACAUUUUUUUUAAAAACGGAGACAAAAGAUUUGCCUCGUAUAUUAAUUAAGAAAGGAGAAUUAUUUGUUACAGACGGUGCACUCAUGCUCGGCAUGUGGGAUUACUCGCGCGUAAUAAUUAUACCUAGUUUCUUUGCCCCACCGGUGAUCCAGAGUUUUGCCUCUUGAUCAAUGAUGUUUAAAAGGAUGGACGGUGGAGCCCCCCUGUGUCGAAAGACCCAAGCAUUUCUCUCAUUCUACACCGUCCAUGAGACAAGCAUGAUGAGAGAAGCCAUUGCCUUUCUAUUAUGUACCCUUGAGCCUGUCCUGCAAACCCACCAGUUCAAACUAAAUCCUCGAGAUGCCAAGUCGAGGUGUCAAGGUGAUGGAGGCCAUAUUUCUCACUGACCAAGCUCUAAAUCUAAGCGUGAAACGAUAUUUGAAGAAGAGAUGUGGUCCACUUUCUUGCUCUUGCUUGCAAAGGGUCCAAAGACUACAAUUUGGCCAGACCCUUUUGUUCACUCCAUCAGCAGUUCAAAUUCGAUCUUGGAUAUCCAGCCACACGAAGAACUUGACCUUCGUUGGCGCCUAAAUCCUCCAGAUCAUAUGCUUCAUGGGGGAGAAAAAAAUUGGGCCUUGUAGGCAGAGGCUGUGGAGUAGUGUCCCCUCGUUUCGUGCUUCCAUACAAUGGUAUCUUCCACGAGGUCAUCGAGAUGGACGUCAUUCAACAUUGCCCAUAAGGUUAAGAACCAACAUAUGUGCUCGAUGGAGAGAAUGGUGGUGGUUUUGAUGUUGAGAAUCCAAGCGUUACCUUAUAGGGCCUCAUGCACCUUCCAAUUCUUCCUAGAGGAGGCCAUGAAGACGAGCGGUGUCAAAUCUCUAGGCUUGCACCCGUGCAGCCAUGGUGAGUCCCAGAAUGGCGUCUUGGCUUCAUUACACACCGCGAUUGUCUUUGAAGCAUAGAAGAAGUCCAGGUCUUUCUCAUCGCACGGGUUUCCCAAACCGACCCACAACUUGUGUGGGGCGGUCAACUCGAACCAAGGCCACCUCAAGCGCAGGGCCCGUAUGGAUUUGUCUAUGUUUAGCACUCCAAGGCCUCCAUAUUCCAGCGGACGAGACAAUAUCCCAAUUUACUUUGCACUUGGCACCCAUCGUCUUGUCCGACCCCGAUCAAAGGAAGGCCCACUCUAGCUUGUUGAUGUUGUGCAGGAUGGUAGGAGGAAUGACCAAUGAGGUGAUGAAGUAGACAAAUAGCGAUGAAAUGAUGGACUUAACCAGUGCCGUGCGCCCAAUGGUGGUAAUGUUCUCGCCCUCAUAGGUCAACAACUUGCUCGCAACCUUAUCCUCGAGGAACUGGAAGUACACCAUCUUCAGCUUCCUGACAGACAGAGGGAGGCCCAGGUAUCUGAGGGGAAUGUCGUCUUCUUUGCCGGAAGGCUCUGCAGAAUGCACUCAAGGUUUAGGUGGUUGCAUCCGAUGGGAACAACCGAGCUCUUGUGGAAGUUGGUGCACAGCCCGGUGAUCUCCUCGAAACCAUGCAAGAUGGCCGAGAGAUUAUCAAUAUCCCUUUUAAGUGGGGCCAUGAAGACAGCCGCAUCAUCUACGUAGAGUGAGGUGUGAACCAUAGCUCCUCUUCCAUGAACCUUGCAAAGCAUUCCCCUUCUUGUUGCAAGCUCGAGCAGAUUUUAUAGGACGUCAAUAUCAAUGACAAAAAGGAGUAGGGAGAGGGGACCCCCUUGCCUAAGGCCGCGCCCGUGCUUGAUAGGCCGUCCGACCACAUUGUUCAGCNNNNNNNNNNNNNNNNNNNNNNNNNNNNNNNNNNNNNNNNNNNNNNNNNNNNNNNNNNNNNNNNNNNNNNNNNNNNNNNNNNNNNNNNNNNNNNNNNNNNNNNNNNNNNNNNNNNNNNNNNNNNNNNNNNNNUCAGCAGGAUCCUCGAGGAAGAAGUGCAGAGGAGAGCCGCGACCCAAUCACGAAAUUUGGUCGGGAAACUCCUCCGCCGUAGGAGUAUGAAAAUGUAUUCCCAUUUGACGGAGUCGAAGGCCUUGCGAAUGUCCAGCUUGAACAGAAGGGUUGGGGUCUUGUAUUUGUGCAGCCUUCAUGCCAUGUUUCACACGUACAUGAAAUUGUCGUGAAUGCUUCUCCUUUUGAUAAAAUAGCUUUGGGCAUUGGAGAUCAUCUUGUUCAUGUGCGGAUCAAGUCGCGAUGCAAGGAUUUUGGCAAUGAUUUUGGAGAUGGCAUGGAUGAGGCUGAUGGUUCUAUAGUUCCCGAUCCCCUCGGCACCCUCUUUGUUGGGCAGCAACACCACAUUGUUGGAGUUGAGCCAGUGGAGAUCGGCUGUGUGUAGGGUGUCAAAUUGGUUUGUAGAAUUUGAUAAUCUCCCAACAUUUCUUGAAGAAGAUUCCGAUGAAGCCAUCCGGACCCGACGCCUUGUUGCUCGGCAGGGCAUUUAUUGCCUCGCGGACCUCCUCUUCCAAGAUGGUUGCAUCGAGCCCGUGCAAAUCAAGCAUCUCGAUGUUGAGUUCUUCCCAAUUGAAAUCCUUAAUACUUGUUGCCCCUUUUUCAUCACGUUGGAGAAGGGGUCCAAGAUGAGAUUCUCCUUGGCGUCAUGCUCAGUGACCCAGCCUUGAUCCCACUUGAUCCUGUGUAUAUGGUUCUUCCGCCGCCUACAUUGAUAGGGCGGUGGAAGAACUUGUUGUUGGCGUCCCCCUCCCUAAGGUUUGCAAUCCUCACACUUUUUUCUUCUUCCGUGCUCUCUCUACCACAGCCAGGCUAUUGAAUAUUCUUUUCAGCCGUGUCCCGAGGCCGCGUUCCUCGUUGGAGAGACGGCGGCUCUCCUGAGCGAUGUCGAGGCGGAGGGUCACCAGCAGGGCCUCAUGGAGGUGGACCUUGGCCUUUGAGAAUAAACCCCUGCUCCACGCAGAUAGUCGCGUCACCACCUUUUUCGAUAUGUGGAAAAGAUUUGAUAGGGUUGUGUGUGGGCGAUAGGCUCAUUCCACGCCUGGUGCACCACCUCCAUAAAACCAGGCAUAGAUGUCCAGAAGUUUUUGAAUUUGAAAGUUUUUUGUCUCCUCCUGAACCUUGACUCUAGGUCAACUUGCAGAAUUUAUGGAGAUAUAUGGAGAUAUAUAACCCUGCAAAAAAAAACAAAUAUAAAGUUCAGUAAUGAGCGUACACUUGUAACACCGGCAGAAAAGGUGCACAUUGUUUAGAGAUAUAUAAAGAAAGAGUGGGCAAUGUUCAAACGUCCCUCAGAAUAGCAACACAAGUGUGGUGCGCUUGGAGUGUGUGGAGGCUCGUGAGGAGUAGCAAUUAAUAUCUCUACAAUGGCCCGCUAUCCUCACUUUUCUGUUGUUCGCAUAUAGAUCCCAUGAAUAUGUUGGGGUAAAUAAUCUUCUACCGGAAAAGGCUCGCACCUCGUUUUAUAUAUAAAGCAAUGACCAAUUAUACAAAUACAUCCAACUCGAAACCACAAUGCACACACUCAAGGCAACAUACAAAGCUGAUAAGAACAUCUACAACCCCCUACUACUCCAAGCAAUCUAUAUGUUAGAAGAAGGGGCAUCGCUUGACGCCUCUAGGGCCCUCCCGGUGAGCAGGUCACCCCGAGGAGAAGCCAUCGGGAGCUCCAAGGCGGUACCAUCAGAAAGGAUAUAUACUUCACCAUAGUGCCGCCACCACGGCACCACCCGAUCCAGGGAUCGGGGUUUCCCACGAAGCAACAAUGGGGGCGAAGAGGAACCGAGACGAGAAGGAGACAACACCAAGGACGCCGCCAUCGUUGACCUGGCAGGGCCAGAAUAGGUUUUCACCUCGGAAAGACCUAUUUAUCUCGUAGACGAAGGACACCAAGCCACCGCCACCGAUCGUCACACGCUGACCAAUACACCUCCCGUGCGACCAUGGCAACUAAACUAGACCCGAGCCACGAGCACUGCGGCUCCCACCAUCAAAGGCCACUACCCGGCAUCCAGGACCCUACAUCACUCCACCCGAGAUGCGCAUCUAUGGCGACCAAAGAGACGAGUGGAAAGGUCCCUCCUUUCCCACCCUUGGGCGGCCCCGCCCCUCCCCCAUAAGGGACGAGCUCCCCGAUGGCACACCACCAAUCGAAGGGAUCCAAGGAUGACUCUGCGGUCUUCUUGGCGGUGAAGUCAUCCCUUUACAGUAGAUUAUGACUGGGAUGGGACCAACCCUCCGACAAAACUAGCACACACACGACAUGUGUUUGAAGCAAAGGUUGAAACGGUCCACCUGCAGACGAGUAGACGUCAGAGCAGAAGCCCGCCGUUGCCAUAGGGAGAGCCGCCGAGCUAGAGUGUAGCCGCCGCUCCACCAGAAGGCCACCGCACAUGUGCAAUACCUCAUCGUGGCACUGUCUAUGGCCAGAGCAACAACCACACCAAGUUGUUAGCCCAACCCGCUCCGCCCGCCUCGAUCCUACAACCAGAUCCAGACGGGUGCGCCACCACCAGCCCUGCAGCCGCGAAGCCACCUCCGCACGCACGUUCGAAGGCCGGAGGACGACGUCCAAGAGCGGCUAGAGGACCCACCACCAACUGUCGGGCCAUUCGCUGCUAUCUUCGGCCCAAACCUCUCGGGUGCGAGCCGGAUCGAGCCACCACGAUCGCGACGGGAACCACAUACUCACAGCCCACUCUGUUAGGCGAGACGACCACGCCCACAACCCCGCCGUUAUACGCCCGUUAGAGGCCGACAUGCCUUGCACACAUGCGCCGCCGCCACCCAAAGACCGCGGCCCGCACCAACCGUCUUCCCUCGCAAAGCACGGUAUCUAGUGGGAGAAACGCGGGAGGGCAUGGGAAUCACCUCGGUUAAUUAUGCUAUUCUUGAGGUUUGCAUGGUAAUCGCCUCGGUUUUAGAAAUGAAGGAUCUCGGCCUCUCUGCAUCUGAUAGAUGCAUGCAUCCAUUUUAUUAAUUAUUCAUAAAGAUCUUGCAAAGUAAUACGUCAAUAUAUCUGAAGCUGUCAUCUUGAUAACAUCUGUCGGUACUUCUAUCCAUUGAUGAAGGGGUGUUAAUGUCCGAGCCAAAUACCAAACGAACAUCACACCAAAUGUUGGAAAUAUGCCCUAGAGGCAAUAAUAAAAUGGUUAUUAUCAUAUUUCCUUGUUCAUGAUAAUCGUCUGUUGUUCAUGCUAUAAUUGUAUUGACAGAAAACAGUAAUACAUGUGUGAAUAAAUAGAUCACAAUGUGUCCCUAGCAAGCCUCUAGUUUGCUAGCUCGUUGAUCAAUAGAUGAUCAUAGUUUCCUGAUCAUGGACAUUAGAUGUCAUUGAUAACGGGAUCACAUCAUUGGGAGAAUGAUGUGAUGGACAAGACCCAAUCCUAAGCAUAGCAAUAGAUCGUGUUGUUCGUACGCUAAAGCUUUUCUAAUGUCAAGUAUCUUUUCCUUCGACCGUGAGAUUGUGCAACUCCCGGAUACCGUAGGAGUGCUUUCGGUGUAUCAAACGUCACAACGUAACUGGGUGAUUAUAAAGGUGCACUACGGGUAUCUCCGAAAGUGUCUUUUGGGUUGGUACGAAUCGAGAUCGGGAUUUGUCACUCCGUGUGACGGAGAGGUAUCUAUGGGCCCACUCGGUAGAACAUCAUCAUGAGCUCAAUGUGACUAAGGAGUUAGUCACAGGAUGAUGUGCUACGGAACGAGUAAAGAGACUUACCGGUAACGAGAUUGAACAAGGUAUAUGUAUACCGAUGAUCGAAUCUCAGGCAAGUUCUAUACCGACAGACAAAGGGAAUUGUAUACGGGAUUGAUUGAAUCUUUGACAUCGUGGUUCAUCCGAUGAGAUCAUCGUGGAACAUGUGGGAGCCAGCAUGGGUAUCCAGACCCCUCUAAUGGUUAUUGGCCGGAGAGAAGUCUCGGUCAUGUCUGCAUGCCUCCCGAACCCGUAGGGUCUACACACUUAAGGUUCGAUGACGCUAGGGUUAUAGGGAAUUGUUAUACGAGGUUACUGAAGGUUGUUCGGAGUCCCGGAUGAGAUCCCGGACAUCAUGAGGAGAUUCGGAAUGGUCCGGAGGUAAAGAUUGAUAUAUAGGAUGGAUGGAUUUGGAUGCCGGAAAUGUUUUGGGCACCACCGGCAAAGUGCCGGGACCACCGGUAGGGGCCACAAAGCCCUGGAAGGCUAUAUGGGCCAAGUGUGGGAGGGAACUGAUAACCCACAAGUAUAGGGGAUCAAUUGUAGCCUUUCUCGAUAAGUAAGAGUGUCGAACCCAACGAGGAGCUAAAGAUAGGACAAAUAUUCCCUCAAGUUCUAUCGACCACCGAUACAACUCUACGCACACUUUACGUUCGCUUUACCUAGAACAAGUAUGAAACUAGAAGUACUUUGUAGGAGUGAUAGGAUAGACUUGCAAGAAAGUAAAGAACACGUAAAUAAAACUAGGGGCCGGUUAGAUAAAGAAACAACUACGAGUGUCUAACGAGUGUGGAAAAGUGGUGGUAGUAGUUGCGGAAUUGUCCCUAAGCAAUUGACUACGUUACUAGAUCGAUAGCAAGUAUCAUGUGGGAGAUGCCUCUACUAGCAUGUCAUCCCUUACUUGGAAUUCUAUGCACUUAUGAUUGGAACUAUUAGCAAGUGUCCGCAACUACUAACGUUCAUUAAGAUAAAACCCAACCAUAGCAAUAAGAUAUAUUGGCCCCCCUUCAAUCCCAUAUGCAUCAAUUUCUAUGCUAGGUUUGAAGCUUCUAUCACUCUAGCCUGCCAAUACAUAGUCCUAUCAACAUACAACUAACCCUAUGGUGUGAUCCACACGCGCGAUCAUAUGAUGGGCACCAAAGGACAACAACAUAACCACAAGCAAAUUAAACCAAUCAUAGCAAUUCAUCAGUCACCGAUAGGACAACGAUAAUCUACUCAGACAUCAUAGGAUAGCAACACAUCAUUGGAUAAUAAUAUGUAGCAUAAAGCACCAUGUUCAAGUAGAGGGUAUAGCGGGUUGCGGGAGAGUGAACCGCUGAAUAUAGAUGGGGGAAGAUGAUGAAGAUGUUGAUGAAGAUGACGGAGGUGUUGGUGUAGAUCACCGUCACACGAUGAUGUCCCGGGCGGCGUUCCGGCGCCGCCGGGAGAGAGGGGGAGAGAGCCCCCCUCCUUCUUCUUCUUCCUUGACCUCCUCUCUAGAUGGGAGAAGGGUUUCCCCUCUGGUCCAUGGUCUCCAUGGCGGCGGAGGGGCAAGCGCCCCUCCAAGAUUGGAUCUCUCUCUCUGUGUCCUUCUGUUUAUGCGCUCCCAGAUUCUGCGUUUCACCGUUUCUUAAAUUUCCGGAGAUCCGUAACUCCGAUUGGGCUGAUAUUUUAACACGAUUUUCUCCGGAUAUUACCUUUCUUGCGGCGAAAGAAGGGGUCCAACCGCCUUAAGGAGUGCCCACAAGCCUGUCAGCCGCGGGCCCACCCCCUGGCCGUGGCUACAGGGCUUGUGGGCACUCCGUGCAUCGCCUCGCGUUGAUUCUUCUUCCCCAAAAUCAUAAAUAUUCCAAAAAAAUCCCCCUAAGUUUUUAUUACGUUUGGACUUCGUUUGCUAUGGAUAUUCUGCGAAACAAAAAACAUGCAACAAACAGGAACUGACACUGGGCACUGGAUCAAUAUGUUAGUCCCAAAAAUAGUAUAAAAAGUUGCCAAAAGUAUAUGAAAGUUGUAGAAUAUUGGCAUGAAACAAUCAAAAAUUAUAGAUACGACAGAGACGUAUGAGGAACCAGCCCCUGGGUGGGCUGGUGCGCCCGCACACCCAGCCCAUGGCGCACUAGAGAGGAAGGGGGAACCCUAGGCGCUGGUGGGCCUAAGGCCCACCAGGGGUGCGCCACCCCCUCUCCUGCCCUGGCCGCCGCCCCCCUCUCCCGUCUGGGCUGUCGCCACCCCUAGGGUGGGAACCCUAGAGGUGGCGCACCCCUCCCCUCUCCUCCUAUAAAUAGAGAGGGGUUUGGGGCUGUUGGGGACACAAGUUGAUCUCUCCCUCGGCGCAGCCCUGUCCCUCUUCUUCCUCCUCUCCCACGGUGCUUGGCGAAGCCCUGUUGGGAGACCUCGUCUCUGCAUCGACACCAUGCCGUCGUGCUAUCGGAGAUCUUCCCCAACCUCUUCUUCCUCCUUGCUGGUUCAAGGUGCGGGAGACGUCACCGGGCUGCACGUGUGUUGAACGCGGAGGUGCCGUGGUUCGGCACUAGAUCGGAAUCACACCGCGAUCUGAAUCGUCGCGAGUACGACUCCAUCAACCGCGCUCUAGCAACGCUUCCGCUUAGCGAUCUUCAAAGGUACGAAGAUGCACUCUUCCCUCUCUCGUUGCUGGUCUCUCCAUAGGAAGAUCUGAAUAUGGCGUAGGAAAAUUUUGAAUUUAUGCUACGUUAUCCAACACCAAAGCCUAACAUCUAAAGACGCAUGUCUCGACGAAGCCACAUACCGGGUUUGGGAGAGAUGCUCAUGUUAUUCUUGAAGUCGAUUGGUUUGUGAGAGAGAUGUUCUGUGUGCCCCGUUCUUGCCCCUUUACCACUCUGAGUUAAACUAGCUCAGUUCUUUUCUUUUGUAUGUACCAUUCUGUGAUUACCAUGUAAACUUGAGUGAAAUGCGCCACUAGUUCACGAACUCAAACAAAUUGCACACUUUAGACCAACAACUUGUGAAGUGAUUGAAUUUAGUCUGCAAACUCGUUGAUUUGAUCAAAUAAUGUCAAAAUCGCCCCGGGAGUUAAAAAACCGGCCACAUGGAUGUCAUGUCAUCAUUCUGUUGACCGCUCGUGAUGUCAUUGUUUUUUACAAGGGUCUAUUUGCAAAUUGAACGGUUUUUUCUCAAAGACCACUUUAAGGGUGUUUGGAAUGAAAAAAAUAUUUAGAAACUUGCACCGCGCAGAACUCGAACCUGCGUAGUUCGGAAUUUCGAAUGCCUCGCUGACCACUGAACCAACACCAGGCUUGCACAACAAUUCACAGCCCGCUUGUUUCUUCAUGUAGAAUCAGGAGAGAGAGAAAAAAAAAAUCAGAAGAUCCCUCCAAACGCUCAAUCACUUCUUGAGUUGGUGAAGUCACGAGCGGUCAACAGAGCGAUGAAAUGGUAUCCACGUGACCGGUUUUUUUAAUUCCCGAGCCGAUUUUUGCCUUUUUUGAUCAAAUCAAUGAGUUUGCAUACUAAAUCCGGUAACUUCUCGAGUUGUUGGCCUAGAGUGUGCAAACAGUUACAGUUUAAGUUGAUGGACUAAUGACGCAUUUCACUCGUAGAUUUCAUUGAGGAUUCCAUGCCUUUCAUCUAUCAUUGUUUGUCCGUCUUGUUGAAAAUUGCACUUCGCUUUUUAACUGAAAGCUUGAGUAUUCUANNNNNNNNNNNNNNNNNNNNNNNNNNNNNNNNNNNNNNNNNNNNNNNNNNNNNNNNNNNNNNNNNNNNNNNNNNNNNNNNNNNNNNNNNNNNNNNNNNNNUAUUAGUUUGGGUCUAGCCCAUCACGUGAUUCUCCUAAUGACGUGAUCCAGUUAUCAAGCAAGAACACCUUGUUCAUAAUCAGAAGACCCUGACUAUCUUUGAUCAACUGGCUAUCCAACUAGAGGCUUGCUAGGGACAGUGUUUUGUCUAUGUAUCCACACAUGUAUAUAAGUCUUCAUUCAAUACAAUUAUAGCAUGGAUAAUAAACGAUUAUCUUGAUACAGGAAUUAUAAUAAUAACUAUAUUUAUUAUUGCCUCUAGGGCAUAAUUCCAACAUGACUAUGACUGGAUCUUCAUUGCCAUGAAUUACAAUGUUUAGUCAUCCCUUGGUCUUUGAAGCUGCUCUAUAUUUAUGUUUUGCGGUCUCAGAAAGAGCUAGCGAGGUACCAUCUAUUCGUACUGCUUCAUGUUGUUUUGAUUGAAGUGUUGACACUUGAGGCUUAUUAUUAUUUGCUCGCUAGUUGAUUAUGCCAUUGAUAUGAGUUCACCGUGAGACCUAGAUGUCAUUUUCUUAUAUGGCUUACUUGUGAUCUUGCUGAAAUUCUGGUUGUGAGUUAGACAUAGUUGCAACAACAAGAUCAAACAAAGUUCGUCAAAGUUUUUCUUUGUCUCUCUCUCUCUAUUUGUCAACUGAGUUGGUUGAGGACAAGCAAGGCUUUAAGCUUGGGGGAGUUGAUACGUCUCCAUCGUAUCUACUUUUCCGAACUCUUUUGCCCUUGUUUUGGACUCUAAUUUGCAUGAUUUGAAUGGAACUAACCCAGACUGACGUUGUUUUCAGCAGAAUUGCCAUGGUGUUAUUUUUGUGCAGAAAUAAAAGUUCUCGAAAUGUCAUGAAAAUUUACGGAGAUUUUUUCUGGAAUAAGAGAAAAAUACAUGCGCAAAGAUCCACCGGAGGAGGUGGACCAGUGGGCCACAAGCCCACAAGCCGCGGCCACCCCCCUGGUCGCGUCGUGAGGGCUUGUGGGGCCCACAUGGCUCCACCGCCCCCAAACUCAGCUCUAUAUCUUCCGCCUCGCCCGGAAAAAAAUCAGAGAGAAGGUUUCAUCGCGUUUUGCGAUACGGAGGCGCCGCCACAUCCUGUUCUUCAUCUGGAGGGCAGAUCUGGAGUCCGUUUCGGGCUCCGGAGAGGGGAAAUCGUCGCCAUCGUCAUCAUCAACCUUUCUCCAUCGACAAUUCCAUUAUUCUCUUCAUCGUUCGUGAGUAAUCUCAUCAUAGGCUUGCUGGACGGUGAUGAGUUGGAUGAGAUAUAUCAUGUAAUCGAGUUAGUUCUUGACGGGGAUUGAUCCCUAGUAUCCACUAUGUUCUAGAUUGAUGUUGCUACUACUUUGCUAUGCUUAAUGCUUGUCACUAGGGCACGAGUGCCAUGAUUUCAGAUCUGAACCUAUUAUGUUGUCGCCAAUAUAUGUGUGUUUUAGAUCCUAUCUUGCAAUUUGUAGUCACCUACUAUGAGUUAUGACCCGGCAACCCCGGAGUGACAAUAGACGGAACCACUCCCGGAGAUGACCAUAGUAUGAGGAGUUCAUGUAUUCACCGCGUGUUAAUGCGUUGGUCUGGUUCUUUAUUAAAAGGAGAACCUUAAUAUCCUGUAGUUUCCAUUAGGAACCCGCUGCCACGGGAGGGAUGGACAAUAGAUGUCAUGCAAGUUCUUCUCCCUAAGCACGUAUGACUACAUACCGAAUACAUGCCAACAUUAGAUUGACGAACGGGAUCUAGUCACUUAUCUCUACGUGUUGUAGCUGUUACAUGAUGAAUCACAUCCGUCAAACUCAUCCAUCAUCGAUCCACUGCCUACGAGUCUUUUACUACUGGUUCUCGCUACGUUACUUUGCCUAGGCUUGUCCCUUGCUACAAAAGGGAUUGGGCCACUUUGCUGCUGCUGUCACUACUGUUGUUACUUGUUACUUUGUUGCUGCUGCUACUGUUGUUCCUUACUACUCUGUUGUACUUGUUGCAAGACUUUGUUGGAGCCAUAGCCGGGGAAGCAUUCUUCUCAAGAAUAAUCCCCCAUCCACGUGCUGGCGCCAUUGAUACAAUAGUUAGGAAUAGUCUGUCGUCAACAGAUCAUUUCUGGCACCGUUGCUAUCGUACUACCUUGCUACUGAUACUUUGCUUGCAGACACUAAUCUUUCAGGUGUGGUUGAAUCUCACACAUUCAGCUGCUAAUACUUGAGAAUAUUCUUUUGCUUCCCGUCUUGGCGAAUCAAUAAAUUUGGGUUGAAUACUAUACCCUCGAAAACUAUUGCGAUCCCAUACGCUUGUGGGACAUCAGGGGGCUCUCUCCCCAUCUCUCUCCCGGUGGCGCCGGAGUGCCGCCGGGACAACGAGCGUGAUGGAAAUCUACAUCAACAAUCUUGCCGUCAUCAACACCAAAUCUCUCUCCCCUCUAUGUAGUAUAGUAACCCCUCUUUUCCCGUUGUAACUCUCUACUUAAUCAUGGUGCUCAACACUACAUACUAUUUCCCAAUGCUAUGUGGCUAUCCUAGAAUGUUUGAGUGCACCCGUUUUGUCCUACGCGUUAAUUGUGAUAUGAUGUUAUUAAUAAGAGUUGUGUGUUGAUAUGGUGUUGUCCUAAGGUGCCUUCCGUGAGGUGCACACUUGAAGGAUACACGCUGGAGGGUUACAAACGUUCCCCUAUAGUUGUGGGUUAUCACUAAGCGGAAGCGUUAAGAAACACAGUUGAUGUAGUCGAACGUCUUCGUGAUCCAAUCACGAUCCAUCCCGCGAUCAAGUGUCAAACGGAUGGCAACUCCGUGUUCAACACACGUACACCUCGAUGACGCCUUCACCUCCUCGAUCCAGCGAGCGAUGGUGAAGUAGAGGCUGAGUUCUCCGGCAACACAACAGUGUGGCAAAGGUGGUGGUGGAGCAAUCUCGGGAGGGCUUUGCCAAGCGUUGUCACGAUCAUGACGGUGGAGAAGUACUACAAGAGAGAGAGAGAGAGAGUGCAUCGUUGUGGAUGUUUUUAGGUGCAGCUGCCCUCCCUCUCCUCUAGUAUAUAUAGGAGGGAGGGAGGAGGGGUGGCGCUCAAGGGUUUCCCCCUUGGGUCGGCGGCAGCCAUCUAGGUGGCUUGGCCACCAAGCCAGCUGGGCGUUGUCCAUCUCAGGGCCAGCCCACCAGCCUGGCUGCAUGGGUCGUAUGUGGGAGGGGCGGCCAGCCCACCAGGGGUUGGUGUGCUAUCUCUCACAACCCAUGGGUCCCUCCAUGACAGGUGACCCUCCCGAUGGACCCCCGAAACCCUUCCCGAACCUCCGUCACAAAACCGGAAACCUUUCAAAACUCAAAUACCAACUUCCCAUAUAUCAAUAUUUAUCUCUAGACCAUUCCAAUGCUCCUCGUCUGGUCUGAGAUCUCAUCUGGGAAUCCAAACAACCUUCGGUCACCAACACAAUAACUCAACUAUAUCUAUAUCGUCACCGAACGUUAAGUGUGCACACACCGCGGGUUCGAGAACUAUGUAGACAUGAUCUAGACACCUCUAUGGUCAAAUAACCAAUAGUGGGACCUGGAUGCUCAUAUUGGUUCCUACAUAUUCUACGAAGAUCUUUAUUGGUCGAGGAUUCAGUUAAUCCCGUAUGCAGCUCCCUUUGUCCAUCGCUAUAUUACUUGCCCAAGAUUCGAUCGUCGGUAUCUCCAUACCUAGUUCAAUCUCGUUACCAGCAAGUCUAUUUACUUGUUUCGUAAUACAAGAUCUCAUGACUAACUCCUUAACCACAUUGCUUCCAUGCUUAUUGUCAUGUUGUGUUACCGAGUGGGCCCUAAGAUACCUCUCUGUCAUAUGAAGUGACAAAUCUCAGUCUUGAGCCAUGCCAACUCCAUAGACACCAUCGAAGAUACCUGUAGAGCAUCUUUAUAGUCACACAGUUAUGUUGUUACGUUUCAUACACACAUGGCAUUCCUCCUGUAUAAGUGAGUUGCAUGAUCUCAUGGUCAUAGGAACAGAUACAUUAACAUGCAGAAAGCGGUAGGAGUAAACUUGAUACGAUGAAACGCUAUGCUUACAAUUUGGGUCUUGUCCAUCACAUCAUUCUCCGAAUGAUGUGAUCCUAUUAUCAAAUGACAACCAUAUUUAUGGCAAGGAAACAUUAGCCAUCUUUGAUCAGCGAUCUAGUCCAGUAGAGGCAUACUAGGGACACUUUGUUGUCUAUGUGCCCACACAUGUAUUUGAGUUUCCAAUCGAUACAUUUAUAACAUGGAUAAUUAACGAUGAUCAUGAACGAGAAAAUAUGUUAAUAACCACUUUAGUAUUUCCUCUAGGGCAUAUUUCCCACACAUCCACGCUAGGAUCCCGAGGGCCAGCCCCGAAUCACCCGCCACCUGCUAUGGGCCAGAUCCGAGAUGAUCUAGUCGGUUGGCACCACCACGAUCAACAGCAGCCGAUGCUCUGCUGUGGUACAUGACCAAAGCCAUGACCCUACCAAGUCACAGCCCGGCCCCACGUCGCCCGAUGCCCAAGCACCCGCCAAAUCUAGAUCAUAGGCGGGGCCGCCGCCGCCAACAUAGCUACGCGCGGCCACCAAAACGUAGCCUUCCGAGUCGCAGCUCCGCCGUCGACGCCAACGCUCCUUCCAAAGCGUAGCGCUGAUACGUCUCCAACAUAUCUAUAAGUUUUUAUGGUUCCAUGCUAUUAUCUUUUCAAACUUUGGAUGUUUUGUAUGCCUUUUAUAUCUUUUUUGGGACUAACUUAUUAACUCAGUGCCAAGUGCGAGUUCCUAUUUAAUCUGUGUUUUUGACCCUUUUCAGAGGAGAAUAUUAGACGGAGUCCAAACGGAAUAAAACCUCUGAAAAGAAUUUUUUUCUGGAACAGAAGAUACGCAGGGAGCGUGAGAACCAAGGCAGAGGCCACCAGGGGAGGCCACAAGCACUACUAAAAUUCAAAAAUUUGCCGUCUGCCAUGGCGGACGGCAAAGGGGGGAAUCACUGACGACAAAGGCUUUGUCGUCGGUCAGUAGACGGCAAAAAAAAUCCGGUGAAGAGGUUCUUUGCCGUCUGCUUUCUUAAAGCGGACGGCAAAGAAUCUUUGCCAUGAGGGGGCAGACGGCAAAAUAAAUGGGACGACACAUACAGCAACAGCACCGUUAAGUGUUAACGGCAGGCCUCCUCUCUUUGCCAUCUGCCAUCCCCCCUUUNNNNNNNNNNNNNNNNNNNNNNNNNNNNNNNNNNNNNNNNNNNNNNNNNNNNNNNNNNNNNNNNNNNNNNNNNNNNNNNNNNNNNNNNNNNNNNNNNNNNNNNNNNNNNNNNNNNNNNNNNNNNNNNNNNNNNNNNNNNNNNNNNNNNNNNNNNNNNNNNNNNNNNNNNNNNNNNNNNNNNNNNNNNNNNNNNNNNNNNCAUGUGGGGGCAGACGGCAAAGGGGGGAACCAGCCCCCUCUCUCCCCCUCUUUGUCGUCUGCCAUCCCCCCUUUGUCAUGCGGGGGCGGACGGCAAAGGGGGGAACCAGCCCCCUCUCUCUCCCCUCUUUGCCGUCUGCCAUCCCCCCUNNNNNNNNNNNNNNNNNNNNNNNNNNNNNNNNNNNNNNNNNNNNNNNNNNNNNNNNNNNNNNNNNNNNNNNNNNNNNNNNNNNNNNNNNNNNNNNNNNNNUAGAAUACUCAAGCUUUUUGACAUAAGCAUCACAUCCCCAAACUUUAAGAAACGACAACUUUGGCCUUUUGCCAUACCACAGUUCGUAUGGUCUCGUCUCAACGGAUUUUGAUGGUGCCCUAUUUAAAGUGAAUGCAGUUGUGUCUAAUGCAUAACCCCAAAACGAUAACGGCAAAUCGGUAAGAGACAUCAUAGAUCGCACCAUCUCUAACAAAGUACGAUUACGACGUUCGGACACACCAUUACGCUGUGGUGUUCCAGGCGGUGUCAACUAUGAAACAAUUCCACAUUGUCUUAAGUGAGCACCAAACUCGAAAAUCAGAUACUCACCCCCACGAUCAGACCGUAGGAACUUGAUCUUCUUGUUACGAUGAUUUUCAACUUCACUCUGAAAUUGCUUGAACUUUUCAAAUGUUUCGGAUUUGUGCUUCAUUAAGUAGACAUAACCAUAUCUACUCAAAUCGUCAGUGAAGGUGAGAAAAUAACGAUAUCCGCCGCGUGCCUCUACGCUCAUCGGACCUCACACAUCGGUAUGUAUGAUUUCCAACAAGUCACUUGCACGCUCCAUUGUUUCGGAGAAUGGAUUUUUAGUCAUCUUGCCCAUGAGGCAUGGUUCACACUGUCAAGUGAAUCAAAGUCAAGUGACUCCAAAAGUCCAUCGGCAUGGAGUUUCUUCAUGCGCUUUACACCAAUAUGACCUAAGCGGCAGUGCCACAAAAAUAUGGCGNNNNNNNNNNNNNNNNNNNNNNNNNNNNNNNNNNNNNNNNNNNNNNNNNNNNNNNNNNNNNNNNNNNNNNNNNNNNNNNNNNNNNNNNNNNNNNNNNNNNNNNNNNNNNNNNNNNNNNNNNNNNNNNNNNNNNNNNNNNNNNNNNNNNNNNNNNNNNNNNNNNNNNNNNNNNNNNNNNNNNNNNNNNNCUAUCAAGAUUCAAUAUGAACAAUCCUCUCACAUUGGGUGCAUGACCAUAAAAGAUGUUACUCAUAGAAAUAGAACAACCAUUAUUCUCUGACUUAAAAGAGUAACCGUCUCGCAAUAAACAAGAUCCAGAUAUAAUGUUCAUGCUCAACGCAGGCACUAAAUAACAAUGAUUCAAGUUCAUAACUAAUCUUGAUGGUAACUGAAGUGAAACUGUGCCGACGGCGAUUGCAUCAACCUUGGAACCAUUUCCUACGCGCAUCGUCACUUCAUCUUUCGCCAGCCUUCGUCUAUUCCGCAGUUCCUGUUUCGAGUUGCAAAUAUGAGCAACAGAACCGGUAUCGAAUACCCAGGCACUACUACGAGAGCCGGUUAAGUACACAUCAAUAACAUGUAUAUCAAAUAUACCUGAUUUUUCUUUGGCCGCCUUCUUAUCAGCCAGAUACUUGGGGCAGUUGCGCUUCCAGUGACCCAUACCCUUGCAAUAGUAACGCUCUGUUUCAGGCUUAGGUCCAGCUUUGGGUUUCUUCGUCGGAUUGGCAACAGGCUUGCCGCUCUUCUUUGAAUUACCCUUCUUGCCUUUGUCGUUUCUCUUGAAACUACUCGUCUUAUUCACCAUCAACACUUGAUGCUCUUUACGGAGUUGAGACUCUGCGACUUUCAGCAUCGCAAACAACUCGCCGGGUGACUUGUUCAUCCCUUGCAUGUUGUAGUUCAACACAAAGCCUUUAUAGCUUGGCGGCAGUGAUUGAAGGAUUCUGNNNNNNNNNNNNNNNNNNNNNNNNNNNNNNNNNNNNNNNNNNNNNNNNNNNNNNNNNNNNNNNNNNNNNNNNNNNNNNNNNNNNNNNNNNNNNNNNNNNNGCAUGCAAGCUUCAUGAUCAUUAUCAUUAACUUCCUCUUCAGUUGGUGCAGGCGCCACAGGAACAAUUUCCCGCGUUGCGCUACUUUCCUGUUCGAGAGGGGGUGUAAUUACCUCAUCAAGUUCUACCUUCCUACCACUUACUUCUUUCGAGAGAAACUCUUUCUCUAGAAAGGAUCCGUUCUUGGCAACAAAGGUUUUACCUUCGGAUCUAAGAUAGAAGGUAUACCCAAUAGUUUCCUUAGGGUAUCCUAUGAAUACGCAUUUCUCCGCUUUGGGUUCGAGCUUUUCUGGUUGAAGUUUCUUCACAUAAGCAUCGCAGCCCCAAACUUUAAGAAACGACAACUUAGGUUUCUUGCCAAACCAUUGUUCAUAUGGUGUUGUCUCAACGGAUUUAGACGGUGCCCUAUUUAAAGUGAAUGCUGCAGUUUCUAAUGUGUAUCCCCAAAAUGAUAGCGCUAAGUUGGUAAGAGAGAUCAUAGAUAGUGCCAUAUCUAAUAAAGUGCGAUUACGACGUUCAGACACUCCGUUGCGUUGCGGUGUGCCAGGCGGCAUCAGUUGUGAAACGAUUCCACACUUCCUUAGGUGUGUGCCAAACUCGUGACUCAAAUAUUCUCCUCCACGAUCAGAUCAUAGACACUUAAUUUUUCCGUCACGUUGAUUCUCGACCUCACUCUGAAAUUCCUUGAACUUUUCAAAUGUCUCAGAUUUGUGCUUCAUCAAGUAGAUAUACCCAUACCUACUCAAAUCAUCGGUGAGAGUGAGAACAUAACGAUAGCCACCGCGAGCUUCAACGUUCAUUGGACCACACACAUCAGUAUGUAUUAUUUCCAAUAAGUCGGUUGCUCUCUCCAUUAUUCCAGAGAAUGGAGUCCUAGUCAUCUUGCCCAUGAGGCACGGUUCGCAUGUGUCAAAUGAUUCAAAGUCAAGAGACUCUAAUAGUCCAUCAGUAUGGAGCUUCUUCAUGCGCUUAACGCCGAUAUGACCAAGGCGACAGUGCCACAAGUAUGUGGGACUAUCAUUAUCAACUUUACAUAUUUUGGUACUCACACUAUGAAUAUGCGUAACAUCACGAUCGAGAUUCAUCAAGAAUAAACCAUUCACCAGCGGAGCAUGACCAUAAAACAUAUCACUCAUAUAAAUAGAACAACCAUUAUUCUGUGACUUAAAUGAGUAGCCGUCUCGCAUUAAGCAAGACCCUGAUACAAUAUUCAUGCUCAAAGCUGGUACUAAAUAACAAUUAUUAAGGUUUAAAACUAAUCCCGACGGUAGAUGUAGAGGUAGCGUGCCGACGGCGAUCACAUCGACCUUGGAGCCAUUCCCGACGCGCAUUGUCACCUCGUCCUUGGCCAGUCUCCGCUUAUUCUGCAGUUCCUGCUUUGAGUUGCAAAUGUGAGCAACAACACUGGUAUCAAAUACCCAGGAGCUACUACAAGUGCUUGUAAGAUGCACAUCAAUAACAUUUAUAUCACAUAUACCUUUAACGUUGCCGGCCUUCUUGUCCGCUAAGUAUUUGGGGCAGUUCCGCUUCCAGUGACCCUUUCCCUUGCAAUAGAAGCACUCAGUAUCAGGCUUGGGUCCAUUCUUUUUCUUCUUCCGGGCAUCUGGCUUACCGGGCACGGCAACGGCUUUGCCGUCUUUCUUGAAGUUCNNNNNNNNNNNNNNNNNNNNNNNNNNNNNNNNNNNNNNNNNNNNNNNNNNNNNNNNNNNNNNNNNNNNNNNNNNNNNNNNNNNNNNNNNNNNNNNNNNNNUCCCCUCUCGUAGAUGGACAUCACCAUGAUAGGUCUUCGUGCGCGUAGGAAAAUUUUUGUUUCCCAUGCGACGUUCCCCAACAGUGGCAUCAUGAGCUAGGUUCAUGCGUAGAUGUCUUCUAGAGUAGAACACAAAAGUUUUUGUGGGCGGUGAUGUGUGUUUUGCUGCCCUCCUUAGUCUUUUCUUGAUUCCGCGGUAUUGUUGGAUUGAAGCGGCUUGGACCGACUUACUCGUAUGCUUACGAGAGACUGGUUUCAUUGCUACGAGUAACCCCGUUGCUCAAAGAUGACUAGCAAGUGUCAGUUUCUGCAACUUUAGUUGAAUCGGAUUUGACCGAGGAGGUCCUUGUAUAAGGUUAAAUAGCAAUUCAUAUAUCUCCGUUGUGGUGUUUGCGUAAGUAGGAUGCGAUCCUACUAGAUACCCAUGGUCACCACGUAAAACAUGCAACAACAAAAUUAGAGGACGUCUAACUUGUUUUUGCAGGGUAUGCUUGUGAUGUGAUAUGGCCAACGAUGUGAUGUGAUAUAUUGGAUGUAUGAGAUGAUCAUGUUGUAAUAGAUAAUAUCGACUUGCACGUCGAUGGUACGGCAACCGGCAGGAGCCAUAGGGUUGUCUUUAAACUAAUGUUUCUGCUUGCAGAUGCGUUUACUAUUUUGCUAGGAUGUAGAUUUAGUAGUAAUAGCAUGAGUAGCACGACAACCCGAUGGCGACAUGUUGAUGGAGAUCAUGGUGUGGCGCCGAUGACAAGAAGAUCGUGCNNNNNNNNNNNNNNNNNNNNNNNNNNNNNNNNNNNNNNNNNNNNNNNNNNNNNNNNNNNNNNNNNNNNNNNNNNNNNNNNNNNNNNNNNNNNNNNNNNNNAUGCGUAGAUGUCUUCUCGAGUAGAACACAAAAGUUUUUGUGGGCGGUGAUGUGCGUUUUGCUGCCCUCCUUAGUCUUUUCUUGAUUCCGCGGUAUUGUUGGAUUGAAGCGGCUUGGACCGACAUUACUCGUACGCUUACGAGAGUCUGGUUUCAUCGCUACGAGUAACCCCGUUGCUCAAAGAUGACUGGCAAGUGUCAGUUUCUCCAACUUUAGUUGAAUCGGAUUUGACCGAGGAGGUCCUUGUAUAAGGUUAAAUAGCAAUUCAUAUACCUCCGUUGUGGUGUUUGCGUAAGUAAGAUGCGAUCCUACUAGAUACCCAUGGUCACCACGUAAAACAUGCAACAACAAAAUUAGAGGACGUCUAACUUGUUUUUGCAGGGUAUGCUUGUGAUGUGAUAUGGCCAACGAUGUGAUGUGAUAUAUUGGAUGUAUGAGAUGAUCAUAUUGUAAUAGAUAAUAUUGACUUGCACGUCGAUGGUACGGCAACCGGCAAGAGCCAUAGGGUUGUCUUUAAACUAACAUUUGUGCUUGCAAAUGCGUUUACUAUUUUGCUAGGAUGUAGCUUUAGUAGUAAUAGCAUGAGUAGCACGACAACCCCGAUGGCGACACGUUGAUGGAGAUCAUGGUGCGGCGUCGGUGACAAGAAGAUCGUGCNNNNNNNNNNNNNNNNNNNNNNNNNNNNNNNNNNNNNNNNNNNNNNNNNNNNNNNNNNNNNNNNNNNNNNNNNNNNNNNNNNNNNNNNNNNNNNNNNNNNCGUCUUUCUUGAAGUUCUUCUUACCCUUGCCCUUCUUGAAACUAGUGGUCUUGUUGACCAUCAACACUUGAUGCUCUUUCUUGAUUUCCACUUCUGCAGACUUGAGCAUCGAGUACAACUCGGGAAUGGUCUUCUCCAUCCCUUGCAUGUUGUAGUUCAGCACAAAACAUUUGUAGCUUGGUGGGAGAGACUGGAGGAUUCUCUCAAUUAUAGCAUCAUCCGGAAGUUCGACUCCAAGUGAAGUCACACGACCGUGUAACCCAGACAUUUUGAGUAUGUGCUCACUGACAGAACUGUUCUCCUCCAUCUUACAGCUAAAGAACUUGUCGGAGACUUCAUAUCUCUCGACACGGGCAUGAGCUUGAAAAACUAGCUUCAGAUCUUGGAACAUCUCAUAUGCACCGUGUUGCUCAAAACGCCUUUGGAGCCCCGUUUCUAAACUGUAUAACAUGCCACACCUAACCAGAGAGUAGUCAUCACUCCGCGUUUGCCAGACGUUCAGAAUGUCCUAGGCUGCUGCGGGAGNNNNNNNNNNNNNNNNNNNNNNNNNNNNNNNNNNNNNNNNNNNNNNNNNNNNNNNNNNNNNNNNNNNNNNNNNNNNNNNNNNNNNNNNNNNNNNNNNNNNCUAUGUAGACAUGACCCAAGUGACUCCUCGGUCAAUAUCCUGGAUGCCCAUAUUGGAUCCCACAUAUUCUACGAAGAUCUUAUCGUUUGAACCUCAGUGCCAAGGAUUCAUAUAAUCCCGUAUUUCAUUCCCUUUGUCCUUCGGUAUGUUACUUGCCCGAGAUUCGAUCGUCAGUAUCCGCAUACCUAUUUCAAUCUCGUUUACCGACAAGUCUCUUUACUCGUUCCGUAAUACAAGAUCCCGCGACUUACACUAAGUCACAUUGGUUGCAAGGCUUGUGUGUGAUGUUGUAUUACCGAGUGGGCCCCGAGAUACCUCUCUGUCACACGGAGUGACAAAUCCCAGUCUCGAUCCAUACUAACUCAACGAACACCUUCGGAGAUACCUGUAGAGCAUCUUUAUAGUCACCCAGUUACGUUGCGAUGUUUGAUACACACAAAGUAUUCCUCCUGUGUCAGUGAGUUAUAUGAUCUCAUGGUCAUAGGAUCAAAUACUUGACACGCANNNNNNNNNNNNNNNNNNNNNNNNNNNNNNNNNNNNNNNNNNNNNNNNNNNNNNNNNNNNNNNNNNNNNNNNNNNNNNNNNNNNNNNNNNNNNNNNNNNNCGUCUUUCUUGAAGUUCUUCUUACCCUUGCCCUUCUUGAAACUAGUGGUCUUGUUGACCAUCAACACUUGAUGCUCUUUCUUGAUUUCCACUUCUGCAGACUUGAGCAUCGAGUACAACUCGGGAAUGGUCUUCUCCAUCCCUUGCAUGUUGUAGUUCAGCACAAAACAUUUGUAGCUUGGUGGGAGAGACUGGAGGAUUCUCUCAAUUAUAGCAUCAUCCGGAAGUUCGACUCCAAGUGAAGUCACACGACCGUGUAACCCAGACAUUUUGAGUAUGUGCUCACUGACAGAACUGUUCUCCUCCAUCUUACAACUAAAGAACUUGUCGGAGACUUCAUAUCUCUCGACACGGGCAUGAGAUUGAAAAACUAGCUUCAGCUCUUGGAACAUCUCAUAUGCACCGUGUUGCUCAAAACGCCUUUGGAGCCCCGUUUCUAAACUGUAUAACAUGCCACACCUAACCAGAGAGUAGUCAUCACUCCGCGUUUGCCAGACGUUCAGAAUGUCCUAGGCUGCUGCGGGAGNNNNNNNNNNNNNNNNNNNNNNNNNNNNNNNNNNNNNNNNNNNNNNNNNNNNNNNNNNNNNNNNNNNNNNNNNNNNNNNNNNNNNNNNNNNNNNNNNNNNGCGAGGACGGCGAGCCCGGUGCGGGGCUGGUCGGUGCCGAGCCAGAAGGCGCGCGCGAAGCGCCAUGCGGGGAGCGCGGCGAGCGAGGCGACGGAGCCGGCGAAGGGGCUGGAGGAGAGCACGGUGGCGGCGAGCAGCGCGGCGAGCGAGGCGACGAGGUGCGCCGGGCGCGGCGGCGAGGCGAGCGCGACCUGGCGGAGGAGCGCGACGAAGAGGAAGGCGAGCGGGAGGAGCGGCGCGAGCGGGGCGGCCGGGGAGCGGGGCGGCGGGAGGAGGAGCGCCGGGGGCAGGAGCGCGAGCGGGAGGAGCAGGGAGAGGUGGAAGCCGGCGAAGUGCGGGCGGGAGGCGAGCGUGGCGUGGGAGAGGCGCAGGCGGUAGAGCUGCGCCGAGCCGUCGGAGGCCGGGGCGGCCCCGCCCCCGCGCUUGCCGGAGGGCGCGGCGGAGCCCGGCGGGCGGAGGACGGCGCGCGGCCCCGUGGAGGGGACGGCGUCCGGGUGGAUGUAGGUGUGGACGGCGUAGAGGAGGAGGGACGGGACGUGGAGGAAGUGGGCGGCGGCCGCGAGGGCCAGCGACGCCGCGACCUGCGGCGCGUACGGCGGGACGGGGAAGGGGAGGAGGUCGUCGACGGCCAUCGCCGGCGGCCGGAGCUGGGNNNNNNNNNNNNNNNNNNNNNNNNNNNNNNNNNNNNNNNNNNNNNNNNNNNNNNNNNNNNNNNNNNNNNNNNNNNNNNNNNNNNNNNNNNNNNNNNNNNNAAUGUCCCCGCGACAUUCGAGUGGGUCAUGUAAACAGAGGGUGUGUGCUCAGUCCCUUCCCCUUCCCCUGCUCCUGCCCCCUCCCCUACCCCUGCUCAUACCCCUGCCCCUGCCCCUGCCUCUGCCACCACCUCUGCCUCCAAAUUCACUUCCGCCCCCAAACCCGCCGCCCCCGAAAUCGCCACCNNNNNNNNNNNNNNNNNNNNNNNNNNNNNNNNNNNNNNNNNNNNNNNNNNNNNNNNNNNNNNNNNNNNNNNNNNNNNNNNNNNNNNNNNNNNNNNNNNNNNNNNNNNNNNNNNNNNNNNNNNNNNNNNNNNNNNNNNNNNNNNNNNNNNNNNNNNNNNNNNNNNNNNNNNNNNNNNNNNNCCUCCACCUCUGCCUCCGCCGCCUCUGCCACGCCCGCCCCCGCCUCUCCUACCACGAUCUCCUCCUCCACCUCCCCUGCUUCGACCACCCCCGCCACCUCCUCUGCCUCCCCGUCCGCCGAACAAAUAGAACUCAGCUUUGUUUUGCUUCAGCCCCAGGGACUGCACGCUUCUCCUCUUGUAGUCUUUCUGCUCUUCUUCGCUGUGCUCAUCUUCUUCGGUGCGCCUUCUUGAGCUCCUAGGGUUGAAGGAGAUUUCCCGCGAGCCACCAGGCCCGUACUUCACCUUGUCGAGCGCACGUGAGUUCUGCUUCCUUUCCAGUGCGGCUACCCUGUCCCCAAUGGGCACCUUUCCAGCACAGUGGNNNNNNNNNNNNNNNNNNNNNNNNNNNNNNNNNNNNNNNNNNNNNNNNNNNNNNNNNNNNNNNNNNNNNNNNNNNNNNNNNNNNNNNNNNNNNNNNNNNNGCGGGGCGGGGACGCUCAAGUCCACCUCCAUCAACGGCGUCAAGCUCUACUCCGUCACCGGCAAGAACUACGUCGCCCCGUGGGUCCUCGCCAAGAAGAAGCGCUCCCUCCGCAAGGACGCAGGCAAGCCACCGCCCCGACGCCCCCCUUCACUCGCUCGCUGGCCUGCCUGCCUGCCUUUUGUUGAUUCAUUCAUUCAUUCAUGGUGCCGUUGCUUGCCGCCUGCUUGACUUCUCACAGAGUACCAGCGGCGGCUGGAGCUGAUACACGACCUCAGGUUCGAGACUGCCACCACCAGGAUCAAGGUCACCCCCGACGGCCAGUAUGUCAUCGCCUCAGGUACAUACAUAUACACAACCAAUCGUUCCUUGUUUCCAGUCCGUCCGCUGGCGUUUAUACGAAUGAUGAAGAAGAAAAGGAGACGCUGAAGCAUUGUAGCUCUAAACCAAGGCAGCGCGCGUUGAUCGAUAAAAAAUAGAGGGCAGUGUUAGUCUACCAAACGUCGUAAGAAUUUAGUCUGCCAACUCAACAUAGGUUGUGUCUCUAGUGUAGGCAUCUUUAUUUAUGCGACAUGCCUUCAGCACCCGACCCACAUCUGCAAUUGCGCUUUGCUCCUCUCUUCACCCGGAGGGGUAAGUUAGCCGAGCAGACCGAACCGAGGUUUAAAGAUGGGACUUGUUGGUGUGGGUCGCACGAGUUAAAUUUGUUUGCUUCUCAGAAAGCAAGGCCAUUCCAGCUCUGGAUAGUCGUGCUGAUCACAAGGUGUUAAUGAAGUGAUCAACAUGUAAUUCACCCUUUGCAACUUGUAGCUUUAGAAACUUACCGCCUGGUUCUUGUUCAUCUUCUGUUUGGAGUUUCAGUGUUAGCCACAUCUUCUAUGUACUAUAAGGUGUUUGUAUUCUCACGCCUCGUAUUUGCCAGGUAUUUACCCCCCACAAAUGAAAGUCUUUGAGUUGAAAGAAUUGUCGAUGAAGUUUGAGAGGCACAUGAUCUCAGAAAUUAUCGAUUUCGAGGUACUUUUAGUUUAAUAUAGUGAACCACAUGUCUCCUCUGCUACUGGGCAGUCUUCUUUAACAUUCCAUUCUGGAAAACACAGGGCACACGUUGUUGAGCUGCUUUAAUGUUUUCGACCUGACAAACUAGAUUGUAUCCUUCUUUAGGUCCUUGGUGAUGACUACUCAAAACUCGCCUUUUUGUGUGCCGAUCGUUCUGUAUGCUUGCAUGCAAAGUACGGAAGCCAUUAUAGCGUCAGAAUUCCAAGGUUAGUUUGUCCUGUCAUCUAAUAUUUCUUUGGUUUUCAUUUCAUUGCUUUUCUGACAUAUAUAUAGUUUGUCCUGUUAUGUAUCAUUUCUAGUUACAACAUAUUGUUUGAUGUAUACUACUACUAGUACUCCCUCUGUUUGUAAGUUUUUGCCUGUUGUCUUUGGCUUGAGCUCGUCAAGGUUUAUCCACCAAUAGUUUUGGAACUAUGUGUUGUUUGGUAUAAACAGAGAAGUUCUGUGCUGGAUGAUAACAGACGGUGAUACCAUGGCAAUGAGGAGUUUGUAUAUAGUCCUUGCCUGUCCUAAUAUUAAAUUUACAUAUUGAUGUUAUCCAUAUUGACAGAAUGGGAAGGGACUUGGCCUAUGAUUGCUGGUCUUGCGACUUGCUAUGUGCUGCUUCGUCAUCAGAUCUUUAUAGAAUCAACUUAGAGCAGGUCAGAUUUGAGUCCUUGAUUAUUCAUGAAUAUAGAGUUAUUUGGUUAUCCACAGCCUCUCAUAUAAUUCACGUGACACUGCUAGUACACAACUAAUAUUAAAUAAGUAUGAGCAUGUUACUUUUAAUUGAAAGCCACUGCGCAUAGAGCCACAAUUAUGCCUUUUCUUGUCACGCUUCCAGUCUUUCUAGAAUAAACAUGCACACAUUUUAAAAUUAUAAAUUUUGCAGGGAAGGUUCCUCGCUUCUCUUACUUCCCAAUCUCCAGCAAUAAAUGUGGUUACACGGAGGUAGUUCUUUUUAUGGACUCGUGUCUUUGGAGUGGCAUUCUUAUUGAGUAUUUAUUAACCUAUCAUUGUCUUUGGUGGUACUCCCAGUAUGAUCCAUGGGCUUGUUGCUUGUGGUGGUGAGGAUGGUGCAGUUGAAUGCUUUGACAUGAGGAGGAAGUCUUCUGUUGGCAGAAUUAAUACAACUUCUUCUUCUGAAGAUGUUGAUCAGGUAUCUUAUUGUACCUUGUCAGCACCUUGCUAGUAAUAAUACACUAACACUGCAAUUUCUUGACAUUAUUUUGUUGGUUCUUAUGCUUCACAACUGCAGGAGGUCACGUCUUUGCAGUUCGAUGAAAAUCAAGGGUACCUUCUGGCUGUAGGGAGCAGCAUAGGAAAGGUUCGAUUCAUCAUCUGUUAUGUUAUUUGAUUUUAACUGCUAAUUUAUAAAACAUUUGAAUUUUUUAUUAUUCCAUCGAACAUUAUCCUGUCAGAACUAACAAACAGGAAUCUCACUGUUUUGCAAUGCAUACUAAAUUUGGCGUUAUCUCUGUUGCUAGAAUGAUUCAUGUAGUUUUACUUCAUUUAGGUCUCAAGUUUCUGUGCUAAACAUUUGUAACAGUUGUUCAAAUUGUACACUUGAUUCUGAUGUCUACUUGGCACCUCUUUUUACUACUCCUAAAAAUAAUGAUCUGCCAUCGAUUAUCUUACUGCUAGUUUACAGGUAAUUUUGCUUGGUAGCCUCUUUUUUCGUCCGGAAGUCAUGUGAUGAUUGCUGAGUUUGUUGUGUAUUCAUUGGCUGGAUGAAAGGAUCAUCCUGUCUUAACAAACUGAUAAUGUUGAUAAUCUAAUUUCUACAAAUUAUGAUAUUUAAUUUGUUUUAAGCUUAUUAUUCAUAUACUUCAGCUGUGUUUGGAUUUUCUACAGGUAUCGAUAUAUGACAUACGCAUGUCUUCGCCUCUGCGAGUCAAGGAUCACAUGUAAGAUCUGUAUCUUUUUAUUACGGGAAGAGAUUUUUCGCUUGUUAUGCAUGAACAGUUUCGACCAUUAUUUUCUUUAUAUUCCAUUAGGAAUGUAUAUCGAAUUUAAGGAAACAAAAGAUCCAUUCUCACUACAUGUUUGGUUUCUGACGAGAUUCCCAUCGGAUCCUUCAUUCCAAAUGGGACCUUAUAUUUCUGAUAGCAUGUUAUCCCGGUCAUACAGAACAGUACCACUUGGAGCUGUUCUAAAAGUGUAUUCUGUAUUCAUUGGAAUCUUGCAACUCCAGAUCAGAAUAAGCUUUAUACAGAGGGAUAUGAAGCUUGACUAAAUCGUAAAAAAAAUGGCUGUGAUCAUUCUUGUGUUAGAUAUGAUACUUUCCACUAAGCAUGUGCAUGUAAGUAUGUAACGGGUGUUCUUUAUUUAUCGCAGGUAUGGCAGUCCAAUUUUGAAUAUCAAGUGGCACCAGACACUUAAUUCUACCGAACCUAAACUGAUAACUGCUGAUAAGCAUAUAGUGAGAGUUUGGGAUCCUAAUACAGUGAGUUCCAUCCUUCUCUGAAAGUGCUAAACCUCAUUUUUUCGUGAGUGACGUUGAUUUCUUUGUUAGAUGACGAUGACCUCAUCUCACUAUUUCAUAUUUAGGGAAACAACAUGACCAGCAUUGAACCUGAUAAUGGCUCUAUCAAUGAUGUUUGCAUCUUUCCGAAUAGUGGUUUAAUGCUAUUAGCCCUGGACAACAGCCAGAUACCCGCCCACUUUAUUCCUGCACUUGGCCCUGCUCCAAAGUGGUGCUCACAUCUUGAUAACCUAACUGUGAGUCCCCCCCNNNNNNNNNNNNNNNNNNNNNNNNNNNNNNNNNNNNNNNNNNNNNNNNNNNNNNNNNNNNNNNNNNNNNNNNNNNNNNNNNNNNNNNNNNNNNNNNNNNNCUCGUCACCGACUGGAUGAUGGGGGAGUCCUUAGUUCAGUCGGAACUGCCUAAGGGCCUUGUCCUCUAUGAAGGGUAGUCAUUGGGUAGGACCUAUAGGGCAGGCGUAUGACCCUACCCUGGGACUAUAACCCCAUCAUUAGUCCCCGAAUGGAUCGGGGUUGGAACGACGAAGUGAUGCCUCGAGUACGGAUCCGACUGGUAUGGAUGUGACUUUGGCAUUGUUUGCCUCGAUCCAUUUUAUCCUUUCGACCAGUGAUCCGAGUGAAUAUACCAGUGAAACGAACCGUCAGGGACCGAGUGCUUCCGCGAAAUCUUUCGAUGUGACCGGUCCAACUGACAGCGGCGGAUUUUCCGGGAUCCUCAAAUUUCGGUUGCCGCGUGCUCACCGUGGAUGACGACAUCGCCAUCGAGUAGUUUCUGCCGCCUCGAUUACCGCGUCGUUAUCUUCUCCACUAACAUCGCAGCAGCCGGUCGGGGGGAUAAGAUUUCGGGGCCACCUGUUAGCGACUCAGUCGGAAGCUUAUUUAAGCCCUUCCGGCGGGGAUCUCUUGUUGCGCUGCUCUUCUUCCUCGCAUUAACCUCGCUCCUCCCGCAGCUUCCUGCGCGCCCCAAGCCUCCUCCUUCCUCUCCUCCUCUGCGGAUCUGUUGCCUUCACCAUGACGAAGGGGCAGACCAGCAAACUCGAAGCGCAGAAGAAGAAGAAGAAGGGGGCGGCCCCUGCUCAGCGGCGACAGCGGGCACUGCCGGCGGGUUGGAUCCAGGGGGAUUUCCUCCCCUCCACGGUGACGGCGGACGACUUGCUGGAGCUAGUGGAGCACGACAUGAUCGCCAACAAGUCGUGCAGGCUGCCGGCGGAGGGCGAGACGGAGCCGGUGCCGAAGGAGGGGGAGCGCGUCCUGCUGCUCAGCCACGUGUUCAGGGGUUUCUCCUUGCCUCCCCACCCCUUCUUCAGAGGUAUUAUGAAUCACUUCGGGGCGCAGCUCCAUCAUUUUCCUCCGAACGCGAUAGCCCACCUUGCCGCAUUCGUCACCCUUUGUGAGUGCUUUAUUGGAUGUCCCCCCCCAUUGGGGGGCUCUUUAAGUAUGUCUUCUCCGCUAGGUCUCAAACUGUAAAAAAGCUUAGCCAGUCGGACAAUAAGACCCAUCUCCUCCAACUCUGCGGGGGCUUAGGCUUCCAGAAGAAAACAAAAAGUAGCUACCCCCCUCUCCAGUUGUCCGAGUCAGUUAGGAACUGGCAGUCGACCUGGUUCUAUUGCCAGGACAUCGCCUGUCCGAAUGCUGCGACUGGCUGCCACCUUUUAGCCUAGACCGUCUGGCCCCUCCCAGGCAGCUUGCACUCUCAAAGGUGGAAAAGGUCCAGAUCCAGCCUCUGGUCGACGCGUUGAUAGCCGUCGUCCGCAAGGGAGUCACCGACACGGACUUGCUGGAGACUUUUCUGGGUCGGCGCAUCCAGCCGCUGCAAGCCCGACACCACGCCAUGUGGCACUAUGUGGGGCCUGAGGAUUCCACUCGGACUCAUCCAGAGUGCGUGACCGCGGAGACUGUGACAGCGUGGGUCUGCGGCAUCACAGGCGCAUGCGAUAACCCCCAAGGAGCCCGGCGAGUGAGGCCCUUCCGCGCCGACAAUCCUCCUCCGAAUGAGGUGAGCGCAUCUUGUUGAGUGCUUUCAAUCUUCUUAGUUUUAUCGCUUUUCUUGUACCGUCGCCUGGCGUCUGACGUUGCCGACUGUGUCUUGUGCAGGAGUGGACUAACUGGCAUUCUGCCGUCUCGAACGGGAAUCCAGCUGAGGAAGAAGAGGGCAGCCAGGAGGGCAGCAUGGACAGCGCCGAGUACGUCUCUGACAGUGGGGAGACGGAGGAGGAGACCAAAGAGGAGGAGGGAGGAGGUUGGGGAGCAGAGCUCGCCACCUCCACCAUCAGAACAUCGAACUAAGCGCCGUCACGAUCCCGCGACUCCGUCGGCUCCUCCAGCGGCCCCGAGUGCUCCGCCAACCCCUCCCGUAGCUCCGAGUGCUCAGAGUGUGAAGAGGACUAGGGACGCUGCCGCCGAGCCCACGGACCAGCCGUCCAAGAUGUCCAAACCUAGCGGGCCCAAGCCUCGGAAAACUUUGCCUCGGAUGAGGAUCGUUGUUCCAGUCGCCUCAGCGUAUGUGUNNNNNNNNNNNNNNNNNNNNNNNNNNNNNNNNNNNNNNNNNNNNNNNNNNNNNNNNNNNNNNNNNNNNNNNNNNNNNNNNNNNNNNNNNNNNNNNNNNNNCAAGAAGGGCGAUUCAACGAAUAAGCAUACCCGCCUCCAAGGCCGCAACCGUCAUAACCAGGGGACCAACGGCAAGCGUAGGCCACAUGAGGAGCCCUCGGAUCUGGUUGCCAACACCAACGCCAAUGACGGCAAAAAGAAGAAUCGAGGCUUCAGCGGGAAAAGACCGCGUAACUACGAAGAGCUGCUCAAAGGCCCUUGCCCGCACCACGCCACGGCCGACGGCCCGGCGGGCCAUUCCUGGGAGAACUGCUUCGUGAUGCGGGAAUUUCGGGCCGAGGCGAUCAAGAAGAGCCAGAGCGAAGACCCGAACCGUCGCCAAGACCAACUCCCCGCGCCCAACCAAAGGCACAACCCCUUCGGCGGUUUUCCCGAACAAGAGGCUCAGGGGGUGCCACAGCCAGGUGGCGGCCAAUACCCUGUGCACCACCACCGGCGGUACAACCCGCCAGGAGUCUUCCAGCAGCCGCCCCCGCAGGGGGCUCCGCAGGACCAGGAUGACCAUGGGGGCUUCCGCAACAAUCCUAAACAACUAAGUAAUGGGCAAUACCACGUUUUCACCACUAAUGCCUGGAGACGUGAUAAAAAGGUAAAUCACCGGGCGUAUAGGGUAAUUGAGCCGGCAGUUCCCAGAUAUCUCCACUGGUCCGAACAGACCAUAACAUGGAGCAGAGAGGAUCACCCACCGAGAAUAGAUAACCCGGGCGACCUGGCCUUGGUCGUGGCUCCCCAAGUGGCGGGCUACACUCUAUCGAAAGUACUAAUGGAUGGCGGCAGCAGCAUUAAUAUCCUAUACUUCGACACCUUCUGGAGGAUGAAUCUAUUAGAGAAAGACUUGAUGCCUUCAACCACAGUUUCUCCACGGCAUCGUCCCGGGCAAAUCCGCUUAUCCGAUUGGCCGGGUUAGGCUCUCAGUAGCGUUUGGAACUGCACAGAACUACAGGUCGGAGUCUCUGGUCUUCGAGGUGGUCAAAUUAAAAAGCCCGUACCAUGCGCUGUUCGGACGACCGGCUUACGCUCGCUUCAUGGCCCGCCCAUGCUACGUCUACCUCAAGCUCAAAAUUCCUGGUCCUAAAGGGCCCAUCACGGUCGACGGAGAUAGAAGGAUUGCAAAGGAGUGUGAGGAAGGAGACGCGGCCUACGCGGAAGUCGCCUGCGCGGCGGAAGAGCUCAAAAACCACCGGGCCAAUGUUGACCCGGCGGACAUGACACCACUCAAGAAACCGACUACAGAUUCCGAGUCGCCCCUCAAGUUCAAACCAACGGAUGACACGANNNNNNNNNNNNNNNNNNNNNNNNNNNNNNNNNNNNNNNNNNNNNNNNNNNNNNNNNNNNNNNNNNNNNNNNNNNNNNNNNNNNNNNNNNNNNNNNNNNNUCUCCCACACCCUGCAGGAGAGGAGCUUGUCGUUUGAGUUUCAUAUCUAUGAUUCCUAUCAUUUUGAUCACCGGACUUUAGCUAUGUUCGAUCACCUACCUGUGACAUGAUGAUCGCCCACCUGUGGCAUGGUGACUGCCGAAACUAUGUCGAGCUUUUGGUAGCGAGAAAGAGAACUUUGAAUUUAAGUAUGUUUGCGGCUGAAACCCGGGGGAUGGCUGAAAACAUGCGCCCCUACAAGCUGAAAGGUUACGCUAUGAAAACAUGCGCCCCUACAAGCUGAAAGGUUACGCUAGGGGACCAACCGGCUGGAGAUGGUAUUAGCAUUAUAGCCUUAUAGGACAUACUCUCUCCGUUCUUAAAUAUAUAUCCUUUUAAAGAUUCUACAUACUUAUAUAUAUAGACAUAUUUUAGAGUGUAAUUUCUUUCAUUUUGUUCUGUAUGUGAUACAAUAGUGAAAUCUCUAAAAGACUUAUAUUUAGAAUCAGAGGGAAUACAACACAGGCAGAUAACAGGAUAUUCUGCCUCACAGUUGUUCUUGUUGAAAAGACACCCAGAGUUCCAAACAAACCAUAUAAUGGAGCAUCAGUCAAAAUUUAUCGCUGCCAAAAUUUUGGAAGCAUUUGUCCGCGCUAUCCUAACUCUAGCGUAAAGCGGGAUACAGUUUUACAUUAAUGCGUGAGGAUUCAAGAUCUCGCACCAUCUUAGUCGUUUUCGCCAGACGAAAUGUCCCCGCGACAUUCGAGUGGGUCAUGUAAACAGAGGGUGUGUGCUCAGUCCCUUCCCCUUCCCCUGCUCCUGCCCCCUCCCCUACCCCUGCUCAUACCCCUGCCCCUGCCCCUGCCUCUGCCACCACCUCUGCCUCCAAAUUCACUUCCGCCCCCAAACCCGCCGCCCCCGAAAUCGCCACCACCUCCACCUCUGCCUCCGCCGCCUCUGCCACGCCCGCCCCCGCCUCUCCUACCACGAUCUCCUCCUCCACCUCCCCUGCUUCGACCACCCCCGCCACCUCCUCUGCCUCCCCGUCCGCCGAACAAAUAGAACUCAGCUUUGUUUUGCUUCAGCCCCAGGGACUGCACGCUUCUCCUCUUGUAGUCUUUCUGCUCUUCUUCGCUGUGCUCAUCUUCUUCGGUGCGCCUUCUUGAGCUCCUAGGGUUGAAGGAGAUUUCCCGCGAGCCACCAGGCCCGUACUUCACCUUGUCGAGCGCACGUGAGUUCUGCUUCCUUUCCAGUGCGGCUACCCUGUCCCCAAUGGGCACAGCUUCCUGGUUGCCGAGGGAGACACUGUUCAAAAACGCCUCGGCAUGGCGUCCAUCCUUCACUUCAUACAACCUGUAAGGUGAAAAGGUAUUAGCACGUUUCUGGUGAACCAGAAGAGUUCAGCAAAUGAGAGCAUAUGACAUACAGUACAGCCAUUUUUAGAAACAGAUUGGGUGGAUUCAGAAGGUAAGACACAUGUGCUUGUGUGCGUCUAUACAUACGAGAAAUGCAGCUUUGGAAAAUUAAAUUAUUAAAUAUUUCAACGUGCUGAUGUUGCUUAAGACUGGAAAUAGCUAACAUAAAACACACAUCUGCACAAGCAUGACAGAAAAACACCAGUUGCAAAUAUGCAGUUCACCCUAACCAAAAUAAAACAAGAUCUCACCUUAUACGCUUUGAGUUAUGCAUGCCAGUGUCACUGUCAGACUCUGCUGACGCAUCAGACGAACCAGCAUCUUGUUCGUCUUCAUCUUCACUAACACUCUCGAAAUGUUCCUCGAUUAAAUGAGGUUCCUUUGUGGCCACUUGAGGAUGGAGUGCUUCAUAUUCUCUUGAAUUUUCAUCAAUUUCAUAGUCCUGCCCAUAAGAUCGAUGAAUUAGAAAAUCACACACGAUUACCAAUUUAGGAACAAUUAGCUUAAAAAGUUACUUGUAGUUAAAAGGCACAGCAGCAACUACUGUAAAGUGAAGUUACGAUAAUGUAUUAAUUGCCGGAUCACAUCCAACACACACAAAUCAAAGGAAAUUAGGUUACAAACAACACUAGCAUGUGUGCACCAUGCGGCUAUAUAAGCUUUCCAUUCAAAAUGAAACAGCAACAUGGCUGAACAAGUAUCAAGACAGUACAAGAUCAGGAAAACAUCAAGGUACAAACAUGAAAUGCAUAACAGAGUUGACCUGAUAAUAAAAAUUUCCACAUAUUAGAACUACUACAAUUAACAUCACAUCAUCAGGGUACCCCGAAAGGAUGAAGCAGCAACAAAAUGUUGACAUCUACAUUGCCUAAGAAAAUAGUAAUUUCUUGCUAUAGAUACUUUGUGAAAACUGUUUCAUAACCACACAUUUAAGAAUUUGUUCUGCAGAAUUACACAUUUUUUUGCAAGGACUGCAGAAAGUCAUACUCCUGCAUUCCACGUUAGCUAAAUAGGAUGGGAUGAGAUUGCAUUUGUGAAUCUUGCAGAGUGGCUAUCAUUGCCAGAACGACUAGAUCUGACUGGAUUUAGGCUCUUUGACACGCUUGUAAGAAAAUGGUACUCCCUCCAUCUCAGUUUAUAAGUCCGGCACGUAUACUUAGGUCGUCAAUUUGACCAACUUAAUGAUAAUCAUAUAUUACAAAAAAUAUAUCAUUAAAAAAUUUAGAUGUUCUAUUUUCUAAUGAUAUAAUUUUUAUAUAAAACAAUACAUUUUAUAUAUGUCAAAUUGACGACCUAGAUACACGUGUGUGCCUUAUAAACUGUGACGGAGGUAGUAGUUUUGGAACAACAAAACAUGUGAUUCUGUCAUGGUUUUGAAAGAGAACAUGUGGGUUUGAGAAGUUAAUUCAAAAAUUAAGUCUGAAACUGAAAUGCAUACCUUAUUAUUAAACAUCUCUUCGAAACGUGGAUCAGUCAAUAAUGACUUAUACAUUUCUAGUUUUAUUUUCUUCUUCCUGAUGCUUGAUUUACUAACAUUCUCCACACCAGCAUCCAAUUCCUCUUCCUCGGUUUGUAUCUUCUCCAAAAGUUGCCGGUUAGCCUUUGGUAUUUUGACAACUUGCUGCAUAAAUAAAGCAAAUACUGGCACUCAUUAGGAUAACAGUCACACAUAUUGACAUAUGUAGAUGUUAAUACAUAUAAGGAAGAGAUGAGCAAACAUUACCGUUAUACGAGAUGUCCUUAGUGCUGCUAUUUUCUUUGCCUUCAUCUCCUUUUGAAUAGUCUCAUAAUCAGCAAUAUGAAGUUUAGCCCGUUGCUGAAAAGAAAUACAGAUCCUCAUAAAUAGAAUGUAUGAAGCGUUCUUUUUAUCAAACCAUCCACAAAUGACAUAUAGACAUAGGAAGUCCACAUUUAUGUUCAACCAUGUUGUCAGACUAAUACAAAGAAAUAUUUUUACAAAGACAAACUGUACAGAAUAAAAUGUCUUCAUGUUGGAAAUUCAGGUGGUAGGUGACAGCAAUCCUACCUCAACUUUCAAGUAAAUUGCAGUACUUUGAAUAGAUGAACAGAAAAAUAAUUACCUUCUUAUAUAGAUCAUAGUGUAUAACAUAUCCAUGUAAAUGUGCUCUGACAGCAUCACUGUUUUUGUACUCAGAGAGACCCAAUCGCUCCAUCUCUUCUUCAGUCAAAAAUUUGUAAUCAUCAUAUAAUGUGUUUUCUUGUUUCUCUUCCAUCUCCUCCUGUUUUGAGGAAUUGACACAAGGAAAUGUCAAGGCAAGGUUUACUAAACUAGGUACAAAACCAUUUUUUUUGGGGGGGGNNNNNNNNNNNNNNNNNNNNNNNNNNNNNNNNNNNNNNNNNNNNNNNNNNNNNNNNNNNNNNNNNNNNNNNNNNNNNNNNNNNNNNNNNNNNNNNNNNNNCUGCCGCCCUUCGCGGCCAUGCCCGGGGAUUGCCCAGCAGCAAGGAGAAGAAUCGGGUGGGGGAGGGUCACGGCCGGACGGUGAGCGCCGCCGCCGCCGCCGCCGCUGUGAGGAGGUCGGGUGCGAUGCGGGGUGGGUUUAGGGUUCGGUCUGGGCCGCUUCUAGCCUAAUCGCUUCUUUACGAUACACGCCGCCGCCUGCCUACAGUACAGCGGCGCAUUGUGGGCCGGCCCACCCACCAGUUUAGCGCACGUGUGACGUGCUUGCCUUGCUUUAGAGCUUAGGGAAGAGACUAUGGAGUAGUCAUACCGCGCUUUAGUGAUUGGUUUAAGGCUUGUUUGUUUUGAGUUUUCAAGAAUUCAUCAUGCGUUUAUAACUUCAUAUGCACGAAAGAAUUUCGCAGCGCCGAGAUAAUAGAUGUGCGCUUGUUCGUGCGGAAACACAAAAGAAUGCAAUUACAUCUCGUGGGCACAUUUGCUAAUUUAUUUGUUUAAUGGUUUCAAUAUUUUGUAGGAACUUUCUACUUAUCAAGGGAGUGUAUGAAUUUCUACUUACCAAGGAAGUAUAUGCCUAAAGAAUAAUUGUGGAGGUGUUUGGUUUCAAAAUAUUGUACCGGAGUAAAUAUAUGUAGCCUAAUUCUUGAACAAUGUACAGAACCACGAAAAUGUAAAGGACAGAACAUCACCCGAAUUGAUCGAAAUCUAUGUUCGCCUUCUUUCUUCUUUUUGGUGACAUGUACACCUCAUGCUGCUCUUCCCCGUCUCGUCUGUGGGUUUUUCUUUUCCUUGCCUUCGAUUCCGGCCACUGCUGGAUGUCUCCCGCACCGCCUACCAGUUGGAUGCGUCUACCGUCGACGUCGACGCCAGGCACACAUCAAGGAUGGAUUGUUUGUCGUCGGCAUCCAUCCAGUCGUCCUCAUAGGGACAUGCACGGUGGAAGCAGCACCCCGUGUGCGGGAGGGCAGCGAUGGAUGCGACGAUGCAUGGAGGGGGCUCACAAUGGUGCGUGGGGACUUGGACGACAUUGGAUAGCAGAUGUGGGAGGUGCGAGCAACGCUCAGAACCCCUUGUGUUACCCGUGGUGCACGCAUUCUGCCAACACCUGUCCAUGUACAGUGUGAAAGAAAGCGGGGCAGCUGUGAAGCCCUUUUAUAGGCACGCACCAUGGUGAAGCGACAUAACUGGAUUGGCAUGGAGUCUUCACGAGAGAGCUAGACGAUCAGAUUUUUUUGGCACAUAUGGCGGUAGUGGAUGGAUGUGUAAACAGAAUGAUGGGGUUAUAGUCCCAGGAUAGGGUCAUAGGCCUGCCCUAUAGGUCCUAUCCAAGGACUACCCUUCAUAAAGGAAAAGGCACUUAGACAGUUCCGACUGAACUAAGGACUCCCCCAUCAUCCAGUCGGUGACGAGCAUUCGGAGCGUAUUUAACGUACCGACUGAAUUCCACUCUGUACAUCGUAACCUUCCAGGAGGGCAACAGUCAUACGUUUUCAUACACCAUUACUAGCAUUUAAGGCAUACGUUACCUGUAACAUAGGCAUUUAUUCGCCACUAUUCCACCCCUGUCCACCGGGUCGUUGUGGAGGGCAGCGCACUCUAUAUAAGCCGCCCUUCCCCACUGGUNNNNNNNNNNCCCAGGAGGGCAACGGUCAUACGUUUUCAUACACCAUUAUUAGCAUUUAAGACAUACGUUACCUGUAACGUGGGCAUUUAUUCGCCACUAUUCCACCCCUGUCCACCGGGCCGUUGUGGAGGGCAGCGCACUCUAUAUAAGCCGCCCUUCCCCACUGGUGCAGGGGUUGGCUUUUACUGUAAUCCUAUAUUCCACUCGACACUAAGCUCCCAAGAGCACUCAGACGUAGGGCUUUUACCUCCACAGUAGAGGGGCCUGAACUCAUACAACCUCGCCGUAGCUAAGGCUCUGCCCAUCCUUUCGUACCCUACACAUCUACUGUCAGACUUAUACCCACGACAGUUGGCGCCCACCGUGGGUUCACUCCGAGUGAACCCACUGCAAAGUCAUCCUAUUGUAUCCGAGUCUAUCACUGAAACCCCCAAUGGGUGACAAGAGGAAAGUAAACACUCACUAGCGCACUUACUCGGAUAUCGUCCCGGAGCUCCAAGCUUCUCUUGUACAAAGACGCGAUGGAGUCGUACGCUCCCUUGGCAUUACCCACCAUCAACUCCACCUGCACCAUGGCAUCCUUGGCGGCCCCCACCUGGUCUUCCGGGAGAUGUCGGGCGUCAUACUGAACGGUUGACGGACCCGGCGCGGCAGAAGACUCCUUGGGCAUCCCAAGCUCCGCUCCAGUCGGUUCCGCCGCGAGGAGCACCGUCUCAGUCGGCGACAUUGUCAUCGGUCGGCGGCACGUUCACGGUGGGAGCAGCAUCAGAUGGGACAACCUCAAGGACAGGCGCCAAAGCUGGCCCUGCCCCCCUUUGGUCGUCGUCCUCCAAAUGAAUCACCUCCGAAGAAAGCCCGACUGGACAACAUGAAAUUACAGAAAAAGGGCAAGAUUAAAGNNNNNNNNNNGGGCGACAUUGUCUCGGUCGGCGGCACAUUCGCGGUGGGAGCAGCAGCAGAUGGGACAACCUCAAGGACAGGCGCCAAAGCUGGCCCUGACCCCCUUUGGUCGUCGUCCUCCAAAUGAAUCACCUCCGAAGGAAGCCCGACUGGACAACAUGAAAUUACAGAAAAAGGGCAAGAUUAAAGGCAGCACUCGCGAAACAAUAAAUACAAACUCUCAGAGUCGUGACAACGUACCUUGCUGGGAUGUGGCAGCGUUAUCCGUGUCCAUGGGAUCAUCGUCUUGGUGCGGCAGAGAGGCGGCGGAGGUAGCAACUCUGUUGAGUGAAAUCCACUCGACAGAUAAGCAUGAGUUCAAUCAGAUACUGAAAGAUGAUGGGAGAGCAAGACACAUACGCUGAGGCGACUGGAACAACGAUCCUCAUCCGAGGCAAAGCUUUCCGAGGCUUGGGCCCGCUAGGUUUGGCCAUCUUGAAAUAAUAUAUUUUAGCUCACCUGUUCUCAAGAUAAUAUUUAGGAGGGCAAGUCAAGAUAUUUUAAUUUGCAAACCUGUUUUUCUUUUGGAGGACAUGCGUCGGAAAAUCAUGGGACAUAAAAAGUCCAAAACCCAGAAAGUUUGAACUCUUCGGGCUCUAGAGUAUGGUUUCAUAAUUUGUACAAACUUCCUACUUAUAAAGGGAGUAUACGAAAUUCUACUUAUCAAGGGAGUAUAUGCGUAAAGAAUAAAUGUGGAGGUGUUUGGUUUCAAAAUAUUAUAGGGUAAAUCCUUAUAGCCUAAUUCAUGAACUAUGUAUAGGGCCACAAUAAUGUAAAGAAAAGAACAACAGCCGAACUGAUCGAAAUCUAUGUUCUGCUUGUUUAUACUUUUUGGUGACCUAUCGACCUCGCGUUGCUCUUCCCCGUCUCCUUUGUGGUUUAUUAUUUUCCAUGCCUUCGACUCUAGCCACCGUUGGUUGUCUCCUACACCGUGUACAAGUUGGAUACGUCCACCGCCAACGUCGGUGCCGAGCACACAACGGGGAUGGGUUGUUUGUCGUUGCUAACCAUGCCAACCAACUGGUCGUCCUCAUAGGGACAUGCACAGUGGAGCAUCAACCCGUGUGUGGGAGGUCAACGAUGGAUGCGUCGGCACAUAGAGGGGGCCUGACAAUGGCGCGUGGGGACUUGGACGACGUUGGAUAGUAGAUGCGGGAGGCGUGCAGAACCCUACAGGUGGUGGCAACAUGCAUGAUGCUAGGGCUGGCGAUGGAGAUGGCCGUGACACCAUGAUGCAAGGAUGUUGAGGGCGACGGUACGGUACCCGCACAAUCGGGGAAGAAGCAGGCUAUGGUGUGGAAGAAACCAGAGCAGUGAUGAAGCCCUUUUAUUGGCAUGCACCGUGGCGAAGCGACAACACUGGAUUGGCAUGGAGUCUUCGCGAAAGAGGUAGAUGAUCAGAUUUUUUUGGGGCAUACGACGGUGGUGCAUGGACAUGUAAACGCUGUAACAAUGAGGAUUCGACGGGCCUUCGAGAGAUGGGACAGGUGGAGACAAGAAAGAGGCAAAUACAUCUUACUCAUAUGUUUGGAGGUAAUGUAUUUUAGAAGAAGAAAAUAAUAUGAAAGUGUUAACAUAAUAUAUAUUAAGAUGACAAAUACACGACGAAUUCAUAGGUUUUAAAGAUAAUAUAUUUGAACUCGUCUAUUUUGAAGAUAAUAUAUUUUAGAAAGAUAAAUCAAGAGAUAAUAUAUUUUAACUGUCAUAUUGUAAAGAUAAUAUAUUUUAAAAGGACAAAUCAAGAUAUUUUAACUUGUCAAACUGUUUUUCUUUUGGAUGACACACGUCAGAAAAUCAUGGGGCAUUAAAAAGUCAAAAAAAACAAGAAAAAUCGAAUCCUUCGGGCUCUAGAGUAUGACGAACUCACCUGUUUUAAAGAUAAUAUAUUUUAACUCAUUUGUUUUGAAGAUAGUGUAUUUUAGGAGGACAAAUCAAGAGAUAAUAUAUUUUAACUCACGUGUUGUUAAGAUAAUAUAUUUCAGAAGGACAAAUCAAGAUAUUUGAAUUUGUCAAACUAUUUUUUUCGGUGGACACGCGUCGGAAAACCGUGCAAUUAAAUUUGAACUACAAGGACACCCACAUUACCACCAUUUUCCAUGAAAUAAUUAAAUUUGGCCAAGAUGCAGAAAAAUAAAAGCUAUAAAACUUCCUUUGCAUCAAGAGUUUUGCAUGUAUCCUACUUGGAUGCAUCAGAUGCUACACUCGUCUUCUCACAAAGCCAUGAAGCUGUCCACGGGCUAAGGCGACCAAUGCUUUAAACAUGUCCACGGGCUAAGAGCUAGCCGGUGUUGUACCAUAUAACUUUUUUUUUUGCGAGACAACAUAGGGAUUUUAUUCCAUAUUGAUAGUGUUACAAUCAUCAACGACUAAACUACGGGUACAUGAAGGUGGACGCCCCAACCAGCAGGCUGUGCUAUCACCACAUCUACCAAAGUUCGCUAAACAAUGUGCAACCCUAUUCUGUUCUCGGAGAAUUUUGACAGGAACAAAAGCCCUAAUGUUCAUAUACUCCCUGAUAUCCGCCACCAAGUGUCCAUAAGCUGAUCUGUUGGGGGAAGCAUCGGCAAUCAUCUUGAUUGCCUCUGCACAGUCAGAUUGAAGGAUAAGUGUAGCUUGAGAAUGCUCUGUAGCUAGCUGGAGCCCUUCUUUGAUUGCAUGCAGCUCAGCUUCGAGGGCAUCAUUGCAAUGGACAACUCGCCAUCUGGAGUCCCUCCCGAUCCACGGCAACACCCCAGCUGAGAUCGAAGCAAGGAACGCCAUUGAGAUGUUGAAGACGGCGGUGGUCCAAAACGCGCAGUUCUCGCACAGCCCCGAACGGCUACACUCCACCCCCCAGGCGAGCUAUACCAGGGGUUGGCCGGAGGAUCAGCCAGCCGUAAACAGCGCCCCGCGUCACCUCCCGUGGGACAACCCGCCCGAGCAGGACCCGCCGGGCGGAGGUCCACCCAACACUCAAGAGGCUCAGACUCCUCCCGCGGGGACCGGGGGACGAGUUGGGGUGCCCUGCUUGUCCCUGGCCCUUCGAAACGAAAGAAUGCCCAAGGACUUCAAAGGACCAAGAAAGGUGCCUAAUUACACACCAGACCUAGAACCAACAUCUUGGAUCGAGGGCUAUGAGAUCGCCAUGGACAUGCUCGACGUAAACGAGGCGGUUUGCGCCAUAUACUUCACCAUGAUGCUCGAGGGAUCGGCACGCACUUGGUUGAAGAAUUUACCCCCCAAUUCUAUCCAGUCCUGGGCCGAGUUAAAGGAACGUUUCAUCAAAAACUUCCGGGGAACCUGCAAACGACCGAUGACAAUCGUCGACUUACAACACUGCGUGCAACGCCCGGACGAGUCGGCGCAUCAUUGGUCGCGGCGAGUCGCGGAAAUUAUCCAUUCAUCGGAUGACAUCACGGCAGCGCAAGCUGUGCUUAUCCUCAAGCACAACUGCCACUACGAACCCCUGGUCCAGAAGCUGGGGCGACUCAAACGGAAAGUUCAGGAUAUGGGCGAGCUGAUGGACACCCUCACUAGGUAUGCCGAAGCCGAUGAUACCAAGGAUCCCGGCGAGGAUGGUAAGGGUAACUCGCCCAAGAAGGGCGAUUCAACGAAUAAGCAUACCCGCCUCNNNNNNNNNNNNNNNNNNNNNNNNNNNNNNNNNNNNNNNNNNNNNNNNNNNNNNNNNNNNNNNNNNNNNNNNNNNNNNNNNNNNNNNNNNNNNNNNNNNNAACCGCAGGCCGAUACACUGACCAAGCGUGUCCGCAAACAUUUAGGAAGACGGAUUUGAUAAGUCGGUUUGUGGAUGCUCUAAUAGUCGCAUUAGAAACUUAAUUAGCAUGUGCCGGUUUUGUGUACCAUGAUAUAAAAUAGUGCACUAUAGCUUUAUUAUAGGUUUGUAGCGGAAAGCGCCUUUUGGCUCCCGAGCUCAUUUGAGCUCGGGUGAACAGUAAAAGCAAAAAACGUUUGAAUUUUUUUUAUUUUUUUUUGAUUUUUUUAGACCAACAUCAAAAGUUCUAAGUGCAUGCAAAAUUUUGGCAUGAAAUAACAUUUCUAUAAAAUAUGGCAAAAUAAACAAAAUCAAUACUGUGAAAAUGCGCAUUUUUAAAGUAUACAUUUUGUUUAUUUUGUCACGUCUUAUAGAAAUAUUAUCUAAUGCCAAAUUUUUGCAUGCACUUAGAACUUUUGACAAGGUUGGUCUAAAAAAAACUUAAAAUUUAUUAAACUUUUUUCAAACGUUUUUCGAUUUUACUGUUCACCCGAGCUCAAAUGACUUCGGGUGAAAAACUCCACGUCCGCUUUACAUUGUUUAUAAAAGUUGGGACUAUGAUCCAAACAUAAGAACAAACGUUUUAAAUAAUGUAUUGAGUAUCAUUAUAGCACGAUAUAGCGUUUCGAGAAGAUCCCUCGUUAAAAGGCAGAACGCACUAUUUGAAACAGUGGUGUGUACUGUUUAGCUAGAAAGCAGAGGAGAUGAGAAAAGUGAGGCAACGCAUGACAGAGAAGAGCGACAGAGAAAGGACAAGGCGGUGGCAAACAUACCGGUGGGAUGAGGCCAAAUACAUGGGACACACACAGCACUUGGGGGCGGGUUCGAUCUUUCUCUUCUCUCUCGUCCUGUUUUGGUUAUACUAGAAAAAAAAUCCGUGUGUUGCAACGGAAGAGAAAAUAAUACACGCUUUAAACGUAAUACAUUUUCACAUGGCAUCACAUUUGUGUUGUCGAUGAUGGUCUCAGCGCUCACACAACGAACACGUAUUUGAAUGUACAAUCACUCGGAAUAAGAUAAGAAAUAUGUUGUUUCUCCCCACGAGAUUUUCCAAAGAUGUGCAUGUGUGGUUAACGAUGUUUUCUUUUCUCUCAAUUUGGUUUUAAUUUAAUGGAUAUUUAUUGCAAUUCGUAUGGUCGUCGGAAAGAGAGAAAAAAAAGACCGUGCACUACAGAUUAAGUUUGCACCAAAAAUAAUAUUUAAGAAGUAUUCAACAGCUAAAAAUAACAUCCUAUUUAGAUNNNNNNNNNNNNNNNNNNNNNNNNNNNNNNNNNNNNNNNNNNNNNNNNNNNNNNNNNNNNNNNNNNNNNNNNNNNNNNNNNNNNNNNNNNNNNNNNNNNNNNNNNNNNNNNNNNNNNNNNNNNNNNNNNNNNNNNNNNNNNNNNNNNNNNNNNNNNNNNNNNNNNNNNNNNNNNNNNNNNNNNNNNNNNNNNNNNNNNNNNNNNNNNNNNNGAAAAGUCAGGUUUUUUUUGUUAAAAUAAAAAAACGUUUACACUCCAUAUAGCACACCCCAUAUUUUUUGGAAAAAUCAUUUACACUCCGACAAAGCAGUGUUUUGCGAGAGGAAAUGGUGCACUGCAGAAUAGAGCCCGAAUAUGAAACUAUAUAAUUUGAAAAAAAGUUGCACGGAAGAUAUUACAACCACAGUGAUCAUUCAUAGUUCAUCACAUAUUAUAUGAUCAUACAUACUACAUUCUAUUCCACACAACUACUAGAGGGGGGUCGAGCUAACAUAACCCUACCGGAGCUCACCAGAGCUAAUAACUACCCUAUUGGACUAUGCAAAAUUGAGCUCACCGGAGCUUGUGUGGAAGUUGUCCAGCGGCAAUGCUCAGUCGUCGUCGUUGUCGUCGGAGGAGCAGAGGUCGACGUAGAUGCGCUUCUGCGGAGUGGCUUCGCGGCGCCACUCCUCCAUCUUGUCGCCGAAGGCGAGGGCCGACGCGAAACCCUAUACUCGUAGACCACGGUGUCGAUCUCCUUGUCCCACCGGCGGCGCUGCCAGUCCUCUUCCGCCUCCCGCGCGCUGCAUGCUAGCAGCACGAGGAAAAGGGUGUCCGCCUCCGUCGAGGGGAAGGAAGUCCUCCGGCCCAACGACGCCCCUGCCUCGGCGUCCGGCUGCAUCUUCACCGAAGGGAGCUCCUCUAGCUCCCUCUUCACCGAAGGGAGCUCCUCUAGCUCCCUCUUCCCCGGGGGGAGGGAGGAGCGCGAGUGUGAGAUCAACGCCUCGGAGGAGCUGACAGAGAAGAGGCGGCCACACAACGGUCGUACUCCCCUGUCUCACGGCGGANNNNNNNNNNNNNNNNNNNNNNNNNNNNNNNNNNNNNNNNNNNNNNNNNNNNNNNNNNNNNNNNNNNNNNNNNNNNNNNNNNNNNNNNNNNNNNNNNNNNNNNNNNNNNNNNNNNNNNNNNNNNNNNNNNNNNNNNNNNNNNNNNNNNNNNNNNNNNNNNNNNGCGCCGCGUCGGAUCUGACGCGACGCGCUAUCUCGAGGUCAUCGUUGCCACGGCCACAGGAGUUUGCCAUCUCGGGCGGUGGAUUGGAGGGGCGACGACGGAUUGGAGGCGCGCGCGGCAAAUCUAAGGCGCCGACGAUGAGGGGUGGGGAUUUUUCACAGCGGCGAAGGGAUAUGUUUUGGACCUGUAUCCAGCAGCCGAACCCGCGGAUAUAGUGGUUGCGGGUUCUCGUUUGCGGGCCACCGCAAAAAAAUUACGGGUCGGACCUCGUUUACGAUGUUUGUUCUCGGAGAUAAAAUAGCCCAAACCCGUAUAAUCGCCGGAAUUUUGCAGUUCUGAUUUAUUAUACGGGGUCUAUUAGAGAUGUUGUAAGAGCAUCUUUAGAGCAUCUCUAGCAGACCCCGCAUCCGCUGCCCUCUUCCGCCGAGCCGCUGCACCGGCUCCCCCNNNNNNNNNNNNNNNNNNNNNNNNNNNNNNNNNNNNNNNNNNNNNNNNNNNNNNNNNNNNNNNNNNNNNNNNNNNNNNNNNNNNNNNNNNNNNNNNNNNNNNNNNNNNNNNUCAAUCCACGACGGUGAGAGAGGCACCGCCGAAGAUAGACUUGAACUUGUGCGAGAAGUUUUUGCUCGAGGAUUCAUCGGAUUCGGAUGACUAGGAUGUUGAGACAUUGCUUCUCACAUUUCGCCGGCAGAGUUUGGUCAUGGCCCCUGCCGUGAAGGAGCACAAAGACGAGCACCGAAAGAGGCGGCAUGGAUCGACUGUCGAUCGUCUUUGCUUUCCUCGAAAUCGCCAUCUCGGCAACGAGAUGCUGAUGCGAGACUACUUCACCGCCAAUAAAACCUACCCGUCGCACUUUUUCCGGAGAUGGUACCGUAUGCUAAGAUCCCUUUUGUUAAAAUUGUUGAAGCUUGCGAGGCCAAUUUUUGAUAUUUCACUCCAAGAAGGAAUGCCGCGGGCUUGAUGGGAUUUAGUGCAUAUCAGAAAAUCUCGGCAACUAUGCGGGUAAUUUCAUACGGCGUUCCGACUGACUAUACCGAUGAAUACCUUCGCAUUGGGGAAGAUAGUACAAUUGAGUUAGUGCGUAGGUUUGCCAAAGUAAUUAUCCGUGUCUUCGGUCCUGAAUAUCUUCGGGCACCGAACGAAGAAGUCACAAAAAAAUUGAUGGCAUUUAACGAAAGAAGAGGUUGGCCUCGCAUUGCUAGGAAGCAUAGAUUGUAUGCAUUGGACUUGGAAAAAUUGCCCAAAAGCAUGAAGGGAAUGUAUUGUGGCAAGUCUCAUAAUGCAACAAUUGUGCUAGAGGCCAUAGCUUCACAUGAUUUAUGGAUUUGGCAUUCCUUUUUUGGUAUGCCGGGUACUCUAAAUGAUAUUAAUGUGUUGCAACGGUCUCAUUUUCUUGCUAGUGGUGAUGCUCCAGCUUGCAACUACACUAUCAAUGGGCAUAAAUACACAAAAAGAUACUAUCUUACCGAUGGUAUAUAUCCUUCUUGGGCACAUUUGUGAAGAGCAUCAAAGACCCCCAAAGUACGAAAGAGUCUGAAUUCGCAAGGGCAUAAGAGGCAGUCCAGAAAGACAAUGAACGAGCAUUUGGCGUUUUGCAAUCUAGGUUUGCCAUUGUUCGUGUUACUCCUCGGUUUUGGGACAAGUGAUCCUUGAAAAACAUCAUGACAUGUUGUGUUAUUUUUUCACAAUAUGAUUCCCGAAGAUGACAGAGGCAUGAACUUGGAGUUCUUCUAUGAUAAUGUGGGCAGCCGUGUCAAAGCAGCUAGAGACCUUAACCGAAUUAGAGCUUUUUUCACACCUACAAGGCGAUUGAAAAUGCAAACACCCAGUGUCAACUUCAAAAGAUCUCAUUGAGCAGCAUUGGCAAACGACUAGGCAGUAACAUAUUCCAUUUUUCCAUUCAUUUUCAUUCCUGUGUGAUUUGUAUACGGGACAAGUUUUAUAUUCAUGUGUGACAUUCAUUUAGUUUGAUACGGCGAUUAAAAUAAUUAUUCUACUUUGGAUGAUUACUGUAUUUUUAAUAUUAACAUUUUACUUAUAUUACACAUGAUGAGUAAUUCUGAUUUAUGAGGUAUUCGGUUUACGGGGUCGAUGCGGUGUCGCUAGAACAGACCCUGCAUUGCUGACCCGUAAAAAAACAUCUUAUCUAAAUAUCAUUUUUAUGAGUCUAUAUUAUACCCGCACUGGCGCGCAAAAUCCUUUUUUUGUAAACUGAAACGACUUUUGCAAGUUGACUAUUUAGAGAUGCUCUAAGUGUCCCCCAGCCUUCACAGAACGAAGACUACACAUUCGUUUCCGUUGGCCGUGACCUCGCGACAGCGACGACCGGCCGUCUCCGGACAGCCAGGCCAGCUGGCACGAGCAGAUCGACGGCAGCGGAUGGCACCGGGGCCGAUCCUGGCCAUCCGUCCCGCACGUGGUAGCCAGGGACGGGAAGACGGCGACGUACGGCGGCGAAACCAUGCCCCUGACUGCCUUCCCGGUAAAAGACGUGUCGAGUGCAACAAGCAGCAACGUCUCCGUCUAAAGGAGAGAAAAAAAAAUAGAAUUCUACUGUACUGUAGAAUACAUGCAUGCACUCGAUAAACCCUAAAAAUUACCACCGUUUAAACGAAUAAAUGUUCAUAGUAGAUGAGAUGGAGGAGAGGACGCUACUUAUUUUAACGAGACGGUGAUGACCUGGUCCGCCUGGACUUCUGUAUAUGCGUGGCAACAAGUCUCCACGCCAGCACGUUGACGUGGUCCGUUGAGGGGGUCGGGGAGCGAGCCAUGCGCACGUACGUCACCGCUUAGGGGGGCGUCCUAUACGCCACGCUGGCGCGGCGGCAGAUCACCUACGGCUGGGAUGUGCCCGCGUGUCGCGACGGACGGAUGGAUGCCGCGGGGUUCAAGGGUUUUGCUUCCACACGACCCGUCGCACUGUCCAGCCGGGCGCGUUUGACAUUCCUCGGAAAAUAUGUGCUGCUCCGCCCACGUAGACCUGCUCUCCUCUCGUACGUACAAUUGGUCCUACUCCCACUAGAUAAUUCUAGUAGUAUAUGGUAAACGCAAUGGUUAAUCUGACACAUGGGUAAAAAGUCUAUGCCCAACCUCUGUUUAAUUUAUUUAUUUUGCGAGAACCUUUGAUUAAUUUCGUGGAGGCAUGGUAGUGAAGCACCUCUUUGUGGGCGGUUAACUUAAUUAGAGAGCAUGGUUUCACUUGCUAUGAUAAUCUAAAUAUUUGUCUCAUCUUUGAAGAACUUAAUUACUGGAGCGUGAGCAUAAUAUUUCAAGAGGGAGUUGUGACUCGAAUGAAAACAAAUUCAAAAGGAAGGAGGAGCUAUUCUCUGAUUCAAACACCACUCGCAUCUAUUCCCUUUGUCUCAAAAAAAGUGUUUUAAGCUUAGUUGAAUUUAUAUUAGAGCUGGUUCAAAAUUGAGACAGUUAUUUUAAGACGGAUGGAGUAUAAUACAACAUAUUAUACGAUGGAGUGCAACUGUUAAGGAGGGGCCAUGGCCGUGUUGGCCUGCACUAAGCUCCGCAGCUCAUAGGUUUGUCACUGAUUCCCGUUAGUUCUAGACUAGACUACUAUAAAUGGAAGGUGUGUAUGUGUGAGUCAUUGUGAAUGGAAUAUGUUGAAAAUACUAGUAACACGAGCUUCCGAAGAUGAUGUUUGAGCAAAGCAUGCAUUCAUGUUGGUGUGACAUCAGUUUUUUUUAGGAGAGGGACAUGCAUUUCUUUUUCGAUAAAGGAACAACAUCGCGCCAUUUAUUGCUAAAGUUGGUCGUACCGGAAAGCUCAUAUUCGGAUAUAACAAAAUCUGGAUAUAACAGUUGUUAGCACAUAUCGAGAACAAGCAAUUCCUAAAUGUACCGAGUCCCAUCCACUGGACCUCCACAUACGAUACACAAAUAACACACCCCAAAGUUUUAGUUAAACACAUAAGACAACCACAAGUAUGUCAUCAUUAGUAAAACCAUCACUUUGUGUGCUCGUCAUAAAAACAGUGAACACAGCGUUAAAUUUGAUAAAAACCACUAGAACAAGUACAAUAAGGUACAGUCAGCAGGUUGUAAGGAUUAAAAUACUAUAUUUCUGCUGAGUUGGAUGAGAGAGAAGUGAAGAGCCCGCUCUAGCACGUGCUCCUAGAUGCUUUGUGAGAAUGAAAGGUGGGCCAUAUAUGAUAAAAAUAGUACUCUUUUAUAGCUAACUAUUGUACAAGCUAGCUAUAAGAUGGGCUAUAAGAAUGCUUAUAGCCAGCAGUUGGCUAUACUAUUAACCAUGCUCUAAAGGCCACUUACCCCGUCCCUGUACCUUCAAACUGGUGGGACAUAUCAUUUCUGUUCCGACGAACUAACCUCGUCAGAAGUCGAUGGGAGCCAUCGGUCAAAGAUUUUCCGUUUUUAGGCGAAAAAGCAUGAGCGCUACUUUCAUUAUGUGAAGGGGGGAUAAAUGACAUAGCCUAACACGAAAAAGAAAUUACCUGGCUAAUCCUGGAAGCACUAGCAUCUGUGAGUAGACGCUCACGGCGGUUUCCACCCCGGUCAGUUUUCAUGAAACGUAAUAGAACGUAGAUUCACUCAUUUUGUUACAUUUAUAGUCCGUAUUGAAAUAUAAAAAAAUUAUACUUAUGAGCGGAUGGGAUAGAACGGAAGGGAAAAUCUUAAUAUGACAGCCGGAAACAGCAAGCCCAUUGAGACAAAAGGCAAUACAAGAUAAAUGUAUACCGUAAAAUGUAUAUAAAAGAGGAUGCUUACGUUUGGACGCUGGGUUUGGAGACAAGCAUUCAUGGAGCAUCAUUGUUUUUGCAGGAUUGGAGCAUCAUUGUUUAUGGCUCCUUGGAUGGUUGUGGCCGUUAGUUAGCUCGAGCAUUUGGCAGUUGUGCAACGGUUUAUGCUGGUUCCAUAUUUGUCUAGCUAGGGGAAUCGAAACCACUAGUGUAUAUAACCAAACGGAACGGGAGGGAACGAGACAAGGGAGAAAGAUCACAGGCAAUGCACAGUUGCACACCCCGUGUCCGUGUACCGGAGUGCUGUGUGUGUCCCAUGCAUUUGGCCUCCAUCCAUUCCCAUCAGAUGGGAUGUUGCACCAGCUCGUCCUUUCCGGGUCACUCUUCCCUGUCAUGCCUUGCACCUCACGCUCAGAGUCUCCCAUUCAUUUUCCUUUCUUCUUUCAAACAGAGGCUCCCGUAUUUCCGUCUCCUCUGUUUAGAGCAUCUACAAACGUACUUAUCAAAUAUGAUCCUUUAGAGCAACUCCACUCGGCUCCCGUUCGUUUUGGUCGACGGAGACAAAAAUGAAGGCACAAGGCACCGACUCAAACCAAAAACGUGUCCGCGCGGAUCCAUUUUGUAUUCAUAAUUGCACUCGAAAUACCUCGGCACGGACGCGACGCGCGCCUUCUCAUGUCCGCGCUCGCCCACACGUGGUAUCCGGUCAAAGCCGGCGUCAUCUUUAUUAACGACGACUGCCCAUCGCGUAUGCAUGCGUCAGCAACCCAGAAACGUCCUUUUUUAUUCGAACGUGUCGGGGGGGGGGNNNNNNNNNNNNNNNNNNNNNNNNNNNNNNNNNNNNNNNNNNNNNNNNNNNNNNNNNNNNNNNNNNNNNNNNNNNNNNNNNNNNNNNNNNNNNNNNNNNNNNNNNNNNNNNNNNNNNNNNNNNNNNNNNNNNNNNNNNNNNNNNNNNNNNNNUCCCCCGUCGACGACAAACCCUAGCCAUCACCAUAACGGAGUUCUUUUUUGCGAAAGACAAGGACAAGUCCCCCGCCGUCCCUGUCCGCGCGCCGGCGUCUUUCCGUCCACCUCACCAGUGGGUCAGCGUGCCAGUGCAUCAGGCGAGGUGGCUCUGGGAGCACCACGUCCCCCUCCCCUACCCUGAUAUCACACUGCCACACGACUGGCACUUGGGUCCGAGAGAGGAACCCAUUGCCAGCGGUGCCACAGUUGGCGCAGGCGCAUGUGGAGGAGGUGAGGCGUCGGUGGGAACAGCUGACGCCAGAGAAGCGGUGCAACUCCUUCUACGCCGCGGACUCCCCCAACUGGUAUGCCCGGUUCGCGUGGGAGCACGAGGAGCAGCGCCGGCGUGGCAUCCACGACGUGGUGGCUGGACUGUCGCCACCCUUCGUCAUGGCGAAGAGGACCAGGAUACGGAGGCAGCGUACCAGAGUGUGUUGGUGGCCGUCCUACGUGCGAGCGAGGAGGAGGAGGCCUACGAGAAGCAGCUAGCGGAGGCCAUUUCCCUCNNNNNNNNNNNNNNNNNNNNNNNNNNNNNNNNNNNNNNNNNNNNNNNNNNNNNNNNNNNNNNNNNNNNNNNNNNNNNNNNNNNNNNNNNNNNNNNNNNNNNNNNNNNNNNNNNNNNNNNNNNNNNNNNNNNNNNNNNNNNNNNNNNNNNNNNNNNNNNNNNNNNNNNNNNNNNNNNNNNGCACGGGGUGGUGCACGAGUAGGUCAGCGCGCCACCCGUCUGAUUGGGUGCGACGCCGGAGCAGGAGGCGUCCUACGUGGAGCACUGGCGAAGCGGCAGGUGUUAGAGGAGGGCGUAAAGGCCCGACGGAUCGAGCUCAUGGAGCGCAAGGUCGAAGCUGAGGAUGAGGAGCGACACGCUGCCCAGCGAGCGCCGGUGCAACCACCGGCGGACGACGUCGCUGUCGACUACGAGACGUCGAUCCCCUAGGUUGGGCCGGUGCCAACACUCGUCGACCUCAUAGGACCUGACGACGAGGAUGAGGAGGACGGCUAGGACAGUGCCCCUCCUCGUUUUUAGUUUAUAAAUUUUUAUGUUUUAAAUGUAAUGUUGACUAUCGCCGGCCUUCGAGGCUGGUUUAAAUGUUUAAUUAAUGGUUUCAUAUUUUUCAAAAUGUUUCUUUUCGCGCCGUCUAAAAUGUGUCGUUGGCCGCGUUGGGCGUAAGCGCCGACCGAAUUGCAAAAGCGGACACAAAUGUUCGCAAACCGACCCAAACGAACAAAAUACGGACAAAAGUGAUGUCCGUUUGGAUCAACGCGUUGGAGUUGCUUUUAUAUGCCCGCGGGCGUGUCCAGUCAGUGAGCAGACGUGUCUGUUUUAAGCCUCUACCUUUUUUGUGCGUGCAAUGGUCAUUCUCAUAUAUUUUUUAUACGUACGGUCAUUUGCACGUGACUAAUGCAAAAUAAAAUAAAAUAAUAAUAAAUAAAGAGAAAAGAUGGUCUAGAAUGGGAUAGUUGUAACGACGAAGAUGCGGUACUUUCCGAUCUGGGGUCGAGGCCCCCGAAUAGGAAAGAAGCGCAUCUAAGCUUUUCGAAAGAGAGUAACAUAGCACAAAUAAUAUUACAAGUAGACAAUUCGGGAUUCAACUGUCUUCUUAAUAAUAACUCAGAGUAUAUCACAGAUACAAACAAGGUAGUUCCGCUACGGACUACAAAACAUGGAAAAGCUAUGCUACCCGGCCUGCAGGCCCUCGAUCACGACCACGCCUCAGUCCUCUGGAUAGUUCACGUAGAGGCGGUCUGUCUCCUCGUCGUACUGCCACGCCAGCUGGGUGCCGUCGGGAUCAACUGUCUCUGGGGUACCUGUACCUGUUGGGAGUUUCGGAGGAAUCCGUGAGCCACGGGGACUCAGCAAUCUAAGACCUUGGUGCCAGAACUAGUCAUGUUAUUAGGUAGGGUUAGGGUGAAGUGUAUGAGGCUGCAACAUCCUAAGCUUGCAUGCCUGCAGGUCGACUCNNNNNNNNNNNNNNNNNNNNNNNNNNNNNNNNNNNNNNNNNNNNNNNNNNNNNNNNNNNNNNNNNNNNNNNNNNNNNNNNNNNNNNNNNNNNNNNNNNNNGAGAGAAAGAGAGAGAGAGAGAGAGAGAGGAGCCUUUUGAAGAAAGGAAAAUCAAAUGCUCCCCGCGAAAAUGAGUCCCGUCACGAGCCCCUGCCGACGUGGUGGUAGUCGAAGCGCCGCCCUGCCGAUUCGUCGGUAACCGAAGCGGCAUCCGAUUGAAUCCGGAUUAGUAGACGUAGAAAUGCAUUCUGGAAAAACAGAAACAACUUUGAAAGAAAAGGAAUUAUCACCUUGGACACCUUUUUACUACUCAACAAUCUAUUUUCAUUUUUGCGUAAUUUAUUAUUCAAUUCUUUUUGGUUGGCAUUGUUCAUCCGUGGACUAGAGCGGGGACGGCGUGGAUGUCCGUCCAUCUAUGGUCCGAUGGCCAGGUGGCGGCCCGAUCAGAAACGGACGGGCCAGAUGGAUCCCGGCCAUCCUCUCCCCCACCGCAUGCACCCCACCCCCAUCCCACCACACCACACCACUUGCAACCCCCCACCCCCAGCGGCCACCGCUUCNNNNNNNNNNNNNNNNNNNNNNNNNNNNNNNNNNNNNNNNNNNNNNNNNNNNNNNNNNNNNNNNNNNNNNNNNNNNNNNNNNNNNNNNNNNNNNNNNNNNGGAGGAUGACCCCAGGAGCCUCCAGGACUCGACGCAAAUUCUCGAGAGCUGUGGCUACAAAGGUACUCGACAACCAUAUGGGAUCUCCUAGCGCUCAGUGUUGCAUGUCUUCUCUGCCUGUUCUUGGAAGAUCUGGACCCGCUUGUAACGUACGUGUUUGUGUCGUGCAGUGACGGCGAUUGCGUCGCCGAUAGAAGCACUGAGAGAGGUGGAGAAUGAUCGAAAAGGUGUCGACAUUGACAUCAUCAUGACAGUCGUGCAUGUCGGCGACAAAGGGGCAGGAUUUCAUGGCUUCGACCUCCUCGAGCGCGUCCGGGAUCGUUAUCUGGUCAUCAGUGAGUCCUCGACAUGUCGCACAUAUUUACAUGCAUGCAUGGCUACUGUUAGGUCAGUAGCGAUACAUACAGAUAUAGAUCUGAAAAUCCUGGAUGUGUUUGUGUAGUCUUCUCUACUGAUUAUAGCAAGAAGAUGGUGAUGAGGACAAUCAACGAUGGUGCUUGCUGCUUCAUCGCAAAGCCUCUGUGCUACCAGGAGAUGAGAAAUAUCUGGUUCCAUGUCAUGUAGAGGGGAAUGGAAGUGGACGGCGCAGACGAGGGGGGCUCCGACGACAACCAGCAGGGCUUCAAUGAAACACAAGGUGCGUCAGAUAUGUUUCUAAGGGAUGGCCAACCACCUUUCCCAUCUCCACCAUGUUUGGCUGUUUGUGGUGGCUGCAUAAUACAUGAUAUAUGUUCGAUUUCUACUCGAUUAAUUAGUUUCUUAGUAAUCGUUCAAGAUUUCACUUGUAAGACUAACUCCAACGGGCCGACUCAAACGAACGGUGAUUUUGUCUGUUUUUUGUUCGUUUGUCCGUUUGGGUCGGCCGUCCGCCCGGCGUCCGUCUUGUUUUAGAUUUGGGUCGGCACUGCGUCCAACACACCGAGCCAUAUGUGCCGGCGUGGCCUUUUUGUGUCGAGAUGGACCGAGCCNNNNNNNNNNNNNNNNNNNNNNNNNNNNNNNNNNNNNNNNNNNNNNNNNNNNNNNNNNNNNNNNNNNNNNNNNNNNNNNNNNNNNNNNNNNNNNNNNNNNNNNNNNNNNNNNNNNNNNNNNNNNNNNNNNNNNNNNNNNNNNNNNNNNNNNNNNNNNNNNNNNNNNNNNNNNNNNNNNNNNNNNNNNNNNNNNNNNNNCCGGAUUUUCCUAUUUACCCAUUUUGCAUCAAGUCACCACUACUUCAGAAAGGGAGCGACCGACUAGAUGAACUGUUUGUAAGAGAGGACCUUUUUUGUGACCCUUCUAGAAGGUUCCUAAUUGGUUCUUUCAUUUUCCUUUUUUUUUAUCAUUUUCUAUAAAAAAAUUAAAAAAUCAAAAUAGUUCAGAAAUUGCAAAACAUGUUUGCUUUUUCAAAAAAUGUUCGGAAAUUAAAAAUAUUUUGAGUUUACAAAAAAGCUUUAUGACUUCAUAAAUUGUUCCCAUUUUAAAAAAAUGCUUACAUUUUCCGAAAGUUCAUGUUUCAAAAAAUGUUUGUGCUUAACCAAGUUUGAAAAAAGAGCGAUUAAAUUUAAUUUUUAUAUUAUUGAAGAAAAUGUUCGUGGAUUUUGAAAAAAAUCACACUUUCCUAAAAUAGACUCCCUCAUUUUUAACUGGUGAAAAAUAAUAUUGGUAAAACAAAACAAUAGCUGCUAUAGUAACAUGCUAGUGCAGUGAACCGCACACUACAAUGAACCUCUUGCUACAAUAUGCUCGGUGAAGUGACUGUCAAGGGGGCAGCCCAAUCAGGCUUGCCUGUGCGUCGCAUGCUCUCUUGGGCAUAAAACACCCCCAAUGAGAGAUCUCACUUCAUAGUGCUUUACCUCUUUUCUGAGGCAGGGGCUAGGUGCCUAGAUUAAAACCCAUGGCAACCCAAACUCUUCAUGUAUGGUCUGGCUUUCCAAAACCUUGCUCCAACGGAUAUUUUGGACGGUACUGCCAUCCCAUGGACCUUCAUUCUUCUGGGAAAUCAUAGGGAAAAUUGUCUUCGUUGGUACCAGAAGUGAAAGCAUCACCGUUCUCUAUAGCAUGCAUGCACAAACCACUCAGAUUUAUUUGAACGGUCUUGCUUGUUCCGCUAGUUUACUACUAGUGCUUCCAAGCCUAGUUCAUUUUAUAGUAACAUUCAGAUUCGGGAUCUUCUCUAUAAAUAACCUCUAGUACACAUAUGUGGCUACAACCAUUUCGUUCCACCUUUAAUCAUUUCNNNNNNNNNNAUCUCACAUCGCUUCUGCUGUAUGAUCUACAAGGGUACGUAGAUCACUCAUCCCCUCUCGUAGAUGGACAUCACCAUGAUAGGUCUUCGUGCGCGUAGGAAUUUUUUUGUUUCCCAUGCGACGUUCCCCAACAAAAACACCCCCAAUAAGAGAUCUCACUUCAUAGUGUUUUACCUAUUUUCUGAGGCAGGGGCUAGGUGCCUAGAUUAAAACCCAUGGCAACCCAAACUCUUCAUGUACGGUCUCACUUUCCAAAACCUUGCUCCAGCGGAUAUUUUGGACGGUACUGCCAUCCCAUGGACCUUCAUUCUUCAGGGAAAUCAUAGGGAAAAUUGUCGUCGUUGCUACCAGAAGUGAAGGCGUCACCGUUCUCUAUAGCAUGCAUGCACAAACCACUCAGAUUUAUUUGANNNNNNNNNNAGUCUUGGUUGUUCCGCUAGUUUACUACUAGUGCUUCCAAGCCUAGUUAAUUUUAUAGUAACAUUCAGAUUCGGGAUCUUCUCUAUAAAUAAUCUCCAGUACACAUAUGUGGCUACAACCAUUUCGUUCCACCUUUAAUCAUUUCACUCACUCAUUCCACCAUUUACAAGUCACUUCUCUCAAUCCCACCACAUCCACUAAUCACACGAGGAAGAGACAUCCAAGGAAGGCCAAUAAGAAAUGAAGUGUUGGGUGAUUCCAUGUUUACUUCUUNNNNNNNNNNUGCUCAAUCCCACUACGUCCACUAAUCACACGAGGAAGAGACAUCCAACGAAGGCCAAUAAGAAAUGAAGUGUUGGGUGAUUCCAUGUUUACUUCUUCAAUUCUUUCAAAGCCACGAACUCCCCUUUAUUGAAUACCUACACCUCUAGUUCAUUUCCUUCACCAUAAUCGUAUUCCUAUGAAAGAGUGAUCACUUAGAUUCUUGAGAGAAGCUUUGAUUGAAGAUCAUUCAAGUAGUUCUUAUCAAGUACUUUGCUUUGCUUGUUACUCUUGGAUGUUGAGCAUAUUCUAGACAGUUAGGAGUAGUCACUCCAGAUCAUAUCAUGUUGUAUGGGCUUGUGCACAACCCACUUUGUGAAGAUCUACACUUAGCGACGCAUCUAAGUUCAACACNNNNNNNNNNGGUUAGGAGUCACUCCAGAUCAUAUCAUAUUGUAUGUGUGAAGGACUCAAGAGUUUCUAUGGGCUUGUGCAUCACCCACUUUGUGAAGAUCUACACUUAGCGACGCAUCUAAGUUCAACACAUGAUGGAAUAUGUGAUUCAUAGGUUGCUUGGUUGGCAUCACAAUCGGGGUCAUUGUGAUCCUAGAACCCUUGGUUUGAAGCAUCCAUUAAUUUGGACGUAUGAUAGCGUGCACUACAUGAGCCACGGUGAAAGGAUCGAUAUUGACUAGAGGGGGCAGGUGAAUGGGAGACUAAAAUUUUAAGCUUAAUUGCCAAUUUUUAAGCCUCCUUUGAUUCAUAGGACAGGAAUAUCAUAUGAAUAGGGAAAUCAUUGGAAGUGAGAUGACAUGUAUCUCAAUUACUAUAGAGAAAUAUAUGUCAUUGGAUGCAUAGGAUGUGAAUUCUUUCAUUGAGUCUAAACUAAAAAAAACCUUUGAAAUUUGAAAGAUUGGUUCCUAUGGAUAGUAAUAGGAAUCCAUUUCAACAAACCAAAGGGAUAUAAAGGACUGUUUCCUUUGAAAAUUCUAUCAUAUAUAAUUUCUACAAUAUUCAAACAAACCAAAGGAGGCCUUAGAGAUUUACGUAUAAAGUAAGUUCUCUAUAUAUGCAACUAGGUGGACUCAACAUAAAUGGUAAGAAAUCUCAAGGCAAUGUACACUAGGGAGCCAUAUAAUUAACAAGCCCACGAGAAUACAAGGCAAAGUACCGUGGGGAAAGGAAUACCCAUAAGUGAGUCGCAGGCACACAUUUUAUCCCAAAGUUCACACUACCUUGGGAAGUGCUAAUCUCCGUUGGAGUGAUGUCGGUGACAAGGCUCCGGAACACCAUCAAAUGGCCUACCGUAAUCUCCUCAAGUCACCCCCAAUGGAUGUGCCUCGAAUCACUUGGUGUUAGUCUUGAGAGCGACCAACACACCUUUACUUAUGUAUCUGGAGCACACAACAGGUAACGAAGCUUCCGGAGGAACCCUAUACAUCUAGGAGCCCAAGCUCCAUGAGUAACAUAUUGAUUGUGAAGAAAUCUUGUCGGGGACAUGAAUCGGUUUGGUCAACUUGUAGAUCGGACCCUGCUCCCUCAGUUCCCAAAGUAUCAACAAUUUGGUGGGAGAGACAAAUAUAUAUGAGAAAUAUGAGGAGUUGGAAAUGGUGGAUGAUGUCAAAGAAAAAUGAUAGGGUUGGAGUUAGACGAAGGUGCCAGUAUAUAUUGUUGCUGACUAUGAACCCUUUUCCAGACAUCUGACCCCAUGCGAAAGGGGUGUGAAGAGAGUUAAGUGAUACCCUGUGUGCACAUGGUCCAGGACCUCGUGCACACGGGGUGUCCAUAGAGUUGAUCACUGAACCUUGUGCACGAGGUGACCAGAUACUUUGUGCACACUCUCAUGACACACUGAGGAUGAGAACAUGAUGGAUGGAAGGAUCUUUUUUGGUGGUAGAUGUAGGACGGCAAGAGUAUAAGUUUUUGGUGUNNNNNNNNNNCAACCAUCUUGAUAGUGCGGUUUUCCUACGACUCAAAUAAAUCGAAGCAAAAGCUUUGAGUAGCCGGAAAACCACAUGUUUGAUCUUUUUUGAAGUGUGUGUUUGUGUGUGACUCGGGAGGGGGUGAACCCUCUCCACAAUAAUUGUCCGACAAACCAUUUACCUGAGAUUAAGCUUAAAAACUAUAAUUAGGUCCACUAGCAAUAUUUUCAUUACAUUAAAAUACCAUUUAGAGGCAUUGUCACACAGGAAACAUCCUUGCAGCAUGAGUGUUUUGCUUUCCUAAACCCUACCUACUACUUAUUUGCAACUUGUCAUUUUUGGCCGCUCAUUACUCUUACUUGCUAGAUAAGUAUUUGUUCCUAUAUUGUUCUUCUUGUCUUGUGCUAAAAACUGCAAACCCUAAAUCAGAACAAUUAUUUUAUAGGACUAUUCAUCUUUCUAGUUCUUAGAUUGUGAUCCGAACAUCAUCCUUAUCAGCUAGCAAGUGGAGCANNNNNNNNNNUUGCUUGUAUUGUUCUUCUUGUCUUGUGCUAAAAACUGCAAACCUUAAAUCAGAACAAUUAUUUUAUAGGACUAUUCACCUUUCUAGUCCUUAGAUUGUGAUCCGAACAUCAUCCUUAUCAGCUAGCAAGUGGAGCAAGCGUUGGUCGUCGCCAUAGACGCUGAAGUGAGCUCAACAUCAACAAUGCUAUCCCGGUGACCGAGGUUUUUCACCCAAGUUGCACACGUAAUACGUUGGUGCGCAAGAAGCACCAUCUUGACAUCGGGUUAAUUAAUGACCGGUCGUAGUCAUCAACCCAUGGAUAAGAAACCUGAGGGCUUCUUCGAGACGAUGACACAUGCACCACGACACUCACCACUGGCAACUACUCUAUCCAAACAAUGGAAGCGUGUAUGCCAACGCUGAGGGGCAACACAACAAGGAAUGAAACAGUGACUGCACAGGAUAAAACUGUCACUCGGAUCANNNNNNNNNNUGUGUAUGUCAACACUGAGGGGCAACACAGCAAGGAAUGAAACAGUGACUGCACAGGAUAAAACUGUCACUCGGAUCACGACUAUCCCACUAGAAACUCGUGUAAACGUAGCAAUACUAGAAUUCAUAGACACUAGUCAUCAACCCGUGCACCUACACGGGCUAGUUCAUAGACAUGGUGCUCCCAACUACACUAGUCAUUAACAAUAUGUCCAGCCCUAGUUUCCUUGGUCAGGCAACUUCUCUCCAUGGUGGGCGACUUUUCAUCUGAAACAACGAGGUGAUGCUUGGAUGCUGCCCAUUUCCGACGGUGCCUCCAUCCCUCAACCAAGCACUCCAUCCCAAUCCUAGUGGUGCUAUACUUCCAUCCCGCAUACUCCAUCGUAGGAUCAAUACUCCAUGAUCAAAAUCCCAAUAAGUCAUUUCUCAGUUCAGCCCAACUCCACCGAGCCACCUCUGACAUUGUUAAGAAUGAAAGUAUCUUCGACAAUUAUUAUUCACCAUCAAUGCACAAUUCCCAUAGUGUUGUAGUUGGAAAUGGUUCGAGGCUCCCCAUCACAACUACUAGAUCCACUUCUCUUGCUUCUUGUUCCUUUUAUCCCAACAAUGUUUUAGUUUCCCACCUACUAUCAAGAACUUAAUAUUUGUUCAUAAUGUUAUUGUGAUAUUAUUUUUCAUCUAAAUCUGAUCCCUAUUGUUCCUCUUUCAAGGACCUAGAAACAAUGAGAAUCCUCCAGAGAUCAAAUAGCUCAGGCGACCUCUACAACUUCUGCUUGAUGAAUAAAAGUUGCACGAGAGCUUGUUGUACAACUAGCUUCGGCGAUUUGGGGCAACGGAGUCUUGGGGAUCAGCUGGGCCGAGCUUCCUUUUUCUAUAAUAGCUACAAAUUUUCUUCCAUCAUGUAAUAGAACAAUUCUGCAAUCUCCUGUUUGUGAUUCUUGCUAAAUUGGACAACAACAAUGCUUGCCUUUUUAUCCAUCCCAUUAUUUUACUACCGCUCGUUCCAAAUAAUACACCCUCAUUUGUGGACUUCUCCUAUUUUAGUUUUUCGAGUUAUAAAUUUUAUGUCAUUAUUCUUGAUGAGUACUCACACUAUUCCGGAACUUCUCCAUUACAUAACAAGUCUGUCAUCGGUAUUACUUUGCAACACUUUUACAGCCUUGUGCUUAACCAGUUUCAUGCUUCUCUCCAAUGAAUGCAAAGCAACAAUGGUGUUGAAUUCAUCAACCACAACCUACAACAUUUAUAAUCCCCCUACAUUCUUUUCACCGAAACAGUAUACAACCACCAACCUUUAGCUUUCAUUUGCUCCACAAACCUUUUCAUGUAUGCCGACUCCACAAGUCCCUAUAUUGCCUUAAGCAAGCCCCGGUGUCUGGUACAUGUGGUUCACCACUUGUCUCCCAUCCCUAGGAUUUGUUUUGUCCAAAUAUGACUCCUCAUAAUUCACCUUUCACUAAAACAUAACCAGUGCCCACUUUGCCUUCAUUGUCAUUAUUCUCACAACUAAUUGUUGGGGAACUAAGUAUGGAAAACAAAAACAAAACUACGAACACCCAAGAUAUAUCUACACAUAUGCAUAGCAACGAGAGUGAAAGUGUCUACGUGCCCUUGUAGACCGUUAAGCGGAAGCGUAUAUAACGUGGUUGAUGUAGUCGUACUUUGAUACGUCACAAACGUAUCUACUUUUCCAAGAUUUUUUUCUCUUGUUUAGGACUCUAAUUUGCAGAUUUGAAUGAAACUAAUCUGGACUGACGUUGUUUUCAACAAAACUGCCAUGGUGUUGUUUUCGUGCGGAAAUAAAAGUUUUUGGAAUUGAACGAAACUUUUUAGAGAUUUUUUCCAGACAAUAUAAAAAUUAUUGGAGCGAAGACCUACCAAAGGGGGGGUACCUGUUGGUUCUGAGCCAACAGGGCGCGUCCACCCCCUCCCUCCGGCAUGCCCUGUUAGCUUGGGGUCACCUCGUGGCUCCGCCGACCCUAAUUUCAGUCCUAUAAAUUCCAAACUCCAGAGAUAAAAAUAGGGGAGAAGUUUUUCAUCGCAUUCUACGAGACAAAGCUAGUGCCACCUCCUGUUCUUCAUCGGAGGUAUGAUCUGAAGUCCAUUUGGGGCUCUAAAGAGGGGAUUUGUCACCAUCAUCAUCACCAACCCUUCCCCAUGAACAUCAUCAUGAUGCUCACCACUGCCCAUGAGUAAUUACUUUCUAGGCUUGUUGGAUGGUGAUAGGAUUGGAUGAGAUUUAUCAUUUAAUAAAGUUAAUUUGAUAGGGCUUGAUCCCUAGUAUCCACUAUGUUAUGAGAUUGAUGUUGAUUUGGCUUUGCUAUGUUUAAUGCUUGUCACUAUGGUUCGAAUGCCAUAAUUUCAGAUCUGGACCUAUUAUGUUUCUAUGAAUAUAAGAGUGUUUUAGAUCCUAUCUUGCAAGUUGUAUGCACCUAUUACGUGGCAUCAUAUGCAUACCCCACGAUGACAAUAAUUGAGAUUCUUUUUGGUGAUUGUCGUAGUUUGAGGAGUUCAUGUAUUCACUGUGUGUUAAUUUUUUAUUCUGGUUCUCUAUUAAAAGGAUGCAUUAAUAUCCCUCGGUUUCCUUAUGGACCGUCGUUAGUCGGUAGAUGUACGGGUGGCGGGCGUUUGUUACCGCCCGCCACUGCUCACUGCAGUGGGCUGCAAUGAAAUCGUUGCUACGACAACAUACAUUGUUGGCACGGAAGCGUUAGCUGAUGCAUAUAGCAUUCACUUCCUAGUAAACUAGAAAAUUCCUCGCGCUUUGCUGCGGAAAUUGUUGGCAAUAUAUUUAGAUGAUACUUGCUUAUGUGGAACAUGAAUAUAUUUAGAUGACAAUUCCUCGCGUUUUGCCGAGGUCCUCGCAACCGGUCCCCGGAAUUCGUGGAAUUUUCGGAUCGCCCCGAGAACCAAAAUCAGUGAGUAAUAGCAUAUAAAACUGGCCAGAAUGGACCAAAAUGUGUGAGUUUUGACAAUGUCCCCAUAAUCGGACCUCGAAGUUCCCCGAACGUUCGGAUCGCCCCGGGACCCAAAAUCUGUGAGUAAUAAAAUAGAAAACUCGACAAAAUGGACCAAAUCCGCGAGUUUUGACGAGGUUCCCGGAGUUUGCGGAAUGUUCAGAUCGCCCUCGGAACCAAAAUCAGUGAGUAAUAGCAUAGAAAACUGGCGAGAAUGGACCAAAUGUGUGAGUUUUGACGAGGUCCUCAUAACCGGGCCCCCAAGUUCCCCGAACAUUCGUAUCGCCCCGGGUCCCAAAAUCAGUUAGUAAGAGCGUAAAACUGGCCAGAGUGGACAGAAUCUGCGAGUUUUGAUGAGGUCCACAUAACCGGUCCUGAAAGUUCGCAGAAUGUUCGGAUCGCCCUGGGAUCCAAAAUCUAUGACUAAUAGCAUAGAAAACUGGUCAGACUCGACCAAAUUUGCGAGUUUUGACGAGUUCCCCGUAACCAGUACCUGAAGUUCCCCAAACGUUUGUAGCGCCACGGGACAUAGAAUCACUGAGUAAUAACAUAGAAAACUGGCCAGAACGCACAAAAUCUACGGGUUUUGACGUGGUCUCCAUAAUCGUACCCCGAAGUUCCCCGAACAUUCGUAUCGCCCCGGGUCCCAAAAUUAGUGAGUAAUAGCAUAGAAAGCUGGCCAGAAUGGACAAAAUCUAUGAUUUUUGCUGAGGUCCUCGCAACCAGUCCCCGGAAUGUUAGGAUCACCCCGGGAACCAAAAUCAGUGAGUACUUGCAUAUAAAACUGACCAGAAUGGACCAAAAUAUGUGAGUUUUGAUAAUGUCCCCAUAACCGGACCCUGAAGUUCCCCGAACGUUUGGAUCGCCCCGGGACCCAAAAUCUAUGAGUAAUAACAUAGAAAACUGGACAUAAUGGACCAAAUCAGCGAGUUUUGACGAGGUCCCCGGAGUUCGUGGAACGUUCAGAUCGCCCGGGAACCAAAAUCAGUGAGUAAUAACAUAGAAAACAUGCCAGAAUGGACCAAAUGUCCGAGUCUUGACAAGGUCCCCAUAACCGGUCCCCUUAGUUCCCCGAACAUUCGUAUCGCCCCGGGUCCCAAAAUCAGUGAGUAAUAGCGUAGAAAACUAGCCAGAAUGGACAAAAUCUGCGAGUUUUAAUUUGGUCCCCGUAACCGGUCCUCGGAGUUCACACAAUGUUUGGAUCGCCCUCGGACCCAAAUUCUGUGAGUAAUAGCACAGAAAACUGGUCAGAAUGGACCAAAUCUGUGAGUUUUGACGAGGUCCCCAUAACUAGUCCCUGAAGUUCUCCGAACAUUUGUAGCGCCACGGGACAUAGAAUCAGUGAGUAAUAGCAUAGAAAACUGGUCAAAACGAACAAAAUCUACGAGUUUUGACGUGGUCUCCGUAAGCGGACCCCAAAGUACCAAGAACAUUCGUAUCGCCUCGGGUCCCAAAAUCAGCGAGUAAUAGCAUUGAAAGCUGGCCACAAUGGACAAAAUCUGCGAGUUUUGCCAAGGUCAUCGCAAUCGAUCCCCGAAAUUCGCAGAAUUUUCAGAUCGCCCCGGCUACCAAAGUCAGUGAGUAAUAGCAUAUAAAACUGGCCACAAUGGACCAAAAUGUGUGAGUUUUGCCAAUGUCCCCAUACCGGACCCCGAAGUUCCCCGAACGUUCGAAUCACCCCGAGACCCAAAAUCUAUGAGUAAUAGCAUAGAAAACUGAAAAGAAUGGACCAAAUCCGCGAGUUUUGACGAGGUCUCCGGAGUUCGCGAAACGUUCAGAUCGCCCCGGGAACCAAAAUCAGUGAGUAAUAGCAUAGAAAACUGGCCAGAAUGGACAAAAUCUGUGAGUUUUGACGAGGUCCCCGUAACCGGUCCCCCAAGUUCCCCGCACAUUCGUAUUGCCAUGGGUCCCCAAAUCAGUGAGUAAUAGCAUAGAAAACUGUCCAGAAUGGACAAAAUAUGCGAGUUUUGAUGAGGUCCCUAUAACCGGUCCUCGGAGUUCGCAGAAUGUUCGGAUCGCCGUGGGACCCAAAAUCUGUGACUAAUAGCAUAGAAAACUGGUCAGAACGGACCAAAUCUGCCAGUUUUGACGAGGUCCCCGAAGUUCCCCCAAUGUUUGUAGCGCCACGGGAUAUAGAAUCAGUGAGUAAUAGCAUAGAAAACUGGCCAGAAUGGACCAAAGCUGCGAGUUUUGAUGAGGUCCCCGUAACCAGUUCCAGAAGUUCCCCGAACGUUUGUAGCGCCACGGGACAUAAAAUUAGUGAGUAAUAGCAUAGAAAACUGGCCAGAACGGACAAAAUCUACGAGUUUUGACGUGGUUUCCGUAACCGGACCCCGAAGUUCCCCGAACAUUUGUAUCGCCUCGGGUCCCAAAACCAGUUAAUAAUAGCAUAGAAAGCUGGCCAGAAUGGACAAAAUCUGCGAGUUUUGCCGAGGUCCUCGCAACCGGUCCCCGGAAUUCCCGGAACGUUCGGAUCGCCCCGAGAACCAAAAUUAGUGAGUAAUAACAUAUAAAACUGGCCAGAAUGGACCAAAAUAUGCGAGUUUUGACGAGGUCGCUGAACGUUUGGAUCGCCCGGGGACCCAAAAUCUGUGAGUAAUAGCAUAGAAAACUGGACAGAAUGGACCAAAUCCGCGAGUUUGAAGAGGUCGCCGGAGUUCCCGGAACGUUUAGAUCGCCCGGAAACCAAAAUCAGUGACUAAUAGCAUAGAAAACUGGCGGACCAAAACAGCAGCCUAUGACCUAUGAUACAGGAGUUUUGAUGAGGUCCCCGGAACCGGGCCCCAAGUUCCCGGAACGUUUGUAUCGCCCCGGGUCCCAAAAUCAGUGAUUAAUACCGUAGAAAACUGGCAAUAAUGGAUCAAAUCUAUGAGUUUUCACGAGGUCCCCAUAACCGAACCCCGAAGUUCCCCGAAUAUUCGCUUCGCCCCACGUCCCAAAAUCAGUGAGAAAACUAGCCAGAAUGGACAAAAACUGCGAGUUUUGAUGAAGUCCCCGUAACCGGCCCCCGGAGUUCGCACAACGUUCGAAUCGCUGUGGAACCAAAAUUAGUGACUACUAGCAUAGAAAACUAGCCAAAAUGGACGAAAAUCUACGAGUUUAGACGAGGUCCCCGUAACCGGUCCCCGAAGUUCCCCGAACGUUUGUUGCGCCAUGGGACACAGAAUCAUUGACUAAUACCAUAGAAAACUGGCCGGAAUGGACCAAAUCUACGAGUUUUCAUGAGGUCCCCGUAACCGGGACCCAAAGCUCCUCGGACGUUCGUAUCGCUCCAGGUCCCAAAAUCAGUGAGUAAAAGCGUAGAAAACUGACCAGAAUGGACAAAAUCUGCGAGUUUAGUGCGAGGUCCCCAUAAUCGGUCCUUGGAGUUAGCGGAACGUUCAGAUCAUCCACGGAACCAAAAUCAGUGACUAAUAGCAUAGAAAACUAGCCAGAAUGGACCAAAUCUGCGAGUUUUGACGAGGUCCCUGUAACAGGUCCUAGAAGUUCCGCGAUGUUUGUAGCACCAAGGGGCCCAAAAUCAGUGAGUAAUGGCAUAGAAAACUGGCCAGAAUGGACCAAAUCUACGAGCUUUCACAAGGUCCCUGUAACCGGAACCCGCAGUUCCCCGAACAUUCGUAUCGCCCCGGGUCCCAAAAUUAGUAAGAAAUAGCGUAGAAAACUAGCAAGAAUGGAUAAAAACUGUGAGUUUUGAUGAGGUCCCCGUAGCCGGUCCCCGGAGUUCGCACAACGUUUGAAUCGCCCUCGAAACCAAAAUCAGUGACUAAUAUUAUAGAAAACUGGCCAGAAUGGACCAUAUCUAAGAGUUUUCACGAGGUCCCCGUAACCGGUCCCCGAAGUUCCCCAAACGUUUGUAGCGCCACGAGACACAUAAUCAGUGAGUAAUAGCAUAUAAAACUGGCCAGAAUGGACCAAAUCUGUGAGUUUUCACGAGGUCCCCGUAAUCGGAACAUAAAGUUCUCGAACGUUCGUAUCGCCCCGUGUCCCAAAAUCAGUGGGUAAUAGCGUAGAAAACUGGCUAGAAUGGACAAAAUCUGCGAGUUUUGACGAGGUCCACGUAAUCGGUUCUCGGAGUUAGCGGAACGUACAGAUCAUCCUGGGAUCCAAAAUCAGUGAGUAAUAGCAUAGAAAACUAACUAAAAUGGACCAAAUCUCCGAAUUUUGACGAGGUCCCCGUAACAGGUCCUAGAAGUUCCCCGAACGUUUGUAGCGCCACGGGACCCAAAAUCAGUUUAUGUAAUAGCAUAGAAAACUGGCCAGAAUGGACCAAAUCUACGAGCUUUCACGAGGUCUCCGUAACCGGACUCCGUAGUUCCCCGAAUAUUCGUAUCGCCCCGGGUCCCAAAAUCAGGAAGAAAAAGCGUAGAAAACUGGCCAGAAUGGAUAAAAACUGCAAGUUUUGAUGAGGUCCCCGUAACGGGUCCCUAGAGUUCCCCGAGCAUUCGGAUCGCCCCGGGAACCAAAAUUAGUAAGAAAUUGCAUAGAAAACUGGCCCAAAUGGGCCAAAUCUGCGAUUUUGACCACGUGCCCAUAAUAGGACCCCAAGUUCCUCGAACAUUCGUAUCGCCCCGAGUCCCGAAACCAUGAGUAAUAGCGUACAAAACUAACUAGAAUGGACCAACUCUGCGAGUUUUCAUGAGGUCCCCGGAGUUCGCGGAAUGUUCAGAUCGCCCGCGGAACCAAAAUCAGGGACUAAUAACCUAAAAAACUGGCCAGAAUGGCCUAAUCUGCGAGUUUUGACGAGGUCCCCGUAACAGGUCCCCAAAGUUACGCAAACGUUUGUAGCGCCAUGGGAUGCAAGAUCAGUGAGUAAUAGCAUAGAAAACUAGCUAGAAUUGACCAAAUGUGUGAGCUUUCACGAGUUCCCCAUAACCGGACCCCGAAGUUCCCCGGAUAUUCGUAUUGCCCCAGGUCCCAAUAACAGUGAGAAAUAGCGUAGAAAACUCGCCAGAAUGGACAAAAACUGCGAGUUUUGAUGAAGUCCCCGUAACCGGUCCUCGGAGUUCGCACAAUGUUCGAAUCGCUCUGGAAACCAAAAUUAGUGACUAAUAGCAUAGAAAACUGGCCAGAAUGGACCAAAUCUAUGAGUUUUGACGAGGUCCCCGUAACCGGUCCCCGAAGUUCCCCGAACGUUUGUACCGCCACGGGACACAGAAUCAUUGAGUACUAGCAUAGAAAACUGGCCAGAAUGGACCAAAUCUACGAGUUUUCAUGAGGUCCCCGUAACCGGGACCNNNNNNNNNNNNNNNNNNNNNNNNNNNNNNNNNNNNNNNNNNNNNNNNNNNNNNNNNNNNNNNNNNNNNNNNNNNNNNNNNNNNNNNNNNNNNNNNNNNNCUCUCGUAGAUGGACAUCACCAUGAUAGGUCUUCGUGCGCGUAGGAAAUUUUUUGUUUCCCAUGCGAUGUUCCCCAACAUUAGGUUCAUCUCUUUUGCUAGUCGCAAACCGUGGAGCAGAGCUUCAUACUCUGCCGCAUUAUUUGUACAAGGGAACAUGAGCCGGAGGACGUAGCAGAACUUAUCUCCUUGAGGGGAUAUCAACACCACACCAGCCCCCGAGCCCUCCAACUGCGUGGAUCCAUCAAAAUAAAUAGUCCAAUUGGUAAGGUCAGGGCGAUCUUUCGGAGCCUGAAGCUCCGUCCAAUCAUUGACGAAAUCAACUAGUGCCUGGGAUUUGAUGGCCGUGCGGGGGGUAUACUGAAUGUGAUGUGACCCAAGUUCUAUCGCCCAUUUGGCGAUUCGCCCUGUUGCCUCGCGGUUUUGGAUGACGUCGCCGAGGGGCGCGGAACUGACCAUGGUGGUUGGGUGUUCUUGGAAAUAAUGUUUAAGCUUCCGACUCGCCAUGAACACCCCAUAGACCAGUUUUUGCCAAUGGGGGUAUCGUUGUUUGGAGAGAGUUAACACCUCACUGAUAAAGUACACUGGGCGUUGUACCGGGUAUUCCUUUCCUUCCUCCUUUCUUUCGACGACCACGGCCACGCUGACCGCUUUGGAAUUCGCGGCGAUAUACAGGAGCAUGGGCUCCUUUUCAGUCGGAGCCGCCAGGACCGGCGGGUUAACCAGCUGAUGUUUCAAGGCCUGAAGUGCCUCGUCGGCUUCCUCUAUCCACACGAAUCGGUCAGACUUCCUCAACAAUUGAUAGAGCGGAAUCGCCUUUUCUCCGAGGCGGCUUACAAAACGACUGAGAGCCGCGAUACGACCCGCCAAUCACUGGACUUGGUUAACGUUCGUCGGCUUGCCGAGGGAGGCAACCGCUUCAAUUUUGUCCGGGUUAGCCUCGAUGCCGCGCUCCGAUACCAAGAAACCCAGUAGUUUUCCCGCGGGUACGCCGAAAACGCACUUGGUAGGAUUUAGCUUCAUCUGAUAUACCCGUAAAUUAUCAAAGGUUUCCUUAAGGUCUUCCAGAAGUGUCUUCUCCCGGCGGGUCUUGAUGACAAUGUCGUCAACAUAAGCAUGGACGUUGCGGCCAAUUUGGCUGUGGAGACAAUUCUGGAUGCAACGUUGGUAAGUCGCCCCUGCGCUCUUGAGCCCGAACGGCAUGGACACAUAGCAAAAGGCCCAGAAGGGGGUUAUGAAAGCAGUCUUUUCUUGAUCUUCCACAGCCAUUUUGAUCUGAUGAUAACCUGAGUAAGCGUCCAAAAAGCACAAUCGUUCGCAUCCCUCCACCGAGUCAAUGAUUUGGUCGAUGCGGGGAAGAGCGAAAGGAUCCUUGGGGCAAGCCCUGUUGAGGUCCGUAUAGUCAAUGCACAUACGGAAGGUGCCAUUCUUCUUGAGUACUAACACCGGGUUAGCUAGCCAUUUGGGGUGAAAGACUUCCACGAUGAACCCGGCGGCUAAAAGACGGGCGACUUCCUCUCCAAUCGCUUUCCGUCGCUCCUCGUUAAACCGGCGGAGGUAUUGUUGGACAGCUUUGCAUUUUGGGUCAAUGUUAAGAUGGUGCUCAACGAAUUCUCUCGGUACACCCGGCAUGUCAGAGGGUUUCCAUGCGAAGAUGUCCCGAUUCUCACGGAUGAAUUCGAUGAGCGCGCUUUCCUAUUUGGGGUCCAGACCCGUUCCAAUGGUAAACUGCUUGGAUGAAUCGCCAGGGACGAAGUCGACUGUCUUCGUGUCAUCCGUUGGUUUGAACUUGAGGGGCGACUCGGAAUNNNNNNNNNNCGUUCCCCAACGGCUUCGCACUGCGGCCAAUCCGUCCGCCGCCAUUGACCACCGCAUCAUCGUCGACCAUCUCGCCGUUCGCCACGAACUCCACCGCCGUCGAAGAUCUCUUCGUUCGACGGGACCUCCGUGCUUCUCCAACAACCUCCGUCACCGUCGGCCUCUUUCGACCGAAAGCAUCAGGUUAGGCCUCCGCCCAUUUAGGAACAGAUCCAAUCUCCACUUGAAGCUCCAGUCACUGUCAUGUUCUUGAUGUUCUUCGCGAGCAUGUGUUGCUUAUCCUAAACUGAUUAGCAUAAAUGUCGACGAGAUAGCCAAUGCUUUGAAUACCUUCAUUUAUCCGCUCUUACUUGUGAACUGAGAAUAAUGUUUCAUCAAACGAAGGGCGUCACCUUGCCCUGGUAAUAAAUUGCUGCAUCCAGCCAUUUUUCUCACGUUUUUUCAUCUGCCUAGUAGAUCCAUCAUUUACCUACAGUUUGCAGAAAGCUGUUUGUAGUCUUCACACUUUGAUGUUUUGAACGAACGUUUCCAUCAUCUUUAGAACGCAGCCCUCGUGAAUAGCCAAACUUCGUAAGUCGCCAUAGCAACCCAACUCGGCUCUUUGAUAUAGCGGGUCAAGCCUUUCCCUCAGUCCAUGGACAAAUUACUUGGCGAGUUAAAUGAACUUAUUCCACCCCUUACAGUAGAUGUUCGAGGCAUGUAAAUUCAUACUUUUACUUCUUUGUAGCAUGGGCACCGUCUUCAAAAGUGACUGGCUUCCUACCAAAGUCAAUGACACCAUACUAGCAGACUAUGUGAAAACGGGCAACUUGGACCCUCAGAAUGUUAUCGGCUGGCGUACCGGGUUCGGAGAAGAUCUUCCCAACCCCAAAUAAGGAGAGAUAGUUGUUUUCGUUGAGCACCUGGAGCGAGGUUUUAAGCCGCCCGGAUCGAAGUUUCUUAGAGACACCAUGGCUUUCAUGAACGUCCGCCUCCAGGAUCUGGGACCUAACUCCAUAAGUAACUUAUGCCAAUUCCAAGUGUUCUCUGAGGCGUAUCUGCGGAUUGAACCCUCUGUCCCCUUAUUCUGGCAUUUUUUCCAUCUGAAUCGCCAAAUGGAAUUUCACAAUGGCCCCAGCCUGGAACUCGGCGGUGUCAAUGUCCAGCGCCGCAGGGAUAGCCCGUUUCCCUCACUCGCCAUGCCCAACCAUCCCAAGGGUUGGGGCGAGUCUUGGUUCUACUGUCAAGAGACCUCUCCUGCAGGCGAAAACAAGCUUCUAGGCUACAGGAAAGAUCGCCUUCCAACAAACUUUAAGCUUCCAGACAAGCUCACCGAGGAGGAGGAAUCAAAAUUCAUCCCAGUAUUGUCCGAGUUAAGAUCCUUGACAAACAACGGCCUUACUGGGGUUGACCUAAUCCGCUGGUGGGUCGAAUGGCGCAUCCUCCCUCUGAGUCGCCGGGACGGGCUAAUGUGCGAAUUUGACGGCACCCUAGAUCAUCCUCAAUGUUAUUUCCAUAUGGCUUUAACAGAAAAGGAUAUUGUUACCAUCAUCAAGAAACUGACUGGCGAGCCUGCGGGAAAAUGCGGCCAAAUCGGCCUCAAACCUUUCUGCAAAAUUAAUCCGGCGCCCAAGGUGAGCAAAUCUAACCCGCCUUUGGUCUUUACUUCUUAUGUUUCACUUGUAUUGUGGUUUUUGUAACAUAUGCUAUUUCAGAAAGGCGAUAAAUUUUGGUCCAGGAAACCCAAAAGGCCAGCCAUGAAAAAUGUUAAGCUGCCCUCAAAGAAAACCAAGGGCAAGGGCAAAGCUGCUGCGGCCGAGCCAUCCGAAGUCGAUGAAUCUCAAGUCGGCGAUGCACUUUCGGAGGUAAAAAUCCAUCUUCUUUUCACUCGCCAUCUACUACUGUUAAUCUUUGUAUUUAUAUCUCUACCUCUUCUUGAAAUAGAAUGAAGACAACGAAAGCCAGGAGGACUCUGUUGAGGUAAUUUCUGUUUCCUCCGAUUCAUCUCCUUCUCCACCUAAGCCGGCCAGGUGAAUUUGUGGGAAAGUUCCCUUCUCACACCCAAAUGCUUGUUUGGACCCAAAUUUCCUACUGAAGAAAGCACAACAUACUUCAAAUCGGAAGACCCGAAGUCAUUCCGGUGAUCUGGUGUCCGACUUACCAGCAACAAACAAGAGAAAACCAAAUGAGGUAUUUAUGAAUAACAAUUCUUCAUGUUUCUUUGGAUCACGUCUGUAACCCGCCUAUACUGUUGACGUAUGAUUCUUGCAGAACUCUCCUCCUACAUCCGGCGACUCAGUGAUGUCGACACUUCCACCAAUGAUUCGAGUUCCAGGGUAAGUCUUUUGAUAAUCUUACUUUGAAUCCUGAGGGUAAUAAACUUUCAGUUCCUUAAUGCGCUUCUACCUUCUUUUAGGGCACAGGCCAAGAAAAGGAAAACCAGCGGAUCAACUCCUGUCACAACUUCAGAACCCAUCAAAGAAUCAGUGCCGAUCCAGGACAACCCGGACCAAGGCGAGCCUGAAAAUCAAAUGGAUCUUUCUGACUCGCCCAAGGAAACAAUGGAUUCCCCUAAGCCGCCAAGUCCAUUGACGACAACAGAAGACCCGAAUGCUGUAGUUAUUACUGGUACCGGCUUCUCUAAGCCGGCGGCAAUGGUUUUGUCAAGGCAUGUGGCAUCCUCCUCUCAAGCCAUUCCUGAAUCUGGACUCUCCAAGGCUAAGCUUUCUGAGUAUGAAAAUCCGGAGUUCAAGGAACUCUGCUCUGGUUUUGCAAGUCGCCUGGAGGCGAGCUAUGAGAUGGAGAAAAGCCUGCUGCGGAUGUUAAAAAACAAACAUGAGGUAAGUUUUGUUAUAUUGUAUUACUCCCAUUAACCCCCAAGGGCCGGGUCAUCAGUAAAAAGAUGAGCCGGGUCUUGAUAAAUUUAGAAAAAACUUUGCAACCAGUAACCCCCAAGGGCCGGGUCAUCAGUAAAAAGAUGAGCCAGGUCUUGAAAAUUUUUAGAAAAAACUUUGCGACCAGUAACCCCCAAGGGCCGGGUCAUCAGUAAAAAGAUGAGCCGGGUCUUGAAAAAUUUAGAAAAAACUUUGCGGCCAGUAACCCCCAAGGGCCGAGUCAUCAGUAAAAAGAUGAGCCUGGUCUUGAUAUUGUAUAAUUUCAUCUGAAAAGAAAAAAUUAUACAUUAGCCCCCAAGUGUCAGGGAUAUUGCUUGCAAUAGUUCUGAGACUUGCCCCUUUUUUGUACUUUCAACAGGAAACUCUUGCUCAGACUGAAUCGGCGCUUGGCGAUUUAAAGAAAAACUUAUCUGGUCAGCAAGAUGCCCGAGCUAAGUCGGAGGAGAAAUAUCAAUUGGCGUUGGCUGAGCUGGAAAAACUCAAAGUCGAUUUGAAAAGAGCUCAAGCUGACCAAGAUGCUGCCAUAAAGAGAGCAGACAAGGCUGAAGCCAGGCUGGCCACUGUGCAACAAGAAUUGUCCGGCUUAAAGCGUCAUAUCUCAAACAUGACGCAAGCCGUCUUUGGUAAACUUACUCAAACUUUUGGUCCUUUCUCCCCCCUUUUUUAUUUUUAAAUAACUCUUAUCGUAAGUCGCUGAUUAUCAUGACCCCUGUCCGAGAGCCGCCAACCUUUAGGAAGAUUGUGUGCUGAUGCUAAAGGCGAUUUACACGCUGACAGAGCAACUGUACACCGGCAGUGUAUUAACUGUUAAAGCUGUGAUGGGUGCCAAAGAGCCUAUAACUUCCAUAAAGAAGGUGCUUGGCUGCCUAUCCACACUUCCCCCUCAGAUUGGCGAGCUAACUCGGCCAGCCGCCCGAAAGGGUGUUCUGACUGCCUUGAGUCGCUGCUUGGCGUAUGCUCCAGAGAUCAACCCGGAAGAGGUAGCGACAGGCUUUCCUCAACUCAAAGACGAUGGGUCAGAAUUCGUUGAAGAGGACUAUCAACGUGUUGUCAAGGACUCCCGACUGGCAGCAACCCAACUCGCAGCAAGUCUUGAUUUAUCAAAGUAUCAGGCGGUUUAUGACAGCAAAAACAAGAAGGUCAACCCGCCGACCUUUGUGACGACCAGUUUAACUCGUCGGCGACCCAAGAACCCUUUUGACUUGGAAGCAGACCUGGCAUCAAUCCUGACUGAUGAAGAUGACUUCGCAGCUCUGGCUAAGUGCAACUGGGUAUUGGGCGACUUACAAAUUGAGGUCGGCCAAAGCUCGCAGCAAAAUGAUCCUAAGGCGCCAACAUAAUAAACCUCAUCGAUUUGGCCUGAGAGCCAUGUAAUAGGUCUUUUUCAUAAGUCGAUACUGUUUCUGUGAUACUCUUCGAAAGAAUCUUUAUAUCGCCCAUAAGGUGAUUUGAAAUAUUUGACCUGCCAUUUGAGAAUCCUUUAUGAGGCUUAAUCCGCCAUAGACGAAGUAAUUUUGAUCAUCAACAUGACUUAGGCUUUGAAAACAACAUAUGUGAAACCAAAUAAAUGAUAACAAAUAUUUUCAAGAGGAAUCAGAAAGAAAGGUUUAAAACCCUCGAGGCUAUGCCACGAAUAAAAACAACAAUUUCGUCGGCUCAUAAGAUCGCGACAGGAUGGGGCGAGUCAGAAAACUCGAGCACACACCCAAAAUGAUAGUUUCGUCGGCUCAUAAGGUCGCAACAGGAUGGGGCGUGUCAGAAAGCUCGAGCACACACCCUAAAAUGCAGGUUUCGUCGGCUCAGAAGGUCGCAGGACGAGGCGAGUCAGAAAGCUCGAGCACACACCCUAAAAUGCAGGUUUCGUCGGCUCAUAAGGUCGCGACAGGAUGAGGCGAGUCAGAAAGCUCGAGCACACACCCUAAAAUGCUGAUGAUUUCGUCGGCUCAUAAGGUCGCGACAGGAUGGGGCGAGUCAGAAAGCUCGAGCACCACCCUAAAAUGCAGAUUUCGUCGGCUCAUAAGGUCGCGACAGAAUGAGGCGAGUCAGAAAACUCGAGCACACACCCUAAAAUGCAGAUGAUUUCGUCGGCUCAUAAGGUCGCGACAGGAUGAGGCGAGUCAGAAAACUCGAGCACACACCCUAAAAAGCAGAUGAUUUCGUCGGCUCAUAAGGUCGCAACAGGAUGAGGCGAGUCAGAAAACUCAAGCACACAACCUAAAAUGCAGAUGAUUUCGUCAGCUCAUAAGGUCGCGACAGGAUGGGGCGAGUCAGAAAGCUCAAGCACCACCCUAAGAGGAUGAUUCUGUCGGCUCAUAAGGUCGCAACAGGAUGACAAAAUUGUUCUUUUAAUGAAGAAGCCCCCAAGUCAGGGAGUAUUUUCAACUUUAUUGCUUUAUAUUGAAACUGAAAAACUUACAAAAUGUNNNNNNNNNNNNNNNNNNNNNNNNNNNNNNNNNNNNNNNNNNNNNNNNNNNNNNNNNNNNNNNNNNNNNNNNNNNNNNNNNNNNNNNNNNNNNNNNNNNNCACAUACUUACCGGCUAGCCACUGACCGGCGCGUCCGAUGCUUGAGGUCGCUGGGAAACGAAACAAGCAUUGUGUAUCCCAACCCAUCAGCCGGGUAUCGUCAUGCAUGCAUGAACAUGCACCGUCAAAAGCAGUAGUAAGAUUCUCUUGGGGUUUAUCGACUUCGCUUUCCAUUACCAUAUGGACCAGAUGUUGCUGUUUGUUGCGCUCGACGUGGCUUUUACCGGGACGCUAGCCACACAGGGAUAUCAUAAUUUCACCGUCGCACGUCGCCGUCGAUCGGUUCACCGUUCAAGCCAGCUAGCCUGGCCGCUGGCCAAGUGCAGUCCAGGUGCUCUUCGGGGGUACGGUGGACGCGCGGCUUGGUCAAUGGCAAACUAACCAAGAAAAUCAAUCUGUUUUAUUACUACAACUACAUACAUACACUGGUAAUGAUGUUGAAACGAGGAAUCUAAACAACACGAUUGAUUUGCUACUGAUCACAUAUGAACUGACCAUGACUGCAUAUCAUUGCCGGCUAUGAUGUUUAUUACACGCAGAAGAAAACAAUAAUAUUGGUGCCAUGUUUUUUUUAAAUGACGACAAAACAUUUCUCCUUUUUACAUCACUACUAGGACAAUGCGAGUACGUAGGCUUGUGAUUUAUCUAUCCAUAUUAAUGCGAACGUAUAAAUAAAGAUCAAUGAUAUAGAACUUAGAUAUGCAAUACUUAUGUCGCAUCUAGUUGUGCUUUAGCAAAACCGAUAAAUAAAUGUUUAUCAUCCAAUCUUGCAUGUGAUUUACCUUAUGUUUUGAUGAAAGUGUGUUUGACAAAUUAAAGUAAAAUUGAUUUAGAAGGUAAGUGAAUAAUGGUGAUUCAUUAUCAUAUCAGUAAGUUUGGACGAAGUGGUGGUGAAAAAAUAAUAUGAAACCUUACGUUCUUUUCAAGUAAAUAGAGAAGCAAUAUAGAUUAACCAAAGGGUAGAGUGUAUACCAAAAAUAAAGGGUUGGCCUGGCCUGGCUCAAGCAGGUUCGAGAUUGCAUCACCUUAAUAGAUAUUGAGGGAGUCACGCCAAAUCCUAUUUGGCGCUUUAAGCGUCAAACAUCCAAAUCACUAAUUAAGGAGUACUUCAUCCGUUCGGAAUUACUUCUCGCACAAAUUGAUAAAAAUAUAUGUAUCUAGAACUAAAAUACAUGUAGAUACAUUCAUUCCUAUGACAUGUAUUUUCGGACGAAGGGAGUACUUUUUUUAAAGAUCACCCUCGCCUCCUCAGGUUGCGACAAAUGGCGUACUGCAUGUGUGCCACUUGUCGCAACCUGAGAGUUUAUCCUUUUUUGUAGAUUCGUUAUUUCAAAAUGUUUCAUCUCUUGAAUUAUACGUUCAAAAUUUGAAAUGUUUUCAUCGUUCGAUUCCAAGCGUCGAGAUAUUCAAAACUAGAUCACAUGUUGAUAGGUUUUAACAAACUUAUUUUUCACACACAAAAAACAAACGAAAAAACCGUGCCUCUCACGGAGUAAAAAAAUGUGUUCUAUUUUUCUGUUUCCGAGAGGUCGUGCCUCUUGCAAAAGUGAACAUGUGCCUCUCGCGAAAAAAUAGAUGGUGCCUCUCAAGAAAGCAUAUCUGUGCCAAUCGUGAAGGCAAAAUCGUGCUUUUUGAGAAACGAAAAAAAACAUGUAUUUUAGCGCAAAAAAGGUAUUUUUUUCGUCCAAAAGCUAAGAAAGACCGCUGGAAAACUGAAACACCAAAAAAACCCGAAUAAACCACCUAAAAACCUUAAAACGCGUGCAAAAAACAAACCAGGGAAAAAGUUCAGAGUGCGACACGUGAUGACGGCUCAGAACGUGCCAAGUGAUGGCACCUGGGAGUGAUCGUUACGAGGCUCCCUAAGGAGCGCUCGUCAACUAGUUGUUCUCGUCAAAUAGGCAAAAAGGUACAUGGCACGCAUCCCCAUUCCACUACAUAUAACUAGGUCGCGGCCCACUAUCUCUCCCCACCUUUUUUGGACUAGGUUUUCCCUCGGUACCUUUUUCCAGUUUUUUGGUUUUGAUGUUUUUGUGUGUUUUUUCUUUUAUUGUUUUCCUUUUCAAUUUACUUGUUUUCCUUUUACGUUUUCUAUAUUGGAUUAUUAUAUUAUUUAUUAUCAUUUACCAUUUAUGUAAUUUCCUUCAUUUUAAAUACGUCUAUAAUGCAUUGUAUGGCCCUGAAUACGUCCGAUUCUACUAUCUUUUCCAGGUAGUACCUAUCACUUGAACACCAAAGAGGAGUUUAAUUAUGUGAAUUUUUUAAAGAUUAAUAGACAUUGUCCUUCAAAUUCGCAAAAAAGAAGAAGAAAUGUAUGUUUAUGGAAUACACGAAAUUUUUUCAAAACUUUAAACUUUUUAAAAAUUGAUGAACAAUUUAACCCAUGAACUAUAUUCUAAUCCAUGAUUUUUUGUCUAAUCCAUAGAUGUUUUUCAAAUCUAUGAUUUUUUUGAAUCCACAAAAUAUGUUAACUUUUUCUAGAUCUAGAACAUUUAUGGAAUGAGUGAGCUAUUUUUAAAUCUGUGAACUAUUUCAAAUUAUGACCUCUCAAAUCCAUGAACAAUAUUUCAAAUACAUGAAGAUUUUUCAAAUUUAGGAAAAUUUUCAGGAAAUUUUCAAUUAAAAAAAAAUCAAAUUCUUAGUUUUAAUGUUUUUAAAGUAAUUAAUGAACUUUUCCUGAAUUGUCCUUUUCCAAAUAUGUGAACAUUUUUUCAAAACUCUGAACUUUUUCAAGUUCAUGGACCUUUCUUGAAAUCCUUGAGCAAUUUUAAAAUCAUGAAUAUUUUAUGAUUUUAUCAAGGUUUUUAAAAAUUAAUAAGGAAACCGGUCGUCUUUUCUAAUACAAUUGUCUAGCAGAUAGCAAACUGUUUUUAAGACCAUAGACACGUAGUUUUUUUGUCUUUGUGAUAAACGUACACAUAGUUGAAUGGGCAGCGAGCGAGCUUGCCUUUUUUUUGUAGGAGAGCGAGCAAGCGAUUUACCGGGCCAGCCCAUACGGUCGACGCCCUAUGCGCUGUUGUGUAAUCUAGUGUGUUAAGCGACGACGAGGCACACUCGGGAGUCACUAACAAGCGGUUACCCUUUCAGGGCACUUUUGCUAACCUAGGAGUGCGCCAAGGGACCCGUUCAGCCGUCGCCAUAUGUCAGGUGGCGAACGCUUUCUCUGAAUUUUGGUCAUCUAUUUUCUUGUAUGUGUUUUUGGAUUUUAGAAUGUUUUUCGGGUUUUUGCCUUGUUUUUCCUAGGUCAUGGAGAAGAUUUUUUUCCUUUGCGUUGCACAUCUAUGCUUUUUUGAACUGGGCUCCAUGAGAAACACAUUUCUGUUUAUUGCGGAAGCACAGAUCUGCUUCUACGGUAAGCACAGCUUGUGCUUCUGCCAUAAGGACCACGAGAAAAGUUACAACAAUAUAUAGAGUUUUAAUACAUUAUAUGGAAUAUUAAUACAAUAUAUUUAGUUUUAAUGUACUUCACUAAUUAAGCAACUGCCAGUUGUGUGAUUGGAAUCAUGUACCUUUAAUAUACUCUAUUAAUUGGAAAGGUCACUACUACUCCCUCCGUCCCAAAUUAAGUGACUCAAAACUGAGUCAUUUUUGAGUCACUUAAUUUGGGACGAAGGGAGUACAUUAUAUGUAGUUCAAUACGAUGCAUAUAGUUUUAGUGCACUGCAUUAAUUAAAAUAUAUAUGGCAAAUCUUAGUGCAUUACUCCACCCUUUUCCGUGAGGAAAAAAGAGGCUUCGGCUUUAUAUAUAUGGGCGGUAUCUUUGGAUCUUUUCCACACUCUUUCUAUCAGCAGCAGUACCUUGUAACAAGUAGUAUAGGUGCGUGUGUGCCAUGGCGAACGGCGACACCUUCCCUUCGAGCACUGUCAGGGACACUUUCCCAGCUGAGGAUUUCCCCAUGGGGAUGAGGGUCCUCGUGGUGGAGGAUGACCCCAGGAGCCUCCAGGACUCGACGCAAAUUCUCGAGAGUUGUGGCUACAAAGGUACUCCACAACCAUAUGGGAUCUCCUAGCGCUCAGUGUUGCAUGUCUUGUCUGCCUAUUCUUGGAAGAUCUGGACCCGCUUGUAACGUACGUGUUUGUGUCGUGUAGUGACGGCGAUGGCGUCGCCGAUAGAAGCACUGAGCGAGGUGGAGAAUGAUCGAAAAGGUGUCGACUUUGACAUCAUCAUGACAGUCGUGCACGCCGGCGACAAAGGGGCGGGAUUUGAUGGCUUCGACCUCCUCGAGCGCGUCCGGGAUCGUUACCCGGUCAUCAGUGAGUCCUCGACAUGUCGCACAUAUUUACAUGCAUGCAUGGCUACUUUUAGAUCAGUAGCGAUACAUACAGAUAUAGAUCUAAAAAUCCUGGAUGUGUUUGUGUAGUCUUCUCUACCGAUUAUAGCAAGAAGAUGGUGAUGAGGACAAUUAACGAAGGUGCUUGCUGCUUCAUCGCAAAGCCUCUGUGCUACCAGGAGAUGAGAAAUAUCUGGUUCCAUGUCAUGCAGAGGGGAAUGCAAGUGGACGGCCCAGACGAGGGGGGCUCCAACGACAACCAGCGGGGCUUCAAUGAAACACAAGGUGCGUCAGAUAUGUUUCUAAGGGAUGGCCAACCACCAUUUCCAUCUCCACCAUGUUUGGCUGUUUGUGGUGGCUGCAUCAUACAUGAUAUAUGUUUCUAUUUCUACUCGAUUAAUUAGUUUCUGAGUAAUCGUUCAAGAUUUCACUUGUAAUAGUAACUCCAACGGGCCGACUCAAACGGACGGUGAUUUUGUGUGCUUUUUGUUCGUUUGUCCGUUUGGGUCGGCCGUCCGCCUAGGUCCGUCUUGUUUUAGAUUUGGGUCGGCACUGCGUCCAACGCACUGAGCCAUAUGUGCCGGCGUGGCCUUUUUGUGUCGAGAUGGACCGAGCCAGCUCAUUAACUAGUGAGGCCCAAUGAAGCUUGGGCCGAUUCGAAAACCUCUCUCAGUCUGUCUAGCCUUAGUUUGGAUGUCACUCCAUAGGGAUUUUUCUAUUUACCCAUUUUGCGUCAAGACACCACUGCUUCAGAAAGGGAGCGACCGACUCGAUUAACUUUUUGUAAGAGAGGACCUUUUUCGUGACCCUUCUAGAAGGUUCCUAAUUGGUUCUUUCAUUUUCCUUUUUUAUCAUUUUCUAUAAAAAUGUUUAAAAAAUCUAAAUUGUUCAGAAAUUGCAAAACGUGUUUGCUUUUUCAAAAAAUGUUCGGAAAUUAAAAAUAUUUUGAGUUUACAAAAAAACUUUAAGACUUCAUAAAUUGUUCCCAUUUUUAAAAAAUGCUUACGUUUUCCGUAAGUUCAUGUUUCAAAAAAGUUUGUGCUUAACCAAGUUUGAAAAAAGAGCGAUCAAAUUUAAUUUUUAUAUUAUUGAAGAAAAUGUUCGUGGAUUUUGAAAAAAAUCACACUUUCCUAAAAUAGACUCUCUCAUUUUUAACUGGUGAAAAAUAAUAUUGGUAAAACAAAACAAUAACUGCUAUAGUAACAUGUUGCUGCAGUGAACCGCACACUACAAUGAACCGCUUGCUACAGUAUGCUCGGUGAAGUGACUGUCAAGGGGGCAGCCCAGUCAGGCUUGCUUGUGCGUCGCAUGCUCUCUUGCAUAAAACUGUUGGAAAUAUGCCCUAGAGGCAAUAAUAAAUUAGUUAUUAUUAUAUUUCUUAGUUCAUGAUAAUCGUUUAUUAUCCAUGCUAUAAUUGUAUUGAUUGGAAACACAAUACUUGUGUGGAUACAUAGACAAAACACUGUCCCUAGUAAGCCUCUAGUUGACUAGCUCGUUGAUCAAAGAUGGUCAAGGUUUCCNNNNNNNNNNNNNNNNNNNNNNNNNNNNNNNNNNNNNNNNNNNNNNNNNNNNNNNNNNNNNNNNNNNNNNNNNNNNNNNNNNNNNNNNNNNNNNNNNNNNAUCCAGUUAUCAAGCAACAACACCUUGUUCAUAAUCAGAAGACACUGACUAUCAUCGAUCAACUGGCUAGCCAACUAGAGGCAUACUAGGGACGGUGUUUUGUCUAUGCAUCCACACAUGUAAAUGAGUCUUCAUUCAAUACAAUUAUAGCAUGGAUAAUAAACUAUUAUCUUNNNNNNNNNNGGGUCUAGUCCAUCACGUGAUUCUCCCAAUGACGUGAUCCAGUUAUCAAGCAACAACACCUUGUUCAUAAUNNNNNNNNNNNNNNNNNNNNNNNNNNNNNNNNNNNNNNNNNNNNNNNNNNNNNNNNNNNNNNNNNNNNNNNNNNNNNNNNNNNNNNNNNNNNNNNNNNNNNNCCUAACCCGAGUCAGAUGUUUUGGGGACUCAGAUCUGGUGGCGCAACAGGUUUCGGGCACCUGGGACUCUCGAGAUCCUAUGAUGGCGGCUUAUAGGCGAGCCGUAUCCGACGUGGCGGGCUAUUUUCAUGGNNNNNNNNNNNNNNNNNNNNNNNNNNNNNNNNNNNNNNNNNNNNNNNNNNNNNNNNNNNNNNNNNNNNNNNNNNNNNNNNNNNNNNNNNNNNNNNNNNNNNNNNNNNNNNNNNNNAUCACGUUGAUCAGCGACUCAACGAAGCAGCUGAUGCCCUCUCGCGACUCGGCUCAUAGAGAAAACCUGUCCCCCCUAAUGUCUUCUUGGAUAUCUUGCACAAACCGUCCGUGACUAUACCCACGGAGGAGGAAUUGGCGAUACCAGAUCCCGAGUCUCAGCUUGUGGCGGCUCUCCAUAUCGCUCCGGAUUGGGCUCUUCCUUAUAUAGCUUACCUUGCCCGUGGCGAGUUACCCACUGACGAAGUUUUGGCUCGCCAGAUUGUUCGGCGUAGCAAGUCCAUGGUCAUCAUUAAUGGCGAGCUAUAUAAACGAAGUGCUUCAGGGGUCUUUCAGCGGUGCGUCUCCUCCAAGGAAGGAUGCACGAUCCUUAAUGACAUCCAUUCUGGAGACUGCGGACAUCACGCCGGGUCACGUUCUUUGGUAUCAAAAGCCUUUCGACACGGUUUCUUCUGGUUGACGGCUCACGCAGAUGUAGAAGAUAUAGUACGGCGAUGCGAGGGGUGCCAACGAUACGGGAGACAGGCUCAUGUGCCGGCUCAAGAAUUGAGGAUGAUCCCCAUUACUUGGCCUUUCGCGGUCUGGGGGCUGGACAUGGUCGGCCCCUUUAAGAUGUCCUCCAACAAGAAAACUCACUUAUUGGUGGCGGUUGAUAAAUUCACUAAGUGGAUUGAGGCGGAGCCAGUUGGGGCUUGCGACGCGGAAACUGCGGUAAAAUUUCUGAAGAAGCUGAUUUUCCGUUUUGGAUAUCCGCACAGUAUCAUCACAGACAAUGGUACUAACUUGUCCCAAGGAGCGAUGCUGGAUUUCUGUCGCCGUGAACAUAUCCGGCUUGAUAUCUCUGCGGUUUCUCACCCGCAGUCAAACGGACAGGCCGAGCGGGCGAAUCAGGAAGUUUUGCGAGGGAUCAAACCUCGGCUCAUAAUUCCGCUGGAAAGAACUCCAGGAUGUUGGGUGGAGGAGUUACCUUCGGUAUUAUGGAGCAUCCGAACCACCCCGAAUCGCUCCACGGGGUUCACCCCUUUCUUCUUGGUCUAUGGUGCAGAGGCCGUCCUCCCUACUGACAUAAGGCAUGACUCUGUUAGAGUCACCGCAUAUGUGGAGCAGGACAACGAGCUGGCGCGUCAGGACUCUUUGGACGCCUUGGAAGAGGCACGUGACUUAGCAGCGGCUCGUUCGGCGAUCUAUCAGCAAGAUCUGCGGCGUUAUCAUAGUCGCCGGGUGAAGAGUCGGACCUUCCAGGAAGGCGAUUUGGUGCUUCGACUGAUACAAGAUCGGGCAGGCAUGCACAAGCUUUCGCCCCCUUGGGAGGGACCUUUCGUUGUCAGCAAGAACCUCCGCAAUGGUUCUUACUACUUGAUGGAUCUUCGGUCUGAUCGACCGAUUACGGGGGCUGAGUCAACUCGCCCUUGGAAUAUUGCCCAUUUGCGGCCUUAUUACACUUGAGUUCUUAAAACUCCAUGCUUUGUAAGUUUUUCAGUUUUUAUUAUGAAAUAAUAUAAUGUUUCCCCGAUUCGGGGGGCUUCUUCUUUAAGAAAAAGAAAGAGCAAUUUCAUGACAUCCUGUUGCGACCUUAUGAGCCGACGAAACCUGCAUUAAGGGUGGGUGCACGAGAUUUCUGACUCGCCUCCCCCUGUCGCGACCUUAUGAGCCGACGAAACCUGCAUUAAGGGUGGCUGCACGAGCUUUUUGACUCGCCUCCCCCUGUCGCGACCUUAUGAGCCGACGAAACCUGCAUNNNNNNNNNNNNNNNNNNNNNNNNNNNNNNNNNNNNNNNNNNNNNNNNNNNNNNNNNNNNNNNNNNNNNNNNNNNNNNNNNNNNNNNNNNNNNNNNNNNNCUAGUGGACCUAAUUAUAGUUUUUAAGCUUAAUCUCAGGUAAAUGGUUCCUCGGAGAAUUAUUGUGGAGAGGGUUCACCCCCUCCCAGUCACACACAAACACACACUUCAAAAAGAUCAAACAUAUGGUUUUCCGGCUACUCAAAGCUUUUGCUUCUAUUUAUUUGAGUCAUAGGAAAACCGCACUAUCAAGAUGGUUCAAAGUUGUAGAAUGAUGGUGUGGGAACACCAAAAACUUAUACUCUUGCCGUCCUACAUCUACCACCAAAAAAGUUCCUUCCAUCCAUCAUGUUCUCAUCCUUAGUGUGUCGUGAGAGUGUGCACAAAGUAUCUGGUCACCUCGUGCACAAGGGCGAGUGAUCAACUCUAUGGACACCCCGUGUGCACGAGGUCCUGGACCACGUGCACACACGGUAUCACUUAACUUUAUUGACACCCCUUUCGCAUGGGGUCAGAUGGAUGGAAAAGGGUUCAUAGUGAGCAACAAUAUAUAUUGGCACCUUCUUCUAACUCCAACCCUAUCAUUUUUCUUUGACAUCAUCCAACAUUUACAACACCUCAUAUUUCUCAUAUAAUUUGUCUCUCCCACCAAAAUUGUUGAUACUUUGGGAACUGAGGGAGCAGGGUCCGAUCUACAGGUUGAGCAAACUGAUUCAUGUUCCCGGCAAGAUUUCUUCACAAUCAAUAUGUUACUCAUGGAGCUUGGGCUCCUANNNNNNNNNNNNNNNNNNNNNNNNNNNNNNNNNNNNNNNNNNNNNNNNNNNNNNNNNNNNNNNNNNNNNNNNNNNNNNNNNNNNNNNNNNNNNNNNNNNNUAUGUGUAUUUGAGUUAUAUGGUUGGUUACCGAAUGUUGUUCGGAGUCCCGGAUGAGAUCACGGACGUCACGAGGGUUUCCGGAAUGGUCUGGAAACAAAGAUUGAUAUAUAGGAUGACCUCAUUUGAUUAUCGGAAGGUUUUCGGAGUUACCGGGAAUGUACCGGGAAUGACGAAUGGGUUCCGGGAGUUCACCGGGGGGGGGAGGGAACCCACCCCGGGGAAGCCCAUAGGCCUUGGGGGAGACACACCAGCCCUUAGUGGGCUGGUGGGACAGCCCACAAGUGCCCUAUGCGCCAAGGAGAAGAAAAUCAAGAGAGAAAGAAAAAAAAAAGGGAGGAGGUGGGAAGGAAGGGGGACUCCCUCCCACCAAACCUAGUCCAAUUCGGUUUGGGGGGGGGGGNNNNNNNNNNNNNNNNNNNNNNNNNNNNNNNNNNNNNNNNNNNNNNNNNNNNNNNNNNNNNNNNNNNNNNNNNNNNNNNNNNNNNNNNNNNNNNNNNNNNNNNNNNNNNNNACCCCAAGGCAAGGCCCCCUCCCUCCCACCUAUAUAUACGGAGGUUUUAGGGCUGAUUUGAGAUGACUUUUCCACGGCAGCCCGACCACAUACCUCCACGGUUUUUCCUCUAGAUCGCGUUUCUGCGGAGCUCGGGCGGAGCCCUGCUAAGACAAGGUCAUCACCAACCUUCGGAGCGCCGUCACACUGCCGGAGAACUCUUCUACCUCUCCGUCUCUCUUGCUGGAUCAAGAAGGCCGAGAUCAUCGUCGAGCUGUACGUGUGCUGAACGNNNNNNNNNNGAGACAAGGUCAUCACCAACCUCCGGAGCGCCGUCACGCUUCGGAGAACUCUUCUACCUCUCCGUCUCUCUUGAUGGAUCAAGAAGGCCGAGAUCAUCGUCGAGCUGUACGUGUGCUGAACGCGGAGGUGCCGUCCGUUCGGUACUAGAUCGUGGGACUGAUCGCGGGAUUGUUCGCGGGGCGGAUCGAGGGACGUGAGGACGUUCCACUACAUCAAUCGCAUUCUCUAACGCUUCUGCUGUACGAUCUACAAGGGUACGUAGAUCGCUCAUCCCCUCUCGUAGAUGGACAUCACCAUGAUAGGUCUUCGUGCGCNNNNNNNNNNNNNNNNNNNNNNNNNNNNNNNNNNNNNNNNNNNNNNNNNNNNNNNNNNNNNNNNNNNNNNNNNNNNNNNNNNNNNNNNNNNNNNNNGUCGUGCGCGUGGGAAAUUUUUUGUUUCCCAUGCGACGUUCCCCAACAGUGGCAUCAUGAGCUAGGUUCAUGCGUAGAUGUCUUCUCGAGUAGAACACAAAAGUUUUUGUGGGCGGUGAUGUGCGUUUUGCUGCCCUCCUUAGUCUUUUCUUGAUUCCGCGGUAUUGUUGGAUUGAAGCGGCUUGGACCGACAUUACUCGUACGCUUACGAGAGACUGAUUUCAUCGUUACGAGUAACCCCCUUUGCUCAAAGAUGACUGGCAAGUGUCGGUUUCUCCAACUUUAGUUGAAUCGGAUUUGACCGAGGAGGUCCUUGGAUGAGGUUAAAUAGCAACUCAUAUAUCUCCGUUGUGGUGUUUGCGUAAGUAAGAUGCGAUCCUACUAGAUACCCUUGGUCACCACGUAAAACAUGCAACAACAAAAUUAGAGGACGUCUAACUUGUUUUUGCAGGGUAUGAUUGUGAUGUGAUAUGGCCGACGAUGUGAUGUGAUAUAUUGGAUGUAUGAGAUGAUCAUGUUGUAAUAGAAAUAUCGACUUGCACGUCGAUGGUACGGCAACCGGCAGGAGCCAUAGGGUUGUCUUUAUACUAACAUAUGUGCUUGCAGAUGCGUUUACUAAUUUGCUAGGAUGUAGCUCUAGUAGUAAUAGCAUAAGUAGCACGACAACCCCGAUGGCAACACGUUGAUGGAUGAUCAUGGUGUGGCGCCGGUGACAAGANNNNNNNNNNGUUUGUGCUUGCAGAUGCGUUUACUAUUUUGCUAGGAUGUAGCUUUAGUAGUAAUAGCAUAACUAGCACGACAACCCUGAUGGCAACACGUUGAUGGAUGAUCAUGGUGUGGCGCCGGUGACAAGAAGAUCGUGCCGGUGCUUUGGUGAUGGAGAUCAAGAAGCACGUGAUGAUGGCCAUAUCAUGUCACUUAUGAAUUGCAUGUGAUGUUAAUCCUUUUAUGCACCUUAUUUUGCUUAGAACGACGGUAGCAUUAUGAGGUGAUCUCUCACUAAAAUUUCAAGACGAAAUUGUGUUCUCCCCGACUGUGCACCGUUGCUACAGUUCGUCGUUUCGAGACACCACGUGAUGAUCGGGUGUGAUAGACUCCACGUUCACAUACAACGGGUGCAAAAUAGUUGCGCACGCGGAACACUCGGGUUAAGCUUGACGAGCCUAGCAUGUGCAGACAUGGCNNNNNNNNNNAACGUUCACAUACAACGGAUGCAAAACAGUUGCGCACACGGAACACUCGGGUUAAGCUUGACGAGCCUAGCAUGUGCAGACAUGGCCUCGGAACACAUGAGACCGAAAGGUCGAUCAUGAAUCAUAUAGUUGAUAUGAUUAGCAUAGGGAUGCUUACCACUGAAACUAUACUCAACUCACGUGAUGAUCGGACUUGGGAUAGUGUAAGUGGAUCAUGAACCACUCAAAUGACUAGAGAGAUGUACUUUUUUGAGUGGGAGUUUAGCAUAUAAUGUGAUUAAGUUAAACUCUAAUUAUCUUGAACAUAGUCUAAGUCCACUUUGAAUAUAUUUGUGUUGUAGAUCAUGGCUCACGCGAUAGUCAUCCUGAAUUUUAAUACGUUCCUAGAGAAAGCUAAGUUGAAAGAUGAUGGAAGCAACUUUGUAGACUGGGCUCGUAAUCUUAAGCUAAUCUUACAAGCUGGGAAGAAGGAUUAUGUCCUUAAUGCUGCGCUAGGAGAUGAANNNNNNNNNNNNNNNNNNNNNNNNNNNNNNNNNNNNNNNNNNNNNNNNNNNNNNNNNNNNNNNNNNNNNNNNNNNNNNNNNNNNNNNNNNNNNNNNNNNNACGUAUAUAUAUAUAUAUGUAUAUAUAUAUAUAUAUAUAUUGAACAUUUUUAUAAUAUUUUUCGAAUUUACGGUUCACCUGAGCUCAUAUGAGCUGGGGUGCAAAAACAUCACGUCCCCAUUUAGGUCAUUUUUUUCUCAUUUCUUCAAUCAUUGACCGCUGACCGGAUACAUCUACGGAUAUUGAAGGAGGAUUUAAAAAGACCAGGUGUAGGAUAAAAUUUGCAAAAAAGAAAAAAAAAACUCAAGAUAAAAAUUGCGUACUCUCGAUAAAAUUGUGAAAGGAAAAGACCAGGUGUAGGAUAUUUUUAUGCUCGAUAAAAAGACCANNNNNNNNNNNNNNNNNNNNNNNNNNNNNNNNNNNNNNNNNNNNNNNNNNNNNNNNNNNNNNNNNNNNNNNNNNNNNNNNNNNNNNNNNNNNNNNNNNNNNNNNNNNNNNNNNNNNNNNNNGAGCUCAGGCUCGGCUGAACGGAAGAAGAGAUUCGAGCAGAGAAGACUUUCCACGUGGAUCUAUGCUCUGCUCAGCUGAAGGGAGUGGACUUUGGUCAAACGGACGACUUGGUCCAUGUAGACGCUCGAUGCAUCCAGCCUGGCAAAGAAGUCGCCACGUACGUGCGCCGUCGGGCAGGCUGCACGUUGACGUGGUCCGCGGUACAUGGGUCAUGCAUGUACACGUAUGCACGCCAAGCCACGUUAUCAGCUGGUCUAGUUGCGACGGCCAGGAUUCCUUCACGUGGCGGAACGGACGGCGGGUGCUCAACCUCCUCUGUUUCAGCUGCUGCCUGCGGCGGGGAGCGGGCAGGAGAAUGUAUACUCCUUCCGUCUUAAAUAUUAAACAUUUUUACAUAUUCCACAACAAACUAAAUACGAAGUAAAAUGAAUAAAUAUAUGUUUUAAAUUAUGUUUAUAUACAUCCGUAUGUACUCCGUAGUGUAUUGCCUCCGAACAGGUGUCUGUUGUCAGUAGAGAGAGAGAAGAGACACGAUUGUUCGAGAUUGGACACAUCCCUUUGCUAAUAAACUAAUCUACUAAUUAGUUUCUAACAGUAAGUACUAGUAAAUAAUGCACCAAGGCACACCAUUUGGAUGGAUGGUUAAACAAAAAUUCCCAAAAAUAAAUAAAAUCACACCAAAAAAAAAAGGAAAUCGGAGAGUCUAUGGUGAUGCUACUAGUUGAUUUAGUGUCCUGCCUUCGUGUUUCAUUAUAAUUAUACUUGAUCCAGGCAUUUUCUAAAAGUAUGAAAAUACACCCUAUAACUAAAUUAUUAUUUUUAUUAUAAUGCUGGCAUUUUAUACAUUUGGACAUACAUUAAAAAGUUUGACUUAGGAAAAAUAUUUAAAAAAACAAUUAAUUUGGAACAUAAGGAGUGCUAUUUUAGUUCCAAAAUGUCCCUUUUAACUUUCCUCAGUUAUUGAAUAUGUGCUCCAUUUUUAUCCUAAUUAGCCAAGUUCUUCUCCAGAGAGCCCCUAUUUUAUUAUGAUCUAUGAGUUUCAUAUUGUUUUGCAAUUUUAUAUGUGUACUGCACUACUAUGUUCGGACGUGUCAUGUUGUCUAUAUAUCAUUUAAACUCUUAACCAACCUUUCCAAAAAAAACCUUCUUUGCAAUGAAAAGCAAACCUCUUAGCCCCACUUUUGAGCAGAUGAUAUUUAUUGAUAGGAAUUUUAUAGGAAGAGACCUCCUAUAAAAGGUAUUAACAUAAACCCCACAAAAAACAAAAGAUAUUGUCUGAUAUCGUGGUUUUAGUUUAGUUUGAACUAAAACCAUGACUAGUAUUUUAAAACGGAUGAAGUAUUUUUUUUUCAUGUACGGUAUGAGCGAGGAAAAUCGAAAUAGAUAGCCAUCACGUGUGGACCUCCUAUAUGUCGCUCUUUGAGACUGGGCCGGCUCGAGUAGCGAGUAAUGUUGUACGUUAUUUUGGGUUAUUUGUCUUUUUGCAUUCCCCUUUGUUUUUGCAUUCCCCUUUUUGGGUAAUGUGCAACAACUUUAUUUUUUGAGAUGCAUCGCAACAACGAACUGUGUGAAGUUCAAAACCAUCUACAACAAAAUUCGGCCCCUCAAACGCCCGCAAAUGCGUCGAAAUUUGUAAAACUGGCUCCGCGGACACUGCUCAAUCACGUUUUAAAUAAUGCAUUCUAUAAUCGGAUAUCUCAAAUUCAUACAAACCAUGCAACUACUACGUCAAUGCAUUAUAUGCAUCGUCCAACUACUCCAUCACUACUAACAUGCCAUCGAACUAUCAAAAUUUGAUAUAUUUGGCUAUGGUGGACAUCAGCCACGGCUGCCCUUGCCUUUCCCGGGGCCCUUAACGUCCUUCUAACCGAAGUACCGGUUGAAGACGCAGUAAGGAUCGAGCCGGAUCUUCUCACCACUGAAGCUGUCCUCGCCGUCGCUCACCUCCUCCACCUCCUUCGUGGCAGUCGGGCCAUUUUCCCGCCUGGUCGAUUAUGCUCGCGGGCGCACGUAUUCCUCCGCUACUAUUUCUUCAAAAUGCAGGUGCGGAUGGAUUCCUCCUAUGGAGUCGCCCGCUCUGUCGCAUCAGCCGCCUCCGCGAGAAAAGCCUGGGUGAUCCUUAUCCUCUCCUUCCCAGGUCGGACAACCCGUUCUCGGUGGGACUCAAAGUCCGUCAAAACUGUCGAUGGAUCCACCCACCAGGACCUCGAUGAUCAUGUCCCAGAGGAACCGAGCGCCCGUUGAGCAGACGAUAUGAAGUCGCGGUGGACAGAUCCCGUCGUCGGCCGGGCGCGUCUCGUGGGAGCGGCGGAGUGCAACGCAAACCAUCAUUGCCUCCUCCACUCCGCAGAGAACGACCCCUGAGUCGAUGGCUCCAGACUGACCGGAGUAGGAUCUAAUGCCAUCCAUGCCGGAGAAGGCAGGAGAUCGUCGAAGGUGAGGUAGGGUGACGGAUGGGAGUGGAGUGAAAUGGUUAGGGUUUGAUCCGGCUAACAGAUGAGGAAGAAUCUAUCUCGGCUUGAUGCGAGCCAGUGUGNNNNNNNNNNNNNNNNNNNNNNNNNNNNNNNNNNNNNNNNNNNNNNNNNNNNNNNNNNNNNNNNNNNNNNNNNNNNNNNNNNNNNNNNNNNNNNNNNNNNNNNNNNNNNNNNAAGCUUGCCCGGCCUCCCUGUAUCCUCCUUGUUUUUCGGCUGGCUAAAAGGGUUUUCGGUCAGUUCGGGCGUUUGAGACCCGUUUUAAGGGUCCGGUUGAAUCGAUUUUUUAUGAUCGUUUAGUAACUGAGUGGUCUGACCGUACGUUUGAGACGGGUUUAAAGGGACCGGCUCUAACAAUUUUGUUUUCUUAGAUUUCUAAUAUUAUUUUUCUCUUUCAAUUUUUUCUCCUAAAAACAUCUAGUCGGACCCAUAUUUCACUCCUAAACGCCCAGAACUCCGCGCGGUCAGUCGGACCCCUUAUUUUUUGGGGGGUGAUCUGCGCCGGCGCGCCGGCCCAGAUUUUCGGCCGGNNNNNNNNNNNNNNNNNNNNNNNNNNNNNNNNNNNNNNNNNNNNNNNNNNNNNNNNNNNNNNNNNNNNNNNNNNNNNNNNNNNNNNNNNNNNNNNNNNNNNNNNNNNNNNNNNNNNNNNNNNNNNNNNNCCCCGCGCCGUCCGCACCGUUGGAUCCGCAUGCAUCAUUUUUCUCCCUAUGCAGCAAAAUUUCGAUGCCAUGCAGCAAAUUUUUCAACGGUUGCAACAAAAAAAAAUUGUAGCAAAAAAAAUAUCUACGUGAUCGUAGCAAAAAAAUGAAGCCGAUGGUACGUGGUAGCAAAAGUCAAACGCCGGUUGUAACAAAAAUAUACGUGACGUGUAUGCGACUUUUUAGUGAACGGUUGCAGCAAAACAUGAUGCCGGUUGUAGCAAAAAUUAACACGGUUGUAGCAAAAAGUAAAAAACAUCGAUUGUAAAAAAAAUCCGACGAACUAGAGUUGCAACUAAACUUAUAUGCAGCUUUUUUACUGAGACAAAAAUAUAGUAAAAAAACGCUUACAGCAAAAAUAACGCGGGUUACAACAUUUUUAGACAAAAAUGUUGCAUCCAUUGACCGGAGAAGUGCGCGGCUGGGAAAAAUGUUGCAAGGCCCGCGCGCGCGCCAGGAGGCGACCGACGGGUCGGUUCGGCCGGCGCGCGGAUGGGAAACGAUUCCCUAUUUUUUUUAAACGUACGCACGGUUAAACAUCACGAGCUUAGUAAUCACCGUACGCAGCAGUGGUAAAUUAGUCAAGGCCCAUACCGGGCGACAAGUCUAGUUAGCAAUCUCAUAAUUUAGAAUUUGAUAUAAGCAAUCAUAAGUUAGUCAAGGCGGACGGCAAAUAUGCACACUGUAUCCACUGCAUACGAAGGUGCGUAAGAGCAUACUAGCAAAAAAGACCGUGUGUUGCAACGAAAUAGAAAAUAACACACGCUUUGAACGUAAUAUAUUUUCACAUGGCAUCACAUUUGUGUUGUCGACGAUGGCCUCAGUGCUCAACACAACGAAAACACGUUUGAAUGUACAAUCACUCGAAAUAAGAUGAGAAAUAUGUUGUUUCUCCCCCACGAGAUUUUCCAAAGGUGUGCAUGUGUGGUUAACGAUGUUUUCUUUUCUCUCAAUUUGGUUUUANNNNNNNNNNCCGGAAAGAGAGAGAAAAAAAAGACCGUGCACUACAGAUUAAGUUUGCAUCAAAAGUAAUAUUUAAGAAGUAUUCAACAGCUAAAAAUAACAUCCUAUUUAGAUUCUACAUAUUUUUUCAAUCAAAUUUCAUAUAUAACAUUUUAAAAUUGGAGUUACGGUUUAAAAGAUAUGGAUAAUUUUGUUUUAGAUAAAAUAUGGAUUGAUUAACUAAAAAGUCAGGGUUUUUUUGUUAAAAGAAAAAAACGUUUCGGCUGACUUACAUAGGGACGGCGGGUUGAUUACCUAAAACAUGAGGGAUUUUUAUGAAAAAUGCAAAAAAACGGUUCGGCUGUGACUAAAAGAUGGACCGCGGGUUGAUUAUCUAAAAUUGUGAGGACUUUUCUGCAAAAUGACAAAAAACGGUUCGUUCUGACUUAAAAUUGGACCGCAGGUUAAUUACCUGAAACUGCGAGGGCUUUUCUAUAAAAUGACCGACGACGGACGCGAGAAGCGCUGCGCGCUUUAUUAUUAGGGGAGAAGAGCAUCUCUAACGGACCAUGUAUAAGGCUGGUCGUAACGGGGAGUAUUAUAUAGUUGUAUCAUGUAUAUGAUAUCAUUGUAUAAUACUAUCUUUAUAGUGCAUAGUAUAAUAAAAUAGUAUCAUAGAUGACCUUAUUUAUUGACAUGCAUGACACAUAGUAUCAUAACAUUUAACAUGUUACGGUAUCUACCUAUGUUACUCUAAUCCCCUCUCUCUUCUUUAAUUAUCUGCCACAUCAGCAUGUUUGCUAGUCCCAAGUAUAUGAUACUACCUUAGUUACUCCCACUAUGACCAGCCUAAUGUCUCGAUCCGUAAAAUAACCGUCAAAAUAAAGGUCGGGACGGAAAAUGUUGUCAGAUCAGAUCCCGCAAACGUGUUUGACCCGUAAUUUUUUUUAAGGUGCGCGGCAAAAUCUCCUCCUUAACCCGCGAAAACACAGGUUUCCGCCUCGCCUAUACGGUGUCCUGUAUCGCACCGAAACGGUUGGCGGGACGAAUAUUUCUGCCUAGGCCCUUUCCCCACCCCUUUCCGCCGCCGCGCCGCUAUUGGUUCCCCCAUUUCGCCAACGGCUCUGGAGCGCAGCUUUCAGUCGAAUCUUCAGGGAGAAUCGCGUCGCUGCCCUCUUCCGUCAAGUCGUUGCACCGGCUCCCCAGGAUCCGCCAAUCCACGGCGGCUGGAGAGCCANNNNNNNNNNNNNNNNNNNNNNNNNNNNNNNNNNNNNNNNNNNNNNNNNNNNNNNNNNNNNNNNNNNNNNNNNNNNNNNNNNNNNNNNNNNNNNNNNNNNNNNNNNNNNNNNNNNCUUGAGCCUGUGCGAGAAGCUUCUGCUCGAGGAUUCAUCCUCUUUGGAUGACUCAGAUGUUGAGAGGAUGCUUCUCACAUUUCGCCAGUAGAGCUUGGUGAUGGCCCUUGCCGUGAAGUAGCUCGAAGACGAGAACCGAAAGAGGUUUGCCAUUGUUCGUGGUCCUGCUCGGUUUUGGGACAAACGAUCCUUAAAUAACAUCAUGACAUGAUGUGUUAUUCUUCACAAUAUGAUUCUCGAAGAUGAGAGAUGCAUGAACUUCGAGUUCUUCUAUGACAAUGUGGGCAGCCGUGUCAAACCAACUAGAGACCCUAACUGAAUUAGAGCUUUUCUCCAGACCUAUAGGGAGAAUGGAAAUGCAAACACCCACUGUCAACUUCAAAAAGAUCUCAUAGAGCAUCAUUGGCAAAGGGCUAGGGAAUAGUAACAUUCCAUUUUUCCAUCCAUUUAUCCAUUCAUUUUCAUUUUAUUCAUAUGUGAUUUGUGUACGGGACAAGUUUUGUAUUCAUGUGUGACAUUCAUUUAGUUUGUUACGGUAAUUUGAAUAAUUAUUGUACUUUGGAUGAUUACUGUAUUUGUAAUAUUGACAUUCUGCUUAUUUUGCAUAUGAUGAGUAAAUAUGAUUUAUGGGGUAUUCGGUUUGCGGGUCGACAGGGUGCGCUUGAGCAGACCCCACAUUGAAGACCCGUAUAGUAGCAUCUUCUGCAAAUAUGGUUUUAUACGGGUUCAUUUUGGGGGUCUGCCUUUGUCCGCACCCAUGCCGGUCCAUAAAACCCGUUUUUCGUAAACUGUAGACGGCUUUUGCGGGUCCGCAUUAUACGAGGUGUGCUAGAGAUGCUCUAACAAGUGGUAUUUGAUUCCAUAGACAUAUACCAACAUCAACCGUCACACAACUGUUAAAGGCGGCUACAAGGGAUCAAUCGGAUGAUUUGAGUCAAUUUUAAACCGCCCCAGGGUCGUCGGAUAGAACCAUCUACAAGCGUCUGAUUUGUUCUCCCGAACAGCACAUUCCAGCACGCAAGACUGAAGAUCCCUCAUGGCAUGGUUCAGACCCAUCACAGAUUAUGGCGUCGAUGGCAACAUCGCGCAGCUCCGACGACACCCAUGGCAGUGUCAGGCAACUAGUUCUAGAACUUGGCACAAGCGUGAAAAUACGGUGAUAAUACCAUCUGUAUAAUGCAUUGGUGUGACAGUGUAACUCGCUUAGCCUGCACGUGGCGUGGGACCCACGUCCAAACAAAUGGCGUGCUUAGCGUAAGUCUCUAUGACCACUGGACCCCUCACGUCAGCAUAAAGGGCAAAUACACGAUUAGAAGUGUCGCCGCUUGGGGUUCAAACUAGCAUCCUUGCGCUAGCAAACAUGCAAUUCUAGCCACUCCACCGCUCACGAUUUAAUGUCCAUUAAAAACAUGGCUAAUAAUACAACCAACAAUCGCCUAUAAGACAUUGUCAACUCAUCUGGAUUGAACCUAAUAGACGGCCUGUACAAUAGUAAACUUUAAAUAUGUACUAGUUUAUUAGUAGCUAGCCCACGUUAUAAUGUCAUAAAAUAUCCUCGGUCUCGUGUUAUAGCCGACUCACUUUCUUUCUCUCUCAUCUUCUCUCCCUUUCAACUAAACAAAGAUCUAAUAUUUUAGUCCUCAUAAUUUGUUUCUGUCACCCUAUUAUAUUUGCUCUUAGGAUGCAUGCCCUAUCUAUUGUAAAGAAACAUGUUUGAUUUAAAUAGGUUGCAGCCUAUGCUGCACAUGUUACCUUUCUUUUAUAUUUUUAGAAUUUGUGAAAAGUACUUAAAUUAUAAUGAUAGUAAUAAAACUAAAUUUCAAACAUUCGUUAGUGUUAUAAAUGUUAUAGAUACAAAUAAAACUCAUUUAACGAAAUGUUCAUGUAAAUUCUAAAAUUAUUGACGUACUAUAUUUUAGAAAAUCAUAUAAAGAAAAUAGUAUUUCUGAUUAUAAAAUGUUUGUACAAUUUAGAAUAAUAUAGGUAUUUUCAAAAUUACAAUUCAUAAAUAUUUUUUAACUAUAAAUAUGUAUAUAUAUAUUGUUUUAAUUUAAGUAUAUUCAUAAUUAUGCAAAUUUUAAAAAUAAUGUUUUUCAUAUAUAUUUACAUCUGUACGGCAGGAGCGAAAGUUAUCACAAGUAAAUAUUAAUAAAAAAAAUUUAUCUUCAUAAUUUUGUAUAAUUUAAAUAUAGUUCAUGAGCUAUAUUUUUUUACAUUUACUAAACAAUUAACAAUUUUGUAUUUAAUAAUUUCCGAAAAUACAAUCGACAUGGAAAUAAGGUAAUAUUUUUUUAGAAACUACAUGAACAUAUUUAAAAAAUUAAUUUAUUUUAAAGUAUAUUAUUUGUAACACACGAAUAUUUGAAAUUUAUUUUUAUUACUGUGAUUACAAUUUUUCUAAGGAAAUUUAACUUAUGCAAAAUGGGCUAUACCGACUGCAGCCAAUUUAAAACACAGGAACGUGUUCCCCCGGAAAAAAAAAGAAAAAAAAUGAACGUGCUUCAACAGAUAAGAGAAAGUGAAUGGUGCGGUGAUUAGCGCAACCGGUUUGCUGACGUAGGAUAAGUUUUAUCGCCCAUUUUCCCUUUGUGCUGACAUGUGAAGCCCACUGGUCAUAGAGGCUUACAUAAAGCAAGCCAUCCGUUGGGAGUGAAUCCAACGUCACCUGUGGGUGCUAAUCAAAAUAUGGUGCCAUGAUAAAAGUAUAAAAUACUCAGACCCCGCAACGACAUCCGUCGGUCCAUCACCCUCGCACGGGGACAUCCGAGCCGUCCAGUCAAGGCGCGCAAGAUAUCCACUUGGACGGACUACGUUAAGUAGACCGCUCGACACUGCCGCUGGCCGCGGAGACUUCUUGCCAGCCAUGACGAUAUAUAUAGCUUAUGUGUUGUCUAUGGCCCUCUUUGGAUACUCUAACUCGGUUAGAGAUUAGAGUUAGAUUCUAAUCCUGGACUAACUUUAAACUAACUCUAAUCAAAAAUGUGUUUGGAUGAUAGGGUUAGAUUGUCAAUAAAAACACUUUUUUUAAUCAUUUGACUCCUUUAACUAGGAUUUGGUGUGGUGGAGGUAAAGAAAAAAGUAACUUUUUUUAGGCCCACCUAACUCUAACACAAAUAAGCACCUCUUGAAUGGGUUAGUUUUUUUUAAAAUGAAUUAGAUGCAUCUAACCAAUUUUAACCCUCCUGUUUAAAUAUUUCGGGGUUAGUUUGGUUCAAUCUAACCAAAUCUAAUUCUAACCCAUGAAUCAAAACAGACCUAUGUAGACCGAGUCAUCUCCUCGUUCUACUCUCGUCAUGUUGCGCUGAGCUCCCAGUGAACAUUGAAAAUUAAUACCGGCAGUAAGACUCACUUUGGUUGGGUUUUGUAGAUGGAGUAUACAUUAGGUAAUAGCAUAUGCAUGGUUGGCUUAUUUAAUUCAUGGUGGAGAUGUUAGCUUCAGUCACUCGACACGUCUUUUACCAGGAAGCGGGAGAUAUGGAUAUAUAGAUGGUUCGCCGUCGCUGCGUCGCACGUCGCCGUCUCGACUUGCACGUCCAUCUGUGGACGUACGGCCAUCCCGUGCUGCGGUCGGCCAAGCCCUGCCGUGCUCCGCCGUCGUCAAUGCAUUAUGCAUGCCAGCUAGCCGGCUGGCCGGAGACGGGCGUCGCCGUCGCCAUCGCCAUCUNNNNNNNNNNNNNNNNNNNNNNNNNNNNNNNNNNNNNNNNNNNNNNNNNNNNNNNNNNNNNNNNNNNNNNNNNNNNNNNNNNNNNNNNNNNNNNNNNNNNUCUUCAUAAUUUGCAGGUUCAUUGUUGUCUAACAACAUGAUUGAUAAGACGGGAUUACCGUACCACUCUGGAGCAGUGCGUGAUCUCGUCGACCUGCGUGGUUCAACAGAAACUUGAACUGGAGUUUCAUGAUCAUCAUCAUUAACUUCCUCCUCAACCGGCGUCGCAAUGACAGAGGUUUCCCCUUGCCCUGCGCCACCAUCCAGAGGGAUGAGAGGUUCGACAACCUCGGUAAGUUCUAUCUUCCUCCCACUCAAUUCUCUCGAGAGAAACUCCUUCUCGAGAAAAGUUCCGUUCUUAGCAACAAACACUUUGCCCUCGGAUUUGAGAUAGAAGGUGUACCCAACUGUCUCUUUUGGAUAGCCUAUGAAGACGCAUUUUUCCGCUUUGGGUUCCAGCUUUUCAGGCUGAAGCUUUUUGACAUAAGCAUCACAUCCCCAAACUUUAUGAAAUGACAACUUUGGCCUUUUGCCAUACCACUGUUCGUAUGGUGUCGUCUCAACGGAUUUUGAUGGUGCCCUGUUUAAAGUGAAUGCAGCUGUUUCUAAUGCAUAACCCCAAAAUGAUAACGGCAAAUCAGUAAGAGACAUCAUAGAUCGCACCAUCUCUAACAAAGUACGAUUACGACGUUCGGACACACCAUUACGCUGUGGUGUUCCAGGCGGUGUUAACUGUGAAACAACUCCACAUUGUCUUAAGUGAGCACCAAAACCGAAACUCAGAUAUUCACCCCCACGAUCAGACCGUAGGAACUUGAUCUUCUUGUUACGAUGAUUUUCCACUUCACUCUGAAAUUGCUUGAACUUUUCAAAUGUUUCAGAUUUGUGCUUUAUCAAGUAGACAUAACCACAUCUACUUAAAUCGUCAGUGAAGGUGAGAAAAUAACGAUAUCCGCCGCGUGCCUCCACGCUCAUUGGACCACACACAUCGGUGUGUAUGAUUUCCAAUAAGUCACUUGCACGCUCCAUUGUUCCGGAGAACGGAGUCUUAGUCAUCNNNNNNNNNNCUUGUGCUUCAUCAAGUAGACAUAACCAUAUCUACUUAAAUCGUCAGUGAAGGUGAGGAAAUAACGAUAUUCGCCGCGCGCCUCCACGCUCAUUGGACCACACACAUCGGUAUGUAUGAUUUCCAACAAGUCACUUGCACGCUCCAUUGUUCCGGAGAACGGAGUCUUAGUCAUCUUGCCCAUGAGGCAUGGUUCGCACGUGUCAAGUGAAUCAAAGUCAAGUGACUCCAAAAGUCCAUCAGCAUGGUGUUUCUUCAUGCGCUUUACACCAAUAUGACCCAAGCGGCAGUGCCACAAAAAUAUGGCGCUAUCAUUGUUUACUCUAACUCUUCUGGUCUCAAUGUUAUGUAUAUGUGUAUCGCUAUCAAGAUUCAAUAUGAACAAUCCUCUCACAUUCGGUGCAUGACCAUAAAAGAUGUUACUCAUAGAAAUAGAACAACCAUUAUUCUCUAACUUAAAGGAGUAACCGUCUCGCAAUAAACAAGAUCCAGAUAUAAUGUUCAUGCUCAACGCAGGCACUAAAUAACAAUGAUUUAAUUUCAUCACUAAUCCCGACGGUAGCUGAAGUGACACUGUGCCGACGGCGAUUGCAUCAACCUUGGAACCAUUUCCUACGCGCAUCGUCACUUCAUCUUUCGCCAGCCUUCGUCUAUUCCGCAGUUCCUGUUUCGAGUUGCAAAUAUGAGCAAUAGGACCGGUAUCGAAUACCCAGGCACUACUACCAGAGCCGGUUAAGUACACAUCAAUAACAUGUAUAUCAAAUAUACCUGAUUUUUCUUUGCCCGCCUUCUUAUCUGCCAGAUACUUGGGGCAAUUGCGCUUCCAGUGNNNNNNNNNNCCUUGGAACCGUUUCCUACACGCAUCGUCACUUCGUCUUUCGCCAGCCUCCGUCUAUUCCGCAGUUCCUGCUUCGAGUUGCAAAUGUGAGCAACAGAACCGGUAUCGAAUACCCAGGCACUACUACGAGAGCUGGUUAAGUACACAUCAAUAACAUGUAUAUCAAAUAUACCUGAUUUUUCGCCCGCCUUCUUAUCUGCCAGAUACUUGGGGCAAUUGCGCUUCCAGUGACCCAUACCCUUGCAAUAGAAGCACUCCGUUUCAGGCUUAGGUCCAGCCUUGGGUUUCUUCGGCGGAUUGGCAACAGGCUUGCCGCUCUUCUUCGAAUUUCCGUUCUUGCCUUUGCCAUUUCUCUUGAAACUAGUGGUCUUAUUCACCAUCAACACUUGAUGCUCUUUACGGAGUUCAGACUCUGCGACUUNNNNNNNNNNACGGAUUGGCAACUGGCUUGCCGCUCUUCUUCGAAUUGCCCUUCUUGCCUUUGCCGUUUCUCUUGAAACUAGUGGUCUUGCUCACCAUCAACACUUGAUGCUCUUUACGGAGUUCAGACUCUGCGACUUUCAGCAUCGCAAACAACUCGCCGGGAGACUUGUUCAUCCCUUGCAUGUUGUAGUUCAACACAAAGCCUUUAUAGCUUGGCGGCAGUGAUUGAAGGAUUCUGUCAGUGAUGGCUUCUUGCGGGAGUUCAAUCCCCAGUUCAGCCAGACGGUUUGAGUACCCAGACAUUUUGAGCACAUGUUCACUGACAGACGAGUUUUCCUCCAUCUUGCAAGCAUAGAAUUUAUCGGAGGUCUCAUACCUCUCAAUCCGGGCGUUCUUCUGAAAGAUAAACUUCAACUCCUGGAACAUCUCAAAUGCUCCAUGACGCUCAAAGCGACGUUGAAGUCCCGGUUCCAAGCNNNNNNNNNNNNNNNNNNNNNNNNNNNNNNNNNNNNNNNNNNNNNNNNNNNNNNNNNNNNNNNNNNNNNNNNNNNNNNNNNNNNNNNNNNNNNNNNNNNNGCUGGGAAAGUGUCCCUGACAGUGCUCGAAGGGAAGGUGUCGCCGUUCUCCAUGGCACACACGCACCUACUGCUUGUCACAAGGUACUGCUGGUGAUAGAAAGAGUGUGGAAAAGAUCCAAAGAUACAACCCAUAUAUAUAUAGUCCAAAGCCUCUUUUCUCUUCAAGAAAGAGAUUGGAGUAAUGCACUAAGAUUUGCCAUAUAUUUUUUAAUUAAUGCAGUGCACUAAAACUAUAUGCAACGUAUUGAACUACAUAUAAUGUAGUAGUGACCUUUCCAAUUAAUAGAGUAUAUUAAAGGUACAUGAUUCCAAUCGCACAACUGCCAAUUGCUUAAUUAGUGAAGUGCAUUGAAACUAAAUAUAUUGUAUUAAUAUUUCAUAUAAUGUAUUAAAACUCCAUAUAUUGUUGUAACCUUUCUCGUGGUCCUUAUGGCAGAAGCACAACUGUGCUUACCGUAGAAGCAGAUAUGUGCUUCCGCAAUAAACAGAAAUGUGUUUCUCGUGGAGCCCAGUUCAAAAAAGCAUAGAUGUGCAACGCAAAGGAAAAAAUCUUCUCCAUGACCUAGGAAAAACAAGGCAAAAACCAGAAAAACAUUCUAAAAUCCAAAAACACAUACAAGAAAAUAGAUGACCAAAAUUCAGAGAAAGCGUUCGCCACCUGACAUAUGGUGACGGCUGGACGGGUCCCUUGGCGCACUCCUAGGUUAGCAAAGGUGCCCCUUGAAGUGCCCUGAAAAGGUAACUGCUUGUUAGUGACUCCCGAGUGUGCCUCUUCGUCGUUUAACACACUAGAUUACACAACAACACAUAGGGCGUCGACCGUAUGGGCCGGCCCGGUAAAUCGCUUGCUUGCUCUCCUGCGAAAAAAAGGCAAGCUCGCUCGCUGCCCAUUCAACUAUGUGUUCGUUUAUCACAAAGACAAAAAACUACGUGUCUAUGGUUUUAAAAAACAGUUUGCUAUCUGCUAGACAAUUGUAUUAGAAAAGACGACAGGUUUCCUUAUUAAUUUUUAAAAAUCUUGAUAAAAUCAUAAAAUAUUCAUGAUUUUAAAAUUGCUCAAGGAUUUCAAGAGAGGUCCAUGAACUUGAAAAAUGUAAGGGUUUUGAAAAAAUGUUCACAUAUUUGGAAAAGGACAAUUCAGGAAAAUUCAUGAACUACUUUAAAAACAUUAAAACUCAGAAUUUGUUUUUUCUAAUUUUAAAAGUUCCUGAAAAGGAUCCUAAAUUUGAAACACCUUCAUGUAUUUGAAAUAAAGUUCAUGGAUUUGAGAGUUCAUAAAUUUGAAAUAGUUCAUGCAUUCCAUAAAUGUUCUAGAACUAGAAAAGGUUAAACUAUUUUGUGGAUUCAAAAAAAUCAUAGAUUUGAAAGCCAUCUAUGGAUUAGAAAAAAAAUCAUGGAUUAGAAUAUAGUUCAUGGGUUAAAAUUGUUCGUCAAUUUUUAAAAUGUUUACAGAUUUGAAAAAUGUUCGUGUAUCCAAAAACAUACAAUUCUUCUUUUUUUGCGAAUUUGUAGCACAAUGUCUGUUAAUUUUGUAAAAUUUCACAUAACUAAAACUCUUCUUUGGUUUUCAGGUGGUAGCUACUACCUAGAAAUGGUAGUAGAAUCGGACCUAUUCAGGGUCAGACAAUGCAUUAUAGACGUAUGUUGAUUUAAAAUGAAAUAAAUUAGAUAAAUGGUAAAUAAUAGCAAAUAAUAUAAUAAGCUAACAUAGAAAAAGGUAAAAUGGAAACAAGUAAAUUGAAAAGGCAAACAAUAAAAGAAAACACACACAAAAACAUCAAAACCAAAAAAAAAGAUGGAAAAAACUACCCAGGGAAAACCUAGUCCAAAAACGACGGGGAGAGAUAGUGGGCCGCGGCCUAGUUAUAUGUAGUGGAAUGGGGGGUGUGUGCCAUGUACCCUUUUGCAUAUUUGACAAGAGCAACUAAUUGACGAGCGCUCCUUAGGGAGCCUCCUAACGAUCACUCUCACGCGCCAUCAUUUGGCACGUUCUGAGCCGUCAUCACGUGUCGCGCUCUGACCGUUUUCCCUGGUUUGUUUUUUUGCACGCGUUUUCAGCUUUUUAGGUGGUUUAUUACGUGUUUUUUCGGGGUUUCAGUUUUUCAUCGGUCUUUCUUAGAUUUUGGACCAAAAAUACCUUUUUUGCGCUAAAAGACAUGUUUUUUUUUUCUUGAAAAGCAUGAUUUUGCUUCCACGAUUGGAACGGAUAUACUUUCUUGAGAGGCACGACGGUUCGUCUCAGAAAUGAAAAAACACGUUUUCUAUUUCUUUCGCGAGAGGCACGAUCAUGCAUCUCGGAAAAAUAAAAAUAGAACACAUUUUUUUCCUUCCAUGAGAGGCACGGUUUUUCCGUUUGUUUUUUUGUGUGUGAAAAAAAAGGUUGUCAAAACCUAUCAACAUGUGAUCUAGUUUUGAAGACUUCGACGGUUGGAAUCCAACGAUGAAAACAGUUUAAAAUUUGAACGUAUAAUUUAAGAGAUGAAACAUUUUGAAAAUAACGAAUCUACAAAAAAGGAGGAGCUCUCAGGUUACGACAACUGACACACAUGCAGUGCGUUAUUUGUCAAAACCUGAGGAGGUGAGAGUGAUCUUUAAAAGAAGUACUCCAUUCGUCCAAAAAUACAUGUAAUAGAAAUAAAUAUAUCUAGAUGUACUUUAGUUCUAGAUACAUAUAUUCUUAUCAAUUUGUGCAAGAAGUAAUUCCGGACGGAGGGGUACUCCUUAAUUAGUGAUUUGGAUGAUUGAUGCUUAAAGCGCGAAAUAGGAUUUGGCGUGACUCCCUCAAUAUCUAUUAAGGUGAUGCAAUCUCGAACCUGCUUGAACGAGGCCAUGCCAACCCUUUAUUUUUGGUAUACACUCUACCCUUUGGUUAAUCUACAUUGCUUCUCUAUUUACUUGAAAAGAAUGUAAGGUUUCAUAUUAUUUUUUCACCACCAGUUCGUCCAAACUUACUGAUAUGAUAAUGUAUCACCAUUAUUCACUUAUCUUCUAAAUCAAUUUUACUUUAAUUUGUCUAACACACUUUCAUCAAAACAUAAGGUAAAUCACAUGCAAGAUUGGACUAUAUACAUUUAUUUAUCGAUUUUGCUAAAGCACAUCUAGAAAUGACAUAAGUAUUACACAUCCAAGUCCUAUAUCAUUGAUUUUUAUUUAUAUGUUUGCAUUAAUAUGGAUAGAUAAAUCGCAAGCUUACGUACUAGCAUUGUCCUAGUAGUGAUGUAAAAAGGAGAAAUGUUUUGUCGCUAUUUAAAAGAAAACAUGGCACCAAUACUAUUGUUUUAUCUGCGUGUAAUAAACAUCAUAGCCGGCAAUGAUAUGCUGUCAUGGUCAGUUCAUAUGUGAGCAGUAACAAAUCAAUCGUGUUGUUUAGAUUCUUUGUUUCAACAUCAUUACCAGUGUAUGUAUUGUUUAGAUUGACUAGCACAAAAACCCGUGCGUUGCAACGGAGAAUACAAAUUAGAGUACAAAUCUCGAAAUUAUUGAUAUUUUUUAGUUUAUGUGAACAUUUUUUUUUAAUUUCAUUGACAUUUUCUUCGAACUCAUGAAUAUGUUUUUAAUGCAUGAUCAUUUUCCGAAUUAUCAAUGUUUUAUAUUUGCUAAAUAGUUUUUUGAAAAUCAUGAAUUAUUUUAUAAUAUGCGAACAAUUUUCUAAAAUAAUCCACAUUUUUUUGAAUCCGUAAACAUUUAAUGAUUUCCCAAAGCAUUUUUUGAAUUAUAGAACAAUUUACGAUUUCAUGAUUUUUUUUUUAAAUCGCAACUUUUGAAAUUAUAAUAUGCGAACAAUUUUUAAAAUCAUCCACAUUUUUUUGAAUCCGUAAACAUUUAAUGAUUUCCCAAAGCAUNNNNNNNNNNUGAUUUCAUGAUUUUUUUGGUUAGAUUGAUUUCCUUGGUAAGUUUGCCAUUGACCUCGCCGCGCGUCCACUCUAGCCCCGAACAGGCUAGCUGGCUUGAACGGUGAACCGAUCGACGGCGACGUGCGACGGUGAAAUCAUGAUAUCCCUGUGUGGCAAGCGUCCCGGUAAAAACCGCGUCGAGCGCAACAAACAGCAACAUUUGGUCCAUAUGAUAAUGGAAAGCGAGCUCGAUAAACCCCAAGAGAAUCUUACUACUGCUUUUGACGCGCAAGGAAGGAUGUUCCCAUGCAUCCUCCAUCCAUCGCCGUCCGUAAUUUAACCAACCAAGCGUGUGCCUUGGUGGUCAGUCAGAUGACCCGCCCUAUCCAUGCAUGACUAUACCUGGCUGAUGGGUUGGGAUACACGGUGCUUGUUUCAUUUUCCAACGACCUCAAGCAUCAGACGCGCCGGUCCGUGGCUCUAGCCGGCCCGACGACUGACCGCUCAUUCGUUCCCCUGGCCGUGAACCCCGCAACCGAGAUGGCGACAACGAAGCCCAUGCCAAAGAAAAAGUAUCAAAUCUAGAGAUCUUAAAAGCCACGGCCUUAAGUCUGACGGCGCAAGCUCGGACAUGAUCCUUAUAUAUACUGACCCUGCCAAGUAGAAGGGUGUUUUUUUCACUUUCAAUGCAUACCGCCUAUGCUACCAAGCAUCCUCAGGGCCCCCCUGCUAGCAUUCAUCACCAGCAACCGUGUUGUAUCAGCAACAGUUGGCUCUCUCAAGUACUCUGGCCCAAACACAACUAUGAUAGCUUUGCAAAACCUAUACAUGGACUGAAAGCAUAUGGACUUGUUCAUUUGUACAUACUCAUCAAUGAGAUCAUUGGAAACUCCAUAUGCAAGCAUCCGAAUGUUAGCAGUGCAUAUUUUAUAAGGGGAGAAGCCAAUCUUUCCAAGGUACCCCUCUUGCAUUUGAAAUAGUUAUCGUACUCGAUCACCCCGUCCCGAAUACGGUUGACUACAUGCCUAGUCAUGCAAAAACGACGUUGAAAUAUGGAAUCUUUGUAUAAAGCGGGUUUCGGAUCUCGAAGUAGUCCUUCUAGAAUAGGAAAUGUCCAUUCUCCCGGUUGCGAUUCAGCGCCGACAUAUGCCUCGGUAUGGAGCCCCUAAACUGCCGCCGGUCCUUACUAAGGUGGUCAUAGACGAACGCAGCUCCCACGAUCUCUUCAUCGGCGGAUAAAGAAUCAUCGAAAUCACAAAUAAAGUUAUCGAAGAAAAGUUCAUUGUCGGGGUCCAUUUGUACCUUGCGGGCAUCUUGGACAAAUUGGGCCAGUGAAAUGCCUCGCGCCCCAUCGAGACAAAGUAGCAGAGCUGGGCGUCGGGGACGGUGGUGGCAGGAGAUGAGGUUGCAUGGAAGGGUUAGUCUACGGCAGGUUGCCUAGCAGCGACAACAGAAAUGGGUGGCGGGAGUGGGAGGCAGAGCGGGAGGGAUCGUUGGAGGGGAAGGGAAAAAGGAGGAUGGCCUUUCUGCCACUGGCUGAAGGUCCAAGGGAAGAGAUGGGCGGGCAUCGCGCGCGUCCUUCCCGUGUCUGCGUUGAUGCAAAUCCGCCCUAAAUUUAAGUCUGCAAUGGAUCACGAAUGAACGAAAAACAGACGCGUGUUCGUUUGAAUCGACAUGUUGGACGAUGUUUUUUGUCCGAGACGAUCUAAACGAACGUGAGCGGAUGAAAGGGAUGGUCUCCUUUGAUAAAAAAUUUAGGAUUUGAUCCAUUCUGGCCAGUUUUCUACGAUAUUAAUCACUGAUUUUGGGACUCGGGAUGAUACAAACAUUCGGGGAACUUGGGGGCCGGUUUCGGGGACCUCAUCAAAACUCGUAGAUUUGGUCCAUUUUGGCCAGUUUUCUAUGCAAUUUCUCAGUGAUUUUGGUUCCCGGGGCCAUCCGAACGUUCGGGGAACUCUGGGGAGUGGUUGCAGGGACCUCGUGAAAACUCGUACAUUUGGUCUAUUGUGGCUAGAUUUCUAUGUUGUUACUCACUGAUUUUGGGACCCGGGUCGAUACGAACGUUCGGGGAACUUUGGGGUCCGGUUACGGGGACCUCGUGAAAACUUGCAUAUUUGGUCCAUUCUCGCCUAUCUCCUAUGCUAUUACUCAGUGAUUUUGUGUCCCAUGGCGCUACAAACGUUCGGGAAACUUCGGGGACCGGUUACGGGGACCUCGUCAAAACUUGCAGAUUAGGCCAUUCUGGCCAGUUUUUAUGCUAUUAGUCACCGAUUUUGGUUCCGCGGGAGAUCUGAACGUUCCGCGAACUCCGGGGACCGGUUACGGGGACCUCAUGAAAACUCGCAGACUUAGUCCAUUCUAGCUAGUUUUGUACCCUAUUACUCAUUGUUUUGGGACUCGGGGCGAUACAAAUGUUCAUGGAACUUGGGGUCCGGUUAUGGGUACCUCAUCAAAACUCACAAAUUUGGUCUAUUUGGGCCAGUUUUCUAUGCAACUUCUCACUCAUUUUGGUUCCCGGGGCGAUCCGAACGUUCUGCGAACUCCGGGGACCCGUUACGGAGACCUCGUGAAAGCUCGUAGAUUUGGUCCAUUCUGGCCAGUUUCCUAUGCUAUUACACACUGAUUUUGGGUCCCGUGGCGCUACAAACGUUCGGGGAACUUCUCGGACCUGUUACGGGGACCUCGUCAAAACUCGUAGAUUUGGUCCAUGUUUGCCAGUUUUCUAUGCUAUUAGUCACUGAUUUGUAUCCCGGGAUGAUCUGAACGUUCCGCUAACUCCGAGGAUCCAUUACGGGGACCUUGUGAAAACUCGCAUAUUUUGUCCAUUCUGGCAUGUUUUCUACGCUAUUACUCAAUGAUUUUGUGUCUCGUGGCGCUACAAACGUUCGGGGAACUUCGGGGACCGGUUACGGGGACCUCGUCAAAACUCGUAGAAUUGAUCCAUUCUGGCCAGUUUUCUAUGCUAUUAGUCACUGAUUUUGGUUUCCCGGGUGAUUCGAACGUUGUGCGAACUCCGGGGACCGGCUACGGGGACCUCAUCAAAACUCACAAUUUUUAUCCAUUCUGGCUAGUUUUCUACGCUAUGUCUUACUAUUUUGGGACCCGGGGCGAUAUGAAUGUUCAGGGAACUACGGGGUUCGGUUACACGGACUUCGUGAAAGCUCAUAGAUUUGGUCCAUUCUGCCCAGUUUUCUAUGCUAUUACUCACGGAUUUUGGGUCCCGUGGCGCUACAAACGUUCGGGGAACUUCAAGGAUGUGUUACGGGGACCUCGUCAAAACUCGCAGAUUUGGUCCAUUCUGGCAAGUUUUGUAUGCUAUUAUUCACCGAUUUUCGUUCCCUGGAUGAUCUGAACGUUCCGCUAAAUCCGAGGACCGUUUACGGGGGCCUCGCACUAAACUCGCAGAUUUUGUCCAUUCUGCCAGUUUUCUUCGCUUUUACUCACUGAUUUUGGGACCCGGAGCGAUACGAAUGUUCGAGGAACUUUGGGUCCCGGUUACGGGGACCUCAUGCAAACUCGUAGAUUUGGUCCAUUCUGGCCAGUUUUUUAUGUUAUUACUCAAAGAUUCUCUGUCCCGUGGCGAAACAAACGUUCGGGGAACUUCGAAGGCCGGUUACGGGGACCUCGUCAAAACUCGUAGAUUUGGUCCAUCCUAGCCAGUUUUCUAUGCUAUUAGUCACUGAUUUUGCUUUCCAGGGCGAUUCGAACGUUGUGCGAACUCUGGGGACCGGUUACGGGGACUUCAUCAAAACUCGCAGUUUUUGUCCAUUGUGGCCAGUUUUCUACGCUAUUUCUCACUGUUUUUUGGGACCUGGGGCGUUCGGGGAAUUUUGGAGUCCGGUUACGGGGACCUCAUGAAAGAUCGUAGAUUUGGUCCAUUCUCGCAUGUUUUCUAUGCUAUUACUGAGUGAUUCUGUGUCCCGUGGCGCUACGAACGUUCAGGGAACUUUGGGGACUGGUUACGGGGACCUCGCCAAAACUCGCAGAUUAUUUCAUUGUGGCCAGUUUUCUAUGCUAUUAGUCACUGAUUUUGGAUCCCGGGAUGAUCUGAACGUUCCGCUAACUCCGGGGACCGAUUACGGGGACCUCAUGAAAACUCACAGCUUUUGUCCAUUCUGGCCAGUUUUCUACGCUAUUACCCACUGGUUUUGGGACCCGAGGCGAUACGAACGUUCCAGGAACUUUGGGUUCUGGUUACGGGGACCUCGUGAAAACUCGCAGAUUUGGUCCAUUCUGGCCAGUUUUCUAUGCUAUUACUCACUGAUUCUGUGUCUUGUGGCGAUACAAACGUUCGGGGAACUUCGGGGACAGGUUACGGGGACCUCGUGAAAACUCGUAGAUAUGGUCCAUUAUGGCCAGUUUUCUAUGCUAUUAGUCACUGAUUUCGGUUUCUAGGGCGAUUCGAACGUUGUGCGAACUCCGGGAACCGGCUACGGGGACCUCAUCAAAACUCACAGUUUUUAUCCAUACUAGCUAGUUUUCUACGCUAUUUCUUACUGAUUUUGGGACUCGGGGCGAUACGAUUGUUCAAUGAAUUGCAGGGUCCGGUUACGGGGACCUCGUGAAAGCUCGUAGAUUUGGUCCAUUCUGGCCAAUUUUCUAUGCUAUUAGUCACUGAUUUUGGGACUAUUGGCACUACAAACGUCGGGGAACUUCUAGGACGUGUUACGGGGACCUCGUCAAAACUCGCAGAUUUGGUCCAUUCUGGCAAUUUUCUAUACUAUUAGUCACUGAUUUUGGUUCCCGGGAUGAUCUGAACGUUCCGCUAACUCCGAGGACCGUUUACGGGGACCUUGCACUAAACUCGCAAAUUUUGAACAUUCUGGCUAGUUUUCUAUGCUUUUACUCACUGAUUUUGGGACNNNNNNNNNNNNNNNNNNNNNNNNNNNNNNNNNNNNNNNNNNNNNNNNNNNNNNNNNNNNNNNNNNNNNNNNNNNNNNNNNNNNNNNNNNNNNNNNNNNNACCUUAUGAGCCGACGAAACCUGCAUUAAGGGUGGGUGCACGAGCUUUGUGACUCGCCUCCCCCUGUCGCAACCUUAUGAGCCGACGAAACCUGCAUUAAGGGUGGGUGCGCGAGCUUUUUGACUCGCCCCCCUCCCUGUCGCGAUCAUAUGAGCCUACAAAAUUGCUCGUGUUAUGAUUUGACUUUGGCAAUUUUUUCCUCACUGCUUACUCGUUGAAACUGUUUGUGAUUCUUUUAUUUUCACAGAUAAUGUGCUCAAGGUUUUCAUCCUUGGCGGGUUGAGCAUUUUAGGCGAUUCUGAUAAAGGUUAACCAAAUAUUUUAAACCGCCUCAAAAACGGCAUAAGGUUUUUUUUGCAGAAGAUGUCAUCAAAAGAUAGUACUGACUAUUACAUGGCUCUUGGGCCAAAUUCAAGGAAAACCUAUUCCGCUAAGUUCUGGCGUGAGCUCUGACCAGCUUCGAUUUGUAAAUCGCCCAAGACCCAAUUGCAUGUGGACAAAGAGGCGAAAUCGUCUUCAUCGGUCAAGAUUGAUGCCAGGUCUGUUUCCCAGUCAAAGGGAUUCUUGGGUCGCCGAGGGAUAAGGUUGGUCACCACGAAGGUUGGCGGGUUGAUUUUCUUGUUCUUUUCAUCGUAAGCCGCCUGAUAUUUUGUCAAGUCGAGGCUGGCGGCGAGUUGAGUCGCGGCCAGUCGAGAAUCCUUGACAACCUUCUGGUAGUCUUCUUCCACGAACUCCGAGCCGUCAUCUUUAAGCUGAGGGAAGCCGGCAGCUACUUCUUCCAAAUUAAUUUCUGGAGCAUACGCUAGGCAGCGACUCAGAGCCGUCAGGACACCCUUCCGGGCGGCUGAUCGGGUUAACUCGCCGAUCUGGGGAGGCAGUGUGGAUAGAUAUCCAAGCACCUUUUUGAUAGAAGUUAUGGGCUCCUUUGCACCGAUCACAGCUUUGACGGUCAGCACACUGCCUGUGUACAGUUGUUCCGUCAGUGUAUAGAUCGCCUUCAGCAUCAACACGCUGUCGUCUUGCAGAUUGGCGACUCUCGAGCCUGUGAUCAAAUGACCAGUAAGUUAAACAUUAAGGAAUUCCUCCAAGGAAGAGGAUAGGAUUGGCGAGUUAGGUAAAGUUUACCAAAGAUGGCUUGUGUCAUGUUGGAAAUAUGGCGCUUUAAGCCGGAUAGCUCCUGCUGCACAGUUGCCAACUUUGCUUCUGCUUUUUCGGCUCUCGUCAAAACCGCGCUGUGGUCAGCCUGAGUUCUUCCUAACUCGACUUUGAGCUUUUCUAGUUCAGCCAGAGCCAGCUUAUAUUUGUCUUCCGACUGAGCUCGGGCAUCUUGUUGGUCAGCCAAGUUUUUCCUUAAGUCGCCCAGGACCAGUUCGGUCUGGGUAAGGCUUUCCUGUUCAAAAUUUAAAAACAGAGACAAGUCUCAGAAUUAUUGCAAGGCAAUACCCCUGACACUUGGGGGCUAAUGUAUAAUUUCUUAAGGGAAAUUAUACAGAAAUCAAGACCCGGCUCAUCAUUUUACUGAUGACCCGGCCCUUGGGGGUUACUGGUCGCAAAGCUUUUAAAAGACCCGGCUCAUCAUUUUACUGAUGACCCGGCCCUUGGGGGCUGCUGAGAAUAAUAUAGAGUAUGAAAUUUUACCUCAUGUUUGUUAUUUAACAUCUUCAGUAGAUUCUUUUCCAUCUCGUAACUCGCUUCCAGGCGACUUGCGAAGCCAGAACAGAGUUCUUUAAACUCUAGACCUGCAUAGUCAGAAAGUUUCGCCUUGGAAGGCCCAGACUCGAGAAUUGAUGGAGAAGGGGAUGCUGUAUGCUUGGAAAGGAUUGUAUCUGCCGGCUUGGAGAAACCAAAACCAGUAAUGACCACAGCAUCUGGGUCAUCAGUUGUCGCCAUUACGACUGGUGAUCUAGGGACAUCCGUUGAUCCUUUGGGCGACUCAGGAGGGUUUGCUUGAGUUAUCGGCUCGUUUUGACUCGGAUCCUCUUGAGUCGGAGUAGCUUUCCUGGGAGGUUCAGGAGUGGCGUCAGGGUUUGAUCCACUGGUCUUCCUCUUUUUGGCUUGCGCCCUAAUAAAUCAGAGACAGGCGUAUUAAAAUAUAUAUAUAUUAAAAAGAGUAUUAUUCUCAAGGAUCAGGACACGGAACUUACCCCGGGACUCAGAUCAUUGGUGGAAGGGUCGACAUCACUGAGUCGCCAGAAGUGGGGGGAGAAUCCUGCAGAAUUGACACAUCGAUAAUACUGGCGGGUUAGGACUCUGAUCCAAAGCAGCACGAACAAUGGUUGCUCAAAUAAGAAAAGGAGGUACCUCGCUUGGUUUUCUUUUGUUCCUUGUUGGCAAGCCAGGUGUCAGGUCGCUAGAAUGACUUCGUGUUUUCCGUUUACAAGCGUGCUGCGUUUUCUUCAGUAAGAAAUUUGGGUCCAAAUGGGCAUUUGGAUGUGAGAGAGGUACUUUCCCACAUAUUCGCCGGGCCGGCUUAGGUGGAGAAGGAGAUGAAUCGGAAGAGACGGAUAUUACCUCGACAGAGUCUUCCUGGCUCUCGUUAUCUUCAUUCUGUUAUAAAAGGAGCAAGAGAUAAGUAAAGUUAAAAAGGUGAUGAGUGGCGAGUGAAAAUGAGGACGGAUUGGUACCUCUGAGAGUGCGUCGCCAGCUUGAGAUUCGUCGACUUCAGAUGGCUCGGCCGCAGCCGAUUUGCCUUUGCCUUUGUUUUUCUUGGAAGGCGGCUUAGCACUUUUCAUGGCUUGUUUCUUAGGUCUCCUAGACCAGAACUUGUCGCCUUUCUGGAAAGGGAUAUGGCAUGAAGUCAUGAUGACAGUAAACCAGAUGAAAUAAAAGUUGUUGGCGAGUUAGCUUUGGUUACCUUGGGUGCCGGGUUAAUCUUGCAGAAGGGCUUAAGGCCGAUUUGGCCGCAUUUCGCUGCAGGUUCGCCGGUCAGCUUCCUGAUGAUGGUGACUAUGUCUUUUUCCGUUAAUGCUGUGUGGAAGUAGCAUUGGGGAUGAUCCAGAGUACCGUCGAAAUCGCACAUCAGGCCGUCUCGGCGGCUCAGAGGAAGGAUCUGCCAUUCGACCCAGCAGCGAAUCAAGUCAACCCCGGUGAGCCCGUUGUUCGUCAAGGAUCUCAGUUCGGACAGAAUUGGGACGAAUUCCGACUCUUCUUCCUCGGUGAGCUUGUCACGGAGCUUGAAGUUGACUGGGAGGCGGCUUGGCCUGUAACCCUGAAGUUUGUUUUCGCCGGCAGGGGAUGUUUCCUUGCAGUAGAACCAAGAUUCACCCCAGCCUUUGGGAUGGCUAGGCAUAGUGAGUGCAGGGAACGGACUGUCCCUGCGACGCUGGACGUUGACCCCGCCGAGUUCCAAACUAGGGCCAUUGUGGAAUUCCGUCUGGCGAUUCAAGUGGAAGAAGUACCAAAACAGAGGGACGGAAGGCUCGAUCCGUAAAUAAGCUUCGCAAAGGACUUGGAAUUGACUCAGGUUGCUUAUGGAAUUGGGUCCCAGAUCCUGGAGUCGGACGUUCAUAAAAUUCAGGGCGUCUCUAAGGAAUUUAGAUCCGGGCGGUUUAAAACCCCGUUCUAAGUGUUCCACAAAAACUACUAUCUCUCCUUCCUUAGGGUUGGGUAGGUCUUCUCCUAACCCGGUGCGCCAUCCAAUGACGUCUUGAGGAUCCAAGCAGCCCGCUUUCAUGUAAUUCGCCAAAACAGCGUCGUCAACUUUGGUGGGGAGCCAAUCGCUCUUGAAAACGGCACCCAUGCUACAAAUAGGCAAGAAAAUGGUAUUACGUGUCUCGAGCAUUUAUUAUAUGAGUCGGGACUAGCUUCUGCUUAACCCGCCGGAUUGGGAGGCCGGGUUGGACUGAUGUGGCGACCUAUCGGAGCAGGGCUAUUUUCAGAAGCGAUGCUACUAUGGGUGGUAACAUUUAUUCUUUCCGAAACACUAAGGGAAGAACGAGGUUUCCAAACAGUUUUUUGCAAACAGUGAAAGAGGAAUGGAUCUAUCCAACAGCUAUAAAAGCUUACGGACGUGGCUAAAACAUGAGCGGUGUGUGAUCAGGAUGGUGCCUCAUGUUCAAAAAGACUAGUCUGUUGCGAAAAUUCGCAAGGGCACAGAUGGAUAGCAUUGUCCGAAACACUAGGUGCCCUAAUGGCGCUCGGACUAAUCAGUUCAACAGUUAAGAUGGUGGCGAACAUAGAGCUUCGAAGCUAUGGCAAUGGCGGCGGCAAGAACAAGAACUAAAUCUACCCUUAAAGAAGGAAGCAGUGGCCUAACCUGAAGAUCUGGGUCAAAGAAGGUUGGUGACGAUGGAGCCUGGCGACGGCGACGACGUGCGGGCGGCGCUGGAGUCCCUCGAACGGCGCCGGAGCUCUUCGAACGGCAGCGGCUUGCAGGCGGCGCCUGAGCUCUUCGAACGGCNNNNNNNNNNNNNNNNNNNNNNNNNNNNNNNNNNNNNNNNNNNNNNNNNNNNNNNNNNNNNNNNNNNNNNNNNNNNNNNNNNNNNNNNNNNNNNNNNNNNNNNNNNNNNNNNNNNNNNNNNNNNNNNNNNNNNNNNNNNNNNNNGGAGCUUCUCGGACGGCAACAGCCUGCGGGCAGCACCGGAGUUCUUCGGAUGGAGGCAGAGAUUGCGGCCGGCGGCGGAGCCUUAGGGAUGCGGAGCGUCUUUUCUCGCUGUGAUGNNNNNNNNNNNNNNNNNNNNNNNNNNNNNNNNNNNNNNNNNNNNNNNNNNNNNNNNNNNNNNNNNNNNNNNNNNNNNNNNNNNNNNNNNNNNNNNNNNNNNNNUGGAGAAAUCGACGGGACUGGUAGGUGGACGGUGUCAGCCCUGUCCCUUCCGCCUAUUUAUCAGGAUGGGCGCGGGGAUCGAGGCGCCGUGAGCGGGAACCGUUGAGAAAGAAAAGAUUCGCCAUGAUGACCUCCGAAAAUUUUGGGAUAAUGAUGCGCCCAAAAGAUCCGUUGAGAUUGUGUUGGAGUUCCCGAAAAUCGAGGGCUAAGGAGAGUACUGAUGGGAAAUGCGUUGGCGGCUCAGAGACUUUUUCCGGCACCAAUUGGCGAGUUAAGAUUUCUGGUGCAAGGAGGAACACAGAAGAGUGAAUCGCCUUCGACUAAGAUGGAGGCAUUGGCAUGAAGAUUCCAGUCAAUUUGGGGCCUAAUGUUGGGGAUAUUGCGUGCAGUUGUGACCCGCCAAAUAUGGGCCGGUUUACUGUUAAGGCGAUUCAUCCUUUAAGGCUAGUUGGACCUCUGUCCGGGCGGUUCAAAGUCGCAGGAUGGUUAUGAUUUAUGGAAGGACUCUGGGUUCGACAAGACGGCGACUUAGAGACCGCGGUGGUCACGAUUUGUAAAAAGGAAGGGAUUCUUGUAAACCCUAAGGCUUCGACCUAUAUAUAAAGGCGAGUCUGGAGGGGGAGAGACAGGUUAGAAAUCAUCGAGUGCUAGGUUAGGGCGAGUUACGCCUUCCUUGUAAUCGAAUCCACAUCAAUACGCACAAAGCAGGACGUAGGCUAUUACCUUUUCUCGAGGGGCCGAACCUGGGUAAAUCGCCGUGUCUCUCCCGCUUAACCCCUUUCAGUCGCCACCAAGGUGCGAUGGCUCCAGUACUAAGUCCUUUCACGAGGACAUCUGCCGUGACAAAACCACGACAAUGCCCGAACCAGCCGAUCCAUCCACAGCCUGGAAUGAUCCAUCAACUGACAGUGCUACCUCAUGUUCUGCUGGGUGUGGCCAAACCAGUUUGCACUUAGGAACAUCUUGGUGAACUGGCUGAUGCCCCAUAUCGAACACUAGAGUCUUUCCUUUUAGGAUCUCGUCGACACUUAACGAGAUAUGUUUGUACGUAUUAUAAUAGUUAGAGAGAAAGGACCGGGAUGUAUCCACCGGGGGAUGGUUUUGCCAUGCACCAGCUCAUUCCGAAGAUGCCAUAUUCGCCAAAGUACCAUAAUAAUCCUGCUUCUUAUGUCUUCAUGUGAGUCAGCAAGCAAAUGCAGUAGCCAUUCUGAUCUAGUGCAAGGAAUAUCCACCCGAUUAGGUAGUGGCCACGAGAGCUGCAUUGCGUCCCACAUUAGAGUGGCAUUAGGGCAGACCAACAAAGCAUGAAAUGACGAUUCCUCCUCUCUAUCACAGAUACUGCAGUGGCCGGAAUUCCCAAUGUGACGUUUGAACUUUUCUGCAUUUGUGGGUUGAGAGCCUGAGAUAACCUGCCAUGCAAAAUGCCUCAUCUUGGGGGGAGCAUCAGCACUCCACACCAACUUCCAGAUCGGGCGAUCGCCCGUGGGUGCAUCGCUUGCAGAACCGGGAUUAACCUGGUCCCUUACUGAUGACAUAGCAAAGUGGUAGGCACUACGGACAGUAACAUUCCCAGAUUUAUCCCAAGGCCAGGAGAUAAAGUCGUCCUGCUGGUUAGAGGAGGUGCGUAUCUUCAGGAUAGCUUCGAUGUCUGGUUGGCAAAAGUGUUGGUGGAGCAGGUUUAGCUGCCAAUUCCCCCGCUCAUCAAGGAAGUUCUGGACCCUGUUAAGACGGCAAUUCCGUUUAGGUAGAAUAGGAGUAAAUGGAAGACCCCUAGGGAUCCAAGGAUCCCUCCAAACUCGAAUACUUGCCCCAUUGCCAACCCGCCAAAUCAUUCCACGUUUAACUAAUUGCAGCCCGUGCUCAAUGCCCUUCCAAACUGCUGAGCUGUUACCCGGGAAAACUGUAUCCAUAAGACUGCCAUUAGGAAAAUACUUUGCUCGGAGGAGUCGAGCGCACAGCGAAUCUGGUGAUGUUAAAAGUCUCCAAGCCUGCUUUGCUAGCAAUGCCUGGUUAUAGGCACGCAUAUCUCGGAAACCAAUACCUCCUUGGGCUUUAGGAAGUGUCAUGCGCUCCCAAGCAACCCAAGCCAUUUUCUUCUUCCCAUUCUCCAUUCCCCACCAGUACUGUCGCAUCAUUUUAGUUAGGUCAUCACAAACAGAGAAAGGUAGCUUAAAGAUGCUCAUAACAUAGAUGUACCAUAUAACUUGAAUUCAAGUUUGAACUUUUUUCUUUUAAAAUGUUGUCAUAUUUCAUUUGAAAACUUAACGUUUGAAAUAUUUAUAUUUGAACUAUUGUCGCAUUUAAAUGUUUCGACCACUUGAAGAACUGCUUAUGAUAUAUACUAGUGGAAAAAAUGAAAACAAGGAUGGAUAUUUGAUGCACAUGGUUGGUUGGUGGCUGGCUCGGUAUCUCGUGGAUGCUGCCGCGGCGGCAGGAGGCUAGGGAGGUCGGCGCGGUAGCAGGAGGCCGGGCCGGCGCGGCGCAGGGCUGGAUUCCAGGCCGGCGCGGCUGGAUCCCACCCUCUCAACCAAACAAAAAAUGAGAUAACCCCACCCUCUCAAUCAAACAAAAAAAAGCUAUCCCGAGGCCCCAGCCACCUGGUUGGGUCUUCUUCUUCUUCUUCUUCCACAACUACCCUAAACUAUCCCUCCAACCAAAUACACCCUUGGCGUGCCCGUUCGGAAGCUCUCUGGCUUCCUGAAAUCCACAUUCAGGCAGCUAGCUUCUGGAAGGGUUGGAACACGUGCAGGGCAUGGUACGUAGUUGGAUAUGCCCUGUAAUUCUCAGGAGGCAAAUCAUCAGGAAUGGAAAAGCAGAGACGACCGUGUUUUGUUUCGGUAACAGACACAGAGGCGACAAGUUUUCAUGACCGUGUUUUGUCUUGUGGAAGGAGCCGUAGCUGCCCGGUCCGAUCCUAUCUCUAUCUGCCACCAUUGCACUUGCAUCUUUUUUAUGCCCGCCGCUGUCCUCUGAAACGGACAAGGAGCAUUGCACAUUCCAUCUUCCUCCUCCUCCUAAGAGGAAACAAAUAAUAUAGUGCUCUGCUUAACUGCUCCCUGUUGUCUGUCACCAAAAUAAAUACCUGCUCUUGUGUGACGGAUGGGAGAUUAGUGGGGAAGAAAAUUCACAUGGGCGGCAGCUCGCUCCUACCGCCAGCAACACGAUCGACGGUUAUCCAUAAUCCAGAUCUCUAGCACAUUCCGUACAAAAGCGAACCGCAAAAAUCAUUUGCAAUUUGCAGAAAAACGCUUUUGCGAGCCGACGUGAGCAACGAUCGAGCAGACCCAGCAAAAUGGGUGUGAAUAAUGGAUGCAUUAGUCCCGCUCGUGUCAUGAACCAAAACUAAUGGGUGCAUUAGUCCCGGUUCGUGAGGCCAGGACGUUGGCCGGGCCUCGGCAGGCAUCAGUCCCGGUUCAGCUGAGACCUUUAAUCUCGGUUAUAGCCACAAACCAGGACUAAAGGUGUUGCUUUCCUUUAGUCUCGGUUGGUGGCUGAAACCGGGACUAAAUGUUAGAUCAUUAGACCCGAUUUUAGACACACAUCGGGACUAAAGUUUUUUCCUAUAUAUAUCCACCGCCUCCUCCCAUUUCCUAUGUUUUUCACCCGUGGAAGCGUGGAGAUGUGUGCUACUCUGUUUUUGCCCCUAUAUGCACAUGAGGUAUUCGAUGAAAUGCUCGAGCCACACUUAAGCUUUCUCCUCUCCAAGCUUCAUUUUUCUCAAGAUUUGUCUAUAUUUGGCGAUGCACCAACUACAUAAGUGUUCUAAAAGGUUAGCUACUUAAUUCUUUCAUCUCUCACUACUAGUUUAGCUCAUUUCAAAUACUCUAGAAGUAGAGUGGUUUGUGGGUUUUAGUGUAGGAGUGUAUGUGGGAGUUCUUUUGAUUUAGAUGCACAAUCAAAGCUCAAAUUAACUUCUUAGAGUCUACACAUGUGUAGGAUGUCGUCCCGUCCCCGUCCUCACUGUCGUCGAUCGCCCGCGCCGAUCUCGUCGCCGGCACCACCGUGGUGAGAAUCUUAUUCUUAUUUUCUUUGUAAAAGAAAAAAAAAAUCCUACUUGUAUGAUUUAGAUAGAUACUUGUAUAAAUGUCUUACUUUUAUUAUUGUUUGUUAUUAUAUAGUGCGAUGGUUUUGGUAUCAGCCCACGUCGGCCCUCGUCCGGCCUGUGAUUCGGACGUGGUAUAUUUUCUUUUAUAACUAUUUAUUUUAUUUAGUGUUUAUGACAAUUAUGCCGACCAACGUGACACGGAUGUUUUUAUCUAGGAGGUAUGUGAACCAGAAAUUCCAACCGACCCUCUUGUCGAGAGGUUAAAUUUAGUUGAAAAAAGAGAACAAUUACUGAAAGAAAAAAUUGAAAAAUAAUUGAGGAGAAGAAUAUGGAAUUAGAGUUGCAUGAUGCCAAUAUCGUCGAUGAUCACAAGAUCAAGAUGGAUACAAUGCAGUUGAAGAUGGAUCAAUGCGCUUGAACAUGGAUGCAAUGCACUUGAAGAUUAGGAAUAUUAGAAAAUAUGACAUUGAGAAAGAGGCUUGGUAUCAUUGUGUUGUUGGGUCAAUUGUUACCUUAGUUGCGAUUUUGAUCACAUUUGUUGUUGCAUUUAAAUGUUUUACAUAGUGGUAUGUUGUUUUAUGAGAACUAUAUAUGAACUUUAUGUAUUUAUUUUUGCAGCAAUAACAUUUGAUCACUACUAUACUUUGGCUUUAAUGUGAUGAUGAACUUGUACUAUUUUGGUCAUUUCUCUAUUCAUAAUGUUCUGCAAUGGUUUUUGAUAUACUUAAUUUCAUAAUACAGAUGAACCGUCAAUGGAUGUACGGUGACGACGCACUUCGGAGUACAUUACGGGCCUGCGUGAUUUUCUCGAUGUGGCCGAGGCAACCAAGCAGAAUGAUUUUAUGUAUUGUCCAAGUGUUAACUAUGAGAAUACGAAGGAUUACUCUUCCGCGAAAACCCUUCACGUCCACGUGCUUGAGAAGGGUUUAAUGCCUCACUGAUACGUCCCAAACGUAUUUAUUAUUUUUGCUUCUUUCAUGGUCUUUUGGGUGACAUUGUUAUAUGUUUUGCUACACUUUUGUAUUACUUUACACAUAUUUGGACUAACCUACUAACUCAGUGCAUCCAGUGUCACUUUCUGACUGAUGAUGUCUAUUUUCCGGGGGCUUUUACCUAAUUUUCCGAAGCCCGAAAAAAUCCAAAAAAUAUAUAUAAAAAAGCAGCGAAACAGAAGCUUUCGGAUCACAGAAGGAGGGCCAGGGGCCUUCCAGGCGGCCUGCUGGCGCGACCAGGCCCUAGGUCGCGCCAAGAGGUCGCCUAGGUGGGUCCCACCUCCUCCGGUGCCCUCCUUUGGUCUAUAUUUAGAGUCCCGAGAGGAAACCUCGCAUACUUUCUGGAAUCGCGAAUUUCUCCAUCGUUCCGCCGCCGCAGCGCUUCCAAGAUCGGGAGCGCUAGAAGACCUCUUCCCGGCACCCUGUCGGAGGGAGGAUUGACCUACGGGAGCUUCUCCACCACCAUGAACGCUUUCCGAACGUGUCGUGAGUAGUCCUCCUUGGAUCAUGAGUCCAUGACCAGUAGCUAUGUGAUGUAUUCUCCAAUCUUGUGCUUCAAUGCUUAGCCCUUGUGUCGUGGUUUUGUCACGACAGAUGUCCUCGUGAAAGGACUUAGUACUGGAGCCAUCGCACCUUGGUGGCGACUCAAAGGGGUUAAGCGGGAGAGACACGGCGAUUUACCCAGGUUCGACCCCUUGUGAGGAGGUAAAAGUCUACGUCCUGCUUUGGUUUGUAUUAAUGUGGUGUCGAUUACAAGGAGGGCGUAACUCGCCAAGCCUAGCACUCGAUGAUUUCUAACCUGCCCUCUCCUCCCCUGGGACUCGCCUUUAUAUACAGGUCGAACCCCUAGGGUUUACAAGAGUACUUUCCUUCCUACAAAUCGUGACCCCCGCGGUCUCUAAGUCGCCGUCUUCCAAAGCUUGGAGACCUUUCAGAAAUCAUAAACCGUCAUACGACCUUGAUCCGGCCAGGACAAGGCCCAAGUAAUUGUUUGGGUGAAUCGCGUGAUUGGUAACCCGACCCAACUAGGGCGGGUCAUUAACAGGUAAUAUCCCCAACAUUAGGCCCCAGAUUGACUUGAACUUCUUUUUCACGCCAAUACUUCUGCUUAGUUGAAGGCGAUUCAUUCCUCAUUUUUAUUCACACGUCAGAAAAUGUAACCCGCCAUCUGACACCGAAAACUCUUUAAGUCGCCAAACCAUUUCUUGUUGGCCUCUUCUUAUCCCUCGAUUUUUGGGAAGACUGUCAUAAUCCCAACGGAUCUUAGUGCAUCGUUAUUCCAAAAUCUUCGGAACGCCUUUAUAGCGAAUCUUUUUAUUCCCCGGCGGUUCCCGCUCACGGCGCCUCGAUUCCAGCGCCCGCCCUGAUAAAUAGACGGGGNNNNNNNNNNUUGUGGCAAAGGGUUUUUCACAAGUUUCAGGAGUUGACUACGAUGAGACUUUCUCACCCGUAGCGAUGCUUAAGUCCGUCAGAAUCAUGUUAGCAAUAGCUGCAUUUUUCGAUUAUGAAAUCUGGCAGAUGGAUGUCAAAACGGCGUUCCUUAACGGUUUCCUUAAGGAAGAGAUGUAUAUGAUGCAACCCGAAGGUUUUGUCGAUCCUAAAAAUGCUGACAAGGUGUGCAAGCUCCAGCGAUCCAUUUAUGGACUGGUGCAAGCAUCUCGGAGUUGGAACAAACGCUUUGAUGAGGUGAUCAAAGCAUUUGGGUUUAUACAAGUGGUUGGAGAAUCUUGUAUUUACAAGAAAGUGAGUGGGAGCUCUGUGGCGUUUCUAAUAUUAUAUGUGGAUGACAUAUUACUGAUUGAAAACAACGUGGAGCUUUUGGAGAGCAUAAAAGGUUACUUGAAUAGAAGUUUCUCUAUGAAGGACCUAGGAGAAGCUGCUUACAUUCUAGGCAUUAAGAUCUAUAGGGAUAGAUCAAAACGCCUGAUAGGACUUUCACAAAGCACAUACCUUGAUAAAGUUUUGAAGAGGUUCAAAAUGGAACAGUCCAAGAAAGGGUUCUUUCCAGUGUUACAAGGUACGAGAUUGAGUAAGACUCAGUGCCCAGCAACUAAUGAAGAUAGAGAGCAUAUGCGCACCGUCCCCUAUGCUUCAGCCAUAGGCUCUAUCAUGUAUGCAAUGCUGUGCACUAGACCGGAUGUUAGCGUGGCCAUAAGUAUGGCAGGCAGGUUCCAGAGUAAUCCAGGAGUGGAUCACUGGACAGCGGUCAAGAAUNNNNNNNNNNAAGGUUCAAAAUGGAACAGUCCAAGAAAGGGUUCUUGCCAGUUUUACAAGGUACAAGAUUGAGUAAGACUCAGUGCCCAGCAACUAAUGAAGAUAGAGAGCAUAUGCGCUCCGUCCCCUAUGCUUCAGCCAUAGGUUCUAUCAUGUAUGCGAUGCUGUGCACUAGACCGGAUGUUAGCGUGGCCAUAAGUAUGGCAGGUAGGUUCCAGAGUAAUCCAGGAGUGGAUCACUGGAGAGCGGUCAAGAAUAUCCUGAAGUACCUGAAAAGGACUAAGGAGAUGUUUCUCGUGUAUGGAGGUGACGAAGAGCUCGCGGUAAAGGGUUACGUUGAUGCAAGCUUUGACACAGAUCCGGACGACUCUAAGUCGCAAACCGGAUACGUAUUUAUUCUUAAUGGGGGUGCAGUAAGCUGGUGCAGUUCCAAGCAAAGCGUCGUAGCAGAUUCUACAUGUGAAGCAGAGUACAUGGCUGCCUCGGAGGCGGCUAAGGAGGGUGUCUAGAUGAAGCAGUUCAUGACGGAUCUUGGAGUGGUGCCAAGUGCACUGGAUCCAAUAACCUUGUUCUGUGACAACACUGGUGCCAUUGUCUUAGCAAAGGAACCAAGGUUUCACAAGAAGACCAGACACAUCAAGCGACGCUUCAACCUCAUCCGCGACUAUGUCGAGGAGGAGGACGUAAAUAUAUGCAAAGUGCACACGGAUCUGAAUGUAGCAGACNNNNNNNNNNCCAUUGCCUUAGCAAAGGAACCACGGUUUCACAAGAAGACCAGACACAUCAAACGACGCUUCAACCUCAUCCGCGACUACGUCGAGGAAGAGGACGUAAAUAUAUGCAAAGUGCACACGGAUCUGAAUGUAGCAGACCCGCUGACUAAACCUCUUCCACGGCCAAAACAUGAUCGACACCAGAACUGUGUGGGUGUUAGAUUUAUUACAAUGUAAUUCACAUGGUGAUUUGAGGGCUAGAUUAUUGACUCUAGUGCAAGUGGGAGACUGUUGGAAUUAUGCCCUACAGGCAAUAAUAAAUAUAGUUAUUAUUAUANNNNNNNNNNAAUCUCCUCCCCAUUAUCACAGCGAGGAAAUCUCAUCGCCUCCCGAGGGCUCCGCCGCCGACCGUACUUUCCGUCUUCGCCCGAGAAGCUUCGGCGCCGCCCAUAGGCCUUCGCCGUCGUUAAGAUUCUCUUGGAAUUAUGCCCUAGAGGCAAUAAUAAAUAUAGUUAUUACUAUAAUUCCUGUAUCAAGAUAAUAGUUUAUUAUCCAUGCUAUAAUUGUAUUGAAUGAAGACUCGUUUACAUGUGUGGAUACAUAGACAAAACACCGUCCCUAGCAUGCCUCUAGUUGGCUAGCCAGUUGAUCAAUGAUAAUCAGUGUCUUCUNNNNNNNNNNNNNNNNNNNNNNNNNNNNNNNNNNNNNNNNNNNNNNNNNNNNNNNNNNNNNNNNNNNNNNNNNNNNNNNNNNNNNNNNNNNNNNNNNNNNNNNNNNNNNNNNNNNNNNNNNNNNNNNNNNNNNNNNNNNNNNNNNNNNNNNNNNNNNNNNNNNNNNNNNNNNNNNNNNNNNNNNNNNNNNNNNNNNNNNNNNNNNNNNNNNNNNNNNNNNNNNNNNNNNNNNNNNNNNNNNNNNNNNNNNNNNCUGACACCGGAGGAAUACUUUGUGUGUAUCAAACGUCGCAACGUAACUGGGUGACUAUAAAGGUGCUCUCCAGGUAUCUCCAAAGGUGUUAGUUUAGUUAGUAUGGAUCAAGACUGGGAUUUNNNNNNNNNNACAGAUAUCUCCAAAGGUGUUAGUUUAGUUAGUAUGGAUCAAGACUGGGAUUUGUCACUCCGUGUGACGGAGAGGUAUCUCGGGGCCCACUCGGUAAUACAACAUCACACACAAGCCUUGCAAGCAAUGUAACUUAGUGUAAGUUGCGGGAUCUUGUAUUACGGAACGAGUAAAGAGACUUGCCGGUAAACGAGAUUGAAAUAGGUAUGCGGAUACUGACGAUCGAAUNNNNNNNNNNNNNNNNNNNNNNNNNNNNNNNNNNNNNNNNNNNNNNNNNNNNNNNNNNNNNNNNNNNNNNNNNNNNNNNNNNNNNNNNNNNNNNNNNNNNUAAAGGCUUUGCUUGGCUCAAACACAAAAAGAAACACAAAAAACACAAUCACAACAGAAUUAUGAAAGUGUGGACGCAACAAAACAGAAAGAAAAAGAUAAAUUCAUUGGGUUGCCUCCCAAUAAGCGCUAUUGUUUAACGCCCUUAGCUAGGCGUAGAAGCGAUAGAAUCACGUAUCGUCGUCUUUGGUGCUCAAACCAUAAGUGGCCCUCAUCAUGGAUUCAUAAGGAAAUCUUAUUUUCUUUCUAGGAAAGUGGUCCAUACCCUUCCUUAAAGGAAAUUGAAAUCUAAUAUUCCCUUCCUUCAUAUCGAUGAUGGCACCAAUAGUCCUUAGGAAAGGUCUACCAAGAAUAAUAGGGCAUGUAGGAUUGCAAUCAAUGUCAAGCACAAUGAAAUCCACGGGUACAUAGUUCCUAUUUGCAGUAAUAAGAACAUCAUUGAUCCUUACCAUGGGUUUCUUGACAGUAGAAUCAGCAAGAUGCAAAUUAAGAGAACACUCUUCAAUCUCAUUAAAACCUAGAACAUCACAUAAAGACUUUGGAAUCGCAGAAACACUAGCACCCAAAUCACACAAAGCAUUGCACUCAUAGUUUUGAUUUUGAUUUUGAUGGUAGGUUCCCACUCAUCAUGAAGCUUUCUAGGGAUAGAGACUUCCAAUUCAAGUUUCUCUUCAAGAGCUUUCAUCAUAGCUUCGACGAUAUGAUCGGUAAAGGCUUUGUUUUGGCUAUAAACGUGUGGAGAGUUUAACAUGGAUUGCAUCAAAGAAAUGCAUUCAAUCAAGGAGCAACUAUCAUAAUUGAAUUCCUUGAAAUCCACGGUAGUAAUUUCAUUACUACUCAAAGUUUUAACGUCUUCUACUCCACUUUUAAUGCUUUUAGCAUCAUGAUAGAUGGACUCCGAAUCAUUGGGGCACUUUUCAACCAAAGUGGAUUCAUAUCCAGCCCCAUAAUCAUUAGGUUUAACACAAGAAAACAAAGAUUCAAUGGGAGUCACACCAAGCACUUUAAGAUCUUCGUGAUUCUCAUCACGAGAACACGCCUUUUUAAGCCAUUCAUGUCUAGCAUGAAUUUGGGCGGUUCUUUCUUGGCUCUCAAUCAUGGAAACACGCAUAGCUUUCAAAGUUUCAUCCAUGUUGAUUUUGGGAGGAGCACAUCUAACUUUUAAAGCAUCAACAUCACAAGAAAUCCUAUCAACGCUCUUAGCCAAAUCGUCAAUUUUGAGUAGUUUUUCCUCUAUGGACGCAUUGAAAAUCUUUUGAGAGUUGAUGAACUCUUUGAUAUUACUCUCUAGAUCAGAGGGUAAUCUAUUGUAAUUUCCAUGAGUAUUGUUGUAGGAGUUGCCAAAAUUAUUAGAGGAGUUACUAGGAAAAGGCCUAGGAACAUAGUUUCCUCUAAAAGCAUUGUUGUUGCCAAAGUUAUUCCUACCAACAAAAUUAACGUCCAAGCUAGCGUUGCUACUCUCAAUCAAAGAAGACAAAGUCAUAUCAUUAGGAUCCAAAGGAGCACUUCUACUAGCAACCAAAUUCAUUAACUCAUCCAUCUUAGCACUCAACGAGUUAAUUUCUUCUACCGCAUGUAUCUUCUUACUAGUAGGUGACCUUUCAAUGUGCCAUUGAGAAUAGUUUGUCAUGAUGUUGUCUAAGAGCUUUGUGGCUUCUCCUAAUGUGAUUUCCAUGAACGUUCCACCUGAGGCGGAGUCCAAGAUAUUUCUAGAAACGAAAUUCAAGCCAGCGUAAAAGAUUUGAAUAAUCAUCCAAAGGCUCAAGCCAUGAGCGGGACAAUUUCUAAUCAUUAAUUUCAUUCUCUCCCAAGCUUGUGCAACAUGCUCAUGAUCAUGUUGCUUGAAAUUCAUGAUAUCAUUACGGAGAGAGAUGAUCUUAGCCGGCGGAAAAUACUUGGAUAUAUAAGCAUCUUUGCACUUAUCCCAAGAAUCAAUACUAUUUUUGGGCAAAGAAGAAAACCAAGUUUUUCCGCGAUCUCGCAACGAGAAAGGAAAAAAGCUUCAAUUUAAUCACGUCAUUAUCCACAUCUUUUUUCUGUUGCAUAUCGCAAAGCUCAAUGAAGGUAUUGAGAUGGGAUGCGACAUCUUCACUAGGAAGGCCAGAGAAUUGCUCUUUCAUAACAAGAUUCAGCAAAGCGGCAUUUUUUUCGUAUGACUCCGCACUAGUGGAGGGAGCAAUCGGAGUACUAAUAAAAUCAUUAUUAUUAUAUUCGAGAAGUCACAAAGUUUGGUGUUUUCGUUCAUGGUGACUUCAGCAAGCAAGCAAGCACACAAGCAAACAAAAAGCGAGCGAGAAAAAGGGCGAACGAAAAUAGCAAAUUGGUCAAGUGGGGGAGAGGAAAACGAGAGGCAACUGGCAAACAAAGUAAAUGCAAGAGAUGAGUUUGCGACACUUACUUGGAUGAGUUCUUGACUUGAUCUUCCUCCUCGGCAAUGGCGCUAGAAAUCCUUCUGCUACUUCUCAAACAACAGCGUCAGAAAUUGACACAUUGACGGAGAUUGGGCUUGCGUUGGUUUUUCCCUUGAAGAGGAAAGGGUGAUGCAGCACAGGAGCGGUAAGUAUUUCCCUCAGUUUGAGAACCAAAGUAUCGAUCCAGAAGGAGGGUCUCGCCAAGUCCAGAGUACCUGCGCAAACACAAACAAGCUUGCACCCAACGCUUCAAAGGGGUUGUCAAUCCCUUCAAGAUUGUUUGCAAAGUGAGAUCUGAAGGCGGAAAGUGCAACGAAGUAAAAAGUGUAGGCUGAAAAUAUGGUGUGGAGUAGACCCUGGGGGCCAUAGUGUUCACUAGAGGCUUCUCUCAAAAUAGCAAGUAAUACGGUGGGUGAACAAAUUACUGUCGAGCAAUUGAUAGAACCGNNNNNNNNNNNNNNNNNNNNNNNNNNNNNNNNNNNNNNNNNNNNNNNNNNNNNNNNNNNNNNNNNNNNNNNNNNNNNNNNNNNNNNNNNNNNNNNNNNNNNNNNNNNNNNNNNNNNNNNNNNNNNNNNNNNNNNNNNNNNNNNNNNNNNNNNNNNNNNNNNNNNNNNNNNNNNNNNNNNNNNNNNNNNNNNNNNNNNNNNNNNNNNNNNNNNNNNNNNNNNNNNNNNNNNNNNNNNNNNNNNNNNNNNNNNNNNNNNNNNNNNNNNNNNNNNNNNNNNNNNNNNNNNNNNNNNNNNNNNNNNNNNNNNNNNNNNNNNNNNNNNNNNNNNNNNNNNNNNNNNNNNNNNNNNNNNNNNNNNNNNNNNNNNNNNNNNNNNNNNNNNNNNNNNNNNNNNNNNNNNNNNNNNNNNNNNNNUGCCUCGCUACCCCUUCUGUCACUGGGUGAGGUCACCGCACGGUAUGAACCCAAAACCAAGCACUUCUCCCAUUGCAAGAAUCAUAGAUCUAGUUGGCCAGACAAAACCCACAACUCGAAGAGAAUUACAAGGAUAUGAAAUCAUGCAUAAGAGAGAUCAGAAGAAACUCAAAUAAGAUUCAUAGAUAAUCUGAUCAUAAAUCCACAAUUCAUCGGAUCUCGACAAACACACCGCAAAAGAAGAUUACAUCGGAUAGAUCUNNNNNNNNNNNNNNNNNNNNNNNNNNNNNNNNNNNNNNNNNNNNNNNNNNNNNNNNNNNNNNNNNNNNNNNNNNNNNNNNNNNAAGAGAAUUACAAGGAAAUAAAAUCAUGCAUAAGAGAGAUCAGAAGAAACUCAAAGAAGAUUCAUAGAUAAUCUGAUCAUAAAUCCACAAUUCAUCGGAUCUCGACAAACACACUCCAAAAGAAGAUUACAUNAGAAGAAGCCAUCUAGUUACUAGCUAUGGACCCGUAGGUCUAUGGUGAACUACUCAGCAUCAUCGGAGAGGUCAUGGUGUUGAUGAAGAAGCCCUCCGUGUCCGAAUCCCCCCUUCGGCAAGGCACUAGGACGUGCCCCAAAUGGGAUCUUGCGGAGACAGAAGCUUGCGGCGGCGGAAAAGUGAUUACGAUGCUCCCCUGAUUUUUUUGGGAAUAUUUGGGAAUUUAUAGGCGCAAGAUCUAGGUCAGGGGACCUCCAGGGGGCCCAGAAGCCUGCAUGGCGCCCCCCCCUAGCCGCGGGGUGGGGGCUUGUGGGGCCCCUGGGGCUCUUCUGGCUUGGCUCCCAAGUCCCCCGAUCUUCUUCCGUUCCAGAAAAAAUCUUUUCGGGAAUUUUCUUCCGUUUGGACUCCAUUUCAAAAUCUCCUCUGAAAGGGGUCAAAAACAUGGAAAAACAGGAACUGGCACUUGGCACUGGAUUAAUAAGUUAGUCCCAAAAAUAAAUAAAAGGCAUGCAAAACAUCCAAAGUUUGACAAGAUAAUAGCAUGAAACCAUAAAAAAAUAUAGAUACGUUGGAGGCGUAUCACUACCCAUCGACCCUAGAUCCAUAGUUUGUACCCCCUACUCGAGAUCAGUCGGUUUUGACACCGACACCCCUACUCGGCUAGCUUUUGUGGUUUGGACACGUCGGUUAUGCGUUCGUUGCUCUGUGUGGACGAUUCGAGGUUGGACUCACACCCUGUUAUGUAUGAUUUUUUGAAUUUAGUCCACAUUUGUCAUGGGAAUAAUAAGUUUGGGUUUGAGUUGUAGUAUUACAGGCACCGUCUACCUGUUUUCUUAAUUUAUGGUUGUUGGCUUAUUUUGUGAUAUUUUUAUAUCAUUUUUGUGAUAUCGCAUGAUGAGUUGAUCUCAUAAAAACUAAUGGUUGUAAAUUUUUAGUACAGACUAAAAAGACAUAAACCGAUGGCAAAAAUGACCAAUUUUAUGGAUGUGAACUUGACACAUGAUCACUUCUUUGGAUUGAGGGCUUCAAGAAAAUCAAUUUAAACUUCAAACAUUCCAUGAUUUCUACCCAAUCAUUACAAUAUCCAUAGAAUAUGCAUUCUUGUUGAAGAGUGUCGAUUUCAAGUCAAGCCAAAUGGUUGUCCUGAAUUGGCAGCAUGCACACCUCCCCGACGGCAAACAACUCCCGCGGUAGCGACGGAGGACUAGGAGCUAGGAUCACAUCAUGUGAAGGCGAUGGCUGCGAGGCUUUCUUCUUCGCCCUCUUCCUUAGAAACGAGCUUUCGCUGACAUGCAUAGCGAUAAUGAUGUGUGUGUGUAUGGGAGGGAGUGUGUGUGUGUGUGUNUGUGUGUGUGUGUGUGAGAGAGAGAGAGAGANNNNNNNNNNNNNNNNNNNNNNNNNNNNNNNNNNNNNNNNNNNNNNNNNNNNNNNNNNNNNNNNNNNNNNNNNNNNNNNNNNNNNNNNNNNNNNNNNNNNNNNNNNNNNNNNNNNNNNNNNNNNNNNNNNNNNNNNNNNNNNNNNNNNNNNNNNNNNNNNNNNNNNNNNNNNNNAGAGAGAGAGAGAGAGGAGCCUUUUGAAGAAAGGAAAAUCAAAUGCUCCCCGCGAAAAUGAGUCCCGUCACGAGCCCCUGCCGACGUGGUGGUAGUCGAAGCGCCGCCCUGCCGAUUCGUCGGUAACCGAAGCGGCAUCCGAUUGAAUCCGGAUUAGUAGACGUAGAAAUGCAUUCUGGAAAAACAGAAACAACUUUGAAAGAAAAGGAAUUAUCACCUUGGACACCUUUUUACUACUCAACAAUCNNNNNNNNNNNNNNNNNNNNNNNNNNNNNNNNNNNNNNNNNNNNNNNNNNNNNNNNNNNNNNNNNNNNNNNNNNNNNNNNNNNNNNNNNNNNNNNNNNNNNNNNNNNNNNNNNNNNNNNNNNNNNNNNNNNNNNNNNNNNNNNNNNNNNNNNNUCAACAAUCUAUUUUCAUUUUUGCGUAAUUUAUUAUUCAAUUCUUUUUGGUUGGCAUUGUUCAUCCGUGGACUAGAGCGGGGACGGCGUGGAUGUCCGUCCAUCUAUGGUCCGAUGGCCAGGUGGCGGCCCGAUCAGAAACGGACGGGCCAGAUGGAUCCCGGCCAUCCUCUCCCCCACCGCAUGCACCCCACCCCCAUCCCACCACACCACACCANNNNNNNNNNNNNNNNNNNNNNNGCCACCGCUUCCCCCCUCACUCCCCUCCCCGGCGACGGCGACGGCGACGAGCACCGCAUCCGUCCUCCUCCCAGGCCAUCCGCUCGCCGGCGAUCAUCCAGCUUCCCUUAGGUACUGCGCCCCCGAUCCACCCACCCACUCACUCAGCCUUCUUCCCCGCCGCGGAUUUCGCCGUCGCCGCGCUCGAAUCUGGGCGGGGCUCCGUCGCUAGAAGCGCGGGGUGUUAUUGCUAGAGCGUCCUCGUGGCGCCGUCUUCGGUCCCCGAUGAUCGCCUAGGAAUCGGUUUUGCUCGGUCUGGGCGGAGGAUGGGUUGUUUUCCGGUUCCGGACCACCGGUUGUACACACCCCGAUGAACCCCCCCUCGAUUUCUCCCUAGCUUUAGCGCGCACGGUGCCCGCGGAUCUACAACAUCCGCGUAUUGUUUUCGGCACAAGUAUGAGGAAACGGGGUGUUGCUUCUCUGGAGCAGACCGGACGCAGGUGUGUGUCAGCCAUGGGCAGCAUGUCAGAGUGUUAGCUCUGAUCGAUUUAUGAGUGUUUUCAGGAGCGUUCUUGCGCUCCAGUGCCGUUAGAUAGCACCCAUACAGCGAUCUGAAUAAGGCAAGACUGCUUAGUUAACCGGGGGUCUGAAUGCCGGCUCUAUAUCGGAUUCAGAUUCGGACGUCAGGCAGUAUGUUAUCUAUUUCCAUUUAUUUGCUUUGUGUCGUAAUUUCGUAGGACUUAUAACCAGCACUUCUGUUUUGUACCCGCGGUCGAAACAACUGACCGUGUCUUCAUUAUAUGUGUGCAGGCUUGUGGGGCUCGAAUGAAGGUGGAAGAUUGUUGCCACUGAUCUCCGGUGUAUACUUUGUAGCUCACAUAUGGAGACGGUCAAUGCAGUUGAUGGAUACAAGUUUGCUGACGAGUCUACGAGCGAUGUCCGUGUUUGCUUUAGACGGACCGGUAGCAACGAGCAGCAGCCAGAACGGUUUCCCUGCCACUCGUCCAUCCUCUCCGACAGGAGCAAGUAUUUCGCGGACUUGCUUGGUCGACGCGAUGUUCCUUUUGGUAAUAAUAACUGCAUUGAAGUCGAGUGCCCGAGGGCUGAGUAUGACCAUUAUGUCAAGUUGUUGAAGUUUAUGUAUCUUUCAAGAGAAUCGAUCGAGGAAGAGUUCACCUCUGUUAAGUCAGCUCUUGGCGUUCUUCGAGCAGCGACCUCUCUCAAAUCCGAGUUCAUUGCUGAAACCUGUAUCGGAUACCUUGAAUCUGCCUCCUGGGACGAAAAAGAGGAGGAGGAGAUUUUACAAUUUGCUCAGACCCUGGGUCCAGAAGCUGCUGCACCUUUGUUAGCCCGUUUGCAAGCUCCCAGUGCGAACGCUGUGAAGACUGUUUUCAUCUCCGCUGUACAUUUUGCUACGUCCAUGGAAAUUUCAUCCGCUCCCGUCUUUGAUGACCUCAAGACUGCUGCUCAAGAGCAGAUUGACUUCAUGCUCCAUGAUGGUGAUGAUCCUGCAAUUGUUAUGAUGGAUGAAGAUGUAAGGUCUGUCUUCAGGGAAGGUUUGACAAAGCUUUUGUCAACGCUUAGGACUGGACUAGAUCUCUUGGCCUCAGAGUUUGAUCAAUUGCCUGAACAAGCAGAGCAAAGGAUCCUACAUAGCUUAGUUGACAUUGACUGGAUAACCACUGUCUUGACAAAGAUUGAGUUGAUGAAUGAGUUUGUUUCUGGCUGGUUAGAAAUCUCAGACCAUGUCAUCUCAGUGGUUCAGGACGACAAGUAUAGCUCGGGUCUGUGGGCUGUGAAGAGGAAGCUUAUAGAAGUGACUGGAAAGGCCUUGGAUGCUGUUGGCUAUGGCUCUGUGGUUCUCCCAUCAACAUCCAGAACGCAUCUUGUGAAGACAUGGCUCCCGUACAUCCGAACGACAAAGCGCUUGCUUGAUGGUAAGACAAAAGACGAUGCAUUUCCUCAGAUGGAUGCGAACUUGUGCCAGAACAUUGAGAGUGCAAUCGUUUCGAUGGUUUUAGCAUUGCCUUCGGGUGACCAGUCGGAUAUCCUGUCGGACUGGAUGCAGAAAGCAGACCAGUUCAGAUAUCCUGACCUCACUGAGGCAUUUGAGAUGUGGUGUUACCGCAGCAAAACAGCAAUCAGACGGCUGAAUGGGGCGAUAGAUAAGGCCGGCAACCCUAUCAGCUUGUAAGGCUACCAUUGAUUUAAUUGUAGACUGUAAGAGUGAUAUUAGCCGGUUAUACCAACCAAGUUCUCAUUGUUGGAUGUUGUUGUUGUUGUGGAUGUUGUAAAACAAUCACCCAUGUUCAAUACAGUUCAGUUCUUCUGCAGUAUGCUCUUGUCGAAAACCACCGGGUUUGUCUAUUUAUUAUACUCGUGUAGAGAUAGUAUCUCAGCAUCAGCAGUGUUGAAAAGCCUAUAAUUAUUGUUUUAGUGAUACUCAUGUUGAAAAAAAAAUUCCCUUAUUACAUUGUAAACCAGGUUAAGAGUUCCUGGACCGAGUGACUCCCAGUUCCAAUCAGGUCUGGCAAACCUUUGUUCCUGAGGAUCGCUUAAGCAUGGAUCCUGAAGGACUUCGUUCUGUGGCAUGNAUGUUCCCAAAAAUGGUUGCUUCCGUUUAAUACUAGUAAGCAAAUAGCAUGAUCUAAAGAACUCUUAGCUAGUUUAUUUCCUUAACAGGGGAAAUCUGGCAACAUGAUAUAUUAAAAAUUCCUACCGAUAAAAUAAUCGAAAUGUUUAUCAGGCUUUUAUGGUGUUCACCAUAUGCCUACCUAUUCCUUUUUCUUUCGCACAUUCAUUGGUUAUCAAGUUUGCGCUUUGCUAUAUGCAUUAGAGGGGAAGUCAUUCUUUAUACUAGCAUUCUUGCACAGCUUAAUGAAAGUGGUCCAUGCCUCCUCAGGUAGGUUUGGGAAAUUUUAGUUGCUAGAGACCAUUGUCUUCACUAAACCGCCCGAUUCGAAAACAACACUAAAUUACGGGCCAUCCUAACCCAGCUGCUCAUGCAUCAUUAGCCCACUUGACCUCCCAAUCAAACGAAACCAUUUGGGGUUUGGCAACUUGUGUGAAAGCAGGGCAUUCGUUAGUUGUCCCAUUGCCACGCAGGAAUCUUCUUGGCCUUUUUCAGCUAUAUAACCUGCAACUGAUUGAAGCAAUCAUGAGGCCAAUCUUGCGCUAAUCAUAUCCUAACAUCAUUCCAAGCACCUUGUUAAGUACGAAUAGUAGGUUCGGUUACGUGCUUAAUUCGUCGAAAGCCGCUUUGGGUUUGUGAUUAUUAUGAUUAGCAGGGGAGGGGCAGGAGAUGAUUGCUGGGAAAUGCCCAUCCAGCUUAAUCCUGCCCAAUCUCCUGAUGUGUUAGGGCUAGCCGAAAAAGCGAGCUUUCCUCGUAGUGGAACGCAAAGCGGAUGAUUAACAAGCGUUUUUUUCGCGCUAAUAUAAGAAAUCUCUUCUUCUUUUAUCGAUGACUUUUUCCCGCCCGUGCAUCGUGAGAUAUAAGAAAUUGCAAGCUGCUCCAUUUGGGAUUGGGAACCAAAUCCAAGGCUCCCUUUUCUCUGCAGUUACAGACAAGCAGUUUGAUUCCUGGCAUGAUUAGCUGACGUGCAAACAGUGAAUGAACUGCACUAAUGCAAUGUGCCAACCCAAAAAAGAAGAGUAUCUAUCUAUGUAGCUCAAUGGGCUGGGAUCAUUAUUCAUGCUAGUGGAGUUGAACAUUUGAGCUAAUCUAUUGCAAUCUAGCUUGUGUGAUUGAUGGACAGGGAAGAUCGGCAUGUGACAUGCAGGCUGCUCAUGAACGCACUGGCAUUAUAUUUUUGCACUGACAGUAUAUAUAUAUUGAUAUUGGUAUGUGUAUUUACAUCUUAUACUCUUAUACAUAUAUAUGUAUAUAUGCUACUGCUGCUAAUUCUACUGUGAUAUAUUUUCUGAAACUAACAUCUAGCCUCCGUUUUCAGGUUCCGCGGCAUCUCGGGGCCGUUCGUCGAUCAAAAUUAACCUUCCGGUGCUCGGAUCUAGGCGAUGGCCAUGCCGCGGUCGGCGUUGGAGCUCUGGACCUGGAACCUGAAGCUGGUGACAGGGAGGCUCAUCUCCUUCUCCUUCUCCUUCUCCUCCGCGGCGAUGCCCUCGGAGAAGCUCCACAGCCUGGAGGCCUCCUCGGCGCUGGACGCCAGCCUCGACGGCGCCGCCUCGUUGCAGUCGGCGAAGUACCUCCCCGACACCCCCGCCACCGCCGGGUGCACCGCCGCGUAACACGUCGUUGCCGCCGCCUGGACAUGCACACACACACAUAAGGGUCAGCAUUCCGGCCGUAGAAAGUGUUGAUCGGCUGAAGUGAAGUGAGGAGGGAGUGACUGACCUGGGGAACCGUCUUGAGGAGCUUGGACGCCAGGAAGAACACCGCGUCUGCAGUUGUUCCAGGGUAUAAUAAUAAGAUCGUUUGCCACUUUUUUUUUUUUGUUGACCCGAGUCGGAAAACUCCGUCGCCGACGCUAUGUGAGGCCGACACGUGACGCCUAGGCCCACGUGCCGGCCUCACAUCGACGACGACGGUGUUUUCCAACCUCGGACUAUUUUCGCGAAACAAGAGGGGAGGAGGACGUACUGGUGACGAUGCCGGCGCGGUCGCGGAUGAGGCGGGUCCGGACGAUGCCGGGGUGGACGCAGUUGGCCGUGACGUCGGCGCCCAUCUCCCUGAGCCGGCCGGCGAGGGCCGUGGUGUGGAGCACGUUGGCGAGCUUGGAGAGCGCGUAGGCCCGCGUCGGAUCGUACGGCCUGCCAUCAAGUUUGCACCAGAGCGUUCACGUGAAUCUCGAAGCACCAUAGAUGGGUACUACACACAUAGUAAGUGCAUGCUGUGGUGAUUAAUCAACAAGGUAACAACGAACGAACGUACGUGGCCUUGCGGGUGACGCGGCGGAGGUAGGCGAGGGGCCCGUCGUCCUCGGCGCCGGCGGCGAACCAGGCGUGCACGGUGGAGGAGACGUUGACGAUCCGGCCCUGCACGCCGGUGGCCCUGGCCGUGUCCGCCAUGGCCGGCAGCAGCAGCUUGGUGAGCAGGAAGUGGCCCAGGUAGUUGGUGGCGAAGGUCAUCUCCACGCCGUCCUCCGACACCGCGAACCGCUCCGCGUACUGCCCCGCGUUGUUUCUGCACGCACGAUCAGCUCAGUCAAUCACGGCGAUCGCCGGCGACGGGGACGAGGACGUGGUGGAUCGACCGAUUACAUGAGGAGGUUGAGGGGGAGGCGGAGGGCGAGGAAGCGGGCGACGAAGCGGCGGACGGAGCCGAGGGAGGAGAGGUCAAGCGGGAGCACCACGACGCGGUCGCCGUCCGGGACGGCGAGGAUGCGGGCGCGGGCCUCCUCGGCGGCCUUGAGGUUGCGCGCCGGGAGCACGAGCCGGGCGCCGCGCCGGGCGAGCACGCGGGCCGUCUCGGCGCCGAUGCCCGAGGUCGCGCCGGUGACGAUGGCGGUGAUGUGGCUCAGGUCGCCGGCGGGCAGGGUGGCCUCCUCGGCGGUGGUGCGCGAGCCGUAGCCGCUCGGGCCGGACGAGCCGGCCAGGUACCUCAGCGAGCUCAGCAUGGCGCUCAUGGAGGAGGCUGCAGAGGGUGAGAGAGAGAGAGAGAGAGAGAGAGAGAGAUGGGUAGAGAGCGGUGUGACCGGUGAGGGAGGAGGAGGAGGGGGUAUAAAUAGGCGGCCGGCCGGAGAGGUGAAGGAGAUGGAGCUCCGUCAGUCCGUCGAUGGCGCGCACGCACGCACGGUGCGCCGCUGAGUUGCACUAGGAGGUGCUCUGGAAAGCGACAUGCACUGCAGACUGCACGUACCAACGAUCGAUCGAUUUCUCCCUUGUCCAUUAAAACUUCGUAGAUCGCGUCAUCGAAAAUAAAUUGACCCUCAAACUGCAUUUUAAUAAAAAAAAAUGAUUGAAUGAUUAGGAAAAUAGUGAUAUUCCAGGCCUGCUGGAAACUUAAUGGCACGUCGUAUGAUGCUCACAUUUUCUAGAAUUUACCCUUAAAUUGUACUUUAAGAACUAAGGUGUAUGUAGGGAGUUCGUCAAUCUCAAAACGAUGUACCAAUUCGGUCUUUUGAAGGUACUCAUAAAGGCGAAUAUAUAUGCAAAUGUAUGAUCAUCUAUGUCUAUACUGUGCUAAUUCUUUUUACCUUUGUUCAUAAGGAGAAAAGGAGAUUGACUGAUUGCAAUCGUCUUGAUUCGGAAUAGUUCUGACAGGCACACCUAGCAUUACAAAUGUAGGCCUUUUUUGGUUUGAAGGAAUUUUGUAUGAAUUUCAUAAGAUAUAAUUUUCAUAGGUAAUUUUUUUUUAAACCAUUUGGUUUAGGAAAAAGUCCAGAACGAACCUUGAACUCGUAGGGGCUAGCGAAAUCGAACCCUGAACUGUCAAUCCCGGUAAUCGGCACUCUAAACUCUUUGAUCCCGGUCUAAUUCGAACCCUGAUGCGAUUUGGGGGUGGAAAACGCUGACGUGGCCAGGAUUUGCAUCAGAUGUGGGCCAAGGAGGCGAGCUUACUUAACCGCAGCGCCAGUUCUAACCGUUAUGCUAGUCUGAGACGAAAGAAAAGGGGAUCGAGUUCAUCCAGUUCUUGGCGGGGCAGGCGAUUUGGGAGUGUGGCGGCGUUGCGGCGCACGGCGGGGAAGAAAAUGUCGUGGUCUAACUGUGAAUCUUCCGCGCCUGGCUUCCGAGGAGCUUCUGGGAGAAGGAGGGGCACAGAGGCGAGAUCUCCGGUGCCAUACCGCCAGAAUCCGAUGGCGUAUGAACCGGAGGUGUUGUGCCAUUGCAAUCCGAGGAGGAAGGCUCCUAGAUGGAUAUCCUGGAGUCGUGCGAACCCAGGGAGGCGCUACUACUCUUGCGUCAAUGCAAUGGUUCGAUCUCUGUCUCUCUCUGAUUGUUUCUACUUUCUAUCUCAGAUUUUUUCCUGAUUUGCACCUUGCUCUCUGUGAUUGAUUUCUUGCACAGAAUGGAGAUGGAUGUGGGUUUGUUCAGUGGUAUGAUUCUCCAUUGCCCAAGUUUUUUAGUGACUUGAUUGGUGAUCUGCGUGAUGAAGUAUGGAGGCUGCAUGGUCAAGACAAUGUGCCUCCUGUGUCAGUAGAACAAGUGGAAGAGUGCAGAGACCAGUUUGUGUUAGUAGAGCCUACUGUGAAGGAUCUGCAGGAUCAGCUAAAGGAGAAGAGUGCAGAGAUUGCUGCUUUGAAGGGAAAAUUUGAGAAAGUGGUUUUCAUUGUACUUGUCUUUGUGUUUGGAGUAGUGGCUGGGAAGUUGUUUGCAUUUUAGCUUUCUGUGCUAGGUUUAGUGGCAGAGAAGGAAUGUAAUGUGCUUUUGCCAAGUUUAUUAGAAUGUUGGAAGUUUGUGCUCAGCAUUGGAAAGUUUAUUUCUUUGCAAUUGCUUUCAUUUUAAUUUCUUUGCAAAGUUUGUGCUCAGCAUGGCAAGGAACAAAGUUUCAGUACAUGAUUACAAAUGAGACAAUCUGACAACAAAAUAUAUCAUGAUUUAAAAGGAGACAACUGAUGAACCAAGUUUGAAACUAACAUUUCAUCACUGAUGAACCAAAUUUUUGCACCAUUACAUGAUCAUACAUCUCACCAAAAUAAGGUGCAUCACUGAUGAACCCUAAUGUUUGCACCAUUACAUCACUUUUGACAAGCACACAUAAGGAUCAGUCCUGACCACCACUUCCUGCAGUGAAGUACCUAUAGCUGGGAUAAUCUUCAGCAUCUUUUCUGCCCCUGUGCCUUGUUGCACCUCUUGCACCACUUCCUGAUGCUCCAGUUGUCUGCCUUGGUGGUCUAAACCUUGAUGGUGCAGUAGUAGCUUGACCAGCAGAUGCGUUAGUAGCUUGACCAGCAGAUGCACUUCCAGACUGUGAUAUAUAGCAGGUAUAAGCUUAAUCAGUAACAAUUUAAAAUGAACUGUAAGAAAAUAGCAGUACAUAGCAGGUAUAAGAAAUGAAUUACCUCUGAUGCCUUCCUUUUCUUGGUAGUCUUAGUCAGGUGUGCAUUUUUCUUCUUACCUCUUUCUGGGUUUUUCUCACAGCUUGACUUGUUGUGGCCUGGAUUGCCACACAUGGAGCAAGCAAUGAUAGUGCCAUGUCUGGUCAUUCUAUUGGAAGGCUUAGGUUUCUCAGUCUCUUCCCUCUUCCUGUGGUUCUUCUUAGGCCUACCUGGCAUUUUCACAUAUCCAGGAGCUAUUGGCCUUAGCUUCUCUGAAAUUGGCCACAUUUCAGGGCCUUCCACAGGCUGGAGACAGUGGUCAUAUAUUUUGUUGAACACAUCAACAGAGUAGCAAGGAUCAAUGUAGUCCUCAACUAGCUUGCCACACUUGUAGAUUGCUGUGAUGGCAUGAGAGCAAGGAACCCCUGCCAGCUGGAAAUAGCCACAUGAGCAUGUCCUUUUGUCAAGACUCACAAUAUAUUGUCUUUUUCUCCCUGUCAACAGCUUGAUUUCAAAGCCAUCUUUCCCAUUCCACAAGACCUCCAUGAAUUGGGUUCUAGCUAUGCUUGUCUUCAACUUUUUAAAUAUGCUUGGGCAUAUCUUUCCAUGAAACUUCUGUCCUUUGGCCCUUUGUUCCUGAAUUCUGGUAAAUACCUUCUUCCUAAUCUUCUCUUGCAUGGAUAUAAUUGGGUAGAACCUUGCUUCCACUAUAGAAUGGUUGAAGGACUCACAUAAGUUGUUAUCAACUGACUCACAUUUGGAACCCACUUGGAAAUAUGCCCUUGCCCAAUGUGUUGGCUCUGUUCUCAUCAUGUCCUUUGCACCUUCAGGUGUUUCCUGUGCUAGUUUUGCUUUAUAAUAGUUGAAAUCUUGUUGGUUAGAUGCUUUGGCUGCUUAGCUGGGCUCUUAAUCACUUCAGUUAUCACACCACUUCAAUCAGUAACAAACACAUCAUCUACUAACUGCACAUAUUCCUCUUCUUCUUGAUCUUGAGCUGGCUCUGCACUAAUGAUAUGAUCAGGUUGAGAAGCAUCAGAUUCACAUAUGUCCAUUAAUUCAUCUUCAAAGUCACUGCCACUACUGUUGUACUUAUCCUCCUCUUGAUGGUACUCAAUAUAGAUAUCUGCUACUCCUCCCACACAAAUAUAGUCUGCCAUGCUCAUACAACCACUGUCAUCGUGCAACAACAACAAUCCAUUGAUAAGCUGUUUACCAGGAAUAAGAAAAUACAACUUCAUCGAAUCCUUGACCUCCAUAUGAUCUUUAAGAAAACCUUUCACUUCCUGAAACGAGAGCUUGUCCCUCUCGAUCUCUGACAUCUCUUGAUCGCCCCCCACAUACUCCAAAUUAGAACCAUGGCGGACAAACUCCCCUCCAAUAUGAAAUCUCACAUUCAAAAUCUCAGUCGGGUCCAUGAUGAAACUGAAAUGCAAAGGAAAUAAUCACUCACGGAAGUAAUCAACCCUAAAAUCGACCAAAAUCGGAGGCAAAAACCUAGCUUUACCAGCACCAGAAAAAAAAACCAAUAUUCCCGCCUAAACCCUAACCCUAAUGCCACAGAAAGGCUCCGCACUACGGCUACAGGACGAGGAGAUGUCGGAGAACUUACAUACACCGUUGCUUCUCAUCGCGCGGUCACGAUCGUCGCCGCUCCGUUCAUCCGCCCGUCGCCAUUGCCGCCAUUGGAGCAGAGAAGGAGACGGGGCAGAGUGGAGAGACUGGACUGGUCGGGCUACAGAAUGGGCAGAUACAGUACUCUACCUGGGCUGCAGAGGAUAAGCCCAUCUUCUUUCGGCCCAUAAGCGCGACGGACCGGCCGAAAAACUAUCUCCCACAGAAAUCCCGGCCACGUCAGCGAAUCCCCGUUUGGCAAUAGGACUCAGGGUUCGAAUUAGACCGGGACCAAAGAGUUCAGAGUGCCGAUUACCGGGAUUGACAGUUCAAGGUUCGAUUUCGCUAGCCCCUACGAGUUUAAGGUUCGUUAUGGACUUUUUCCUUUGGUUUAUAGGAAUAGAAUACUAUUAUUAUGAAGGAAUUUUUUCUAUCCUUCAUAUUUUUGAUAGGAAAAUAAACAAUAGCGUAGACUCGGUGAUAAAAAAAUCCUAUGAUGUCAAGUAGAGGACAUCUUCUUUCCUAAUCCUAUUUAUAGGAUUUGAGAUACAUGCAUCUCACUUUGUAUGGCUUUUUCUAUUCUUAUUAUUUUUCUAACCUAUGAACCAAAAGAGGCCUUACAAGGUCGGUCAAUGUUAUGGUUGUACCACCAGUCCACCAAGGAGCAAACAUCCGCCUUAUUUCUCGCAUCGUAGCGAUCCAUAGACCAAUAACAGAAGAUGUUAAUCGACCUUGAGUCGGUGAAAUUUCAUAUAUGAAGAAGAUAUUUUGUCACUGUCGAUUCUGUUAUGGAGUAUCGAAUAUGUGGUUGGGUAGUACUGAAUACAUGCCGUUAAAACUGUAGAAAUUGUCCUUUUCUUCCCCUCUCCUGUGUGGCAUGGUGACCGGAGCGAAGGUCGAUCUACUACUCGCCUCCUCGGCGAGACUGCAUCCCCCCUCCCCCUCCACAUGUCCCUCCAUCGCUGUCGAUGGGAGGAGGGCGGGGACCCUUUCGAUGGAGGUAGGGUUAUGCAUAAAUUUGGGUUUUGUUUCUACCCGACGACAGUGGCGUAGCCAGGGGGUGGACAGGGUGGUUGAUGGACCACCCUGAAAUUCCACCAUAGCCAAUGUAUAAGAUAACAAAAAUUACAAUGCAUAAAAUUACAUGAAAUUUUUAUUAUUGGACCAUCCUGGCUCAUCGAGCUAGCUACGCCACUGUCCGGCGAUGGCGCCGUCAACGGCAUGGAAGAAUAAGGUUCUCGCCGUCGCGCCGAUGAAAGCAUGAGGAGGUGGUGGAGAGCGGCAGUGUGACGAGAAAGGAAAUGAUGCGAGUGAGGAUCGUCGGAGUCCGGAGUGUGUCAGCUAGUGGGCUGCUUCGUAUGCAUGUACAUGUACGUACAUGUGCGUCGGUCAAACAAUAUAUCAUCUUCUAAUCUGCGUACGCACGUACGUACGUACAUACUCAGGCUAGAUAGACAUAGAUAUAGCUAGCCUAUAUGAUGUGGAUGAUGGAGCACGUGCGUUGCGGCAUAUUUGCGGUCCACCGAUCCCUCUUGAGACUGUGUCGCGAGAUGGACGGAUGGAUGGCGAUGGAUCGUCUUGACCAGCAGCAGUUUCUCCCGCUCCUUCUCCGUCAACUCAAAUAAGACGCAAUUUAAAUAGGACAUGCUUCGCGACAGUAUCUACAAAAUCAUGGCUUUGUGCCGUUCUUCAUCCUGAGGAUGUUGUUUUGGAAUUUAGGUAUACUAGCAAAAUGACCCGUGCGUUGCAACGUAAGAAAAAAAAACAUAAACUUCAAUAAUGAUGACCACAUUAUGUUCACAUAUCAUCGCUUGAUUUUGAAAUUUUAUGCACAAAUGCAAGAAAAUGUUUCUUCUUUCAAAAUUAAUUCAUAAGUUGAAGCAAUCUUUACAUUUUUCAAAAAAUAUAUAUCAUGGUUGUCAAAAAUCUUGGUAACUUAAAGAUUUAUUCUGAAUUUCAAUAUAUUUUAAAAAAAAUAUACAAUAAUAAUUCGAUCCAUCCAACAGUUAAUUCUUCAAAAUUCACACAUGUAUAUUGUCACAAAGACUUAGAAGCAUUAAUGUUUAACUACAUACAUUAGAUCUUUCGUGAACAAUUUUACAAUGGAGAACAUUUUUUACAAUUUACAAAUAUUUACUAAAAAUCGUGAAUAUUUUUUAUAUUUCGAACGGGUUUAAAUAUUUUCUUUUGAAUUGGCGACCAAUUCAAGAAAAGACGAACAUAUUUUUUUAUGCUGGAGGAUUUUUUUAAAUUCACAAACAUUUUUUGAAACGCAUGAAUUUUUUCUGAAUAAACAAACAUUUUUAUAAAUCAGUAAUAUAUUUAUUAAAUUCAUGGACAUUGUUUUGGAAUUUGCAAAAAAUAUAUAAAAAUCCGGCGCUUUUUUUGAAUCCACAAACAUUUGAUGUUUUCGUCAGCAUUUUAAUUAAAAAUUCCUAUUUUUUAAUAUGCAAAAGUUUUUAUAAUUCUAAAUUAUUUAAAUUAGAAAUAAACAAAAAUGGAACGGAAAAUUUUAAAUAAAAAAAGAAACUAUCAAAACAGGCAUUAGCUAUUUUUAAAAUUUUAGGACAUUUUUUACAUGCAUUAAUAUAUUUUGAAUUAGAAAGCAUUUUGUUAAAUGCCUUCAAUAAUUUUUAAUACAUGGAAUUGUAUUUGAAAUCAUGGACUUUUCUUAUUGUACAAACAUUUUAUUGUAUAUGCGAGCAUUUUUUACAAAACUUCGAGCAGUUUUUGAAGUCACAAACACUUUAUUUUUCUAAUAUGUUGAUUUAUAUUUUUCAGUUUAUUAAAAUUUUAAAGAUUUUUUGAAGUUCUAAAUUAUUUAAAAUAGAAAAAUAAACGGAACUAAAAGCAGGCCCUGUGCAUGGGCCGGCCCAUACGGUUUGCUGGAUAUUCUCCCAGCUUGCAGAGCGUAAUAUAGGAGGUUUUUACAUGGGCCGGCCCAGUUCAAGAUUUUUGCUUUGUGAAACGUUUUCUAUUACUUACCGGUGGCAUGGUGGGUAAUUUAUGCAAACUUUAGGGGUAAUUUUCAUGACGGACGACCAGAAACCGUAUUUGCUUUAUUAUUAGGGAGAGAUUACGUACUAGGGCUUGACUUGACGGUGUUCUCAGUUUCUUCCGUGCUUUCUUUGGAUAGCGUAGUCAUGUAUAUUCUGCGCGAUCCGAUCAUCCUGAAAUUAGCUUUGUAAGAGGGCUAGUUAAAACACAAAGGGUUUAGGGUUUUGCGUAGGUGGUCUAUCCACCUCAUGUCUCCAUAUAUAUAUAUAGAUGAUCAGGAUCUUACAAUUACAUACGAGUCCCUGUAUGUACAAAUACAAUAUGAACUAGACCCUAUUUUACAUGCCCCCUCAAUCGGAACUACAUACAAGAUUCAGAUUGGUUCUAAAUCGGUCUAGCAUCUGUCGUGUAGCGGGUUUAGUAAAUACAUCCGUUAGCUGAUCAUCUGUUGAAAUGAACCUGACAUCCAAUGAGCCUGCAGCUACUCGUUCUCUCACAAAGUGGAAAUCAAUCUCAAUGUGUUUGGUCCGAGCAUGGAAUAGUGGAUUUGCCGUCAGGUAUGUAGCCCCUAAGUUAUCACACCACAAAAUGGGGGUGCGCUGCCGUGAAACUCCAAGUUCCCUGAGAACUGUGUCUAUCCAAAUGGCUUCAGUAGCUCCAUUGGCCAAUGCCUUAUACUCUGCCUCAGUGCUAGAUCUCGAGGCCGUAGGCUGUUUCUUAGAACUCCAAGAUAUAAGGUUAGGUCCAACAAAUAUAGAAAAAACAUCUGUGGAGCGUCUGUCAUCAACACAGCCUGCCCAAUCUACAUCUGUGAAUAUACUAACUCCAGUAAACUGUGAUUUGCGAAUUUGAAGCCCUGUGUUUAGUAUACCUUUCACAUACCUCAAAAUGCGCUUAACAGCUUCCCAAUGAAUCUCUGUAGGCUGAGACAGAAACUGGCACACUUUGUUCACGGCGAAGGAGAUAUCAGGACGAGUGAGUGUUAAGUACUGAAGAGCACCAACCACACUCCGAUACCUGAAAGAAUCAACAGAACCGAGAGGUGCACCAUUAUGGCGUGAUAAACUCUCGGACGUAGCCAGUGGAGUGGAGGUGGACUUGCAAUUCUCCAUGUUGACGCGAUGAAGAAGAUCCAGUGCAUACUUUAUUUGUGUCAGCAUCAUGCCCCCAGAAUGAAAGGACGCUUCCAAUCCAAGAAAGUACUCAAGUAGGCCCAUAUCCUUGAUGGGAAAGGUAUCCGAUAGGGCUUGCACAAGGCGAUCAACCACAGCAGGUGUUGAGCCAGCAAUCACAAUAUCAUCGACAUAAACCAACAUGAAAAUCUGAGUGGCACCAUGAGAGAAGAUGAACAAGGAUGUGUCUGCUUUGGAUGCAACAAAACCAAGCUGGGAAAGACGACAACUCAAACGAGCAUACCAGGCACGAGGCGACUGUUUGAGGCCAUAGAUAGAUCUCUGAAGUUUGCAAACAUGAGAUGGAUACCUGGCAUCCUCGAAACCAGACGGCUGCUGCAUGUAGACGUCUUCGGCAAGAAAACCGUGAAGGAAUGCAUUGCUCACAUCGAUCUGCCGCAGGCUCCAUCCUCGAGAUACCGCAAUGGAGAGCACGAGCCGAACCGUAGCGGGCUUGACUACAGGACUGAAUGUGUCACCAUAGUCAAUGUCGUGUUGUUGAGUGAAGCCACGGGCAACAAGACGAGCCUUGUGCUUGUCAACAGAGCCAUCCGGUCGAUGUUUAGUCUUGAAGAUCCAUUUGCAGCCAACAACGUUAACACCGGGGGGCGAGGCACGAGCACCCAGGUAUUGGUAUGGCGUAGGGCGGCAAACUCUUCAGACAUGGCAGCACGCCACGCAGGGGCACCAAGCGCCUCAUGAUGGGAGACAGGCGCAACAAAGAAGGCACACCGGCCGGUAUCAUACCGAAUGGUGCCAUCGGUGUAGGUCUUGGGCCGGCGCGUGUGAUCUCGGUUCCGAGUUACCAUGGCAUGCCCCAUGGUGACGUCGACAGGAGGGGUAGACGGCGCAGAUGUCCCUGCCGAAGGUGUCGCGGGUGAGGACGGCUCAGCAGAAGGCGAUACGGGCGGGAACAGAGUAGGGGCCAGCGCACGCGAAUCCAGAGUAGGCGCGUCAGAGAAUCCAGGCGACGGCUGUCGCGCACGGGAGAUGGCAGGCGCAGCCGACACCUCAGACACGUUGAAACGCGGGUCCAGGUGGGAAGCGGUGGCCUGCGGGGAAGCAGCCGACGCAGCAGCCUCGGGAGGCGUGGCAUGCACGUCGAUCGCCUGGGAGGAGGAAAUAGCCGCCUGUGGAGAAAACAGAGAAGCACCUGCAGGGGACUGGUUAGGCGAUAAAUAAGAUAAGUCAUAUUUGCGCAAAUGGACAUCCGACACCGGUUCAUCAUGAGGAAAGGUUAUGAGAUCUUUUAGAGAAGCGAUAUCAACGGAAACUCCGAGAUUGGAGUAAGGAAAAAUAGUCUCGUCGAAGACAACAUCGCGAGAAAUAUAGAUUCUACCGGAGGUGUGAUCAAGGCACUUGUAACCUUUGUGUAGGGGACUAUAUCCGAGGAACACACACAUCGUGGAGCGAAACGCAAGUUUGUGAGCAUUAUACUUGCGACGGCUAGGCCAACAAGCACACCCAAAGACCCGGAGAAAUGAGUAAUUAGGUUGAACAUGAAAUAGUCGAAACAGAGGCGUAUCCUUGUUGAGAACCGGAGUGGGCAUGCGAUUGAUAAGAUAACAAGCGGUGAGGAAAGCCUCAUCCCAAGACCGAAGUGGGAGGGAUGAGUGAGCCAGCAGAGCAAGGCCUGUUUCCACUAAAUGACGGUGCUUGCGCUCGGCAACACCGUUUUGCUGGGACGUGUGUGGACACGAGACACGGUGAUACACACCCGUGCGUUGAAAGUGACGGUGAAGUUUGUGGUAUUCACCACCCCAAUCGGACUGAACAGCCUUGAUCUUGCGAUCGAGAAGGCGUUCGACAUGAGCCUGAAAGAUAUAAAAGACUAGCUCAAUGUCAGAUUUGUGUUGAAGCAAGUAUAUCCAAGUGAAACGUGUGUAGUCAUCAACAAAGCUAACAUAAUACUUGUACCCGCCAGAGGAGGCAAUAGCAGGACCCCACACAUCGGAAUGUAUUAAUUCAAGUGGUACAGUAGUGACAUGAUAUGACACUGAAUAAGGAAGUUGAUGACUCUUAGCACGCUGACAGGCAUCAGAAACUAACGACACAUUAUGGGAACUAGAACACGGGAGGUCAUGAUCCCGGACAACUGACGUGACCACAUUAUUGGUAGGAUGACCAAGACGCUGAUGCCAUUGGGAGGACGACACUCCGACGCUAGAAGCAGCAUGGCGAGAUGAAGAGGACGCUCGAGCAAAUGGGAUGGGGUAGAUUCCCCCAUAACUUCUACCGUGAAGAAGAACGCGCCUGGUUGCCUUGUCCUUAACAAAGAAAAAACGACGGUGAAAUUCAAUAAACACGUCAUUAUCACAUAGGAGGCGAUAAACAGACAAGAGGUGUUGUGUGAUUUGUGGAACACGCAAGACAUUGCGGAGUUGAAGAGAUGAACCAGGUAUAUGGGAGUGACCAAUGUGCGAAAUAGACAAACCUGCGCCAUUAGCCACCUGGACUUGAUCCUUGCCGUCAUAGCGCUCAUGCACUUGGAGUCGCUCCAGAUCACUGGUUAGGUGAUCGGUGGCUCCGGUGUCGAGCACCCAGGGGAAGUCGGCAGCGCCCAUGGUAGCCGCAUUGGCGGAGCGAGUAUGGUGCUCGGUGUCAUAGUGUUUGCGACAAUCGCCGGCCUAAUGCCCCCAGUUCCGGCAAAGUUGGCACCGGGGACGCCAACGAGUGUUGUGACGACCACCCCCGCCGUUGCCGCCGCCAUUGCCCCCGCCACCCUGGCAGCCGGGGCCGGAGGCACCCGGUGGGCGAGCGCGACCAUCCGAGGAGCCGUCGGGACCGCCGUGGCGACUCUAUCCGGGCGGACCGUGUCCGUCAGUGGGCCGGCCACCGCCUUGGGACGGGUAGGGCUUGGAAUAUGGCAGGCGGCCACCUGCCCCCGAGCGAGUGACGGCGUUGGCCGACGGGCUCCAGCCCUCGGUGGCAUUCUGCUGCGCCUGCAAGGCUUCGAACAAGCGAGUAGAAGCUGGAAUAGGGCAUGGGUGCAGCGCUGACGCCUAGGGACGCGGCGAUGGAGUUCUAAGCGGAACCGAGGCCGGUGAGGAUGUGAUCGAUGAGCUCAUCAUCCCGGAUGGGCGAGCCGGCGGCGGCCAUGGUGUCAGCCAAGGCCUUCAUCUUGCGCAUAUACUCAGCCGCAGAGAGCUCCUCCUUGCGCAGCGUCUGGAGUUGACGCCGGAUGUGACGGACGUUGGCGCGGCUCUGGGAGCCAAACAUGGCACCGACGGCCGUCCAGACCGCUUGCGCCGACUCGCAACCGACGAGUUGGCAUGCGAUAUCCUCCUCCAUGGAAGUGAGGAAAAGCCCUUCACCUUCUGGUCGUUGGUCCACCAAAGAAGGUACGCAGGGUUGCCGGUGGUUGCCGCGGUGUCGCCCGUCCCGACGGCGACAAGCUUCGCCGGAGCCGCCUCGGUGCCAUCGAGGUAGCCAUGAAGGUUGGCUCCCGCGAGAACGGCGCUGGAGAUCCCCUUCCAGAGCAGGAAGUUGGUGCGGCCGAGACGGACGGAGAGGGCCGGGACGGAGACAGUAGCAUUGGCCGGCGAGACGAGGGCGCCGACGGUGGAGGGAAGCGACAGGGCGACAGAAGACAUCGCGGCUACGAAGCGUGGUAGGCGUAGCGGCGGCGGCGGCGUGAGGGUGGGAGCACGCGGCGGCGGCGGUGUAGAUGGGAUCGGGCGACGGCGCGGGGUGCAACGCGCGACGCCUGGUGGCUUAUCUGAUACCAAGUUAAAACACAAAGGGUUUAGGGUUUUGCGUAGGUGGUCUAUCCACCUCACGUCUCCAUAUAUAUAUAUAUAUAUAGAUGAUCAGGGUGUUACAAUUACAUACGAGUCCUUGUAUGUAUAAAUACAAUAUGAACUAGACCCUAUUUUACAGGGCUAUCUUAUCCUCUUCUAUCAUUCGAUAUAUAUAUAUAUAUAUAUCCUUUUCUAUCAUUCCAUGGUUUAUAGCUUUAGGUUGUCGCUUUUGUAUAUAUAAAUAAAAACGGAACAAAUGCAUGUUUCGAGAGAGCGCGUUGGGUUGCACCUCGCACAACCUCCCAAUAUGACCAGAGUCGAUUCACUGCUGGCUUGCUACCUACUCCCUCCGUCCUAAAAGUUUUUUCUUACAUUUGUCUAGAUAUGAAUGUAUCCAAUCAUGCUUUAGUAUUUAGAUACAUCUAUUUCUAUACAAAUCUAAGAUAAGAAUUUUGGGACGGAGAGGAAGUAUAUAUAUAAUGCUGGUAGGUUAUGCGCAUCUUUUUAUCGUGUGUAAAUAUGUAGCUACAAGCUAGCCUACAAGGGAACGACGCCGAUGGAUCAGAAAGUGAAGACGCGCAACAAUCUCACAAAACUCGUGCCACUCACACCGACGUACGGUGGUCGAAAGCGAGCCCUAAAUAACGAAACAGUUGGCUACGUUGCUGCCGCCGCCACUUUCUCCCGUGCGUAGCUUAGCUACCUCGUGCGCGAACCAACAGUUGCCCCCAUCCAUGUAAAUUAGUCGGCUCAAGGGCUCAAGGGAGUGCGACCAAUAACCUGCCACCGCUUCUACUCCCUUUUCCUUUUUUUUUUCGUUUUCAAGAAAUUGACCUUCCUUCCUGGGCUUGGCAAAAGACUUUCGCCCCGUUUUAUCUAUACCUAAUAAUAAAACGGUUAUCGUUUCCGUCGGAAAACCCACCGCGUUAUUUUUAUAAAAAAAGACCGUGUAAUUUUUGUUAUUCAACCCACGCUCCAUCUUUUAUCUGCAACGCAAAAAAAACGAUUCGCUGCAAAAAUUAUACCCGUACGCAUCGCCUCCUCCCGUCAACCCUGGGCCACCCUGGCCUGUGCCCAGGCCGCCGCCACACCACUCGGCGCCGCAGCCGACCUCAACCGCCACCGCUGCCGAUCUCAACCCACCCGCCUCCGCGGCCGUACCUCUCCCCGCUCACUGCCCCCGUUGCGGCGCUCGAGCGCAUCGCGUCGACCCUGGUCCACCCUGGCCUGUGCCCAGGCCGCUGCCACACCACUCGCCGCCGCGGCCGACCUCAACCACCAUUGUUGUCGAUCUCAACCCACCCGCCUCCGCGGCCGUACCUCUGCCCGCUUGCUGCCCCCGUUUCGGCGUUCGAGCACAGCUUCUGGAUCAAAUCAACGCGACAGCUACAGUGAGUGGUGAUGAUGCGUCUACUCGAUGCAGAACGGCGGCGGCGCGCGGAUAAGGCGCGGCGGAGCGAAGUACUUGGAGGUGGAGGCGGGCCUCCAUGGCUCACACAGGGAACUCCGUGGUUAUGGCGCGGCAACAGCGACUCCUUAUGGCCAGAUAGAGGCGUUUAACCCUUGCUCCCCUCGUCGUAUCCCCUCCUCCGGCAGGAACUCAUCAUCUGGUGAGAUCCCCUCCCCAUGCCUCCAACCGUGUGCCAAGCACGGGCAAGAAAUUUUGUUUUGUGGGGAUUUGUUUGCUCAUGAAUGAAUGUAUUGAAUGUAAGAUUGUAUUGUUGUAGAGACAGAGAAUGGAACACCACCUUCAGUUUGUCAUCUGAUCCCACAUUCUCUACCCCAUGAGUGAAAUAAGAUAGCAGUCCAUUGAUCAAUUCACGUAGCCUCUUUGUUUUGUUUUGCUUGUCCCGCUCAAUUUCUCAUCAUGGUGUAAUUAACAAUGGACGGGUUGAUUUCUCAACAAAAUAGGAUAGGACUGACUACAUUAGUUAGUUAGCUUAUUAUUUUAAUAAAUCAAAAUAAUUAUAAAAAUAUUAAAAACGUGUGGUAUUUUUUUCUCCCGUUGCAACGCACGGGCCCUUUUGCUAGUAUAUGUAAAACAAUGAUUAACGACGUUCCGAUACAAACGCCUGUCAACACAACACGCGGACAUACCCAAGACAUGAUACAUGGACGCUAAUCGAAGCAACACGAAAAGUUGCAUACGACGAACCGUGGGUUCCAAGGCGGCGUCUUCAGGAAGGAUAUGACACGGGAGCGCCGCCACCGCCCGAUCCGAGGAUCAGAGUUUCCCCUUGGGAAGCACGACGAGCGAUGAGAGCCCGUCAUCCAAGAACUUGACACCACCUCACCUGAGAUCCGCCACUACCCCAACCAAAGAGACGAGUGAAAAGGUCCCACAUUUUCCACCCCUAGGCAGCCCCAGCGCCAAGACCGAAAGGCUGGCCAAUACUAGCCUCCAUCGACGUGGCAUGCAGCACCGGACGCGAGACGAGCUCGGUCAUGCGACAACUAGUGCGAGACGAUGUCGGUCUUGCUACACCAUGCGCGAGACGAGCUCGGUCCUACACACCAUGCGCGAGACGAACUCGAUCCUGCCACACCGGGCGUGAGAAAGAAGAAGGACCACGGCUGGGAGCGGGCCAUCCGAGCUGAUCUGGUCGGCCGGCACCGCAGCCAGCAGCAACAGCCGGCACUCCACCGCCAGCCGCUCAAGAGCACGCCAGCACGGCCCCCGACCCACGCCAUGACCUCACCAGGACGCCGUCGCCACCCCACGCCGCCAACUGUCCAGGUGGCAAGAUCCGGGACGCCCCGCGCCCCCCCUCCACACCAAGCACGCUCCACCGACGAUCGUCGUAGCCCUCUACAUCGCCACAGCACCCGCCGCCGCGCCCCCGUACAACGGCUCCGGCCCGCACCAUCCAUGACACAGAAAGGAGAAGAGGCCCCGCCGCCACCCCCCGUCGACAGGGCUUUGCCCGUGACGGUGAACGGGAGCGAAGGGGAGCUAGGGAGGGGAGGCCCUGGGCCGACAGCGGCUAGGUAGCCCCCCCGGUCGCAUGCAGGGGCGACGCGAGGGGGGGGAGAUACUAUGUUUUUGGUCCUGAAAAGGAGUCCUUCCUAGACUUAAGGAACCAUUUACCAGUUUGCUCACGGCAUCCGAGGAAGCUUCGCCAUAGAGGCAAAGCCAGCUAAAUUUCUCAAUUAGGUCAUCUUCAUGUAUUAUAUGGGUUCAGCCCUAACUACACAUUAAUUAGCAUCAUUUCACUACAGGUUUUACAUAAAUUCAUUGGGUUCAACUGACCCAAACGCUAUAGUGCUAGCUCCUCCUCUACUCCACCAUAUACGGUUUCCUCGAGGAACUUGCGAGGUUUAUAUCUUCCCUCCUCUGUGUGGCCGGAAUUGGGAUUAUCUUAUCGUGCUCCUUGGUGGUGGCUUCUCCAGUAUGACGAUCUAUCCAACUCACACGAUCGUCGGGGUCCUCUGGCCUAUUACUAUCACUCACCAGCCGCUGAUUCACUCACGCUCAUGGGCUUCUAUAAUCCCCGACGAUUUCCUUCAAGCCAAGCCUCUGCCCCGCUCCUUGGGGAAGGCAUGUAUUGCGUUCUUCAAACGCCUACAUGAGAUGUAUGCCCGGUCCCCUCGUUCUCUCUUACUUCGGAGGUGGCGCAGUUGGCUGUGAUGAGAGCCGUGAAAUGGCCAUGGUUAAUGGUUUCAUUGGAGGAUUAGGCCGUGCAGUUUCUUUCAUGUUCUUUUCCCUUUUUGUCAAUGGCUUGCCCGCGUUCUCAGGGAUGCAUAUCUCUUUGUACUAGCUGCUCCAUCUGUUCACAAAUAUAAGAUGUUCUGAUGUUUUAGUGUAUUUGUUCAUUCAUUUCAAUCUGUAUGUGAUCUAUAUUAAAAUAUUUAAAACAUCUUAUAUUUAUGAACGGAGGGGGUACUAAUUAAUUUCCUCGACGAUAUUCAGAUAUGGGAUACCCUCCAGGUGUCCCUUCCCGAGGUCCUGACCAACACAAACCUUUGUAAGAAUGCAAAUGCAUGCAUGGCACACUGGAUGUAAGAAACUAUGGAUACAAUUAUCUCACAAGUUGAAAGUAAUUUUAAAGUACUCAAAAAAAUUUGAAGAAUGUGUUGUUAGUCAGUACACCCUCUGUUCCUAAAUGUACGACGUUUUGGCAAUUUAAAUUUAAACUGCUAAAACAUCUUACAUUAAUGAACAUAGGUACUAGUACUUGGUAGUGGGGGUUAGGUUUGAUUUUGCAGACUGAAAUUAGAAGUUGUUGUUAUUAGUCAGUACUUAGUAGCGUUGUUCGUCAAACAGAAGCUCCAAUAGGCCCAUGGUGGUGGGUGGGGAGCAAGAUAGAUACCUCCAAGGCUGGGUGCUAGCAAAGAGGAGCAGAUCACAUUUGCCAAAAAGCAAACUAAACAAAAUUAGGGGGAUAUUAGGAGGUGAUGGAGACUGAAGCUUAAUUAUGGAACAGUAGUUGCGGUCGUGGUAAUCCAUAUCUGCGCAGAGAUUUUGUGGCCAUUGUUUUAGUGUGUGUGUGUGCAUGGCUGCAUCAGAAGUAACAAAAAAGGGAGUGCAAGUGUGCAACACCAUACAAAUGGCCAAAUGGGUUGAAUGAUGUGGCUUUCCUUGUGUUCAUGCAUUUUCUUCCUCCUUCCUCUGAUCUUCUAGAUGAUGUUAUUACCAAGGGUGCUAGAAUAAGUAAACAAAUUGUAUAAGAAAGUUGGAGGAAAUUAAACUAUGCAGAUUGUUAUAUGCAACCCCCCUCCCCCCGGAAAAAUAAUAAAUAAAUAACAAAAGGACAACUUCAGAAAAGUGUAGGUAGUUAUCUGACCCCUUUUAUAAUAUAUUGUAGAGCUUCCAUAAAAUUAUCAUCUUUUAACACUAUAUUUGUUCUCUUUUUUUAUUUUGAUCAUUAAGUACAUGUAAGCAUGCACCAUCAGUCCAGUAGCUCUCCCACAAGAAAGAAAGUAGCAUUGUAUACUAAAUUAAUAACUUAUAGGUCAGCAAACCAAAUAUAUAUAUGGAAUGCACUGCACAAGGAGAUCCUCCAUUUCCCUUUUUCCUGUGAUUCAUAUGCUUCUUUUCAGGAAGGAGGCCCCAUGAGGAUCCUCUUGACUCUAGAAAAUACUAAUUUGGAAACACUUUAUAGGCGAUGCUUUCUAUGACAGAUCUCCCAAUUCUUCUAAUAGCCCCAUGAGCUUAUUUUUCAUGGGCUCCCCUGAAAACAAAACUGCACACAGCAGCAACUUUGCAAAUAAUUGGCUCAAAGUCGAAUCGAAGCAACGGUAUUAGUUCUUUCCAGGCAAGCAGGCAGGUACCUCUACCUGUCUUACUCUGACCAGUUACAUCUAUGCAGUACAGUUCUUGCUCUUAGUUGUUUCUUUAACAGAAGGUGUCAAAAUUUCUCAGGCAAGCAGUAAACAGAUUGUUUCUUACGAAAACACCAGCGGGGUGGGAGGUCUGGUUAGGUGUCACCUUGAUGGGAUUCCCUCUCCGCAAUAAUCUGCUUGACCUCUGUUCUUCCUUUUGUUCUCACAUGCUGCAAGGUUAAUGCCAGGCGAAAAGAAAACACAAAAGGCUUUGUCAUGAGCCCAUAGGCGAUAAAGAAUUCGACAAGGUGAUAGGGCUGCAUGACCUGUGAAGGUGAUGCCCAUUUUGGCUGCAAAUGCUUGUUGCAAUCAUUGCUCAGUCAUAGCUCCUUGUUUAGACUUUAGAGUCCAACCUGCAUUUGUUCUUCUUUGUUUGCCCUAGAGACUAGAAAGUAGUCUGACUAUCAGAGCACCCACUCUAGCUUGUUAGAUAGAGAAAAUUAUUUGUAGGAUGCAAGACUAACAAUAUCAUCCCAAUUUUCUGACAUGUAUUCUCACUUUUUCUUCUGUGUGAAUAAUUAUAAGUGAACAAAUAAUAGCGAAAAGAAGUUACCAUGCUUAUUUUCUCUUCUUGGGAAACCAUGCAUAAUUUUUUGUUCAUGUGGGAUCCUAUCCAACAGUAGAACCAUGAUUCAGAAUAAUAAAACUAUAUGCAACAAGAGAAAACAGAGUGGGCGUCCAUAUCUAGGCGGAACACACGUCAGAUAAAUUGGUUCCGCCCAGGAUCCUUCAGACUUGUUCCUAGAAAACAGGCAUCUCCCCUUGGCUUCUCAUGGGACUGAAUCUGAUCUUAUCAGCAAAUCUCAAUUAAGAAACACACUAAUCACAACUGCUAGUGCGUGCGAGCAAUAGUGGACAGCAAGUGUACUUCCAAAGCCAAAAUGUUAUCCCCCAGGAUGGGGGAUUCCAUUAGAUUUCCUUUCCUGGUGUCACCUGCUCUUCCAACAAGCACACAAACCAAUGGAACCCGAUCCGGGUGACGUUAACUGUAUCUUACUCCUGCCCCCACACUCCACUACGAGCACCGAUGAAGUUAGUUCCAAAUACAAAGCAGCUUCGUUUCGCUCACAGAAUAAUAAUAUGCUCACCUCCAUCUCUGAGAUGCUUCCCUGAUGCCGUGAUGCGUGCAGGUUUGGUCUUUUGGACCAUUCCAUUAUGUAUGUACUCACCCCCAGGACACGCGCGCCAAACUUGCUUGGCACAGCAAUACAAUACUUGGACGCCUUUCUUGGGACUUUUCGGCUACACGAUCAAGAGCAUGGUGUAAGUGUAAUGUAAUGGAAAAGAAAGUUUAGAGCGUGCACUGACCAAAAGCACAUUCUCUGCCAUACAAGAACCAGUAUCGUCUCAAAUCUCCGGCGAUGGCAAUAGGAUAAGUGGCAGAGUCAAACCCACCGAGUAACAUACUAGCUCAACCUUCCAGUACCCUGCAAAGUGAUAGAUUAAGCCUCAAUGAUGAGUGAUUAUACAAAGUGGUGCCGAAUUGUUUUCAAGUGGAAGACCCAAGACCAAGUGGAGGCUAUCUUAGGCUAUCAGCAAACACUCAGCACACUACAGGUGGUGAAGGCAUGAUCAGUCCAACAAGUGUGAAAGAGACUGGAGACAGUUACGUAUUACUUGUGCAAUGCAAGUUAUCUCACUACUCUGCCAUCCCUAAUAGAAUGGCUUCUAUUGAUAUAUGUGUAUUUUAAAUGUUUACGCGACAAUAUGAUGGACAUGUAUUUUUUUAAAAUUUACUCUCUCCGUUCCUAAAUAUAAGUCUUUUUAGAGGUUUCAUUUAGAAUGUAGAUUCACUCAUUUUGUUUCGUAUGUAGAAAACUACAUACGGAUGUAUAUAGACAUAAUUUAGAAUGUAGAUUCACUCGUUUUGUUUCGUAUGUAGUCCCCUAAUGAAAUCUCUAAAAAGACUUAUAUUUACGAACGGAGGGAGUAUUUAUUUUAGAAAAACAACAAUUUGGAUGAUAGUGUGAAGAUCCUAGCAAACCAAUGACCGAUUGCUGAAGAAGUGAAGGUGAAAUCUAAAAAGAAAGACAUACGUGGAAAUCAUUCAGUGCAAACUUGUGAAUUGUUGAAUAAAGAUCUUUUUUUUUAUCAACUGGCUUAAUAGUGUACAGUAAACUACAGGGAACAAGAAACAACUGAAUGAUGAGAUGAAAAACCAAAUUUUCUGUUCAUUCAGAAAAAGUAGGCAUCUAUUGCUAAAUCUAGACAGAAAUAGAAAUAUACCUGUUCUGCAGCUUGAUUGAUUGCUGCAAAACAGAUUUAGCCAGUUAGAAAGUCCAGAAUGGAGUAUUCAUCAUUCAGUACAAAUCGAAAACUUAGAUUGUGCAACUGGAGUGUGGACAAGAGAACUGUAUUUGUAGGGUCGAUGUGUAAGCAUCAGGAGAACUGCAUCCCAGAUGACCUCCUAGUACACUUGGAAGUCGUAAGUCAUAAAGAAGAACCACCAGUUAUUUGGGAAGUUGAAGAAGCAUGAUCCAAUUUCAAAAUUAAAGAACAUGGUGCAUAUGUAGAUUCACAAUCACAAACAAAAUGCAAGCUUUGCAGCUCAAACCACUUUCCUUAUGUGCCAGGACUAUUGCCACUUCCACAGACAUGCACUGCAAGAAGCUAAAACUGUUACACAUAGGUGGAACAAGUAAAUUAUUUGAGAAAGGGAAGUAAACUGGAACAGACACACAAAUAUAGAAAUGUAAUCAGGCCAAUAGGUUACUACCUACAUAACCAAAAAAUAGGUUACUGCCGAUUUUAUGGAGCACAAGAGCGGCAACAUGUAGACUGGACUUGUGAUAAACUAUCUUACUCUAUAAGGAUUUACAUCUACUCCCUCCGUUCCUAAAUAUAAGUCUUUUUAGAGAUUUCAUUAGGGAACUACAUACAAAACAAAAUUAGUGAAUCUACACUCUAAAGUAUGUCUAGAUACAUCCGUAUGUAGUCCUCUAGUGAAACCUCUAAAAAGACUUGUAUUUAGGAACGGAGGGAGUAGAUGAUAAUUCAAAUCUUAAUUUUCGACUCCCUCCAUUAAAAAACAAGUGUCGUGGUUGACACUUAUUUUGGAACGGAUGGAGUAUAUGCUAUCUCAGAGAAAAAAAAAUGUUUCAAUGCUGGCAUACAGUCUGCCACUCAAAUACAUAGUAGUAUGUUCCAAUAGCAACACAUUUGAGACAGAACACAGAAGAGCAGUUUCUUGCCUUCAACUGGAAGCAGAAAAUUACACGCUGAACCACUUGCAUUCAGAUGAUUUUGAAUCAUGUUACAAGCUACAUGUUCAUUCCAACUGAAAAAGAAAUGAUUCAUUGGUAUCUAUGAAAGAGGAUACAGUGAGAGUACAACAGGGUGACUGACCAGUCAGUUUCUGAUUGUGAAGUAUCUCAGCCCAACAGUGUAAUGUAAACAAAAAAAAAAGCUGAUCUUACAUUGCUUCUCAGUAAAGAAGGGCCUCAACAAAAUCAAAGUUUCAACCCAACAUUGAUCCCACAACAAAGAAGUGCAUACCAAAAACUCGUGCCGUCCUCUCAAAACUCCAGCCAUCCGGCGUGGAAUCUGGCUAAAUACAACUCCAUCGGAACCAAUCACUCAGCAAGCGAUCUAAGAGGCGUGGCCGGUCACAAGACGAACAGCCAUCCACGUUUGUAGCCCACGAGCGCACCCACGGUCACCGCCGACCACACCGCCACAACCCAACGGGCUGCAAGCAAUGCCGCCUCCUUCAUGGCGACCGACCACCCGACAAGCCAGUCCAGCCCCUCCACGCCCUCAAAGAAGUCCUUCCCUUGCACCCACCACAGUGCGAGCAACGAGAGCACGAGCAGCGGUGGCGCGACGAACUGUGUGGCCGCGGCGCAGAGAUGAUGGUUGUGCAGGAACACCUUCGCGCGACCAUACUCUGUGUCCGGUGCGCGGUUGGCGUGCAGGCGCUGGUACCAGCAGAAGACGGCCUCGUUGAGGUACAUCUGCACGGCGGCCCUGGAUGCCAGCAGCUGCAGGCCGGCCGCGGCGGCCAGCAGCUUGACCUCCAGCUCGGGACCGUCAACGAACCCGCAGCACUGCAGGAUGGAGGCGGCGGAGGAGACGAGGACGGCGAGGUGAAGGAGGAGGCGCGCGGGGGCGGAGGAUNNNNNNNNNNNNNNNNNNNNNNNNNNNNNNNNNNNNNNNNNNNNNNNNNNNNNNNNNNNNNNNNNNNNNNNNNNNNNNNNNNNNNNNNNNNNNNNNNNNNNNNNNNNNNNNNNNNNNNNNNNNNNNNNNNNNNNNNNNNNNNNNNNNNNNNNNNNNNNNNNNNNNNNNNNNNNNNNNNNNNNNNNNNNNNNNNNNNNNNNNNNNNNNNNNNNNNNNNNNNNNNNNNNNNNNNNNNNNNNNNNNNNNNNNNNNNNNNNNNNNNNNNNNNNNNNNNNNNNNNNNNNNNNNNNNNNNNNGGCGAGCGAGGCGACGAGGUGCGCCGGGCGCGGCGGCGAGGCGAGCGCGACCUGGCGGAGGAGCGCGACGAAGAGGAAGGCGAGCGGGAGGAGCGGCGCGAGCGGGGCGGCCGGGGAGCGGGGCGGCGGGAGGAGGAGCGCCGGGGGCAGGAGCGCGAGCGGGAGGAGCAGGGAGAGGUGGAAGCCGGCGAAGUGCGGGCGGGAGGCGAGCGUGGCGUGGGAGAGGCGCAGGCGGUAGAGCUGCGCCGAGCCGUCGGAGGCCGGGGCGGCCCCGCCCCCGCGCUUGCCGGAGGGCGCGGCGGAGCCCGGCGGGCGGAGGACGGCGCGCGGCCCCGUGGAGGGGACGGCGUCCGGGUGGAUGUAGGUGUGGACGGCGUAGAGGAGGAGGGACGGGACGUGGAGGAAGUGGGCGGCGGCCGCGAGGGCCAGCGACGCCGCGACCUGCGGCGCGUACGGCGGGACGGGGAAGGANNGGAGGUCGUCGACGGCCAUCGCNNNNNNNNNNNNNNNNNNNNNNNNNNNNNNNNNNNNNNNNNNNNNNNNNNNNNNNNNNNNNNNNNNNNNNNNNNNNNNNNNNNNNNNNNNNNNNNNNNNNNNNNNNNNNNNNNNNNNNNNNNNNNNNNNNNNNNNNNNNNNNNNNNNNNNNNNNNNNNNNNNNNNNNNNNNNNNNNNNNNNNNNNNNNNNNNNNNNNNNNNAGGGAGGGUGGGUGGAUCGAUCGGCGCAGUGGAGAUCUGGGUGGGUGGGGAGUGUGACGGAGUUACCAGAGACCAGGGGAGGACUGAGUUGUAAAUGGGCCGGGCUCUACGGGCCUAGAUCUGGGCUCGUUUUGGACGCUAGCUUGGCCCAUGUGCUGAGCAUUCGAACUUUAUUAGUAGAUUCUCAAAAGAAUAGUGGUCAUUAACUUUUUAUACUCUACAUAAAAACUUGAAGAGCUUCUUUUUGAAAAGGAAAAUUAUGUGUUUGAUGACAAGGAUCCUGAUUUUUUCUUUAUGAACGAAUUCUCGCAUCCUUGAAACUAAGAUCACACUACAUGCUAAAUCAGACAUCGCUCUGUAAAACCAGGCUGCGCUACCAAAAACAGUUUCAGGCAGCACAUUUUGUUCCAACUGAAAAGGUAGCUAUCCCACACAAAUUUGCAAAUCGGAGCAAAUAUGGCGGCACGACAAGCGGUUCAAGAGAUCCAACCAAAGAGCAGAGGGGCGGCGGGAUGGAUAAACAGAAUCGUCAUCAUUAUUAUUAUUGUGUAUAUAAUACAAUUUGCAUACACUAAUCACAGCGUGCCUCCUCGGAAGUGUCUUCGGAGGACGGACGAGUAGCAAAAUCUCACAGCAGGUUCUUUAUUCCAGUCAUGGCAACAAAAUGAAUAGAGGUUCUCAACCGAAUAAUGAUACAUUGUGAGCGGAUCUUAAAUUAUCUUCGGGGCAGGGCUCACUCGCCGCUCAGGAUGGGGUUGAUCAAAGGCUUCAUCUGCGCGAGGUACACGAUUGCCCACCUGCAGAGAAAGAUUAAUGAAUUGUGAACAAAGAAGAGAUGAGACAAGCAGCAUGUAAUAACCAUACCAAGAAGAGGCUCGUGAAUGCAAGGAUGAGCUCAGUCAAUUCUUAUGAAUAUACGAAAAUUUGCAACAGGAAAGUUAAGAGAAGUAGGAAAAACUGGUGUGCACAGAAAAUAAUGGCACCACAAGUAAGAAAAGUAAGAUUUGAGUCACUUCUUUCUUCAGGUUCCAAGAACUAUUUGUGCUCUAAUUUUGUAGCAAAAAUUAGGAAAACAGCGGCAGGAAUGAUUCUAAUAAGCAAGCUGCAUGGGUAAGAGAAUUCUCAUGACUAAUUUUAAUCAGAAAAAAUCUUAGAACCAAAACCUUCAAACUAAUUAGUACGAAAUAUAUUGCACGACAAAGAAAAAUACAAUUUUCACAAGGCUUAAAUACUGGGUUUGGAUUCCCAGGUAGCCUAUCAAACUAAUUGGAACACAGGCGUCUAAUUUAGUGUAUUGUGCCUGGAGGAUCACAGAAGUAACAGUAUUGACUUUUACGGAAACAAAAAAAAAGGUACAUAACCUCUUUCAAUUGAUCAAAUUAUAUACUCUGGGUGCUGAACUAGAAAUAUUCUGGUUUAUCCUAUGUGAAUUAACAUUGAACAGCACGCAUAUGCAUAUUACAAGAACAAGUUGAGUGAAAUAUGUAUGGGCGAGUUGAGCUACAAAUCAAGGAAAUAAAGCCAUAAGUUUGCAUUUUGCCACUUCAUAGCGCCUAUCCAAUCAUGAUUAAGUGCUAGGCAUGCUGUUGUCAUGCAACACCUAGGCACACUUCAGCGCAGGCCUAGGCGAGCUUUUUCUUUUUACACUGCUACAAAUAAUACCAUUCGUUGUAUACCAGAUAUAUUGGUCAUCAUUUAUAUUGGCCCAAAUCUGACAGACAUCUUGGUGUUAUAUUAUGCCUGGAUGGAGGGUCACAGAACUAACAUUUGAUUUCUACGGAAACCAAAAAAAAUCAGUAGAUAACCCCUUUCACUUGAUCAAGUUAUUUACUCUGAGUACCAAACUAGAAAUAUUAUGGCUUAUGCUACAUAUAUCAAAUGUGAACUAACAUUGAACAACAUGCAUAUUAGAUAUUACAAGAACAAGUUGAGAGAAAUAUGUACGUAUGAGUUGUACUACAAAUCAAGGAAAAAAGAAGCACCAAGUGUGUGUUUUGCCACUUCAUAGCGCAUAUCUCGUGUACGUGCAUGGCUAGGAACACAUAGGCACAAGCCAAACAUGAUUAAGCGCUAGGCAUUCCGUGGUCGCCCAGCUCCUAGGCAAAUCUAGGCAAUCUUUUAUUGCACUGCUAUAAAUAAUACCAUUUGUUGUAUACCAGAUUUAUUGAUCAUUAUUUAUAUUGGACAACUGACAGACAUCUUGGCACUAAAAGAAUAACUGACAGACAUCUUGGCACUAAAAGAAUAACUAGUGCAAGCCAACAGAUACUUUAUGCCACAUGAUGUCAAGUAGAGUGCAAGUUAAAUGGCCACAAAUUUUCAUGUCACAAUUGCACGUCUGUAACAUAAAUUUUGAUAUGAGCAUUAUUUUUUUAAAUGAUAUGAGCAGGACGUCAACAGUUGAUGGGGGCAAUCUUAGUGUAAGAAGAAAGGAGAAACCAAAUGUGCGUGUGGGUAAAAUGGAUCAGAACUUACAUCAUCCAACAACAAACUGUAGCGGUAAUAACCAGAGUCAAAUGGAAUCUGCAUAGCAAGAGCGAAGACCAUUAGCUAACAGGCUAUACAAAAUUAAUGGAUGCAUAUAAAUGAGUGCAGAGGUAGACGCAUCAGAGAAUGUAACAGUGAGCCCAAGGUUUUCCAGGCAUGCACAGAUUCGUCUUUGCCCAACAAUAAUUGACUUAAAUUGAAGAAUGCAUCGACGCAUAGUGCAAACCAUAUAAAAUCGUUGCUAUGUAGCAUGUCUACUCGGUUGGUGUCAAUUUAUAUGCAAUUAACCAGCACUAACUUAGGCGAACUUGCUGUAUGUGCAGAAGCAGCACAACAUUGCAAAGCUGCUAUUUUCCCCCAAUUGUGUCUGAAUUCGUCUUGCAGAGGCUCUACUAGACCCAAACCCGGCAAUGGCUCGAAGCAUUGGACAGGAUUUUCAGCGCAUAGCUGCGGCUUCCACAUAGCCCACAGCACCAACCCAACGAUCCAGCCACUCUACCAAGAGCCCGGCCGGAGAUCACGCGACGCCGAGCAGGCAUCCACCGGCCCGCGGAUCUCAGGCGGGCAAGCUCUACCAGACCUGACGGCCCAGCCUAACCCUAGAUCGAGCCCGCUCUCCAUCGCGCGCCGCGAUCCGGCGGGAAGGGGAGGGGAGGGCCGGUCGAACCCCGCCUCCGCCAGAUCCGAAGCCCCCGGCGCCAUCCAGGGACUUGAACGGCGGCGAGACGGACCGGAUGGAGCGGGAUCGGAGGAGGAAGGGGGGGGGGGGGGGGNNNNNNNNNNNNNNNNNNNNNNNNNNNNNNNNNNNNNNNNNNNNNNNNNNNNNNNNNNNNNNNNNNNNNNNNNNNNNNNNNNNNNNNNNNNNNNNNNNNNNNNNNNNNNNNNNNNNNNNNNNNNNNNNNNNNNNNNNNNNNNNNNNNNNNNNNNNNNNNNNNNNNNNNNNNNNGGGGGGGGGGGGGGGGAGAGAGAGGGUUUGACGUACAUGUUGGUGGAGGCGCCGCGGUUGCAGCAGAGGAGCGAGAACAUGCAGGCGAUGAAGCCGGCCAAGAAGAAGAUGGCGGAGGUCACCAGGAACCCCAUCGCCGGAUCGGUCGCCGGGUCGGUCUCGUCGGGGUUGGAGGAGGAGGAGGAGACGAGGGGAAGGAGGAGCAGGCGGUGGUGGUGGUGGUGGUGAUGGGGUUGCCACGUGACGUGCGCGCUCGUCGUGGACGCGGAUCGGAUCUGGACUGCAGGCGGGCCGCGGACCGCUGCGAGUAGACCACAUACUGGCCAAACGGGUGGCCCGGCCCGGCCCGGCCCCGGCACGAGCACGGCCUGCAUAGGCAAUUAGUAAUCGGGUCGUGCUCUGCCAGGUCCAGCCAUGAUCCGUUACUAAACGGCAUGUUGACAUGUUUAGUAUAUUGAGUCGUACUCCGUCCGUUCCUAAAUAUAAUUCUUUCUAAGAGUUUCAUUAAUGAACUACAUAUGGAUGUAUAUUUUAGGGUAUAGAUUCAUUUAUUUUGUUCCGUAUAUAGACACCUAUUAAAAUAUCUUAAAAGAUUUAUAUUUAGGUACGGAGGGAGUAUGUUUUUAGGCUCGUGGCCUCAUUUUUAGGGCUAUUGAAUUGUAUAUUAUGUGUAUGUAUAUUUAAAAAAUUGAAAAUAUAUAUAAAAAAUAAACGGACCGUGUUGUGCUGGUCCGCAUACCCACCCUUCAGGCCCGGUCUGUUUAAGUCGUGUCGUGCCUCGCCCAUGACGGGUCGUGCCGGCGUGGCCGCAUGUCGGUCUGUUUGACCCGGCCCGUUUGGCCAGAUAUACUGCGAGAGGUGGGCAUCCCACAUCGACGGCCCACUUAGCUUGAUCUUUCGAACAAUUUUUUCCACGGCCUUGUGCUAUCCUAAUUUAAGAAGCACCGAUCACAACAAAACAGCAUGCGCUAACAUGAUGUCUGCUGAGUAAGCGUCCGAGUCAGGAACAUGAGUAUCGACAAAGUUAGCAACACCUCUCCCCGCUAAAGGAAUAAUCUGCCUUAAACGAGACACGUCCCUCAAGCAUCCUCAAUUUUCCUUGUGUUAAUUUACACACGUCGGCCCACGGCGCUAUGGAUAGUUACAUGCAACUCAAAAACCGGAUUGGGUCGCCACGAUGUGGAAGCGCGGAUUGGAAAAAUCACCCUUGUAACCCACAACCCAACCAAAUUAAACUAACAUGACAUCUACUCGGUUUCUUUGAAUUGCAAUAUGCUACUACCAAAGCCACCGGCUUAAAAGGAAAGAAUGCAACAAAAUAGAAAGAUGAUUGUUUGUAGGCAGGAUAUGUUUGAUUCAGACAAAGUAGAUUUGCUUAUGAAUCUUUCUGUCGAGUUUGGCCCAACUUACUGGAUUAAAGUUCAUGGCAUUUGAUUCCGCUAUUCUAGUUUACACACGAUUUCUAGGGAAAAAAUAUAUAUAUCCCUACUUACUCUACAUGCAAUUUGAGAGAGAGAGAGCUAACUAGUCCAUGCCAUCACUAAUUAUUGGCGGUGUGGGGUCGAUUCAUCACCUAGGUGGUUUCUGGCAUGUCGCCGCUAGACUUUUUUCUAUUCACAAAGAUAUCAGAAGGGACAUGUACUGGUCUUAUCGUAAUCGUUGAAAAUUUUGGCUCGUUGUAUAAGAAAACGAUUUCAAACGGAGUGCUUUGUACUGUGUCACGAAAGCGUCAAUGCGGUGACCGACAUUAUGUUAUAGCUGCAUUGCACAACAAUUUCUGGAAAGCUAUCCUAGAAGAUGGGUUUUGUCUAAAAAAAAUCAUAAAAUUGCCUUCAUGACAUGCACCUUCAAUAUAGAUGUGGGUUGUGCACUAUUAUCUUUUGAAUUUGUUCAAUUAAUUUCUUAACUAGGGGCAGGUAUGAUGGGGCCAUUUUUUGUUCCAUUCAAUUCAAUCCUACUCAUCUAGUAAAUCUAGGGGCAGGUAUGAUGGGGUCAUUUAAUAGAAUUUGCUUCAUUCAAUUCAAUCCUACUCAUUUUUUGUUGUAAAUCAUAAUUUGCUUGUGGAAUUGUUUUGAAACAGGUUACAUUUUAGUGGCAUUGCACAAAAGGACAAAACAUUGGUUCCUCCAACAUGCACCUCUCUAAUGUGCAUAUUUUGUGCACAUCAUAGAAUACUUACAAGGAUAUCUACUGGAAAAGCGAGAUGAGUAGAAUCAUCACAUCAAAACAUACUUAUCUUUUCGUUUUCAGUACUCUAUGCUUCAUAUGUUGGUUGUGAAGUGUGCAAAAUGUACAUUUGGGAUUUGAAUUUUUGACAUCCUCAUGUUAUCUGAGACUCGCCCCCGUAAAUGGAUAAUGUAUGCUUGCAUAUUGUAUUUUUGAUUUUGUGAAAUUUAAUUACAGGGUUGGUUAUUAACCAAAAACAUGCCUAGUCCUAAAAAGAAGAAAUGGAUCACUAUUGCAAAGAGGAAAACGCCUUGACUGAUAACAUGGUACAACCAAAGAUCUAAUUAAGACACGUACUAACGCAAUGGAACAAUUCGGAGGAACCGAAAUCACAUAAGUUAUUACUAGCAAAAGGACCCGUACGUUGCAACGGGAGAAAAACAAUUAUAAUCUCCAAUGGUGCUGAUCAUAUUAUGUCUUUAAAAUUUUAGGACAUUUCUUAAAAUGCAUGAACAUUUUUUGAAUUAGCAAAAAUUUUUUUUGCAAUUGCACUCAAAAAAUAACACACAAUUGUUUUUUCAAAAUCAUGGACUUUUAUUGUUUUCAUCAACAUUGUUGUCAAAAUUAUGAACAUUUUUCUGAAUAUGCGAAAAAUUUUACAAAAAUCCUGAGCAUUUUUUGAAUUCACAAACAUUUUAUAUUUUAUUCACACUUUUAUUUCAAAAUUCCAAGUUUUAUAAAUUGCAAAAGUUUUUCAAAGUUCUAAAUUAUUUAAAAUAAAAAAUGGAACAGAAAAAUAAAAAUAAAAAUGAGACUAAAAACAGAGGCACGAACUGUUUUUAAGAUUUUUACACGGACUUUUGUUUAAAAUCGUUGACUAUUUUAUUUUAUGGACAUUUUCUCAAAGUUUAAACAUUUUUUAUAUGCAAACAUUUUUCUAAACUCCUUAGUAGUUUUUGAAUUCUCAAAUAAAUAUGUUUUUUUGGAUAUUUUAUUUCGAAAUUCUCAGUUUCUUAAAAUUAAGAAAAGUUGUUUGAAGUUCUAAAUUAUUUAAAGUAGAAAAGCAAAAUGGAACUGAAAAUAAAAAUAAAAAACUAAACAAAAAACAGGCGCCCACGCAUGGGCCGGUCCAAACAGGCGUGUUGCAUAUUUUUCCAACGCCCAGAGCGUAAUAUAGGAGGUGCCUACAUGGACCGGUCCAGUCCAGAGAUUUUCCUGUUUGAAACGUUUUUUUAUGAGUUAUAUGUGGCAUUUGUGAAGAAUUUUAGUCAACUUUAAGGAUAAUUUGGAUGACGUACGGAAGAAGCACUAUUUGCUUUAUUAGUAGGUAAGGUAAGAUUUUGUUUCGUAUGUAAUCCCUUAUUAAAACCAAUAAAAUGACUCGUAUUAGGAAAUAAGACACAAACUACUGACCGCAUAUGGAACAAUGUCUAGGGUUUUUCUCCAUUUUCAUCCGGCGACGGCGAGGAAAUCCCGGUGACGCUAGAGUCCGGUCCGCUACGCCUUUGAGGACUAGGGUUUUCACCUGGCUCCUUCCAAUGCUUUCUGCCAUAUUUGUGCGUAGAACCAUUUCCCUGACCUGCAAGAUAAAUUCUCGAGGAUAGAUACAAGGAGAAGUUACGAAGACAUGGAAAUUAAGCUAGUAGCUAGUUCUGACCCGUCACGUCUACACGUAUGUAGUCCUAAAAUUGCCGGAGAAAUAACAAGCAAAAUAAAGUCUCGCACCCCUUUCCGAACGAAUUCCACGAGAGUUCCCGGUUCGAUUUAAAUAUCCCGUACUUUUGUUACAAAAACUGACCUGGACUCGACCUGCUUCUUCCUUCCAAGUGGGCAGCGCGAAGGCGCCCAGAAAGCCUGUGUGUGCGUGUGCUACGUCUGUCCGAAAGCAAUAGGCUUCGCUCCUUCCUUGGUUCGCGCCAACCUUCUCUGCGGUUUCCCGCGCUCCAUGCCAGAAGCUGCCUCCUCGUCCAGAUCGAGGAACCCUUCAAACCCUCCCAUGGGUAUAAACCGGCGGGCGAGGGCGACCACCCCAGCCCCAUUCGCCACCGCACCGUACGCCGCCGGCCGAGGGAGACCAGCUAUCUGUCUGUCUGCCGCCCGCGAGCUAAGCUAGCUGGAGAGAGAGCGCGCGCUCGCGAUGCCGUCGUCCAGGCUCGUGCGCAAGGACGGCGAGUGGGGCGGCGGCGGGGUCGCGCUGGAGGUCACCGUGCUGUCGGCCGAGUCGCUGCGCCUGCCGCCCACCUACUCCCCGCUCCCGCGCCGCCUGCGGCCCUACGUGGCGGUGUCCUCCUCCUCCUCGUCCUCCUCCGCCGGCUGCAGCACGGGCGUGGCGCGCGCGUCGUCGGGCGCCGGGGAGCACUCGUGGGAGGACGCGCGCCUGGUGGUGCCCGUGGGCGCGGGGUUUCUGGAGGGCCGCGACGACGUGCGCGUGGCGGUGAUCUCGGAGUCGGGCUGCGCGCGGCUCGUCGGCGACACGCCGCUCGGCUGGUGCCGCGUGCCGGCCGCCGACGUGCUCGACGGCCUCCGCCCGCCGCGCUCGCUCCGCAGGCUCAGCUACACGCUCCGCUGCCCGCGCCGCGGCGGCCCCGGACACGGCGUCGUCCACCUCGCCGUGCGCGUCCUCGGCGACGUCCACGUCGCCCGCCCAGACCCGGCCCCGCCCGCGCAGCCCGGCUGGUGCCGCGUCGCCAUGGGCAUCCCGGUCUCCGGCGCCUCCGCCGCGGCCGUCGUCGGCACGCCGUCGCCGUGGGCGUGGAGCCAGGCGUCGCGAUGACUGCUCGCGACUAGCCGUGGAAGAACGGUGGAACUUGCGCGCGCGGGCGCGGCGACCGGUUCUUGGGUUUGACUAAUCACUGCCCGGAGGCCGGAGCACGCACGUACGUACGUAGCCGCCGGACGCGGAGACGAAAGCGACGGCUGAUUAGUCAAAGCUCAAAGCUAGCUGCCGGGCUGAUUCCUCGCAGCUGCGCACGGACGUACGUGACAGUGUCUGAUUGGACGCGCUCCGCUGCCGGCUGGCCGGCCGUCGGCGGCGGCGGUGCUUGACCCCGACGAGUGGAAUACGGCCGAACGUGCCGGUGUACAUAUAUACACACGUCAUCGUCUAGGGAAGGUUCCUUGCUAGUGAUGGAGGUUAUGUGUGAGGGCAUGCGCAUCUCUGUCGUUCCAAGUGUAAAUUCAGUUGUUCAAAAAAAAAGUGUAAAUUCAGUAAAUACUGGAGUAUGUACAAAGGCUGAAGUGAAGUUUUUAGUGCGAACUAGACAACUUUGGAUGCAACUUUUAUUUUAGUGGAUUAGUUGCUCUCCUUUGAUCCGAACAUGUGAGACGGCGGUGGAUCUAGCUACCGUCCCUCUUCAGCCUUCCCGGCUACAAACCCAGUGACGGAGUGAGGGCAUAUUCUUCAAAAAGUCAAAUAAUUUAAACAUAUUUUCAAAAAACACAAGCAUAUAUUACUACAAUUUUGAAGUCACCUCAACGUAGGCCCACUCCUUUACAAACCUUACACGCCAGUGAGACUUAUGCUAUGAGUAACUUUACACUUUAUCAAAAUGUUAAUGGUCAAUUUAGAAUACAUUUCUUAAUACCAUGGUCAAAAUGGGCUCUUGCUUCAAUUGUCCCUUUCGAAUUGAUCUUUUUUAGACCCUUUCGAACUGAUGUUCUCGUAUCUCCUGCUCCCAGGUCAUGUAUCGCUAUUGGGCCCCCCUCGCCAUGAAUCUUAUCUAGGCAUUGAUAGAGUCCUAGGUCCACCACGGUUGAAAACUCAUAGACAAGUAAAGUUUCUGUCUUUUACGCCACCAAGGAGCUGACUACUUGAUCAAUGCCAGGAUCUAAAGUUAUCCGCACCCCUCAACUUGUAGUUGUAGAUUCUAUUUGGCCUUGCUUCCUUGGAUAACGCCUGAUACCGUUGAGGGCAUCCAUUGGACAUGGACUAGCAAUGUGGAGUACCCGUUCAAAGACAACACAUGUUGGCUAUGAGGUGAUGUGCCAUGGAAUCUCUUGUAUGUUUUGCCUACAUGCUCCCGAUACUGCGAUCGGAAUGUGACCACAUGUACCUAUGGACUCGGCUCACACAUCUCACUUAUCGACCGCCACACUUAUAAAACACAUGGAAUACCAUGAUGCUCUGAGUGAGAUUUUCCAUGAAGUGUCGGUCCAAUGGUUAAAGCUUUUGGAAGGAAUGGUAGAGGUACAACCUUCAUGACACAAUGCCUAACUUAUGUGAAGGGAGCCAUUCAUGGCCUUCAUAUACCUAAAAUCUAGAAAUAUUUCAUUUUACAACCCUCAUUAUGAAUAAACGGGUUUUGGCUUAUUUUACUCCGCUUUUUGUGAUAAUCAUUUGUGACAUUUCACAUAUUUCCUCUCAUAUCACCACAUCAUAUCGUUUCUCUCUCUUCAAAACUAAUACUAAACCAUCAAGUUUCUAUCAAACCUUAUUUAUUUUAGGCUUCAACUAAAAUGCCACAAGAUUCAACAUGAUUUCACCGCCAAAAAAUAUAUUAUUGUAGGAUUUUUAGACCCAAAAAUUGAAAUUGAAUUUUUAAGAAAAGAUUGAGAAACACUUGUGCUUGUAAAUUUAGGCCUAGGGUUAGUUUUUUUAACGAUGGGCUUAAGGUUAGAUGGGCUGGAACCCUUUCGCCAUAGAGGUCAACAUUUGUGGAGCAAACUCUCACCCUCAGCGGACUGGCACGUGAAUAUAUGCGCCAGCCCAAGUAUAUUUUUCACGGAGAUUCCCUUUCCGGUUUGAAGAAAUUCUUUGUUAUGACUGUUUUCAUAUUUUUUUGUUGGUGUUUUUGUUUUUAUAUUAUUAUAUUAAUUGGAUUUUAUUUUUCUUUUCUUUCUAAUUUUUCAUACUUUUCAAAAUUUCUGAAUAUUUUUUGAAACCUAGGAACAAUAUUAAAAUAGGUGAAUUAAAAUAGGUGAACACUUUUUAAAAUUUACAAUAUUUUUCAAAUCAUUAUAUUUUGGGAUUCCGUAACAUUUUCUUUAAAUUAAGGAUUUUUUUUCAAAUUUAUGAUCUUUUGAAAAAUUUAUGUUUGCUUGUACAAAUUUGUGAAUAGUUUUAAAAUCCAAGUUUUUUUUUCAAAAUUAUGAUUUUGUUUUCAAAGCCCAGAUCAUUUGCUUGAUCCUGUAUAUUUUUCUAUUGUUAGAACAUUUUUUGCAAAUAUGCAAAAAAAUUCUUAAAUUGGAAAUCAUUUCCAAAUUCCUGGGGAUUUAUUUUAAUGAAAAACCUUUCAAAACCUUGAUUUAAUUUUGUAAACAUUUAGUCAAAUUCAUGAAAAAAUUUAAAAAUAGAUUUUUAAAAAGAAUUAGUACUUUAAUUUUUUUAUGAACAUCUGGUUCCAACUUAGUGUGUGGGCGAGAAUGGAAACGUAUCUGGUGCACCGGACCAAUUGGUACCACCGGGGCAUCGGACUCCGUUGCACAUUCAAAAAUGUUUCAAAAAAACUCAGAAACAAUUUAGUGCAUUGACACAACAUUGAUGUAUGUCACAAAAAUUCAAGUCAAAAUACAAAACAUUGUUCAGCAUACGAAAACAAAAUUUACAUCAAUGUGUUAAUGGGUCAAAACUGAGGCCCAACUUGUGUUAUGUACUAUUCAGUGGCAAAUUUGUUAUUUUUGUAUGUCGAGCAAUGUUUCAAAUUUUGAUUUGAUUUUUUGUAAAAGCAAACAUUAAUAUUGUACCAAUACACUAAUUUUGUUCCGGAUUUUUGAAACGUUUUUGAAUGUGCAACGGGGGACGAGUGCACCAGUAACACCACUUUCUCUGGUGUACCAGAUACAUCCCCCAGGGGAGCAUGGGUGUGUGUUAGCUCGAUUCCCCGCAUUGGUAGGGGAAUAGGACCUCCCUUAGGCCUUGCUUUGUUAAGGGGGAUUGAGGAGGUUUUGAGAGGGAGUGAUUUCAGGGGAUUGGGUGAAUCCCUUUGUUCCACCCAAUCCUCUCAAAUUCCCGGGGCUUUGCUUCCACUAGUCUUCCGAGGAGGGUUUUGAAACACAUGAAUAGGAAGGGAUUGAAGGGGAACGGAGGGGAUUGGGCUAAGCAAACCCCUCCUACCAAAUGGACGUCCUAGGAUCUGUGGGGUUUCUGGCCCUCCCGGGAAUUUUCCUUUCAAAACCUCCCCAAUCCCCCAUUAACCAAACGAGGCCUUAGAUUUCUUUUGAGGGAAAACCCCCGAUCUCAUUUUAUCCAUACGUAAUAGUGAGUUUUACAUAGCCCGGGCCCGGGAGCUCCAAAAGCCAACAAUGUCGGGUUGGUGCUAAUGCUAAGGAAGCUUGCUCGAUGUUGUGAGCAGUUAGCAUCCACGUUAUCCUUCCUUCUUUCAUAUGUCAUACUAAAAGUUUCAUAGCACUUCAUAUCUCUUGAAUAAUCAUGGAAUUCAAUCCUGUGUUUCCUUCAUGAAUGGAUUGUUCUACUUCUGCACAGCCUAUUGUGAUUACUCCAUUCUGCAGGUUGAUAUCCCUGGCUAGACGUAAUGCCUCACGGCAGGCCAUCGCUUCCAUGCUUGCUAGGUCUGUAACACCAAUAGACACCAGAACUGAAGCCCCCAUGAGCACACCAGUUAUGAUUAAACGAAUUUUGGCUUAUUUGACUCCGCUUUUGUGAUAAUCAACAGUGUCAUGUCACACAUUUUCUAUCAUAUCCACCACAUCAUCUUGUUUCCUUCUCUCGAAAUAGGCUUUCGCCCCGCUAUAUAGAUAUAGCAACCAUCUGAUACAUCAAAGAUCCUAAUGCUCGGAGAGGCAGCAGAAGAAUGCCCAAACAGAAGAAAAGAGAAAUUAAAAAAAAAGAAUGACAACAGAAUCGGCUCGAUGAAAACGAGGCUGAACCCAAACCGCUGCGCCCUCCAAAGAAAUCAACCAUGCUCCUAGCACUUCGGACCAUCGCAUAAUAAGCAGCACCUUUAAAAAGGAAUGUGACGGUGACGACACUGCUGCCCAGAUUGAUCCUUGGGUUUCCCCCGUAUGCGGAGGGGCGUUUGUGAGUGGGAUACCCAACACCCUUCAGGAAGGAACGACGGGCGUCGCCGCGUCGGUGCCAGGCACGCCGACAAGGAUUUCUCCCGUUCAACACAAACCCCCACCCCGACCGGUCUGUCACGCUCCACCAAACGUGCCGCCCACCAACAUGCGCUACCACGAUCUAGGAAAAACCACCGCCGUCUCACCAUGGAGAGCGAAAAGCGGGACCGACGAACCCUAGAGGGAACAACCGGGAACGAGGAGUGGCAGAGUCAGUAGCCACACAAGAGGGGACAACCUCCGCCGCCCUCGACGGUCACCGACCGAACGCAGCAGGGGAGCACACCAGACACGUAGGCCCGCUCGAGUCCUUAACGGCUCGUGAAGCUCCCCUUGGAGUGGACGUACCGCCGUCUCCGCAACCCCUCGCAUGAGCCACUCUCUCCGACCACCGGAGCUGGCGUAGGCGUAGCCGAGCCAGGCCCGCCCAGAACCAGAUCUGGGUCGAGAGAACGUAGCGGCCAACCACCGUGCCAGCCCACCGCCAAGUGGCUGCACCACUACCUCCUCAUCAUUCGGAGCAGCGUCGCCCGAGGAAGAGCCGUCGCGCACCCGCGACGGGACGACCUCCUGCAGCCGUCGAUCCCAAAGCCGGACCAUAGCAGUCGCCUACGCUGCCCGUAGCCCGCGCCGCCAGGAGCCAGAUCCGACCGUCGGUCGACCACGAUCCGCGCCACGUGCGCCUCACCAUGGCAGCCACCACGCCGCCACAAGAACUCCCGGAUCCGAUGGGCCGCCGCCAUCCGGAGCGCUCGGAUCUGCGCCGCCGAGCCCCCGCCAUAGCCUAGCGGCUCCGGCGGCCAGUCGCACCGACCAGGGGGUCCGCGAGGAGGGGAAGGAGAGACCCCGCCGCCGCCCACGCCGGCCUGGCUUCGCCCAACGGCGACUCGAGGCGGCGACGAGGGAGGGAGAGGACGGAGGAGGAGGAACUGGGCACCUGCGACUAGGGUUCCUCCCGUCGCCGCACGGGAGCGACGAGGGAGGAGGGGGGAAAGGAGUUUCCCAGCUCGUUUCCUUGUUUCCCUCUCUUCAAAACUAAUACUAAACCAUCAAGUUUCUGUCAAACCUUCUGUCUAUUUUAGGUAGAACUUCAACUAAAAUUAUCACCGAAUUCAACAUGAUUUUACUGGAAUUAAAUCCAAAAAAAAAUUCGUGCAGUUGGAUUUUGGGACUCAAAAAUUGACCUUGAAUUUUCAAGAAAAGAUUGGGUGCACGAGUGCUUGCGACGCCUACUAUGGUUGAAAAAGAGGUGUGUGUGUGUGUGUGUGUGUGUAAAUUUAGGCUUAGGGUUAAAGAAAAUUAGCAAUAGGCUUAGGGUUAAUGCAUAUAUGCGGGCCGACCCAAAUAGACUUUUUUAGGAGACUCUCUUUCGUGUUUUGGGUAUAUUCUGGAACCUUCCAUGAUAAACAACGAUAAAUGAUGUGAAGUUGUACUGAAGCAGCGACAAGCAACAUGGAUUGAAAAGAAUCGCAACUUCAUAGGAUCAAGUGACUACGGAGUAUAAUUUACAAGAAAGAAUUUCUGUGAACGUCCACUGCAUGCCAGUCAUCCCACCACCACCACCGUAACGGUAUCUACAGCAUUUCACACCACAAACACAGCAAAUCAAAUGGUAUGCCAGCUUCUACGUAUGGCAUGUCCGUAUGUACGUAUAAUGUAUUCUACUCCUGUCAAACUUUUUGUACGUGCAUACUCUGAUGGUCCGGCCAUGACCGUCGGUGCUCAGGACAAGAUGGCAGAGGGGCCGGUGAACGGGGCGCAGUACAGGGGAGCUAUGGCGGCCUCCGGGCCGCCCAACCCGCCUCGGCCGUAGCUCCGGCAUGUGCUCUUCUCCUCCUCCUCCUCGUCCUCCUCCGNNNNNNNNNNNNNNNNNNNNNNNNNNNNNNNNNNNNNNNNNNNNNNNNNNNNNNNNNNNNNNNNNNNNNNNNNNNNNNNNNNNNNNNNNNNNNNNNNNNNNNNNNNNNNNNNNNNNNNNNNNNNNNNNNNNNNNNNNNNNUCCUCGUCCUCCUCCGGGCUGCCGUGGCGGUCCUGGCAGCGGCCGCACCCGCAGGGGAGGCUGCUGCUGCUGCUCUUGCUGAGGCGGUGGUCGUCCUCGUUCGGCGCGGCGGCCGCGACCACGGCCUUCCUGAAGGAGGCGAUGCCGCUCCGGCAGAGCGGGCACGGGACGGCUCCGGCGAGCCCCGGCACCUCGUACGCCUUCAUCACCGUGCACAGGUCCAUCGCGCACUUGAGGCACAGCUCGUGCCCGCACACUGCAUGCACGCCGGUCCAGUCGGAGACGACCGACGUCAGUUCGCCGGAAAUUUCGAAGGAGGAGAAGAAGAAAGUUGCGCGUGACGAAAGAGCAGAGCAUGGCAUGGCACCUACCUUCGGCUGCGACGUUGCAGGGUCUCUCGAGGCAGACAGAGCAGGCGUCGUCGUCGUCGUUGCCGGCGAGGGCGGCGAAGGGGUCCGGCGAGGCGGCGGCGUAGUCCCUGGCGACGGCGAGGAGGGAGGGGAGCGGGAGGGAGAGGUGGGGCGAGGGCGGGAACUNNNNNNNNNNNNNNNNNNNNNNNNNNNNNNNNNNNNNNNNNNNNNNNNNNNNNNNNNNNNNNNNNNNNNNNNNNNNNNNNNNNNNNNNNNNNNNNNNNNNNNNNNNNNNNNNNNNNNNNNNNNNNNNNNNNNNNNNNNNNNNNNNNNNNNNNNNNNNNNNNNNNNNNNNNNNNNNNNNNNNNNNNNGCGCCAGCACGUGCUCCAGCCAGUUGCACUUCCACAUCCGGGCCACGUCCAGGGCCAGCCAGCCGUUGCAGUUGGCGGCCAUGCGGUCGGCGCCGCGGGACACGAGCACCUGGCAGCAGCGGANNNNNNNNNNNNNNNNNUGCUCCCGGCGCCGAUGGCCGCCAUGGGGGCCGCGGCGCAGGGCAGCGUCUGCGCGUGCAGGGACGCCUGCUCGUCGACCAGCAGGUGCACGCAGUCCACGUGCCCGUGCAGCGCCGCCAGGUGCAGCGCCGUGACGCCGCCGCCGGCCCCCCGGUUCGCGUACCGGGCACUGGCGCCCUCGCCUGCGCCGGCCGCGUCCGCCAGCAGCAGCCGCACGCACCGGACGUGCCCGCCCGCCGCCGCCGCGUGNNNNNNNNNNNNNNNNNNNNNNNNNNNNNNNNNNNNNNNNNNNNNNNNNNNNNNNNNNNNNNNNNNNNNNNNNNNNNNNNNNNNNNNNNNNNNNNNNNNNNNNNNNNNNNNNNNNNNNNNNNNNNNNNNNNNNNNNNNNNNNNNNNNNNNNNCGCCGCCGCCGCGUGCAGCGCCGUGCGCCCGCUCAGCCCGUCCGCCUUCCACACCUGAUCCAUCCAUCCAUACACAAGCAAAGAUCGCGAUCAAAUUGGAUUGAUCUGCAGGAACACAACAUGAUCAAAUUGAAUCUUUGGUCCAGUUAGUGGUAGCGUACGUUGCAUCUGAAGGCGAGCAACGUCUGAACCACCUCCCAGUGCCCUGAGCGGCAGGCUUGCAUCAACGGCGUCUGCAAUCCAAUUGUCCACCAAUCAGCAUGUCAAAAAUAACAGGUCAGAUUAUUUUCCACUGGUAAAAACGAAAAGUGCAAAAUUAUCUGAUGGGAUUACAGCAGAGACAAAAUAUAUAUAUAUAUAUAUAUAUAUGAAAGAAUGCAAUUUUCAACAUAAUAUUUUUAUUUUGAGAAUAUUGUUUUUCAUGAUGUUUCUAAAUAAAAACAAUUUUUUGGGCGAACCAAUCUGUGUUUGUAUGGUUAGAAAGAUAGUGGUAUCUGCAGGCCACUAUAGCUUAAAUUUUAUACUUAACACUAGUGCUUGCAUUUUUUCUUGAUCUAGUCCAGGCGUACGCUGAUGUGCGUUUAGUGAAAGGAGAUAUUCAUAUGCAUAACUGAGUGUAUGAGCAUCUGCGUCUGAAUCGGGUUCAAAAAAAUUCAUGCCACAUAUGUUUCUCCAUGCAGGAACCCUAUUUAUUACAACAUUUUUUUCAGAAAGUUGUUCCAUACCAAGCGGUCAGCUUCGUAAGGUACCAUCAAAAAAUGCUAACAGAAAAUCGUUCUAUGUUUUAAAAAUGUGAUAUUCAAAAGGAAAAUCAAUAACUGUAUUUUUCGUUAUUCUGGCGAGGAUUCAGGACCAGGAAAAUAUCUUUCUCCGAUGAACUUUUAGUUUCAUGGAUGGAUGAUGGAACUACCAUUUGUAUUCCAAAUCUUUACUUGUCCACUUUUCUUCAUAAUAGUCCGGUUUUCGAAACACAAGAAAGGCAUUAUUAUCCACCUCCCGUAUUUUGUUGACUUGUGUCAAUUCUUUGGCGCUGGCCAGGCCAGGAGUACGAUGACUGAGGGUUCUACUUUCUGAGAGACCAAUAAUUAAGUUCCUCGAUUGACGUUGUUGCAACCAACCAACUAAGGGCCUUUUUGAUUCGUAGGAUUCUCAAAAUGCAGGAUUAGGAAAAACGUAGGAAUAGAGUGGCAUGUCAUUUUCUACACUACAGGAUUUGGAAGUGUGUUUGAUAGCACAGAAAAAACAAAGGAAUUCUACAAAGAGGUUUGAGUGGAUGAAAAUUUUCCUUCAAAAUGUAGUAUAAACGAAUCCUAUGGAAAAAUUCCAAAGGAUUUCAAUCCUAUGAAUCAAAUGACCAUCGUAGGAAAAAAUCCUAAGGAUCCAAAUCCUCUAAAAAUUCAAUGAAAUUCCUUUGUAUCAAAAGAGCCCUAAAUGACUAAUAAUACCAUACACAGUUUCUUCCUAGUAUGAAGAAAAAUACAACAACACGCUGAGUUGCAUUGACGAUGGAUGGAUCGAUGGACUGAGAACUCUACUGCUCGAUCGGAGACAGACACGAUGAGUUGGUUGAGAACUUGAGAUGGGCAAUAAACACAAGCCAGAACUCUUCACCUCACGCAGACAUGCUCCUACAUUGAUACAUACGUACCUGUCCGUACACGUUCCUCGCGUUCGCGUCGGCUCCCUUCUCCAGCAGCACCGCCGCGAUCUGCACGUAUGCCAAACACAUUCAGAAUUAGCUCGGUAAGAAAUAAGCUGGCAAUUUAAUUUUCAGCAAUGCUACACAUACAUAACUUUUUAUGAGCUUUACAAACAGAUGUAUUUUGAUUAGAGAUUAAGGGGGAUGAGGGCCUCACCCCCUUAAAAAUCAAGGGGAAGGGAGUGGUUAGUUAGAAAGAAAGAAUCUUAGUCAGCAUUUAACCUUAUGUAACUCUUUGUAUGUCUAGAAUAUUUUUUUUAACUUUUACCAACAACGUGCCUACCAGGUUAGUUUUUUUGUUGUGCGGAAAUUAAAUUAAAUCGGAUGUAUGUACAUAUUACCUGCUCCUUCUGUUCCUGAAUAUUGGUAUUUUUAAAGAUUCAAUUAUAGAGUACAUACAAAGUAAAAUGGAUGAAUCUAUAUUCUAAAUUAUGUCUAUGUACAUACAUAUAUAGUACAUAGCAAAAUAUUUAAAAAGAUAUAUAUUUAGGAACAGAAGGAGUACAUAUCAAAAUAUAAGACAUUUUUCAGCUUGUUUAGACUAAAAAAAAGUCUUAAAUUUUGAUACGAAAGUAGCACAUAAGUAUUAAGUUGAUGUGAAUGUAUGCGUGUGUAUAUGAUCACUUGGGUCAGUACUUUGUCAAAAAAAAUAUGAAGUCGGUUGUACUAGACUACGUAUAUGUAGAAGCGUUGUGUGUUAGGUCGGGGGGACAUGUGAUUUGAUAGUUAGCGUAUGUACGACUGCAGAUGGGAACAGUUAACCAGCUGGCUCGCUCGCUCACUAGCUACCCAUCAUGCAUCAACUCAUGUACAUAAACACUGGCUGAGCAUAUAUAUAUACUUUUCGACAAAAUCGUCAAAGCUAGCCAGCCGGACGAUCGACAGGACGCUGCGUCUAAUUAAUUUCUUGUGACUUUGGUGAUGGCGUCCUGACGCGAUGGCCUUUAAAAAAACAUGGGACCGAUUAGCCUUUGCAAAAAUACAUUGACUAAUAAUGCGUCGACAGGGACGACACGUUUGUGCUGCAAAAAUCAAUGUACUGUAGCGCACAUGUGUACUUCGAUUGCACGAGGCAUUUAGUAGUUUUUUUGUACGAUGCCCUAAAAAUGCACCCUACAUUCCACGGAUUCUAUCUUAAUCACAUACGUACCACUCGAGGCGUACACAUUUUGCCUUACUCGUUCCUGGUAAAUACUCUUCACGUCAUAUUUAGAUUUUUCGCAUUUGCGAGGAUCGAACCGGUAAGUCGGUUUCCCGGAAGAAGGAAUGGAGGCAGGGUGGAGCUCCGAUGCCGAAUUGUGGUUGACCCGGAGGCUGGUACGAAGGUAGCGGUGUCGUCGGUGAAGGGAGUCGGGGGUUUGAUGUUUCGAGGUGGGUUGUCUCCUCUGAAAAAGAAGGGUAGUAGGGGGGCUUAGAGAGAUGGCUGGGUGAAGAGGGGAUGAUAUACCGAUCGAGGCGAUGGCUACACAAUGCUUGUCGGUUGGACCAUCUGAAAUGAGAGGAAUGCUUGAGUUUUUAGAGAAAAAAAAUCGAUGCCGCCUUUCUACAUCUUAAAGCUUGUUCAAGAAGAGGCCAAACUUUGGGUUAUCGCCGGACCUAACAUUUGAGUAAGAUCAUGCCACGAGAUUAAUUUCAUAUGUAAUUUCUCUUUAACGGGCUACGUCGUGGAGCCGUUGUUAUGUGCUAUAAACUCCUCCUUCCAUAUUAACGAAUGAGGCGAAUAUUUUGGCUUGUUAUCUCAAAAAAAAAAAGAUAUACCGAUCGAGGNNNNNNNNNNNNNNNNNNNNNNNNNNNNNNNNNNNNNNNNNNNNNNNNNNNNNNNNNNNNNNNNNNNNNNNNNNNNNNNNNNNNNNNNNNNNNNNNNNNNNNNNNNNNNNNNNNNNNNNNNNNNNNNNNNNNNNNNNNNNNNNNNNNNNNNNNNNNNNNNNNNNNNNNNNNNNNNNNNNNNNNNNNNNNNNNNNNNNNNNNNGUGCAUGAUGGCAAUAGGUGGUUUGGCCGGCGCUUACCGAACAAGUUAGGAGGAAGGAGGAGAAGUUGUUGGCUCGAGGAAGAAGAAAACACAACAUCCGUUGGAUACACACCAGGCGGCUAAAGGAUCAACUUGCCCAAAAAAACCAGACAACUCCAACUUGUUNNNNNNNNNNNNNNNNNNNNNNNNNNNNNNNNNNNNNNNNNNNNNNNNNNNNNNNNNNNNNNNNNNNNNNNNNNNNNNNNNNNNNNNNNNNNNNNNNNNNNNNNNNNNNNNNNNNNNNNNNNNNNNNNNNNNNNNNNNNNNNNNNNNNNNNNNNNNNNNNNNNNNNNNNNNNNUACUUGAAAAAUCUGCGUGUCACUGUCCGAUACAGUGAAUGCACCUACCUGGCUGCCUGUAGUAUACCAUCAACUUGGGUGACGUGGGAAAAUCAACAAGUCAAUCAAACGUUUUGAUCGAUCUACCUUAUUACACAUCGGCAUGACAGUAACCCGGCCUGAAAAAUAUCCUACCAAUUAACUAGUGGUGCCAACUUGCGUGCCAAAGAAUGCAUCGCUGCAAUGGUGACUCGCCACUGCCGUCAACUUUUGGCCACACAACCAACAAGUCAUUUUCUAGCAAGGAAAAAUGGGAAACCAUAUAUAGCCGGAGGACGCACGCAUGCGCCUCAAACCAAAUCCGAUAUGGUGGAUUAGGUAGGUUUUCAUGUCGACUCGUCAAUCUAUUCUAUUUUAUCAUCGGUGGUUUGUCUCUGGUUAAGUAAAAGCUAUGGUGGUUAUGCUACGUAGGUGUCCAUACUAAUAAUUAAUCAAGGGAACAAAUCGGAUAUGUUAGUACCUUUCGAGACAUUACUACUAGCAGGGAUCAGUAUGUGGGAUCUGGCUAAUUAAUCCGGACCGCAUGUUUUUCAACAUUUUGUUUCGUUGUACUUCCUCCGUCUCAAAGUUCUUAUCUUAGAUUUNNNNNNNNNNNNNNNNNNNNNNNNNNNNNNNNNNNNNNNNNNNNNNNNNNNNNNNNNNNNNNNNNNNNNNNNNNNNNNNNNNNNNNNNNNNNNNNNNNNNNNNNNNNNNNNNNNNNNNNNNNNNNNNNNNNNNNNNNNNNNNNNNNUUCUUAUCUUAGAUUUGUUUAAAAAUUGAAUGUAUCUAAAUACUAAAAUGUGACUAGAUGCAUUCAUAUGUAGACAAAUCUAAGAUAAGAAUUUUGAAACGGGAGAAGUAAAUUAUUUCAUCUCUUUCGUGCAUGUUCUGAUCCCCGUGACGUGAGCUUGCGUGCAUGGUUAUUCGACAAAACUUUUGAAUUUAAACGGACGCUCCAAGACAACACACAAUCUGUGUUUCACAAUUGCGUUUUUAUUUCCAGGGGGAAAAUCAUUGCAAGGUUUUUUUUUUCGCGCGCCGUAAUGAACUUGUAAGAUAAAAACAAAACAUGUUGAACUAUGUACGCGCCUUAUUUGCAUGGUUUCGAAUUUGAAUUGCACCCGCUGAACUAGCCCAUGCAUGCAGAACGGAAACAAAAUUCGCAUGCAUGCAGGAGGAGGCGCGCGCGCGCACGCGGCCACCGCCGGCGUCGAGAGCGAGCGGGUCGUCGGGCCAUCUCGCCGUCCGGCCGACCGGAGCGCGCGCGUGCGAGGGCAGGUGCACGUGCGUACGUACCUCGUGGUGGCCCUUGGUGGCGGCGAGGUGGAGCGGCGAGCUGAGGUUGCCGAAGGUGGCCGUGCACCGCGCGAGCCCCGGAUCCGCCGCCAGCAGCCGCCGCACCUCCGCCGCGUCGCCGUCCCUCGCCGCCGCCGCCAGCCGCUCGCCCAGCCCCGCGCACCCCAGCGCGUUCCCCAUGCGUAUAGGAUCGAUCGAUCGACGAUGAUGCCUCGUCCGCCUCCGUCCGUCCGCGCUCCGCACCAGCGGCCGGCCGGCGCGCGCCCCGUCGUUAGCAGGAGAUCGAGCUAAGCUCACGGGACUUCUCCGGUCGUUGUUGGCAAAGGAGGUUGAAUCUGGUGAGCUAAGGUGCGCGCUGUGAGCCUAACACUAGCUAGGCCACCAUAUAUAUCUAAAUAUCUGAGAUCGAUUUCUGCCAAUCUCUCGUGCAUUUCUCUGCCUGCUGGCUGGUCUAGAUAGUUUUAUAUGUGCACUCUUCAAGCUAGCUCUGGCUUGGUUAGUGUGAUCAUGACACAUGAGAGAAUUCUUUUUUCCUUCGUCUUCUCUGGCUGAUAUUGAUAUGAUAUCUUGCUGUGAGUACACGAGGCACCAGUGUAUUGAUUAGUUGUGCAUGGCCGCUUUUGCAUACUAACCCCUCUACACGUGUAGAUUCACUUUCACGCCCACUAGGCCUUAGGGAUAACCGUCGCACACCCCUUCCGCCUUUUUUUUUUCUUCUUCUUUUGAGUUGGACGCACCCCCUCCCCCUAUAAAUGUCAUUUUGACUUAAUUCAGCGCGUGCUUCUUUUGGCGCGACAUGUUACCGCUACAUGUAGACUACCUGGUUGAACGAUACAAGUGAUUUGAGAGUCUCAUUUCGAAACGACGUCGAUAACGGGUGAAGUGUUGAUCUCCUAGAGAAAAUAUACGAGACGACAAAUCUCCAAAGCUCUUAUCAACAGAGUGUCGCUUAUCAGCAUGGUAUCGUCCUCGAUUGCAUCCUAUGGUCGAAGCAUGUCCCGAGGAAGUGAAAGUGAUGCACACAUAAAAUUGUAUUGAAAACGCUGUGGGUCAAUUCAUUGUUGAUCAUGUAAAACGGCCCUUACCGUUAAAUGGAAAAUUACAAAGAGUCAACCCUAGUGCUAGCUAUAAGAGUCAGUCGACCUAUGGCACACUUGAUUGUGUGGUGCUAAUAAGUUGGCAUGGAAAAAAUCUUGCUAGCUUCACCGCGUGUCUAAAUCAUCCGCGGCCAAAGAGACCGUGCAAGAUAUAUUCAUACAUGUAUGGUGGUAUGAUCAAUCGAUGUAACUACCUGCCAACCCCACUUAGCACUAACUCACGGGUGCAGCUAAUUUAGAUAGCUGGUGGAUCAAAUUUCUCCACUUGGUAGCAUCAGUUUCCUUCACUUUCUGCCACUUGCAUUUCAUGUCUAUUGACCGAAAGGAAACCCUAUUAUGGUUUUAUCAUCUUCAUUGUAAUCACAAUUUUGUUAAAAGUUUAUUUUCAGGUUAAUAAUUAGUCAAGUCUAUACGAUCAUUUUCAGUGUCUUUCGUGGAAUUACUUGUUUCUCCUGAUAUUUUGUUAGAAAACUUGUGCAUUGAAAGACAUGCCUCAACCAAUUCAACCGGGUUUCAAUUUUCUUGCAAAACAAGAAAAAAAAUCGCAAGAUAACAUGUUGGGUCCCAAUGUCUUGCAGAGAGAGACAAGCCAUUCAGUCAACCAGAAGUGCAUCAAUGCAUAUACUGUUCACUGGUGUGCUCUGAUUUCAUUCAACCACAACCCACUUCAUAUAUACCAGUGUUUAGGAAACUUUUUUNNNNNNNNNNNNNNNNNNNNNNNNNNNNNNNNNNNNNNNNNNNNNNNNNNNNNNNNNNNNNNNNNNNNNNNNNNNNNNNNNNNNNNNNNNNNNNNNNNNNNNNNNNNNNNNNNNNNNNNNNNNNNNNNNNNNNNNNNNNNNNNNNNNNNNNNNNNNNNNNNNNNNNNNNNNNNNNNNNNNNNNNNNNNNNNNNNNNNNNNNNNNNNNNGAAGGUUCCUGACCUCAUUUAGCAAGAUAUGGAAUGAAUGGACACACUGUCAAGAGAGAUAGACAAGAUUUUUUUAUUAAUUAAUCAAUAUAGUCACAAGAGGGCAGCGGCCUUGAGUGAGACUUGCCGAGAGAAAAGCAAGGCAUCCAAUGGACACAUAGAGCAAUCAAUGAUGAUACCUUUCUCAAAUUUCAUUACGAAAAGGGACUUGUUUGGUGGCCAAGCAGUUGGGUAGGCGUUAAGCAAACAAAGUGCUUGUAUGCCACCAUCUUAUUCAUAACAUAUAUAUAAUACAUACUAUUAGUUGGAAAACCAAAUGAGAUAUAUAUAUAUAUNNNNNNNNNNNNNNNNNNNNNNNNNNNNNNNNNNNNNNNNNNNNNNNNNNNNNNNNNNNNNNNNNNNNNNNNNNNNNNNNNNNNNNNNNNNNNNNNNNNNNNNNNNNNNNNNNNNNNNNNNNNNNNNNNNNNNNNNNNNNNNNNNNNNNNNNNNNNNNNNNNNNNNUAUAUAUAUAUAUACAGUAGUUGAAAACCCAAAUAUUAUUAAAAAAAACACUCAAGAGCAAAUAGAAAAUAAGAUAAAAUGCGUCGUCCAUGAUCUGUGAGCCUCAUACACUUGAACAGCUGCACUAUCAUUAGAUUCAUUAGAAGAUAAGGUGGAGCAUACUACUGUUCUCACUUCUGAAGAAUGUACUACAAAAUCAUUUCCUACAGCCCUCUGUACACGUACGACUUGCAGACUUUGAAAAGAGGAAGCAUAUCAGCAUGAAUUUCAUGUCGUAUCACAUAAUGUCCUACCUACCUACCGGCGUUAUUUCAUUGACCAAACAGUGGAGACUGGUGCGUGUCACGUAUAGUUAUGAAGCGUACAAAUUCAAGGGCAUGUUUCAAAAUGAUAAAUUUGCAGAGGGCAGGGUCGCAAAGUAGUAGCACACCACUGAACGGGUCAUCAUCUAAUCUUCAGGGCAGAAAUGGCUAAUUAGUGAUCAGAAGAAUUAAGAAAGUGCUGAUUAUUUAUUUUUAAUGUCAGGAAUAAAGAGCGGCAACUUGUGUCAGCACUCGUGAGUGUUUUUGAUCCGUUGUGGAGUAGUCCAAGGGAAGAGUAUCUUGCUCGUGGGAAUCUCUCUGGAGGUGGUGGAUUCUUGCAAGGAAAGAGAAUCUCCAGUUGCUUCGUCCACGCCAACCUUUGCUCACCAAUCACCCGGUUGCAUUUCCGUGUCAACUUGACCUUCUACGCGGAUAGGGUUUAAUAGAAGACAGUUUUUUUCAAAACUAAUUGCGAUCCCUUGUCUUAUAAUAACUCCCCGGGUAUCUUUGAUUCGGAGAAUUUUUUAAUAUGAAUUUCAACGAUUGCUUCAGUAUAUCUUUGAUUCGAAGGAUUUGUGGAAACCACCACAAGAAUUAUGGGACGGAGGGAGAGCAUACGAAUAUUUAUGAAGGUUCUCUUGCACUUUAUUUUAAAUUUCAACAAUGGAUGCUUUCUUUAUGAAUUCAUAAUAAAUCAUCAAAGGGAUAUACAAACACAAUAACUAUAAACCGGGCCUCCGCACACUUAUACACACCUUCAACGUCACACAACACACACACACACACACACACACACCGCGGUGGGAGAAAAGACACACCACCAAAAACACAACCUAAAAAAGAUUCGACAAUCCCAGGCUUUCGUCCGUAAGUGCUAAACCAUUGCACCCCGAGACAAUACACCACGAGUUGUCAUUGUACUGGCAAGGCCGUGAUAAUCCUCAGCAAAUUGCCACACACCAUGUUCAUGAUACGACAUUGCAACGUAGGAUCGCCGCUACCAUGCUUGGUCUCAAUGCCUCAGCUACCCCAAAAAGGGCACUGAUAAGACAUGGAGCGGCAUGUGCAGCACGAACAUGUUAUCAUCCACUAGCCCCUCCCCGUCCCGUCCCCCCGCUAACCAAUGCAACUCCAAAAUGAUGCUCCCAAGAGAGAUAAACGACACCAUUGACAUCAACUACCAAUCGGAGUCAUCCUGACCUAGGUUUCCCUUGGAGCAACACGUAGGUACGCGAAAACAACAUCUAUUGGUGCCAAAAGGAGUCACCAUCGCCAUCCUCAGAAAUAUCCGAGCACAACUAUCGACCAUGAUCUCGUCGCAGCCGGACAAAAUCCGUCCUGCGCCAUGCCGACUGAGAUGGAACCACGCCAUCGUCGUGUCCGCCCGCAGUCCUGCUAGGUUAUAGAUCACACCAGUGUGCUACCAUCCACCGCUGAGAAGCCUUAGACACGUCUGCACGCCUAGCUAGCCAGGCCAGAACUACGGCCCACCUCCGACGUCGCACAUCUGCGGUACUAUGUCGCUCUUGUCAUCCGCAUGGGCCCAGCGCCACCUCGACGAGUCACGGACCUUCACUUAAAUGAGCCACCCCUAGGCCGCUCGUGUUCCUAGCCAGAUGUUGAUAAGGAACCAUGUUGAUGUCGACGUUGUGUGGUCUUUACUCUCCAUCGGCGGUGAGGGGCAAAGGAAGUGGGGUGGUGCUUGGCAUUAACAAAAAUAGUGUGCAUGAAAUUAUUCUUGUAAUACAGUGGCAAACAAAAUACUACCUCCGUCCUGGUUUAGUGGUUAUCUUUGUAUUUUGUCCCAAACUUUGAUUUCAGAUUUAACUGGCAAAAUGUCCUGUGCGCUGCAGCAAAAGAAAAAACAAUUUAUAAUCUUGAAUGGUCAUGAUCACAUUUGGUUGCAUCAUCGAGAAACACCAUCACUCUCAUUUUCAAAUUGUGAAUAAUUUUUUAAAUCAUGAACAUUUAUUAAACUCGGGAAUAUAUUUGGAAUUAUGAAUAAUUUUCAAAUGCGUUAUAUAUACAUUUAUAUAUAAAGUAUGGUUCCCAAGUGACGAAUAGUAUUAAUAUACGUUUAUAUAUAAACUAUGGUUCACUUACAAUUUUUUCAUAGAACUCACUUUAGAGUAUCUUAGAUACAUUAUAUGAACAUACUAAAAAUAAUAAAUUAGUAUAUAUACUGUCAUAUGGUAGUAUAUGAGGCAUGGAUGUAACUGCACCCCUGAUAGUAGGAUACAUAUAUAAACACACUAUUAUUUGGAAACCAAAUGAUAUAUAUACUAUAAAAAAUAAAAUAAAAUAAGUUAAAUUAAAAUAAAAUGAAUCAUCCGUCAUAAAAUAUAGCAUCCCUUGACUCCACGAGGGGAUUUCCAAUGUUGACCCAUAAAUAUGCUCCGACAUCUGUUUAUGGACAGGGGAACCAAUCCGCAGACACGGGCCGCCCAUCCAACGCUACACGCAUACAUCUGACCUCAAUUUUUUUAUUUUUUGCACGUUCAAAUAGCUGCAUAUAUAAUCUAAAAUAGUUCAAAUGUCCAAAUACAGCGGUAGUUCUAAAUUUUUUUUAAAAUAUUACAAUCCAACAUUGUUGUCCCCCUUCACCGCCCGCAUACGCUCAAUCGGAUUUUCAUUCUGUUACUCGUGAGUUGCUUGAUCCCGAUUUUGUUAUGCAUUCGAACAAUCUCUUCAAAUAUGGUCGGAUUUUGAUUGGAGAGUUUGAUUUGACCACUCAUGUCCUCAAAUUUAAGACCUGCGGCAUCAUCCUCACCCUCAUCCUCCACGACCAUCUUGCACAUGAUCACACAACAGUUCAUUACCUCACACGUAGAUCAUUCCACCUUUAUCUAUCUAGGUUAUCCUUCUUUCAUAACAAAGCAGAAUGUGAUGAUCAAUCCCUCUAUUAUGAGAUUCAUGUUUAUACCGAUGUCAUUGUAUUGGUUGGUGCCAUUUCUUCUCUUGGAGGCAGGUGUCGAUAUAUUGGGACAUGGCAUCAUCGUAUUCAUGUUUUCCAUACUGCACCAUAUUUCCGUAGAACCUCGGCAUGAUGCAUUGUUGCAAAAAAAAAAAAGGUGGAGAGUCAUUGCUGAAGUUUUUCAGUUUAUUUCCCCUACUAAUAUAUCUGAAUUAUGUGAUCUAUGGAACAGAAAUGACAAAAGUCUGCUAUUGGUAUGGCAUGCAUUGCAUCCAUCUAGAGCUUAUGGAGAUCGCCAAAUGAUUUGUGUUUUCAAGGAAAAGAGUGAAUUUGAUCAACAUGGCUUCUAUCUGAGGUACCAUUCCAGCUGAUGUUGAUGCUUAUGUAAUACAGUAGUUAGCUCCUGUCUGAAUUUCCUUAUGCUCAUGAUGUUGGUUGAUCAGAGAGCUUACUAGCGCAGCUACUUCGGUUUAGCCCCAGAAUUGUGAAUAGUCAUUAUGUGUUAUUAUUAUUUUUUGCCUCGUUUUAGGGCAUCCCACAGUACAAGGUAGUAUUAAUAAUAUUCCACAAAAAACUCACACCUACUGUGCAUGGUGUACUAAUCCUUGCGACGGCAUCGCAGGACACAAGGACGCCUAUCCUGUCCUGCAUUGACAUGAUAAAAGAACAUCGACUAAAUGAAUUCCUGCAUUGACAUGAUAGAAGAACAUUGACUAAAUGAAUGGAUGAACGACACCAAAUGGAGCCGCUCUCACCCUCAAGGCCGCCUGAAGACUAAGCUCUGGCUACGCAGAGCCAGAAAUGAAACCAGUGGACAUGCAUAUCACAUUGUGCAAACACACAGCUGCGGGUGGUAGUCAUGAUUAUUCGAACACAAGUCCGUUGACGUUCAUCCGUGGAGCUGUCGGGGGGCGGAUGGCGUUACACGGGUGACUCAAGGAUUGCCGGUCUUAUGCAUCUUACAGGGGCAGGCAUAAAACACAAGAAGGGAACCAAGCAAAUUCUUUCUUUUCAGUAAAUAGAUGCUAAUGCUGCUACGGCUGCUGCUUACGGACAGUUGAAGCGCGGCGUGGCGUGGGUCGAUCACAUGGCGUUGAUCAUCCGCUUCAUCUCCGCGGUCCUCCUCGGGUCAGGGUCCGCUAUGGCCCGCUCCGUCAGCACGUGCUUGAUCCGGCACAUCGAUCUCUUCACCUGGAAGAAACAAACAAUAGCAGGGCGAGUCAAGUGCCGCCUAAGGAACAGAGAAGAUGAAUUGGCAAAGAAAAAAAAACUGAUGCUUCACACUAGUAACAAGCUUUUCAAUUCACGUUGACGCUUAGCAUGAACCAAACAGAGGACAUGGUAUCCUAUAAUAAAGCAGUUCAUAUCUCUAGAUUGAAAAGUUCACCAACAAUAUAUUGUUGACCAACUGUUCACUCAUUAUUUCCUGGAGAGCAAGUACCCAGCACUAAACUGUGUCUUGAACAGAGAACGCGCCUUGGAAAAAAAUACGCUGAUGAAAAGAAAUAUUGAGUCACGUAGACACUUGAGAAGAACCAAAUGGAAGGAAUGAUGUCCUAUAAAGCAGGGCAUAUCUCCAGAUUGAAAAGUUCAUCAACAACAUAUUGUUGACUAACUAUUCAUUCAUUAUUUCUUGAAAAGCAAAAGUACCCAGGGCUGAAAAAAAAACAGCAUUGAAAAGUGGCCAAAUUUGCACCAAUGUUGAACACCACCAAUAAAUUAUCAUUUUAGAAAACAAAACAAAAAAAGUUACUGUCCCCAAGACAGACAUGGUUUCAUAAAUUUCUCUCUAACUGUGCAUAAAGAAACUGUUUUCCAGCAUGUCCAUGCUGCAUAACAUGCGAAAGCAGGAGAAUUAGUAGUGUGUUGUUUGUCGAAAAGGAACGCGUUCUGGGGUUCAGUUUAUUAAGAAGGCCAUCGUUUCUGAGCACCAUUGCAUACUCCACAAUAUCUCUGACCACACAGUUUGCCUGUCCGAACCAAGGAUAUUCAAGGACAGUAAGCUUUAAUGAAUAUUCAUGAAGACAGCGGCUUAUUUUGGUCACUUCCAUGCAGUACCUUCACAGGAGCAGUAGAAUACCCGAUGUCACCUCUGAUUUUGAAUCCAUCAUGAAACUAGAGCUACCGAAUUGCAGUUGUAUUAGGUAGCAAAAAAAGAAAAAGAAGACACAAGUAUCAUAAAUAUAUGAUUGGGUAGAGAUGGCAGGGGUUCAGAGAUGCAACAUUUUUGACUUGUACUGGGCAUAGCUUGGCAUCCACAGGUGGAGUGAGCAAACAUGUUACAAUAAGCAGGAUGCAAUUAUUGGAUGAAAUCAAGAUCUGUUGCACGUGGAACCAAAACAUGCAGUUAAUUGCUCGAGGAACGGCGUCAGGUUGUGGCGCCUAGUGGAUAUACCUUGGAAAUGCGCUCCGGGUUUGGGAAACCCAUACUCUCUGAAGCUAGCAUCUGGCGCUGGGACAUGAGCAUGUUCUUCUCCUUUAGCAGCACAUACCAUAGCUUAUGAAGGUCGUCCCAGGAUUUCAGGCGCAGUUCAGAGGCCUUCCAGCCACGACCUAUCAAUAUCAAUUAAGGGCAAGCAAAAGGCAACAACACUCAUUAGCUUUCCUGACAAGAAUGAUGUGUAACUACAUUUGCUCGUACCGUUCGUAGCAAAAGCAGGCUUGAGACAUGGGAAAUGUAAGAUCCUACCUACUGCUACGACCUACGGCGUGACCUUACGCACCACCGUGACAAAAUUCAGGAUCAUCGCAAAGUACCGGAGAGUAAGUAUAUGGAAGCAAUAACAUAGUAGUACUGGCAUGAGAUUGGUGGCGUCGCAUGAUCCAUGAACCGGAUGUGUCACGACGGCCUAUCCGUCGAAAAUCCGCCAACACCCUCGUAGAGUACAUGGGAUGGGAUGGGAUGGGAUGGGAUGGGAGCGGGGAGUGAUGUUGGUACCGUAGUGGGGCGCGGGCUGGUCGUCCGCGGUGCUCCGCUCGACCUCGAAGAACUCCUCGAGCGGGUUCUGCGCCUUCCUCGCCACCGACGUCGAUGCGGCGGCGGAGGCGCCCUCGGGCGCGGUGGAGAAGAGCCGCCUCGCGAGCGUCCUCGACAGGGAAAGCAUGGCGGACCUGAAGCGGGACGGGUCUCGUCGGGGGAAGAGGAGAUGCCGGCGGGCGGGGCGGCGGCGGCGGCUGGGACCGAUCCACGGGAACGGAAACAAGGGUUUAGACCCAAAACAAAUGGGUUCUGGGCCGGAUUUGGACCAGGAUGGUAACGAGUCGGGCCGAUUCAGGGCUUUUUUGUUUUUGCAAAGCAGCCCCGCGCUUUCAGUCGAAUCAUGCCAGCAGUACAACCUAUCGAAUUCACAUCAAAAAGAAAAAAAAGUGGAAUCAUGCCCGUAAGAAUUUGUUUCGCUCCUGUGCCCAAGAUGCCCUCUUUUUUUUUUGCGGGAUAAAGGAAGUUUAUUAAGAUGUCAUAGUGUUACAGUCGAGAGGCCAUAAACCAUCAAUACAAGGUGGAACCGAACGCAACCACACAGCUGUAGUUCGCUCAAAACCCCAUGAAUAAGCAAUGCUACACAUACUAAAACUUAGGACCUGUUCGGCAGUCCACUAGCUUCUCCCAAUUACAGAAUCUGCGGAGCGUCUGUUUGCUCACUCCAAAAAGUUUAACUGCAGCUCCGUCCGCUCCUGGAGCGAGCCAUGGAGCGGAGGGUUACCGAACGCGCCCUUACGUGAUGAUUUUACGUAAUAGAUGAUGUGAAGGUAAUUAAUUAGGCUAGGAUUAGUGGAACAACAAUACUGCACCUAAACUAACGUAGCUGUUUAGGUGUCCUCUUUUAAUUGGGUUAAUUAGGAAAGGGCCCCACCCACUUGAAAUCUGGAGGGGGAGGAGAGAUUAUUUAAGAAAGUUAAGGCCCUGUUUGAAACCAUCCAGAUUAUAUAAUUCAGUUUUUAUAAUCUAUUUUGUCUUCAAACAGGACAGCUUAUGGUGUAGAUUAUAAAAACUAGAUGGAUAGAUUAUUAAAAACUCAUAAUCUACUCUAUACCAGCUAAAAUCAGAUUAUGGAUUGCUAAUGACCCAUUACCCUUGUAAAGUUGGAGAUAAUUACAUUCCUACCACCGCCACCCUCCUCUUUUAAAAAAAAACAGAGGGCAGACAGGUCAUUAUGCAAUGUACAACCUGGAUUACAGUUUAUAUAAUCUGGCCUCCAAACAUGGUCACCUAGAUUAUUUUUAUAAACCAGAUUAUAUAAUCUAUCUUCAUAAUCCAGAUUAUCAUAAUCUAUUAUGGUUCCAAAUAGGGCCUAAGUAGCAUUACAUAGAAGUUUUACGUAAGUGUAGCAUUUUUGUUAGUGGAAAUAGAAGAUGAAGUGAUUUGCAUCAAUGGAAAUUGUGUCACUUUGGGCCUGCUUGGUUCACAGCCUAGGGUUGCCACGCCUAACCUUAGUCAUGCCAUAAUACUUUAGGCAUGUGUUUGGUUCAUUACCACACUUGUAUCUUGCCACACUUUUAUAGGUAUAUGGUCCAUAUGUCAUACACUUAAUUUUUUUGUCAAAUCUUGUCACAUUUAUGGUGUUCAUUUUGUUAGCCAUACUUUUUUUGACAGCCACACUUUGCCUAAGGUUAGUUGUGUAAAAAUUAGUCAUGAACCAAACAGACCCUUGAUGUUUAUGCCCUCUUUUAUGAAAUUUUGCUUUUUUAUAUCUUCAAGUUGUUGGCUCUUAUUCCACCGUUUUAUGCGAGGCAUUGAUGAAGCAAACCAUUGGUUAGGGUUUUCUUAUCAUACACUUUUCUUUGUAGGGUUUUUUCAUGUUUUAUCUAUUUUGUUGUAUCGUUAAGCAUUGAUUGUAAAUUCUAAAUUUUUCAUGCAACUGGACCAUAUUUGAUAGUACGAGGUAUCUUCUGAGGUAAUUAAAAGCUUUAUGGACAUUAAGUUUUUCCUUCGCGACAAUUCUUUUUUCUUAGGACUGGGGCUUGUUUUAAUCCUGGCUCCACCACUAUAUGUUUGUGCUAUCCUAACUCCAGCAUAAAGCCGGAUACAGUACAACGCGUGAAGAUGUUUCAAGAUCUCACACCGUCAUGCGUGCUUUUACCAGACGAAAUGUCCCCGCGACAUUGGAGUGGGUCAUGCAAACAGAGGGUGCUUAGCCCCUUCCCCUUCCCUGAUGGGAGGAGACAUGGCGACAAUGGACCCGCGGAUGAAGGCGUGGUACAUGGCAGAGCGCCACCUCAUCUUGAACCUCAUGACAGGACCGAUGGCGACCACAACCCCGCCCACGCCAACGCCGAGCAUUGCAACUGCGCCCACAACGCCAACGCCAAUGGCACCCAUGCCAAUGCCGAGCACUGCAACGACGCCCACAACGCCAACACCAGCAGCACCCACGCCAACACCGAGCACUGCAACAGCGUCCACGCCAACACCAACAGCACCCACGCCAACACCGAGCACUGCAACAGCGUCCACGCCAACACCGAGCACCGCGCCUACGCCGAGCUCUCCCACACCCUGCAGGAGAGGAGCUUGUCGUUUGAGUUUCAUAUCUAUGAUUCCUAUCAUUUUGAUCACCGGACUUUAGCUAUGUUCGAUCACCUACCUGUGACAUGAUGAUCGCCCACCUGUGGCAUGGUGACUGCCGAAACUAUGUCGAGCUUUUGGUAGCGAGAAAGAGAACUUUGAAUUUAAGUAUGUUUGCGGCUGAAACCCGGGGGAUGGCUGAAAACAUGCGCCCCUACAAGCUGAAAGGUUACGCUAUGAAAACAUGCGCCCCUACAAGCUGAAAGGUUACGCUAGGGGACCAACCGGCUGGAGAUGGUAUUAGCAUUAUAGCCUUAUAGGACAUACUCUCUCCGUUCUUAAAUAUAUAUCCUUUUAAAGAUUCUACAUACUUAUAUAUAUAGACAUAUUUUAGAGUGUAAUUUCUUUCAUUUUGUUCUGUAUGUGAUACAAUAGUGAAAUCUCUAAAAGACUUAUAUUUAGAAUCAGAGGGAAUACAACACAGGCAGAUAACAGGAUAUUCUGCCUCACAGUUGUUCUUGUUGAAAAGACACCCAGAGUUCCAAACAAACCAUAUAAUGGAGCAUCAGUCAAAAUUUAUCGCUGCCAAAAUUUUGGAAGCAUUUGUCCGCGCUAUCCUAACUCUAGCGUAAAGCGGGAUACAGUUUUACAUUAAUGCGUGAGGAUUCAAGAUCUCGCACCAUCUUAGUCGUUUUCGCCAGACGAAAUGUCCCNNNNNNNNNNNNNNNNNNNNNNNNNNNNNNNNNNNNNNNNNNNNNNNNNNNNNNNNNNNNNNNNNNNNNNNNNNNNNNNNNNNNNNNNNNNNNNNNNNNNACUAGUUUUCUUUAAGAGCUUUCACAUACUCGUAGCUCUAGUGCAUCAUUUGUAUGGCAAUCCCUACUCAUUCACAUUGAUAUCUAUUGAUGAGCAUCUCCACAACUCAUCGAUAUGCCUAGUUAAUGUGACUAUAUUCUCCUUUUUGUCUUGCAACCUCCACCACAUUCCACACCAUCUAUAGUGCUAUAACCAUGGCUCACGCUCAUGUAUNNNNNNNNNNNNNNNNNNNNNNNNNNNNNNNNNNNNNNNNNNNNNNNNNNNNNNNNNNNNNNNNNNNNNNNNNNNNNNNNNNNNNNNNNNNNNNNNNNNNNNNNNNNNNNNNNNNNNNNNNNNNNNNNNNNNNNNNNNNNNNNNNNNNNNNNNNNNNNNNNNNNNNNNNNNNNNNNNNNNNNNNNNNNNNNNNNNNNNNNNNNNNNNNNNNNNNNNNNNNNNNNNNNNNNNNNNNNNNNNNNNNNNNNNNNNNNNNNNNNNNNNNNNNNNNNNNNNNNNNNNNNNNACUAUAUGCUUUUGUAGGGAUAACUUUCUUUUGGCCUUGUUAUUUUGAAAGUUCAUGAUUACUUUGCUAGUUUGCUUGAAUUAUUAUUGUUUCCACGUCAAUAGCAAACUAUUGUUUUGAAUCUAAUGGAUCUGAACAUUCACGUCACAUAAGAGGAAUUACAAAGGACACCUAUGCUAGGUAGCAUGAAAGCAUCAAAAAUUCAUUCUUUAUCACUUCCCUACUCGAGGACGAGCACGAGUUAAGCUUGGGGAUGCUUGAUACGUCUCAAACGUAUCUAUAAUUUUUGAUGAUUUCACGCUGUUAUCUUGUCUUCUUUGGUUGUUUUAUGUACCUUUUAUAUCUUUUUUGGGACUAACUUAUUAAUUCAGUGCCAAGUGCCAGUUCCUGUUUUUUCCGUGUUUUUGACUCUUUUCAGAUCUGAUUUUGGAANNNNNNNNNNNNNNNNNNNNNNNNNNNNNNNNNNNNNNNNNNNNNNNNNNNNNNNNNNNNNNNNNNNNNNNNNNNNNNNNNNNNNNNNNNNNNNNNNNNNACUCCCUCAAGCUUAGACCUCGCUUGUCCUCAAGCGAAAACCAAGUUCCAUAAACAUGUCCACAUUUUGAGGGACGAAGGUGUCGAUAAAACAUAAUACGGACAUGAGGGCAUCAUGAUCACACAUAGGACAUCAAUACAUCAUAAAGAUUCUUAUGGGAAAGUAACAAUUCCUUCACAAAGCAAAGCAUGAAGCAAAAACCUUACCGAGAAAUAACCAACAACAGUCCAAAGUCAUUGAAGCAAUUGCAAUUUAUCACAACAUCAGAAAGAGUCAAGUGAGAGCUUGUAAGGCAAAUCCACAUACUCAAUCAUCUCUUUUGUUUUCCACAAUUGCUACAACUCACGAGGUACUCAUGGUGUCAAAGUUUCAGCUGGACAUAGAGGAAGAUAGGGGCUUAUAGUUUUGCCUCCCAACGAUUUACCUCAAGGGUAAAGUCAACAAUAAUAAAGCAUAAGUACUCAACUCCAAGUUGAUAUAUGAAUAUAGAUCUUUCCCAAGCAUAUGACGGUAGCCAAGACAAAGGCAAAAUAGGGAAUUGGUGAAGAUCACCAUGACUCUUACAAGGGCAAAAAGUAAAGGUACAAGAUAGGCCCUUCGCAGAGGGAAGCAGAGUUGUCAUGCGCUUUUGAGGUUUGAAUGCGUGUCCUCUUAGUGCGGAGGAACGUCACUUUAUAUUGCCUCCUGUGAUAAAGAACUUUAUUAUGCAGUAUGUCGCUUUUAUGUCUUCCUCAUCACAGGUUCGUACAAAGCUUAUUUUCCACACACUAAUUGUAGCGACCCGACUCAAAACGAGUCAAGCCUCUGUGUUUCUGUGCCAUCCCUGGAUCAGUAUGCUGGCACACACAGUACAUCAAUGUAUAUAUCAAAGUGCAAUCACAUGUAAAUAGCGUAAAACUGAUACAUACCUUAAAUAUCUCAGCGGAAGCAGUCAAGGGAGUGGAGUCCCAAUAAACACCAACGACAAGUUGAGUGUAGACCGUAACCCUGAAUCGUACUCUUACUCGUCGAAGAAAAAUAUCUGCAACAUAAGAUGUUGCAGCCGUGUAGGUCAGCAUAUUGAAUAUGCUGGCAAGUCACAUAUGAGAGGGGGUAAAAUGUCUUCUGUACUAUAUGCAUAUAUGGCAGGUGGGGCUAUAAGUUUUUAGCGAAAAGCAAGUUUUCUCCUACAUCAAGAGAGGCUUAAAAGCAAAAUGUUACUACGUUGUUGAUUGUUAAUGAGAUGGUUCCGCCAACCAGUUCUCAUACCCAAGUUAUCAAUAUUACCCUCAUCAAGUAUUUAUAAUGGUGUUGAGAAUUUCAGAUAACUACAGUUCCUUUGGCUCAAGUUGUCCAUGACCGUGGACACGGCUAAUCGAUUAGGUUUGAGUACUCUGCAGAGUUUUGCACACGUUCCCCACAAGAUUUGAUCGCCUCCGAGUAUGUCCUCGCACUUCAGGGUGUUUGAAGACCGGAUGAUCAAAACAUGGUCUUUCAACGGGUCCCUCUGUAUCCCUGUCGGUGCCCNNNNNNNNNNNNNNNNNNNNNNNNNNNNNNNNNNNNNNNNNNNNNNNNNNNNNNNNNNNNNNNNNNNNNNNNNNNNNNNNNNNNNNNNNNNNNNNNNNNNGUAUUGAAGAUCCAAGAGAGAGAAGAGGUCAUCUAGUUACUAGCUAUGGACCCGUAGGUCUAUGGUGAACUACUCACGCAUCAUCGGAGAGGUCAUGGUGUUGAUGAAGAAGCCCUCCGUGUCCGAAUCCCCCCUUCGGCAGGGCACCAGGACGUGCCCCAUAUGGGAUCUUGCGGAGACAGAAGCUUGCGGUGACGGAAAAGUGAUUACGAAAGGGGUCAAAAACAUGGAAAAACAGGAACUGGCACUUGGCACUGGAUUAAUAAGUUAGUCCCAAAAAUAAAUAAAAGGCACGCAAAACAUCCAAAGUUUGAUAAGAUAAUUGCAUGAAACCAUCAAAAAUUAUAGAUACGUUGGAGACGUAUCAAGCAUCCCCAAGCUUAACUCCUGCUCGUCCUCGAGUAGGGAAGUGAUAAAGAAUGAAUUUUUGAUGUGGAAUGCUACCUAGCAUAGUUGUCCUUUGCAACUUAUUUCACGUGGCAUGAAUGUUCAGAUCCGUACGAUUCAAAACAAUAGUUUGCUAUUGACAUGAAAACAGUAAUACUUCAAGCAAACUAGCAAAGUAAUCAUCAACUUUCAAAAUAACAAGGCCAAAGAAAGUUAUCCCUACAAAAUCAUAUAGUCUGGCUAUGCUCCAUCAUCCUCACACAACUAAUGUAAAUCAUGCACAACCCCGGAAUUGGCCAAGUAAUUGUUUUCGCACUCUUACUUUCUCAAACUUUUUAUAACUAUCACACAAUACAUGAGCGCGAGCCAUGGAUAUAGCACUAUAGGUGGAAUAGAGUGUGGUGGUGGUUGUGAGACAAAAAAGGAGGAGAUGGUCACAUUAACUCGGCGUAUCAAUAGGCUAUGGAGAUGCCCAUUAAUAGAUAUCAAUGUGAAUGAGUAGGGAUUGUCAUACAAGAGAUGCACUAGAGCUAAAAGUAUGUGGAAGCUCAAAAAGAAAACUAGUGGGUGUGCAUUCAACUUGCUUGCUCACGAUGACCUAGGGCAAUUUUGAGGAAGCCCAUCAUUGGAAUAUACAAGCCAAGUUAUAUAAAAGAUUCCCACUAGCAUAUGGUAGUGACAAAGCAAGAAGCUCUCAAUCAUGAAGAACAUGGUGCUAAUACGAAGCACAAGUGUGGAAAAAGAUAGUAGCAUUGUUCCUUCUCUCUUUUUCUCUCAUUCCUUUUUUUUAUUUGGGCUCUUAGGCCUCUUUUUUUCUUUUCUCACUUUUUUUUUGUUUUGGGGCUCUUUGGCCUCUCUUUUUUUCCUCACAUGGGACAAUGCUCUAAUAAUGAUAAUCAUCACACUUUUAGUUACUCAAAGCUCAAAGAUCACAAUGAUGAUGACUCCAUAGGAAAUGCCUCCGGCAGUGUACCGGGAUGUGCAACGAUCUAGUAUGAUCAUGCAAUGGCAAUAUGAGAGUGACGGCACAAGUCAUGAGACGGAACGAUGGUAGUUGCAUGGAAAUAUAUCUCGGAAUGGCUAUGAAAAUUGGUGGGUUUGUGCACCAGCGAGAAUUUGGUGGUUGUUUUGAGGAAGGAAUUUGGUGGGUUUGUGGACCAGCGAGAAUUGUGCGGCACUAGAGAGGCUAGCAAUGGUGGAAGGUGAAAGUGCAUCUAUACCAUGGACUCAACAUUAGUCAUAAAUAACUCACAUACUUGUUGCGAAAGUUUUUAUUAGUAACCGAAACAAAGUGCUAAACGCAUACUCCGAGGGGAAGGGUUGGUAGGUGUAAACCAUCGCGCGAUCCCGACCUCAACACAAAGGAUGACAAUCAAUAGAUCAAUUAUGCUCCGACUUCCUAACAUAGCGGUUCACCAUACGUGCAUGCUACGGGAAUCACUAACUUCAACACAAUUAUUUCUAGAUUCACAACACCCUACUAACAUAGCUUUUAAUAUUCCCGAGUCCAUGUCUCAAAACUAAUUGAGAGGAAUCAAAACUUUUCUUUCUACUCAAUGCACAUGAAGAUGGAGGUUUUUUUGCAUCCUCUUUGGGUACCUAGCACAUGGGACUACUUUCAUAGCAUAAGCCAACUACCAAAUCACGCACCGGCGUGCUCUAAAGAUAUAAGUGAAGCACAAGAGCAAAAGCAUCUAGCUCAAAAAGAUAUAAGUGAAGCACUAGAGCAAAAGUAUCUAGCUCAAAAGAUAUAAGUGAAGCACUAGAGCAAAAGUAUCUAGAUCAAAAGAUAUAAGUGAAGCACUAUGAGCAUUCUAGCAAAAUCACGAUGAGUGCAUGUCUCUCUCUCUCAAAAAGGUGUGCAGUGCUACCUCAAAAAGAUCCCCGGCGACAGUGGAGGUGUAUCUCAAGAUCCUGGACAAACACAAAAACUUGCUCCCAACGCUAUGAAGGGGUUGUCAAUCCCUUAUAGAUUGUUUGCCAAGUGAGAACUGAAAGCAACAAAGUAACAAAGCAAAGUAAAAGCGGAGGUGUAAACAAUGGAUUUGAAUAGACCCGGGGGCCGUAGUUUUUACUAGUGGCUUCUCUCAUGAAAGCAAGUAGACGCUGGGUGAACAAAUUACUGUCGAGCAAUUGAUAGAACCGCGAAAACUCAUGACGAUAUCUAUGCAAUGAUUAUUUCUAUAGGCAUCACGUCCAAAACAAGUAGACCGAUACUGUCUGCAUCUACUACUAUUACUCCACACGUCGACCGCUAUCCAGCAUGCAUCUAGUAUAUUAAGUCCAUAAGAACAGAGUAACGCCUUAAGCAAGAUGACAUGAUGUAGAGGGAUAAUCUCAAACCAAUGAUAAAAACCCCAAUCUUUUUACCCUUGAUGGCAACUACUUGAUGUGUGCCUUGCUGCCCCUACUGUCAUUGGGAAAGGUCACCACAUGGCAGAACCCAAAACCAAGCACUUCUCCCAUUGCAAGAAUCAUAGAUCUAGUUGGCCAAACAAAACCCAAGACUCUAAGAGACUUACAAGGAUAUCAAAUCAUGCAUAUAAGAAAUCAGCAAAGACUCAAAUAUAUAUCAUAGAUAAUCUGAUCACAAAUCCACAAUUCAUCGGAUCUCGAUAAACACACCGCCAAAGAAGAUUACAUCGGAUAGAUCUCCAUGAAGAUCAUGGUGAACUUUGUAUUGAAGAUCCAAGAGAGAGAAGAAGCCAUCUAGCUACUAACUACGGACCCGUAGGUCUGAAGUGAACUACUCAUGAGUCAUUGGAGGGACGAUGAUGAUGAUGAAGAAGCCCUCCAACUCCAAAGUCCCCUCCGGCAGGGUGCCGGGAAGGGUCUCCAGAUGAGAUCUCGCGGAAACGGAAGCUUGCGGCGGUGGAAAAGUAUUUUCGAGGCUCCCCUGAUUUUUUGCGGAAUAUUUGGGAAUUUAUAGGCCAAAGAUCUAGGUCAGGGGGCGGCCAGGGAGGCCACAAGCCUGCCAACCGCCGCCUCCCCCCUGGUGGCAGAGUGGGGGCUUGUGGGCUCCCUGGAGCCCACCUGACUUGGCCCAAAGGCCCCCUGAUCUUCUUCCGUUCGGGAAAAAAUCAUUUCGGGGUUUUUCUUCCGUUUGGACUCCAUUCCAAAAUCAGAUCUGAAAAGAGUCAAAAACACGGAAAAAACAGGAACUGGCACUUGGCACUGAAUUAAUAAGUUAGUCCCAAAAAAGAUAUAAAAGGUACAUAAAACAACCAAAGAAGACAAGAUAACAGCGUGAAAUCAUCAAAAAUUAUAGAUACGUUUGAGACGUAUCAAGCAUCCCCAAGCUUAACUCGUGCUCGUCCUCGAGUAGGGAAGUGAUAAAGAAUGAAUUUUUGAUGCUUUCAUGCUACCUAGCAUAGGUGUCCUUUGUAAUUCCUCUUAUGUGACGUGAAUGUUCAGAUCCAUUAGAUUCAAAACAAUAGUUUGCUAUUGACGUGGAAACAAUAAUAAUUCAAGCAAACUAGCAAAGUAAUCAUGAACUUUCAAAAUAACAAGGCCAAAAGAAAGUUAUCCCUACAAAAGCAUAUAGUAUGGCUAUGCUCUAUCAUCAUUGCACAAUGAAUUUAAAUCAUGCACAACCCCGGUAUUGGCCAAGUAAUUGUUUCAUACCUUUACUUUCUCAAACCUUUUCAACUCCCACGCGAUACAUGAGCGUGAGCCAUGGUUAUAGCACUAUAGAUGGUGUGGAAUGUGGUGGAGGUUGCAAGACAAAAAGGAGAAUAUAGUCACAUUAACUAGGCAUAUCGAUGAGUUGUGGAGAUGCUCAUCAAUAGAUAUCAAUGUGAAUGAGUAGGGAUUGCCAUACAAAUGAUGCACUAGAGCUACGAGUAUGUGAAAGCUCUUAAAGAAAACUAGUAGGUGUGCAUCCAACUUGCUUGCUCACGAAGACCUAAGGCAAUUUUGAGGAAGCCUAUCAUAGGAAUAUACAAGCCAAGUUAUAUAAUGAAAAUUUCCCACUAGCUAUAUGGUGGUGACAAAACGAGAGACUCUCAAUCAUGAAGAUCAUGGUGCUUAAUAUGCACAAGUGUGGAAAAAGUGGUAGCAUUGUCCCUUCUCUCUUUUCUCUCUAUUUUUUUAUUUAUUUAUUUUGGUGGGCUCUUUGGCCUCUUCUUUUUUUGGUGGGCUUCUUUGGUCUCUUUUAUUUCCUCACAUGGGACAAUGCUCCAUUAAUGAUGAUCAUCACACUUUCAACUCAAAACUUAGAGUAAAGAUGACUCUAUAUGGAAUGCCUUCGGUAGUGUAUCGUGGCAAUGAUCUAGCAUGGCAUAGACAUCAAUGGAAACAUCAUGCUAGCUAUCUUACGAUCAUGCAAUGGCAAUGUAGACGUGGUGUCACAUGUCAUGGUGGUAGUUGCAUGGCAAUAUAUCUCGGAAUGACUUUGAAAAAGCCAUAGUAGGUAGGUAUGGUGGCAGUUUUGAGGGAGGCUAAUGGUGGGUUUUCUGCACCGGCGAAAGUUGCACGGCAGUAAGAAGAUAGUGAUGGUGGAAGGUGAAAGUGCAUCUAAACCAUGGACUCAACAUUAGUCAUGAAGAACUCAUAUACUUGUUGCAAAAAUUUUAUUAGUAAUCGAAACAAAGCAUUCAACGCAUACUCCUAGGGGAAGGGUUGGUAGGUAUAAACCAUCGCGCGAUCCCGAUCGCCACACAAAGGAUGACAAUCAAUAGACUAAUCAUGCUCAGAUUUCGUCACAUAGCGGUUCACCAUACGUGCAUGCUACAGAAUCACUAACUUCAACACAAGUAUUUCUAGAUCCACAACACCUUACUAGCAUGACUUCAAUAUUACCAUAACCACAACUCAAAACUAAUUGAGAUGAAUCAAACUUCUCUAACUAUUCAAUGCACAUGAAGGUGGAAGUUCUCGUAUCCCUUUGGAUAACUACCCCUUUUGAGACUACUUUCAAAGCAUAGAUCAACUACCAAGCCACGCACCGCUGUGCUCUAAAAUAUAUAAGUGAAGCACAAAGAGCAAAAGUAUCUAGCUCAAAAGAUAUAAGUGAAGCACAUGUGAGCUGAAUUGUCUACCAAAAGAUAUAAGUGAAGCUCGACAAAAUCACGGUGUGUGCAUGUCUCUCUCUCUAGGUGUGCAGCAAGGAUGAUUGUGACACAACAAAAAUAAAAGACUCCUACAAUACAAGACGCUCCAAGCAAAAACACAUAACAUGUGGUGAAUAAAAAUAUAGCCCCAAGUAACGUUACCGAUGGAUUGAAGACGAGAGAGGGGAUGCCCUCCCGGGGCAUCCACAAGCUUAGGCUUUUACAGCAUCCUUGAAUCUCUUGGGGUGCCUCGGGCAUCCCCAAGCUUGAGCUCUUGCCACUCUUUAUCUCUUUGUCCAUAAGAACUUGACCCAAAAUUUGAAAACUUCACAACACGAAACUUAAACAGAAACUCGUGAUAACAUUAGUACAAGAAAGCAAACCACCACUUCCUUAGGUAUUGUAGCAAACUUAAAUUCUACUUAUGCUGAUGUUGGGUUACUGUACUUUCAAUCUUCCAUGGCUAAUACCCCCUAUACUAUCCAUAGUUUCAUCAAAAUAAGCAACUAACACAACAAAAACAGAAUCUGUUAACAGCAGACCAGUCUGUAGCAAUCUGUAUAUUUCGUAUACCUAUGGUACUUAAACAAUUCUGUAAAAUUACGACAGUCUGAAGAAUUUGUGUAGCAAUCAGCAGCAAAAAGAAUCAACUCAAAAUCUCUUACAAAACAAAAAUGAAAAUUCUUUUCGUGAGCAGAAAGUUUCUGUCUUUUCCAGCAUAACCAAACGAUCAUCCCCAAGACUAAUCAUAACGGUUUUGCUUGGCACAAACGCAAAAAGAAACACAAAAAACACAAUCAUAACAGAAUUAUGAAAGUGUGAAAAACACAAAACAGAAAGAAAAAUGAUAGAUUCGUUGGGUUGCCGCCCAACAAGCGCUUUUGUUUAACGCCCUUAGCUAGGCGAAAGUGAUGGAAUCACGUAUAGUCAUCUUUGGUACUCAAACCAUAGGUAGCCCUCAUCAUAGAUUCAUAAGGCAAUCUUAUUUUCUUUCCAGGAAAGUGCUCCAUGCCCUUCUUUAAAGGAAAUUGAAAUCUAAUAUUCCCUCAAAACCCAUCUUUUUACCCUUGAUGGCUACUACUUGAUGUGUGCCUUGCUGCCCCUACUAUCACUCGGAAAGGUCACCACAUGGCAGAACCCAAAACCAAGCACUUCUCCCAUUGCAAGAAUCAUAGAUCUAGUUGGCCAAACAAAACUCAAGACUCGGAGAGACUUACAAGGAUAUCAAAUCAUGCAUAUAAGAAAUCAGCAAAGACUCAAAUAUAUAUCAUAGAUAAUCUGAUCACAAAUCCACAAUUCAUCGGAUCUCGACAAACACACCGCCAAAGAAGAUUACAUCGGAUAGAUCUACAUGAAGAUCAUGGAGAACUUUGUAUUGAAGAUCCAAGAGAGAGAAGAAGCCAUCUACCUACCAACUACGGACUCGUAGGUCUGAAGUGAACUACUCACGAGUCAUUGGAGGGGCGAUGAUGAUGAUGAUGAAGAAGCCCUCCAACUCCAAAGUCCCCUCCGGCAGGGUGCCGGGAAGGGUCUCCAGAUGAGAUCUCGCGGAAACGGAAGCUUGCGGCGCGGAAAUGUAUUUUCGAGGCUCCCCUGAUUUUUUGCGGAAUAUUUGGGAAUUUAUAGGCCAAAGAUCUAGGUCAGGGGCGGCCAGGGAGGCCACAAGCCUGCCCACCGCCGCCUCCCCCUGGUGGCGGAGUGGGGGCUUGUGGGCUCCCUGGAGCCCACCUGGCUUGGCCCAAAGGCCCCCUGAUCUUCUUCCGUUCGGGAAAAAAUCAUUUCGGGGUUUUUCCUCCGUUCCAAAAUCAGAUCUGAAAAGAGUCAAAAACACGGAAAAAACAGGAACUGGCACUUGGCACUGAAUUAAUAAGUUAGUCCCAAAAAAGAUAUAAAAGGUACAUAAAACAACCAAAGAAGACAAGAUAACAUCGUGAAAUCAUCAAAAAAUUUAGAUACAUUUGAGACGUAUCAUGCAGCAAGGAUGAUUGUGACACAACAAAAAAGAAAAGACUCCUAAGAUACAAGACGCUCCAAGCAAAACACAUAUCAUGUGUUGAAUAAAAAUAUAGCUCCAAGUAAUGUUACCGAUGGAGGCAUCCCCAAGCUUAGGCUUUUUUGUGUCCUUGAAUUUGGCUUGGGGUGCCUUAGGCAUCCCCAAGCUUGAGAUCUUUCCACUCCUUAUCUCUUUGUCCAUGAGAACUGAUACGUCCAUUUUGCAUCAUGCUUUCAUGUUGAUAUUUAUUGCUUUAUGGGUUGUUAUAUUACUUUGUGGUACCAUAUUUAUGUCUUUUCUCUCUUAUUUUGCAAGGUUUAUUUGAAGAGGGAGAAUUCAGGCAGCUGGAAUUCUGGACUGGAAAAGGAGCAAAAUCUUAGUCCACUAUUCUGCACAUCUCCAAAUGCCCUGAAAUGUUACGUGGAAUUUUUUGGGAUUAUAUAAAAAAUACUGGGCGAAAGAAGUACCGGAGGGGGGCCACCAGGGCGCCACAAGCCCUGCCACCGCCACCCCCUGGUGGCGGAGGGCAAGCUUGUGGGCUCCCUAACGGCCCACUAGCCCCCUCUUUUGCUAUAUGAAGGGUUUUGUUCCAGAAAAAAUCAAUUGGGAGCUUUUUUGUGGUUUCGCCGCCGCCACGAGGCGGAACUUGAGCAGAUCCAAUCUAGAGCUUCGGCAGGACGAUCCUGCCGGAGAAACUUCCCUCCCGGAGGGGGAAAUCCUCGCCAUCGUCAUCACCAACACUCCUCUCGUCGGAGGGGAGGCAUCCUCAUCAACAUCUUCAUCAGCACCAUCUCCUCUCCAAUCCCUAGUUCAUCUCUUGUAACCAAUCUUCGUCUCGCGACUCCGAUUGGUACUUGUAAGGUUACUAGUAGUGUUGAUUACUCUUAGUAGUUGAUGCUAGUUGGAUUACUCGGUGGAAGAGUUUAUGUUCAGAUCCUUGAUGCUAUUCAUUACACCUCUGAUCAUGAUUAUGAUUUAGCUUUGUGAGUAGUUACUUUUGUUCCUGAGGACAUGGGAUAAGUCAUGUUGUUAAUAGUCAUGUGAAUUUGAUAUUCGUUCGGUAUUUUGAUAUGUUGUAUGUUGUCUUUUCCUCUAGUGGUGUUAUGUGAACGUCGACUACAUAACACUUCACCAUAUUUGGGCCUAUAGGAAGGCAUUGGGGAGUAGUAAGUAGAUGAUGGGUUGUUGGAGUGACAGAAGCUUAAACCCCGGUCUAUGCGUUGCUUCGGAAGGGGCUGAUUUGGAUCCACUAGUUUAAUGCUAUGGUUAGACGUUGUCUUAAUUCUUCUUUUGUAGUUGUGGAUGCUUGCGAGAGAGGUUAAUCAUAAGUGGGAUGCUUUUCCAAGUAAGGGCAGUACCCAAGCGCCGGUCCACCCACAUAUCAAACUAUCAAAGUAACGAACGCGAAUCAUAUGAACAUGAUGAAACUAGCAUGAUAGAAAUUCCCGUGUGUCCUCGGGAGCGUUUUUCCUCCUAUAAGGCUUUGUUCAGGCUUGUCCCUUGCUACAAAAGGGAUUGGGACACUUGCUGCACCGUUUCUACUACUUGUUACUUGUUACUUUUUGCUUGCUACGUUUCACCUCGCUACACCAUCACUUGUUACUGCUACUUUCAGUGCUUGCAGUUAUUACCUUGCUGAAAACCAUUUAUCAGAGCCUUCUGCUCCUCGUUGGGUUCGACACUCUUACUUAUCGAAAGGACUACGAUUGAUCCCCUAUACUUUUGGGUCAUCAAGACUCUUUUCUGGCGCCGUUGCCGGGGAGUGAACACCUUUGGUAAGUGGAAAUUGGUAAGGAAAUAUUUUUAUACUGUGCUGAAAUUUAUUGUCACUUGUCACUAUGGAAACUCUUCCUUUGAGGAGUUUGUUCGGGGUAUCUUCACCACGAACGGAAGCACGAGGAUUUGUUCCUCGACCUGAGGUACCUACUGAGAAUAUCUUUUAUGAAAUUCCUUCGGGUAUGCUUGAGAAACUGCUGGCUAAUCCUUUUACAGGAGAUGGAUCUUCACCUCCAGACUUGCAUCUAAUCUAUGUAGAUGAAGUUUGUGGUUUAUUUAAGCUUGCAGGUUUACCCGAGGAUGAGGUAAAGAAGAAAGUCUUUCCUUUAUCUUUGAAGGAUAAGGCGUCGACAUGGUAUAGGCUAUGUGAUGAUACUGGAUCAUGGGACUACAAUCGGUUGAAAUUGGAAUUUCAUCAAAAGUUUUAUCCUAUGCAUUUAGUAUAUCGUGAUCGGAACUUUAUUUAUAACUUUUGGCCUCGUGACAGGGAAAGCAUAGCUCAAGCUUGGGGAGACUUAAAUCAAUGCUAUAUUCAUGCCCCAAUCAUGAGCUCUCGAGACAAAUCAUCACUCAAAACUUUUAUGCUCGGCUUUCUCAUGAAGAUCGUACCAUGCUUGACACUUCUUGUACUGAUUCUUUUAUGAAGAAGGAUAUUGACCACAAGUGGAAUUUAUUGGAGAGAAUCAAAUGUAACUCUGAAGAUUGGGAGCUGGAGGAAGGUAAGGAGUCAGGUAUGAAUUUCCAGUUUGAUUGCGUUAAAUCUUUUGUUGAGACAAACACUUUUAGAGAUUUUAGCGCUAAGUAUGGACUUGACUCUGAGAUAGUAGCUUCUCUAUGUGAAUCUUUUGCUGCUCAUGUUGAUCUUCCCAAAGAGAAGUGGUUUAAAUAUCAUCCUACUGUAGAAAGCAACAUAGCCAAAACCAAUCUAGUUCAGGAGAAGGUCAUUGCUUUUAGUGAUCUUGUUGUUCCUUGUGCUUACACUGAGAAACCACGAUACCCUGCUAGGAUAAAGGAUUAUUCUAAAGCUCCAACUGUGAUACGUAGGGGUUACAUUAGAUCACUUGCACCCCCUGAGGAGAUUAGAGUUGAACCUAGUGUUGCUAUUAUCAAAGAUCUCUUAGCCGAAGACAUAGAUGGGCAUGUUAUCAAAUUCUGUGAGGACUCCGCUAGAAUUGCUAAACCUCACGCGAAAGACAAACAUGGACAUGUAGUUGGCCUGCCCGUUGUUUCUGUCAAGAUAGGAGAUCACUGUUACCAUGGUUUAUGUGAUAUGGGAGCUAGUGUUAGUGCAAUACCCCAUUCUCUAUAUGAUGAAAUCAAAGAUGAGAUUGCACCUGCUGAGUUAGAACCCAUUGAUGUCACUAUUACGCUAGGUAAUAGAGACACUAUCUGCCCUCUGGGAAUUGUGAGAGACGUAGAAGUCCUAUGUGGUAAGACGAAGUAUCCUACUGAUUUCCUCGUCCUUGGUACUGCACAAGAUAACUUUUGUCCCAUCAUAUUUGGUAGACCCUUUCUCAACACUGUCAAUGCUCACAUUGAUUGCAUUAAGCAGACUGUCACGGUUAGUUUCGAGGGUGUGUCUCAUGAAUUUAACUUCUCCAAGUUUGGAAGACAACCCCAUGAAAAAGAGUCGUCUGGAAGGGAUGAAAUUAUUGCUCUUGCCUCUAUUGCCGUACCUCCUACGGAUCCUUUAGAACAAUAUCUGCUUGAGCAUGAAAAUGAUAUGCAUAUGGAGGAGAGAGAUGAGAUAGAUAAAAUUGUCUUAGAACAAUAUCCUAUUCUCAAGAAUAAUCUGCGUGUUUAACUGCUUGGGGAUCCUCCCCCACCAAAGGGUGAUCCUAUGUUCGAGCUUAAACAGUUGCCUGAUACUCUUAAGUAUGCCUAUCUUGAUGAGAAGGAGAUAUAUCCUGUUAUAAUUAGUGCUCUCCUCUCAGAGCACGAAGAGAAGAAGUUACUAAGAACUCUGAGGAAGCACCGUGUUGCUAUUGGAUAUACUCUUGAUGAUCUUAAGGGUAUUAGUCCUACUCUAUGUCAGCACAAGAUUAAAACCGAUUCUGAUUCUAAACCAGUUGCUGAUCAUCAAAGGAGAUUAAAUCCUAAGAUGAAAGAGGUCGUUAGAAAAGAAAUAUUAAAGCUUCUGGAAGCAGGAAUCAUUUAUCCUGUUGCUCAUAGUGAUUGGGUAAGUCCAGUACAUUGCGUACCUAAGAAGGGAGGUAUCACUGUCGUUCCUAAUGAUAAGGAUGAACUAAUCCCACAAAGGAUUAUUACUGGCUAUAGGAUCGUGAUAGACUUCCGGAAACUGAACAAGGCAACCAGGAAAGAUCAUUAUCCUUUGUCGUUUAUCGACCAAAUGCUAGAAAGGCUAUCAAAACACACACACUUCUGCUUUCUAGACGGUUAUUCAGGUUUCUCGCAAAUACCUCUUGCACGAUCUAAUCAGGAGAAAACCACUUUCACCUGCCCCUUCGGUACCUUUGCUUAUAGACGUAUGCCUUUUGGCUUAUGCAAUGCACCUGCCACCUUUCAAAGAUGUAUGGUGGCUAUAUUCUUUGACUUUUGUGAAAAGAUUGUCGAGGUUUUCAUGGAUGACUUCUCCGUUUACGGGUCUUCCUUUGAUGAUUGCCUCAGCAACCUUGAUCGAGUCUUACGGAGAUGCGAACAUACCAACCUCGUCUUGAAUUGGGAGAAGUGCCACUUUAUGGUUAAUGAAGGUAUCGUCUUAGGACACAAAAUCUCUGAAAGAGGCAUUGAAGUUGAUAAGUCUAAGGUUGAUGCAAUUGAGAAAAUGCCUUGCCCCACAGAUAUCAGAGGUAUACGAAGUUUCCUAGGUCAUGUUGGUUUCUAUAGAAGGUUCAUUAAAGACUUCUCUAAGAUUUCUAGGCCUCUUACCAACCUCUUGCAGAAGGAUGUUCCUUUUGUUUUUGAUGAGGAUUGUGAGGAAGCUUUCGAAAUACUUAGGAAGGCUUUGAUAACCGCACCUAUUGUUCAACUACCUGACUAGAACUUGCCCUUUGAAAUCAUGUGCGAUGCUAGUGAUUAUGCUGUUGGUGCUGUUCUAGGACAAAGAGUUGACAAGAAGUUGAAUGUUAUUCACUACGCUAGUAAAACUCUAGACAGUGCCCAAAGAAACUAUGCCACUACAGAGAAGGAAUUUUUAGCAGUCGUGUUUGCAUGUGAAAAGUUCAGAUCUUAUAUAGUUGACUCCAAAGUCACUAUUCACUCUGAUCAUGCUGCUAUUAAGUAUCUUAUGGAGAAGAAGGACGCUAAGCCUAGGCUGAUCAGAUGGGUCCUCCUGCUACAGGAAUUUGAUUUGCACGUCGUUGACCGAAAGGGUGCUGAUAACCCUGUAGCAGAUAACUUGUCUAGGCUAGAGAAUGUCAUCCGCACUUCACAUAGUGCACCGUGGUACGCCGACUAUGCAAAUUAUAUCGUAGCCAAAUACAUACCACCCAGUUUCACCUAUCAGCAAAAGAAGAAAUUCUUCUUUGAUUUGAGACACUACUUUUGGGAUGAUCCUCACCUUUAUAAGGAAGGAGUAGAUGGUGUUAUUAGAUGUUGUGUGCCUGAACAUGAACAGGGACUGAUCUUACAGAAGUGUCAUUCUGAAGCCUACGGAGGACACCACGCUGGAGAUAGAACUGCCCAUAAGGUAUUGCAAUCAGGUUUCUAUUGGCCCACUCUCUUCAAGGAUGCCCGUAAGUUUGUCUUGUCUUGUGACGAAUGCCAAAGAAUAGGGAAUAUCAGUAAGCGUCAGGAAAUGCCUAUGAACUAUUCACUUGUCAUUGAACCAUUUGAUGUCUGGGGCUUUGAGUAUAUGGGACCUUUCCCGAGUUCCAAUGGGUACACUCACAUCUUAGUUGUUGUGGAUUACGUCACUAAGUGGGUAGAAGCUAUCCCACUAAGAAUGCUGAUCACCACACCUCUAUUAAGAUGCUUAAAGAAGUCAUUUUCCCAAGAUUUGGAGUCCCUAGAUAUUUGAUGACUAAUGGCGGUUCACACUUCAUUCAUGGUGUUUUCCGCAAGAUGCUCGCUAAGUAUGAUGUCAACCAUAGAGUUGCAUCUCCUUAUCAUCCUCAGUCUAGUGGUCAAGUGGAGUUGAGUAAUAGGGAGAUCAAAUUGAUCCUACAAAAGACCGUCAAUAGAUCUUGAAAGAAUUGGUCUAGCAAACUUGACGAUGCACUAUGGGCUUAUAGGACUGCUUAUAAGAAUCCCAUGGGCAUGUCGCCGUAUAAAAUGGUUUAUGGUCAGGCCUAUCAUUUACCUCUUGAGCUGGAACACAAAGCUUCUUGGGCAAUCAAAGAGCUCAACUUUGAUUUCAAACUUGCCGGUGAGAAGCGGUUGUUUGAUAUCAACUCAUUAGAUGAAUGGAGGGCCCAGGCAUACGAGAAUGCCAAGUUGUUCAAGGAAAAGGUUAAGAGAUGGCACGACAAACGAAUACAGAAACGAGAGUUCAAUGUAGGUGAUUAUGUCCUGCUAUACAAUUCUCGUUUAAGAUUCUUCGCAGGCAAGCUUCUCUCUAAAUGGGAAGGUCCUUAUGUUAUCUAGGAAGUAUAUCGUUCCGGUGCCAUCAAAAUCAAUAACACAGAAGGGAAUUUUCCUGGAGUGGUAAAUGGGCAAAGAACCAAGCAUUACAUCUCUGGUACUCCCAUAAAUGUUGAGACCAAUAUCAUCAAUGUCAUAACUCCAGAGGAGUACAUAAGGGAUGUUUAUCAGCCUGUUUCAGACCCUGAAAACGAAGAGGUAUCUGUUUCGGUAAGAAAUUGGACUCCGAUGUUUUUCCAAUAGGAAAUUUUCUCCGUUUUGGAAUUUUUGGAAAAUUAGAAAAAUAAAAAGAAGCCCGGAGAGCGCACGAGGCGGCCACAAGCUUGGACACCGCCACCUACCCCCUUGGUGGCGGAGAGAGGGCUUGUGGGAACCUCGUGUGCCUCCCGGACUCUGUUUUCUUGCGAAGCACUCCUUCUAGUCCAGAAAAAAUCAAUAUAUAUUCGCCCGAAGGUUUUGAUCUCCGUAUCGCGCAGUUUUCCUCUGUUUUCGUUUCGAGCCUGUUUCUGCCGCAGAUCUAGGUCAAGAUGUCUUCUCAGGAUUCAGAGGGGAUAGCUAUGUGGCUGACUACCUUGCUAACCCCAUGGUCUAUGGGGACUUGGAACCAUAUGGUUGGACCACUAACGAGGAAGAGGACUAUGAGCCCAAGGGGAAGGAACAAACGAGUUCCAAUGAAGAGGAGGCUCCUCUACCUCAACCUGGACGCACUCAUGUGGAGUUCAAGAAGUCAAGCCUCCCUGACCAUAGGAAGAAGCCUAAUACCUUGUCUAUCCCUUCUCGUUUCUUGCAGGAGAGUAAGCAGGAACUUUGCCAUAGAGUGUUCAAACUUGAGGAGGAAAAUGACGAUCUAAGGGACCAGAACUUUUUGCUCAAGUGGAAGUUAGACAAGCUCAAGACUGCUUCAAGAACUCCACCACCAUCACCACCAAAGGAAGACAACUAAGCAUUGGUAUGGGCAAUCCCCUUGGCUUCUGCCAAGCUUGGGGGAGUUGCACUAGUAUCGUAUCACCUUUAUAUCUUUUGCUUUUACCUUAGUUUUAGUUCUUUCCUUUUCAGUUUUUAUUUCUUCUCUUAGAGGAAUAAGUCUUUAGUUUUUAGUUUGAGUCUUUUGCUUUUGUCUCUCCCCCGAUGUAUUCGAGCUUACGAGCUAUAUAAUAAAGAAUAUCUUAGUUAAGGGCUUUGCUUUGUGCCAUGAUCAAGAGUAUGAAAAGAACGAUAGCAUGAAAGAUCAUGAGACGAUCUUAUGGAAAGUGAUAACUUCACAUAUGACACGUAUGAUGAUUGAAACUUGUUGAGAAUAAAUCAACAUAGACCUCAGUCAUUGUUGCAAUUAAUAAGAAGUAAUAAGGAAAGAGAGUUUCACAUAUAAAUAUAUCAUCUUAGACACUUUUUACAAUUGUGAGCACUCACCAAACUAUUGCAUGCUUAGGAGUAGAUGUUGGACAAGGAAGACAACAUAAUGAAUUGUGUUUGCUUGGUUCCAAACAAUGUUAUAUGAUUAGAGAUCCCUUAGCAUGUGACGAUUGCUUCCACCUCAUAUUAGCCAAAACUCCCGCACCAAGUAGAGAUACUACUUGUGCAUCCAUAAACCUUCAACCCAGUUUUGCCAUGAGAGUCCACCAUACCUACCUAUGGAUUGAAUAAGAUCCCUCAAGUAAGUUGUCAUCGGUGCAAGCAAUAAAAAUUGCUCUCUAAUAUGUAUGAUCUAUUAGUGUAACAUCCCAAAUUUUGGAAUGUUAAUAAAAUUAUUAGUUUGUUUGUUUGCUUGCUUGAGUGAUUGAAACUUGAGUGAAAAUUUGAAACUUUUCAAAACUUUCGAAUGAGAGGGAAUAAAAUGACUUUCCCCUUCUCUAGUGAAUUCAAAUUCAAUCAUUUAAAAGCAAAGAGAGAAGAUGACCUGACUUCUUCAACUAUAAAGAAUUUGAACGGAGAUUUUGCAUUUGAAUUCUUUUGCAUUUCUAUUUGUUUUCUUCGUGCAAGAAGCGCCGGGAAAUAAUUUCUUGCAAGCAAGAAAGAGAGGAGGAAUAUGACCCUCCAAAACCAGGGGCACUUUUGAAAUAUUUUGAGCCAAGAAAGCCAAAGUUUUAUUGUGAAAAUAAUUGCCAAAAAGAAAUAAAGCAUUUAGGGGAUUUUCUGAAAAACAUGUUUUUAAGUUUUUAUUUUUGCCUUGGAAAAAUGUUAAUCGAGUAGAGGAGAUUUUUCUGAGAAUUUUGGUAUAUAAUACCCUAUAUUGAUUAUUUUAUUUUGUUUCCUUUUUAUUCCUUUUAGUUUAUGUUUUAUUAAAAAUCAAAAAUCGGGAAGGUUUUUUUUUAGGAAAGCGCCUGAGCGCAGGAUAACGAAUCGGGCCAGAUCCCUUGAGGCCCGGGAUCUGAUCCUGUUAGGAACCGGUUGACCGACCCGAGCCCCCCUCCUUCCCUCACUACCGCCGGGCCCCACCUGGCCGACUCCACCCCGCCCCGGUCACCCCUACCUCUCUCCUCUCUCUUUCCUUCUCUCCUCCCCUCUCCUUCCUUCCAUGGCCGAGACCAGCCGAUCCUAGCCCCGAUCUCCUCCACCUUCCCUCCCUAGCCUCUCCUCUCUCCGCCUAUAUAAGGCCCGAGGCCACCGCAGCCCGAGCCCCUCUCCUCCGCCCCACUUCGCCGCCCCAACCACCCCUGCUACCGAGUUCGCCGAAGCCGAAGCUCCAGGGAACUUCCCCGGCGCCCUGCCCCGCCACCCCUCGCCCCCGCAACACCCGACGCCGCCAAGACCUCCCCCAUCGUCUCCGCGUCCCAUUUUUAUACCCUGCCCGAGCUCCUCGCCACCCCGCACCUCGCCGGACUUCCCGAGCCCGGCCGAAGUUUCCCGACCUCGCCUGCUCCUCCCCGGCCACGACUCACCUCGCCGCCGCCUCCUCUCGAUGGAGGAGACUCGCCGCGUCCCCCUGGUGCCCUCGGACGCCGCCGAGACCCGCCGGAGCGACGACCUCGACCACCGCCACCCCCCUGCUCGCCGGAGACCCCCUGCCACGGUGAGCCAGCCCCCCCUGUGAGCCCCAUCCCCUCCCCUAGCCAUUCGAUUUAAAUCCAACGCUCGUGAUUAGACAUUAGGUACCCCUUCAGUUUUUAAGUAAAAAAACCCGAACGGUUUUCUGCCCCACUUAUUUUUAGCCGUAGAUUUUCUUAAGUUUCGGCCGUUUGCUCAUUAUACCCGUAGCACACACCCCCGCAGCAAAUCAGGGAUUGCCACGUGUCUGUUAGUAUUUGUUUUCUUUUUCUGUAUAGUUCCAAAAACAGAGAAAGUUCCAAUUUUGUUUAGCCCAUAACUUUUGAUACACAACUCCAAUGAGGUUGAUUCUUUUUCCAGUAGAUCAAAAAAAUUCUGUAGUUUUUAAAAACAUAUAAUUUGUCAAUGUUUGAAAUUUGCAAAUUUGAACUAGAUCAGAUUUAAUUUAAACCUUGUUUUGCUUAUUCCAGGAGUUUAAAAAUAUAUUUUAAUUUUAUUCUUUUUUCUACUGAUCACUAGUGAUAUUAGUUAUCAGGGGUAAAAAUGUCAGAUUUAUUUGAGUAUUUUAGCUCAUUGUUUUUUGUGAAACAAUUUCUGUUUCACCUCUUGUAGGAUUGUGACUAAUUCACUUUCUUUAGUUGCUUUUAAAUUAUUUUAUUUUUAUAUUUCAGAAAGAUUAUGUUUUGUUUCUGUUAUUAACAGUAGGUUUGCAACAAGUUUUGAUUUUUAUUUGUAUAUGUUAUCAUGAAAUCAAUUCUAGUUCCCUAAUAACUUGCAAUUGGUUUCUCCACUGUUUCAAAUCCCGUUCGGAAAUACUUUCAAAAAGUUUUGUGAAAAAUACUCUAUUUUAUCUUAGCUAAAUUUAUAUCUUAGUUCCCCGUUAUUAUUUUCUGCUAGACAAAAAACUAAUCUAGUGUUUGAUGUAGUAGAAGACUCCCUAGUCUUAUUUGAAGUUUCCUUCGGAUUCCUAUUCGCUCUCUCUUUUGUUUUGAUUGCUAGAAUGAUUGCUAGUAUGAGUGCUUAUGUGAAUGAUAUGUUUGUUAUAUAGAUUUCAUCGGAGAGUGACGAGUAGUCUAUCAAGUUAUUUCUCGAGAAAUUCUUCUUCGUCAACAUCACCAGGCAAGUCACUUUGAUCAUACUAUCGCCUAUGUUUUAUGCAUCGUAGUUCUGCCAUCCUAUGCCCAAUUUGCAUGCUGAGUAGGUACUUGGAAAUUAUGGUUACAUAUUGUAGUAUCAUGUGGUAGGCACCCAACAACCCCGUUACUUGGCCCGGGACGACAAAAUUCAUAUUGCUAUGCUUGAGUAGAUGGGAUUCUGGUUGAGAGUUUAUCACGAGUGAUGCGAGGAUACUUUAAUAACCAAGACCGGUUAAGUCAAGACUUUUCAAGACCUCAUGAUGCAAUGCAACUCUGGGUGAAGGACGGUUGAUCGGCUCCCUGGAGAACCCAGUGGAUGACCCGGGAUGCUGGAGACGGCCAUGACAUCCUGCGGAAAGCUUCACCUAGGCUCAAAGAGACGGACGGAUAUUUUCAAGACCCAAGGCUUACCUGCACAGCCACAAGUCAUUAUUGGCUCUGGCUUGGUUGGACAACGCGACGACUCUGGACAGGCGGUGCUAGCAGAUGUAGAAGAACGGUAGGAUUGGACGGGCACCGACAGGGAUACAGAGGGACCCGUUGAAAGACCAUGUUUUGAUCAUCCGGUCUUCAAACACCCUGAAGUGCGAGGACAUACUCGGAGGCGAUCAAAUCUUGUGGGGAACGUGUGCAAAACUCUGCAGAGUACUCAAACCUAAUCGAUUAGCCGUGUCCACGGUCAUGGACAACUUGAGCCAAAGGAACUGUAGUUAUCUGAAAUUCUCAACACCAUUAUAAAUACUUGAUGAGGGUAAUAUUGAUAACUUGGGUAUGAGAACUGGUUGGCGGAACCAUCUCAUUAACAAUCAACAACGUAGUAACAUUUUGCUUUUAAGCCUCUCUUGAUGUAGGAGAAAACUUGCUUUUCGCUAAAAACUUAUAGCCCCACCUGCCAUAUAUGCAUAUAGUAUAGAAGACAUUUUACCCCCUCUCAUAUGUGACUUGCCGGCAUAUUCAAUAUGCUGACCUACAYGGCUGCAACRUCUUAUGUUGCAGAUAUUUUUCUUCGACGAGUAAGAGUACGAUUCAGGGUUACGGUCUACACUCAACUUGUCGUUGGUGUUUAUUGGGACUCCACUCCCUUGACUGCUUCCGCUGAGAUAUUUAAGGUAUGUAUCAGUUUUACGCUAUUUACAUGUGAUUGCACUUUGAUAUAUACAUUGAUGUACUGUGUGUGCCAGCAUACUGAUCCAGGGAUGGCACAGAAACACAGAGGCUUGACUCGUUUUGAGUCGGGUCGCUACAAUUAGUGUGUGGAAAAUAAGCUUUGUACGAACCUGUGAUGAGGAAGACAUAAAAGCGACAUACUGCAUAAUAAAGUUCUUUAUCACAGGAGGCAAUAUAAAGUGACGUUCCUCCGCACUAAGAGGACACGCAUUCAAACCUCAAAAGCGCAUGACAACUCUGCUUCCCUCUGCGAAGGGCCUAUCUUGUACCUUUACUUUUUGCCCUUGUAAGAGUCAUGGUGAUCUUCACCAAUUCCCUAUUUUGCCUUUGUCUUGGCUACCGUCAUAUGCUUGGGAAAGAUCUAUAUUCAUAUAUCAACUUGGAGUUGAGUACUUAUGCUUUAUUAUUGUUGACUUUACCCUUGAGGUAAAUCGUUGGGAGGCAAAACUAUAAGCCCCUAUCUUCCUCUAUGUCCAGCUGAAACUUUGACACCAUGAGUACCUCGUGAGUUGUAGCAAUUGUGGAAAACAAAAGAGAUGAUUGAGUAUGUGGAUUUGCCUUACAAGCUCUCACUUGACUCUUUCUGAUGUUGUGAUAAAUUGCAAUUGCUUCAAUGACUUUGGACUGUUGUUGGUUAUUUCUCGGUAAGGUUUUUGCUUCAUGCUUUGCUUUGUGAAGGAAUUGUUACUUUCCCAUAAGAAUCUUUAUGAUGUAUUGAUGUCCUAUGUGUGAUCAUGAUGCCCUCAUGUCCGUAUUAUGUUUUAUCGACACCUUCGUCCCUCAAAAUGUGGACAUGUUUAUGGAACUUGGUUUUCGCUUGAGGACAAGCGAGGUCUAAGCUUGAGGGAGUUGAUACGUCCAUUUUGCAUCAUGCUUUCAUGUUGAUAUUUAUUGCUUUAUGGGCUGUUAUAUUACUUUGUGGUACCAUAUUUAUGCCUUUUCUCUCUUAUUUUGCAAGGUUUAUUUGAAGAGGGAGAAUUCAGGCAGCUGGAAUUCUGGACCGGAAAAGGAGCAAAUCUUAGUCCACUAUUCUGCACAUCUCCAAAUGCCCUGAAAAGUUACGUGGAAUUUUUUGGGAUUAUACAAAAAAUAUUGGGCGAAAGAAGUACCGGAGGGGGCCACCAGGGCGCCACAAGCCCUGCCACCGCCACCCCCCUGGUGGCGGAGGGCAAGCUUGUGGGCUCCCUGACGGCCCACUAGCCUCCCCUCUUUUGCUAUAUGAAGGGUUCCCUUCCAGAAAAAAUCAAUCGGGAGCUUUUUCGUGGUUUCGCCGCCGCCACGAAGCGGAACUUGAGCAGAUCCAAUCUAGAGCUCCGGCAGGACGAUCCUGCCGGGGAAACUUCCCUCCCGGAGGGGGAAAUGUCGCCAUCGUCAUCACCAACACUCCUCUCGUCGGAGGGGAGGCAUCUUCAUCAACAUCUUCAUCAGCACCAUCUCCUCUCCAAUCUCUAGUUCAUCUCCUGUAACCAAUCUUCGUCUCGCGACUCCGAUUGGUACUUGUAAGGUUACUAGUAGUGUUGAUUACUCUUAGUAGUUGAUGCUAGUUGGAUUACUUGGUGGAAGAGUUUAUGUUCAGAUCCUUGAUGCUAUUCAUUACACCUCUGAUCAUGAUUAUGAUUAUGCUUUGUGAGUAAUUACUUUUGUUCCUGAGGACAUGGGAUAAGUCAUGCUGAUAAUAGUCAUGUGAAUUUGAUAUUCGUUCGGUAUUUUGAUAUGAUGUAUGUUGUCUUUUCCUCUAGUGGUGUUAUGUGAACAUCGACUACAUAACACUUCACCAUAUUUGGGCCUAUAGGAAGGCAUUGGGGAGUAGUAAGUAGAUGAUGGGUUGCUGGAGUGACAGAAGCUUAAACCCCAGUCUAUGCGUUGCUUCGUAAGGGGCUGAUUUGGAUCCACUAGUUUAAUGCUAUGGUUAGACGUUGUCUUAAUUCUUCUUUUGUAGUUGCGGAUGCUUGCGAGAGAGGUUAAUCAUAAGUGGGAUGCUUGUCCAAGUAAGGGCAGUACCCAAGCGCCGGUCCACCCACAUAUCAAACUAUCAAAGUAACGAACGCGAAUCAUAUGAGCAUGAUGAAACUAGCAUGACAGAAAUUCCCGUGUGUCCUCGGGAGCUUUUUUCCUCCUAUAAGGCUUUGUUCAGGUUUGUCCCUUGUUACAAAAGGGAUUGGGCCACUUGCUGCACCGUUGCUACUACUUGUUACUUGUUACUUUUUGCUUGCUACGUUUCCCCUCGCUACACCAUCACUUGUUACCGCUACUUUCAGUGCUUGCAGUUAUUACCUUGCUGAAAACCGUUUAUCAGAGCCUUCUGCUCCUCGUUGGGUUCGACACUCUUACUUAUCGAAAGGACUACGAUUGAUCCCCUAUACUUGUGGGUCAUCAAGAACAUCACCCAAAGCUUGAAAACUUCACAACACAAAACUUAAACAGAAACUUGUGAUAACAUUAGUACAAGAAAACAAACUACCACUUCUUUUGGUACUGUAGCAAACUUGAAUUCUAUCUAUAUUGAUGAUGGGCUACUGUAUUCUCACUUUCCCAUGGCUAGUACCCCCCGAUACUAACCAUAGUUUCAUCAAAACAAGCAACCAACCCAACAAAAACAGAAUCUGUCAAAAACAGACCAGUUUGUAGCAAUCUGUAUACUUCGUAUACUUCUAGUACCUCAAAAAAUCUGAAAAAUUACGACGGUCUGGGGAAAAAGCAUAUAAAUCAGCAGGAAAAAUAAUCAACUCAAAAUCUCUUUCUGAAUAAAAAUGAAAAAUCAUCACAUGAGAGAAAAGUUUCUAUCUUUUUCCAGCAGGAUCAAACAACCAUUACCAAGACUAAUCANNNNNNNNNNNNNNNNNNNNNNNNNNNNNNNNNNNNNNNNNNNNNNNNNNNNNNNNNNNNNNNNNNNNNNNNNNNNNNNNNNNNNNNNNNNNNNNNNNNNCGCAAAGUCAUGACGAUAUCUAAGGCAAUGAUCUAGCAUAUAGGCAUCACGUCCGAGACAAGUAGACCGAUACUUUCUGCAUCUACUACUAUUACUCCACACAUCGACCGCUAUCCAGCAUGCAUCUAGUGUAUUGAGUUCAUGACGAACAGAGUAACGCUUUAAGCAAGAUGACAUGAUGUAAAGGGAUAAUCUCAAACCAAUGAUGAAAACCCCAUCUUUUUACCCUUGAUGGCAACAACACGAUACAUGCCUCGCUACCCCUUCUGUCACUGGGUGAGGUCACCGCACGGUAUGAACCCAAAACCAAGCACUUCUCCCAUUGCAAGAAUCAUAGAUCUAGUUGGCCAGACAAAACCCACAACUCGAAGAGAAUUACAAGGAUAUGAAAUCAUGCAUAAGAGAGAUCAGAAGAAACUCAAAUAAGAUUCAUAGAUAAUCUGAUCAUAAAUCCACAAUUCAUCGGAUCUCGACAAACACACCGCAAAAGAAGAUUACAUCGGAUAGAUCUCCAUGAAAAUCAUGGAGAACUUUGUAUUGAAGAUCCAAGAGAGNNNNNNNNNNNNNNNNNNNNNNNNNNNNNNNNNNNNNNNNNNNNNNNNNNNNNNNNNNNNNNNNNNNNNNNNNNNNNNNNNNNNNNNNNNNNNNNNNNNNGAUUUUCGGGUAAUCAUGAUCACUGGUCAGGGUCAUGAUCAUUUCUGGGCCCUUGAGGAAUGACUCGUAGAGAGUUGUCAUCUGCAGGUGUCAGUAAAUAGGUACUCAGAGGAAUGUAUGUGUCUCCUUGGUAAUGCGUGGUACAUUCGUACUCAUUGGAUCCUGUGGGUUCACUGAUUACUACCACACUUAAAAUGAGAUAUACUCAUGCCUGCAUAGACCAUAUUUUCUCAUAUCCUCAUAAUGUUCGGAGAUCUUCGUUCGAUGGGAAACAACGCAUAGAGUUGAGACAAUAAAUUCCAUUCAUUCAUGAUGUUAUUAGAAUCUCAGGGACUUCUGUUACAAUUUUUUUCACUCCAUGAUCUUAUGAAAAACAAGAGUGCUUCGGAUUACACUUAUUGCCAUGGUCAAAACUUAACUACUCCAUUCUAGCUUUCUUACUUUGCGGACAAUCACUAGCAAAAUGUCCUGCUUCCUUGCAACGAAAGCAAAUGAGUUCUGACAAGUCUCGAGGCUUCUUAGCUUUUGCUUUUGCUCCUUGGAUUUCCGGCUUCCUUCCUGAGCACAUGUAUUUGUGGUGGCCAAAUUCCAUACACUUGUAACAUCUGACAUGACUCAGGUCUAUAUCUACAGAGAUUUGGCUCUUCCGAGGGUACUUUUUCUUCUUUCUGGACUCCUUCAUUUUGGCCAGUUCUUCUAUUUCAAGUGGAUCAAACUCCACUUUUUCGUCGGGAAGUUCCCCAGAUACUCUUUGCUUCCCUUCGUGCAAUCCUGUGAAUAAUGUCCUUCUUCUCCACAUGAGUAGCAUGCAUUGGAGAAAAAUCGGGUCAGACUUUGUCCAUCAGGGUCUUCAAUAUUUUCAUUCAUCACCGGCUCUUCUAGAAUCUUCUUCUUGAGUGUUUCCUUCAUUGCUUCUUUCUGCUGCUUGACAACUUGUUGCACCUUGGGGUAAAUGUGACACUGAGCUGGGUUGUGGGUGGUUCCUUCACACACAUUCCUCAGCUGGGUGAUUUUCUUCACAAUGAGUGCAUCCAUCCUUGUGUUCUUCCUGGGUGUGUCCUAUUUCUCCACAGAUCUUGUAUGCACAAGUCUUCUCCUUCGGGUUAUCAUAGCACUUCUGAAUAAGACGGGAUCUUAACAGAGUCUUCUUGAAUUCGUCCCAAGUUUCUGCUCCACUAAAUCCUUGUAUGGCAUGGUGCAUUUUCCACCAGAUAGCAACACUUCGGGUAAAGUACUGGAGAGCGUGUUCCACUUCAUAUUUCCUUGAGAUCAAGUUGCUCCCGAAGUGGUUCUCCAUGCUCUGAAUCCAUAUUUCAGCUUCCAGCUGGGUCAUUGGUCCAGAGACUACAAGUCCAGCUUCAUACUCCAUCUGGUAGGGUUGAGGUUUUGGAGAUGAGACGGGUAAGAGAGAGGAAGGUACACACAACACAAACAAUAUUUUUGAGAAUAGGUUUUAGUUGUGGCCGUCAGAAAAACACACACCAAUGACGGCUCACAAAUCAUCAUAUCUAACGUGGGUAUAUAACAGGGGUUUGGACUUCUAAUGGUCAUAUAAAUAUUUGAACGCUUCAGGGUCUUCGAAUUCUUCGGGUCUUGAGAGUCUUCAAUUGGUGUAGCUUAAACUGCAUGAUGAAAUCCUCUUUACUUUGAAGUGGGAGUCGGUUGAUCCUUCACGUGGUCAAAGGGGAAAGGGCGUUGUCUAACUAUUUGAGGUGAGAGAGAACGUUUGAUGAAAUCAGAAGAGAUGAGAAGUAAAAGGUGUUCUUGAAAAAUAGAAAUUUUGAGAGAUCCUUUCCUAAGAAAUUUCCAGUUUCUAGGGUCACGUCCUACAGUCAACAUGUGCUCUGAUACCAUUUCUGUAGCGACCCGACUCAAAACGAGUCAAGCCUCUGUGUUUCUGUGCCAUCCCUGGAUCAGUAUGCUGGCACACAGAGUACAUCAAUGUAUAUAUCAAAGUGCAAUCACAUGUAAAUAGCGUAAAAUUGAUAUAUACCUUAAAUAUCUCAGCGGAAGCAGUCAAGGGAGUGGAGUCUCAAUAAACACCAACGACAAGUUGAGUGUAGACCGUAACCCUGAAUCGUACUCUUACUCGUCGAAGAAAAAUAUCUGCAACAUAAGACGUUGCAGCCAUGUAGGUCAGCAUAUUGAAUAUGCUGGCAAGUCACAUAUGAGAGGGGGUAAAAUGUCUUCUGUACUAUAUGCAUAUAUGGCAGGUGGGGCUAUAAGUUUUUAGCGAAAAGCAAGUUUUCUCCUACAUCAAGAGAGGCUUAAAAGCAAAAUGUUACUACGUUGUUGGUUGUUAAUGAGACGGUUCCGCCAACCAGUUCUCAUACCCAAGUUAUCAAUAUUACCCUCAUCAAGUAUUUAUAAUGGUGUUGAGAAUUUCAGAUAACUUCAGUUCCUUCGGCUCAAGUUGUCCAUGACCGUGGACACGGCUAAUCGAUUAGGUUUGAGUACUCUGCAGAGUUUUGCACACGUUCCCCACAAGAUUUGAUCGCCUCCGAGUAUGUCCUCGCACUUCAGGGUGUUUGAAGACCGGAUGAUCAAAACAUGGUCUUUCAACGGGUCCCUCUGUAUCCCUGUCGGUGCCCAUCCAAUCCUACCGUUCUUCUACAUCUGCUAGCACCGCCUGUCUAGAGUCGCCAUGUUGUCCAACCAAGCCAGAGCCCAUAAUGACUUGUGGCUGUGCAGGUAAGCCUUGGGUCUUGAAAAUAUCUGUCCGUCUCUUUGAGCCUGGGUGAAGCUUUCCGCAGGAUGUCAUGGCCGUCUCCAGCAUCCCGGGUCAUCCACUGGGUUCUCCAGGGAGCCGAUCAACCGUCCUUCACCCAGAGUUGCAUUGCAUCAUGAGGUCUUGAAAAGUCUUGACUUAACCGGUCUUGGUUAUUAAAGUAUCCUCGCAUCACUCGUGAUAAACUCUCAACCAGAAUCCCAUCUACUCAAGCAUAGCAAUAUGAAUUUUGUCGUCCCGGGCCAAGUAACGGGGUUGUUGGGUGCCUACCACAUGAUACUACAAUAUGUAACCAUAAUUUCCAAGUACCUACUCAGCAUGCAAAUUGGGCAUAGGAUGGCAGAACUACGAUGCAUAAAACAUAGGUGAUAGUAUGAUCAAAGUGACUUGCCUGGUGAUGUUGACGAAGAAGAAUUUCUCGAGAAAUAACUUGAUAGACUACUCGUCACUCUCCGAUGAAAUCUAUAUAACAAACAUAUCAUUCACAUAAGCACUCAUACUAGCAAUCAUUCUAGCAAUCAAAACAAAAGAGAGAGCGAAUAGGAAUCCGAAGGAAACUUCAAAUAAGACUAGGGAGUCUUCUACUACAUCAAACACUAGAUUAGUUUUUUGUCUAGCAGAAAAUAAUAACGGGGAACUAAGAUAUAAAUUUAGCUAUAUUCAUAUCUUCCGUUAUAUUCAUAACGUCUCCAUAAAAAACGAGGGCCCUUCCGUGGAUAUAAGCUUCUUCCGUUACUGGGUCUUCUUAACUGACAAUCUCGUGGUCAAUUCUAAAUAACAUAUCGAUGGUUCUCAUGGUGGUCUACCAUUUGUGGUUAUCCUGCAGAGAGAGGGGUCUUGUCUUCAUCCUCACCGUAAAAUUUCCUACGCGUGACAACAAAUGACAUGUACAUGGGCUUUUCUUAUACCAUUCUAAGGCUUAAACAAAAGCUUCAAAGAACGUCGUCUCUCACUAUGGGUAAGUCUCUCAGAUUCACCAUUCCGAAUAGCAAGAGAAUGAUAAUAGUAAGUCGUCAUGGUGGCCAAGCCAUGUCGCACUGAAAUCCUUACCUUGUAUAAGGCUUAGUGAAUCUCGUAUUCUAACACUUGGGAAUCCUCACAAGCGUUGCAGAAUUUCUCUUGUCCACGAACGAAGUUCGGAUAAUCCAUUGGUUCUGCAAGCUGAACAAAACAUCUAUCGUAUCUUCACAACUCUCUGGCUUUCGUAUGUUCCUAAGAAAACGUUUGCUGAUCCAUCAUAGCUUCUUCCAUAAAUCAUAUUCAUUUCAUAAUCAACCCUUUAUUACAUCUUACUUUCUUCAAAAUUCUAACUCAAAAGUAAUUUAUUACAAAUGCUGCCAUCCACAUUGUUCGGUAUGGUCAAUCAUUUCUGCCAACUUUAUUCAUCUGCCUCUCUUGGAGGUACUUUAGUUCCACUCGAACUUUCUGAGGUGCUCCUUGAAAUCAUCCAUCUUUUGCUUCAUCAUGGUGGUCAUGAGCUUCACCUCCAUCAUCUCCGCAUGCACUUCACUCAGGUAUUCCUGGGUAUGACGGAGUCUUGCUUCAAGUAUUUCUCCAAUCUGACGUAUGGCUUCCAUGGCAGCUUCACGAACAGCAUCAAAGAAGGUUGCUCGUGGUACACGUGAAAUGAAAAAGUAUUGCCCCAUAUUCUUUGGACAAACUCCUUUCACCUGGUGGAGGUGUACUUCCACAUACCAAAGUUCUACUCCACUUUCCAUGAAUGGGUAGCCUUUGUAGACUGCAUCUCCUUCAAGAUGAAUGUGCUUCAUCAUGUCCUUCAGGAUUUUCGGGUAAUCAUGAUCACUGGUCAGGGUCAUGAUCAUUUCUGGGCCCUUGAGGAAUGACUCGUAGAGAGUUGUCAUCUGCAGGUGUCAGUAAAUAGGUACUCAGAGGAAUGUAUGUGUCUCCUUGGUAAUGCGUGGUACAUUCGUACUCAUUGGAUCCUGUGGGUUCACUGAUUACUACCACACUUAAAAUGAGAUAUACUCAUGCCUGCAUNNNNNNNNNNNNNNNNNNNNNNNNNNNNNNNNNNNNNNNNNNNNNNNNNNNNNNNNNNNNNNNNNNNNNNNNNNNNNNNNNNNNNNNNNNNNNNNNNNNNCGUUCCAUCAUGGAGAUCGUGCCCCUCUUUUCCAGGGAUAUGGUUUAUAGUUCAGUUUUAUCCCAUGCGUCCAUAAUCGCAUGAUUUUAUUGGGAAGUGGCGGAGUUUACGGCACAGUGGUAUUCUGGCGAGCCAUAAAAGGUAAGAACUGUCACCUCGGCCUCCUCAUGCACCUCAGAUCUGGCACACCAUCACCAUUCCCUGCUCCCAAAGCUCCAGCGCCCUGGCUCCCCUUCUUCUCCCAGCCUUCUGAAUCACUUCACCAGUCCGACAAUGGCAAGUGCCGGUUCCAAAGGAAAGUGGGUGGUCUCCUCUAUCAGUGAGAAGGACAUUUUGGAGCUGAAGAGCUGUAGCUAUCUUUCGGAGAACAUAGACCACCGUGCAUUGGAUAAGGACCAGGUUAUCCCCACCCCUAAAGAUGGGGAAAGAGUAGUUUUUGUUCCACAUUUCAUUCGAGGCUUAUGUUUUCCCCUUCACCCAUUUGUUCGGGGGGUCAUGUUCUACUACGGGCUUGACUUCCACGAUCCCCCCCCCGAACUCCAUCACCCAUCUUUCCGCCUUCAUCACGGUCUAUGAGGCCUUCUUGCGGGUCCAACCCCACUUCGGCAUGUGGUUGAAGGUUCUUAAUGUCAACCCAAGGUCGUUAAUGGCGAGCAGGCUGACUGCGGAGGGGCGAUGAUUGGCAAGCUCAACGAAGCCACAUGGACAAAGGGCACAUUCAUCGUUGCUCCAUCCCAAGGACACCCUGCUAGAUCCUACAGAAACUCGGACCUCGACGGGGAUGUUCACAUCUGCCAUGUCCGGUGCAUCGAAUGCCGCCACUCCAAGGACAACCUUGAGUGGGGGGACGACAGGAGGGAGCAGCUCUAAGCGCCGACGUGAGUAGGCUGGCAGCCUGACUCUAGCGUAGAAGAUUAAAAGACCAUGGAAUCGGGGAAUCAGUGGCGAGAGUAAUUGAGGGGGAGAGUUGUCGUAUUUGCUUUGACUUUCUCAACUUUUGUAAAUAAUAGGGCUUAAAAAACCAGGCUCACAACGGAAUAGUUUUCUCUAGUGAAAAGUUUAGAAAUAGGCUAGUGGGAAUGCUGACAUGGCACAGAGAUGACGUGGAGGGCUCCAUCAAGCAAGAGAUACAGGAUGCCAAAACUUCGUGGUGAGACCAGACAAUAUUAAUGUGGUGGAUGCAAUCAGUCGGAAUGAAGGAUAUUCCAUGGUAGUAGCGCCAAUCUUUGAUGAAUGUCGUAGUUUCCUAGAAGAUUUCGGGAAGUUUACAGUUGAGCAUUGCAUUAGGGAGUCAAAUUUUGUUAGCUCAUGAGCUGGCUAGAUGGGGUCGUGCUACUAGUCCAUCUAGAUGGUUUGAUGCUCCGCCUAAUCUUAUUGUAAUACAAUUGGCUGACGAUGUAUCUAUCCUUUGAUUAAUAAAGUAAGCUUUCCCAUAAAAAGUAUAUGUGACAUGAAGACACUAGUAGAAAACAUGGCUAUGGUCUAGACGAGAAAAGGGCUUUAAUCCUGGUUCUGUUACGAACCGGGAUGAAUGUGAGCAUCAGUCCCGGUUCGUGAGGCCAGGGUUGUGACAUCCUCAGCUUUUCCUACAGUGAUCAUUGUAAUUAAGCUACAGUGAUGACCAUGAUCAGGAACAAAUCAUUUUUCUAAAUUGGAUAUGAUCAAGUUGAAAUUCAUAUCUCAUUUCAAAUUCCACUUCGAAAUCCACUUGAAUUUUAUUGUGAUAAAAUAAAUCCUCAAACAUGACGGGAAAAGUGUUGCACCUAUUAUGAAAAAUACAAAACAGUUAACGUUAAGGAAAACAACAUCACCUUGAUGUUGGUGUAGACCCCACCUUUAAUAACAGCACCAAUUUGCAACUUAAAUUGCUAUUAAAUUCAAAUAUAAAAUAAAAACAUUUUCCAAAAUUGCCCAAACUUUAUGUGGCCGUGUGGAAUAUUGCAAUGUAAUUAUUGGGCCAUGUGACACAUUUUUGCUGAGGAGAAAUAAUGCCCAUAUUAAAUAAAACAAAAAUAAAAAUAAAAUAAAAAGAAAAAACCCCACUCACCCCCACAGGGCUGGCCCCAGCCAGCCCAGCCAGCCCAGCCACCACAACCACAACCGGCCCAUUGGCCCACUUUACCCCUAGGGUAUAUAACCCCACAAAACCCUAGCUACCCGUGAUGUCCCACAAGCGUAUGGGAUCGCAGCAGUUUUCGAGGGUAGAGUAUUCAACCCAAAUUUAUUGAUUCGCUCACAAGGGGAAGCUAAAGAAUAUUCUCAAGUAUUAGCAGCUGAGUUUUCAAUUCAACCACACCUGAAAGAUUAAUGUCUGCAAGCAAAGUAUCAGUAGCAAGGUAGUAUGAUAGCAACGGCACUAGAAAAGCUUUGACAAUUCCCAGCAAUGGCGCCAGAAAAAGCCUUGUUGACGGGAUGUUAGCGCCAACAAAGUCUUGCAACAAGUAACAACGGAAUAGCAAGGAACAAUAGUAGUAGCAGCAGCAAACUAACAAGUAACAUCAGUAGUGACAGCAGCAAAGUGACAGCAGCAGCAAAGUGGCCCAAUCCCUCUUGUAGCAAGGGACAAGCCUAGGCAAAGUAACGUAGCGAGAACCAGUAGUAAAAGACUCGUAGGCAGUGGAUCGGUGAUGGAUGAGUGUGACGGAUGUGAUUCAUCAUGUAACAACUAUAACACGGAGAGAUAUGUGGCUAGCUCCCGUUCAUCAAUCUAAUGUAGGCAUGUAUUCCGUAUGUAGUCAUACGUGCUUAGGGAAAAGAUCUUGCAUGACAUCUAUUGUCCAUCCCUCCCGUGGCAGCGGGGUCCUAUUCAAAACUACGGGAUAUUAAGGUUCUCCUUUUAAUAAAGAACCGGACCAACGCAUUAACAUGCGGUGAAUACAUGAACUCCUCAUACUAUGGUAAUCUCCGGGAGUGGUUCUGGCUAUUGUCACUCCGGGGUUGCUGGGUCAUAACACAUAGUAGGUGACUACAACUUGCAAGAUAGGAUCUAAAACACACAUAUAUUGGCAACAACAUAAUAGGUUCAGAUCUGAAAUCAUGGCACUCGGGCCCUAGUGAGAAGCAUUAAGCAUAGCCAAGUAGUAGCAACAUCAAUCUAGAACAUAGUGGAUACUAGAGAUCAAUCCCCGUCAAGAACUAACUCGAUUACAUGAUAGAUCUCAUCCAACUCAUGACCGUCCAGCAAGCCUAUGCUGAGAUUACUCACGAAUGAUGAAGAGCAUCAUGGAAUUAUCGAUGGAGAAAGGUUGAUGAUGACGAUGGCGACGAUUUCUCCUCUCCGGAGCCCGAAACGGACUCCAGAUCCGCCCUCCAAAUGAAGAACAGGAUGUGGUGGCGCCUCCGUAUCGCAAAACGCGAGGAAACCUUCUCUCUGAUUUUUUUUCCAAGCAAAACGAAAGAUAUAGGACUGAGAUUGGGGGCGGUGGUGACACGUGGGCCCCACAAGCCCAGGGGUUUGUGGCCCAUUGGCACGCCCCCUCACGUGGAACUUUGCGCAGGUAUUUUUCUUUUAUUCCAGAAAAAAUCUCCGUAAAUUUUCAGGACAUUCCGAGAACUUUUAUUUCUGCACAAAAACAACACCAUGGCAAUUCUGGUGAAAACAACAUCAGUCCGGGUUAGUUCCAUUCAAAUCAUGCAAAUUAGAGUCCAAAACAAGGGCAAAAGAGUUCAGAAAAGUAGAUACGACGGAGACGUAUCAACUCCCCCAAGCUUAAAGCCUUGCUUGUCCUCAAGCAACUCAGUUGACAAACUGAGAGAGACAAAAGAAAAACUUUGACGAACUCUGUUUGAUCUUGUUGUUGCAACUAUGUCUAACUCAUAACCAGAAUUUCAACAACAUCACAAUCAAACCACAUAAGCAAAUGACAUCUAGGUCUCACGGUAAACUCAUAUCAAUGGCAUAAUCAACUAGCGAGCAAAUAAUAAUAAGUCUCAAGUGUCAACACUUCAAUCAAAACAACAUGAAGCAGUAUGAAUAUAUGGUAUCUCGCUAGCUCUUUCUGAGACCGCAAAACAUAAAUGCAGAGCACCUUAAAACACCAAGGGCUGACUAAACAUUGUAAUUCAUGGCAAUGAAGAUCCAGUCAUAGUCAUACUCAACACAGUUAAAAGCAAAGCAUAAAAAUGAUAGAUGUGCUCUCUAAUUGGUGCUUUUCUAAGAGGAGGAUGACUCAACAGGAACAUAAAUAGACAGGCCCUUCACAGAGGGAAGCAUUGAUUUGCAGAGGUGCCAGAGCUCAAGCUUUGAAAACACAGAUAAUAAUUUUGGGUGGCAUGCUUUCAUUUUCAACACAAUGACUAAGAGUUCUCAACAUGCUACACAUGCUAUAGGCGGUUCCCAAACAGAAAAGUAAAGUUUUGACUCCCCCACCACCAAUCAAUCACACUCCACGGCUAGCCGAAUCCGCGGGUGCCGUCCAUACCAACAACAAUCCUGGGGGAGUUUUGUUUGCAAUUAUCUUUUUGAUUUGAGCAUGGAACUGGGAAUUCCAAUUACCGGCCCCUUUCUCGUGAAUGAUAGUGAAUAAACACAUAUCGAGGAUAACACGCCUAGCAUGGAAGAUACCAAUAGCCCCCUGUCACCACAUGAGCGGUUCGAGCAUGCAAAACAGAUUAUUUCUUGAAGAUUUAGAGAGUGGCACAUGCAAAUUUACUUGGAACGGCAGGUAGAUACCGCACAUAGGUAGGUAUGGUGGACUCAUAUGGCACAACUUUGGGUUUAUGGAAGUGGAUGCACAAGCAGUAUUCCCGCUUAGUACAAGUGAAGGCUAGCAAAAGACUGGGAAGUGACCAACUAGAGAGCGACAACAGUCAUCAAAAUGCAUUGAGAGUAACUAACAUUGAGUGCAAGCAUGAGUAGGACACAAAUCACCAUGAACAUGAACAUCAUAGAGGCUAUGUUGAUUUUGUUUCAACUACAUGCGUGAACAUGCGCCAAGUCAAGCCACUUGAAACGUUCAAAGGAGGAUACCAUCCUAUCAUACUACAUCAUAGUCAUCUCAACAUUCAUGUGGGCAACCAAGACAAACCAUUAUGAGCUCCUAGCUAAGUAAGCAUGGCAUAAGAAACUAUGAUCUCUAAGUUGUCAUUGCAAACAUGUUUUUCUCACAACAAAGCUGAAACAGGCAUGAAGAGCUAGUCAUAUUUACAAAAACAAAAUAGAUCGAGUUCAUACCAGCUUUUCCAGGCUCAGUCACUUCAUCACAUACCGUCAUUAUUGCCUUUCACUUGCACGACCGAAUUAUGUGAACAAUAAUAAGAGUGCUCGUGCAUUGGACUUAAAGCUGGAAUCUGCAGGCAAACACAAAGGAGAAGACAAAGUAAUAUGGCUCUUUGAAAGCUAAACAGGUAUGCAUGCAAGAGCCACUAAACAUUGUAACCAAUAUCUUCUACCUUGACCCAAAGAAAAAGAAAACUAUCUACACGGGAUAACUCCCAACAAGCAAAAGAAGAAAAAGAAAAUCUUUUUGUUUUUCUCAAACUAGACAAACACACGAAAAGAAAACGAGAAAAAGAAAAUAAACAAGCAUGGAUGAUACAGUGGCAAAGUGUGAACACCGGCUAACAAAGUGAAAGCAUAAGCAAGAAUGUAAAGUCGGUGAGAACACGUACUCCCCCAAGCUUAGGCUUUUGGCCUAACUUGGUCUACUCCCAAGGAUGGUCCUGGCGAAACCCAAAAUACAUAAUCGGGGUUAUACGGGAGCGCUGCAGCCACUGCCCGAAUAGCUGCCUCAUGAAGACGAGCAGCCGUCGCCUCCCUCUCAUACUCCUUUGCCUCUCCUCUGGUUAUGUAAUAUCUCUGUUUUACCUGAAGUUCAAAGAAAGCAGGAGCAGGAAGGGUAAUAUGGAAAACACGCUGCUGGUUAAAUAUCAAUCGGUAUAGGAGGGAUUCAUCAUCCCUCUCAAGGAACUGGUAGCGUGUCAUAGCGACGCGGUCAAGGAAAGCUGUAUGGAGUGGGGGAUCUCCUACGUGGAUGGGUACUCCAAGAAAGUUUGCUAUGCGAGUGGCAUAGAUGCCGCCAAAGAAAUCCCCAUCAAUAGCAUUCUUAUUCAGCCUCCUUGCUAUAAUAGCUCUCAUGUUGAAGCUUUUGUCACCCGUCACUGCGCUCUUAAGGAUACUAAGGUCGGGUGCGCAGAGGUGGAAAUGCUCAAUCCUGCCAUUAAUGCAUCUGCCUAUGAAGAGGGCAAAGUAAUGCAAGGCAGGAAAAUGAAUACUCCUCAUGGUAGCUUGCGUAAUGUCUGUAGUUUCUCCAACCGUAAUAACAACGCAAAAAUCUCUAACCGAAGAUUUAGGAGGAUCAUUGAGGUUACCCCAAAUAGGUAUUUUGCAAAUUCUACUAAAAUCCUCUAAGUCCAUGGUAUACGAUUUAUCAUAGAGAUCGAACAGUACCGACGGCUCAUGGCCAGCUGAAAAUUUGAAUCUACGAACGAAACAGGCAGUGAGAACAACAUACUGUUCACAUUUAUCGGAGAUGAAUUCUUCAAGUCCGACGUUGCGAACAAAUGCGUCAACUCAUCUUUGAAGCCUGCCUCAAUCAUAAAUUCAUCAGAAGGCCAUUCACAUGGUUGGACGUGCGCGUCCCUAGGUUGGUAAGGAUCAGGCUCCCGAAUCGCAAGACGGGGACCUCUCUUGCUUGAGGAACCACCAUGAUAGUUUCUCUUGAACAUCUUUCCUUUUCUAAAAUUUUCAGUGACCCAAAGGAAAGGUGAACAAGGUUCAACUAAAUUAGUAGCAACUACUCCCACAAGUGCCUAGAGACAAUAUUACGCAUCAAAACUACUUGGGACCAGCUAGAAUUAGCAUACAAAGCUCAAGAACAUGGUCACCAAGGCAGCAAAAAUACGCGGAGUAUAAGGCACUAGAGAAAAAAUUAAUUGGACCAAUGGAGGAUCAAAAACUAAAGAACAAUUCAUGCACAUCAAGUAAAGGCCAAUACAUAGCAUAAGCAGUUUCUUGCAAUUUUAUCGUAUUGGAAACAUAGAUAGGUGGAGAUGUAGUUCCUCUCUCAUAAUAACUACAAGUAGGAGCAGCAAGCACAUGCAUAUUAUAUUCAUCAAAAUCAUCAUGUUUAACAUAAGGGACUAUAGCUAGCUCAUCUUCAUAAGCAUCAUUCAUAUUGGCAUCAUGGCCACAAGCAUAGCAAGCAUCAAGUUCAUCAAAAAGGGAUAUUUCAAACGAAUCCAAGGGAUCAUAGCAUUCAUCCUUCUAUAAGAACGAAGGGAAAUUAAAUAAUGUAUGAGUAGAAGAGUUACUCUCAUUAGAGGGGGAGAGAACCCCCCUCCUUCUUCUUCUUCCUUGACCUCCUCCCUAGAUGGGAGAAGGGUUUCCCCUCUGGUCCAUGGUCUCCAUGGCGGCGGAGGGGCGAGAGCCCCUCCGAGAUUGGAUCUCUCUCUCUGUGUCCUUCUGUUUCUGCGCUCCCAGAUUCUGCGUUUCACCGUUUUUUAAAUUCUGGAGAUCCGUAACUCCGAUUGGGCUGAAAUUUUAACACGAUUUUCUUCCGGAUAUUAUCUUUCUUGCGGUGAAAGAAGGGCUCCAACCGCCUUAAGGAGUGGCCACAAGCUUGCCUGCCGCGGGCCCACCCCCUGGCCGCGGCGACAGGGCUUGUGGGCACUCCGUGCAUCGCCUCGCGUUGAUUCUUCUUCCCAAGAAUCAUAAAUAUUCCAAAAAAAUCGCCGUAAGUUUUUAUUACGUUUGUACUUCGUUUGGUAUGGAUAUUCUGCGAAACAAAAAACAUGCAACAAACAGGAACUGACACUGGGCACUGGAUCAAUAUGUUAGUCCCAAAAAUAGUAUAAAAAGUUGCCAAAAGUAUAUAUGAAAGUUGUAGAAUAUUGGCAUGAAACAAUCAAAAAUUAUAGAUACAACGGAGACGUAUCAGCAUCCCAAGCUUAAUCCCUGCUCGUCCUCGAGUAGGUAAAUGAUAGACAAGAUAAUUUUUGAUGUGGAAUGCUACCUAGCAUAAUCUUGAUCAUAUAAUCUAAUCAUGGCAUGAAUACUAAAACACGAGUGAUUCGAAGCAAUAGUCUAUCAUUCGACAUAAAGACAAUAAUAUUUCAAGCAUACUAACAAAGCAAUCAUGUCUUCUCAAAAUAUCAUGGCCAAAGAAAGUUAUCCCUACAAAAUCAUAUAGUCUCGCUAUGCUCCAUCUUCCCCACACAACGUAUUUAAAUCAUGCACAACCCCGGUUUUAGCCAAGCAAUUGUUUCAUACUUUAGUGUUCUCAAACUUUUUCAACUUUCACGCAAUACAUGAGCGUGAGACAUGGACAUAGCACUAUAGGUGGAAUAGAAUAUGGUGGUUGUGGAGAAGACAAAAAGGAGGAGAUAGUCUCGCAUCAACUAGGUGUAUCAACGAGCUAUGGAGAUGCCCAUCAAUAGAUAUCAAUGUGAGUGAGUAGGAAUUGCCAUGCAACGGAUGCACUAGAGCUUAUAAGUGUAUGAAAGCUCACAAAAGAAACUAGUGGGUGUGCACCCAACUUUCUUUCUCACGAAGACCUAGGGCAAUUUUGAGGAAGCCCAUCAUUGGAAUAUACAAGCCAAGUUAUAUAAUGAAAAUUUUCCACUAGUAUAUGGAAGUGACAACAUAGGAGACUCUCUGUCAUGAAGAUCAUAGUGCUAUUUGAAGCAGAAGUGUGGAAACAGGAUAGUAGCAAAUGUCCCUUCUCUCUUUUCUCUCAUUUUUUGUGGGCUCUUUGGCCUCUCUUUUUUUGGUGGGCAUCUUUGGCCUCUUUUUUGUAAAUGGGCUUCGCUGACCUCUUUUAUUUCCUCACAUGGGACAAUGCUCUAUUAAUGAUGAUCAUCACACUUACAACUCAAUACUUAGAGCAAUGAUGACUCUAUAUGAAAUGCCUUCGGUAGUGUACCGUGACAAUGAUCUAGCAUAGCAAUGACAUCAAAAACGGACAAGCCAUGGAAACAUCAUGCUAGCUAUCUUACGAUCAUGCAAUGACAAUAUGGAAGUGGUGGCACAUGUCAUGAGACGGAACGGUGGUAGUUGCAUGGCAAUAUAUCUCGGAAUGGCUAUGAAAAUGCCAUAAUAGGUAGGUAUGGUGGCUGUUUUGAGGAAGGCUAUAUGGUGGGUGUAAUGCACCGGCGAAAGUUGCGCGGUACUAGAGAGGCUAGCAAUGGUGGAAGGGUGAGAGUGUGUAUAAUCCAUGGACUCAACAUUAGUCAUAAAGAACGCACAUACUUAUUGCAAAAGUCUAUUAGUCAUCGAAACAAGGUACUACAUGCAUGCUCCUAGGGGAAAGGUUGGUAGGAGUUAACCAUCGCGCGAUCCCGACCUCCACACAUAGGAUGACAAUCAAUAAAUAAAUCAUGCUCCGACUUCAUCACAUAACGGUUCACCAUACGUGCAUGCUACGGGAAUCACAAACCUUAACACAAGUAUUUCUACAAAUACACAAUUACUCACUAGCAUGACUCUAAUAUCACAUAUUAAUGUCGCAAAACUAUUGCAAGGAAUCAAACAUAUCAUAUUCAGUGAUCUACAAGUUUUAUGUAGGAUUUUAUGACUAACCAUGUGAAUGGCCAACUCCUGUUAACUCUCUAAAUAGGUAUAAGUGAAGCAUGAGAGUUUAAUUCUUUCUACAAAAGAUACGCCCCGCUCUAACAAAUAUAAGUGAAGCAAAAGAGCAUUCUACAAAUGGCGGUUUUUUAUGUGUAGGGAAACAGGCAAUCCAAACUUCAAAAGAUAUAAGUGAAGCACAAGAAGCAUUCUAUAAAUAAAACCAAGGACCAUCUCAUACCAGCAUGGUGCUUAAAAUAAAAAAAGGAAAAAUAAACACAAAAGACGCUCCAAGCAUUUGCACAUAUCAUGUGACGAAUUAAAAUAUAGCUUCGAGUAAAAUUACCGAUAGAUUGUAGACGAAAGAGGGCAUGCCUUCCGGGGCAUCCCCAAGCUUAGACGCUUGAGUCUUCCUUGAAUAUUACCUUGGGGGUGCCUCGGGCAUCCCCAAGCUUAGGCUCUUGCCUCGCCUUAUUCCUUCAUCCAUCGUGCUCUCACCCAAAACUUGAAAACUUCAAUCACACAAAACUCAACAAAACUUCGUGAGAUCCGUUAGUAUAAUAAAAUAAAUCACCACUUCAAGUACUGUUGUGAACUCAUUCUAAAUUCAUAUUAGCAUUAUAUCUACUGUAAUCCAACUUCACCAUGGUUCAUACCCCCCGAUACUACGCAUAGAUUCAUCAGAAUAAGAGAACAAUGCAUAGAAAACAGAAUCUGUCAAAACAGAACAGUCUGUAUAUUCCGUAUAGUUCUGAUAUCUCAAAACAUCUGAAAAAUUAUGAACGUCUAGAAACUUUGCAUAUCAAUCAGCAGCAAAAAGAAUCAACUCAAAAUCUCUUCCAGAAUAAAAAUGAAAAUUAAUUUCAUGAGCAGAAAGUUUCUGUCUUUUCUCAGCGUGAUCAAACAACUAUCACCCAAACUAAUCGUAAAGGCUUUGCUUGGCACAUUAUUUUUUUAAAACACAAAGGCAUUGUACAAGGAGAUAAUUAUUUUUGUGAGAAACUUCCAUGAAAAAUUCUACAUCGUUUCCAUGAGCAUGAACACAAGUGUUCAAGGUCGACCCUCACUUCCGCAAUGCAUCACCUUUCAAUCGCUUCUCUUUUUGAAAAAGUUUUAAGUUCCCCUCUAUUUUUUUUGUUUUAAACUAAAUAAAAGCACUCAACAACGAUAAAUGACUCUCUAAAACUUCUGGGUUGUCUCCCAGGCAGCGCUUUCUUUAAAGCCAUUAAGCUAGGCAUAAAGUGCUCAAGUAAUGGAUCCACCCGGAUCCCAAGGUAUAUCAAAGCCAAUUUUAAUUAGCAAUGAUUUGAAUUUAGUAUUGAGCACAAGGUAACAUAUAUCAAGCAAUGACGAAGUCUAACUCUCUUCCUAUGCAUUGGCAUGUCAUAAAAGAACAAUUCAUGCACAUCAAGUAAAGGCCAAUACAUAGCAUAAGCAGUUUCUUACAAUUUUAUCGUAUUGGAAACAUAGAGAGGUGGAGAUGUAGUUCCUCUCUCAUAAUAACUGCAAGUGGGAGCAGCAAGCACAUGCAUAUUAUAUGCAUCAAAAUCAUCAUGUUUAACAUAAAGGACUAUAGCUAGCUCAUCUUCAUAAGCAUCAUUCAUAUUGGCAUCAUGGCCACAAGCAUAGCAAGCAUCAAGUUCAUCAAAAAGGGAUAUUUCAAACGAAUCCAAGGGAUCAUAGCAUUCAUCCUUCUGUAAGAACGAAGGGAAUUUAAAUAAUGUAUGAGUAGAAGAGUUACUCUCAUUAGAAGGUGGACACGGGUAGCUAGUCCGCUCUUCCUCCUUUUGUUCUUCGCUCUCCUCUUCAUCUUUUUCAUCUAAUGAGCUCACAAUUUCAGCAUUUUCUUCUUCCAUAGUUUCCUGCAAAAUAAUAGUCUCUUCUUGGGCAGCAUAGGAUUUCUCCUUAAAUCGUUCAAUAUGGGCAUUAUAUUCAUAAUUAGUAUAACAAUAACGAAGCAUAGCCAAAUUUUCUGAUCGGUAAGGAGCAUCAUCAUUAUCAUCACACCUUUUAAACAGAGCCUCAAUUUCAUAAGCACCCAUAAAAGCAACAGACUCUUCUAUUUGAUCCACAUCAGAGUAAUCAUAUAUACCAUUAGCAUAAGAAGCCAAGGUUCUAUGAUCAUUAAAUUCACAAGAAAAGGGAAGGUGUGAAGCCUUCAUCCUAGAGCAACAAGUAACACCAUAUCUCUUGCAUAGUUCCCAAGCAUACCAUUUCAACAAAUGGAUUUGAUCCCAUAAAAGUUUUCCUUUUUGAGUCAAGCGAUAAUCCCUAAAGUAUUCACGUUGAUCCAACGUGUAUCCCAUUAUAUAAUUGAAUGGGGCUUUCUCAGGAUUAUUAAAGAAGUGCAUAAUAUUUUCCACAUAACGAGCCUCGAGGGUUUUAGGAGGUUCCCCAUCUCCAUGAGUAGCAAGUACACCUAAUUUUUUGGUAUUUCGUGUUCCAUAUCCAUAACUAAAGAUAGAGAACAACUUAGAACAACAAAUAAAUCUACUUAGUGAUAAAGCAAACAAGCACACACGAGGAUAUUCACCCCACGCUAUUGCUCCCCAGCAACGGCGCCAGAAAAAGGUCUUGAUAACCCACAAGUAUAGGGGAUCAAUUGUAGCCUUUCUUGAUAAGUAAGAGUGUCGAACCCAACGAGGAGCUAAAGGUAGGACAAAUAUUCCCUCAAGUUCUAUCGACCACCGAUACAACUCUACACACACUUUACGUUCGCUUUACCUAGAACAAGUAUGAAACUAGAAGUACUUUGUAGGAGUGAAAGGAUAGGCUUGCAAGAAAGUAAAGAACACGUAAAUAAAACUAGGGGCUGGUUAGAUAAAGAAACAACUACGAGUGUCUAACGAGUGUGGAAAAGUGGUGGUAGGAGUUGCGGAAUUGUCCCUAAGCAAUUGACUACGUUACUAGAUCGAUAGCAAGUAUCAUGUGGGAGAGGCCUCUGCUAGCAUCUCAUCCCUUACUUGGAAUUCUAUGCACUUAUGAUUGGAACUAUUAGCAAGCGUCCGCAACUACUAACGUUCAUUAAGGUAAAACCCAACCAUAGCAAUUCAUCAAUCACCGAUAGGACAACGAUAAUCUACUCAGACAUCAUAGGAUAACAACACAUCAUUGGAUAAUAAUAUGUAGCAUAAAGCACCAUGUUCAAGUAGAGGGUACAGCGGGUUGCGGGAGAGUGAACCGCUGAAUAUAGAUGGGGGAAGAUGAUGGAGAUGUUGGUGAAGAUGACGGAGGUGUUGGUGUAGAUUGCCGUCACAUGAUGAUGUCCCGGGCAGCGUUCCGGCGCCGCCGGGAGAGAGGGGGAGAGAGCCCUCCUCGUUCUUCUUCUUCCUUGACCUCCUCCCUAGAUGGGAGAAGGGCUUCCCCUCUGUUCCAUGGUCUCCAUGGCGGCGGAAAGGCGAGAGCCCCUCCGAGAUUGGAUCUCUCUCUCUCUGUGUCCUUCUGUUUCUGCGCUCCCAGAUUCUGCGUUUCACCGUUUCUUAAAUUCUCGGAGAUCCGUAACUCCGAUUGGGCUGCAAUUUUAACAUGAUUUUCUUCCGGAUAUUAUCUUUCUUGUGACGGAAGAAGGGCUCUAACCGCCUUAAGGAGUGGCCACAAGCCUGCCUGCCGCGGGCCCACCCCCUGCCCGCGGCGCCAGGGCUUGUGGGCACUCCGUGCAUCGCCUCGCGUUGAUUCUUCUUCGCAAAAAUCAUAAAUAUUCCAAAAAAAAAUCCCCGUAAGUUUUUAUUACGUUUGAACUUCGUUUGGUAUGGAUAUUCUGCGAAAUAAAAAACAUGCAACAAACAGGAACUGGCACUCGGCACUGGAUCAAUAUGUUAGUCCCAAAAAUAGUAUAAAAAGUUGCCAAAAGUAUAUGAAAGUUGUAGAAUAUUGGCAUGAAACAAUCAAAAAUUAUAGAUACGACGGAGAUGUAUCAGCAACCUAAAGUGAAGCCUUAAAACAGAAGUUUGUGACUCCUAGAUUCAUCCAUCUCAUGGUUAUCGGAAGAAAUCCGUCAAUGGGGUUGAUCAAGUCCUCUCGACAAAACUUUCUCGAAUCGCAAAAGAAGACGGAGAAUUUCUGAAUAGUCACUAGGUCACCUCAAUGGGGAUAUGUAUUUCCCCAACAAGCAAGUCAUACUUCAUCUUGACACGAGGAGUAGGGCAUUCAAAGCUCCCAAUAAGAAUCGAUGAAGUUUUUUCGAUAGCAUUGAUGCAAUGUACUCGAUAUUGUUUCUUCGGAAAGUGCACCGUAUGCUCAUUAUCGUUGACAUGGAAAGUGACAUUGCCUUUGUUGCAAUCUAUAACAGCCCAUGCGGUGUUUAAAAAGGGUAUUCCGAGGAUGACAGCCAUGUCAUCAUCCUCAGGAAUAUCCAAGAUAACAAAGUAUGUUAAGAUAGUGGUGUUAGCAACCGUAACAGGCACAUCCUCGCAAAUGCCGAUAGGGAAAGCAGUUGAUUUGUCGGUCAUUUGCAGAGAGAUUUCAGUGGGUGUCAACUUAUCUAGUUCAAGUCUACGAUAAAGAGAGAGAGGCAUAACACUAACACCGGCUCCAAGGUCGCAUAACGCAGUUCUAACGUAGUUGCCUUUAAUGGAGCAAGGUAUAGUGGGCACACCGGGAUCACCUAGUUUCUUAGGAGUUCCACCCUUGAAGGUAUAAUUGGCAAGCAUGGCGGAGAUCUCAAGAUCAGGUAUCCUCCUCUUAUUAGUCACAAUAUCUUUCAUGUACUUAGCAUACGGAGACAUAUUGAGCAUAUCAGUCAAACGCAUCUGCAGAAAGACAGGUCUGAUCAUUUCAACGAAUCGCUCAAAAUCCUCAUCAUCCUUUUUCUUGGAUGGUUAGGGAGGAAAGGGCAUAGGUUUCUGAACCCAUGGCUCCCUUUCUUUACCAAGCUUCCUAGCAGCAAAGUCAUUCUUAUCGUAUCUUCUAGUCUUAGGUUGUGGGUUUUAUCAAGAUCAACACUAGGUUCAAUCUCCACAUCCUUUUCAUUGCUAGGUUGAGCAUCUUCAUGAACAUCACUAUUGAUAUUAUCAUUAGGCUCAUGUUCAUCACCAGAUUGUGUUUCAACAUCAGAGAUAGAGGCAUCGUUUGGACUCUCAGGUGUAGCAGCAACAGGGUUGCUAGCGUGCAGGUUCCUAUCAUCUUUCUUCUUCUUUCUAGGAUGACUAGGUGCACCAGUGCUAACUCCUUGAGAAUCUUGUUCAGUUCUCUUCGGAUGACCCUCAGGAUACAAAGGUUCCUGGGUCAUUCUACCGCCUCUAGUAACGACUCUGACGGAAUUGUCAUUCAACUCAUUGAGCAAGUCAUUUUGAGCUUUAAGUACUUGUUCUACCUGAGUAGUAACCAUAGAGGCAUGUUUACUCAGAAGCUUAAGAUCGCUGACGUUUCUAUCCACACAAGCACUUAAAUGACUAAGCAUACGAGCAUUCUUUUCCAAUUGUCUGCUAACAUAAUCAUUGAAACUUUGUUGUUUGGCAACGAAGUUAUCAAAUUCAUCCAAGCAUAAGCUAGCAGGUUUAUCAAAAGGAAUAUCACUCUCAUCAAACCUACGCAGAGAAUUUACUUCUACUACCUGUAUCGGGUUAUCGAGACCAUGGAUCUCUUCGAUAGGUGGUAGAUUUUUGACAUCUUCAAAUUUAAUGCCUUUCUCUCGCAUAGAUUUCUUGGCUUCUUGCAUAUCUUCAAAACUGAGGAAUAGAAUACCUCUUUUCUUCGGAGUUGGCUUAGGAGGUGGUUCGGGAAUAGUCCAAGCAUUCUCAUUGCACAAGAUGUUGUUCAACAGAAUCUUAGCUUGUUCUACGGUUCGUUCCCUAAAAACACUACCAGCACAACUAUCUAGGUGGUCUUGGAAGCAUCGGUAAGUCCAUUAUAGAAGAUAUCAAGUAUUUCGUUCUUCUCAAGAGGGUGAUCAGGCAAAGCAUUCAGUAGCUGGAUAAGCCUCCCCCAAGCUUGUGGGAGACUCUCUUCUUCAGCUUGAGCAAAGUUGUAUAUUUCCUGCAAGGCAGCUUGCUUCUUAUGGGCAGGGAAAUAUUUCUCAAAGAAGUAGUAGACCAUAUCCUGGGGGCUAUGCAUACAACCAGGAGCAAGAGAAGUGAACCAGAUCUUAGCAUCAUCCUUUAGCGAGAAAGGAAACAACUUGAGCAUGUAGUAGUGGCGGAUCUUUUCCUCACUAGUGAAUAGGGCGGCUAUAUCGUGCAGUUUGGAAAGAUGAGAUACAACCGUUUUAGACUCGUAACCGUGAAAGGGAUCAGAUUCGACCAGAGUGAUUAACUCAGGGUCGACAGAGAAUUCAUAAUCCUUAUCGGUCACAAAGAUAGGUGAAGUGGCAAACUUCGGGUCAUAUUUCAUCCUAGCGUUCAGAGAUUUUUCUUUCCACUUGCGCAGAAGUUUCUCAACUAUUGGAAAUAUGCCCUAGAGGCAAUAAUAAAUUAGUUAUUAUUAUAUUUCUUUGUUCAUGAUAAUCGUUUAUUAUCCAUGCUAUAAUUGUAUUGAUUGGAAACACAGUGCAUGUGUGGAUACAUAGACAAAACACUGUCCCUAGUAAGCCUCUAGUUGACUAGCUCGUUGAUCAAAGAUGGUCAAGGUUUCCUGACCAUAGGCAAGUGUUGUCACUUGAUAACGGGAUCACAUCAUUAGGAGAAUCAUGUGAUGGACUAGACCCAAACUAAUAGACGUAGCAUGUUGAUCGUGUCAUUUUGUUGCUACUGUUUUCUGCGUGUCAAGUAUUUGUUCCUAUGACCAUGAGAUCAUAUAACUCACUGACACCGGAGGAAUGCUUUGUGUGCAUCAAACGUCGCAAUGUAACUGGGUGACUAUAAAGAUGCUCUACAGGUAUCUCCGAAGGUGUUCGUUGAGUUAGUAUGGAUCGAGACUGGGUUUUGUCACUCCGUGUGACGGAGUGGUAUCUCGGGGCCCACUCGGUAAUACAACAUCACACACAAGCCUUGCAAGCAAUGUGACUUAGUGUAAGUUGCGGGAUCUUGUAUUACGGAACGAGUAAAGAGACUUGCCGGUAAACGAGAUUGAAAUAGGUAUGCGGAUACUGACGAUCGAAUCUCAGGCAAGUAACAUACCGAAGGACAAAGGGAAUGACAUACGGGAUUAUAUGAAUCCUUGGCACUGAGGUUCAAACGAUAAGAUCUUCGUAGAAUAUGUAGGAUCCAAUAUGGGCAUCCAGGUCCCGCUAUUGGAUAUUGACCGAGGAGUCACUCGGGUCAUGUCUACAUAGUUCUCGAACCCGCAAGAUCUGCACACUUAAGGUUCGACAUUGUUUUAUGCGUAUUUGAGUUAUAUGGUUGGUUACCGAAUGUUGUUCGGAGUCCCGGAUGAGAUCACGGACGUCAUGAGGGUUUCCGGAAUGGUCCGGAAACAAAGAUUGAUAUAUAGGAUGACUUCAUUUGGUUACCGGAAGGUUUUCGGGCAUUACCGGUAAUGUACCGGGAAUGACGAAUGGGUUCCGGAUCUUCACCGGGAGGGGGGACCACCCACCCGGGAGGGCCCAAGGACCUUGGGGGUGGCGCACCAAGUAGGUGGGGUCAGCCCAAGGCUGUCUUGCGCAAGAGAAAGAAAAACCAAAAGAAGAGAAAGAAAAAAAAAGGAAAGGUGGGAAAAAGAGAAGGACUCCACCUUCCAAUCCUAGUUGGACUAGGAUUGGAGGAGGACUCCUCCUCCCCUUGGUGGCGCAGCCCUUGGGGCUCCUUGAGCCUGAAGGCAAGCCUCCCCUCCCUCCUCCUAUAUAUAUGGAGCAAUUAGGGCUGAUUUGAGACAACUUUUUCAAGGCAGCCCGACCACAUACCUCCACGGUUUUACCUCUAGAUCGCGUCUUUGCGGAGCUCGGGCGGAGCCCUGCCGAGAUAAGAUCAUCACCAACCUCCGGAGCGCCGUCACGCUGCCGGAGAACUCAUCUACCUCUGUGUCUCUCUUGUUGGAUCAAGAAGGCCGAGAUCAUCGUCGAGCUGUACGUGUGCUGAACGCGGAGGUGUCGUCCGUUCGGCACUAGAUCGUGGGACGGAUCGCGGGACGGUUCGUGGGACGGUUCGCGGGACGGAUCGAGGGACGUGAGGACGUUCCACUACAUCAACCGCGUUCACUAACGCUUCUGUUGUGCAAUCUACAAGGGUACGUAGAUCGGAAAUCCCCUCUCGUAAAUGAACAUCACCAUGAUAGGUCUUCAUGCGCGUAGGAAAUUUUUUGUUUCCCAUGCGACGUUCCCCAACAUCAACAUCAUAGCUAUCCUUACACGCAAGAAAAUCCUCAGCUAUCUCUCCCUAUGUAACGUAGCGUGUAUCAGGCAUAAUAGGCAUAGUAGCAGGUUCUACUUCAAUAGUACCAGCAGUUUCAGAAGUAUCAUCACAUCUAGCAGCAAUUCUAGCAAGUUGUGCAUCAAGGGCACCAAGUGGAAAAGUAGUAUCAAGCAUAGCAUCAUCAGGCAUAGUAUCUAGCAUAGCAUCAUCAGGCAUAGUAUCAAGCAUAGCAUCAUAAGCAUCAUGGACAGCAGAAGUAGCAUCAUCAACCACAUGCGACAUAUCAAGAUUUCUAGCAGGAGGCGAUGUCGCGAACUUACUCAAAACUGAAGGUGAAUCAAGUGCAGAGCUAGAUGGCAGUUCCUUACCUCUCCUCGUAGUGGAAGGCAAAAUUUUAGUUCUUGGAUCUUUCGGAUUCCUCAUAGUGAUCAGCAGACGUCAAUCCCAAGUGACUCAGAGAAUAUAGUUGUGCCUCCCCGGCAACGGCGCCAGAAAAAGCCUUGAUGUCCCACAAGUGUAUGGGAUCGCAGCAGUUUUCGAGGGUAGAGUAUUCAACCCAAAUUUAUUGAUUCGCUCACAAGGGGAAGCUAAAGAAUAUUCUCAAGUAUUAGCAGCUAAGUUGUCAAUUCAACCACACCUAAAAGAUUAAUGUCUGCAAGUAAAGUGUCAGUAGCAAGGUAGUAUGAUAGCAAUGGCACCAGAAAAAGCUUUGACAAUUCCUAGCAAUGGCGCCAGAAAAAGACUUGUUGAUGGGAUGUUAGCGCCAACAAAGUCUUGCAACAAGUAACAGCGGAGUAGCAAGGAACAGUAGUAGUAGCAGUAGCAAACUAAAAAGUAACAACAGUAGUGAUAGCAGCAGCAAAGUGGCUCAAUCCCUCUUGUAGCAAGGGACAAGCCUAGGCAAAGAUACGUAGCGAGAACCAGUAGUAAAAGACUCGUAGGCAGUGGAUCGGUCAUGGGUGAGUGUGACGGAUGUGAUUCAUCAUGUAACAGCUAUAACACGAAGAGAUAUGUGGCUAGCUCCCGUUCAUCAAUCUAAUGUAGGCAUGUAUUCCGUAUGUAGUCAUACGUGCUUAGGAAAAAGAACUUGCAUGACAUCUAUUGUCCAUCCCUCCCAUGGCAGCGGGGUCCUAUUGGAAACUACGUGAUAUUAAGGUUCUCCUUUUAAUAAAGAACCGGACCAACGCAUUAACAAGCGGUGAAUACAUGAACUCCUCAUACUAUGGUCAUCUCCGGGAGUGGUUCCGGCUAUUGUCACUCCGGGGUUGCUGGGUCAUAACACAUAGUAGGUGACUACAAUUUGCAAGAUAGGAUCUAAAACACACAUAUAUUGGUGACAACAUAAUAGGUUCAGAUCUGAAAUCAUGGCACUCGGGCCCUAGUAACAAGCAUUAAGCAUAGCCAAGUAGUAGCAACAUCAAUCUAGAACAUAGUGGAUACUAGGGAUCAAUCCCCGUCAAGAACUAACUCGAUUACAUGAUAGAUCUCAUCCAACUCAUCACCGUCCAGCAAGCCUACGAUGAGAUUACUCACGAACGAUGAAGAGCAUCAUGGAAUUGUCGAUGGAGAAAGGUUGAUGAUGACGAUGGUGACAAUUUCCCCUCUCUGGAGCCUGAAAUGGACUCCAGAUCUGCCCUCCAGAUGAAGAACAGGAUGUGGCGGCGCCUCCGUAUCGCAAAACGCGAUGAAACCUUCUCUCUGAUUUUUUUCCAGGCGAAACGGAAGAUAUAGGACUGAGUUUGGGGCAGUGGUGCCAUGUGGGCCCCACAAUCCCUCAUGACGCGGCCAUAGGGUGUGGCCGCGGCCCAGGGGCUUGUGGCCCACUAGCACCCCCCUCACGUGGAACUUUGCGCAGGUAUUUUCCUUUUAUUCCAGAAAAAAUCUCCAUAAAUUUUCAGGACAUUCUGAGAACUUUUAUUUSUGCACAAAAACAACACCAUGGCAAUUCUGGUGAAAACAGCGUUAGUCCGGGUGAGUUCCAUUCAAAUCAUGCAAAUUAGAGUCCAAAACAAGGGCAAAAGAGUUCGGAAAAGUAGAUACGACCGAGGCAUAAUACCAGGACUAAAGCCUUUUGCUUCCCGCCCUUUCAGCUGCUGAAAAGGAGCUUUAGUCCCGGUUGCAGCCACCAACGGGACUAAAGGUGGGGCCAUAUAAGCGGGACUUUGCGGUUUUUCCAAAUCCACUGCUUUCUUCGAAUUCGAUCUCCUCCUCUCCCACGAUGGCGCCGAGACCACAUCGACACCGCCAGGCUGCCAGACCUCAUCGUCGCCUCCCCGAGCCCUGCCCUGACGUCGUCCACCGCUCCCCUCUAUGGGCCCUUCCUACCCCGACGCCGUCGCCGCUGCGUGCCCUGACGUCGCCGUCGCCGUGCCCUGCCCUUGGCGUCGUCGUCGCCGCGCCCUGCCCCGACGUUGUCGUCCCCGCGCGCUCCCCUCAUCAUCGGCCGGCCCCUCCAUCUCCAUCGCUCGCCGCCCCUGGUGAGCUCCUGCAUCUCCAUCGCUCCCCACGUGCUUCCCUCUAUGCAUGAGUGUUAGCUUAAGUUUACUCCCUCCGUUCCUAAAUAAGUCCUUUUAGAGAUGAAUGCACACUCUAAAUUGUCUCUAUAUGCAUCGUAUGUAGUCCUUAAGUGAACCUCUAAAAAGACCAUGUACAUGAAGACUUGUCAAAAUCAUAAAAAUAUUGUGUAAAUUGUGUUUAUAUACAUCCGUAUUUAUACAUACAUUUUAGAGAAAAUUAGGCAUUGUGUGGUUCAAAAUAUUGUGUACAUGAAAACUUGUCAAAAUCAUAAAAAUAUCAUAGUGUUUCAUCUUUUAUGUUGAUUAAGAGAUAUAAACAUGCUUGUGUGGUUACACAAUUCACUUGUUAGAUGUAUUUCUUGGUUAAUCAAGUAAGAAGGAGCAACUGCAACAAAAGACAAUGGCCAAUCACAUGCCCCAUGUCCUAAUCCUUUUUUCGAUAGUGUUCGACAUUACUUGAGGAUAUUUUCCAAUAUGAGGUAUUUAAAAAGUCAUUCAAGUAUAUGAAAUCCUAAAGAUGUAUGUUAGAUAUGAUUAGUGUAACUAUAAGAACAUGUAUGCCCCCACAAUAAUGUUGGAAAUAUGCCCUAGAGGCAAUAAUAAAUUAGUUAUUAUUAUAUUUCCUUGUUCAUAAUAAUCGUUUAUUAUCCAUGCUAUAAUUGUAUUGAUUGGAAACACAAAUACAUGUGUGGAUACAUAGACAAAACACUGUCCCUAGUAAGCCUCUAGUUGACUAGCUCGUUGAUCAAAGAUGGUCAAGGUUUCCUAACCAUAGGCAAGUGUUGUCACUUGAUGACGGGAUCACAUCAUUAGGAGAAUCAUGUGAUGGACUAGACCCAAACUAUGAACGUAGCAUAUUGAUCGUGUCAUUUUAUUGCUAUUAUUUUCCGCGUGUCAAGUAUUUGUUCCUAUGACCACGAGAUCAUAUAAUCCAUUGGCACCGGAGGGAUGCCUUGUGUGCAUCAAACGUCCCAACGUAACUGGGUGACUAUAAAGGUGCUCUACAGGUAUCUCAGAAGGUGUCCGUUGGGUUAGUAUGGAUCAAGACUGAGAUUUUUCACUCCGUAUGACGGAGAGGUAUCUCGGGGCCCUCUCGGUAAUACAACAUCACACACAAGCCUUGCAAGCAAUGUGACUAAGUGUAAGUCACGUGAUCUUAUAUUACGGAACGAGAAAAGAGACUUGCCGGUAACGAGAUUGAAAUAGGUAUGCGGAUACCGACGAUCCAAUCUCGGGCAAGUAACAUACCGAAGGACAAAGGGAAGGACAUACGGGAUUGCCUGAAUCCUUGACACUGAGAUUCAACCGAUAAGUUAUUCGGAGAAUAUGGAGGAUCCAAUAUGGGCAUCCAGGUCCCGCUAUUGGAUAUUGACCGAGGAGUACCUCGGGGCAUGUCUGCAUAGUUCUCGAACCCGUAGGGUUUGCACACUUAAGGUUCAUCGAUGUUUUAGUAUAGUUGAGUUAUAUGUGUGGUUACCGAAUGUUGUUCGGAGUCCCGGAUGAGAUCACGGACGUCAUGAGGGUUUCUGGAAUGGUCUGGAGACGAAGAUUGAUAUAUAGGAUGACCUCAUUCGAUUACUGGAAAGUUUUUGGACAUUACCGGGAAUGUACCGGGAGUGACGAAUGGGUUCCGGAUGUUCACCGGGGGGGGGGAGCCCACCCGGGGGAAGCCCAUAGGCCUUAGGGGUGCCGCACCAGCCCUUAGUGGGAUGGUGGGAGAGCCCAAGAGGCCCUAUGCACAGGAGAUAAGAAAUCAAAGGAAAAAAAAGAGGUGGGAAGGAAGGGAAGGACUCCACCUUCCAAUCCUAGUUGGACUAGGAUUGGAGGUGGACUCCUCCACCUCCUUGGCCGGCGGGCUCUUGGGGUCUUGGACUCCAAGGCAAGUCUCCCCACCCCUCCUCCUAUAUAUAGUGAAGGUCUAGGGCUGAUUUGAGACAACUUUGCCACGCCAGCCCGACCACAAAACAUCACGGUUUUUCCUCUAGAUCGUAUUUCUUCGGAGCUCGGGCGGAGCCCUGCAGGAGUAGAUCCUUCACCACCACCAGAGCGCCGUCAUGCUGCCAGAGAACUCAUCUACUUCUCCGUCUUGCUUGCUGGAUCAAAAAGGCCGAGAUCAUCGUCGAGCUGUACGUGUGCUGAACGCGGAGGUGCUGUCCGUUCGGCACUAGAUCGGAGCGGAUCGCGAGACGGUUCGUGGGAUGGUUCGCGGGGCGGAUCGAGGGACGUGAGGACGUUCCACUACAUCAACCGCGUUUCUUAACACUUCCUCCUGUGCGAUCUACAAGGGUACGUAGAUCCAAAUCUCCUCUCGUAGAUGGACAUCACCUUGAUAGGUCUUCGUGCGUGUAGGAAAUUUUUUGUUUCCCAUGCGACGUUCCCCAACAAAUAAUUACUCUGCAUUUUUGUUUGUCCUUUCUUUAAAGUUUUGAUGCUCAUAGCAUCCUAGUACGUAUUUGUUUCUCUAUCCUGCUGCUACCUAAAUUGGAAUUUGAAAACAAAUCAUCAGCGACAUUUAUUAAUUCCGGAUUUAUUCUUUAAAUAGUAGGACUUUAAAUAGUUUUAGAAAUUGUUCUCGACGUCGACGAUGCCCGUCAUGUAUCCUCGUCGUCGACUCGGUGGCGACAACCUACUUGAGAGGCGCCAACAUGUUCGGGACUGGGCUCCGUCGGGCUGACACUGGGAGGUGCUACCUUCUAGGGCACGAAUCUUGGUGAGGAACCAGACUCCCGUUGUUGACCCAGAGCUUCUUUGGUGGCGGUCGCGUGGGCUAGUUUCGGUGCGGAGGCAGUCGACCGCCGAGGAGGAGGUACUUCCCGUGUCAGGGAGGAGGACGAGCAUGUACGUUGUUACUUGGUUGCGUUGGACGCGAGGUUCUCCAAUAUCUGGCAGGUUCUUCACGGAUCUCACCCGAGCUAUCAUCCUGUGAUGGUUCCUUCUAUGCGGGUGUCCACCGCCCGCGCCUCAAUACAACGGCAACUCUUUGGGUGAUCCGUUUGAUUAGGAACCGCAAGUGAACUAGAUUAUACUAGAGAUGUAUUCGAGAUUAUAUUCGAUAAUAUUUGAGAUAUAUUAAGUUGAUUAUUGGUUGUAACCAAAAGAGAAUAUUUUUGCCUCUUGAGAUCUAUUGCAGGACAAACGCUUUUGACUUUGUUGCUAGAAAAAAAUAAACUUCUUAGUGUCGACAGGUCCAUCAUUGUAUGAUUUUUAUUUUGUUGUUGUUGUACCUUUAGGAUAUGUUUUAUUUGUCCAAUGUCUGUGAUUUUUAAUCUUAUAUAGAAUUAUGAACACAGGGAAUGUCAUGAUCCGAUGACGAUAGGAUCCCUGCGUGCCAUUUGUGCUGGGAUGAUAGGGGUAUAUGCGAUCGUUAUCCUCACCUAGAUAACGAUACGUCCUUUACCGUCAAGCUGACGGAUGACUUCUCGAUUAUUACGGUAUGUAAAGACGACAUGUAUUUUUUGUUAGUCAAGUAUGACGUGUUUUUUUUGCUUUAGUUAACCUUUAAUUUUCUUUUGUACAAAUCGACUAGUGCGUUCCCUGUCAUGCAAGAUUUGCUGUCUUGGACAAGUUUCAUUUUAAAGAGAAGGAUAGCACACGACCUAAAAUAGCUCACCUAAGAACAAAACAUUUCACUUUUGUUGUCAAGGUAAAAAAUGAUGUAGAUCACACAUAUUUUGGUUGUUCUAAUUGGAGAGCAUUUUGCAAGGCAUAUGGUUGAAUGAGGACAUGAACAUUACCUUCGAUCUUGGUAAUGAUGAUGUCCGUGAUAAUAAUAUAGAAAUUUAGGUAUUUUUUAUUAAUUACUGAAAAGUAUCUUGUACUCAUCCCGAUUAAAUUUGUUUAUUUUCAAUUAUUAGCUUAUUUCCAUGCUACAAGAACUACACGGAAGAUAGUAGAUCAAACCUACUACAGUUUUGGCUCCAACCUUACUUGGUUGGAGAAAAUCAUCUCAUCUCAUUUAUUCAUGAUGUUGACAAUCAUGCUAAAAAUUUACAUGACUGACAACAUUUAUCAUGAAUAUGUGCCACUAGUGCACCAGUUGAGCCCUCGUAACAUCACUUCAAACAACUUUGUAAGAUUUUUUAUACCAUUGCAUCACUAAUCCAUCUUUUUUAUACAUUGGUCUUAAGCAAAACUAUUUUGCUAACUAUAUUAUUAUUACUAACAGGUACUCCCCCCAGAGACCGUGCCUAAAUGGAUGUUUACCACCGGUGAUUUGGAAAUGGUUAGCUUACGACCAACACCUAUUAUUUACCGUGGUAAAUAUAGGAUAUCUCAAAGUGAAGACACUCUGAAAAUCAAAGGAUGGAGAAAUGCAAUACAAGCAUCUAUGAUACCAUUUGGAGAGGAAUCUUUGCGCAUCCCACAAGUUGGAGAUAGGUUGAUCUGUGUUCAUCAAUACGGAGAUGUCGGAGUUCGUCUUUAUUUUGCUUUUUUACCUAGGAGAGAGUAGUAGUUAGUGUUUCAACAUUGUGAUAACUUGGUCAUUUGCUACUAUAAUAACAACUAGAAUGAUGAGGAGUUCAUCUUUUUAUGCUAUUUUACCUAAAAUGAUGAAGAAUUUUUUAACUAGUAUGUACAAUGAUGAGGAGUGUUAGAGCAUAUAUCUCCAUAUGUGGUUUUGGUAAUUGAUGGCAAUUCCUAUGGACUAAUGGUUGCCUUUAGUUAUAUUUAUAGGAUUUGUCCAUAGGCACUUCUUGAAGUCCAUCUGUUGGGUUCAAGGAGUUUAUAUGAUGACCAAGAUGGUAUUCAAGGUAUUAUCCAAAGAAUGGUCAUAGAGACACUAGGUUGAACAAGAUCUCAGACAAAGAGUAAAUCAAGAUGAUCAACACACAAAGCGUAUAAGAUGUACCGAGAGGGAUCAAGUGAUCCCAUGGUAUGGUAAGCAUUGUCCAUUACGUGUUUGUGUACUAACCCAUGGUCUUUGUGAGAGUCCUAUGUGGGGGUUAGGUGUGCUUCCAUGGGCUUGCGUCAAAAGGAAGAUCUCAUACAACCCAUGAAGGAUGACGUCAAGUGGCGAUCGUCAUCAAGAUUGUGGUGUGCAAGUUCAAGUGGAUCAUCACGAAUAUAUCAUUGAAACUAUUGUUAAUGAUCAUGUGUUGAUAAGGACAAGCUCAUGUGCUAACAAGGACAAGAUCAAGAUAAGCAUUCCUGAGCACUACAUGCUUGAUUCUUGUGGAUGUUCACAUGGUGGACAAAUGAAGAUGAAUACAUAAGCUAGGCUUUCCACAUUGUGUAUGGGAGAGCUACUUGAAGACUUCAUCAUGUCUUGCUUUCAACCUGAGCCAAGAAGGAACAACAACAUCAAGCUCAAGUGAAAGGGCUAACUCAAAGGUAUCAGUUCCUUUGACGUUAGUUGUGCGGAGUGAUGAUCAGCGAAUAAAAGUAUACACUCAAGUAUGGAUCAUCAGUACCCCUUUUAUGAUUCUUGAGUCUUUAGGGAUCCCGCACUAUUAAGAGGGGAUCACAGGUUUUGCGAUGAACUUGCUCAAACUACAUCUCCACUGUUCUGCUCAAACUACAUCUCCACUGUUCUGCUCAGACCACAUCUCCACUGCUCUGCUGUUAUCUGAAAACAGAACCAGUGCCUCGGACAUCCGGCUUCCUCCGGACGUCCGAGGGCCGGACGACCGACUGCUUCGGAAAUCCGGAAUCCUAUACCAGAGAAACUUGAGCCAUAUAACUCGGACUUCCGGCUCCCUCCGGACGUCCGAGGGCCGGUCAAGGGUCGGACGACCGACAAGCUUCGGAAAUCCGGAGCCCUGCACCAGAAGAACAUGAGCUCUAUAACUCGGAUUUUCGGCUCCCUCCGGACGUCGAGGGUCGGACGUCCGUCCCCUUUCGAAAAUCCGGAACCUCCCACCAGAAGAAGUUGAGUCGAAUAACUCGGAUUUCCGGUCCUCUCCGGACGUCCGGUCGCUGUUCAAUUCACAGUAUUUUCAGCUAUAUCUACAGGCCUCGGACGACCGACCCCUGUCGGACGUCCGACCCCUCGUGGACGCCCGGACUUCCGGCAACUGUCGGACGUCCAGACCCUGUGUGACUUAAAGUGUCCCAAACGGCUGUUUUUCUCUCCCCACUAUAAAUACCCCCUCCCACUUCGUGAGAGGGUUGCCCAACACAACCUUAUCCUCAUAAGAACACACUUCUACCUCACACACAUUUGCUCACACCAAAUCUUAGAUCCCAAGAGCAUUUGUGAGCCCCUUUGAGAGUUGUUCCAAUCAAAAGAUAGAUCGUCUCCCUCUCCUCCUCUCAACCCAAGCUAUUUGAGAUUUGAGCAAGUUUUGAGCAUUCCCCGUGAUCUUGUUACUCUUGGAGGUUGGAGACUCCUAGGCGGUAGGAGUUCUUCGGAGAGGAAUCAAUCCGUGUGAUUACCCCCCGGAAAAGUUUGUGAGGGUUUGGAAGCCACCUCAAAGGCUUACCACUAGUGGUUGAGAAACGCCUUCGUGGUGUUAUCUCAAAGGGAGAAUAUGGUGAGCCUUCGUGGCAUUGGUGUGCCUUCGUGGUAACAUCCACCUCUCUAACGGUGACUAGCUUCCCUCCAAGGAAGUGAACAUCGGGAUACAUCUUCGUCUCAGUGACCUUGGUUAUCCUUAACCCUAACUCCUUACUUGUGGUUUACUUGUGUUACUUGAGCUUACAUACAUUGCGUAUUGUUUGUGCUCAUUAUAUUGUGUUGGCUAUUUCUUGUACAAGAUUAAUCAUUCAAGCAUACCCUCUAUAUCCACACGUUCAUACUUGCAGCCUUUGAUAUAUCAUGUGAUAUAGUGUGAUCUAGUAUCUUGUGUUGUUUCACCUACUUGUCGUGUGAUAUAGCUCAAGUAAGUUUGUGUAACUUACUUGUGCUUGUUAGUAACUGUAUUGUGUCCAUCUUGGUAGAUCGUGUUGUUGAUACACGUUGCAGUGCCUAGUGCAUUUAGGAUUUGUGCUUGACAAGUACCCUCUUAGUUUAUUUCCGCAUUAGUUUCAAGCCAAAUCCGAAGAAGUUUUUAAACAGCCUAUUCACCCCCCCUCUAGGCGUCAUCGAGGUCUUUUCAAGGAGUAAUAUACGAUGUUGCGUAAUGCUUUAUGUACGUACUAGCUGGCGUCUAGUUGACGCCGACCGAAAACACCAACAAGCAUAAGGAACCAAAGAUGAUGGACACAAAAGGAAAAAGGGGAAACACAAUACGAAACCCUAAUAUAUAAAACCCUUCAAAACCCCUACCCCCCCCCCCUUUAAAAAAAACCCGCAGCGCGUGGAGCUGCUGACGCAUGGCUGCCUUUGGGUCCGGCUGGUGUUACCAACCGGGACUAAACGUCCUCCUGCUUGGGCGCCCCGCAACGGCCACGUGGAGCUCAUUUAGGCCCGGUCUGUAAGCUAACCGGGACUAAAGGUUUGGGCCUUUAGCCCCGAUGGCUUUGUCCCGGUUCAAGAACCGGGACUAAAAGCCCUAUGAAACCGGGACUAAUGGCCCUUUUCCUAUAGUGAGGGCUGCAUGUUAAGAGAAUUGGGCUAUUUAGGUAUUAUAGAUAGGUACAUGAGAUAAUAGUAUGAUGUGUCCAGGAGCAAAUUCUCUCAUUUUGGAUGUGAAUACAACAUGAUUUUCCGCCUCGUGUGCCCAUGUCAUAACAAGAAGUACACUCGCUACAGUGUAAGUGUGCACUGAAACCAUCCGUGUUGGUGGGUCGACGCGAUGAUCACAAGCGCACGACAUCGCACAACUGUGAGUCGUGACGCGUCAUUAUUCUUUUCAGCACGAGCACGAGUGCCAAAACCCUUUCUACCAAAUAUCCUCCUACACAUUCUUCCUCCACAAGCAAAAAAUGCCUCCCCCUACCGUCCCGCCCGGCCUCCUCCCCAUCUUCUUGAUUGAAGCAAAGAACCCCGACACCCCUAGAUCAAGAAGUUGCACCCCCACCCCUCCCCGGUCUCCACUAACAUUGCGGGUUAGGCCUAGGCUCUCUCUAUCUUGCCCCUCCCCAUCCUUAUCCAACUAAUUUUAACGAAAACAACAUGGUCGACUAGGAAUUGCCAAGGGAGAAGAUGCAACUUUUCCAUACCUUGUGUUUCACCACAAUAUGAAGACAUAAACCACACAAGUUUACAAAGAGUUGUCACAAAUCCUCAUUUGAAGUUGUUGUGAAGAUGCGUUGAAGAUUACCACCCCCUCCCUACCCUUCCAGACUUCCCUUGCUUUGCUAAACAGAACUCAGAAAGUGCACGUUCUAAGGGGAGAAAAAAUGACGUGUCUUUUAUAUGUUGACAUGAAAGUGUAUAGAAGUUGUCGUGUUAAUGACGUCUCCAAGGGCAUAACCAUUUUGUCCCAUAUGUCCGCUUGGACAGUCUGGACAUGUUCAGACACAAAAACAACCACCCAACAGGCUCCCCAAAACCUAGCCCAUAUGUUCGGUUUUUCUAGACUCCCCAAAUCCAGCCCGUAUGUGUCCGCUCUCCCCUUCCCCGCCACUGAAUCCCUAGCCGACCACUGUCCACCAAGUUCUAGUUAUAACAAAUUUAGUGCUUCCGAAAAAGAAUAAGGACCCCCGGUGCACUUUUUACUAAAAAAUGUUGAAGCAAAGAAAUGACACAUUGUUGCUUUGCAAUUCAAAGGAGCUAUAGAUCCAUGGAAGUGAUGCAAGCUAGCACCUCUUUGAUCCGAUUCACUAGAACAAAAAAUAACGUAGGAUUAUAAUGACAUAUCGUCAUCUUGGAUCCAAUCUGAUUUAGAAUUUUUUAUGGGUUGCAGUCAUGAUAAUCAAACAACCCACAAAUGCAUCGUUCCAAGAAUUGUAAAAAUCUUCAUAAUGCCAGAAUAAAACAGGCUUAGUUCUAAGAAUCAUAAAAAUCCUCAUUUUAUAUUCCAUUGAAACAAACAGGCUAAGGCAACAUACAAUAUUUUUAUUCUUGGCUGUAGACGAUGCUGGCCGAAUUGAUAAUGACACAACGAUUUUUUUUGUUGUUGUGAAAUUUGAAAGCUUCAUGUAUCAAUCCCUUCAUCCCAUGGUCUUCAAAUGGAACCAAGCAGACAGUUUCAACCGUUUUAACCCAAACAAUUUUCCUCUAUAUAGUACAUGUUCUUCAGACAAAACUAAACAAGACCAUCUUCACAAACAAAGAUGAAACAAUUUAUUUUCGGGCAAAACUUACACAAACAGCAAACUUAAGAAUCACUUUGCACAGAAAGAGAAAAGACAAAAGGCUUUGCGAUGAGCGGCAAAAUGGAGGAUGCAAGGCUACAUACACCCUUUUUCUCCGCGAAAGAAUGAAUCAUGCAGCAACUGAGACCGGCAACAUGUCAUUAAUCGCCAGGAACACACUGGUGUGGUUGUCCUAGUAGGGCUCCAGGGAUUCAACCACUCUCCUCGCUUGUAUUUGCAGGGCCAUCUGCCUCUGCUCCGCGUCGAGGGUGGAUCCAAACCGGCUCGCUGCCCAUAUGAGCGACGCGCACUGCUCCCCGAGUAGGUUUCUCAUCUGCUCAUGUAUGGGAGUGUUUUCCUUCACAUAAACAUGCCCGAUGAGCAACAGUAGGAAUUCCCCGCAUUUCAAUCUGCAUUAAAGUGUUAAACGAACAAGAAAAUUUAGUCAAUCGAACAACAACUAAACAAACUGGAGAAACGAAUAUGCAGCUGAUACUGUUUCUAGUAGAGAGGAGAUGAAGAGGCCAGAGCUUUGUAAUGGAAAUACAAAACUAGGAAGGCAUAGUAUUCAGCUGCUUAUCUAAACCGUUCAUCGUGUACACGCUUAGCCGCCCAAAAAAAUAUAACAAUAAUGAACACAUAGAGGUCAACAACUGAUACAUUUCAAAGAUAGCGUUGUAGUGGACAUUUCUGUAACUAAGCCAGAGUUAGACGUGUAGACAUCUUGCCUGUUCAUAAUUCUUCAAUUUACGGAUGUGAUGUAGGCAGAUCAAUCAGAUGAAUGAAGUAUCUUUUAGGUAUAAUUUACAUGGGACUGGGACAAUAACUUAGGUUCAAAUUGUUGGGCAUGCAUUCAAAGUUAAUAUAAGAACACUUCAGGAUUUAUACUUGCCUUAUGUGUUCUUCCACUUGAACAUCCUUCAAAAGCUCAGCAACCUUUUCAAGUCCACUGUAUUCCUCAAAGUCCUGUAGAAGGAAGCAGUUAUAUAAGGUACAGACCAGCUAAAGAACAGAAAUAACCGCAGUGACCAGAAAUAAUGAAGCCCAACAAUUUAUUCAACGAGCUCACACCAACUAUUAAUCAUGUUCUGGAAUAAAAAUUAGUACUAAGAUAAAGGGUGGCUGCUUCCAGGCAAACCUCCUGGCUGUCUUUGCACCCCCACCUCCUUUAUCACUGAGCGGUCAUUUAGGGGCUAAACAGAGCAUAUCUUGAGAGCCAAACCAUAAAAAAUUUAGGCAUUUCAACCAUGCCAGAGCUAUCUGCUAGUUUAUAUUUGGAACUUCUUUCUGCUAUACAAAAUUUAAGACAACGACAACAGAUUCAGGAAAGAGGUAAAGCGUACAAUCUGAUUCGAAGGUGAAUCCAACAUCAACGAUAUCAGAGCAUCUAAGCACACCCCUUGCUCAGUUGGACCUCGGCUGGCUAAUAUAUUCAGCAGUACCUACACCAAUUGAAGUCAUUAAUUGCAUUAAGAAGAGCCAAGAACAAUAUUGCUUAAAGAAAACAAAUGAGCGACGGAUACCUGCACAGCCUUGUACUUGUGGGCCAGAGCAGUGCAUCUGCUGUACAAAAGGCAACAACCUUCCAAAACUCGAAGAGCUAGAGCAAUUUCGGAAUCUGUUGAGGGGCUCGUAAUCUUCGUUGGUUCGACUCCAAAUAUAUGAUCCAAUGUCACAACAGGAUCCUUUGGUUGAUGCAAUGAAUUCUGAAAGAGAACUGGAAUAACUGUCACAGAACAUAAGCGUGUCAGCAUCGCUCCUUACUCAGGGGCCAGAACUGGAAUAAAUGUUGUUUGCGGAAAAGGUAACAAAGAAAGAAGCAGGCUAGCUCUCCACCCCUAAAUGCAUUAGGCGAGCUGUGGGAUAUAAAAACCUGCUAGUAGUCAUUCAUCCACACCAGCAAGAUUAUUGUUACAUUUAAACAUGGAUGACAGAUCAUGGAGCUGGCCUGGAAAAUUCAUCACCUAAUAAUCCUGAACAUCAAAAUAACCCAAAGCCUAACGCGGUUACAUUCCCAGCAAGAGGCUCCUCGAUGCUCUCACAGGUUGCUGCAUUGUAGCCAUUGUAACUAAUAAUGCUCGACAACCAUAACAUAACUAGCAUUUCUCCAUUGAUCCCAUCUAAACACCCGCUGGUCAUCGCGCUGCUGCAUUGGCUCACUCGUCAGGCAGCCAGAAGAAACCACGAGACUGAAGUGUCGAGCGUGUCCUCUAUCGCGUUGGGCGGAUCGCAUCACCGGAAUGGGCGGCCGGGGAGAUGGAUCGUGGGUAGAAGAAAUCACAGUACCUUGGAGAUCGGGGAUGGACUGGGAGUGGCGGAAGAGGAGCAGCUGCGAGUCGUCGGGCGCGGCGGCGGUGGAGCGGAGGAAUCCGAGCAGGCCGCGGAGCCCCCGCGCGCGGAGGAAGGAGAAGUCGGCCCCGGCGUCGCGCAGCCCGGCCCGCAGCGCCAGCGUCACCUCCCGGUACACCCGCCGCCGCGCCAGCGCCUCCGCCAGCUCCCCCGCCCCCCUCCGCCCGCGCCGACGAUCCCCUCCCCUCCUCCCUCCUCCACCGCCGCCUCCUUCCGGCUCAUCCCCGCCUCCGGUCGCCGGCGACCUCGCCUCUCUCUCCCCGCUUCGAAAUCCCCCUUUUGCCCCUCGGUUUUCGGUCAGAGAAACCAACGCCUUCGUCUUUACCACUCCAGGCCCAACGAGCCCGAGGCCGAGGCCCAACGAGCCCGGAGCCGUGACGGGCUAGGGAAGCCCAGGCCCAACGAGCCCGGAGCCGUGACGGGCUAGGGAAGCCCAGGCCCAACGAGCCCGGAGGCGAGCGGCUACUGCUAGUGGAGGGAGGGGAGGGCCGCCAGGCGCCGCCAAAACCCUCAAAACCCCCGGCGAGCGGCGAGGACAGGCGGCGGCGGCGAUGGCGACGAGGGCGAAGGACCUGGCGCGGCGGUCGCCGAAGAAGUACGUGGAGGAGGCGCUCUACCGGCGGCUGUUCCGGCGGGGGUCGACGCCGCAGGCGGUGCGGGAGGAGGUGGACGGCUUCCUCGGCAGCCGCAAGCGCGCCUUCAAGUGGGAGGUCGGCGUCUGCGUCCGCCGCCUCCGCCGCCAGGAGCUCUACCGCCCCGCCCUCAAGGUCCGCCCCCCCCUCCUCCUGAUCCCGUCGGUAGCCUUUGGUCCGUGCUCUGUACAGUGAUGCGCUCCGCCUUUGCGGUGGACUAGAUCUGAUUGCGGUGGCAUCAUCACGGCGGGGAAUAGAGGACCUGAGGUGCUGCUUGCUGGCGUGGUAGUGUGCCAUGGAUUACAUGCCGUGCAAAGAUCGAGAUUUGUAUUGCAAAUUUGCUUGGUAGGCCGCAAAAUCAUCAGCUUAUUUGGCCCUCUGGGUUGCUUAAUUUGUUUAUCAUCCGUGUUGUAUGUAUGUUUGCUCUCGGGAUAUCGAGAUCGCUGGUGGGGGUAUUGAUGCUGUCGAAUUGCUGAGUGGAAGCAAUGAUAAUGAAAUGCCUCAUUCAUGCUCUUUCUCUGCCGAGUGUUAUGUAUGCUAACAUGAUAGGUUUGUUAUUAGUGGUUCAGUUGUGGAAUGUAGCGCUGCUUAUGCUAACAGGAUACAUAUUAAUGUUGUCUCGAAGCCAUGUUUGCUUCUGUUUAAGCGGGCACUGUGUAGUCUGCUGGAAGGUUGACUUCCAUUUUUCUUCUGAAAGACCGUCAUUUCUGUCUUACAACUGCCCUGUUUGAUAAGGCUGCACCUGCUGUUUUAUGAAAAUGAACUUCAGCUUCUCCCCCGCUGCCAAAAGAAAGUUGUACCACCAGUUUCGUCCCUUUUUCUCUCGCACAGUUAGGUUCUCAGUCUUAUUGUUUUCUUUCUCUUGGCACACUCUCAUUCUGAACAAGCAUGGCUGCAUAUCCUGUUGUGAAUAAUCAAGGUGAUCUGUACUCCCAUGCCUCUUGACAUCACUGCAGUUACACUGAUAUAUUCUCCCAUGUCUAUUGACAUCAUUGCGAGUUACUUUUAACUUGUAUGCAUAUUUAGUUUUGUAGUAAUCUUUGUUGGAGUUUACUUUACUUAGUAGUUAGUAUGUUCUCUCAGGUUAGUUGUUGUGUUCUUCAGAAGUUCCCAUACUUAUUGGCAUUUAGCACACUGUGGCCAUGUUUGCUGUGUAGAUAAUCUCUUUUAUCCACCUAGUGCUUAUUGUCUCUAAUUUUUGUAUUGCGCUUUUGCGUAUUCAAUGCAAACCUUUUUAUGGUCUUUCCUUCCAUUACUUGCACCUAGAGUGGGCCCUGAGUUAGAUAGCUAUCUAACAGGGCAGCUGACUUUUCUAGCAACCCUAAAUGUUUUGGCAAGUCAUUUGUUUGAAUUUUGGUAGGUGAGUGUAGAUAAUGUUUCCGCUGCAUCAUUUUUAACGUCUUCUCUUCUCUUUGGCCUGGUUUUUUCUUUUGGGUUAAACCAUAUAUUUGCAAUUAUGGACUGUGAAAUUCUCUAUUUUGUAAAAUUGUGCCAGUUGGUGCUACAUAACGGAACAUAGAUUAUAGAGCUGGUGUGUAUUGUCCAUUCAACGGAAAUACUUCUGUGUGUGUUCCAUUAUCGUCUAUUAGAUGCAUGCCAUGACAUUUGAAAUACUACCAUGAUUGCUUGACAUUUGACUGUAGUGUGUCUGCUUCACGUUUUUUUUUUCAGUGCUUGGUACUAGCUGGUUAGUUGCCUACCAAGUUGAAGAUUCUAAUUGUGUGGCAACCUCUUAUCUGAAUACCCCUCAAUCUAGCAGUUGCCUGUUAAUGUUUGUAAAUGCUGUUGCAAAUAUUAGUUCCCUCUUAUUCAUGUCAUUACUCUCUGAACAUAAAAGUGUUUACACUGAUGGGCGUUCAUUGUAUUUUCAUUCUUAGUUUACCUGGAGCAGCACUACCGAACUCAUCUACUAUUCUUUUCACUGCUCAAGUUUGUGUGAUUAACUUUACUAAGGCAGUAUUUCUUUGUGAGAUUUAUUCUUUGAUUUUAUUACGAUGAUGUGACAAAUGAAUCAGUACAUAAAAUGCAUAUAACACAUCCCAGAUGGAGAUUAUUAUAUGAUUUUGAAUGUUGCAUGUCUUCUUAUGGUGGUUCUUUACCCCUUCUAUUGUUUAUUUCUGCAGCUUACUGAAGUUAUGACCAGAAGAGGCAUGAAUCCUACAGUCGGUGACCAAGCAAUCCGUCUGGAUCUUGUUGCCAAAUCAAGAGGCAUCGCUGCUGCUGAGAAGUACUUCAUGGACCUCCCAGAAACUUCUAAAACUCAUAUGACAUAUGGUGCUCUUCUGAAUUGUUAUUGCAAAGAGUUGAUGACUGAGAAGGCUGAAUCCCUUAUGGAGAAAAUGAAGGAGCUCAACUUUGCUUUCACUGCCAUGUCCUACAACAGCUUAAUGACACUAUACACCAAGGUCAACCAACCCGAGAAGGUUCCCAGCAUCAUCCAGGACAUGAAGGCUGAUGAUGUUCUACCAGAUGUAUAUACUUAUAAUGUCUGGAUGAGGUCACUUGCAGCUCGUCAGGACAUACCAGGGGUCGAGAGGGUGGUUGAAGAGAUGACCAGGGAUGGCCGUGUUGCUCCUGAUUGGACAACAUACAGUAACCUGGCUUCCAUAUACGUUGAUGCUGGACUGUUUGAGAAGGCAGAAGCUGCUCUUAAGGAGCUAGAGAAGCGGAACACUGGCAAUGAUCUUGAAGCCUACCAGUUCCUCAUUACACUGUAUGGGCGAACACAAAAUUUAGUGGAAGUUCAUCGUGUUUGGCGGUCACUGAAGAGGAAUAAUCCUAGGAAGGCAAACAUGAGCUAUCUUAACAUGAUUCAGGUUCUGGCGAACUUGAAGGAUCUGCCUGCUGCUGAGGCCUGCUUCAAAGAGUGGGAAGCCCGGUACAUCCGUCCACCUAAGACUAAAGCAACUGAUGCUGUGACAACUGAAACUUCUAAGUUGGACGAAGAAACUUCAACCGAGGUGUCUAACAAUGAUUUGGAUGUUAAGGAAACAGAGGACACGGGAACAGAGGAGCUUGACUUGAAACGUCCUAAAUACGACAUCCGGGUUGCAAAUGCUCUGAUGAAAGCAUAUGUUACAGAGGGUAUGCUUGACAAGGCCAUUGCUCUCAAGAAGCGUGCCAAGAUGCGUGGAGGAAGGCUUAACGCGAAGACGUGGGAGAUUUUCAUGGAGCACUAUCUCAAGGUAGGGGAUCUGAAGAAUGCCCAUUGGUGCGCCGACCGUGCAAUCAAGAAGGGACACAGCAGUGGCAGGAUCUGGGUGCCACCACAUGACGUGACCGAGACCUUGAUGGGUUACUUUGAGAAGAAGAAGGACGUGGACGGCGCUGAGAGUUUCGUCGAGGUGCUAAAGAAGGUGCAGAAAGAUCUGGGGACGGUGGUGUUCGAACCGCUGGUACGGACGUACGCAGCGGCUGGAAAGAAGUUCCCUGGGAUGCGGCACCGCCUAAAGAUCGAAAACGUGGAACUCAGCGAGGAAACUGACAAGCUGGUCGACUCCAUCUGCGUUGAUUGAUUAGUUGAGUAGCAUCCCACUUUGUGUUCAUCUCAAUAACAGACAGCAGGGUGCUAUCCAUAUUUUUGCUGUUUUCUUCCACAAAACCUGUAACGUCAGGAUGUACACUGAAAUGCUAGCCUGCCAUUUAUUUUUUGUUCAUCCGCUGCUUCUUUGUGCCAUCGCAGUCCCUGGGCUGUUGCAAGUGUUAUACUCUGCUUUUCAGUUGUGUUGUGGCCUUGUCUUCAGUACCGAAUGAACUAUACAUGCUUCGCUUGUUUGAAACAAGAAUUGAAUCCGUGUACUGUGAGUCUGUGACUGCAAUGCCCUUAAAUAUGUGAUAUGAGAUGCGAUGAUACUUUGCUACCCUGAAUCAUAUUGUAUAUGGUGUGAGUGCGUCUGAAUUGUAAAAAUUGGUGAAUAUCUGUCACAACUUUGAAAGCAAAAUAGGUACGUGUCAAGCAUCAUAUUACUAUAUUGCUAUUUAUUGAAGAACUGCAUGUGUCAAAAUGAUAUAUGGCCAGCCAGCGUAAGGGCCUCCAAACCACCGUGCCGGUUGCGCCGGGCCUCAGGUAUGAUCACAGAAACCUAGCUGGCAUGGUGGAUCGAUUUCUACCAAACCACCGUGCCGGUUGCGCCGGGCCUCAGGUAUGAUCACAGAAACCUAGCUGGCAUGGUGGAUCGAUUUCUACCAAACCACCGUGACGGUUGCGCCGGGCCUCAGGUAUGAUCACAGAAACCUAGCUGGCAUGGUGGAUCGAUUUCUACCAAACCACCGUGCCGGUUGCGCCGCAGCAUGCUCUAGCAUAGGCUCCCGAAAAUGGCUGGCAUCGCGAUCCACCGAAGAGUGGAGGUCCUCCGGCCCCGAAAUAUCUCGCAGUUUACCAUGGAUAGGACACAGUGGCCACUGCUCUGGAGCAUGCCACCUUCUCCUCAGUCCUGGCCCAGGUUCACAGAUAGGCAAAAACAUGAUGUAAUAUUUUAUAGGAUAUACCAAGCGAAUAUGUUCAAGGAUAGUGUCAAACUGAUAAAUAAACACUGAAUCCAUAAAUUACUCUGUUGUUAUAUUCUCGUGAUAAUUACAGGGAAGGACAAAAGUAUCACUCAUGCUCAUUAAUCACCAAGAACAAGCGAAAAACGAAUCCAGUACCUCCACUACACAGUUCGAAGCACACACCAGUGCUUCUCGACAAGACACACUGUACACACUCCAAAUUAAACAAGCUGAGCACUUCUGCAUCGGCCGAUCAAAAACCUCAACUGCAAUUGCAGCGGAACAUAUUCCUAUUCAGUUUUCCUGGUUCCACAUUCUCUUUCAGUUUAUUCCAAAAUCUCAACUCAUGGGGAAGAGAACCCAUCAAAAUUUCAGUAAUAGUGUACACUCGUAAUUGGACGACCAAUGCAACGUAAGGGAACCCAGGCCCAACAGUAGAGAUGCAUAUGACUUAGGGAUAUGUAGAGAGACGGAGGGAGCAAUGUUCAAAAGGUCCGUUACAUCGGCAACACGAUAAGCAUGAUGCUGCAGAAAGGCGUUAUGUAUGCCCCUCGUUAUUCCUCGUUGGUACAGGCUGAUGUGCCAAUUCAUAAUAAUAAAAAGAUAUGGCACAUGAAGGUUUCACUGAAAUUAAAAAUAUUCGUAUGGUACCUUCGCAAAGGUGUUAUUUUAACUAAAGACAACCUCGUCAAACGGAACUGGCAUAUUCUGUCUUCAAGAAGAGACAAUAAAACACUUAUUCUUCGACUGACAGUUUGCACGGUCUAUUUGGUCUGCUAUCUAGAUGGAUUCCAACUUGUAUCCACCAACUUUAGUUUUUAAUGUUUUUGGUACCUAGUUAUUUGGGAUUGAUAAUAAGUUUAGAAUCAUUUUAAGGGUAGGAGCGCUUGCCGUUAUAUGAUCGCUAUGGCUGAGUAGAAAUGACAAGAUUUUCAAUGAUAAAAAUUCAACUCAUUUGCAGGUUCUUUUCUAAUGCACAGCUAUUCUCCGUUCGUGGUCCACAUUACAACGGGCGGAGUUUGGAGACCUCUUUACGGAGGAUUCUGUGCGACUGGAGAAAGUGACGAGGGAUAUUUUUAUCUCACAUGGAUGACCGCGUGAUUUUCGGAUAGGUCCUCCAUAGACGACGACGAUUUACAUCAACAUGAUUGUAUUACGUCUGCUGCUGUUCUAUUUUUUUAUACUUUGAGACAGUGGCUGUGUGUAUCUUAAUUAUGCAUAGGCCGGAUGUAUUACCUAAACUUAAGUAAUAAAAACCCUUUAUAAAAAAAAGUGUUAAGUUAGUUCAUUUCUUUUCUUUCGUACCAUACCAUGCUUACUGUGAUUACCACACAAACUUGUAGAUUAUAUUAAGGAACCUAGUGCUUUUCACUGGAACUAUAUAUACUUCUCUAAUGAUUGCCAUCACUUGCUAUCUUGAAGUUUACAAAUCAAGAAACUUCAUUUAUUACAUCGAAAUUGAUGAUACGAGACAACAUAACUCAUGAAGAAAAAUAUUGAAAAAACAAAACCACCAAUUUUUUUUUGAGUAAGAAGCGAAAUAAAUAAAACUUAAAACAACUCAUCUAUCCAGCUGAUGGCUACAAGGAUGUUCACGAUCCUGCCGGCAUGGCAUUCGUCACCUGGAGAUCGGUAGUCGACGACCGCCAUUGUGCACCUACCUCAGCCUUUGUAUGCUAGGCCGCUACCUGCAGACUAUUGCUGCUUCACCCACGACCUUCACGGUUGAUCAUUAUCGAGACAGAAGCCAAAAUCUUUCAUAUGUAACUCCAGCAUGAUUUAAGAUGAAUAGAUUCCAAUUCUCAAGACGCAACACAGCCGCCAGGGAAAGAGCCCUCGCACCCAGCAACGUACCGCUAGGGCCUUGCUUGGGAUGCCGUUUUGUUUUUACAGGUGUAAUAGUUUACAAAGGUAUUAUACCGGUCAUAAAUAUAAAACCAGCUAAAACUAAACCGAUGGAAGGAGGUGUGUAUUUUUUUUAUAAAUGUAUUUGGCAUAGAAACGGCAUCCCAAGCAGGGCCUAGGGGGUUUCGUGCCUCCCGCCAGCGCCAACGCCGGUCCGCCUUGUCCCCUAUGACCUCAAGGUCAUGAAGGCAUGGUGGAUCUCGACCAUUGCCGGUGGGAGGGCUUCGUUUUGGAUGCUUUUGUGAAGUUUCCUAGGGUUUGUAUCCUGCUCAGAGAGACGAGACAGUGGCGCCUCUCUAAAAUAUGGAAUACGAUUCUCCCCUCCUAGCCCACGUCUCGGUGGUGCUUCUAGCAUCAUCGGAGGGUGUGUAGAGAUUUGUCUCCAAUGUAUCUCUCGGGAUUCAGUCGAUGUUUGUCUUUGCUGGAUCCAAGUGGAUCCGAUAUCUUUUCGUGUGUCUAAAGAUUGGAUCCUUUUGAUCUAAGCUUCUCUUUGAUGGCGACGGUUGCUGUUUUGGUGCGCUGGUUGAUGGUGUCCUCGAUUAGGGGUUACUCACCAUGUUGUCUCCCAAUCAGGAAGGUCGGGCCGAGGACCCCCAUGACGGUUCAUUAACCGGACACUUGGAGAGGCCCAUGACACAUACAAGGGAGGUUCCACAAGAGUUGACGCACAAGACGAGAACUCCUGUAACCCGUGGCCUUGAGUGCAUUAUAUAAACUGAGGCUAGACUAGUCUUACACAACAUUCUCCUGUUAGAUACACGUACUCUUUACUAUACCCCAUAUCAAUACAAUCGAAAGCAGGGCAUAGGAUAUUAUCUUCUCGAGAAAACUCGAACUUGGGUAAAAUCCCGUGACCAUGUUACCAUCACUCCAAGACGUCUAGCUUAGGACCCCUACCUCGAGAUAUGCCGGAUUUAACAACGACACUGGUCCUAUUGGGCCUUAGCACGACGACUUUUUGACUGUCUACUACAACAAAAUUUGUCCGGCUCCAGUAGGGAGGGGCAGUGACGACGGUGCGCCUUCGGCUCGCUUCAUUGUUUGUAUUUGUCACUAGGUGAUGUACGUUUUCAGAUGUAAUUUUAUUAUUUAUGGUAUCAGGGCCGGUCCUGACUUUUCAGGGGCCCGUGGCAAACCUAAAAAGUGGGCCUACUGGUGAAAAAAAUUCAAUUAUAUCGAUCCAAUCUAAUGAAUUCUCAUCAACACAAUUCAUAGGUGGAAAUUUGUGCAUAGCAACCUUUUGAGAAUCAUUGAACUUUUAUGCUAGCUUUUUCUUUUUCUUUUCUCAGAUCGAGACGCAUGCUUUUUAGGCGACAUUUUUAUAGAAAAGGAGCAUGAACACCUGAAUCGUGUGAGGAAAAAUUGAAGAAAUCCAGCUAUUUAAUCCCAAGCAUAUCGGAUAUUGUUAGGGUCUUCGUAUCCUCAAAUUAACAGCCUGUACAGGAAGAGAAGAUCGGUCAGGGAGUCGCUAGAAAACCUCCCAAAAAGAAUACAAACAUGAAGCAGAAAAGGACUCCGUGGGAUAAAGUUGAUCCAUUUUGCCGGGCUUAAAUUAUUCUUAAUGGGACAGAAACCCUGCCAGAGAAUCAGUUCCAUGGAUGUUGGAUCUACAAUAACACACCUUCCUGUCAAAUUUCCAUGGUUUCUUAGCGAGCACAAACCCAUCACCGAGCAAGAGCUUGUCCACAUCUCAACUCGUCGGCAAGAGAACACAUGAAAAGUUUAGUAAUAGUUCUAUAGUCAUAACCUGAUGACCAACAGGGGCGGCAUACAAAAGGUGUACAAGGUUUGGAGAUAUAUAAAGACAAAGAGUGGACAAUCCUUAAAACUUCAUUCAAAUUAGUGCAUGAUAAGUGUGAUGCUGUUGAAUGGCGUGUAGUUCAUGAUGAAUAAGAGUGUUUCUCAUGUUGUCCACCUGGAGAUAAUAUUAUGUUGUUCACAUGCGGAUCACAUGUACAUGUUGGGGUAAAUGUUCAUUUUCAGUUCAAACUAAUAUAUCAUCACAUUUUCACCGGCAGGCAAAGUUGCUUACCAUUUUCUCCAAACAAAUGAUCGAGCGGAUGAAAUUAUCUAGUCAUGGUUCUGUUGGUGUUGCCAUAUUCAAGCUCUUUUACUAUGCAGUUCUGACCACACUCUGUAAAAGUUGAGCUUGCUUAUUCUAAUCAUAAUCCUUGUCCAGAAAUGGUGAAACAAGAACCUAUAGGGAGGUACCAGCUCUCAAAUUUAACCGUGGUUUGCUCUAUAAGCAAAGCCUGAUGAAUUCAACAACAUAUUUGUUCACGAGCCAUAGUUUGGUUACAGAUGAAUAUCAUCUUGCGAACCCCUUUCUCAAAGACCUGAGCAGUUAUCGUCGGUGUAAUUUAGCGACCUUAGAAAUCAUGUAAGGUGAAACACAGAAAAAUCCCAGUUACCCAGUCAUGGAUGUUAAAGUAGAAGAACCCACUUUUUUGUGUUAUGUACACAUUCGUCAUCUUGGCUCUUCUUGUCCAUACAAUUAAUUAUUUUAUAAUCAAUCACGGAUGAUAUUCACAAAUUUCAUGGGUUCUGUGAGAGAUGUUUUUUGUGCCACUUUCUAGUGGAGCUUAACCUGAAACAUCCAAAUGCUUUGAAGUGGGUAUGCUUGACAAGGCCAUUGCUGUCAAGAGGCAUGCCAAGGUGCACGGAGGAAGACUUAACUCGAAGACGAGGGGGACUUCUAUGAAGCACUACCGAGGCCACAAUCAAGAAAUGACACAUGGGAAAUGGUAAGGGAUCUCAAGAAUGCUCAUUGGCGCAAUCAAGAAAUGACACAUCGAUGGUAGGAUCUGACGAUCUGGGUGCCACACUGGCACCACGUGAUGCUACCGAGGCCUUUGAUAUACGGGCUACUUUGCGAAGACAAAAGAUGUGGAUCGAGCUGACAAGUUCGUUGAGGUGUUGAGAAAGGUGCAGCAAGAUCUAUACGGGCUACUUUUGGACGGUGGUGUUUGAAACCGUUGGUAUGAACCGCAUGCAGCUGCUGGAAAGUUACCCGGAAUACAACACCAUCUAUAAGUCAAAAACGUGGAGGUCAGCGAGGAAGCAUACAAGCUGGUUGAUUCUAUCUGUGUUGAUCUCCACAACAGGCAGUAGGGUGUUUUUGAUGUUUUCUUCUGUAGAAGCUGUAUUGCCAGGAUGUAUAAUGAAAUUUAGCCUGAUAUUUAUUUUUGGCUGCCUCUGAACACCAUCGGAGUACUUGGGCUGUUUGAAAUGCUCUGCUUUUCAGUUGUACUGCAGUCGAACAGAGUGAACUCUACAAGUUUCACAUGCUGGAAUCAAAAUUUGAAUUCAUUUACUUUGUUUGAUGGCACUGUCCUUAUACCUAUGAUAUUAGCCGCAAUGAAUGUCAAGAUCUGUCAUACCUUUGACAGUAGAUCGGCACUUUGUGGAAAUCGUAGCUUCUUGCCUAUCGAACCCUUGCCAAGUGAAUCUCAAAAGCCAAUAGAUUCCUUGCUAGUAAAUGAGGGAUGAUUCAACCAUUAUAUGGUAUUUAAUAUCUACAUAGAAAUAAAUGAAAGCUCGAUACAUUGUCACGAAGAUUGCAAGUAAGCGGACAAUGUAAAAACAAAAGAUAACUUAAACAGCUAUCGGUUAAUCACAAGCGCAUUUGGAAAUCAUAAUUAAACAGAAUUGUUGAUUCAUAAUGUGUAGAAGCAAAAUUGAGCAACCACUAACUUCAUCCUGUGAAAUACCAGUGAGCUAGUACUUGAUUAAAUCAUCCAUCUAGAGCACACAAAUUAUGGCUUCAUCCUACACCCUUUGAGAACCGAACAAUUUUCAUGUCAGAACAAUGCAAUGCAAGCUUGAUGACCGGAGAAAUACAACAUAAUCCAAAUAAGGGCAUACUCCAACCUAUCAACCUACACAAACGAAGAUGAAGCUUCUUCCUUCUUCACUCCCUUUCCCACCGUGGUCAUCUGCUUCCUCCGUUUCCUCUCCGUUUCCUCUCCCUUUCUCUCAGUUCUCUUUUUUCUUGCUUUUCCUCGUCGAGCAGCCAUGUCUCUUUGAAACGAUCAUCCGACCUUAUGUUGGCCCGCAACACAGUUAUUUCAAGGCACUCGAUGACCAUGCUCAAACUAUUCACAUCUCUUUUUCAGUUUCUUCUAAAAUCUCACCUGACUAGCAAAAAGAUACAACAGAAGUCACACAACUCUAAUCGCCCCAUAUUUUGAGGAUCAACCAAAGGAACACAAACACAGAAGGUGUAAAUAGUCUAAAGUAUAUAAAGUGGCAGAGUGAGCAAUAACGGAAACUUCGUUUAACUUAGCAGCUCAGAAAGUGUGAUGCUGCUGAAUGGUGUCUAGCUCAUGAAGAGUUGA
rnacentral:lncRNA from 1 species